GAUCCUCCAUCAAUUUCAGCACCUAUUCUAGUGAAUAGCGCUAGGAAUGUGGUGGACUCUGAGAAGGGUAUACCUGCCCAAUUGCCAAAUGAUGGGGCAAAUAUUCCAUCUCCAAAAGUGGAUGGAAAUGAUGCCACAACUGGUAAUUUUGGUAACCCAGAAAAUCCUGAUAGGAUUGGGCUUGACCCAGCUGCUGUGACAGUACAGGCUGCUUUCAGAGGUUAUCUGGUAGCUACUCUCCCUUUAAAAGUUACUUUUAUACUUAAAGGUUAUGCAUAGUGAUGAAACUUGUAAGCAUUUUACUGCUGUAGUCUUCAUUCAGUUGUAUGAAAACUCUGCUGACUGUUAUUGACAGUAACUUGAAUACACUGUCAUUGUUCUGCUUAUUUUUCUAAUAUUGGAACCUUGCACUCUGUAUCUUGCCUUAUGUUGUUGAUGAUGAUUGUUUUUACUUAAAGUUAAGGAUAUGUGAGGAUUGGGUGACAUGUGAUAGAUUCAUACUUCUUUCAUGGUAUCUUUUGUUUUAUUGGGAGGUAGAACAUUGAACCACUUAUUGGUUUAACUGCUUGUAUAUGUCAGACUCUACAAUUGGCUGGCUGUCUCUAUGUUUUAUAUUUACUUCAUGCUUCUUAUUGUUUGUAUGUAUAUUUAGCCCCUUGCUGUUGACAGAAACAAGCAUAGGGAAUCCAUGUGAAUGAAAAUUUCUUAGGGGCCUGGAUUACUAUUUACAGUAACUUGGGUAGUAUACAACUCAUUUUACUAAGUUUCCCAGGUUAACACAUGUAUCAGUUUUGUACAAGCAUCUGCUUGUUUAGAGAUAUUUGAAUCUUAAAUAUUUGACAACCUACUGAUUUUUAGUAUUUGUAUAAAUUUUAAAUGCAAAUUUGGUUGGUAUAGGUUUGCAUAAAGUUUGAUAGAAGUAGUGAAUCUGCUGCCAACUUUUACACGCCCUUAUACUAGGAUUAUUAUCCUCUCUAAAAUCACAUAGUUUUAUUGAUGACAAUAUUAUGUGUUGGAAGGCUCGCAGGGCAUUUCGAACCCUCAAGGGCAUUAUAAGGCUGCAAGCAGUUAUUCGUGGUCACUUGGUUAGAAGACAAGCUGUUGCUACUUUAUGCUGUACAUGGGGAAUUGUUAAGUUGCAAGCACUAGCUCGUGGUCAAAAGGUCAGAUGUUCAGAUAUUGCCAUGGAAAUACAAGAAAAACAUCUAAGACUGCUUCAGGUGAUUUUUAUUACUGAUCAGUGGAUAAUGGCUUGUUGUUUCUUGCUAUCCUGACAAUAACUGUAGACACUAGUUGUAUGCCCUAGUUGAGUUUGUUGUUUAUGCAUAAGGUCUAUGAGAAUAAAGGUAUUUUUGUGAUUAUAUUGAUAUUAACAUGGGCAUUGAUAUCAUAACCAUUCAAUAAUAAUAAAGGAUUAUUUUAUUUCAGGUUCUUAUCUGAAAAUCAAAGUAUACCUCCCUUUUGUUUCAUUAUGUGGCAUUUUGAGUAGCUAAUUGCACAUAACAUGCUUCUAAGCUGGGUACAUUUUACUUCUUUAUUUAAGCAGGGUUCUAAAAGCUCGGAUUCUAUUGGAGUGAGCACAUCUUCUAAGGUGAAGAAUUUAUCAAAUAAUGUGUUUGUUCAGAAGGUAUGGUUUGCUUUCUCAUAAUACUAUUGGAUUCUUCUUACUGGUUAAAAUGAGAACUUCUGUGCUGAUAGAAAGCCCAUGAUAUUUAGCCUUUAGGCAAUUUUUAAUGCUCCUAAGUUCCUGCUUUUGUCGCCACAGUAGUUGUCUAAUGCAUAUUUUCUUAGCAUAUAAUUGUUCCUGUUUCUUUUGUGUUUCAAACUUGAGCUUGUGCACCUUGAUCUUUUGAAUUGUUCCUUUUACUUUAAAGUUAUAAUUUUCUAUUGCUGAUAUUCUUACACUUUGUUAUCUUCAGUAUUUUUUUCCUCUUUGGUGAUUAAUGUUUAUAAUAUCAGUACAAUAGAGGCAUCUUUUGUAGUUAAACUCGCAAGUCAGGUCUAAAUAUCUGUAUGCCCCAUCUUUAUCUCGAGAGCCUCCAUGCCUAAGUCCUGUAUCUCACCUGAGAAUUGCAAAUGCAAAUGUAUCAGUUGUUUAUAGAUCCCUUCUUGUUGUAUCAAAAUGAUCAACUAUUUUUUAAGCUUGUUUAUCUAUCUGCCUUUUUUCCUACUGUCAAAUCUUGAUAAUGCUUACUUAAUAUAUUCCUCUCAGUGGAUUUAAAUCUUAGAAAAUGCCUUCAAUUAAUUGGGCCCCCAUAAGUGGCACUUCCUUUCCGUUGAACCUCAUGAAAUGACAAACAAAUAAAAAAAGAAAUAAAUCUUGUUAUGCAAAGUGCUUAGACUUUAGAACUCUAGCAUGACUAGUAAAAAAACUUUGCAUGGAAGAUUUAGUUCUGUUCCUUACCUCUUUUUCUUUAAUAUGUAUGAACUUUGUUAGUGAUUACUGUUUUUGAUGUAUGCCACUGUUUCCUGUUCCUAGCUGCUGGCCUGUUGUGGAUGCCAAGAAUCAUGGUGUCUUGACUUAUGCCAGUUCUGCUAUGUUUUUAUUCACUGUUGUUCCAAUCUGUAUGUGACUGCAUUUUCAUCAUUUCAGCUUUUGGCCUCAUCACCUUCUGUAUUACCUCUACAACUUCAAUAUGUUCCAGAGGAGCCUAACUCAUCCUGGCAGUGGCUUCUACGAUGGACAAUGUCACAUUUUUGGGUAUCCCCUUUAAAACCAGUUAGGAGUGGAAAGACAAAACGAAGUAUUCAGAAACUGUCCAAUGCAAAAGUUGUUAAUGGAUCUAGUCAUUCUACCUUGGAGCAUGAAAAAAACAAACGAGGUCUGAGGAGAGUUUCUGGCAACUCAGCAGCAGAUUCAGUUCGGAAGCAUCCACAAAAUGAGCUUGAGAGGGUUAAGCGCAGUUUACGAAAGCUUUCUGACUCUUCAAAGGAGGUUUCUGAUAAGUCUGAAGUUUUUAAUGAGAAAACAAAGAAGACUCUGAAAAAAACUUCUAAUUCUAAUGACCCUGAUUUUUCAGAACAGGAAUCCGCUGAGAAGAUAAGAGAUGUGACUGCAACACUAUCAGAACUGUCAAUUCUUGAGGCAGAUCUGAAAAUGUCCCUAGAAGAUCCUUCUCUUGGUGAGCCUAAUGUCUGUCCUGCAGUUGAUUUGUCACCUGCUGAAAACAAUCGUAAACUUGAGGUAAUAGAGGAGUUAAUCUCUAAAGACGAGCAGGUUGGUGAUGAGAGCUCAAACACAAGCCAAAGAAGAGCUUCUUUCCCUGCAAAAAUUGAUAAUCAGGCGAAUGGGUUAAAUCUCAUGCCAAAAGUGCCCAGUUAUAUGGCAGCAACUGAAUCUGCAAAAGCUAGACUUAGGGGUCAAGGCUCCCCAAUGUUUACCCCGGAGGCUGUUGAGAAAAAUGGGUUAAACAGGCGAUAUUCUCUGCCAUCUUCAACCUAUAGUAAUACAAGUUCACAGUCCCCACAUGGUCAAAGACGGGUUCGAGUAGCUGGCAAAGGUGCUAACAUCAGUGACAAAUCUCAAUCAUCCUCUAAAGAUGCUAAUGGUAAGCACCACUUUACAUUGAUGCCUCAUUUGGUUACUAGUGUAAUAAUGUUUUAUUCCCUUCUGUUUGUGUUUUUGUUUUGCUAAACGAGUAUUACCCAUGGAUAUGCUGCUUAGUUUUUCCCCAUUCUUGAAGUAGGACAGAGAAACUGGCACCCUCUAUUGUAUAAAGUCAUUUCUACAUGUGUAGUUAAACAUGCUCUUAUGUGGUAGUUCUAUGCUCUCCCUGUAUGUUGCUUCUGCAUGAUGACUAUCCCUUAUUGUUGACUUGACAAUUUCAGAUAAGGUUGUCAGAGCUGAGUGGAGGAGGUAAUUCUUGCAUGGGGAAUUGUUUCGAUGAAGUUUCCAUGGAGUUUGUGCACGGAUGCUACUUAACAAAACUUCCCUUAUGUGUUGUAAACUUCUGAUGUUUGGUUGUAGAAGCAAGAGAGUGAAUCAUCUAAUCUUUUGUUGCUUGGUGUAUCUUUUUAAGUUUCCUUGGCACUUUCAGGUUUGUAGAUGGGUAAAUAUUUGUAGAUGUUACAGUUGGUUAUUUGGUUUAUUUGGUUCGUUUGUGUUUGUACGUAAAAUUCUUUGGAUCUCUACUCACUCUUUUCUAUCAUUUAAUAUCAUAGGAAUAGAGUAUGCUGAUCUGCAAAUCUGGCUAACCCUAGUUGUAUUCUCUCGCCUAGGUGGAGAGACUAAACUCAUCACUCAAACCUCAAUUUUGAUUUAAACAUCAUUUUUGAAGCCAAUCCUUUUGUCAACUAUCAAUCGAUUUUUGCUCCAUCUCAGCUCUGACUAGAAGAGGGAAAGCUCGAAUUUCGCUUCAAACCAAGUCUUUGGCAUGGUGCCAUUACAAAAAUCGACUUUUGUUUAUCAGGCAAGAGGUAUACCGAUGGUGAUGACAUGGAUGAACAUCAUUCUAAUUUCCAUGGUUUCAAGACCCAAGCAACCCUGGACCUAAGAUGGGUGAAAUUGAAGUUAGAUGAACAUUUGCAGAACAUGUUAUCCACCGUCUCCUUUAAACAUAAUAUAUGGGUUGUCGUCAAGUGAAUUUCUUGAAGGUCCCUACACCAAGUACUUCUCAUUCACUCGAGGAAAAAAGAAUCUAAAGACUGCAGUUAUUCGGUUCACUGGUAUGAAGAUGAGAAACGAUGCUCAUUGGCCUUUCUGUCAGCUUCCCUGUGACAUGCCGCAGCUUGAGACAUCGUGGUUAAUGUAUUUACUUUAGUGAAUCCGAAUUAGAGUUAUUUCUUUUUUUUUUUUUUGGAGGGGGUGGGGUUAGGCUGAGGCCAUGCCAGAGAGCUUACCAACACAUUACAAUUUCCAACAUCUAGCAAUUUUAAAAGAUUUUGUACCGCACCUUGGCCUUUUGUGGGUAAGAAAUAUUCUCGAGGCAUGUCCAUUGAUGCAAAAGUUGGAAUUGCAUUCAAGUUUUUGGUUUUUGCAGACAAUUUUAAUUGAUGUGGUGGAAAUAACAGCUAGGAUUGCAUUAUCUUUGAUGAUACUGCUCUAAUUAUUUACUAAGAUGAAAAGGUUUUUCAUCUUUUCUUUUGAAUCCUGAUAAAGUACAAUGAACUGCAAAGCAGAGAUUCUUCUGCAUAGGCCAUAUGAUUGUUAUGAUUAAAGGAACUUCAAGACAAACUGAAAAUCAUUUGGGAAGAACUGAUGACAGAUCACAUGAAUGAUCUACUCAAAAACAUACCAGUAUUAAUGUUGCUUCAUAAUAAAAAGUCUUUUUUUUACUGCUAGCAUUAGCAUCUGUAGAUUGUUUCUUGAAAAUGAUCGGAAUCUAAUGAAACUAAGGCACCAUUCAUUGGUGUUUAAUAUGAAUGCCUUCUGUUCUUUUUUCCCCCCGGAUAGCUGAUUGAAUAGAGAUUGUCUUUUCCUCGACUGCUUUAUUUUUUUGUUGAGUUUCACUGCAGCUAGACGAUUGUGAUUAUAUCGAUGAAGAAACAGAAAUAAACCGUCCUCCUGGCUGCCCCAUUAUCAUCUAAGGCAGGUUUUUAUAACUGGCAGACAUGGAUUCGUGAGUGAGAUUUGGAUUGCAGUUUAUCUUCUAAGCAAUGCAAUGGGACUUGAGAAAAUGGUGAUUGAUCCAUGUACCAGAUCUUACGAAGGGUAUCGAGGAUGGGAAGUUAAAGAAACUUGUCCCAGGUGCUUUUCUGUGAAGGCAAAGGCUCUUUGGACAUCUUACAGGCAAAGUUUGUGCACUUGUAGAACUGCUGAUUCUUUGAACAGAAAAUGACUUAAUGAUUGAAAAAAUGAUACGUGGAAUGUGAAAUAAACAUGAUAAUAUGUGUUAAGUUGAAGAAAGAAGAUGACUAUCCACCAACCUUGCCUUUUAUAGUUAUGGCUUCGUAUGCUCAUAUUUGUAAUCUGUGUCAGGUGCCAACCAGAGUUCCCCCAAACACUUCAGUAGGUCAUCAGGGACCUCCCGUUUAUCUAGGCUCUGGCAAGAGCAGACCCCAUAACCCCAGUGAAGUGAUCUAGGGAACUCAAGAGGACAGCUGACUCUCUAUUUCUCCUUUGUGGUUAGAUGAUUAGGCAAUAGGAAGCCAGCCUACCUAUUUAUAAGUGAAGGCUCUAGUGGCCAAGUAAUUGUGACCCUUCAACAGAUCGGACCGGCAUUAGAUAUGAAACAAAUCCACACAUGGCAAGACUGAAACUGAAUCCAACCAGAAUUAUGGCAUUUGGGGACUAGAGAUGAGGAGAUAGAGAAUAUUCUUGAGGUGAUUGGACUUGAGCUCUCCCCCACACCUUUUCCAUGCUUCUAUCAUUGUCAUAGUUCAAAAAGUGUUAUAUGCAUUGCCCUUAAUAACUUCGAUAUAUCUGCCAUUAAUAGUCCAAGCUAUCUUUAAUUAGGAGUAGUCUGUGUAUGUUUUUGACAAUACAUUAGUCAAUUAACAGCUGCUUAGAUUCUGUGGUGGUGAAUAAAAUGAUGGAUAGUGAAUAAAAGUAUAUAUGGCCAGAAUUUUAUGCAACUGAAGACCUCUAAAAUCCCUCCCAAGGAUUCAUCGGGCCUGUUAUUGCGUCUAGAUUAAUUUUUCCCGAGCAUCUUUUGUCUCGCAUAAAAUAAAAAGAACAACCAGAAAUACUUACAGAUAAUCGAAAGUGUCUUACUGAAUAAUUGAGGUUAAUUAGCCAAUGUUUCCACAUGAAGCAACCAGGAGAAGGAAGCUUAAAAAAAAGCUGAUAUUUUGAAGGUAAUCUUUCAAAACUUUGGGUUACUUCCAACUGAAGUUUUCUUGUUUUUGAAGAUACUCCUGCCAUAACUUAAUGCACACACAAAAAAAGAAAAAUUAUAGCAGGUUAAAGAGUUUUUAAUUGGAAUUGUUAGCUGCUACAGACUAUCUCAAUCACGUAUAUCAUUGUCAUUAGAAAGGAAGAAUAAUUGUUAUAAUAAAGUAAAAUCUAGCAAUUGGUAUAUUUAUGGCAUGUUUUAUAUGUUUUCAUAUGUUAUAGUCAAAUUAAUAUAUUAUGCAUUAUCUUUCUCCUAGGAAGGAACAGCUGACUGAGCAAUAACAUAACUACUGUUUUCUUUUGGAAAGGAAGUAGCUACAAAAGCCACCAGAAAUUUCACAAAAAUGUGCUGCUUUCUGUAGUUAUUUAUAAUGGUGAUUCAAAUGGCUUAUUGCUGCUAGAUUUGAUAUGAAAGAACUACAACUUUAGCAAUCAUGGUGUUGCCCUUGAUAAUCUAUAUCAAAAUGAACCAGAUAGAGGUAUUUGAUUACCUACUAAAACUGAUUUUUUUUUGUUCUCUUUGCAUGGUAACUAAUAUCCUUCUAGCUUAAAUCGCUAGGAAAUAUGCAUUUUUUUUUCGUUCUAUCAUUAAGCAUAGUUUCAGGGCUGAUUGGCAAUACUAGAUCGAUUUUCUUGCAAGGUAAGGCUAUGUUCAUAAAACCAUUUCUGUUAUGCUUCUCAAAAAAUUGAAGGCAGAGGCAUUCUUUCUUUUGUGCUCCAAUGAAAAUGAAUGGAUCUAAUCAGUUAAAUUGCCCCAUGGCAUGAUCCAAGCAACAGGAAAUUGUUUCAAAUACUCUCUUAACCGGAAAAGAUGGAGUUUUUCUGUUGCACCAACCUGAUUGACAUUGUUUAAGGUAGAAACUUAUGGUCUAAUUUGAAAUGCCAAAUCUGGGAAUCUGGCUUUUGGAGAUCUUGAUGUUCGGAUAUCUCUAAGUCCCAGCCUUGGUUAUAUAUAUUUCCAAAAUUAGCUUUUUAAUUAAGCAUAAUUCCUUGGUGGUAUCUGUUUCUUUAUCAUAAUUUUGUAUUCUUCUUCUAUUUCUUUCUUGUACUAUUGCCUUAUCGUAAGACCGUUUGACCAUUUCCAUUUACAGUCACUAGCAAACUGAUGAAGGAGGGAGACCAAUCAAAUAGCAGAAGCAACAAUGCUGUUGCGAAAUGACCAUCCGUGCUAUCUGCGAACCGCGAGCUCACCAAAUGUGUGAGCUCACCAAAAGAUGCGAGCUCACCAAGACUGUGAGCUCACCUGUAACACUCCUAACCCGUAUCCAUAACCGGAACAGGGUUACGAGGCAUUGCUGACCCAUCACAACAUAAAUCAUACAUAUAUGCAUUCAUAAUCAAAAUCCAUUUAACACAUUCACAAUGUCGCUUAUAAGGCCUUAUAAGACCUUAAAACAUGCUUAUAAGAUAUUUGGAACUAAACCGAUAACAUUAGCAAACUUUGGAAAACAUAGAAAAUUUUCUUGCAUUUAAGGGUCACACGCCCGUGUGAAUAGUCCAUGUGCCUCACACGGCCGCCAAACACGUCCGUGUCACAGGCCGUGUGAAAACAGGCAUACAUAUUGACUUGCACCACACAGUUGAGGACACGCCCGUGUGCCAUGGCUGUGGGAAAACUGGAGGGGUUACUGACUUGGGUCACAUGGCCGACCACACGCCUAUGUGCCAGCCUGUGUGCCACAUAUGGCCAGUAGACACGUCUGUGUGUCUAGACCAUGCCAAACCUGUAGGGUAUACUGACUUAAUUCGAAAGGGUACCCUAGGGGACACACGGCCGUGUAACGUGAUCGUGUGUCACACACGGCUUAGACACACGUCCGUGUCUCUGCCCGUGUGGACAAAAAUAGGCCAUUUGCCAAGCCAAUUUGCCACCCUUUUCUCAUGCAUUCCUAGCAACCAAAAUGGUACCAUUCUAUUUUAUUUAUAGAUAGGCAAAACAUGCCAAUUCAUACACAAUUCAUGCCGACUACCCUCAAUCAUUUCAACUACUAAAUUUCAUAUUCAAAACAUACCAAAUCAUUAUGUCAAAAUCAUUAAAACUUACAUAAGCUCCAAAUGCAUUUACUCAUCAUCUUAUCAUCUAAUUCAAAUCUCAAAAUAACACUAAUUCAAUACCUUAUUCUCAUACCAUACUAUGCCAAAUUCACAAGGCAUACCAUUCACAUUACAUAGCAUAUAUAAACACAUUCAAUGAGUAAAAUUCACAUCCCACGACUUUACCAAAUACAAGCCAAAUCACAUGGCUAUAAUUUUAUAACACAAAAUGUACCAUAAUUAUACAUGCCAUAUACCAAAUAUAUAAAGCUUCAAAAGUACCAACGAAAUGAUCGAUAGUGUGAUGACAAUUCUUGACGAUCCCCGAGUUUGAGCUAGCUUUGGAUUCACUAUAAAAACGAGGUAAGCUAUAAAGCUUAGUAAGUUUGUAUUAUAUAUACUCAACAGUUCGUAAAUAAAAAUCAUCAAUUUGAACUAAUUAAUGUCUAAAUCAUGGUAACCGACAAAUUUUCCUCAUACUUACUCAAAUGUUUAUGAACAAGUUUAUAACUUCUUCUAUUUGGAUUUCAUGCUUUAUAUGUACAUACUUGUACAAAUUCAUAUCAAAAUACUAUCGAAUACUUGAUAUCUCGCACACUAAGUGCCAAAACAUAAUCGAAGUUACUAUAAUCUUGCACACUAAGUGCCAUCCAAAGCUAUCUCAGUCUCACACACUAAGUGCCAUAUAUAACUGAAGUUAUUCCGAUACGCACACUAAGUGCUAUAUAUAGCCGAAGCUAUCUCGAAACGCACAUUAAAUGACAAACAUAGUCGAUUUAUCGUUGUACACAACUGUAGUCUCAUAUAUACAAUUUAUGUAAUUAAUAAAGCAUUUAAACAUAAUUUUAUCAAUGUUUAUCACGUAUGAACUUACCUCGGAUACCAAAAUGAUGAAUUGAAUUAUUUAGUCGAUAACUUUAGUUUUUCCCCGAUCUAGAUCCGAAUUCCUCCUUUCUUGAUCUAAAUGUAUUCAAAAUUAACUUUUUCAAUCACAUAUUUAUUCAAUUUAGUCUAAAACACUAUUUAAGGAAUAUUUACACUAUUGCCCCUAACAUUUCACAUUUGUACAAUUUAGCCCUUAUUGCAUAAUAUCACAAAAUUCACAAAAUUUCAUUACACCCAUGCCUAGCUGAAUUUCAUGUAGGUCCCUAGCAGCCCAAAACUUUCAUUUAUUUCAAAAUUUAACCCCUCAAUUUACACUUUUCUCAAUUUAAUCCCUGAUGUGCAUUUUUACUCAAAAUCACUUAACAAAACAUGUAUAUCAAACACCAAGCUUUCAUAAUUCAUCAUUAAACAUCCAAAAACACAUGAAUUCAUUAAUGGGAACUUUCAAAAUCAUCAAAACUUUCAAAAAUUAAGGCAUGGGCUAGCUAGUACUCAAAGCAACGAUCACAAAAACAUAGAAAUCAUAAAAAAAUCAAGCUCAAAACAUACCUCAAUCAAGCUAUGCAAGUGCAGAAUAUCAAAGCCCUAAUUUAGCUUUCUUCUUUGCUUCAUUCUGCCAUAAAAGAUGAAAUGAAGCUUAACUUUUAACUUUUUUUUAUUUAAUUUAACCUAUUUACAAAAAGACAUAUUUAUCCUUAAUGAAUAAACAUUAAAAUCCCACUAACUAUAGGCAUAAUUGUCCAUCCAUUAUUCAAAUGAUUUUUUAGCACCAUAAGGGCUUCACAUUUAAUAAACCAUAGCAAUUAGGCACUUUUAACUUAUAGCGUGCUACUUUUGCAUUUUACGCGAUUAAGUCCUUUAGUCAAAUUAACACUUAAAUGAUAAAAUUAUUUCACAAAACUCUCAACAAUAUAUAUUUACAUCCUAUAAACACCAAAAAUAAUAUUAAAAUAAUUUUCUAACCUCAAAUUUCUAGUUCCGAAACUACUGUAUUGAUUUAGCUAAAAUUGUGCUAUUACAUCACCUGCGAACUGUGAAAUGCGAGCUCACCAAAAAAUACGAUCUCACCAAGAUCGUGAGCUCACCAACAUUGUGAGCUUACCAAGCAUGAGAGCUCACCUGUGAGCUCUUCACUCUACAAGUUGCCAACUUGCACUGAAACUGUGAUAAAUUUUAAUUAAACAUUUUGGCAGACGAUUAGACAAAAACAACGACUGAAAAAGGAAGUUAUAUGAAUCUAGUCACUUAAUUAAGCCAAGUAAUAUUUUAUUAUUAUUUUUAGCCUAAUUAAGGAAAUUUUUUCAAUUAAUCCAAAUAUUAGUAUUUUAAUGAAAUAGUUCACCAAAAUUAACUUCUCUAUUUUUCAUCUUUUUACUUCUAUUUCAACCUCUUCUUUUUUAAAAAUUCAAUAAUUGGUAUCAGAGCCAUUUAUCUUUGAGGCCUGUUUUUCAUAAAAAAUAUCUUUAACAAACUUUACACCACCAUCACCCCUUGUUUUUACAAGUAAAAACCACCACAUCUGGUAGUAAAAACGAAAACCUAUAUUCAAGCUUUUGAUCUCUGGGAGGUUGUAAAUGCUGAAAUAGAACCACUAGUGUUGAGGCCAAAUCCCAUUCUUGCUUAAAUGAAACAGCAUAGUGAGGAAUGUGCCAAAAUACAUAAGGUGAUAUCUAGCCUACAAAAUGGUGUUUCAGAUGUAAUCACAAGAAUAUGGCCUGUAAAACUCCCAAACAAGCUUAGGAUAAGCUCAAAGAGGAGUUCCAGGGAUCACAGAAGACAAGCUGAUAGCAGUAGAUGAUAAAUCUCAGACGAGAUUUUGAAACCUAAAGAAGAAGGAAGUUGAGACGGUGAAGUAAUAUUCAUAACAAAUCAUGGUAGUGGUGAACUAGAUAAGACUGCUAGGUGAUCAGUUCCUUGGUAGUUGAGUAGUUGAGAAGGUGACUGCCACAUUUCCUAAGAGAUACGAAUCAAAGAUGUCCUUAUUGGAAGAUUCAAGGGAUCUAUCAACCAUUUCACUCUUAGAGCUAAUUAAUGUUUUGUAUGCUCCAGAACAAAAAAGGGCAAGCAGAGAAGAAAUAUAUUGUUGAAUGAGCUUUUCAAGCUAAAAACAGAGAGGCUACGAGCUCCUCAAGUUAGAAAGCAAAAAAGGGCUAGUUAGAAAAAAAGGAGAAGUCAAAUAAAGAUAGUGGAAAGAAAAAGUAUCCACCGUGUUCGCACAUCAAGAAGUUAGGUCAUCCUGAGAAAUUCUGUUGGUUCAAGCGUGAUGCUCAAUGAAAAAUAUGCAAGUAGCUUGGUCAUGUAGAUAAAGUAUGGAAAAACAAAGGGCAUACUCAACAACAAAAUGUCGAGGCAUAGACAGCAGAAGCAAAAGAACUGAUGUUCACAGCCUCCUGCGAAGCCCAGCUCGCAACAUCAUACGAACACACCAACGGAAUAAAAAAGAAUUGACUCGUAGAUAGUUAGUGUACAAGUCAUAUGACAACAGACGUGAGCAUCUCCAAGAAUGUUGACAAAAGGUUUCAUUCCUAGGUGAAAGUUGGAAAUGGCCAAUAUAUUGAAGCAGUUGGAAAAGGAGAUGUUCUAAUCAAAACUCUAUCAGGUACUAAACUUGUCACAAAUGUUCUUUUAGUCCUUGACAUAGAACAAAACCUGCUAAGUAUAGGACAACUACUCGAGAAAAAUUACUCCGUGGUAUUCAAAGACAACAAAUAGCUAAUUCUUGAUCCAAGUGGAUGCGAGCUCAUAUCAACAAAGAUGGCAGACAGAAGUUUUGAUAUCAACUGGAACUUAGCAACUUCAGCAGCGUAAACCAGCUCACUGAAUGAAACAAAACUUUGGCACAAAAGAAUAGGACAUGUUGACGACAAAUCCUUAAGUCUAAUGUCCAAGAAUAACCUGGUUGAAAAUUUGUAAAAAAUGGCUGAUCAUGAAGAUGUAUGCGUGAUACGUGAUAUUCGUGACAGGUUUUAAAUUUUUAUAAUGAACCAUUCUUGAAACUAACUAUUAUCACGAUGAAGGCAAGUGUACCUAUCGUACAGUAGUAUAGCUUUAGCAAGACCAGAUUGUCGAACCCAAAGGAACUAAAAGUACUAGUAAUAACUGUCUUUUUACUAUCUUGCCUAAGAAUAAUGGGGUUUGUUUUAACUAGCUAAUUAACUAAAUUAAGAAUUCAUAGACAAUAGAAUUAGGGAAUUACUUGUGGAAAACUCGAUUGAUUGAGACAAUACCUAAGGAAAAAUCCACCUAGACUUCACUUGUUAUUUGACUCUGAAUCAGACAAUUUAUUCAUUUGACUUGAUCCGUAGAAAUCCUUAAGUUAUAUUAUUAUCUCUCUCGAUACUAACAACGUCUAACCCUAGGUUGAGUAAUUGAAAUCUCUUUCUAAUUAACUCCCUAGGGUUGUAUUAACUCGAUCUAUGGAUCCCCUUAUUAGGUUUCACCCUAAUCUGGCAAAAUCUUGUCACCCUAUCUCUAGGCGCGCAACCAACUCUGCUUAAUUAUGACAAAUGUACUCUUAGACAGGGUCUAUUCCUCCUUUGAAUAAGAGCUUAACUUGAAUCAAUAUCCUGAAAUAUCAAAACAAGAAUUAAGAACACAUAAUUAAGAACAAGUCAAAUAUUUAUCAUACAAUUUAGAUAAUAAUAACAAGAUAUAUCUUAGGUUUCAUUCCCCUUAGGUAUUUAGGGGUUUUAGUUCAUAACUAAAAAGGUAAACAUCUCAGAAAAAUAAUGAAUACAAAACAUAAAGAAAAACCCAAAACUCCUAAAGGGAAAUUAAGGGGAGAUCUUCAGUCUUGAUAAUGAAUCCGACUUUUGAGAUGGAUCAAUCGACUUUCCUUGAGCAGUUCCCUUCUUCCCUCACUGUGUGUCCCCUUUUCCUCCUCGUUUAGGGUGUAUUUAUAGGCUUUGGAAUGCCUAAGAACCCUCAAAAUUAGCCCUUUUCUGAAUUGGACUAAACUUGGGCUCGGCAGGGACACGCCUGUGUGACACAUCCGUGUGCGAUUACUUCAGGCCGUGGUCAAGCCUGUUAAUGAGGCACGAAUGUGUGGUCCACCCAUGUGAGUCGUGCUUCGAUUCUGCCAAAUUGACACGGUCGCGUGGUCUGCCCGUGUGAGGAGGUCCAGGCUGUGUUGAUUUCGUACGUUGGCCCAUUUUCUCCGUUUUUGGCCCAUUUCUCGUUCCUUUCACUCUCCUAUGCUCACCUAAGUAUAAAAUAUGAAAUUAAGGCAUUAGGAGCAUUGAAUUCACCAAUUUUAAGGAAAAAUCUUCCAUAAAAUAUGCUAAACAUGGGAUAGAAAUAUGUAUAAAUUAUAAUUUAUUAAAUACUCCCACACUUAAGUAUUUGCUUGUCCUUAAGCAAAAUACUCAACUCAUAAUCAAAAUAAAUUCUUCUCAACUUAUAAUUUCUAUCGUUAAUAUCUCAAAAUAAUCCAUAGGUAAUCAUACAUUGAAAAUUCAACCGAAAGAAUAUCAAAGUUUCAAGAAUUCCAAGUUGAGUUUUUUAUCAUGAAAUCAGAGGUGUCUCCCCACAUCUAAGUAAUUACCUUUGAUUCAAAAUAUCACAGAGUAUUACAUCCUCACUAAAGAUUCACUCAAAUCACUUGAGGUGUUUAAGGACAAUAAGUGAAGCACUCAAUAGUCAAUAAUGAAAAGUCAUUACCAUAGGCUUGCAUGAAAAUCAAAUCUCCACCACUAUAAAUUGAGAUGUAACAUCAAUCAAAAGGUCUUUAGAGGGUUGUAACAUGGUCUUGGUUAGAGGGUGUGGUCACAAACUGAAAGAAAGGGUUAGAAUCGAGAUUGAAUUGAAAAAUUGCCUAACUAAAAAAAUGACUAGUCAUCAACUGCGUACAACAGUGUUUUUCUCAGAAUAUGAAAUUUAACUUCUUUAGCUUAGAAGAUCACUACUACUAAUAUGUAUACAUGUUUUUUUUUAAUAAUAACAAAUUACAAAAUAGAAUAAAACAUAGCUAAGCAACUAUUCCAACUCAAAUCUCAACAAAAAAUAGGGAUUAAAUUAAUUUAAGAGAUUUCAACAAUAAUGAGUUAUGGGUUAAUAUUGAGGGUAAAUCAAUGAAUGGGUUGUUAGGCUCAAGGGGGUUCACUAAGGGUUAAUUGUGAAGGUAGGCUUUUGUGGAGUGAGUGGGUUAAACCUAAGUGCCUUUUUCAUUUUGACAUAUCAAAUCAAAUGGUGUGGUCUUAACAUGCAUAAUCAAGCAAGUUCUAGAAUAACAAUUCAAUACUGACGCACUCAUAAUGAAAGUGAGCAUGAAAGAAAUAAUUGAUGCUCUAAAGGCUCAAGAUCUCACAAAAAUUAUGGCUUUUUGAUGUUUAAACUUGUGAAUUCCAACUUAAGAUAAUACUUAAACUUAUGGAAACAACCUAAAAGUUUUUAAUUCUUCAAAAAUCAACUUAUCAUGCUUGAUUCCCUUAUGUCUUAAAGUUAAACAAUCAAUGCAUAAAUGCCUAUGUUUUAAUUCAAGAUAUAUCAAUAAAAGUCAUAAAUCAAUCAAAAUUUAUCCUAAACAUGAUAUGAGAACUUUUUAAGAGAACAAGGCAAUAAUUCAAGGAUUUUUCUAAUAGUGAAAUGAGUAUCCCCCCACACUUAAGAUGUACAUUGCCCAAUGUACAAAGAUAGAUAUAUAGAAAAGAAUAUAAAAAUAAGAUAGGGAGAGAAGUGAAAGUUCCGGAGUGAUGAAUGAAUUUCCUUGAACUGGAGUUUUGGAGAAUAAUCGGUGUGAUGGUGGAGGAGGAUACUCCGGUGGUGGUAGAGGUUCAUUAGUUCAUAAGUCCUGCGCCAAAAGAAUAUUAUUUCUGGUGGUAGCUAUGGUCGUGGUCUAGCAGGACAUGGCAAUCGUGGAGAACCAUUCCCGGUGGAGUUUUUAGUUCCUAUGCGAAGAUGAGCUUUGUGGUUUUUUCUGACAGUGAGCAAAUCAGGAAUUCUUUAAGAGGUAUACUGAAGCAUAACUACUUGUAAUGAAAUAGCUGAAGAAUAGAAAUUGUAAAAAACUCAAGAUGAAAUAGUAUUAAAAGGAAAUAAAAUAAUAAAAAAAUUUCAAAAUAUAGAGAUAAAAAUAAAAUAAAAUAAAUAAUAGGUGUUUAUAGCGAAAUUGGGGCACACGGCCUAGGGCAUGCCUGUGUGCUCUAAGCUCAGCCCGUGCGUUUAGUAUUUUUUUAAAGUAAGCGCAUUAGUGUACACGGUCAUGUUGCACGGCCGUGUCGAUCUCCAUUCGCUUCUUCCACGCCCGCGUAUGUAAGCGCACGCCCGUGUUAAAUUGACAGGUUCACCCACAAUUUCAAAACACGGGUGUGUUGCAUGCCCGUGUUAUUUUGGAAGUUUCGCCCACGGCCAUGUCACACGGUCGUGGCUACUUAUCGCAUCCAUGUUAGGGAAGAAAUUUUUUCCCUGUUUCCACACGGCCUUAUCGCACGGUCGUUUUGCAUCCCGUGGUAUGUGCACGGCCUACGGCACGCCCGUGUCCCUGGCCGUAUGGUUCUGAAAAACCCGUGUUCAAUGAUUUGGUUAGUAUGUUAGAUUUUAAAAACUAAAAUUUAAAGAAAGUAAUAUUGUUAGAGCUCGGGUUGCCUCAGGAAAAGUGCUUAUUUAAAGUCUAAGCUAGACUUACCUGUCCAUUGAAUGGUCAUUGUGGUUCGAGGAGUUUAUACUCCUCAUUCCUGCUGUGAAUCUCAUCAAAAUAAGGUUUUAGGCGGGUAUUGUUUACCUUAAAAGUGCGAACUUAGGAUGAUUUACCUCGACCAUACCAAAUGAGAAAAUGCUAAGUACCGCAAGAGGGAUUUCUUCAUUCGGUUUGGUAGUGACAAUGUGAGGAUCUGCAGCAUCUAAUAAAACUUUAUCUCCAACCUUAAGUUUCUUUGGAAAUGUAUUGAACUUAUCCUGGCGUAGUUUUAGUUUAUCGUGUGUUCUCGGUUUAUGUGUUCGCCAUUCAUCUAGCUUCUCGAUUUGUAGCCUUCGUUCUUCGUGAAUAGGUCCUUUACUAUUGCUUGAAAAUGGCUCAUGUACUUCCUUCAAACUCAUUUCCUGGAAAGUAGGUUGCACCAUAUUGUCAGUUUUAGUAGAAUAGUUUAGACAAUCACCUUCAAUUUUCGAUGUGUUGCCGGAAUUACGAGCUUGAAGGGUGAUUGGUUCGUCUCCUACACAAAGUGUAAGCUCACCUGUGCCAACAUCAAUAAUCAUUCUAGGAGUCGCUAAAAAGGGCCUUCCUAAAAUCAAAGGAGUGUUGCUAUCCUCCUCUAUGUCUAGAACAACGAAGCCAACAGGAAAUAUAAAUUUAUUGAUUUUAACUAGCACAUCUUCAAUAAUACCCCUAGGAAAUCUUAUAGUUUUAUCUACUAAUUGAAUGCUUAUCCUAGUCUGUUUGGGUUUCCCAAGACCUAAUUGUUUGAACAUUUUGUAAGGCAUGACGUUAAUACUAGCCCUUAAAUCAGCCAAUGCAUUAUUAACAUCUAAACUACCGAUUAAGCAAGGAAUUGUAAAACUCCCUGGAUCUUUUAACUUAUUGGGUAGCUUAUUCUGUAGAAUAGCUGAGCAAACUACGUUUAGCUCCACAUGCGACCUGUCAUCUAACUUUCGUUUAUUUGCUAAAAGCUCCUUUAAAAAUUUCAUUACGUUUGGCAUCUGCGAUAGAGCUUCAAUAAAUGGUAAGUUAAUAUGUAAUUUUUUAAGAGUUUAAGGAAUUUACCAAAUUGUUCAUCUGAGCAGUUUUUCCUUUUUGCAUUAGGAUAUGGCACACGAGGUUGUAUUCUGUACUUACCGGUUUCUACUUAUUGUGGUUUACCUCACCUUUACCUUUGCUUAUCUCAGUUUCUUGCCUUGGUUCAGGUUCAAGUGUGACUAACCCUUCCUCAUCUUGACUAGUAAUCGCGUUGAGUUGCUCCAUUGGGUUAGAUUUUGUGUUGCUUGGCAGGCUACCUUGUGGUCGUUCAGAAAUCAACUUGGCAAGCUGUUUGAUCUGAGUUUCGAGCCAUUGGAUCGAUGCUUGUUGAUUUUUAAGUGUUGUCUCGGUAUCUUAAAAAUGAGUUUCUGACAUCGAUAUAAACUUUGAGAGCAUCUCUUCAAGGUUCGGCUUCUUUUGUUGUUGGUAGGGUGGUUGUUGGUAGCCUGGAGGUGGUCUCUGAUUUCCUUGGCCUCCCCAUGAGAAAUUUGGGUGGUUCUUCCAACCUACAUUGUAAGUGUUACUGUAUGGACUGUUUUGAGAUCGAGGAUUAUUACCCAUGUAGUUUAACUGCUCGUUCUCCAUAUUGUGGCCAUAAUAUUGGUAUUUUGAAUUACUUGAUCCGCCUCCACUUGCUUCACACUGCAUUACUGGGUGAACCUGUGAAAAACUAAGAAAACCAUCAAUUUUCUUAUUCAAGAGUUCUACCUGAUUAGAGAGCAUGGUGACCGAAUCGACGUUAUAAAUACCAACUGUUUUUGUUGGCUUUGUCCUCAUAACUUGCCACUGAUAGUUAUUCAGUGACAUCUCCUCUAUAAAUUCAUAAGCAUCUUUAGGUGUUUUAUUAUUGAUGGUUCCGCCUGCAGCUGUGUCAACUAUUUGUCGAGUCGAAGGAUUCAGGCCAUUAUGAAAGGUUUGAACCUGUAGCCAAAGCGGUAACCCAUGGUGAGGGCAUCUUUGCAAAAGAUCUUUGUAUCUCUCCCAUGCAUCGUAGAGUGUUUCUAAAUCCAUCUGCACAAAAGAAGAGAUAUCAUUACGUAAUUUAGCCGUUUUACCCGGCGGAAAAUAUUUAAGUAAAAACUUUUCGGUCAUUUAUUCCCAAGUAGUAAUUGACCUUCGUGGUAACGAGUUUAACCACUGUUUAGCUUUGUUCCUUAAGGAAAAGGGAAACAAUCGAAGACGUACGGCAUCAUCAGAAAUGCUAUUGAUUUUAAAUGUAUUGCAUAGUUCCAAAAAGUUUGCCAAGUAAGCGUUGGGAUCUUCGUCCUGCAAAACAUCAAACUGAACAAAUUGCUGUAUCAUUUGAAUUGUGUUAGCUUUCAGUUCAAAAGUAUUUGCAUCUACAGCAAGUCUAACUAUGCUCAAUUCAGUUCCUGUUAAAGAAGGUAUAGCAUAAUCAUACAUAGUGCACGAAGUAGGAUUUUGGUUAACAGCAAUCGCAGGAGGUAGCAGAUUUUCUUGGUUCUCAGUCAUGUCCUCGGUUGUGGUUUGAAUAUUGUCCUCUUGCUCGUUCUCUGUGUAUCUUAAGCUUUCUUUAUUUCUCUUUGGUUUUUGCGAACUGUGCAAUCAGUCUCACUAUCAAAAAGUAAUGGUCCUGACGGGUUUCUUUUAGUCAUAAACUAUAAGAACCUACCGGAAAAAGGGAAAAGAAAGAAUUAGUAAUAAAAAUUAGAAUAAAAUUUAAAUUGCAGUAAAAGUAAAUGGCUAAAGUAAUAAAAAUCGAAUGUUCCUAAUAUCUUAGUUCCCCGGCAACGGUGCUAAAAACUUGAUACGUGAUAUUCGUGACAUGUUUUAAAUUUUUGUAAUAAAUCGUUCUUGAAACUAACUAUUAUCACGAUGAAGGCAAGUGUACCUAUCGUAUAGUAGUAUAGCUUUAGCAAGAUCGGAUUGUCAAACCCAAAGGAACUAAAAGUACUAGUAAUAACUGUCUUUUUAUUAUCUAGCCUAAGAAUAAUGGGGUUUGUUUUAACUAGCUAAUUAACUAAACUAAGAAUUCACAGAAAAUAGAAUUAGGAAAUUACUUGUGGAAAACUCGAUUGAUUGAGACAAUACCUAUGGAAAAAUCCACCUAGACUUCACUUGUUAUUUGACUCUGAAUCGGACGAUUUAUUCAUUUGAUUUGAUCCGUAGAAAUCCCUAAGUUAUAUUAUUCUCUCUCUCGAGACUAGCAACGUCUAAGCCUAGGUUGAGUAAUUGAAAUCUCUUUCUAAUUAACUCCCUAGAGUUGCAUUAACUCGAUCUAUGGAUCCCCUUAUUAGGUUUCACCCUAAUGCGGCAAAAUCUUGUCUUCCUAUCUCUAGGCACGCAACCAACUCUGCUUAAUUAUGACAAAUGUACUCUUAGACAGGGUCUAUUCCUCCUCUGAAUAAGAACUUAACUUGAAUCAAUAUCCUAAAAUAUCAAAACAAGAAUUAAGAAUACAUAAUUAAGAACAAGUCAAAUAUUUAUCAUACAAUUCAAAUAAUAAUAACAAGACCUGUCUUAGGUUUCAUUCCCCUUAGGUAUUUAGGGGUUUUAGUUCAUAACUAAAAAGGUAAACAUCUCAGAAAAAUAAUGAAUACAAAACAUAAAGAAAAACCCAAAACUCUUGAAGGGAAAUUGAGGGGAGAUCUUCAGUCUUGAUAAUGAAUCCGGCUUCUGAGAUGGAUCAAUCGGCUUUCCUUGAGCAGUUCCCUGCUUCCUUCUCUGUGUGUCCCCUUUUCCUCCUCGUUUAGGGUGUAUUUAUAGGCUUUGGAAUGCCUAAGAACCCUCAAAAUUAGCCAUUUUCUGAAUUGGACUAAACUUGGGCUCGGCAGGGACACGCCCGUGUGCGAUUACUUCAGGCCGUGGUCAAGCCUGUUAAAUAGGCACGGGCGUGUGGUCCACCCGUGUGAGUCGUGCUUCGAUUUUUCCAAAUUGACACGACCGUAUGGUCUGCCUGUGUGAGGAGGUCCAGGCUGUGUUGAUUUCGUACGUUAGCCUAUUUUCUCCGUUUUUGGCCCGUUUCUCGUGCCUUUCACUCUCCUAUGCUCACCUAAGUAUAAAAUAUGAAAUUAAGGCAUUGGGAGCAUCAAAUUCACCAAUUUUAAGGAAAAAUCAUCUAUAAAAUAUGCUAAACAUGGGAUAGAAAUAUGUAUAAAUUACGGUUUAUCAAUGCGAAAUAUGUUAGCUUGGGAAACAGGCGAGGUCUCCAUUUCUUGAGAACACAACAUGGAGAGCCAUUGAAAAAUUAAACGUCGUACAUAUUGACAUUUGCAGACCCAUGAAGACAAGUUCUCUAAAUGGAAGUAGGUACUUUGUGUUGUUCAUAGAUGAUAGUACAAGGUUUUGUUGGGUGUACUUUAUGAAGAACAAGUGCGAGGCGCUUGAAAUCUUCUUCAAGUUUAAAGCUAUGGUUGAAAACCAAAGUGAUUGCAAGCUCAAAAUGGUAAGAUAAGACAAUGAGGCAGAAUACACACCAAAAAAGUUUGAAAAGUUCUAUGAAAAGUCUAGUGUUCACCAUCAAUUAAGUAAUGUAUACACUCUACAGAAAAAUGGAGUUAUUGAAAGAAAGAAUAGAGCUGUGAUGAAUAUGGCUCGCUACUUACUGUUUGAAAGUAAAUUGUCAAAUGAUUUUUGGGCAGAGGCAGUAAACACUACUGCUUACCUGCUAAACAGACUACCUACUAAAACUGUUGAAGGGAAGACACCAUUUGAAGCCUGGUAUGGUUUUAACCUUCUAUUUCACAUUUAAAAGUAUUUGGUUGCAUCUAGUUUGUUCAUGUCAAAAAAGAGAAAAGAAGCAAGCUUGGAAGUAGAUCGCAGCCAAGGAUAAUUGUUGGAUAUUCCAGUGUUAAGAAAGGAUACAAAAUCUAUAAUCCUUUCACCAAAAAGGUGAUUAUAAGCAAAGAUGUAAAGUUUGAUGAAAUAUAGAAUUGGACUGCAACAGAGGAGGAGAUGUAUGAACAAUGGAGUCCAAGACCAGAUCUGCGAAUCACUUUAAACCAAAUUGAAAAUGAUGCAAUUGAUGAACAACCAGUGCAAGGAACCAGUUCCAUUAUUAAAAUCUAUCAAUAAUGUAAUCUGGUGAAGAAAGAACCAGUUACCCUUGUUGCAAGGUUAAACACCAUAAAACUACUAACUCUUGCUGCUCAAAAGGGUUGGAGAAUACAUCAGUUGGAUGUGAAGUCAGCCUUUUUAAAUGGUUAUUUGAAGGAAGAGAUUUAUGUCAAACAACCACAAGAGUUCACAGUACCUGGGUGUGAGACCACGGUGUAUAAACUGCACAAAGCGCUGUACGAUUUGAAGCAAAAACUAAGAGCAUGGUAUGAAAGAAUUGACAAUCACCUUACAGAAAUGGGUUUUGAAAGAAGCAUCAGUAAGCCCACUUUAUAUGUGAAGAAAGCUGUUAAUAAAAUACUCCUCAUUAUUUCAUUAUAUGUUGAUGAUUUACUUGUAAUUGGUAGCAACAACAAACUGGUAAUUAUAUUCAAAGAUUAGAUGCAAGACAAGUUUGAAAUGUCAGACUUAGGUGAAAUGACAUAUUUCCUCGGUCUGAGGUGAACCAAGCUCACAAUGCAAUCUUCAUAAACUAGACGGGGUUCGCUAUAAAAAUCCUGUGAAGAUAUAGCAUGGAAAGUUGCAAACCUACGAACAUCCCUAUUGCUCAUGGUGAGAAGCUCACCAGAAAUGAAGAUGUUGAAAAGAUUGAUGAAAGAAGCUACAAAAUCUUGGUGAGAUGUCUGCUUUACUUGACAGCAUCUAGACUUGACAUCAUGUUUGUUGUAAGUCUGUUGUCAAGGUUUAUGCAUUGUUGUAAUGUGAACCACCUCAAGGCAACAAAAAGAUUUCUACGGUACAUAAAAGGAACUUUAGAUCAUGGAGUGAAGUUUAUGAGGACUGAAAAGAUCAAGCUACUUCGGUAUUCAGACAGUGAUUGGGUUGGAUCUUCUGAAGACAUAAAAAGUACUUCAAACUAUUUCUUCACUUUAAGAUCAAGUGUUUUUUGUUGGAGCUUGAAGAAGCAAGAAACAGUAUCACAAAAAACUGCUGAAGCUGAGUAUGUCAAAGCUGCAAUAGUUAUAAAUCAAGCCAUUUGGUUGAGAAAAUUGCUCAAUGAUUUAAAUUUGAAGAAAGAAGAAGCAACAAAGUUCAAGUGUGAUAACUAAUCAGUUGUUGCAAUUGCAAAAAAUCCAGUGUUCCAUGGUAGAACAAAACACUUCAAAAUCAAGUAUCACUUUGUGAGAGAAGUGGAGAAAGCCAAAGAAGUCACAUUAGUUCACUACAGGUCCCAAGACCAGUUAGCUACUAUUCUAACAAAAACCCUUAUGAAGAUGAUGUCUGAAAAGCUGUGUUAUGAUACUGGAGUUUGAAGCAUGGAGGUUAAUGAGGAGUGUUGCGAAAUGACCAUCCAUGUAAUACCCAUAACCCAUACCCGUCGGUAGAACAAGGUUUCGAAGUAUUACCAGAACAUCUAGAGCAUAUUUCAAUUCAUUCAUGCAAAUCACUAUUCAUUAACUGAGAUUAUUCAUAACUUCCCUUAAUUGGACCCUCGAGGUCCAAUACGAGCAUUAGAAUCGAGUCGGGACUUAAUCAGGACCUCUAAGAAUUUUUGACGAAAUUACAAAUUUUUUUUACAAGGCGCUGGGCUCACACGCCCGUGUGGUCCAAGGGACACGCCCGUUCGACCCUGGUACACGCCUAUGCAAGAGGCCGUAUUCGAUCCCGUGUAACUCUCUAACUUGCACACACGGCCAAGCCACACACCCGUGUGCUAGGCCAUGUGGUUAAUUAAUUUAAUUUGAAUUAGGUGUAGGUUUCACACAGCCAGGAUACAUGCCCAUAUUUCAAGCCAUGUGGCACACAUGUCUGAGAAACAUGCCCGUGUCUCUGCCCAUGUUCCCAAAUCUAAGCAUUCUAUUUCUCAAAAUUUAGGUGUAGGGGACACACAGCCUAACCUCGCACCUGUGUUACCAGGUCGUUUGAUUCACACGGUCUAGACACACGCCCGUUUGGAAAAAAUGAAGCCAUUUCCUAGCUUCAUUUCUUACCCACAAUCACCCAAAACCUGCACAUAAAACACUCAACCAAUUGCAACCAAUUCAAGUAUUUAAAGUAAGCAAUUUUAUCAUUUAAACAAGGCAUACUAUUUCUUGCAUACAUAGAUACCAACUCCCCUUAUCUUAAAAUAGACAUUCACAACAAUUGAUCACAUGAGCUUAGCAUAACACAUGUGGAUAUAUAUAUAUCAAAAUAGUUUACUAAAUCAUAUCCCAAAAUGAACCAUUACUAGCCAUUCCAAUGGCUAGGUUACAAAAUGACACUUCAAGCCACUAUUGGCUAAGUUUCCCUAUACAUGCCAUUACACCAAAAUGAUUUCACUAAAAAUAACCAAAAUGCUAGGUUGAUAGUGUGACGAUGCUCCAACGAUCUUCCAACAUUCACGAGCUUCCAAGCACUAUAAAAUAGGGGAAAACUAAAAGGAGUAAGUAUUACAUGCUUAGUAAGUUCGUAUAACAGAAACUAAACUUACCAAUCUUGUUUAAUAAAUCUAAGCAUACAUAUCAUGUUUUCCAACCAUUUGGAUAAACUGUUUAAAUACAUACAAUCAAUUAAACAUGUUAGUCACCAAAAUCUUCAUAUCAAUCAAGUAACAUAGAUGAGCUCAUCAAGCAAUGUUCUUUCGAGUCAUUAUCAUUUUAUGUCAAGAUUUUUAUGCCAAGUCAGGAGUUAUAUGUCCAUUGAAUUAUUGAAAUCCCGAUGAAGGCUCAAGCAGUACACUCGAGGUGUACGAUUCAUUAAUCCAUCAACUCUUAUCGAGGGUACCCCUUAGGGAACUUAACCAAGGAACACACUCACGAGUCACAUGUUGUAUAACGGGAUUACCAGUGGAGGCUAAAUCCUUUAAAUAACGUAUGCUCACAAGAGCUCGAUUAGGGUUACCAGUCCAAGCUAACCCUAAUCAUAAUGUGUGCUCGAGAGGUAUUAUAUCAGAAUUACCCGUCCAGGCUAAAUCCUUUAUAUAACAAGGUUAUUGGGAUUACUUGUCCGAGCUAAAUCUCGCCUGCAACAAAUGUAGGACCUUAUUAGUUUCGGGAAAGCAUAUAAAUUCAUUAGAAUUCAAUAUUCAAUUGGGACUUAACCCUUUUAUUACCAUUUCAAGCAUGUAUAAUUUUCCAUCAUAACAUACAAGUAAGACACAUUAACAUAAAUCACAUUACAUACAAUACAACAUUCAAUUUACAUAACUACAUAACUGAUUAAUUUACUCGAACUUACCUCGACACUUGUUCCUGUAAAAAUCUACUAAUUCGAAAUCUUUUCCUUUCCUUAAUGUAACCUUGAGUUUGUGUUUUUGGGAUCUAUAUAAAUGAAUUUAAUCAUUAAUUUCAUACAUUUCUUACUUAUACGGAUUCAAUUUACAUCAUAGGCAAAGUUACCACUUUUACCCCUAACUUUUCCAAAAAUUUUGAUUUUGUCCUUAGGCUUGAAAAAAGAAACUUGUACAAAUUACUCCCUAUUCCAAGCCUAAUCAAAGCCCCAUUACAAAUUUUCCGCACAUGUUUAUAUAAAAUUUUAGUUUCAUCAAAUUUUACAAGUUUACAUUUUAGUCCUUAAAUCAAGUUUUAAUCAAAAAUCACCUUGUAAAAGUUGUUUCUCAAUCAAUAAUAUUUCAUUUUCUACCAUAAAUUUCUAAUAAUACAUCCAUGAACCAUUUUCAUACCUUGAUAACUUUUCAAAUUAAUCCCCCAAAUAGAGAGAUUAAGCUAUCCCGGUUCAAAAAAUAAUGGACUAUUACAACUCUUCCCCUUUUAGGGAUUUUUGUCCCCAAAAAUCUUACCAGUAAAAUGAUUCAGGUAUUGCCUUCUCAUUGUAUCCUCUGGUUUCUAGGUAGCCUCCUCAAUACUAGCCUUUGCUAUAGAACUUUUACCAAAGCUACCUUUUUAUUUCUUAACUCUUUUGUUUCCCGAGUUAAGAUUUUGAUUGGUUCCUCACUAUCAGGUUGGAUCUCUACCUCUGUUGAAGAGAUAACAUGUGAAGGAUCAGAUCGAUACCGUCGUAACAUAGACACAUGAAAAACAUUAUGAAUCCUUUCAAGCUCUAGUGGUAAAGCUAAUCUAUAUGCAACCGGUCCAAUUCUUUCUAUAAUCUCAUAUGGUCCAAUAAACGUGGACUAAAUUUUCUUUUACGACCAAACCGAGUACGUUCUUCCAAGGCGACACUCUCAAGAAUACCUUGUCACCAACCUGAAAUUCUAUUUCCUUCCUUUUUAAAUUAGCAUAAGACUUUUGGGCUACUUUCAGGCUGUCUCAAAUUACCUUCACUUUUUCUUCGGUCUCUCGGACCAAGUCAACUCUGUGUAAUUUUUUCUUAUUGAGUUCUGUCCAAUACAAUGGAGUUUUACAUUUGCACCCACACAAGGCUUCAUACAGUGACAUUUUAAUACUAGACUGAUAAAUGUUAUUAUAAGCAAAUUUAACUAGAGGCAAAUACCUUUCCCAAUUACCUUUAAACUUGAGUACACAACACCGAAGCAUAUCUUCCAAGAUCUAUAUUACUUUUUCAGAUUGACCAUCUGUUUAAGGGUGAAAAGCAGUACUAAAGUGUAGCUGAGUACCCAGAGCUUCUUGCAAUUUGUUCCAAAAUCGAGAAGUAACCUGAGGAUCUCUGUCUGAAAUAAUGAAGACAGGCAUUCCAUGCAAUCUGACUAUCUCAGAAACAUAUUACUCAGUCAAUCUAUCCAAGGAAAAAUCCAUACGUACCGGGAUAAAGUGUGCAGACUUAGUCAUGUAAUCAACAAUUACUCAAAUGACAUCUUUCUUCUUUGGAGACAAGGGUAAUCCCGUUACAAAGUCCAUAGUAAUUCUUUCCCAUUUCCAUUCUGGUAUCGUAACUAGCUGCAAUAGUCCAGAAGGCAACUAAUGUUCAGCUUUUACUUGCUGUCAUAUAAAGCAUUUAGAUACAAACUCAGAAAUAUCUCAUUUCAUUCCAGGCCACCAGUACAUCUUUUUUAGAUCGUUAUACAUUUUAUUACUAUUAGGAUGAAUAUACAUGUUACCAUUAUGAGCUUCAUUCAAAAUCUUCUUUACCAAUUCAAAAUCUUUUGGUACACAUACUCUUCUUCUGAAUAACAAACAACCAUCAGUUCCGAUCUGAAAUUUAAAAUCAGAAGUCGAUUCACUCUGUACCCGUUUUGCUUGCAACUUGCUAUCAUUUUUCUAAGCUUUAGAAAUCUACUGUAAAAACAUUAGUCUAGCUUUUAACUCAGCUAUGAUUGGACCAUCAUCAGACAAUGACAAUCGAGUGUUCAUUGCUCGCAUAGCAUACAGGGAUUUUCUGCUCAAAGCAUCUACCACUACAUUGGCUUUCCCCAGAUGGUAGUCAAUAACAAGAUCAUAAUCUUUCUGCAAUUCAACCCAUCGACGCUGUCUCAAAUUCAAAUCUUUCUGUGACAUCAAAUAUUUCAAGCUUUUAUGAUCAGUGACUAUGUGACAUUUUUCACCAAACAAGUAAUGCUGCCAGAUUUUUUAAGCAAAUACUAUGGAUGCCAAUUUAAGAUCAUGUGUCGGGUAAUUCUUUACAUGUGGCUUUAGCUGUCGUGAAGCAUAGGCCACUACCUUACCAUAUUGCAUCAAAACAUAGCCUAAACCAUUCAAUGACACGUCACUAUAAACUAUAAAUUCCUUACCCAAUUCAGGCUAGACUAACACAUGUGCUUCUGUCAAUAAAGCCUUUAAUCUGUCAAGCUUUGCUGACAUUUAUCAAUCUACUCAAAUUUUACAUCUUUAUGUUGCAAAUGAGUUAUCAGAGAAGCUAUCAUUGAAUUUUUUUUUACAAAUCUCUGAUAACCAACUAGUCCCAGAAAACUUCAGACUUCAGAGACAUUCUUCGAUGGUUUCCAAUUUACAAUGGCUGAAAUCUUAUACGGGUCUACACGGACACCUUCAGAAGAUACUACAUGCCCUAGGAAGCUAACUUCCCUGAUCCAAAAUUCACAUUUACCGAAUUUUACGCAUAGUUGUUUCUCUCGCAGAGUUUGCAACACUAUUCUCAAAUGUUUAGCAUGUUCGUUUUCAUCUCGAGAGUAAACAAAAUUAUCAUCUAUAAAUACCACCACAAACCUGUCUAAGUACAGGUUGAAAAUUCUAUUCAUCAAGUCCAUUAACACUGCAGGUGCAUUUGUCAGGCCAAAUGGCAUCACAAGAAACUCAUAGUGUCCAUACCUAGUUCUAAAUGCUGUCUUUGGCACAUCCGAUUCCUUUAUCCAUAGUUGGUAAUAACCAGAACGGAGAUCAACCUCUAAAAAUAUAGUAGCACACUUUAACUGGUCAAACAAGUCAUCGAUUCAAGGAAAUGGAUACUUGUUCUUUAUUGUAACUUUGUUGAGUUGUCAGUAAUCAAUACACAACCUCAACGAUCCAUCCUUCUUCUUUAAAAAUAAAACCGGCGCACCCUAAGAUGAGUAACUAGGUCGAGCAAAACCUCUGUCUAUCAAUUCUUGUAACUGUACUUUUAGCUUUUUCAACUCAGUAGGAGCCAUUCUGUAAGGAGCUAUGGAUAUCGGUGUCAUUCCUAGAACAAGGUCUAUAGAGAAUUCCACUUCUCUUUCCGGUGGCAAACUAGGUAAUUCUUCUGGAAAUACAUCAGGAAAUUAACUUACUACCGGCACUGACUGAAUCUUUGACUCAGAUACCUUAGUAUCCACCACAUAUGCAAGAUAAGCGUCAUACCCCUUUCUGACAUAUUUCUGUACUGAUAUUGCUGAAAUCACAUUAGGUAAUCCAUCCAGUUUAUCAGAUUCAACACGAAGUAAUUCACCAUUCUGACAUUUCAAUACAAUAUAUUUCUGCUUACAGUUUACCACUGCAUCAUAUUGGGUUAACCAAUCCAUUCCCAAUAUUAUAUUAAACUCAUCAAAGGGAAAUAACAUCAAGCCAGCCCAAAAAAAUAAACUUUUACCACCAACAGACAAUUCUUACAAACUUGGUCUAUCAUAACACUCUAGCCCAGGGGGUUUGAAACUUUAACCACAAAUUCAGUAAAUUCUGUUCAUCAUUUGAAAGAAUACUUGCUUUGCUUCCUUACUUCAGCCCUCAGACACGGCCUUUUCACUACCAGACGUAGAGGCGACUCUUUGAACUGAAGCUGAAGCAUUGCUUUCAGCUUCCUUAGAUUCAGCUCUAGCUCAGUUGGAUGACAUUACUAUAUGAAAAGAACAUUUAAAAAUGUUUAGGAGUCAUCACACUACCACAAUUUAUAUAAUGGCAUUUAUAGCUAAACUCGUGUUUCCUACGUCAAAUUUGAAAAUCGACUAAACUGUAGCUCUGAUACCACUAAAUGUAACACCUCUAACCGGUAUCCGUUGCCAAAAUAAAGUUUUGAAGCAUUACCAAAACAUCAGAACAUUUUUCAAUUCUUUCUUGCAAAUCACUAUUCAUUAAUCGAGAUUAUUCAUAAUGUCCCUUAAUUGGACCCUCGAGGUUCAAUACGAGCAUUAUAAUCGAGUCAGGACUUAAUCUAGACCUCUAAGUAUUUUUCAUGAAAUUACAAAUUUUUUUUUCAAGGUGCAGGGCUCACAUGCCCGUGUGGUCCAAGGGACACGCCCAUGCUAGAGGCUGUGUUCAACCCCGUGUAACUCUCUGACUUUCACACACGGCCAUGCCACACAUCCGUGUGCUAGGCCAUGUGGUUAGUUAAUUUAAUUCGAAUUAGGUAUAGGUUUCACAUGGCUAGGACACACGCCCGUGUUCUAGGCCGUGUGACACACACAGCUGAGAUACACAUCCGUGUCUCUACCCGUGUGCCCAAAUCUGAGCAUUCUAUUUCACAAAAUUUAGGUGUAGGGGACAUAUGGCCUAACCACACGCCCGUGUUACCAGGCCGUGUGUCACACACGGUCUAGACACACGCUCGUGUGGACAAAAUGAAGCCAUUUCCUAGCUUUAUUUCUCAGCCAAAAUCACCCAAAAACCUAUACAUAAAACACUCAACCAAUUGCAACCAAUUCAAGUAUUUAAGGUAAGCAAUUUCAUCAUUUAAACAAGGCAUACCAUUUCAUGCAUACAUAAUUACCAACUCACCUUAUCUUAAAAUAGACAUUCAUAACAUUGGGUCACAUGAACUUAGCAUAACACAUGUGGAUAUAUAUAUCAUAAUAGUUUACUAAAUUCUAUCCCAAGAUAAACCAUUACUAGCCAUUCCAAUGGCUAGGUUACAAAAUGACACUUCAAGCCACUAUUGGCCAAGUUUCCCUAUACAUGCCAUUACACCAAAAUGAUUUCACUAAAUAUACCCAAAAUGCUAGGUUGAUAGUUUGACGAUGCUCCAACGAUCUUCCAACCUUCACGAGCUUUCGAGCACUAUAAAAUAGGGAAAAAAUAAAAGGAGUAUGCAUUACAUGCUUAGUAAGUUCGUAUAAUAGAAACUAAACUUACCAAUCUUGUUUAAUAAAUCUAAGCAUACAUAUCAUGUUUUCCAUCCAUUUGGGUAAAUUGCCUAAACACAUACAAUCAAUCCAACAAUUUAGUCACCAAAAUCUUCAUAUCAAUCAAGUAACAUAGAUGAGCUUAUCAAGCAAUGUUCUUUCAAGUCAUUAUCAUUUUAUGUCAAGAUUUUUAUGCCAAGUCAAGAGUUAUAUGUCCAUUGAAUUGUUGAAAUCCCGAUGAAGGCUUAAGUAGUACACUCGAGGUGUACGAUUCAUUAAUCUGUCAACUCUUAUCAAGGGUAUCCCUUAGGGUACUUAACCAAGAAACACACUCACAAGUCACAUGUUGUAUAACAGGAUUACUAGUCGAGGCUAAAUCCUUUAAAUAACGUAUGCUCACAAGAGCUUGAUUAGGGUUACCAGUCCAGGCUAAACCCUAAUCAUAACGUGUGCUCAAGAGGUAUUAUAUCAGAAUUACCCGUUCGAGCUAAAUCCUUUAUAUAACAAGGUUAUUAGGAUUACUCGUCUGAGAUAAAUCUCGUCCACAACAAAUGCAGGACCUUAUUAGUUUCGGGAAAGCAUAUACAUUCAUCAGAAUUCAAUUGGGACUUAACCCUUUUAUUACCAUUUCAAGCAUGUAUAAUUUUCCUUCAUAACAUACAAGUAAGGCACAUUAACAUAAAUCAUAUUACAUACAAUACAACAUUCAAUUUACAUAAUUACAUAUCCGAUUAAGUUACACGAACUUACCUCGAGACUUGUUCGCGUAAAAAUAUACUAAUCCGAAAUCUUUUCCUUUCAUCGAUCUAACCUCGAGUUUGUGUUUUCUGGAUCUAUAUAAAUGAAUUUAAUCAUUAAUUUCAUACAUUUCAUACUUAGGCAAAUUCAAUUUACGUCCUAGGCACAUUACCAUUUUGCCCUUAACGUUUCCAAAAAUUCUGAUUUUGUCCCUAUGCCCGAAAAAUGAAACUUGUACAAAUUACUCCCUAUUUCAAGCCUAACCAAAGCCCCAUUAAAAAUUUUCUAGGACAUUUUUACAUAGAGUUUCAAAAUUUUUCAUCAAAUUUUACAAGUUUACAUUUUAGUCUUUAAAUCAAGUUUUCAUCAAAAAUUUCCUUGCAAAAGUUAUUUAUCUAUCAAUAAUCUUUCAUUUUCUACCAUAAAUUUCUAAUUUCCAGUAUGAUACAUCAUGACCCAUUUUCAUACCUUGAUAAAUUUUCAAAUUAAUCCCUCAAAUAGAGAGAUUAAGCUAUUCUGGUUCCAAAAAUACCAAAAUUACUAAAAACAGGACAAGGGAACUUACCUAAUAGGCAUUGAAAGCUUCUUUUCUCUCUCCUAGGGUUUCCAUGUAUUUUUUUAAGGUUGAAGAUGACAAAAUAAAAUGAUAUAAUUCUAUUCAUCUUUUUAAUUAAUCAUGUAUUUUGGUAUUUCUAAUUUAGUCCCUUGUCUUUUUCUAUGAUUCCAUGGAUGAAUCACCAUAAAAAAAAUCUACAUACUUUUAUUAAUGGUCUAAUUACCAUAUAGGGACCUUAAGUUUUGAAUUCCAUAGCUAUUUGAUCCUUAUAGUUACUAGAAUUCAACUUUUGCAUAUUAUGCGAUUUAGUCCUUUGCGUAAUUAGGCACUAAAUUGAUAAAAUUUUCAUAUCAUAAUUUUCACACGUCAUUUCUAUCAUAUUAUGGGUCAUAUGGUAAAUUAAAAAUAAAAUGUACUUUGGAUUAGAUUUGUGGUCCUAAAAUAACUGUUCUGAUUUCACUGAAAAAUGGGCUGUUACAAUCCAUGCUAACUGUGAACUGCGAGCUCAGCAAAUGUGCGAGCUCACCAAGAUCGCGAGCUCACCAACACUGCGAGCUCACCAAGCAUGAGAGCUCACUUGCAAGCUCUUCACUCUGUAAGUUUCCAAUUUGCCAACUUGCAUUGGAACUGUGAUAAAUUUUGAUUAAACAUUUUGGCAGGUGAUUAGACAAAAACCAACAAAUGAAAAAGAAAGUUAUAUGAAUCUAGUCACUAAAUUAAGCCAAGUUGUAAUAUAUUAUUAUUUUUAGCCUAUUUAAGCAUAAUUUUUUAUGUAAACUAAGUAUCAGAUUUUUAAUGAAAUAGUUCAUCAAAAUUAACUUCUUUAGUUUUCUAUCUUUUUGCUUUUGUUUUAGCCUCUCCUUAAAAAAUCCAAUAGAUGCUAACAUCAGCCAACAUCCUGAUGGUAUUCUAGGCAUCAUCUUGUCAUUUCUCCUGUAAGGGAGAUAGUAAUAACUAGUGAAGUCUUAUCUAUGUGGAGGUAUUCAUGGGCUAAUUAAUCAUUCAAACCUCAACUUUGAUGUAAACAUGCCAAGUGAAUCCUUAUUUCUAGGUUAUGAUUGCAACUAUCCUUCUGUUGGUGCUUCAAAAAAAAGAAGCCAAUCCCUCUUGAACUUUUUCUACCAAAAUUUUGCUCCAUCUCAGCUUUGACAAGAAGAUAAAAAAGGAAGCUUAAAGUCUGCUUCAAACUAUGUCAUUGGCAUGGUGAGCAUCUUAGUCAAUGGAUCAACUUUGUUAUUGUAAGAGAAAUUCAGGAGAUUGAUUUUUAUUUAUCAAGAACGAGAUGUAACGAUGUGUCCUACAAUGAUGAAAUGUAUGGAACCACUUUUUCUUAUUUCAGUGAUGAUUGGAGGAGUAAGUUCUAUGAAUUUCCAUAGUAUCUUCUUCUUGGUGAUGGGAAUGCUAGGAAAAAAAACAUCAUUUUAGUUUUCUUGGUUUCAAGAACCACACAACCCUAGACCUAGAUGGGUGAAUUUGAAAUCGGAUGAUAAUUUUCAUUACAUGUCAAAUUGACAUCCUUUAUUUUGUCACUUGAAGUACCUAAAGAUGUAUAACAACAUCUGGGAUGAUUUGAGAGAGUUGCAGAUAAAUGGUAUUGAUGCUGAGACAUUGAAAUUCAAGGGUUAUUGUUUUAUACACUCAAGUAAAAAAUCUGAGGACUGCAAUUAUUCAUUUUAGUGAUAUGAAGAUGAGAGACAACACUCAUUAACCUUUCUAUAAGUUUCCAUAUGACAAGCCAUAGCUCUAGAAAUUGUGGUUAAUGUAUUUACUUUCAUGAAUUCUAAUUAGUAUUAUUUCAUUCUUUCUAUUUUAGGCUGAGACCAUGCCAGAGAACUUACCAGUCCAUUAUAAUUUCCAACAUCUAGCAAUUUUAAAAGCUUUUGAGCUUUACCUUGGCCUUUUGUGGAUACGAAGUGUUCUCAAGACAUGUUCAUUGAUGAAAAAUUUGGAAUUGCAUGCAAGCUUUUGGUUUUUGCAACCAUUUUUAUUUUUUUUUCAAUUUUGAGUUUUUGACAUCUUUUGAUGUGGUGGAAAUAUACCAUUAGAAUUGCAUUAUCAUUGAUGAUACUGCUCUGAUUAUUUACUAAGAUGAAAAGAUUUUUCAUCUGAACUUCUAAAUCCAGAUAAAGUGCUGAAGACGACCAUCCAUGCAGCUGGUUUUUUUUUUGGUGUUUGCAAGCAGUUGUUACUCUUUGGUGAAUGAAUACAACAUUCUGAUUUGGUUCAUUUUUUGUCUAGUUGCAAUGCAAUAUUUCUUAGUUGAAAAUGAACUUAGUUGUUGAUGUUUUGAUGGGUUUAGGUGAUGAUUGAGCUGAUAAGUCAGGUUAUCUAUGUGUGUAAGUAAAGUUUUACAAGUUUCAAGAUUCCUUAGUGAUAGUAGGUAGUAUUAGGUGAUAAAAUUUUGCUUUAAAUUGUUUUUUAUGUUGAAAAUGUAGCAGAUCAGUUUGCAGAUUAGUUCAGGCUAUAAUCUUUGGCUCAAUUUCUUUUAUCUAUCCUUUUAAGCAUAUAAAGUAUUGUAGCUAAUUUGAAUCGAUUGUUUUGUUAUUUUACUUGGUUCAUUCUUGUUUAAAUCGAUUCUAAACUAUUUCACUUGAUUCAAAACCCAACAAAUGGUAUCGAGAGCCUAUUAUUUUUGAGGGCCUUUUGCUUCUUAUUGUUUGUUUUAUAAAGAAAUAAAUAUAUGUUUUUAAUUUCUGACAUGAGUUUUUCACCACCACCAUCACCACCAUCUGUUUUUGUUGGUGAAAACUACCACAUAUGGGUAGUGAAUAUGAAGAUUUAUUUACAAGCUCAUGAUUUGUGGAGUGUGGUUGAGGUUGAUACAGAGCCACUACCAUUGAGAGCUAAUCCUACCAUAACUUAAGGCAGCAUAAUGAUGAGUGUGCUAAGAAAUAUAAGGCAAUGGCUUGCUUGUAAAACGGAGUCUUUGAUGUGACCAAAAUUAUGGCCUGUGACACUCCUAAAUGGGAGAAGUUGAAGGAGGAGUUUCAAGGAUAUGAUAAAACAAGGCAACAACAGUUGAUCAAUUUAAGGAGAAACUUUGAGAAUUUAAAGAUGAAAGAGUCUGAAUCGAUCAAGAAGUACUCUGAUAGGAUAAUGGCCACAAUUAACAAUAUUGGAUUGCUUGGAGAUGAAUUCAAUGACAAAAGAAUUGUUGAGAAAGUAAUCACAACCCUUCUAGAGAAGUAUGAAUAAAAGAUUUCUUUAUUAGAGGACUCGAGGGAUUUGUCAACUAUUUCAUUGUCAGAGUUGAUAAAUUUCCUUUAUGCACAAGAGCAAAAAAGGGCUAGUACACAAGAGAAGCACAUUGAAGAUUUCUUUUAGGCUAAAAAAAAAGACUUGAGCUCCUCAAGCAAUGAAGAAAAGAAGGGCUAGACAGAGAAGAAAGAGAAGAGUUGGAGAUGUAACACCCCUAGCCCGUAUCCGUUACUGGACUAGGGUUAGGAGGCAUUACCGGACAUAUCAGAAUAUUUAGCAAUCAAAAGUCAUACAUCAUCAUUUUAUAAUCAAAAAUCAAUAUAAAGUCCUUUUCUUAGGUCAACGAGACCUUAAAGAUGCAUUAGGAAGGGGUUGGGACUAAACUGAACACAUACAAAAUUUUUCAAAAACUUAACAAUUUUCUAAGUUAUGCCCGUGUGAACAGGCCGUGUGCCUCACACUGUAUUAGACAGGCCCCUGUGUCUAGACCGUUGCAAAACAGGGCAUACAUAUUGACGUAUCCACACGACCACAAGACACGCCCAUGUGUCUAGCCCAUGGUCGAAACUGACUUGGCCACAAGGCCUGGCACACGCCCGUGUGUGCGUGACCAUGUAGUCUGCCCAGGCUCAUUUCAAAAUGGCCCCCGAGCAACAUGGCAGAGACACAUGCCUAUGUCUCUGCCCGUGUGGGCACAAAAUAGGCCAUUUACAAGGCCAAAAUGCCACCCAAUUUGAGUCCUCCCUACAAGCAUCAUUCAAGCAUCAAUAUACCACAUUUUUAGCCAAUUUCAAUCUCAAAACAUACAUCAUUCAAGUCAUGUAAUCAUCAAUCUAUUUCAUGCUCAAUAUCUAUACCAAAACAUACCAAAAUCAUAAGCCAGAUUCAUUCAAUCAUACAUUACCAACAACUCAAUUUCUUAUCCAUCUUCAUACCAAAAUUAUACCAAAUUUAACAAUUAAGCACAUACCAAAUUGACCAUUUCAUUUAGUCAUUCAUAUACAUCAAAUCAUACCAUUUUCUCAUCACAUAAAUCAUAACAAAACCAAACCAUAUUCAUAUCCAUUAUCAAGCCAUAUCACUUGGCAAAACAUAUAUUUACAUCUCAAAACAUAUUCACAUACUUCUAGCCUAUACAUGCCACAUAACCAAAUUUCAAAACAUUAUUUACCAAAAUGUUAACCAGAUAGUGUGAUGACGUCUCUAACGACUUCCAACCCGAGCAGAUCUCCAAAAAUCUAUAAACAUAGGAAAAACACAUAGAAUAAGCUUCGAGAGCUUAGUAAGCCAUAAGCAAAUAAAUCUUCAUAAGAUCAUGUAUAUAAUUCAAUUUGAAUAAGCCAAAUUUAGUUAACUUCAUACACAUAUUCAAUCACUUUUCUUAUAUAAUCCAACAUCACCACAUCAAAUAACUUCAUUAGGCUUAUUUAUUGGUGAACAUAUAAACUAUAAUUUCAAUUUCAAAUAACGACCAUUAGAUCAUUCAUAUAAAUUAAGCUUACACAAUUUCAUUACAUAACCAAUCAAAACAUGGUCAUUUGUUACAUUUCAUGCAUAGAAAUAUAUCAAUUUCUUUUUAUGCAUUUCAAAACCUAAAUAACCAUAACAAAUCACACAUCCAAACCAUGUUCCAUUUUUCAUAAUUCUUAUGUUCGAAACAUAAGACCACAAUUUCAUAUAAUGAGCAUAUUUAACACAUCGUUCAUUGUAUAUAUUUCACAUAUUGUCAUUUGAAUCAUACUCACCUUUCAUGUCAGAAUUUCAUAUACAAAUCACAUUACCUGAAUCAUAUAUGGCAAAACACAAUUAUAAUUCCGCAUUUCUCAUAUAAUAACAAUUAUAAUUCUACAUUUAUCAUAAAUUCAUUUGAUCAUAGUUCACUUGCUAGUAUCCACAUCUCAUUUUCACAUAGUUCAUAUAUCAACUGAUCAUAACCAUACUCACUUUUAUUGCUUAAUUUCAUAUAUCUCGCAACAUACCUGAUUCGGAUGCACAUUCUUAUACUCAUUUAUUUCUCGAAAUGGCUGUUGAACCAUUUCGAAUCAAUAAGGAUACUCAGAUAGCACAUAAGCUUGUACAAUGCCAACGUCCCAGAUGUGGUCUUACAUGUAAUCAAAUAUCGAUGCCAUUGUCUCAGGCAGGGUCUUACACGAAAUCAUAUACGAUGCCAAUGUCCCAGACAUGGUCUUACAUGUAAGUCACAAAUCGAUGCCAAUGUCCCAGACGUGGUCUUACACAAUAACACAUAUUGGAAUCCUAUGUCAUGACAUAUGUAUCCUAACUAUUCCUAAGGUUCGUACGGGGCUUUCGGACGUCGUAACUCGAUCGAUUUAAGCUCAUAAAUAUUGCUCCCAUGCUUAAUUCAAUUUGGCAUAUACAUAAACACAAGUAAUAAUUCAAUUCGCCACUAUAAUGCACAUACAUUUCAAUUUAACAACAUUUAUAUACUUAUGAACUUACCUCAUACUAACACGAACGGACCGAAAUGACUAUUCGAUAAUUUUUGACUUUCCCCGAUCCAGAUAUGAUUUUCUCAUUUCUUGAUCUAAUUCAAUACAAAUUCAACUUAUUUAAUCAUAUAUUCAAUCAAAUUCAUCCAAAAACACAUAAAUGGGCUAAUUAAAUUUUUGCCCCUGACAUUUCACAUUUUUCACAAUUUAGUCCCUAUUUCACAAAACCAAAAUUUCACCACACCUAUGCUUGGUCAAAUAUACAUAGUGUAUAUAUAAGCCCAUAUAUUUCAUUUAUUUCACAUUUCAGUCCCUCAAAAUACAAAUUUUACAAUUUAGCCCAUUUUACUCAAAUUCAUCAAAAAUUCAAAGACAAAACAUGUUAACCCAACAUCAAACUUCCACAUACUAUCAUCAAACUCUAUAAAGUUCAUAAUUUCAUCAAUGGCUCAACUCAACAUCAUUAAAAAAAUCAGAAAUUGAGACAUGGGCUUAGUAAAACACAAAGCAACAACUACAAAAACAUAGAAAUUAUCAAAAAUCGAGUUAAAAUGGACCUUUAAUCAAGCUAGCUGUUGGUUGAAUGCUUCAAACACAUCAACCCUAGCUUUUGCUUCUUCAAUUUCGGCAAAAAAGAUGAUAAAUGUACAAUUUCCAUGUUUUGUUAUAAUUAAUAUUAACAUAGAUAUACAUUUUACCAUUUUAACUUUAUUAAUAUAAUUAAAAUUCCACCAACUAAUGCCCAUUAAUGUCAUUUAAUUAAUUCAAUGGUCCAUUCACAAAAUAAGGACCUCUAAUUUAAAGAGACACAUCAAAUAGGCAUUUUAACAAAUAGAAGGCCACUUUUAAUUUUAUGCGAUUAGGUCAUUUUUCAAAAUUAAACACACAAACAAUCAAAUUUUCAUAUGAAACUUUCACACAUAUAAAUUCAAAUAUUAUAAGCACGAAAAAUAAUAUUAAAAUAUUUUUUAACUCAAAUUUAUGGUCCCGAAACCACUGUUCCAACUAAGGUCUAAACUAGACUGUUAGAGGAGAGACAUUGGAAAGGAGAAAAAUCCACCAUGCUCUCAUUGCAAGAAGACUAACCACCUGGAAAGGUACUGCUGGUUCAGGCCUGAUAUUCAAUGUAGAGGUUGCAAACAAUUUGGAUAGAUGGAAAGGGUGUACAAAAAUAAACAGUAGCAGAACCAUGUUCAAGUUCAGGUUAUUGAUGGAAACCAAGCUUAGGAGGAGCAUUUGAUCACUGCCUCUUGUUUUGUUUCAAGUAGCAAAGUCAAUAAGAGUUGAUUAAUUAACAGUGGCUGAAGAAACCACAUGGUAGCUAAUGAAAGCAUAUUUAAGAAGAUUGGCAGAAGCUGCACUUUAAUAGUAAAAAUUAGUAAGACUAAUUUAUUGAGGCUAAGGGAAAAGGUGAUGUAAAGUGAUUUCAUAUGUGUUUUUAGUGCCUGAGUUAGAUCAUAGUCUCUUUAACAUUGGUCAAUUGCUUGAGAAUAAAUACUCUGUUACUUUUAAAGAUAAAUGCUGCACUAUAUUUUAUUCAUUGGGAUAGGAAGUUGUUAUAAUCUCAAUGGUGUUAGCAACAUGGAGGCUAAGGAGGAGUGUUGAAGAUGACCAUCCAUGCAGCUGAUAGUUUUUUUUUUGUUCGCAAGCAAAUGUUACUCUUUGGUGAAUGAAUACAAGAUUUUGAUUUGGUUCCUUUUUUUAUCUAGUUGCAAUGUAAUGUUGCUUAGUUGAAAACGAACUUAGUUGUUGAUGUUUUGAUGGGUUUAGGUGAUGAUUGAGCUGAUAAGUCAACUUAUCUAUCUGUACAAGUCAAGUUUUAUAAGUUUCAAGAUUACUUAGUGAUAGUAGGUAGUAUUUGUGAUGUAAUUUGGCUUUAAAUUGUAUUGUUUUAUGUUGAAAAUGUAGCAGAUCAAUUUGUAGAUUAGUUCAGUCUGUGUUCUUUGGCUCAAUUUUUUAUCUCUCAUUUCUUUGCUUAAGCUUCUAAAGUUUUGUAACUACUUUGAAUCGAUUCAUUCUUGUUUAAAUCGAUUAUAAAAUGUUUCAGUUGAUUCAAACCCUACAUAAAGUACAAUUAAUGAAUUUCAAACCAGAGGUUCUUCUGUAUAGGCCAUAUGAUUGUUAUGAUUAAAAGAAUAUUAAAGCAAAUUGAAAAUCAUUCGGGAAGAACGGAUGAUAGCUCGCAUCAGCAUGAAUGAUCUAGUAAAAAACAUACCAGAAUUGCUAUUGCUUCAUAGUAACUUAAAAAGCAUCAAGUUUAUUUUUUAUUGCUAGCAUUAGCAUCUAUUAUAUUUUUCUUGAAAAUGAUUACAAUGUAAUGAAACUAAGGUAGCAUUCAAUGGUGUUUCAAAGGAAUGACUUCUGUUCUUCUUUUCUUCCUAGAUAGUUGAUUGAAUAAGGAUGGUCUUAUAAAAUGCUUUAUUUUUGUUAGAUUUCACUAGCUAGAUGAUUGUGAUUAUAUUUGAUGAAGAAACAUAAAUAAACCAUUCUCCUGGCUGCCCCCAUUAUCAUCUAAGGCAAUGUUUUCUAACCACCAGACAUGGAUUUGUGAUUGAGGUUGGGAUUGCAGUUUGCCUACUAAACAAUGCAAUGGGACUUGAGAAAUGGUGAGUAAUCCACAUAUCAAAUCUUACAAAGGGAAUGGAAGAUGGGAAGUUAAAGAAACUUGCCCUAGUUGUGUUGUUAUACAAAGGCAGAGCUCUUUCGAAAUCUUACAGGUGAAGUUCAUCCACCUGUGGAGUUGCUGAUUCUUUAACAACAAAAGCCUUAAUGCUAGAAAUCCUGAUGCAUGGUAUGUAAAAUAAGCAUGAUAAUAUGUGUUAAGUUGUAGAAAUAAGGUGAUUAUCCAUAAACCUUGGUCUUUAUGUCAAUUAUUUGCAUCUCUAUUACCAGGUUAGGUGUUGGCCAGAGUUCCCCCAAUCACUUUAGUGGGUCAUAAGGAAUCUCUCUUUUUUCAAGGGUCCAAGAAGAUCAGACCUUAUAACCAUAAUGAAGUGAUCAGGGGAACUCUAGAGGACAACUAACUCUACUUCUUUAUGGUUAGUUGCCUAGGCCAUAGAAGUCAGCGUUCCUAUUUAUAAGCGAAGGCUUUAGUAGCCAAGUAAUUGUGACCAUUCAACCAAUCAGACUGGUGUUAGAUAUGAAACAAAACCAUGCAUAGCCUAUUAUUGAAGCUGAAUCUAGUCAGAAUUAUAACAUUUGGGAAUUAGGGUUGAUGAUAUAGAGAAAUAUUCUUCAGUUGAGUGAAGUUGAGCUCUCCCCACACCUUUUCUAUGCUUCUAUCAUUUUUAAAGUUCAAAAAGUGUUAUAGCAUUGCCCUUAAUAACUUUUAUAUAUUUUCCAUUAAUAAUUCAAGGUAUAUUUAAUUAGGAGUUGUUUGCAUGUAUGUUUUUGACAAUACCUUAAUCAAUUAACAACUGCAUAGAUUCUAUGGUGGUGAAGAAAAUGAUGGAUACUGAAUAAGAGUAUAUAUGGCCAGAAUUUUAUGCAACUUAGGACCUCUAAGAUCCUUCCCAAGGAUUUAUCUAACAUGCUAUUACUUCUAAAUAAUUUUCUCCUAAGCAAUUUUCUGAGUAUCUUUUGUCUCACAUGAAUCACACCAAACAAACAAUUACAUUGAAAAUAAUGGCAAGUGUAUAUAACACCCUAUAAUUCAUAUAAUUGGAAUAUAAAUACGAAUAUCAUAAGCAAAUAUUACAAUAAAUAAUAAUUCUUGGGUCUUAUCCGAGCUUACAAAAUCUCUAAUGCUAACCCGAGAUCAAAUCAGGACUAAAUUAUAAAGAAUUCAAAGUAUAGUUUUAAUGUCGCGACAUGAGAGAGUUCCUUGUUGUUAUGUGACAUACUAUUUUGGUUUCAUUGAGACGACAGGGUUCCUCAUCUCACCGUGACAUUAUAGGUCAUUUUUAUCAUGACGACAUACAUUUGACGUUACGACGUCACAUACUAUUUUUGCAAUUUUCUUUGUUUAACAACAUGCCUUUUCUAAAAUCAGGGUAAUACCCUAUCAUCUACAAGCCAUUUACCUAAUGCAAGCCAUUUAAAUCAUUUACAUACUUAUCUAUUUCACCAAGUUCAUAUAUAUAUGUAUAUAUACUUGCAACAUUUCAUACCAUUUCAAAAUACCUUUAACUCCAUUACAAGUUAUAUAGAUUUAACCAAGUUUUAACAUUAACCAUUAACCAUAAGUGCAUAUACAUGUAACUUUAUAUACCAAAUUUGACUCAACUUAGGUACAUGCCUUAUAACUAAUAGAAGAGAUUUAUACAAACAUUAUCGAGUUUGGGAUAUAUCAAAAUAUGUGCUGAACUCUCGUAUAUUUUGGGAUAAUUUUUAAGUUAUUUUGGUAAAAAAAUUUAGAAUAAUCAAAUGAGAUAUUUAGGAAGACUUUUUUAUCUUUUAGAAGCUUACUAGAAUAAGGGACUAUUUUCCUAGUUAUGUUGUGAGUCUCUUUUUCUAUUUAAACUCAAUUCUUUACGUAAGAAAGACAGAACAAUUUUAUUGAAUAUAAUCUCUUGAAAAUUUUCAUGGUAUCCGAGCUAGGUUAAAUCUUUAGUAACACCAUGGUUAAAACAACCUUCACUGGAGAUAAGAGAUCCAACAACCAUACUAAGGUAAAAGUCUCUAUCAUUAGAACAACUAUUGAGAGUGCAAUGACUCAAGGGGUAGUGUAACACCCCAAAUCCGGCCUAGACAUUAUGGCCGAAUCUGGCGAUGUCACGUUGAAGUGUUUUUUGCGAAGUAUAAUAUCAUUGAAAAACCUGGUCUAUAUUUAACCUCUUUGUGAUCUUAGCGAAGAUUUAAGGAUAUCUCGUUUAUUUUCAAAGCUUAAGUCGUUUGACAAAAAGUUACCCAUAUUAAAUUUGUUAUUAAAUUUAAUAAAUUAUUUCUUACAGAAGCUUUUAAAAACAUGUUGCGUAAACGUGGUGAUUUGGAAAAACAUUUAUCAUUUUGAAAACUCGCAUCCUACUACUAGUAGAUAUAAAUCAAAAUAAAUAAAACCCUGAACUUAAAGAUUAAAAAUAAUAGAGGCCUUAUUACAUUUAAAACACCCAAAAUAAAAUUAUUUUUAAUUUAAAACCCAAUAAGAAAGUCCGUGCAAUUGUGUGGCCACCUUUGAGUCCCUCGCAGCACCGAUCCUCCUAAGCCUGGGGAUUACCUGUAUAAAUAAACAAAUGGGUGAGUUUUGAAAAAUUAGUGUGUAAUCCCAUAUCAGAUAAUCAAUUAGAGAGCAUAUACAGUCUGGGCCUAAGCCCAAUUUAGUCAUGGUUCAGUUUCAAUCAGGGCCUUAGCCCAUUACAGUAUCAGUAUCAGUGUGGGCCAGAGCCCAUCUCAGUAACAGUGCAAGUAGUACCGGUUGCGGCACUAAUCAGUAUUUGCAGCAGAGCUGCUAGUACAGUACACUUCCUCCAAUCACAAUAAAUCCCAUCUGCAAUAUAUCAUGCAUCAUGUCAUAAUAUCAUACAUGCGAUCAGUAUAUAUAAAAUGGCAUGCUCAAACAUAAUCAUACAUCUCAUAAGGGCAUAUCAGUCAUUUUACCAUGUAAGGGCAUUUCAGUCAUUUUAUCAAUUAGGGGGUCUGGGUACACUUACCGACCCAACAGUAGGUCCAUAGUUAUCUCGGGUGACCCGUGCAACCUUAAUAGUGAAAUAGUGAAAAUGGGCCUAUGGCCCAUAUUGCGGCCCACGUGGGCCCACACGCCCGUGUGGCCAACAUAGCCUAGAAAUGGCCUUGGCCGCGUGGAUUACACAACCUGGCUUAAUAUUCUCCACACGUUUUUGUGGUUUACCCGUGUGGGGCCCACGUACCCAUGGGGCCUAAAAGGCCCAGUUUAGUCUGAAAUGGCCCAAGACGGCCUCGGCCCAUGAAAUCGCUCAUGGCUGGCCUUAUCGAUCAAACGCCUAUGUUUAGUCACAUGGACCACCACACGACCGAGCACACGCCCGUGUAGCGUCAUUGUUUGCUCAUUCCAGCUUUUGCCGAUUUCCAUAGAUUAGAUAGUGUUUACACACCUUGUUUACGAAAGUGGCAAAUAGUCCACGAGCACUCCAACCUAUAUUCAAUCACAAGCUUCGGUUAAUCGCUUACUAAUCGAAUUAACAAAAAACCAUAACCAAAGCACUUACCCAAAAUAUUACCUAUCACUUGUUUAGAUCGGUCGAUUAAGGCUUUCACACUUAAUCAAUUGCAAGAGACUAACCACUAGGCCUUAGGGGUUACCUGCAUUCCAACCGAACCUUAUCAACCAUUAAUAAAAUGAACUGUUUGAACUAGAUGAAACAUCACUUACAAAAAAUGCAAAGUCAAGAUUAGAAGAAAGGAACAAUUAGCCUACACUCACACAAGAGCCGAAAGUACAUAAUAUGAUAGAGGCAAAAUGGAACAAUUGUACCCCUAUCAGAAAAUGACAGCACAGGAAGAUGUUAGGUGCAAUACUAAUAUGGUAAAGAGGGAGAAAGAAAAAGAAUCGCACCCAUACCAAAAGUUAGACUUACCAAUAUGCAAAAUCGAUGAAUAGGAAUGACUAUAGAAAAGGCAGAUAGCAAUAAAGGGAAAGUUGGCACAGUGAGGGUAAGGAAGCAGUUGUAUUCGGCCAAGUACAAUCGUUUGAGAGAGCCAGAGAAAGAGAAGCAAUCGGUCAUGAAGAAACCGAUUGAGAGAGAGGGAAAAAGAAGGAGAGAAUCGGCCAGCCAAGAAUCGAUUGAGGAAGGGGAGAAGUUGAAAUAAUCUGUCAAAGAAAGACCAUAAAAAGAACCAUAAAACUGAGAGGAACUUGCCAAAACUGAAAGUGUUGAAAGGAAAAGAGAGGGAGAACAAAGUCAUAUAUGGUAGAAAAGAGAUACCCGAAAGAACCUUAGACACUAUUCGGCCUACAUGUAGAGAGAAAAGAACCAAAAUGUUACCAAUCACAGAAAUGGAGAGCAAUUGACCAACCCAAAGCCGAAUUCUGAGUGGGCAGAUUACCAUUUAGGCACCAACUCUCCCUCAACACAAAUCCCCAUAAUUUCUCCUAAAAUCCCUCUUUAAAUCACUCAAAUCGAUCCCUCAACUACUCAAUAACCACUUUAGUAUUUCGGUCAAACCACAACACUCCAAUGGCAUGACAACAAAAUAAAACACUCCACUGCGUCCACCAGGAUUCGAACCUCAGUCCUCAGGCAACAACAACAUGUCACCUAUCCCUUAGACCAGUAGGCCUAUUUUGUCAUGUUUUACCCAUUUUUAUUUAAAAGCCUACUGACUAAUGACAAAGGUUUUUCCAAUAAAAGAAAAUUUUUGCCAAGCCAAGGCUUGAACUUAGGACUUCUCAGACACUUCUCAGGACACUUAACCACUGAAGCAAGCAUGAAUUUACACAACAAAAACAUACAAAAAUAAAUACCUAAGAUUUAGGGUGUUACAACUCUACCCCUAAAAUAAAAUUUUAGCCUCAAAAUUUACCUGAUCAGAACAGAUGAGGGUAUUGUUGUCGCAUCGUCUCCUUAGGUUCCCACGUGGCCUCCUUGGAGCUAUGGUUACGCCAAACUACCUUAACUCAUGGGAUAGACUUUUUCUCAUGACCUUUACAUCACGCUCCAAUAUCUGAAUCGAUUCCUCCUCAAAAGUCAGAUAUGGCUUAACCUUAAUCUUCUUAACUGAGAUAACAUGCAUAGGAUCAGUGCGGUAAUGCCUUAACAUAGAAACAUGGAACACAUCAUGAAUCCGGUUUAACUCUGGAGGUAACUCUAACUGAUACGCAACCUAUCCUAUACGUUUCGAUAUGCAAUAAGUCCUAAUGAAUCUAGGGCUCAACUUGCCUUUCUGACCAAACCUCAGUACUUUCUUCCAUGGCGAGACCUUGAGAAAAACGAAGUCCCCCACAGAAUACUCAAUCUCCUUACGCUUCAGUAUGAACUGGUAUGAAAUUGGCAGAUUUGGUCAACAGAUCCACGAUGACCCAUACUAAAUCCUUCUUAGUAGGCGUUAAGGGCAGCCCACUAACGAAGUCCAUAAUCACUGUCUCCCACUUCCAAAGUGGAAUCUUAACUGGCUGAAGCAACCUAGAAGGUAACUGAUGUUCAGCCUUAACUUCCUGGAAAGUCAAACAUUUACUCACAAAAUCAGUAACUUCACGCUUAAGACCUGGCCACCAAUACAACUCACGAAGGUCUCGGUACAUCUUAUUUCCACCAGGAUGCAUAACAUAAGGACUAUUAUGCGCCUCUCGCGGUAUAGACUACCUCAAAUCAGUAUCCUUUGGUACGCAAACUCUCCUACGGAAGUAGAGAACUCUUUCACUAUUCAAUCCAAAAUCUGAUGUGUUACCACUCUCAAUCUGUCGGAAUCGAGGACCUAGUGACUCAUCCUCCAACUUCUUACCCUUAAUCUGCUCAAUCCAUGUCGGUUUAACUUGGAGCUCGGCCAACAAGCUACCAUCAUCAAAUAAACUGAGGCGAGCAAACAUCGCCCUCAGAUCGUCAUAGCCCUACAGCUCAGCGCAUCGGCCACCACAUUGGCCUUCCUAGGAUGGUAUUCGAUCAUACAGUCAUAGUCUUUAAGCAAUUCAAUCCAUCUACGCUACCUAAGAUUUAGCUCCUUCUGAGUGAGGAGAUACUUGAGUCUAUUGUGAUCGAGUAAAUGAUACACUUCUCACCGUAUAGGUAAUGCCUCCAAAUUUUCAGUGCGAAUACUACCGCAGCCAACUCCAAAUCAUGUGUCGGAUAAUUCACCUCAUAAGUCUUAAGCUGACAAGACGCAUAUGCAACCACCUUACCCUCUUGCAUCAACACACAUCCCAACCCACCAUGUGAUGCAUUGCUAUAAACAGUGAGCUCUUUCCCAGGCUCUGGCUAUAUCAAGACAGGGGCUACAGUCAAAACUUUCUUAUGCUUCUCAAAACUCUCUUGCUGUUCAUCAGUCCAGUUAAAUGACACACCCUUACGCAACAACUUCGUCAGAGGUGCAUCAAUCAAUGAAAACCCUUCAACAAAUCCUCGGUAAUACCCAACUAGUCCUAGAAAACUGCAAACUUUCGAUACAGUCUUAGGCGGCUUCCAAUCCAGAACAACCUUAAUUUUUCGAGGAUCAACCCUAAUUCCUUCAGCAGAUACCACAUGGCCCAGAAAUGUUACCUCUUAUAACCAGAAUUCACACUUACUGAACUUGGCGUACAAUUGUUUCUCCCACAGAAUCUGCAGAACCACUCAGAGAUGUGCAUCAUGAUCAUCUUUGGUUCUCAAAUACACCAUAAUGUCAUCAAUAAAAACCACUAUGAGUUGAUCGAGAUAGGGCUGGAACACUCGGUUCAUCAGAUCUAUAAAAGUCACUGGUGCAUUCGUCAAUCCAAAUGGCAUCACUAGGAACUCGUAAUGACCAUAGCGAGUCCUAAACGCUGUCUUAUACACAUCAGUCUCUUUAACCAUCAAUUGAUGGUACCUCGAUUGAAGAUCAAUCUUAGAGAAAACUGAAGCUCCAUGAAACUGGUCGAAUAGAUCAUCAAUCCUCAUUAGAGGGUACUUAUUCUUAAUGGUUAAUUUAUUCUGUUGCUGAUAAUCGAUGCACAUGCGCAUGGAUCCAUCCUUCUUUUUCACAAACAAAAUCGGUGCCCCCAUGGAGACACACUAGGUCAAAUGAACCCAUGAUCCAAUAAUUUUUGAAUCUAAGCCUUAAGCUCCACAAGCUCCUUCGGUGCCAUUCUAUAAGGGGCGAUGGACACCAGAGCUAUACUAGGCUGCAGCUCAAUCCUAAACUCAACUUUACGAUUUGGAGGUAACUUAGGCAGCUCAUUAGGAAAAACUUCUGAAAAACAUCCGUAUUUAGUAAUGCAUAUUUCAAUGUCCACUUUUAACUUACUAAAUCCUUUUACAAGCAUAUAUUCUUACAUAGAACUAAUUCCAAACAUUAUCCGAAAUUUUCAUAUCACAUUAAGAACGAUACAACUAUGUAUUUGCAAUGUAACAAACUUCAUAUUCAAGACCAAUUCAACAAAUACAUAUUCAACUAAGCACAUACAAUUAUAUAUAAAUCAACCCACCACUUCAUAUACUUAUAUGUAAAUAUAUAUAAAUACCAAAUCGUGAUUAAUUUACCAACAUAAUUAUUAUCCAUUUCUUUACUUAAUGAAAGAAAUUUAAUAAGCUAACACAUCCAUUGUAUAUAAAUGUCAUGUCUUAAACAUAUAUCUCUUACGCGGCAAUAAUUAUUAAUAAACUAACAUAAUUUGAAAACACACAACAAAGCAUCCAAAUUUACUAUUCAAAUGGUCAAAACCCAAAUACAAUUGCUGAAUAUAAACAAGUUAAAUUCAUUUUCUUUAAAAUACAUAUAAGAAUUAUACUUUUCCAAAUCACAAGACCAUAUUAAGUCAUUUUAUAUUUUGCUACUCAAUAAAAGUACACUAUGAAUCAAAUUUUAUACCUACCAUUAUAAAACCAAAGUUUUAGCCAUAAAUGCACAAAAUCGCAUUUCUUAAUAAAACCAAAUACAAGACAUAUUUGAAUCAAUAAACUCAUGAGUAAAAUAUCAAACAUAACCAUACUUAUAUAUACCAAAACCAAAUCAACCAAAACCAUAACCAAACAUAAUCAUCAAGCCAAAGCAUAAAUUCCAAGAUUAAUAAAAUGGACAAGCCAUUUUCGCAUGGCUUAUACAUAUACAAAUAACUUCAAGCAUAUUCGAAAAGUAGUAUAGCCUAUACAUGCCAUAGGUUUCUAAUUCAACUUUUAAAAGUACUGAAAGCAGUCGAUAGUGUGAUAGUCUUUGCUGAUGACCCCCGAGCCUGCAACUAGUCUCCAUAAUCUAUAAAUAGAAGUAAAAAUGCACACACAUAGUAAGCUAUCUUAGCUUAGUAAGUCAUAAGCAAAUAUUAACUCAAUAACAAUAAUAAUUUAAUAAGACAUAACCAAACCAUACUUGUAAAUUCAAAUAUCCACAUAUAACUAAACAUGAAUUCAGUUUUGUCCAAGCACACAUUCGCUCUUUAUCCAAAAUCAUAUUUCAUACUCAAUAUCAAUGAAAAUUUCACUUGACCGAAUACAUACUAUCAUAAUACAUUUAUACAAUUCACAUUUCCUUAGUCAUAAUUUCACAUUCAAUUACCAUAUAGACAAAUGCUCAUAUAAACUUUGGCAUAAGUAUGAAAUUCACAUUUCCAUAUCAUAAAUAUAUAUAUCGUUAAACCGAAUAUGACCAAUCAUAUAAUUAAACAUAUGGUUUCAUUCACUUCAUUCAUAGCUCAAUUCUUAAUUCAAAUAUUAUCUCAAUGGCAUUGAUAAUUUAUUAAGGCAUAACCAAGCCAUACUUAUGAAAUUUAAUUACCAAACAUUUAUCUAUACAUAAAUUAUAACAUUUCCAGACACACAUUGAUUCAUUAACAUGUUUAAUAUCACAUAGACCUUAUUGUGCCGAAUAUAUAUACUUCCUAUUAGACAAGUUCAAGGUUCACAUUUCAAAUACUUACUAAUCGAAUGCACAUAAAUCCUUUAAUAUCAAUAUGAAUUUCACAUUUCAAUUUAUUCCUCAUGUAACAUUAGGCCGAAUAUAAGCUUAAAAAUCAAACAUUAAUAUCACAUACUUAUACAUUAAUCUACAUAUAGAUUUUCAUAUACACAAUCAUUACCAUUAAUUUCAUUUAUAACUUGUAUCACAUAUCAAAUAAUCAACUUAUCUUAUUUCUGAAAAGGUAAUAAAUUGUCACAUACCUGUUCACUUUAACUUGUUUCCACAUUCAUUCGUAACUUAUCCUUGCCCAUUGAACCAUUCGGAAUUAAAAAGGAUACUUGGAUUAUAACACAUAUCGUAGAAUGCCAACGUCCCAGAUGUGGUCUUACAUGUAACCACGUGGCGAAGCCACUGUCUCAGACAGGGUCUUACACGAAUCACAAUUACGAUGCCAAUGUCCCAUACAUGGUCUUACUCGAAAUCACAUAUUGAUGCCAACGUCCCAGAUGUCGUCUUACAUGAGAACACAUAUUAGAAAUCCUAUGUCAUGACAUAUGUAUCCUAGAUAUUCCGAAGGUUCGUACGGGGCUUUUCGGAUGUCGAAUCUUGGUCGAAUCGAAUCGUAAACAUAGUUCCCAAGUGUACACAUAUUUGGCUAUCAUUUAUACAUUCUCCAAUAUAUCAAUUCAGCACAUGUAACUUAUUUUUAUUAAAAACAAUAUGUUUUUUUGCUAAUAAACUUACCUUAGACAACGGUAAUCAGAACGGGACGAUUAAUCGACGAUUUUAGUUUUCCUCCGAUCCAAAUCUGAUUUCUUUGGUUCUUGAUCUAAAUGUAUUCAAAAUAAACUAAUUCAAUAUAAUUUCAUUCAAUUUAGUCCAAAAACACAUAAAUGAGAAAAUUACCAUUUUACCCCUGACAUUUGCAUUUUUUACAAUUUAGUCCCUAUUGCACAAAACACAAAAUACACAAAAUUUCAGCAUACCCGUGUUGAGCCAAAUUUUACCCACUCUCAAAAAAAUCCAUAUAUUUCAUUUAUUUCACAUUUUAGUCCUUCAAAUUUUUAGUUUUUCAAUUUAGUCCUAAUUACUCAAAAUCAUCAAAAACUCUAAUACAAAACAUGUUAAUUUAAAACAUAUCUUUCAUAUUUCAUCAUCAAACAACAAAAAUCACAAGCUUUAAACAAUGACAUAACUCAAAAUAUUCACCAAAAUAAAAAAUUCAAGCAUGGGUCUUGUAGAUAAUGUAACGCCCCGUACUCGAGACUAUAUCCGGAGUCGAACACGAGGUGUUAACGGACUUAAUUCAUUACUUAAACAGCUCAUACAAUUCAUUUUAAAAGCUGGCUAACUGCAUCACAGUCGCUUUAAAAAUCAUAUCUCGAGUUCUGAAACUCGAAAUCCAAUUCCGUAAAUUUUUCCUGAAACUAGACUCAUAUAUCUAUCUACUAAUUUUUUUCUAGAAUUUUUGGUAGAGCCAAUUAGUACAGUUUAUUAGUUAAAGUCUCCACUGUUUCAGGGUUCGACUACUCUGACCUCUGUGUAUUACGAAUCAGAUAUCUCCCUUUACAGAGAUUCAAUGACUAUGCCGUUUGUCUCUAAUAAAACUAGACUCAAUAAGGAAUCUUUAAAUAUAAAGCAUGACUUCUAAUUAUCUUUGUAAAAUUUAUGGUGAAUUUCCAAAGUCAGAACAGGGGAUCCAGAAAUCGCUCUGGCCCUGUUUCACAAAAAUUUAAACAUCUCAUAAAAUAUAGCUCAUAUACCUGUUUUGCUUCUUCCAUAUGAAAAUAGACUCAUCAAGCUUCGAUUCCAUAACUUAUUAAUUAUUUAAUUCCAUUUCUACUAUUUUUAGUGAUUUUUCAAAUUCACGUCACUACUGCUGUUUGAAUCUAUUUUAUGGUAAAUUUUACCUAUUUCAUGGUUUCCAUGGAUUAGCUAGCAAUUUGACAUACAUAACACCAAAUAUGAUCAUGAUUAGCCAUUCCAAUGGCUAAUCAUUACCAAGCAUUUCCAUACCACUCAAUAACCAUAUCAUAAGACCAUAUAUACAAAAUGAUUAUAAUGCUAUACAUGCCAUACUCAAAAUAUACAAGCCAUUAUGCCAAGAUGGUAUACGGAUAGUGUGAGCGAGCCUCCGACCGUUCCCGAUUUCCGAGCUGGCUUGUCAAAACUACAAGGAAUGAAAAGGAGGGAGUAAGCAUAAAUGCUUAAUAAGUUCACAUGCAAAUAGCAAGUAACAUAACCAUAUAAGCAAACAUAAAACAUCAUUUGCAUAAUCAUCACCAAGACAUUCAUAUCACAUUUUCAUUUAUCAUCUUACCAUAUUGUUGUUAUAUCGAGUUUUCAAUCCGAGGGUUAAGUACAUACCUGUUCAAAGUAUCCAUUUCACAACACUUACCAAUACGUCCCUUUCAUCUUGAGUAUUCCUCCAUUUGAGUAGAACUUUACCCGUUGAACACAUCGGAAUAUAAUUCGGAUACAUGGAAAGUUUGCACAUAAGUGCCACAUAUGUAGCCAAGCUACUAUGUAACCCGCCCAUAAGCGAACUCGGACUCAACUCAACGAGCUCGGGCAUUCGCAUCCAUGAGUGAACUCGGACUCAACUCAACGAGUUCGGAUGCCUAGUUACAUCUCACGAACUCGGACUCAACUCAACGAGUUCGGACAUUUGCAUCCAUAAGUGAACUAGGACUCAACUCAACGAGUUCGGAUGCUCAACCAUCCUAGUGACAUGUCACUUGUAUCCUAAUCCAUUCCUAAGGUUCAACGGGACCUUUUUCCCAAUCAUGUGUCUCAACCAUCUUCUACGGAAUGCCGAUACCGAUACUCGGUAGUAUUUCACAUUUUCCAAGUAUAUCACAUAAUUUGACAUAUUAUCAAACAAUUGUCACAAGUAUGAUAUUUCAUAAUAAUUAUCAUAUCAUUUAAAUAACAUUAAAACAUUUAAAAUAAUAACUAUGUUACUAACAUUUACAUAUGAACUUACCUCGUAUGCGAAAAUGGCUACUUUUACCAUUUCGUCCACAACUUGGUAUUUUCCCCAUUUUAGCCCGAAAUUUAGUUUUCCUUGCUCUAUCAUUUAAAAUAUAGUCUAAUUAGGACUCAAAUUAUUCAAAUUGACCCAAAAUCAUAUUUUGGAAAAAUUACAAUUUUGCCCUUAAACUUUUGCAUAUUUACACUUUUGCCCCAAAGCUCGUAAAUUAAACUUCAGCCUAUUUUCUUAUGUUUUAUGACAUGCUGAUCAUUUUUCCCUUCUAUGGCAACAUCAAAUUCUCACUCUAACAUGUACUUAUGACUAUUAGGUAUUUUUAUCGAUUAAGCCCUUUUACUCGUUUUCACUUAAAACCGAGUAGCACAAGUUGUCUAACAUAAUUUAAAACCUCAUAUUAUAUCAUAAAACAUAAAAAUACACAAAUUUCACCUAUGGGUAUUUUUCCAAAUAUAAACCUUAGGUUAAAUUAUUGCUAGCAUAAGCUUAAUCGAGCUACCGGGACUCCAAAAACGUAAAGAACUUGAAAACGGGGCUAGAAUGGACUUACAAUCGAGCUUGGAAGCUUGAAAAACCCUAGCUAUGGUUUCUCCUUGCUAUAUUCGGCCAUGGGGUUGAAGAUGAGCAAAAUUGGCUUUUAAAUUUUGUAUUUUAAUUCAUUUUACCCCUAAAUGACCAAAAUGCCCUUACUACUAAACUUUCCAAAAAUUCCAUCCAUGUCUAAUUUUUGUCCAUAGACUUAGAAAUUGGUAAAAUUGCUAUUUAAGACCUCCUAAUUAAUAUUUCAAAACAAUUUCAUACUAGAAACUUCUAGAAUGAAAGUUUUGCAAAUUAUUCGAUUUAGUCCCUAAUUUCAAUUUAAGUACUUUAUGCAUAAAAUUUCUUCACGAAAUUUUUACACAAUCAUGCAAUCAUAUCAUAGACCUUAAAAUAAUCAUAAAAUAAUUAUUUCUAUCUCGGAUUUUGUGGUCACGAAACCACUAUUCUGACUAGGCCCAAAAUCAGGAUAUUACAGAUAACUUAGCAACGAUCUCAAAAAUGCAAAAAUUAUAAAAAACCGAGCUAGUUACAUCCCUUGAUUGAGCUUAGCAAUGGCCAAACAUAAGAAAACCUUUUUCUUUCUCUUUUAUUUUGACAUUCGGUGGUGAAGAAAUAAAAGACAAAUGCUUGUUUAAUGUUAUUAUAACAUAUAUUAUUAUAAUAACAUUUUAUUAUUUAUUUACUAAUAUAACCUUAAUGAUUUAAUAUAAAAACUUAAUAAUGCAUGCCAUUACCGUCCAUUAAUUUAUUCAAUGGAAUAAUUGCAAUAUAAAUAUUUCAAUUUAUAAAGACACAUUCAAUUUGGUCCUUACACAUUAAACCAUCAAAUUUUCAUUUUACGCGAUUAAGUCCUUUUAUUUAAUCGGGCACUCUAACGACCAAAUUAAAUCACAAAAAUUUCACACAUAUAAAUUCACACUUAAUAAACACUGAAAAUAAUUUUUAAAUAUUUUUCUAACUGAAAUUCGUGGUCCCGAAACCACCAUUCUGAAUAGAGUCUAAAUCAGGCUAUUACACGAUGUUUCACUAGCCAAUCCAUUCCCAAUAUUAAGUCGAAUUCUCCAAAAGGAAGUUCCAUCAAAUCUGCUAAAAAGAUAACUCCUUAAAACUACAAUGGCACAUCUCUGAACAAUUUAUCUACCCUUACAGACUGCCCCAAUGGACUCAACAUAGUAACCUCACUUGCAGUACUCUCAACCAAGAUAUCCAAAGUCUCAGACACAUUACAAGCUAUAUAGGAAUGAGUAGAUCCUAUGUCUAUUAGUGUAGUAUAAGGUACAUUAUAGAUUAUAUCCUAUGUCUAUUAGUGCAGUAUAAGGUACAUUAUAGAUAAAGAACGUACCCGAGAUAAUGUCUGGGGCAUCACCAUCCUCUCGGCGACGUGCAGCAUAAACCAGAGCUGGCUGCCUCGCCUCAGUGCGACCAGCACCUCUGCCCGGUGCCCUCUGACCACGACCCAAACCAUUACCACCUUUGGCCUUACCACAUCCUCUUGAUGGCUUCUGAACAUCUCUCGGUAGUUAAACAGUACCCAUACCAAUAGCUUGUAUCUGAUCGGGCCUCCGUGGACAAUCUCUGAUACGAUGCUCCAAUGAUCAACAUUUCAGACAUGCCCCAAUCAUUUUCUAGCACUCGCCCUGAUGGCAUAUCCCACAAUCCGCAUAGGGCUACUAUCACGUAACAGCAACAGGGGCCCCAACUCUGACUGGCCCAUCAACUCUAGCCUUUUUCUUAGGCCACAGAAAUGAACUUGAAGGCUCCGAAUCCCUCUUGUUCCUUCCUCUUUCCUUCUCACAGUUCUAGUGCUCAGUGCACUUCACAUCCUCGGUGAUCUUCGCCUUAUCCACUAAAGCAGCAAAAUCUCGCUCCCUUUGUGAAGUUAUCAGAACCCUUAAACCAUCCCUGAGGUGUAACAGUCCGAUUUUGACCCUAGUCGGAAUAGUGGUUUUGGGACCACAAAUUUGAGUUAGAAAAAUAUUUUAAUAUCAUAUUUCAUGCUUAUUAUAAGUGAACUGACAUGUGUGAAAGUCUCAUGUGAAAAUUUAACUGUUUGUAUGCUUAACUUGCAAAAAGGACCUAAUCGCGUAAAGUGUAAAAGCUGUGUGCUAGAUGUUAAAAGUGCCUAUUUGACUUGGCUUUAUAAUUGUGAGGUCCUUAUAUGGUUAUUUGACCAAAUUUAUGAUUAAAUGACAUUAGUGGACAUUCAUUGAUGGCAUAUUAAUGUUUUAAUGCAAGGGUAAUAUGGUAAAAUGCAUAUUAAAGUAAUAUUAUUAUAACAAAACAUGAAAAAUAAGGCCAUUAUGUAUGUUCAUCCACUGAAAAUAGAAAAGCAAACCUAUGUUUGGAGAGCUUUAAGUUUCGGCACACACAAGGCUUAAUUAAGAUCAAGAAAAGAGGAAUUCAGAUUUAGACCAAAGGAAGUCGAAAAUUAUAGAAUAAACGAUCGAGUCGACAAUUUCGAGUACGAGGUAAGUUCGUACUUAAAACAUGAUGUUAAGUAUUUUUUGAUGUUUUGAUUAUAUAUACAUUGUAUAUAUGUUUAGUUUGGAUGAAUACGAUGAUAAAUCAAUAGUAUUUGGCAGUAAGUGUGAUUAAAACUAGCUUCGGCUAUAUGAGGCACUAAGUGUGUGAUACUGACUUAGCUUUAGUUAAUUGAGAUGGCACUAAGUGUGCGGAUGUUCAAGGCACGAAUAAUUUACAGAAAGCCUUAAAAUAUUUAAACAAAAGGUGAGAAUGAAAGUGAAUAAGUACGAGAAGAUUCAGGUAUGUACGAUACCUAUGUGGUAGAUGAUACUAUAUAUGUGAAGCUCAUUGAUUUGGCAUGAACAUAUGGAUUGUGUUGGUAUAGAUUUGAUAGAUGAUUUGAGAAUUUGUGAGUACUUAUGUAUUGAUGAUUUUUGGUACGAACUUACUAAGCUUUUGAAAGCUUACUUUGUGUAUGUUUGCAUUGUUUUAUAGAUAUCGAAGCUACUACAAGCUCAGGGAUCAUCAAGGAUCAUCACCACACUAUCGAAUCUCAUUUUGGUACUUUUGAAAAUGUAUAUUUUUAAAGUAUGGCAUGUAUAGACUAGUGGUUGUGGAAUUAUGUUUUGUGAUGUAUAUACUUAGCCAUUUGAUUUGGCUAGUUGGUGUUUAAACUCAUAGUUGAAAAUGGCUUAUGGUAUGUGUUGUUAAUAUGCAAUUGUGGUAUAUUUUAUGUUGGCAUAAAUUGGUAAGGUUGAUAAAUAGGAAAACUGUUGACAUUUUUAUGAUAUAAAUGAUGAAUGUUUUGGCAUAAAAUUGGCUGAAAUGGUUGUGCAUAUAUGCUUGUUUCUUUUCUUGUAGGUUGACCCAAAUUUGGGGUGGCAAAUUGGCUAUUCAAAUGGCCUAUUUUUGUCUACAUGGGCAGAGACAGGGCGUGUGUCUCAGCCGUGUGCGACACACGGCUAUGUUGCACGGUUAUGUGUCCCCUGGGCUACCCUACAAUUGUAAGUCAGGGCCGAACACAGCCAACGUACACGGGUGUGUGGCUAGCCGUGUGGCCCAAGUUAGACUCGACCACGACCAAGGCACACAGGCGUGUCUUGUAGCUGUGUUAUCAAGUCAGUAGUUAUGCCCUAUUUUGCCACGGCUUAGACACACGGACAUGUCUAAGACCGUGUGAGGCACACGACCUGUUCAUACGGGCGUAUGACCUUUUAAAAGUUGAAAAUUUUUAUAAGUUCUGAAACUUUCAUAUGUUAUCGAAUUGAUCCUGAAAGCAUGUUUUAGACCUCAUACAAACGUUUAAAGUUCACGUUGAACAUGAAUGAUCUCAUUUUGGCGACGGUUACGAGUUAAGGGUGUUACAUUUUAAUUGGUAUCAGAGCUAUGGUUUAUUCGGUUCUAGGACUGCCAAAGCGUUUGUGAGUCUAGCUAUGCAUGCCAUAUUUAUGAAUUGCGAUAGUGUGAUGAAUCCUGACAUUGAAAUGUGCUUUUAUAUAACAAAUGGAUUCCGAAAAAGCUAUAGUAAACUAUGUUGAAAGCAAUGCCCCUACUCUCACGCAAGGGACGGUGCCAUCUGAUUCUCGACUGGCUACGAGUAGCCGUGAUGAUGAGGCUAAACAAGCCUUCUAUCAGAUGAUGAAUGAUUGGUUCACCCAAUAUAUCGAACCAAUUCAGCUCUACAACAACCUCCACCUCCGGUUAAUCCUCCUCAAACUCCUGUUAUGCCACCAGUGAAUCUGGUUCAGUUAAGUAGACCACCAGUCGAUAAGAUUAGAAAACAUGGGGCUGACAAGUUUCUAGCUACAAUGAGUGAUGAUGCUGAAAAAGUCGAGUUCUGGUUAGAGAAUACGAUAAGAGUGUUUGAUGAAUUUUCUUUGAGUCCAGAAGAAUGCAUUAAAUGUGUUGUUUCCCUUUUGAGAGAUACGACGUACCAUUGGUGGAAGACUUUGACAUCUGUGGUUCCGAGUGAACGGGUUACUUGGGAUUUCUUUCAAACUGAAUUUCGAAAGAAAUAUAUCACUCAGAGAUUCAUUGAUCAGAAACGUAAAGAGUUUCUUGAGCUUAAACAAGGCCGUAUGUCUGUCAUAGAAUACGAGCGAGAAUUUGUAAGGUUAAGUCAGUAUGCUCACGAAUGUGUAUCUACAGAAGCAAUAAUGUGCAAACGAUUUGAGGAUGGCUUAAACGAAGAUAUUCUUCUGUUAGUCGGGAUUCUGGAAAUCAAAGAAUUCAUUGUACUUGUGGAACGAGCAUGUAAAGCUGAAGAUCUUGGGAAAGAGAAAAGAAAAGCUGAUUUUGAAGCUAGAGAGGUACGAAAGAGAUCAUCGGGCAAAUCGUUUCAAUCUGGAUCAAAGAAGUUUAGAGAUGAUAGCAGUCAUUCAAAGAUUAGUGUGGGAUAUUCGAAUAGAGAUUGUGUUAGAUCGCAAUCAAAUUUCAAAUCUUCAGCUACAUCUGUUGCUAGUGUUGAUAAUGCAAAGAAUGAAAAGCCUGAGUGUGAUCAAUGUGGAAGAUGACAUUUUGAAGAAUGCUAAGGAAAAAGUAAUAGCCGAGCUUGUUAUAGUUGUGGUUCAAGAAAUCAUUUUAUAAAAGAUUGCCCAGAUUUAGCUGAAAAAGAUAAUGUUCAAAAUUCGAGGCAGAGUGGUAAUGCUUCUCGUGGUAGACCUUUCAGAAACUUGGGAAAUAUAAGCAGUAGUCAAAGAGGAACAAAAGACAUAACUAUUAGUUUUGAGGCUCGUGCACCUACUAGAGCCUAUGCUAUCUGAGCUCGUGAGGAAGCUUCAUCGCCAGAUGUGAUUACGAGUACAUUUACUCUCUAUGAUACUUAUGUGAUUGCUUUGAUAAACCCUGGAUAGACAUAUUUGUACAUAUGCAUGAACUUAGUGAACAGUAAGACUUUGCCUGUAGAGUCUACUAAAUUGGUAAUUAGAGUUUCAAACCCCCUAGGCAGAUGUGUUCUGGUUGAUAAAGAAUGCAAGAAUUGUCUGUUAAUGUUUCGAGGCACUUGUUUUCCUACUAAUCUGAUCUUGUUAACUUUUGAUGAAUUUGAUAUAAUUUUGGGUAUGGAUUGGUUAAGUUUGCAUGAUGUUGUUGUGAACUGCAAACGGAAAACUAUUGAUUUGAGAUGCAAGAAUGAUAAAAUAGUCAGAAUUGAAUCUAGUGAUUUGAAUGGAUUGCCUGCUGUAAUAUCUUUGAUGAAAGCUUUAAAUAUUGUGAGAAAGUGUUGUGAAGCUUAUCUUGCAUAUGUGAUUGAUUCGAGAGUCUCAAAAAAGAAAGUUGAAUUAGUGCCUAUUGUGUGUAAGUUCCCUAAUGUAUUUCCUGAAGAACUUCUGGGAUUACCUUUGGUUAGAGAGGUAGAAUUUGGUAUUGAAUUGGUACCUGGUACUACUCCGGUUUCAAUAGCUCCAUACAGAAUGGCUCCGACGGAGUUAAAAGAAUUAAAGUCUCAGUUGCAAGAGUUGACCGAUAGAGGAUUUGCCAGACCUAGUUUCUCACCUUGGGGUGCUUUGGUUCUAUUUAAGAAAAAGAAAGUACGAUGAGAAUGUGUAUCGAUUAUUGAUAAACCGUAAUUUAUACAUAUUUUUAUCCCAUGCUUAGCAUAAUUUUGGAUGAAUUAUCCUUAGAUUUGGUGAAUUCGAUGCUCCUAAUCCUUUAAUUUCAUGUUUUAUACUUAUGUGAGCAUAGGAGAGUAAAAAGAGCGAGAAACAAGCCAAAAACGGAGAAAAUGGGUCAACGUGGGAAAUCAACAUGGCCUGGACUUCCUCACACGGGUAGUUCACAUACUCGUGUCCAUUCAACAGACUCAAACACAGGUUGAAGCACUUGCCCAUGGACGUGUCACAUGGGCGUGUCCCUGUUGAGCCCAAGUCUAGUCCUAUUCAGAAAAGGCCACUUUUGAGGGUUUUAAAGCAUUCUAAAGCCUAUAUAAACACCCCAGAAGGUACCUAGAAGAGAGACACAGAGUAGGAGGCAAGGAAUUACUCAAAGAAAGCUGAUUGAUCCAUCUCAGAAGCUAGAUUAUCCUUCAAGACUGAAGAUCUCCCCUCAAUUUCCUUCAGAAGUUUUUGGGUUUUCUUUAUAUUUUGUUAUCAUUAUUCUUAUGAGAUGUUUUCUUUUACGCUUAUGAACUAAAUCCCCUAAAUACCUAAGGGGAAUGAAACCUAAGAUGGAGCUUGUUAUUAUUUUCUGAAUUAUAUGAUAAAUAUUUGACUUGUUCUUAAUUAUGAGUUCUUAAUUCUUGCUUUAAUAUUCCAGAAUAUUAAUUCAAGUAUUGAUGUGCUUAUUCAGAGGAGUACAAGUCCCUGUCUAAGAGUAGAUCUAGCAUAAUUAAGUGGAGUUGAUUGCACGCCUAAACAUAGGGUGACAUAAUUUUGCCGAAUUAGGGUGAAACCUAAUAAAGGAAUCCAUAGAUCGAGUUAAUGCAACACUAGGGGUCUUAAUUAGAAAGAGAUUUCAAUUAAUCAACCUAGGGUUAGAUGUUGUUAGUCUUGAGAGAGAUAAUAAUAUAACUUAGGGAUUUCUACGGAUCAAGUCAAGUGAAUAAAUCGUUUGAUUCAGAGUCAAUAACAAGUGAAGUCUAGGUGGAUUUUUCCCUUAGGUAUUGUCCAAAUCAUUCAGUUUUUCCAAAAGUUAUUUCCCUAAUUUACUUUCUGUGCAUUCUUAGUUAAGUAAUUAAUUUCGAUAAAACAAACCCCUUUAUUUAGGCUAGAUAAUAGAAAGAGAGUUAAUACUAGUACUUUUAGUUUCUUUGGGUUCGACAUCCCAGUCUUGCCAUAAGCUAUACUACUGUUCAAUAUGGUGCGAUUGCCUUUGUUGUGAUAAUAGUUAGUUUUCAAGAACAGACAUUCAUAAAUUAUAAAACUUAUCACGAUUCACAUCACAUCAAGUUUUUGGCGCCAUUGUCGGGGAACUAAGAUAUUAGGAACACUUAAUUUUUAUUACUUUAGCCAUUUAUUUUAUUGCAAUUUAUAUUUAUUUUAUUUUUGUUACUAAAUUUUCUUUUUCCUUCUAGCGGGUUUUUAUAGUUUAUGACUAGAAGAAACCCAUCAGGACCAUUACUUUUUGAUAGUGAAUUGAACACAUAGCUCACAGAAACCAAAGAGAAAUAAGGCGAAGCUUAAGAUACAUAGAGGAAGGGCAAGAGGAUGAUAUUCAGACCACAACCGAGGAGAUGGCUGAAAAUCAGGAAAAUUUGCUACCUCCUGCGAUUGCUGCCAAUCCAGUAAAUCAGAAUCCUGCUCCACGUACUAUGUAUGAUUAUGCUAAACCUAAUUUAACAGGAACUGAGUCAAGUAUAGUUAGGCAUGCUAUUGCUGCAAAUAAUUUUGAAUUGAAACCCAACACAAUUUAAAUGAUCCAACGAUUUGUUCAGUUUGAUGGCUUGCAGGAUGAGGAUCCAAACACUCACUUAGCGAAUUUUCUGGACACGUUUAAAAUCAAUGGCAUUUCUGAUGAUGCCAUUGCCUUCGGAUAUUUCCCUUUUCAUUAAGGAAUAAGGCUAAACAGUGGUUGAACUCGUUACCACGACGGUCAAUCACUACUUGGGAACAAAUGACCGAAAAAUUCUUACUUAAAUAUUUUCCACCGGCUAAAAUGGCUAAGUUGAGGAAUGACAUCUCUUCUUUUGUGCAAAUGGACCUCGAAACACUCUAUGAUGCAUAGGAGAGAUACAAGGAUCUUUUGAGAAGGUGCCCUCACCAUGGAUUACCACUCUGGCUAAAAGUUCAAACUUUUCACAAUGGCCUGAAUCCUUUGACUAGACAGAUGAUUGAUGCAGCUGCUGGUGGGACUAUCAAUAAUAAGACACCUGAGGAGGCUUAUGAAUUUAUAAAAGAGAUGUCACUGAAUAAUUAUCAGUGGCAAGUCAUGAGGAUAAAGCCAACAAAAGCAGUCGGCGCUUUUAACAUCGACUCGGUCACCAUGCUUUCUAAUCAGGUAGAACUUUUGAAUAUAAAAAUUGAUGGUUUACUUGGUUCUUCACAAGCUCACCCAGUAAUGCAAUACAAUACAAGUGGAGGAGGAACGAGCAAUUCAAAACACCCACCUUAUGGCCACAACAUGGAAAACGAGCAGUUAAAUUAUAUGGGUAAUAAUCAUCGACCUCAAAAUAAUCCUUAUAGUAACACUUACAAUGCAGGAUAGAGGAGCCACCAAAAUUUCUCAUGGGGAUGCCAAGGGAAUCAGAGACCACCUCCCCCUCCAGGCUUCCAACAACAACCUUACCAGCAAGAGAAAAAGCUGAACCUUGAGGAGAUGAUGUAAAAAUUUAUUUCAGUAGCGGAAACUCAUUUUCAGAACACUGAAACUGCACUUAAAAAUCAGCAAGUAUCGAUCCAAGGACUUGAGAAUCAAAUUGGGCAGCUGGCUAAGAUGAUUUCAGAAAGACCACCAGAAAGUCUACCUAAAAACACCGAACCCAAUACAAAAGAGCAUGUAAAAGCAGUUACACUAAGGAUUGGGAAAGUGUUAGCUGAAUUUGAAAAGACGCCAUCAUAAAAAGUUGACAGAAACAAAGGAGAGGAGGUAAAACCCGAGCACAAUGAGAAUUCAAUGCCAAAGGAAUAUAAACCACCAAUCCCAUAUCUAGCAAAGUUGAAGAAAAACCGUAUGGAUGAACAAUUUGGUAAAUUUCUUGAACUUUUUAAACAAUUUCAUAUUAACUUACCUUUUGUUGAAGCUAUAUCACAGAUGCCUACAUAUGCAAAAUUUUUAAAGGAGCUUCUAACAAACAAAAGGAAGUUUGAAGACCUAUUUACAGUGGAACUUAAUGAGGAGUGCUCAGCCAUACUCCAAAAUAAACUACCAACCAAACUUAAAGAUCCAAGAAGUUUUACUAUUCCCUUCUUAAUUGGUAGUUUGAAUGUCGAUAAGGCACUAGCUAACUUAGGCGCUAGCAUUAAUUUGAUGCCAUAUAAAAUGUUUAAUCAACUUGGUCUUGGGGAACCUAAACCCACUAGGAUGAGCAUUCAAUUAGCUGAUAGAUCUGUUAAAUAUCCUAGGGGAAUUAUCGAGGACGUACUUGUAAAAGUAGAUAAAUUUAUAUUCCCUGUUGAUUUCGUUGUGCUUGACAUGGAUAAGGAUGUUGAAGUACCUUUGAUAAAUGCCAAAUUAUACAUAUCUAUGCCCUAAAUACUUAGCAUAUUUAUGGAUGUUUACUACUAGAUUUGUGGAUUUUGGUGCUCUUAGUCCAGUUAUUUCAUGUUUUGUACUCAGGAGAGCACCAAGAGUCAAAAGGAGCCAAAAACGAGCUAAAAAGGGACAAAACAGACCAAAUCGAGAAGACCACACGGCCUAAGCCUUUCCACAUAGGCUACUUACAUGCCCGUGUCCUUCGAGGGUGUCGACCAAGGCUCUCACGAUUUACACGGCCUGGCCAUUGACCCACAUGGCCGUGUGCAAUUUAACGGAUCGAACACGGCCUGGCAAUCACGUCACAUGGCUGUGGUACACGGGCGUGUCCCAUUUUCAAAGAGUUGUAUUUUACACGGAAAAGGAUAUUUAGGGAGGAAGAAAGAUAAUCCAAAGCCUAUAUAAACACCCUAAGUGUGACCUAAUGAGGGGGCCUCUUCCAGAACUUUUUUGGAAUACAGAACCACACGGCAGGAAUUACUUGAAGGAAGCCAGAUGAUCCAUCCCAAAAGCCAGAGCUACUCCAAGACUGAAGAUCUCUCUCAGAAUUCCUUCAGGGGUUUUAGAGUUUUCUUUAUGUUUUGUUAUUUUUAUACUUUUGAGAUGUAUUCUUAUUUAGUCAUAAACUAAACCCCUAAAUACCUAAGGGGAAUGAAACCUAAGACGAAUCUUGUUAUUAUUUUCUGAAUCAUAUGAUAAAUAUUUAACUUGUUUUUAAUUAUGUGUUCUUAAUUCUUGUUUUGAUAUCCCAGGAUACUGAUUCAAGACACGCUCUGUAAUAGCCCAAAAUUGGGUCUAGUUGGAACAGAGGUUUCGGGACCACAAAAUUUGAGAGAUAAAUAUUUAUUUUAUGAUUAUUUUGAGGUCUAUGAUAUGAUUUCAUGAUUUUGUGAAAAUUUCGUGAAGAAAUUCUAUGCAUAAAGUGCUCAAUUUGAAGUUAGGGACUAAAUUGAAUAAGUUGCAAAACUUGCAUUCUAGAAGUUUCUAGUAUGAAAUUGCUUUGAAAUAUUAAUUAGGAGGUCUUAAAUAGCAAUUUUACCAAUUUCUAAGUGAUGGAAAAAAAUUGGACAUGGAUGGAAUUUUUGAAAGUUUAGUAAGGAAGGGCAUUUUGGUCAUUUGGUAAUUAAAAGAAAUAAAAUGGGAAAAUAAAGCCAAAAUUUACUCAUCUUUUUCAUGGAGGCCGAAAUUAGCAUGGGGGAAACCAUGGCUAGGGUUUUCAAGCUUUCCAAGCUCAAUAGUAAGUCCGUUCUAAUCCCGUUUUUCAAGUUCUUUACAUUUUUGGAAUCCCGAUAAUUUAAUUAAGCUUAUUCUAGCAAUAAUUUAAGCUAGGGUUCAUAUUUGGAAAAAUACUCAUAGGUGAAAUGUGUUUAUUUCGCUGUUUUAUGAUAGAAUAUGAGGUUUUAAAUUAUGUUAGACAACUUGUGCUACUCGGUUUUGAGUGAAAACGAGUAAAAGGGCUUAAUCGGUAAAAAUACCUAAUAGUCAUAAGUAUAUGUUAGAGUGAGAAUUUGAUGUUUCCAUAGAAGAGAAAAGUGAUCAACAUGUCAUAAAACAUAAGAAUAAGGGAUGAAGUUUAAUUCCCGAGCAUAGGGGCAAAAGUGUAAAUAUGCAAAAGUUUAGGGGCAAAAUUGUAAUUUUCCAAAGUUUGAGUUAAGGACUGUUUUGAAUAGUAGAUUAAUUAAAUAAGUAAAAUAUGAUGUUUUAGAUCCCGAAAAAUAAGAUUUGAACCUAGAAUGAGAGAAAAAUCGAAAAUUGGGAAAGUUGGUAAAAUGAUCGUUUUAGUAUCGAGAUAAGUUCAUAUGUAUAAUAAGCAUUAAUUUAUGCAUGUUUCAAUGUAAAAUUGAUAUAUUUAUUAUAAUUUUCGAGGUGUUGAAAGUAUGUAAGUUGGUAUGAUAAUAAUACAGCAAUAAUGUUGUAAUUUAUAUUUGAAAGUUAAAUUUAGUGAAUUAAUUGAAUUAUGUUAAAUUAAAUGAUUAUGGUGCCAAGUUUAUGAAUUGAUUUAAAAAUAUGUCUAUGGUACAUGAAGUGCAUUGAAUUAUCAUACAUAAAUGUGAUUUCUAUGAUUAUGGAUAUUAUGGGAAAUAGUAAGUUCAUAUGAUUUUUAAUAUGGCAAUGUGUAAUUUAAUAUUAUUGCCUUGAUAUUAAAUGAGAUGUAAGUUUAUAUGUAAGUAAUACAUCAAUAUUACUUGUAUUAUGAUAUUUUAUAAUAAUAUUGGAAAUAUGUUUGUGGAUAAUUACUUGAUUGGUGAAAUUGUUGGAAAAGAGAGAGAAAUCCCGGUUGAACCUUCGGAAAGAUUGGAUGAUACAUAUAGUAUGUAGCUAGUCACAUGUAUGGUGCUGAGUGCACAUCAUGUGUACAAGAGAGCUACAAGACAUUAUGAUGUAACUAGGUCGCAUGGGUGAUACUAUGUGUACACCAUGUAGACAAGAGAGCUACGGGAUAUAUGUAGCUAGGUCGCAUGCGUGGUUCCAGGUGAAGGACACCAUGUAGACAAGAGAGCUACGAGAUAAAUUGGCUAGGUUACAUGGGUGGUACUAAGUGUUCAACAUGUGUACAAGAGAGCCGAACUAUAUGAUGGGUGGAGCUAUGUGUUGAAACCACCAAGUAUCGAGGAUUGAUCCGAAGUGUUCAACGGGAGACUCUCUAUGUAUUGCUUUGUGAGUUUUGUGAUGAAUAAGUGCAUGAACUUGGUUAUGUGAAUGAUGUGUUCAUUAAGUGGCCAGGAUGUGGUAAGGUUAUAAACAAGUAAGUUAUACAUAAGGAUGAUUUUAUGGCGACCUUGUGAUCAUGGGCCUAUACUUGUGAUGUAUGAAAUGUGGUGAAAAUGAUUUGUGAUAUGUAUGUUAAAAUGAGGUUAAUACAAAGAAAGUGUGAAAGAGUGAAUUAGCAAUAAAACUGUUUUAGACAGUAGCAGUGAUGUGAUUUUGAAAAAUCACCAAAAAUAGUAGAAAUGGAAUCAGAGACUGAAUGAGAUAUCAAAUUAAAUCUUAAUGAGUCUAUUUUCAUAUAAAAUAAACAAAGAAAGAAAAUGAGUUCUAUAUUUUGAUAUAUUUUUGUUUUUGUGAGACUGGUUUAGAAUGAUUACGUGAUCCCCUGUUUGGACUUUGGAAAAUCACAAAAAUUUGGAUAAAAAUAAUUAGAGGCUUAAAAUUAUAUUUUUAAAAUCCCUAAUGAGUCUAUUUUCAAUAUAAAUCAACAAGAAUAUUAUCUGAUUUCUGUAUUGUGAGAUAAUUAAUUUUUAGUGAAGAGUGGUCAGAACUAUCAGAAUGUGAAACAGGGGAAAUUUUAAUGAAUAAACUGUACUAAUUUGCUAAACCAAAAAUUAUGAAAAUUUUAUGGUGCAAAGAUAUGUGAGUCCAGUUUUAGGGGAAAUUUAUAGAUCUUAAUUUGGAGCUCUGUAGCUCGAAUUAUAAAUAAGUAAUUGACUAUGAGUUGUGUGGACAGUUUGAUGUGAGCAUUUAUUAGUAAAUUGUGAAAUCGUACUUACAAGAAUGCUAUAUACAUUAAGGAUGUGGAAUGGAGAGGAGGAGGAGGAAAAUAAAUAUAUGUGGAAUACAUGGAAACUAUGGUAUAUGAAAUAUUGAUAUAAUGAAAUAAAUGAUAUGUGUUUAUAAGAAAACAGAAAGAGAAUGAUAUGUAUCAUGACAUGUAUAUAUAUAUGACUAGUCUCAAUGUAAUGCUUGUAGGGUAUGGAGUUGAAUUAAAAUGUUUUAGGAAAACAUGUUAUUUGCGCAUCUGAAUUGUGGUAUUUUAUAAUGAUAUGAUCUAGUUUUAAAUAUGAAUGCUUGAUGAUUAAGCUGAAGAUAUUUGGUAAGAUUAUAAUCUUGGUAUAAAUGUAUAAGUGGUACUAUAAUAAACAAGGUAAAAUGAGUAUGAGAGACACAUGUAUGAUGAUAUACAAAUGCUAUGUUUGUGGUUUAAUUGAGAAUAUUUAAUCAUAAAUGAAUACCAUGUUAUAUGCUUUUGAUUUUGUAUAAGUGUGUAAAAGAUUAAGGUUGACCAAAGCUUGGAAAAUAUCCUAGGUAUAUUCCACACAGGCAGAGACACAACCAUGUGUCUCAGCCGUGUAUGGAACACGACUUUGGGACACGGGUGUAUGGAGCCUUAAAGCAUGAAAUUUCCAAGAUUUUUGUAAGUUCUCGGUUUAGUCCCGAACCCUUUCUAAAGUAUGUUUUGGGCUUCGUAGACUCAAAUAAGUGACUAUGUGUAAGUGAAUGAACGUUUUGAAAUAUGAAUGAAAUUUUAUGGCCCGUAUUUUAGUUUAAUGUUUGUAUGUUUGUCCGGUAAUGCCUCGUACCUUAUCCCGACCUCGGGUACGGGUAAGGGGUAUUACACGCUCUUAUUCAGAGGAGGAAUAGACCCUGUUUAAGAGUACAUUUGCCAUAAUUAAGCAGAGUUGAUUACGCGCCUAGAAAUAGGGUGACAAGAUUUUGUCGGAUUAGGGUGAAACUUAAUAAGGGGAUCCAUAGAUCGAGUUAAUGCAACCCUAGAGUGUUAAUUAGAGAAAAGUAUCCAUUAUUCAAUUUAGGGAUUAGAAGUUAUUAGUCUUGAAUAGGGAUAAUAACAUAACUUAGGGAUCUCUACAGAACAAGUUGAAUGAAUAAAUCGUUCAAUUCGGAGCCAGAAUAACAAGUAAAGUCUAGGUGGAUUUUUCCUUAGGUAUUGUCUCAAGUCAAUCGAUUUUCCCAAAACCAAUUCCCCAAUUCUUUUCACUGUGUGUUCUUAGUUUAAAUAAUUAGUUAAUUAAAACAAACCCUUUUAUUCUAAGGCUAGAUAAUAAAAAGAUAGUUAUUACUAGUACUUUUGGUUCCCUUGGGUACGAUAUCCCUGUCUUGCCAUUACUAUACUAUUGUUCGAUAGGUGCGCUUGCCUUUUCGUCGUGAUAAUAGUUAGUCUAGGUUUGAUCUUCAUUAUAAAUAUUUAUUACUUGUUACGAAUCACGCGAUCAAGUUUUUGACGCCGUUUCCGGGGAACUAAAAUAUUAGGAACACUAAAUUUUUAUUACUUUAGCCAUUUAUUUUUCUUGCAAUUUUAUUUUAUUUUAUUAUUUAUUAAUUUACUUUUCCUCUCUCUUGGCAGGUUUUUAUAGUUUAUGACUAGAAGAAACCCGUCGGGACCAUUACUUUUUGACGAAGAAAUCGAUCAUACAAUUCGUAAAAAUCCAAGAGAAAUAAGGCGUAGCUUACGAUACACGGAGAACGAGCGAGAAUAAGAUACUCAAACCCCAACCGACGAGAUGGCUGAAAACCAAAGCAAUCAGCUACCUCCUUCUAUUGCUGCUAAUCAAAAUCCUGCUCCACGUACUAUGUAUGAUUAUGCUAAACCUUCUUUAACAGGAACUGAAUCUAGCAUAAUUAGACCUACUGUAGCUGCAAAUACUUUUGAAUUAAAACCUAACACUAUUCAGAUGAUACAGUAGUUUGUUCAGUUUGAUGUUUUGCAGGAUGAAGAUCCCAAUGCUCACUUAGCAAAUUUCCUAGAAUUUUGUGAUACAUUCAAAAUUAAUGGCAUUUCUGAUGAUGUCAUUCAUCUUCGGUUAUUUCCCUUUUCACUGAAAAAAAUCUAAACAGUGGUUGAACUCAUUACCGCGAGGGUCUAUCACUACUUGGGAACAAAAGAUCGAGAAAUUUUUACUAAAAUAUUUUUCGCUGGCUAAAAUGGCUAAAUUAUGUAAUGAUAUCUCUUCUUUUGUGCAGAUGGAUUUAGAAACACUUUACGAUGCAUGAGAGAGAUACAAGGGCUUACUAAGAAGGUGCCCUCACCAAUGGGUUACCGCUUUGGCUUCAAGUACAAACAUUCCACAAUGGCCUGAAUCCCUCGACUCGGCAGAUGGUUGACGCAGAUGCUGGUGGAACCAUCAACAAUAAAACACCGGAAGAUGCCUAUGAAUUUAUAGAGGAGAUGUCACUAAAUAACUAUCAGUGGCAAGUUAUGAAGACUAAGCCAACAAAAACAGCCGGCGUUUAUAACAUCGAUUCAAUCACCAUGCUCUCUAAUCAGGUAGAACUUCUCAAUAAAAAGAUUGAUGGCUUACUUGGUUCUACGCAGGUACAUCCAGUAAUGAGGUGUGACUCAAGUGGCGGAGGUGUGCAUACAGAAUACCAAUCCUUCAAUCCUACAACUGAAGAAGAACAAGUCAACUAUAUGGGUAACAAUAACUUUCGAUCUCAAAAUAACCCAUAUAGUAAUACCUAUAAUGCAGGUUGGAGGAACCACCCAAAUUUCUCCUGGGGUGGUCAAGGGAAUCAAAAGCCACAAAAUCCUCAGGGUUUUCAACAGCCACCUUAUCAACAAGAGAAGAAACCAAACCUUGAAGAGAUGCUUUCUAAAUUCAUCUCGGUGUCACAAACCCGUUUUCAAAAUACUGAAACAACACUUAAGAAUCAACAAGCAUCAAUCCAAGGACUUGAAACUCAGAUAGGUCAGCUAUCCAAACUAAUCUCCGAAUGACCGCAAGGUAGCUUACCAAGUAAUACUAAACCUAAUCCGAGGGAACACCUCAAUGCAAUUAGCACUCAAAAUAAGGACGGACUCAUUGCACCUGAGCCAGAAAUACAACAAGACAACGCAAUGAACAAAGGACGAGAAGAGGUAAACAAUAAUGAUCCCAAAUAGGUAAUUACGAAUCAUGAACCUCGUGUGCCGUACCCUAAAGUGAUGACGAAAGACAGAAAAGAAGAACAAUUCAGUAAGUUUGUCAAACUCUUUAAAAAAUUACAUAUUAACUUACCCUUUAUUGAAGUUCUUUCGCAGAUGCCCAACUCAGCAAAAUUCUUAAAGGAACUUCUAACCAAUAAAAGAAAAUUAGACGCUACAUCGCAUGGGGAACUCAAUGCAGUCUGCUCAGCUAUUCUAAAGAAUAAGCUACCUAACAAAUUGAAAGAUCUAGUGAGUUUUACAAUUCCUUGCUUAAUUGGUAGUUUAUCUGUGAAUAAUACUUUAGCUGAUCUAGGGGUAAGUAUAAAUGUUAUGCCAUAUAAAAUGUUUAAACGACUAGGUCUCGGUAAACCCAAACAGAAUAGGAUGAGCAUACAAUUGGCUGACAAAACAGUUAGAUUUCCUAAGGGUAUUAUUGAAGAUGUUCUCGUUAAAAUUGAUAAAUUUAUUUACCAGUAGACUUUGUCGUUUUAGAUAUGGACGAGGAUAAUGAGGUACCUUUAAUUUUAGGACGACCCUUUUUAGCAACUGCUAGAACCAUCAUUAAUGUAGGUACAGGAGAGCUAACACUUCGUGCAGGUGACGACACAGUAACACUCCAAGCACGCGACUCAGUCAAAACCUCUAAAACUCAAAAUAAUGCUAUAAAACCUGUCGAUGAUAAAACUAAUAUUCAAUCGUCCUUGCAAGAACUUCCUCGAACCAAGACAACAGAGACAGUGCGCUACUAUCAUGAAGAGAACAAAGACGUCCAUAGAGAACAAAGAUGUCCAUGAAGAACGAAGACUACGGAUAGAGGAGCUAGACGAAUGGCAAGAACACAAACCGAGAACACAUGAUAAACCAAAACUACGCCAAAACAAGCCCGAUACCUCUCCUAAUCAACUUAAGGUUGGCGAUAAAGUCUUACUAGAUCCUCACAUUGUCACUACCACACCGAAUGAGGAAAUCCCUCUUACGGUACUUAGUAUUUUUCCAUUCGGUACGGUGGAGGUGAGUCAUCCCAAGUUCGGCACUUUUAAGGUAAACAACACCCGUUUAAAACCUUAUUUUAAGAUUGACAAUAGGAACGAGGAGUAUGAACUCCUCAAACCAACAUGAUCAUUCAACGGAGAGGUAAGUCGAGCUUAGACUAUAAAUAAGUGCUUCUCGGGAGGCAACCCGAGCACUAACAUAUUUUGAUUUCUUUAUUUUUAAUUUUUAUUUCUAACACUUUGAAUCAUUAACUUAAUCUUUGAAUUGCAAAGUUUUUCAGCACACACGGCCAGGCACACGGGCGUGCCUAAAGCCGUGGCCAAACAGGGGAAGAGGCACGGCCGUGUGGAAGCAGGACACGCUUUUCCCAAAACAUGGGGUGCGAUAAAUCCCCCAUGGCCGUGGGUGAGCUUGAUAGGAGACCACAGGAGUGGGAAUAAAAAACCAUGGGCGUGUCAGGGACAAGGCUCGAUUCUGUUUCUUGGACACGGGCGUUAGACACGCCCGUGCCAUUCAGUCGUGUACAAUACUACACGGGUAUGCUACCAUAAAACACGAGCGUGGGAGAAGUGAACAAAGCUGGGCAAGGCCGUACGUCAUGGCCGUGUUUGACACACGCCCGAGAGACACGGGCGUGUGAUAGUAGCCGGGCACGACCUAACUUGCAAAAUUCGAAAAGCAUGGGCUCACCCUCAAAGUACAUGGGCAUGGCCCUAGGCCGUGUGCCCCUCCCCUAUAUAAGCAAACCACUGUUCAUCUUCUUCCUCAUUUCAAAACCCUAGUCAAAAUCUACCUUCUUCUAACCCUUAAUGCCUAUUCCGGCCACCAUUCCCUAGAUUCUCACUCCCCCAACCCCCAAACCACCCUCAAAUUCACUCCCCUUGCAUUAAUCCCCAUUUUCCCCUCCCUAUACCCUUAAAUUUCCCACCACACGGCUUCAUCCCUGUGUCACACGCCCGUGCUCGCCACCAACACGCCCGUGCAGCGCCUUACAACAGCCUUUGGUUCCCUUUCUCAACCUUAUUUUUCCAAUUUAUGUUGCUACAUUAGUAUUCUACAUGUUUUGCAUAGAUAUUGUUACUAUUACAAAUAUGUUUUAGAAAAGUUAGGAAUUUGCUUUAGAAUUUUCUAUAUUUGAAUUGUUUAAGCUAUUAAAUCGCAUAUAUUAGUUUUAGGCCACUUGCUUAACUACUAAUGUAUCUUGGAUUCUAUCAAUGCUAAUGUAUUUUCAGGAACAUUAUGUCGUCAUCGAGAGGCAAGAAGGCCGUGGUUCCAUCCUCAAAGAGACGUAGGGGACCGGGUUCUUCUGCGGUACAUGCUACAGCCAAAGUUCGACACUCGUUCCUUGAAUUUUUGCAAGCUUUGCAGGAGGAGCUAUUUUAGAUAUUACGCGCACGACCCAUCACCACAGGUCGCUACAUCGACUGGGCUGCCGUUGAGCAAGUUCAGCUCGCUGAUGCCAUCCGCGCCCUCCUAUCUAUAGACCUAUGAGAACGGUUCUUCGCUAUUACCGAGCCUACUUCUUUAGAGCUAACUUUAGAAUUAUGCUCUACUUUUCAUUUACAGGUGGUGAUGACGAACAAUGACGACCCGGGAACCAUUCACUUCCUAUUAGGCGGUCUAGUUCGUGCGAUGAGUGUCCUAGAGUUUGGAGUUGCUCUGGGACUUUACACCGAUGAGUUUAUGGAGGAGGAGGACAUGAAUGCACUACUACGCAAUAUCCACAUCUCCCCUCCUUGUGCUGGAAGGCUUUGGUGCCACUCUCUUCCACCUACAACCCCAGCUGCUCGAAGGCCUCAGCUCUCCCCCUUCCCGACGAUAUCUCCAUGCCAUAUUGGUACACACCUUGACCAGAAGGAGAGAGAGCACCGGCGUCGUCAACACCCACGACCCCUACUAUUUAUGGUGCAUGGUGAAUGCACAUGUGACUGACUCGGCAUACUUCAUUGCUUUUGCCAUUCGCCAUCAGACCGAGCGGCAUAGGAAGGGAGUGAUCUCUAUCGGUCCCUACGUGACGCACCUUGCCAGACAUUUCGACCUCCUCAACACUGUGGCCCAGUCAUCAGCGCUUACCUUAAUAGGUUAGAUGUCCCCACAGGGCAUCACGACUAUGUUACACAUGAGGAUGAUUGAGCGCCGACGUGGGACCGAUCCUCCUCAGUACCGUCUCUCGCAUGCCAUUGACGAGGAGGAUCUUGAGGACAUCCCUGAUGAUGUUCCCCCACAGCAUGAGGAGCCUUCCACCGUGCCACCUAGGGAAUGACUAGUUCAUGCGGCUGCUUCAUUGACACAUCUUUCCAACCGACUUGCCCACUUCGAGCAGUAUUGUACUACACAGUUCGAGAUGAUUCAUGAGCAAGAUCAACGACGGGAUCGACAGAUGGACAAUAUGUAGGCCAUGAUGUAGCAGCUGUGCCAGCACUUUCACAUCGCCACUCUAGCACCACCACCUGAGGGCCCCACUGACGAGGAUCAUUGAAUCCUCCUCUCUUUUUUUUAUUCUUAUUUUUAUUUUUCUUUUUAUUUUCAUUUCAAUUUUAUUAUUUUAUUUUGAAAGACAUAUCUAUAUUAGUAAAUUUUACUUUUUCCAUUUUCUGGUAUUCCUAACAAGUAAUCCCACUAUGCUAUCUUCCACACUAACUCUUAAUAAGCUCUUCAUGAUUCUACAGACUUCCAAGCAAAGCUGCUAGGAAUAUUUUACGGAAUGAGGAACCAAAUGGGAAAUAAUACCUCACGAGUGCCAUGUUCAACGACCUAAUUUCUUCAUCUAGCCAAGAACAAUGGCAGCUACCACUUUCCCCGAACACUUCAUCCUCAGAAUCAAGCUCCACAUCCAUAUAAUAGGGAGUUUCACCUCCUUUUCUCUUAUGAUUUUCUUUAUUUUGAAUAAUCUAUAUUUGUAAAUUGAGGGCAAUGUACAUCUUAAGUGUGUGGGGGUGAACAUGAAGCCUAACUUUUUGCAUUAUUCUCAAAUCCCUGAAUUUGGUUUUGUGCUUAAGUGAUUUUCUCAUAAGCUUGAUCGAAUGAAUUCUGAUUGAUCUAUAAUUAUUGUUGAUAUGUCAUGAAUUAGAUCAUGGGAAUUAUGCAUGAUCAUUUGAUUAUAGGACAUUAGAGAAUCAAGCAUGAUAAAUUGAUAUUUUGAGAACUAAAAUUUUUAGACUAUUUUCCUAAAUUGAGGUAUUAUCUUGAAAUCUUAAGUAAACAUGAAUGACAUCAAAAACCCAAAUUUUUUGUGAGAUUUUUGAGCCUUUUGAGCAUAUAGCUUUCUUUCUUGCUCACUUCUUUUGUGGUUUGAGUGUGUCAACAUUGAAUUGUUAUUCUAGAACUUGCUUCGAUUAUACAUGUCGAGAUCGCACGUAUGAUUUGAUAUACUGAGAUGAUAAAGGCACUUAGGAUUUAACCCACUUACUCCAUAAAAAGCCUUUCCACAUAAUUAAACCCUUAGCAAACUCCCUUUGAGCCUACUAACCUUUUUUUAUUGAUUAACCCUUAUCAUUAACCCAUUAACCCAUUAUUGUUGAAAUCCUCUUUCUUAAUUUACCUUUUUAUCGAGAUUAAAUUUAAUAUUGUUACCUCACUAUGUUCACCAUUUUUUGUUACUGAAUCAUGAAGUAUGAUUUCUAUAUUGUAUUGACUUAACUUGUUCUUAAUUAAAAGAAAAACUCAGUAUUAUUAUUGUAAUUCUCAGCAAGAUAAAGUUGUCAUGAACUCAUGUAAAAUAGUUCUAGAUAUUUGUUUGUGGUUCAGUAAUUAAGUUUUUGAUAGUGGGGUAACAUAUUAAAAUUAUCUCAAUUCUAACCCUUGUCUCUUCAGCUUGUAUCCAUACUUGUAACCUAAACCCCAUUACAACCAUGUAAAGACCUUUUGAUUAGUAUAUCAUAUCAUUUACAAGUGGUGGAGAUUUGAUUUUCAUGCAAGCCUAUGGUAAUAACUUUUCAUGUUAGAUAAUUGAGUGCUUAAUCUUGAACCUUAAACACUUUGAGUGAUUUGAGUGAAUCUCUAGUGAGGAUGUCAUCUCUUAUAUAUUUAGACUAAAGUUAAUUACUUAGAGGAAGGAGAUUACCUAUGAUUUUAUUAUCAAAAUAUCCGAUUUAGAUUGUUUGAGGUUUUUAAUGACCCUAUAGUUAAAUUCUCACUGUAUGAUUUUUCGUGGAAUAGUUUGUAACAUUAUCAAUACUGAUCAUGUGAUUGAAAAGUAUGAAUUCUGGUAGUAAAUGAGAAUUUUGCUUGAGGACAAGCAAAUGCUUAAGUGUGGGGGUAUUUGAUAAACACCAAAUUAUACAUAUCUAUACCCCAAAUACUUAGCAUAUUUAUGGAUGUUUACUACUAGAUUUGUGAAUUUUGGUGCUCUUAAUCCGGUUAUUUCAUGUUUUGUACUCAGGAGAGUCCCAAGAGUCAAAAGGAGCCAAAAACGAGCUAAAAAGGGACAAAACAGACCAAAUCGAGAAGACCACAAGGCCUAAGCCUUUCCACACGAGCUACUUACAUGCCCGUGUCCGUCGAGGGUGUCGACCAAGGAUCUCACGAUUCACACGGCAUGGCCAUUGAUAUACACAACUGUGUGCAAUUUAAUGGGUCGAACACGGCCUGGCAAUCACGUCACACGACCGUGGCACACGGGCGUGUCCCAUUUUCAAAGAGUUGUAUUUUACACGGAAAAGGAUACUUAGGGAGGAAGAAAGAUAAUCCAAAGCCUAUAUAAACACCCUAAGUGUGACCUAAUGAGGGGGCCUCUUCCAGAACUUUUCUGAAAUACAAAACCUCACUCCAAGAAUUACUUGAAGAAAGCCAGACGAUCUAUCCCAAAAGCCGGAGCUACUCCAAGACUGAAGAUCUCUCUCAGAAUUCCUUCAGGGGUUUUAGAGUUUUCUUUAUGUUUUUUUAUUUUUAUACUUUUGAGAUGUAUUCUUAUUUAGUCAUAAACUAAACCCCUAAAUUCCUAGGGGAAUGAAACCUAAGAUGAAUCUUAUUAUUAUUUUCUGAAUCGUAUGAUAAAUAUUUAGCUUGUUCUUAAUUAUGUGUUCUUAAUUCUUGUUUUGAUAUCCCAGGAUACUGAUUCAAGACACGCUCUGUAAUAGCCCAAAAUUGGGUCUAGUUGGAACAGAGGUUUCGGGACCACAAAAUUCGAGAGAGAAAUAAUUAUUUUAUGAUUAUUUUGAGGUCUAUGAUAUGAUUGCAUGAUUUUGUGAAAUUUUCGUGAAGAAAUUCUAUGCAUAAAGUGCUCAAUUUAAAGUUAGGGACUAAAUUGAAUAAGUUGCAAAACUUGCAUUCUAGAAGUUUCUAGUAUGAAAUUGCUUUGAAAUAUUAAUUAGGAGGUCUUAAAUAGCAAUUUGACCAAUUUCUAAGUGAUGGAAAAAAAUUGGACAUGGAUGGAAUUUUUGAAAGUUUAGUAAGGAAGGGCAUUUUGGUCAUUUGGUAAUUAAAAGAAAUAAAAUGGGAAAAUAAAGCCAAAAUUUACUCAUCGUUUUCAUGGAGGCCGAAAUUAGCAUGGGGGAAACCAUGGCUAGGGUUUUCAAGCUUUCCAAGCUCAAUAGUAAGUCCGUUCUAAUCCCGUUUGGAUAUAUUCAAAUCCCAAUAGCACCUGAAGAUCAAGAAAAGCGACAUUCACAUGUCCAUACGGUACGUUUGCUUAUCGUAGAAUGCCUUUCGAAUUAUGUAAUGCUCCUGCUACUUUUUAGCUUCGCAUGAUGGCCAUUUUUGACGAACUCGUAGAAGACAUCAUAGAGGUAUUUAUGGAUGAUUUCUCGGUUUUUGAUAACUCUUUCCAUCUUUUCCUUAAAAAUUUAAAACAAGUCUGAAUAAGAUACGAGGAAACAAAUCUGGUGCUCACUUGGGAAAAAUGUCAUUUUAUGGUUCAAGAAGGUAUUGUGUUAGGACAUAAAAUUUCUAUUAAAGGGAUUGAGGUCAAUAAAUCUAAAAUUGAAGCCAUUGAGAAACUACCUGCUCCUAAAUCGGUUAAGGCUAUUAGAAGCUUUUUAGGACAUGCUGGGUUUUAUAGAAGAUUUAUUAAAGAUUUUUCUAAAAUAGCUAAGCCUCUGACUAAAUUACUAGAAAAAAGAUGUGCCUUUUAAUUUUGAUCAAGAAUGUUUAGAAGCAUUCAAUACUUUAAAGGAUAAAUUGACUAAAGCUCCAAUUAUAAUUGCACUUGAUUGGAAUUCACCUUUCGAACUAAUGUAUGAUGCGAGUGAUUUUGCAGUAGGUGCAGUUUUGGGAUAGUGAAGAGAUAAGCAUUUUCAACCUAUCUACUAUGCUAGAAAAACUUUGACUGUCGCACAAGAAAACUACACCACCACAGAGAAAGAGCUGCUAGCUGUGGUUUUUGCUUUCGAUAAAUUUAGGCCAUAUCUAAUAUUGUCUAGAGUUGUUGUUUAUACUGACCAUUCUGCUCUUCACUACCUUUUAACUAAGACUGAUGCAAAACCUUGACUCAUUCGAUGGAUUUUGUUAUUGCAGGAAUUUGACUUGGAAAUUAAGGAUAGGAAAGGAACAGAAAAUCUCGCGGCUGAUCAUCUUUCCAGGCUUGAAAAUUCAAGUACCAAAGAGCUAGAUGAAGUUGAAAUAAAUGAUUCAUUCCCUAAAGAACAAUUUUUUUCCAUAUCUAAUUCUGAGGUACCCUGGUUUGCAGACAUUGCAAAUUUUUUAGCCACUAACAUUAUUCCAAAAGGGUUGACACAUCAACAAAAGAAGCGAUUCUUUACUGAUGUGAAAAACUACUUUUUAGAGGACCCUUUCCUUUUCCGUAUAUGCGUAGACCAAGUCAUUAGGAGAUGCGUUACAAGGACAGAAGCAUUGAAGAUCUUGGACCAUUGCCACUCAGGACCGACUAGAGGACAUUACAGUGGGAAUAAGACCGCACAUAAUGUAAUAUCCUGAAUUAGGGCCUAAUCAGAAUAAUGGUUUCGGGAUGACAAAUUCGAGAUAGAAAUAAUUAUUUUAUUAUCAUUUUAAGGUCUAUGGCAUGAUUUCAUUAUUUUGUGAAAAUUUCGUUUAGAAAUUUUAUCGAUAGAGGGUCUAAUUUGAUAUUUAAGACUAAAUUGCAAAAGUUGUAAACUAUGUGUUCUAGUUCACAAAGGUACUAAGUACUUGUGAGUAAUGGGUUUUAAAGUGGAGGUCCUUGGAUAGUAAUUAGACCAUUAUACUAGUUUGGGCAAAAAUACCUAAAGGAAGAUAAAACACCAUAGUUUUUAAUUAAGGGCAUUUUGGUCAUUUAGUUAUUAAAAAUAAUUAAAAACAAAAUUAAAAGCCAAUUUUUGUCCAUCUUCAACCCCUUGGCCGAAUUUCACAUGAGUAAGACAUAGCUAGGGUUUUUCAAGCUUCCAAGCUCAAUUGUAAGUCCAUUUUGGCCCCGUUUUUAAUGUUCUUUACGUUUUUGGAGUCCCGGUAACUUGAUUAAGCUUAUUCUAGCAAUAAUUUAACCUAGGGUUUAUAUUUGGAAAAAUACCCAUAGGUGAAAUGUGUUUAUUUUGAUGUUUUAUGAUAGAAUAUGAAGCUUGAAAUUCUGUUAAACAACUUUUACUAAGCGGUUUUACGUGAAAACGAGUAAAACGACAUAAUUGGUAAAAAUACCUAAUGUUCAUAAGUACAUGUUAAAGUGAGAAUUUGAUGUUUCCAUAGAAGGGAAAAAUGAUCAGCAUGUCAUAAAAAAUAAUAAAAUAGGAUGAAGUUUAAUUUCCGAGCCUUGGGGAAAAAGUGUAAAUAUGUAAAAGUUUAGGGGUAAAAAUGUAAUUUUCCAAAGUUUGAGUCAAGGACUGUUUUAAUAAAUGUGAGUAUUAAAUAAGCUAAAAUUUUUAUUUAAGAUCAAGAGAAACAAGAUUCAAGUCGUUAUCAAGGGAAACAUAAAGUUUACGAGGAAUAGACUCGAUUUCUAACAUUUUGUACCGAGGUAAGUUCAGGUGUAAAUGUAGUAACAUAAUUGUCAUUUUAAGUAAUUUAAUGUCAUUUAUAUGAUAUGAUGAUUAUUAUCAUGAAAUAUUAUGCUUUGUGGAUUAUUAUUUAGUAAUAUGCAAAUUAUGUGAGUUACUUGAUAAAUAUGAAACCUAUCAAGUAUCGGUUCGACAUUCCGUGGAAGACAGCAAAGAUGUGUGAUUGAGGAAAAUCCCGUUUGAACCUUGGGAAUAGAUUAGGAUACAAGUGACAUGUCAUUGGAUAUUUGAGUUCCGAUCUCGUUAAGUUGAGUCCGAGUUCGUGAGAUGUAACUAGGCAUCCGAACUUGUUAAGUUGACUCCGAGUUCACUUAUGGAUGCAAACGCCCUAGCUCGUUGAGUUGAGUCUGAGUUCGUUUAUAGGCGGAUUACAUGGUAGCUUGGCUACAUAAUUUCUGCAGGCUAUUGAGUUUGUCUAGCUGCGGGUAUGGCACUUAUGUGCAUGCAAUCCGUGUAUCCAAAUUAUAUUCCGAUGUGUUCAAUGGGUGAAUCUUAAGUGAAUAAGGAGAAUACUUAAGAUGAAGGUGACAUGUUGGUAAGUGUGGUGAAUGAGAAAAUUUGGACAGGUAUGUGCUUAAACCCUAGGGGUUGAGAACUUGGUAUGAUGAAAUCAUGGUAAGAUAGUAAAUGCAAAUGUAACAUGAAUGUCUUGGUGAUAUUUAUACAAAUGAUGUUUUAUGUGGGAAUGCAUGAUUAUGUUGCAUGUUAUUUACAUGUGAACUUACUAAGCAUUUAUGCUUACUCCCUCUUUUCCAUUCUUUGUAGUUUUGACACGCCAGCUUGGAAAUUGGGAACGGUCGGAGGCUCGCUUACACUAUCCGUGACCAUUUUGGUAUUGUAUAUUUUGAGUAUGGCAUGUAUAGUAUUAUAAUCAUUUUUUGUAUAUGAUCUUAUGAUAUGGCCAUUGGGUGGUAAGGAAAUGUUUGAUAAUGAUUAGCCAUUGGAAUGGCUAAUAAAGAUCAUAUUUGGUGUUAUGUAUGCUUAAUGUGCUAUCUAAUCCAUGGAAAUUCAUAAAAAGUGAAAUUUGCUAUAAAACAGUAUCAUACAGCAGUAAUGACGUGAGUUUGAAAAAUCACUAAAUAUAUUAGAAAUAGAAUUAGAUCAUUAAUAAAAUAUUAAAUUGAAUCUUAUUGAGUCUAUUUUCAUAUGGAAGAAACAAAACAAGUAAAUGAGUUUUAUUUUAUGAGAAAUUUGAGUUUUGGUGGAAUAGGGUCAGAGCAAUUUCUGUAUCCCUUAUUUUGACUUUAUAAAUUUAUUAAAAAUUGUAAAAAAAUAAUUAUGAGUCAUAAUUUAUAUGUAUAGAUUCCGUAUUGAGUCUACAUUUAAUAGAAACAAAUGGAAUAGUCAUUUGAAUUCUGUAUAGAGAGAAAAGUGAUUCAUAGUGAACAGAGAUUAGACCAGUUGAACACUGAAAUAGGGGAAAUUUUAACUAAUAAACUGUACUAAUUGGCCCAACCAAAAAUUCUGGAAAAAAGUUAGUAAAUAGAUAUAUGAAUCUAGUUUCAGGAAAAAUUUAUGGAUUUUAAUUUUGAGUUUCAUAACUUGAGAUAUGAUUUUUUUUAGCAACUGUGACGUAGAUGGGCAGUUUAUUAAGAAAGGUGAAAUAAAUUGUUUGAAAUUGUUUAAGUGACAAUUUAAGUCUAUUAACACCUCGUGCUCGACUCUGGCGAUGUCUCAGGUAAGGGGGUGUUACAAUUGGUGGUAUCAGAGCUACGGUUUAGUCAGUUCUCGGACUAAUGUGGUGUAUGUAUGGGUUUUGCUAUACAUGCCAUAUAUAUAUUGUGAUAGUGUGACGACUCCUGACCUUUAAAAUGAUUUUUUUAUAUAGUAAAUGGAUCCCGAUCCAGCUGUGGCCGAUGAUGUAGAGAGCAAUGCGCCAGCUCCUGCUGAAGGGGCUGUGUCGACUGAAAAUCGACCUCCUACUGUUAGUUAGGAGGAGAAAGGGCUCGGGAAGCCUUUCUCCAGAUGAUGAAUGCAUGGUACACCGAGUUCGUUCGUAUGAACCCGAAUGCUCAACAACCUCCCCCACCUCCCCCGAUUCCUCAACCUGUACCCCCGAUGCCUCAAGGUAUGGAUCUGAUGAAAUUUCAUAGAACCCCAAUUGACAGAAUUCGCAAGCAAGGGGCUGAAGAAUUCAGGGCAAAUGUUGAUGAUGAUGCUGAAAAAGAAAAAUUUUGGCUUGAGAAUUCUAUUCGGGUAUUUGAUGAAUUGUCUUGUACACCUGAAGAGUGCUUAAAAUGUGCUAUAUCUUUGUUGAGAGAUUCAGCCUAUUAUUAGUGGAAGACAUUGAUUUCAAUGGUACCGAAAGAGAAAGUGACUUGGGAGUUCUUUUAAGAAGAAUUUUGGAAGAAAUACAUCAGUGAAAAAUUUGUUGAACAGAAGCGUAAAGAGUUUCUCGAGUUGAAACAAGGCAACAUGACAGUUACUGAGUAUGAAAGGGAGUUCGUUCGGUUGAGUAAGUAUGCUAGAGAAUGUAUUCCUUUAGAGGCUAAAAUGUGCAGACGAUUUGAAGACGGACUCAAUGAAGACAUCAAAGUAUUUUUGGGAUUGCUUGAGUUGAAAGAGUUCGUAGUACUUGUUGGUCGGGCUUGCAAGGCUGAAGAACUAAUUAAAGAACAGAGAAAGGCAGAGGCUGAGACUAGAAAUUUGAAGAAAAGACCGAUGAGCAGUGCAUUCCCACUGCAAUCUAGAAAAUCCUGAGAUAUGAAUUCUCGUUCUCAUGUUUCGGCCUGACAUUCAUAUGGGAAUUGUAAGAAGAAAAAUGCGGGUUUUAAAUCUCAAACUACUUCUAUGGCUAGUGUGGGAAAUUUGAGAUUUGUUAGACCUGAGUGCUAAUAAUGUGGUAGAAGUCACCUUGGUCCUUGUAGAACUAACGAAUGUUACCAGUGUGGUUCUUCAGAUCAUUUUAUUAGAGACUGUCCCGAGAGAAUUGAGAAAGAAAAAUUUUCAAAGUGCAAAACCUAGUGGUACAGUUUCGAGAGGAAGAUCUUCGAGAAAUGCUGGGAAUGAGGCAAGCAGCAAGAAUGUAGUCAGAGAUUCAGCGUUUAAAUCUGAAGCUAGAGCUCCGGCUAGAGCUUAUGCCAUAAGGGCGCGUGAAGAUGUUUCAUCUCUCGAUGUGAUCACUGGUAUUUUUUCUCUUUAUGAUGUUAACGUUAUUGCUUUGAUUGACCCCGAUUCUACUUAUUCAUAUAUGUGCAUGAAAUUGGUUUCUAAUAUGAGUAUACCUGUUGAGUCUACGAAAUUUAUGAUUAAAGUGUCAAACCCGUUAGGCAAAUGUGUUAUAGUUGAUAAAGUAUGCAAGAAAUGUCCUUUGAUGAUUGGAGGUCAUUAUUUUCUGGCUGACUUGAUGUUGUUGCCGUUUGACGAAUUUGAUGUUAUUUUGGGUAUGGAUUGGUUGACAUUGCAUGAUGCUAUAAUAAAUUGUAAACAAAAGGUUAUUGAAUUAAAAUGUGAAAAUGGCAAAAUUCUACGGGUUGAAUCAGACGAAUCAGAGGCAUUACCUAGUGUGAUUUCUUCGAUGUCGGUUCAGAGAUAUUUGAGAAAGGGUUAUGAAGCUUAUUUGGCAUAUGUGUUGAACAUAAAGGAAUUUGAGAAGAAAAUUGAAUCAGUGCUGAUUGUAUGUGAAUUUGCGGAUGUAUUUCCAGAAGAGUUACCGGGUUUGCCUCCUGUCAGAGAAGUAGAAUUUGGUAUUGAGUUAAUACCGAGAACAACUCCGAUCUCGAUUGCUCCAUAUAGAAUGGCACCAAUAGAGUUGAAAGAAUUAAAGUCGCAAUUGCAAGAGUUGACUGACAAAGGCUUUGUGAGACCGAGUUUUUCACCUUGGGGUGCUCUCGUAUUAUUUGUGAAAUAAAAGGAUGGUUCUAUGAGAUUGUGUGUAGACUAUCAGUAGUUAAAUAAGGUAACAAUCAAGAACAAGUAUCCGUUACCGAGAAUUGAUGAUUUGUUUGAUCAGCUGAAAAGAGCAACAUGGUUUUCAAAGAUUGACUUGAGGUCUGGAUAUUACCAGCUGUGAAUAAAAGAGUCAGAUGUGCCUAAAACUGCUUUUAGAACAAGGUACAGCCAUAAUGAAUUUUUAGUUAUGCCAUUCGGUUUGACAAAUGCUCUUGCUGUGUUUAUGGAUUUAAUGAAUUGCCUAUUUCGGCCAUACUUGGACAAGUUUGUUGUUGUAUUUAUUGAUGAUAUCUUAAUUUAUUCGAAAGAUGAGAUAGAGCAUGCUGAGCACUUGAGGAUAGUUUUGUGAAUUUUAAGAGAUAAGCAGUUGUAUGCCAAAUUUAGUAAGAGAGAAUUUUGGCUUCGAGAAGUUGGAUUUUUGGGUCAUAUUAUUUCAGGUGAUGGUAUACGGGUUGAUCCCAGUAAAAUUUUGGCUAUUGUUGAUUGGAAACCGCCAAAGAAUGUAACUAAGGUUAGAAGUUUCUUGCGUCUAGCUGGUUAUUAUCGACGGUUUGUAAAUUGGUUUUCUAUAAUUCCUACUCCUAUGACCAGACUACUCCAAAAGGAUGUUAAAUUUGAAUGCAUGGAAGAAUGUCAACAAAGCUUUGAGAAAUUGAAAAAGUUACUGACUGAGGCACCAGUGUUAGUACAACCCGAGUCAGGUAAAGAAUUUGUGGUGUAUAGUGAUGCUUCUCUAAUGGCUUGGGAUGUGUACUUAUGCAAGAAAGAAAAGUGGUGGAUUAUGCUUCGAGGCAGUUUAAACCUCACGAAAGGAAUUAUCUGACUCAUGAUUUUGAACUGGCUGCUAUAGUGUUUGCUUGGAAGAUUUGGCGACAUUAUUUGUAUGGUGAAAAGUACCGAGUAUAUACCAACCACAAAAGUCUCAAGUACUUGAUGUCAUAAAAAGACUUGAAUUUGAAACAGUGGAGAUGGUUAGAAUUAUUGAAAGAUUACGAGCUUGUGAUUGAAUACCAUCCGGGGAAAGCAAAUGUGGUUGCCGAUGCUUUGAUUAGAAAGUCGUUAUUUUCUUUGAGAGCUAUGAAUAUUCAGUUGAUGAUGUCUGACGAUGGUUCGAUUCUAGCAGAGUUGAGAACAAGACCGAUGUUUUUACAAGAGAUUUGCGAAGCUCAGAAAAGUGACAAAGAUUUGCAAGCCAAGAGGAAGCAAUGUGAGGCUAAUACAGGAUCAGAUUUCAGAAUCGGUUCUGAUGGUUGCUUGAUGUUUAAAGAUCAGAUUUGUGUACCGAAAAAUGAUGAGUUGAUUCAAAAGAUCUUGCAUGAAGCACAUAGUGGUUGUUUGUCAAUUCACCUAGGCAGUACAAAAAUGUAAAAUGGCUUGAAGAAAAUGUAUUGGUGGAACGAAAUGAAAAGAUAUAUCUCCAAGUUCAUAUCGAAAUGCUUAAUUUGUCAACAAGUGAAAGCUGAACACCAAGUGCCUUCGGGAUUACUUCAGCCUAUCAUGAUUCCCAAGUGAAAGUAGGACCGAAUUACUAUGGAUUUUGUAUCAGGGUUGCUGUUAACUCCGAGGAAGAAAGAUGCCAUCUGGGUAAUAGUCGAUAGAUUGACUAAAUUGGCUCAUUUUAUUCCGCUAUUUACUAAUUAUUCUCUUAAUAAGUUGGCUGAAUUGUAUAUCAGUGAGAUUGUUAGACUUCACGGAGUACCUUUGUCGAUCAUUUCGGAUAGAGAUCCGAGAUUUACAUCGCGUUUUUGGUAAAAGUUGCUAGAGACAUUAGGUACGAAGUUAAAUUUCAGCACUGUCUUCCAUCCACAGACUGAUGGACAAUCAGAGAGAGUAAUUCAGAUUCUUGGAGACAUAUUCAGAUGUUGUGUAUUGGAAUUCCAAGGUAGUUGGGAAAGAUACUUACCAUUGGUAGAAUUUGCCUACAAUAAUAGUUAUCAGACGAGUUUGAAGAUGGCACCUUAUGAAGCAUUGUACGGUCAUAAGUGUCGGACGCCAUUGUAUUGGACUGAACUCAAAGAAAAUUAGAUUUACGGAGUUGAUCUAAUUAAAGAAACCGAAGAAAAAGUGAAAGUGAUUCGAGAUUGUUUGAAAGCUGCUUCAGAUAGACAAAAAUCCUACGCGGAUUUGAAACAAAAAGAAAUCAAGUUUCAAGUCAGCGAUAAGGUAUUUUUAAAAGUGUCUCCAUGGAAGAAAGUUUUUAGAUUUGGUCGAAAAGGCAAGUUGAGACCACGUUUUAUCGGACCGUUGAGAUAAUUGAAAGAGUUGGACCGGUAGCAUAUUGGUUAGCAUUACCACCUGUAUUAGAGAAGAUUCAUGAUGUGUUCUACGUAUAUAUGUUAUGCUGGUACCAUUCGGAUUCUUCACAUGUAAUUUCACCGACGGAAAUUGAGCUACAACCGGAUAUGACUUACAAUGAAGAGCUGAUUAAGAUUUUAGCUCGGGAGGUCAAGCAACUAAGAAAUAAAAGUAUCGCUCUCAUGAAAGUAUUGUUGAAAAAGCACGGGGUAGAAAAGGCUACUAGGAGCCCAAGGAAACUAUAAGGAAUCAAUACCCACACCUGUUUACCGGUAAGAUUUUCGGGGACGAAAAUCCCUAAAGGGGAGAGAGUUGUAAUAUCCCAAAUUAGGGCCUAAUCAGAAUAGUGGUUUCAAGACGACAAAUUCAAGAUAUAAAUAAUUAUUUUAUUAUCAUUUUAGGGUCAUGGCAUGAUUUCAUGAUUGUGUGAAAAUUUCGUUUAGAAAUUUUAUCGAUAGAGGGUCCAAUUUGAUAUUUAGGACUAAAUUGCAAAAGUUGUAAAAUGUGUGUUCUAGUUCACAAAGGUACUAAGUACUUGUGAGUAAUGGGUUUUUAAAGUGGAGGUCCUUGGAUAUUAAUUAGACCAUUAUACUAGUUUGGAAAAAAAUCCCUAAAGGAAGAUAAAACACCAUAGUUUUUAAUUACGGGCAUUUUGGUCAUUUAGUUAUUAAAAUGAAUUAAAAACAAAAUCAAAAGCCAAUUUUUGUCCAUCUUCAACCCCUUGGCUGAAUUUCACAUGAGGAAGACUUAUCUAUGGUUUUUCAAGCUUCCAAGCUCGAUUGUAAGUCCAUUUUAGCCCCGUUUUUAAUUUUUUUUACGUUUUUGGAGUCCCGGUAACUUGAUUAAGCUUAUUCUAGAAAUAAUUUAACCUAGGGUUUAUAUUUGGAAAAAUACCCAUAGGUGAAAUGUGUUUAUUUUGAUGUUUUAUGGUAAAAUAUGAAGCUUGAAAUUGUGUUAAACAACUUUUGCUGAGCGAUUUUACGUGAAAACGAGUAAAACGACAUAAUUGGUAAAAAUACCUAAUGUUCAUAAGUACAUGUUAAAGUGAGAAUUUGAUGUUUCCAUAGAAGGAAAAAAUGAUCAUCAUGUCAUAAAACAUAAGAAAAUAGGAUGAAGUUUAAUUUCCGAGCCUUGGGGAAAAAGUGUAAAUAUGUAAAAGUUUAGGGGCAAAAAUAUAAUUUUGCCAAAGUUUGAGUCAAGGACUGUUUUAAUAAAUGUGAGUAUUAAAUAAGCUAAAAUUUUCUAUUUUAGAUCAAGAGAAACAAGAUUCGAGUCGUGAUCAAGGGAAAAAUAAAGUUUACUAGUAAUAGACUCGAUUUCUAACAUUUUGUACUGAGGUAAGUUCAGGUGUAAAUGUAGUAACAUAAUUAUCAUUUUAAGUAAUUUAAUGUUAUUUAUAUGAUAUUAUGAUCAUGAUAUAUUAUGCUUUGUGGAUUAUUUUUUAGUAAUAUGCAAAUUAUGUGAGCUACUUGAUAAAUAUGAAAUGCUAUCAAGUAUCGGUUCUGACAUUCCGUGGAAGACAGCAAAGAUGUGUGAUUGAGGAAAAUCCCGUUUGAACCUUGGGAAUAGAUUAGGAUAAAAGUGACAUGUCAUUAGGAUAUUUGAGUUCCGAGCUCGUUGAGUUGAGUCCGAGUUCGUGAGAUGUAACUAGGUAUCUGAACUCGUUGAGUUGAGUCCAAGUUCACUUAUGGAUACGAACGCUCGAGCUCGUUGAGUUGAGUCCUAGUUCGCUUAUAGGCGGGUUACAUGGUAGCUUGGCUACAUAAUUUUAGCAGGCUAUUGAGUUGAUCUAGCUGCGAGUAUGGCACUUAUGUGCAUGCAAUCCGUGUAUCCAAAUUAUAUUCUGUUGUGUUCAACGGGUGAAUCUUAAGUGAAUAAGGAAAAUACUUAAGACGAAGGUGACAUGUUGGUGAGUGUGGUGAAUGAGAAAAUUUGGACAGGUAUGUGCUUAAACCCUCGGGUUGAGAACUUGGUAUGAUGAAAUCGUGGUAGGAUAGUAAAUGCAAAUGUAACAUGAAUGUCUUGGUGAUAUUUAUACAAAUGAUGUUUUAUGUUGGAUUGCAUGAUUAUGUUACUUGCUAUUUACCUGUGAACUUAUGAAGCAUUUAUGCUUACUCCCUCCCUUCCAUUCUUUAUAGUUUUGACAAGCCAGCUCAGAAAUUGGGAACGGUCAGAGGCUCGCUAACACUAUCCGUGGACCAUUUUGGUAUAGUGGCUUGUAUAUUUUGAGUAUGACAUGUAUAGCAUUAUAAUCAUUUUUUGUAUAUGACCUUAUGAUAUGGAUAUUGGGUGGUAAGGAAAUGUUUGGUAAUGAUUAGCCAUUGGAAUGGCUAAUAAAGAUCAUGUUUGGUGUUAUGUAUGCUUAAUGUGCUAUCUAAUCCAUGAAAAUUCAUAAAAAGGUGAAAUUUGCUAUAAAACAGUAUCAUAUAGCAGCAAUGAUGUGAGUUUUAAAAAUCACUAAAAAUAGUAAAGAUAGAAUUAGAUGAUUAAUAAAAGAUGAAAUUGAAGAUUAUUGAGUCUAGUUUCAUAUGGCAGAAACAAAACAGGUAAACGAGUUGUAUUUUAUGAGAAAUUUGAAUUUUGGUGGAAUAGGGUCAGAGUAAUUUUUGAAUCCCCUAUUCUAACUUUAUAAAUUCACUAAAAAUAAAAAAUAAUUAGGAGUCAUACUUUAUAUUCAUAGAUUCCUUAUUGAUUUUAUGCUUCAUAGAAAUAAAUGGCAUAGUCAUUUGAAUUCUGUAUAGAGAGAAAAGUAAUUUGUAGUGAACAGAAGUCAGAGCAGUCAAACACUGAAAUAGGGGAAACUUUAACUAAUAAACUGUACUAAUUGGCCUGACCAAAAAUUCUGGAAAAAAAUUAGUAAAUAGAUAUAUGAGUCUAGUUUUAGGGAAAAUUUACGGAUUGUAAUUUCAAGUUUCAUAACUCAAGUUAUGAAAUUUUUUAGCGACUGUGAUGCAGAAGGGCAGUUUAUUACGAAAGGUGAAAUAAAUUGUUUGAAAUUGUUUAAGUGAUAAUUUAAGUCUGUUAACGCCUCGUGCUCGACUCCAGCGACGGCCUCGGGUAAGGGGGUGUUACACAUAAAAUACUCGAAUCAGGUUUUUAUUGGCCCACUCUAGUCAAGAUGCCAACAGGUAUGUUACUUCUUGUGACAAAUGCCAAAGGACAGGUAAUAUCUCCAAACGUGAUGAAAUGCCUCAGACAUAUAUGCUUUCAUGUGAAAUAUUUGACAUUUAGGGUAUCGACUUCAUGGGUCCAUUCCCUAGUUCAUUUGGGAAUAAAUACAUCUUAGUAGCUGUCGAUUAUAUGUCCAAAUGAGUUGAAGCCCAAGCUUUACCUACUAAUGAUGCUAGAGUAGUAGUACGCUUCCUUAAGAAACUUUUCUCUCGAUUUGGAACACCUAGAGCAAUCAUCAGUGAUAGGGGUACUCAUUUUUGUAACGCCCAAUUUGACAAGAUCAUUAAGAAAUAUGGAAUUCACCACAGAACAGCUACCCCUUACCACCUUCAAACUAGUGGCCAAGUGGAAGUGGCAAAUAGAGAGUUUAAAUGUAUCCUAGAAAAGACAGUAGAAUCAAACAGGAAGGAUUGGGCGAUGAAAGUAGAUAAUGCUUUAUGGGCUUAUAGAAUUGCUUUUAAGACCCCCAUAGGAACAUCACAUUACAGACUUGUUUAUGGAAAAAGUUGUCAUCUACCAUUUGAGUUAGAACACAAGGCAUUCUGGGCUAUAAAACUUCUAAACCUUAAUCCCAAACUUGUAGGUGAAAACAGGUUGAUGCAGUUGAACGAGUUAGAUGAGAGGCGAACCAAUGCAUAUGAAAAUUCAUGCCUAUAUAAGGAAGCAAAGAAGCACUGCCACAACGCUCGGUUAAGACAACGUAAGCAAUUUGAAGUUGGAGAUCUUGUCCUGUUGUAUAACUCGAGGCUCAAAUUGUUCCCUUGGAAGCUUAAAUCACGAUGGUCAGGUCCUUUCGUAGUCCAAACUGUCUUUCCAUAUGACACAGUAGAGGUAAGUCACCCACACAAGGCACUUUCAAGGUAAAUGGACAUCACCUCAAACUCUACAAAGGUGAGAAUUUCAAAGACGAUAGAGAGGAGCUAUGGCUCCACGAACUUCCCUAAAUAUACCCACAAGGUAGAGUCAAGCUUAGACUCUAAGUAAGUGCUUCUUGGGAGGCAACUUAAGCACUAACCUCACUAAAUAGGGUUUAAAUUUUCUUUAACUGUAAGAAAUUUUAACAUUUGACAGGGGCAAACACGGCCUAGCCCACGAGCGUGCUUUAAGCCGUGCUCAUACCAGGGGAUGCGACACGGCCAUACGAUACGACCAUGUGAAAAUAGAGGAAAACAUUUACCCAAAACAUGGGAUUCGAUACAUUGCCACGGCCGAGCGACGUGGUCGUGGGCAAUUCUGCCAAAUCAACAUGGGCGUACGACACGCCUGUGUCUAUUAACCAUGGUCAAAAUUGCCAAAUUAACACGGGUGUGUGACAUGCCUGUGCCACCACCCAUGGUCGAGACUAUCAAAAGAACACGGGCGUGCACAUAUAUACACGGGCGUUGGAGAACCGAACCACAUCACGCACGGUCGUGCGAUACGACCAUAUGACCAUAUGGCCUAUACACACGGGCGUGUCCUCAGGCCAUGUGGUGAUUCCUCAUAUCACGAUAAACACGGGUUGGACGAGAGCCACACGGGCGUGUGACACAGCCGUGUGAGACCAGUGUUGGGCGACACGACCGUGCCUCUUUUUAAACUUGUUUUAUUUUUAUUUUCUUUACUUUUAUUUCUAUUUAUUUUUAAAGACUCAUGUUUUAUAUUCUACCUAUCUUUAUGGUAAUCAUCGAAUUAUUCCCUUAAUUCUCCUUCACAGUAGUGUCUUCUCAUUUAUCCAUGAAAAUCAUACAUUUCCUUCAGCUUUAUCUUUAGUUCUCGCUCUAGCUAAUCUAAGGAUUUCAUCCACAAUCUCAGGGCAUUUCACUUCUCUUCCUCUCUUUCGAUAUUAUAUUUAUAUUGCUAUAAUAUACCUUUAUACAUUGAGGACAAUUACAUCUUAAGUGUGGGGGGUUAUUUAUAUCAUUAUCAGAAAAAUCCCUAAAUUUUGUCUUAUUCUCACGUAAAUCACUCAUAUCAUUAUUAGAAUGAAUUUUGAUUAAUUUAUGAUUUUUAUUGAUAAAUCUUGAAUUAAAACAUAGGCAUUUAUGCAUUGAUUGUUAAAACUUUAAGGAAUUAGAGAAUCAAACAUGAUAAGUUAAUUUUUGAGAAUUAAAAUUUUUAGGUUGUUCCCCCAAGUUUAGGUAUUAUCUUGAGUUGAAAUUCACAGGUUUAACAUCAAAAAAGUCGUAAUUUUUGUGAGAUCUUUAGCUUUUAGAGCAUAUAUUAUUUCUUUCAUGCUCACUUUUAUUGUUAUGAGUGCGUCAAUAUUGAAUUGUUAUUCUAGAACUUGCUUGAUUAUGCAUGUCAAGACUACACCUUUGAUUUGAUAUGUCAAGAUGAUAAAGGCACUUAGGUUUAACUCAUUCAUUCCAUAAAAGCCUACUUUCAUAAUUAACCCUUAGUGAACACCCUUGAGCCCAACAACCCAUUCAUUGAUCUAACCUCAAUAUUAACCCAUAACCCAUUAUUGUUGAAAUCCCCUCAAUUAAUUUGAUCCCUAUUUUUUUGUCGAGAUUCGAUUUGAAUAAAUUGAUUAGCUAUGUUUUAUUUUUAGCAAAGUUCUAAAAUAUUUGACUUGUUCUUAAAAAAAGUAUGAAAUUACGUAAUGCUUAGAUUAAAACGAUGUUAUCCAUGAAGAAAAACUCAAUUAGGAAUGUAAAUUGUCAAUUGUAGUAUUUUUCUAGUUAGGUAAUUUUUCAAUUCAAUCUCGAUUCUGACCUUUUUUUCUAGCUUGUAACCAUGCCCCCUAACCAAAGCCACGUUACAACCCUCUAAAGACCUUUUGAUUGAUGUAUCAUCUCAAUAUAUAGUGGUGGAGAUUUGAUUCUCACACAAGCCUAUGGUAAUAACUUUUCAUAUUGACUGUUGAAUACUAAAUUUCUUGUCCUUGAACACCUCAAGUGAUUUGAGUGAAUCUUCAGUCAGGAUGUAAAAUUCUGUGAUAUUUUGAAUCAAAGGUGAUUACUUAAUUAGGGGAGACACCUAUGUUUUCGUGAUAAAAUGCUCAACUUGGAAUGUUUGAAACUUUGAUUUUCUUCGAGUUGAAUUUUCAAUGUAUGAUUACUUAUGGAUUAUUUUGAGAAACAAUUGAUGACAAUUAUAAGUUGAAAAGAAUUUAUUUUGAUUGUGAGUUGAGGAUUUUGCUUGAGGACAAGCAAACGCUUAAGUGUGGGGGUAUUUGAUAAACCGUAAUUUAUACAUAUUCUUAUCCCAUGCUUAGCAUAAUUUUCGAUGAAUUAUCCUUAGAUUUGGUGAAUUCAAUGCUCCUAAUCUUUUAAUUUCAUGUUUUAUACUUAAGUGAGCAUAGGAGAGUAAAAAGAGCGAGAAACGGGCCAAAAACGGAGAAAAUGGGUCAACGUAGGAAAUCAACACGGCCUGGACUUCCUCACACGGGCAGUUCACACACUCAUGUCGAUUCAACAGACUCGAACACGGGUUGAAGCACUUGCACAUGGAUGUGUCACACGGGCGUGUCCCUAUCGAGCCCAAGCCUAGUCCUAUUCAGAAAAGGCCACUCUUGAGGGUUUUGAAGCAUUCUAAAGCCUAUAUAAACACCCCAGGAGGUACCUAAAAGAGGGACACAGAGUAGGAGGCAAGGAAUUACUCGAAGAAAGCUGAUUGAUCCAUCUCAGAAGCCGGAUUAUCCUUUAAGACUGAAUAUCUCCCUUCAAUUUCCUUCAAAAGUUUUUGGGUUUUCUUUAUGUUUUGUUAUCAUUAUUCUUCUGAGAUGUUUUCUUUUACACUUAUGAACUAAAUCCCCUAAAUACCUAAGGGGAAUGAAACCUAAGACGGAGCUUGUUAUUAUUUUUUGAAUUAUAUGAUAAAUAUUUAACUUGUUCUUAAUUAUGAGUAUUUAAUUCUUACUUUAAUAUUCCAGGAUAUUGAUUCAAGUAUUGAUGUGCUUAUUUAGAGGAGAAAAAGUCCCUGUCUAAGAGUAAAUCUAGCAUAAUUAAGCGGAGUUGAUUGCACGCAUAGACAUAGGGUGACAUAAUUUUGCCGGAUUAGGGUGAAACCUAAUAAAGGAAUCCAUAGAUCGAGUUAAUGCAGCACUAGGGGCUUUAAUUAGAAAGAGAUUUCAAUUAAUCAACCUAGGGUUAGAUGUUGUUAGUCUCGAGAGAUAUAAUAAUAUAACUUAGGGAUUUCUACGGAUCAAGUCAAGUGAAUAAAUUGUCUAAUUCAGAGUCAAUAACAAGUGAAGCGUCGAUGGAUUUUUCCCUUAGGUAUUGUCCAAAUCAUUCAGUUUUCCCAAAAUUUAUUUCCCCAAUUUACUUUCUAUGCAUUCUUAGUUUAGUAAUUAAUUUAGGUAAAACAAAGCCUUUUAUUUUUAGGCUAGAUAAUAGAAAGAGAGUUAACACUAGUACUUUUAGUUUCUUUGGGAUCAACAUCCCGGUCUUGCAUAAGCUAUACUACUGUUCGAUAAGGUGCGCUUGCCUUUGUCCUAAUAAUAGUUAGUUUUCAAGAACAGACAUUCAUAAAUUAUAAAACUUAUCACGAUUCACGUCACAUCAAUUAUCGUCAGUUGAAUAAAGAGACUAUCAAGAAUAAAUAUCCUCUACCCCGAAUUGAAGAUUUGUUUGAUCAGUUGAAAGGAGCUGCUGUGUUUGCGAAAAUAGAUUUAAGAUCAGGUUAUUAUCAGUUGCGAGUGAAAGAUUCAGAUUUCUGAAAACUACUUUCAGAACAAGGUAUGACCAUUAUAAUUCUUAGUUAUGCCUUUCAGAUUGACUAACUCAUCUGCUAUUUUUAUGGAUUUGAUGAAUAGAAUUUUCAGAUCGUAUUUAGAUCAAUUUGUUGUUGUAUUUAUUGAUGACAUAUUGAUUUAUUCACUUGAUGAAUCCGAACAUGCCGAGCAUUUGAGAUUAGUGCUACAGAUUCUGCGAGAUAAGCAGUUGUAUGCGAAGUUCAAUAAAUGUGAAUUUUGGUUGAGAAAAGUGAGUUUUCUAGGACAUAUUGUAUCAGCAUCUAGUAUCCUAGUUAAUUUGAGAAAAAUUUCAGCUAUUUUGGAUUGGAAACGUCCGAGAAAUAUCUUUGAAGUCUGUAGUUUUCUAGGACUUUUGAUUAUUAUAGAAGAUUCAUGAAAGGAUUUUUGAUGAUUGCGACUCCGUUGACAAAAAUGCUACAGAAAGAUGUAAAGUUUGAGUGGUCUGAAAAGUUUCAGAACAGCUUUGAUCGGUUGAAGACUUUGUUGACUAAAGCUUUGGUAUUGGUACAACCUGAAUCGGGUAAAGAAUUUGUGAUCUACAGUGAUGCUUCAUUGAUUGGUUUGGGAUGUGUUUUGAUGCAAGUAGGAAAAGUUAUUGCUUGUGCUUCGAGGCAGUUGAAGCCGCAUGAAAAAUCUUGAGUUAGUUGUGAUUGUGUUUGCUCUAAAGAUUUGGUGCCAUUACUUGUUUGGUGAGAAGUGUCACGUAUACUCUGAUCAUAAAAGUUUGAAGUAUUUGAUGACUCAGAAAGACCUGAGUCUGCGACAGAAAAGAUGGUUAGAACUGCUAAAAGACUAUGAACUUGUGAUUGAUUGUCAUCGAGGAAAAGCAAAUGUUGUUGCUGAUGCCUUGAGUGGAAAAUUGUUGUUUUCUUUGCGUACAAUGAGUACUCGUUUGGUUUUAUCAGAUGAUGGUUCAGUUUUAGCUAAAUUAAAAGCAAGACCUUUGUUUUUAUAGUAGAUUAUCGAAGCUCAGAAUAUUGAUAAUGAGAUUUUAGCUAAACAAGCUCAGUGCGAUGUAGAGUCUAAUUCAAAAUUUAGAGUUGAAAAAGAUGAUUGUUUGAGAUUUCAAGAUCGAAUUUGUGUUCCGAGAAAUCCAGAAUUAAUUCAAAUGGUUCUGAGUGAAGUUCAUAGUAGUCGUUUAUCAGUGCAUCCGGGUAGUACAAAAAUGUAUAAUCAUCUAAAAUAGCAUUAUUGGUGGUCUGUAAUGAAAAGAGAUAUCUCUGAAAUUGUUUCUAAAUGUUUGAUCUAUCAGCAAGUUAAAGCGAAACAUCAGGUGCCAUCGAGUCGACAAUUUCGAGUACGGGGUAAGUUCGUACUUAAAACAUGAUAUUAAGUAUAUUUUGAUGUUUUGAUUAUAUAUACAUUGUAUAUAUGUUUGGUUUGGAUGAAUAUGACAAUAAAUCAAUAGUAUUUGGCACUAAGUAUGCGAUUUAAACUAGCUUCGGCUAUAUGAGGCACUAAGUGUGCGAUACUGACUUAGCUUGGGCUAAUUGAAAUGGCACUAAGUGUGCGGAAUCAUUCUAGCUUCAGCUAACUAUUGUAGCACUAAGUGUGCGGAUGUUCAAAGCAUGAAUAAUUUAUGGAAAGUCUUAAAAUAUUUAAAUGAAAGGUGAGAAUGAAAGUGAAUAAGUACGAGAAGAUUCAGGUAUGUACGAUACUUAUGUGGUAGAUGAUACUAUGUAUGUGAAGCUCAUUGAUUUGGUGUGAACAUAUAGAUUGUGUUGGUAUAGAUUUGAUAGAUGAUUUGAGAAUUUGUAAGUACUUAUGUAUUGAUGAUUUUUGGUACGAGCUUACUAAGCUUUUGAAAGCUUACUUUGUGUGUGUUUGCAUUAUUUUAUAAAUAUCGAAGCUACUGCAAGCUCAAGGAUCGUCAAGAAUCGUCACUACAAUAUUGAAUCUCAUUUUGGUACUUUUGAAAAUGUAUAUUUUUAAAGCAUGGCAUGUAUAGGCUAAUGGUUGUGGAAUUAUGUUUUGUGAUGUAUAUACUUAGCCAAGUGAUUUGGCUAGUUGGUGUUUAAACUCAUAGUUGAAAAUGGCUUAUGGUAUGUGUUGUUAAUAUGCAAUUGUGGUAUAUUUUAUGUUGGCAUGAAUUGGUAAUGUUUAUAAAUAGGAAAAAUGGAUGAUAUUGUUAUGAUAUAAAUGAUGAAUGUUUUGGCAUAAAAUUGGCUGAAAUGGUGGUGCAUAUAUGCUUGUUUCUUUGCUUGUAGGCUGAUCCAAAUUUGAGGUGGAAAAUUGGCUAUUCAAAUGGCCUAUUUUUGUCCACACGGGCAGAGACAUGGGCAUGUGUCUCAGCGUGUCUCUACCCGUGUACGACACACGGCUAUGUUGCACAGUCAUGUGUCUCCUGGGGUACCCUACAAUUGUAAGUCAGGCCCGAACAUGGCCAACGUACACGGGCGUGUGGCUAGCCGUGUGGCCCAAGUCAGACUCGACCACGGCCAAGGCACACAGGCGUGUCUUGUAGCAGUGUGAUCAAGUCAGUAGUUAUGCCCUAUUUUGCCACGGCUUAGACACAUAGGCGUGUCUAAGACCGUGUGAGGCACACGGCCGGUUCACAUAGGCGUGUGAGCUUUUAAAAGUUGAAAAUUUUUAUAAGUUCUAAAACUUUCAUACAUUAUCGAAUUCAUCCUGAAAGCAUGUUUUAGACUUCGUACGAACGUUUAAAAUUCACGUUGAACAUGAAUGAUCUAUAUUUAUUGAAAUGAUAGGAUAAUUGAUAUUUGAUGGUUCUGAUCUGUGUUAUGAGUCCGAUAAUGCCUCUUAACCUAUUUCGGUGACGGUUACGGGUUAGGGGUGUUACAUGAGGCUAUCCUCAAAACGAACACAACACUGAUAUUUAGUUGCCACCAUCCCACACGUGUAGCGACUAAGUCACAAGAAUUCAGCCUCAUAUUUGGCCACUGAUUUAUCCCAUUGAGUUAGAUUUAGAAACUCCCUCCUCCAAUCAUCCACAUAACUAGCGCCACAUAUUUUCCUUGGAAAGCAAUCCUGAAGAAUUCCCAAUUCAACCGCUCGGGCUGACUGCCUUCUUUAACUGUGAGCCACCACCGGUAAGCCUCAUCUCUCAGCAGUGACAAUGCACCUUUAGUUUCUACUCGAGAGGUACAGUCGAGAUCAUCCAUAAUCCUUUUCGUGGCCUCAAUCCAAUAUUCAGCCACAUUAGGGGCAACUCCAGCAAUUCCCCUAAAAAUCUCAGCUCCAUUACACCGGAGUCAUUUCGUAACCGACCGGCGACCCACAGCACCAGUAUUAGGUCCAGUGACCCUCUCUAGAAUCCUUAACAUGGCCUGGGAUAAUGUGUUGUCCCCAGCCGUACGAUCAUGAGACCCAGUUUCAGUCAUAGGUGAAGCCGGUGCCUCUCUAGCUUCAACAUUCGGCAUGUGGCUAGAUGACAAAGACCCAACUCGAGCACCUUCACGGCCUCCACCGCGGUCCCUUGUACCCCUUCCACGAGUACCUUUAGUGCUUAUUAUCAAAUUACGCUCUAUCUGUAUUAACAAUUUUAUGCAUCAGUUUUACAGUUCCAGUAUUUAUUAAGAAUAUUUUAUGAACACAGUAUCAGUAAUUCAAAGUUUGUUUUUGCGGAUCGCAGUCUUACUAUAGUUUUAGUUUACCCUAAAUAGAGUAUUUCAGUACAGUCUACUACCUAUAGUAGUCUCAGCAUUUCAGUUUAAAACAAGCAACAAUUUCAGAAAACUUACAGAAUUAGCGUCAGAGACACGAUGUACCAUACAUUUAGUAAAACUUUUCAAAAUACUUUCAAUUCAUUUAAUACAGUUCUUUUUAGAAAUUUCAACAUUAGAGAAAACCCAAAUCCACAGCCAAGUUUUGCAACCUGGCUCUGAUACCACUAAAUGUAACACCCCAAACCCUGCUUAGACGUUAUGGUCGAAUCUAGUGAUGUCACGUUGAAGUGUUUUUCGCAAAGUAUAAUAUCAUUGAAAAACCCGUUCUAUAUUUAACCUCUUUGUGAUCUUAGCAAAGAUUUAAGGAUACCUCGUUUAUUUUCAAAGCUUAAUUCAUUUGAAAAAAAGUUAUUAAAUUUAAUACAUUAUUUCUUGUGGAAGCUUCUAAAAACAUGUUGUGUAAACAUGAUGAUUUGGAAAAACAUUUAUCUUUUUGAAAACUCACAUCCUACUACUAGCAGAUAUUAAUCAAAAUAAAUAAAACCCCAAACUUAAAGAUUAAAAAUUAUAGAGGCCUUAUUACAUUUAAAACACCCAAAAUAAAAAUAUAUGUAAUUUAAAACCCAAUAAGAAAGUCUGUGCAGUUGUGUGGCCACCUUCAAGUCCCUCGUAGCACCGACCUGCCUAAGCCUAGGGAUUACCUAUUCAGAUAAACAGAUGGGUGAGUUUUGAAAACUCAAUGUGUAAUCCCAUAUCAGAUAAUCAAUCAGAGAGCAUAUGCAGUUUGGGCCUAUGCCCAAUUCAGUCAUGGUUCAGUUUCAGUCAGGGCCUUAGCCCAGUACAGUAUUAGUCUUAGUGUAGGCUUGAGCCCAUCUUAGUAACAGUGCAGUAUAGAUAUGCAAUAAAUAAAUCCUACCCAACCAUCCUCUACACUCCAUCUUUGUCCAACCCCACACUCCAUGUGGGAAUAAGAUCAACCCACCCAUCCCUAUACUCCAAGUAGUACCAGUUGUGGCACUAAUCAGUAUUUACAGUAGAGCUGCCAGUACAGUACACUUCCUCCAAUCACAAUAAAUCCCAUCCCCAUGCAACAUAUCAUGCAUCAUGUCAUAAUAUCAUAAAUGUGAUUAGUAUAUAUAAAAUGGCAUGCUUAAACAUAAUCAUACAUAUCAUAGGGGCAUAUAAGCCAUUUUACCAUGUAGGGGCAUUUCAGUCAUUUUAUCAAUUAGGGGGUCUAAGUACACUUAUCGACGUAACAGUAGGUCCAUAGUCAUCUUGGGCAACCCGUGCAACCUUAACAGUCAAACAGUAAAAAUGGGCCCACGGCCCAUAUUGCGGCUCAUGUGGGCCCACACGACCAUGUAGCCCACAUAACCUAGAAAUGGCAUUGGUGGUGUGGAUUACAAAGCCUGAAUUAAUAUUCUCCACAUGUUCGUGUGGUUUACCCAUGUGGGGCCCACGUGCCCGUGGCGCCCAAACGGCCCAAUUCAGCCUGAAAUGACCUAAGACGACCUCGGCCCAUGAAAUCACUCAUGGCUGGCCUCAUCAAUCAAACACCUAUGUUUAGUCACACGGACCACCACACAAGCGAGCGCAUGCCCGUGUAGCGUUAUCGUUUGCUCAUUCUGGCUUUUGCCGAUUUCCAUAUAUUAGAUAGUGUUUACACACAUUGUUUACGAAAGUGCACAAAUAGUCCACGAGCACUCCAACCUAUAUUAAAUCACAAGCAUUGGUUAAUCGGUUACUAAUCGAAUUAACAAAAACCCUAACUCAAACACUUAUCCAAAAGAUUACCUAUCACUUGUUUAGAUAGGUCGAUUAAGGCUUGCACACUUAAUCCGUCGCAAGAGACUGAUCACUAGGCCUUAAGGGUAACUUGCAUUCCAACCAAACCUUAUAAACCAUUAAUCAGAUGAACAAUUUGAACUAGAUGAAUCAUCCCUUACCAAAAAUGCAAAGUUAAGAUUAGAAGAAAGGAUCAAUCGGCCUACACCCACACAAGAGCCGAAAGUACACAAUAUGAUAGAGGCAAAAUGGAACAAUUGCACCCCUAUUAGAAAAUGGCAGCACGGGAAGAUGUUAAGUGCAAUACUAAUAUGGCAAAGAGGGAGAAAGAAAAAUAAUAGCACCCAUACCGAAAGUUAGACUUACCAAAAUGCAAAACCGAUGAAUAGGAAUGCCUACAGAAAUGACAAAUAGCAAUGAAGGGAAAGUCGACACAGUGAGGGUAAGAGAAGCAGUAGUAUUCAGCUAAGUACAAUCAUUUUAGAGAGCCAGAGAAGGAGAAGAAAUCAAUCAAGAAGAAACCAAUUGAGAGAGAGGGAAAAAGAAUAAAAGAAUUGGCAAGCCAAGAAUCAAUUGAGGAAGGGGAGAAGCUGAAAUAAUCUAUCAAAGAAAGACCACAAAAAGAACCAGAAAACCAAAAGGAACGUGCCAAACCCAAAAGUGUUGAGAGGAAAAGAGAGGGAGAACAAAGUCGUAUAAGGUAGAAAGAGAUAUACCUAAAAGAACCUUAGACACUAUUCAGCCUCCAAGUAGAGAGAAAAGAACCAAAAUGUUACCAGUUACCGAAAUGGAGAGCAAUAGACCAACCUAAAGCCGAAUUCUGAGUGGCCAGAUUACCAUUUCAGCGCCAACUCUUUUGUAACUCAAAUCUCCAUAAUUUCUCCAAAAAUACCUCCUUAAAUCACUCAAAUCGAUCCCUCAACUACUCAAUUCAAAUUCCCCUCAACCACUUCAGUAUUUCGGUCAAACCAUAACACUCCUAUGGCACGACAGCAAAAUAAAACACUCCACUGCACCCACUAGGAUUCAAACCUCAGUCCUAAGGUAACAACAACAGGCCACCUAUCCUUUAUACCAGCAGGCCCAUUCUGUCAUGUUUUACCCAUUUUUAUUUAAAAGCCUACUAACUAAAGACAAAGGUUUAUCCAUUAAAACAAAAUUUUUUCCUAAGCCAAGGCUUGAACUCAAGGCUUCUUAAACACUUCUCAAGACACUUAACCACUGAAGUAAGCAUGAAUUUACACAACAUAAACAUACAAAAAUAAAUACUUAAGAUUUGGGGCGUUACAGGUAGAAGCGUCUCAAAUCUCUUUUUAACUGACAUCUCACAAGCUGAAUGGAAAGAAUUAUCUUGAAUGGUCACAGUUCGUGAAGUUAGCAAUUGAUGGGUGCUAUGAGCUGGGUCAUUUAACUAUAGAAGUUAAAUAAACAUAGGUGGGAGAUCCAAUGAUGAGCACGUGGAGGUCAGAAAAUUCUAUGUAACACCUCGAAUUCUGAGCCUAGAAGUAUUGGGCCUUAAGCGAGGGAACUGUUAGUAGGUGGCUUAUAAAUAUUUUAGUUGAGCAAGAAAGUGACACAAAUUGCAUGUUUGGCGUGGUGGUUAAGUGAAUUGGGUGUGUUUGGGGAUGUUUAAGAAGUCCCAGGUUCAUAUCUAGGCUUUAGAAAAAAAAUAAUUUUUCCCUUAAGUGAACCUUGGCUUUAGCUUGUACGCCUUAUAAAUAUUAGUGGUUAAUAUUUAUCACAAGGAAACAUGUGGUCUAGUGCCUGUGGCAUCAUUAUGGUGGAAAGGAUCUUGAGUUCGAAUCCCAUGAUUUGCAAGGUACAUUUAUUUUAUUCCCAUGAAGUGAGAGAGGUAGAGUUGGAUUAAAACUCUUCUGAGGUGGUUGUGGAGUUGGUCAAGAGGAGAAAAUCAAGGGAUAUGAUAAUGGUUGUUAUGGACAUGGAAGAGAAUUGGAUAGAGAAAAUCAAGGAAUUUUAACUUGAAGAGUGUUGUAGCCGAAUAGGGAAUUAGUGUGUGCAAAUUUGGCUAAGGGGUCCCUUUGUGUGCAUUUUCGGCAAUUGGAGAGUUUUGAGAGUUGGUCUCUUUGUGCAAUUUCGGUUUUAAGGCAUUUAUUGUCGAAUUGGUACAUUUCUUUUCUCCUUUUGCAAGUGUAGCUGAAUUCAAGUGUGACCAUUUGGGCAGUUUUGUGUGACUCUUUACUUCUCUAUUACCUUUCAAGUGCAUUCACUUUAAUUAUUUCUUCUCCCUCUCGCUCUCAGUAUUAUGUUCCUUGGUAAGUUGUUCCUUGAUUAGCCGAACUGUUAUUUCUCUUUUCUCACAAGCAAGUCAACUACAUUCUUCAAUUACCUUUCUUCACCUCUUAAAAUCCCUUUGGUUCUUAGCCGAAUAUAGUUUUCCUCUACCCCUGUAUUUUGUUUCCUUGGGUUUUCUCCUAACCAAUUGAUUCACUUUCCUUUUCUUAACCUUUUAUUGAUUUUCCUGCUUUGUGGUGUUGGCUGUUUGCUUUUGUGUCUGCUAUUGGUGUUGUGGUUACAGUUUUGCAAGGUUCUAACAAAUCAAUAGAGUUCUAGUGGAGAGAAGAAGCAUUGGUGUUUGGGUAGCAAUUGAACCUCUCUCCCACUAAGAUAAAUACGAUGCCAUAUAUUACUUUGGGGCUUAGGCCGAAGGUGACCUGUUUCUCCAUAAGUGAUAGUAAGGGGGUGUUGACCCUUGGUACCAAGAGAUUAAUUAAAUACCAUGAAUGAUAUAGGUUGUUGCUCGAAGGAUUUUCGCAAAGUUUCACAAUCAGGUGCGUAUUCACACCCCUCUUUGUUGGAAAUCGACAAAAGUCGAAAAGCUGAAACUUUGACAUUUGAGACCUUUCGAGCAUGCGAUCGCUCGUGUGGUAAACCGAGCCCAUAGAUCAGGGGUGACAGACUGUAAAGGCCACCACGAGCGUUCUCGUGUACUAGGGUUAUUUGGGGCCUCGAUGGGCCGAAAUGGGUGUACGCCCAACAGGCUCGUGGGACCCACAUGGAUAAAAUCUAUGGUAAGUGACAAAUUAUGAACUAGGCGAUGGUGUUUGCAUAGUCGUGACUAAAAUUGGGCUAAAUGGACCACAUGAGCAUGUAGGCCCACUUGGGUCGAGUAAUGUGCCUUGGGCCCAUUUACACCGUUUUGACCAUCUAGGUUACCUGAUUUGCUCGAGGUGACAACAGACCAUCUAUGAGGUCGUAAUCUGUACUGGGACCCUAAAAUCACUAAAAUGACCAAAAUACCACUAAAGGUUAAAGUGACUGUUUUCCCCCUCGAGGGUAAAUGACUGAUUUGUUUGUGAUUUGUAUGACUAAUUUUGUGUAUGACAUUCUGCAUACAUGACAUACUGCUUGGGAUUGGGAUAUUUCUAUGGAGGAAGAAACCGUAUUGGUGACUGUGCCACAUAUUCUGAUAUUAGCAGCAUUGUUGUGACUCUAGUUAGUGUUGCAGUCGGUGCUGACAUUAUAAGUAUAGGGAUGGCAUUGUAACUGAUAUUGGUUUUGAUAUGGGCUAGGCCCAACUGAUAUUGAUUUUGAGAUGGGCUAGGCCCAAUUGAUACUAUGAUGGGUUGAGACCCAAAAGCUAAUGAAUUAGGCUUUGGCCCACAUAUAUUCUGAAUUGGACUGUUUUGUUACUGAAUAGCACUCAAGCCCAGAUUGGUUCUAAAUUUUAUUUUUGACUGACUGUUUGGAUGCUAGGGGAUUACACACUGAGUUUUCGUAAACUCACCCUAUUAUUAACUAUGCAGGUAAUCCCCAGCAUUAGGAUGAUCGGCGUUAUGAGGGACUCGGAGAUGGCCACACAGCUAUUUUUUUUAUCUACUACAUUUAUUUGCUUCUCAAUACUUUAAUUUCAGUUUGGUUUGUAAUAAGGCCUCUCUGGUUUUUAUUUUAAACAUUGGCAUUUUAUUUACCAUGUUUGAUAAUUGUUAGAAGUGGAUCGUGGUUUUCCAAACCAAUAACUAUUUUCAAAACACUACGUUUCCUCAACUUAACUUUUAAACAUCAUGUUUACAUAAAUCGACUAUUUUAAAUUAAGCUUCCACAACAAACACCGUUUUAAAUAGGAAUAACUUUCCAGUGAACCACGUUUUGCAAAAUAAACCAACGUAAAUAAAGGUUUUCACAAGUUUUAAAAUGGCCAGAGGUUUUAAAUGGUAAGAAGGGUUUUCAAUGGAAACAUGGUUUUCGGAAAACACUUCAAUAUGACCCGCCAGAUUCGGCCAUAACGUUUAGGUCGGGUUUGGGGUGUUACAUUUAAUGGUUUCAGAGCCAAGUUGCAAAACUCGACUGCGGAUUUGGUUUUAAAAUAGAAUUUCUGACAAAACUGUUUCAAAAGAUUUGUAGUAUUUGAACUAUUUUACUGGAUGUUUCCUGAAAGUGUGGUUCACCGAGUCUCCGGCGCCGAAUUCGUAAGUUUUUUGAAUACUCUUGUUUGCUUUUAAACUAUUAUACAGUAGGAAACAUUGUGAUUACUUUAGAAAUUUUACCAUACUACUCUAGUUAGAGUAAAUUGUGAAAUCGUAGGAAACUAAGACUGUAGUGAGCCUGCAAAUGCGAAAACAACUCUAAACUUCUGUUUCCCAUAAAACAUCUGUUUAAUUACAAGAACUAUUAACACCCCAAACCCGGCCUGGAGGUUUGGCUCAAAUCUGGCAUGUCACAUUGAAGUGUUUUUUGAAAACCAUGUUUCCAUUAAAAACCCUUCUUAAUAAUUAAAAACUUAUACCCUUUUUAAACCUUGCUAGAAAACCUCAGAUGAAUAACAUUCUUAACAACUUUCUAAAAAGUUUGGUAGUUGCGGAAGCUUAAUUUAAAAACAAUUGCGGAUACGUGAUGUUUUGAACAACAGUAGUUACAUUGGAAAACUGUGUUCUAAUACUAGCAAUUAUAAGAACAAUAAAUAAAAUUCCAAAUUUGAAAUCCAGAAAAUUACAACGGCUUUACUACAACCCACAUAAAAACAUUUAAAAGUAAUAAUAAAAACUGUAGCAUAAAUAGUGUGUGUGGCUUCCUCCGAGCUCCUCGCAACUCCGAUCCGUCUAAGGAUGGAAAUUACCUGAAAGGUUAAUAAACAGGGUGAGUUUAUGAAAACUCAGUGUGAAAUCCCCUACUAUAUAAAAGGAACAGUCAGUCAUAUAAAAGAAUUAAAAGUUGGCCCCAGCCCUACUUACAGUUUUAGUAUCAAUUAGGCCUUAGCCCAUUAUAACAGACAGUACCAGAUGGGCCUUAGCCCAUUACAGAAUAAGAAACAUUAUCAGAACUAGAAUCAAAAUGAGAAUUACAAUCAGAAUCAAAAUCAGGUGAUAGAAUCAAAAUCAGAAUCAGAAUCAGAAUUAGGUAACAGAAUCAGAAUCAGUAUCAGGUAACAGAAUUAGAAUCAGAACCAGAAUCAAAAUUAGGUAACAGAAUCAGAAUCAGUAUCAGGUAACAGAAUCAGAAUCAGAAUGUGAAUGCAAACCCAACCCAAUCCAUCCGUAUACACCCCCGUACCAACCUUACACCAUGUGGGGAGACAACUCGACCCACCCAUCCGCUACACACCACAGAAUUUGCAGCGAGGCUACCAGGUAUUGUGACGAAGUCACCAGAACAGAUAUAUGUGCUGAGGCCACCAGAUUGCAGCGAGGCUGCCAGAACGCUUCCUCCAUCAAUAUAACCCAUAUCCCAUGCAACAGAUAUACAUGUCAGGACAUGCAACAUACAGAAUCAGAAUAUCAUGUCCAUAUUUGAAUCAAACAAUCACAGUCAAGUAAUUCAUAUCACCAACAUAUAUUCACAAUCAAAUCCGUCAACCACACAGUCCAAGUCAGUCACUUGCCCACAAGGGCAAAAUAGUCAUUUAACACCCUAGGGGUAAAAUGGUAAUUUUACCCCACAAGGGUAUCUCGGUAAUUCUACCUUACAGGAGUAUUUCAGUAAUUCUACCCUACAGGGGUAUUUCGGUAUUUCUACCCUACAAGGGUAUUUCGGUAAUUCUAUUCUAUAGGGGUAUUUUAGUAAUUAUACUCUACAGGGGUAUUUUGGUAUUUCUACCCUACAAGGGUAUUUCGGUAAUUCUACUCUACAGGGGUAUUUUAGUAAUUUUACCCUACAGGGGUAUUUCAGUAUUUCACCCUACAAGGGUAUUUCGGCAUUUCUACCCUACAAGGGUAUUUAGGUAAUUUUGUAAAUCGAGGGUAAAAUAGUAAUUUUGUAAAUCAAGGGUACUUUGGUAAUUUUACAAGUCGAGGGUAUUUCAAUAAUUUUAUAGGUCGAGGGUAUUUUAGUAAUUUCACAAAUCAGGGGUAUUUUGAUAAUUUUACAAACUAGGGGUAUUUUGAUAAUUUUACAAACUAGGGGUAUUUUGGUAAUUUUACAAACUAGGGGUAUUUUGGGCCCUUUUAGCCCAAAUCUAGCCACAGAUAUGAGAUUCACCUAGCCGAGUCCAAUAUUUACUACACAAUCAAACAACUUAUCCAAUUGGGCCCGUAGGCCCAUUGGGCCCACAUGGCCCCUUUCGGUCCGCGGCCUGAAGUAGCCAUCCUACAGCUAUAGUAGUGAGAAAUACACACCUGAUAGGAGACUGGAGUUAAUCCGCGCUCCGAGCACUCUUAGCCAACGCCCAGCCCAAACGAGCACACCAUAAAGCAAAAGGGAUCAGCCAAGAAAGGUACCUUUACUCUCCUCAUGGUUCUCUCUAUUUAAAGCCAGCUUCGCAUCCACUCUUAUGUUAGCUUCCCGAUGUGGGAUCCCUUCAUCAUCAGAGUUUAAAUUCAACACCAACUCUUGCCGCCCCCUGUUAGCAAAAUAAAUGCUCUUUACCUCUUUGCCACCUCUAUGGCGCAACCUUCCUGCCUCUUAUGUGGCGCUACUUUGCCACUAGACCACAACGCUUUUUGUGGCACAAUUUCCCCAACAAUAUUCUUAAGGCCUACCUACUACACCAGGGUUUGAUUCACCUUAAACCAAAAUUUUUGCUAGAGUCCAGAUUUGAACCCAGGACUUCUCCAACACUUCUCAGCACACUUAACCACUAAAACAAGCCUUCAUUAACGAAAUUUACACGCACAACAAAAUAUUAUAAGCUGCCUUCAACCGCUCCCAUGCUCAAGGCCUAAAACUUUUAGGCCUAAAUUCAGGGUGUUACAAACUACGAGUUAAUAUACAUUAAACUUUUAAUUCAGAUAAUAUGAAAAUUGAUUAUGAGCACCAGAGCUACUCGUGGAAGGAGUACAAGAGGCCGCAGCAGAGGUCGUAGAAGUGCUGGGGCUGGGUCAUCGUCAUCGGGUCACAUAGCUAAUGCUGAAGGUAGGGAAGCACCAGCUUCACUUGUAACUAAAACUGGAAUUCACGAUCGAGCAACUGGGGAUGAUGGUCUAUCUCAAGCUAUGUUGUGGUUCUGGAAAGGGUCACUGGGCCCAAUAAUGGUAUAGGGAGCUGUGGGUCGAUUACAGAACGACUUCGGUUGAAUGGAGCUGAGACUUUUAGAGUUAUUGCUGGUGUAUCCGCUAAUGUGGCUGAAUAUUAGAUUGUGGCCACGGAAAGGAUAAUGGAUGACCCUAACUAUACCCUUGAGCAAAAGCUAAAAGGUGCAGUGUCUUUGCUGCGAGACGAAGCCUAUUAGUGGUGGCUUAUGGUGGAAAAGGGUACUCAGCCUGACCAGUUAACUUGGGAUUUCUUCAAGUCUGUAUAUCAAGGAAAGUAUUAGGCUCUAGUUAUGUGGAUGCUCGAAGAAGGGAGGUUCUGAACUUGACUCAGGGGGAUAAAUCUGUGGCAGAAUAUGAGGCAGAGUUCUUACAACUUAGCCACUAUACUCGUGGAAUGGUGGCAACAGAAUAUGAAUGCUGUGUUUGUUUUGAGGAUGGCCUCAGAGAUAGUCUUUGGGUUUUGAUAGCACCACAGAGGGAACGAGAUUUUGUUGCGUUAGUGGAAAAGGUGAAGUUCACCGAAGAGGUGAAGCGUGUGGAGCGCUAGAAUCAUGAGAAGGAAAGAGGCGGAAGUAAGAGAGAUUCAAAGCCCUUAGGUUCCUAAGAAAAAGCCAGAGUUGAUGGGCCAGUUUGAGUUGGGGCCCCUAUUGCUGUUACUGGAUCACAGCCUUAUGCAGAUUGUGGGAGAAGUCAUCUUGGCGAGUGCUGGAAAAGGACUAGAGCCUGUUUAAGGUGUGGAUCAAUGGAACACCGUUUCAGAUAGUGUCCUCGGAGGUUAGAUUUUGCAGGAGCUACUGGUAUGGGUAAUGUAGACCAGCAACCACUGAGAGGCCGUGGUAAUGGAAUGGGCCGUGGUCAUAGAGUAUCAGGCAGGGGUAUAGGUCAUGCAGAGGCGAGGCAGCCAGAUUUGGUCUACACAGCACGUCAUCUAGAAGACGGAGAAGCUCCGAAUGUGAAUACUAGUACGUACUUUACCCAUAGUGUACUAUUUAUUUAAAUUGGAAUUAGAGUGCACAACAGGAGUGUAGUGUUGUAAUCCAUAUUGUGAGACUGUUUGAACAAUUGGAAAUUUUGGGGAUGAAAUUUCUUUAAAGAGGGGUGAGUUGUAACGCCCCAAAUUUUGUUGAGCAUGGGAACUGUUAGUAGGCGGCUUAUAAAUAUUUUAGUUGAGCAAGAAGGUGACACAAAUUGCAUGUUUGGUGUGGUGGUUAAGUGAAUUAGGUGUGUUUGGGGACGUCUGAGAAGUCCUGGAUUCAAAUCUAGGCUUUAGAAAAAUUUUAGUUUUUCCCUUAAGUGAACCUUGGCUUUAGCUUGUAGGCCUUAUAAAUAUUAGUAGUUUAAAUUUAUCACAAGGAAGCAUGUGGUCUAGUGGUUGUGGCGUCAUUAUGGUGGAAAGGGAUCUUGAGUUUGAAUCCCAUGAUUUUCAAUGUACAUUUAUUUUAUUCCCAUGAGGUGAGAGAGGUAGAGUUGGAUUAAAACUCUCCCAAGAUGGUUGUGGAGUUGCUCAAGGGGAGAAAAUCAAGGGAUAUGAUAAUGGUUGUUAUAGACAUGGAAGAGAAUUGGGUGGAGAAAAUCAAGGAAUUUCAACUUGGAAAGUUGUAGCCGAAUAGGGAAUUAGUGUGUGCAAAUUUGACUAAGGGGUCCCUUUGUGUGCAUUUUUGGCAAUUGGAGAGUUUUGGGAGUUGUUCUCUUUGUGUAAUUCGGUUUGUGGGCAUUUAGUGCCUAAUUGGUACCUUUCUUUUCUCCUUUUGCAAGUGUAGCCGAAUUCAAAUGUGACCAUUUGGGCAGUUUUGUGUGACUCUUUACUUCUCUAUUACCUUUCAAGUGCAUUCGCUUGAAUCAUUUCUUCUCCCUCUCGCUCUCAGUAUUAUCUUCCUUGGUAUGUUGUUCCUUGAUUAGCCAAACUUUUAUUUCUCUUUUCUCAUAAGCAAGUCGACUACAUUCUUCAAUUACCUUUCUUCUCCUCUCAAAAUCCCUUUUGGUUCUUGGCUGAAUAUAGUUUUCCGCUGCCCCUAUAUUUCGUUUCCUUGGGUUUUCUCCUAACCAAUUGAUUCACUUUCCUUUCAAUUGAUUCACUUUCCAUUUCUUAACCUUCUAUCGGUUUUCCUACUUUGUUGUGUUGGCUGUUUGCUUUUGUGUCUGCUAUUGGUGUUGUGGUUAAGAUUUUGCAAGGUUCUAACAAAUCAAUGAGUUCUAGUGGAGUGAAGAAGCGCUAGUGUUUGGGUAGCAAUCGAAUCUCUCUCCCACUAAGGUAAAUGCGAUGCCAUAUCUUACCUUGGGGCUUAGGCCGAAUGUGACUUGUUUCUCCUUAAGUGAUAGUAAGUGGGUGUUGACCCUUGGUGCCAAGAGAUUAAUUAAAUACCUGAAUGAUAUAGGUUGUUGCUCGAAGGAUUUUCACAAAGUUUCACAAUCAGGUGUGUAUUCAUGCCCCUCUUUGUUGGAAAUUGGCAAAAGCCGAAAAGCCUAAACUUUGACAUUUGAGGCCUUUCGAGCGUGCGAUUGCUCGUGUGGUAAACCGAGCCCACAGAUCAGGGGCGAUAGAUUGUAGGGGCCACUAGAGCGUUCUCGUGUACAAGGGCUAUUUUGGGCCUCGAUGGGUCGAAAUAAGCCGUGUGGGUCCAAUGGGCUCGUGGGCCUCACACGGAUAAAAUCUACGAUAAGUGACAAGUUAUGAAUUCGGCGAUGGUGUUCGCAUAGCCAUGACUGAAAUUGGGCCAAAUGGGCCACAGGAGCUUAUGGGCCCACUUGGGCCGAGUAAUAGGCCUUGGGCCCAUUUACACCGUUUUGACCAUUUAGGUUACUUGAGUUGCUCGAGGCGACGGCAGACCAUCUAUGAGGUUGUAAUCUAUACUGAGACCCCAAAAUUAGUAAAAUGACCAAAAUACCUCUAAAGGUUAAAGUGACUGUUUUGCCCCUCGAGGGUAAAUGACUGAUUUGUUUGUGAUUUGUAUGACUGAUUUUGUGAAUGACAUUCUGCAUACAUGACAUACUGCUUGGGUUGUGAUAUUGUUAUGGAGGAAGAAAUCGUAUUUGUGGUUGUGCCACAUAUUCUGAUAUUAGCAGCUUUGCUGGUACUCUAGUUAGUGCAGCAGCCGGUGCUGACAUUGUAAGUGUAGGGAUGGCGUAGGUGAUUUAUUCUCCACAGGUAGUGCAGGGUUGGACAAAGGCAAGUGCAGGGUUGAAUGGGUUAUCAUGCAUUAUUCCUAUGGGUUUGAAAUUGAAAUAGGCUAGGCCUAACUGAUAUUGGUUCUGAUAUGGGCUAGGCCUAAUGAUAUUGAUUCUGAGAUGGGCUAGGUCCAAUUGAUACUAUGAUGGGUUGAGACCCAAAAGCUAAUGAAUUAGGCUUUGGCUCACAUAUAUUCUGAAUUGGACUGUUUUAUUAUUGAAUAGGGCUCAAGCCCAGAUUGGUUCUAAAUUCUAUUUUUGAUUGACUGUUUGGAUGGUAGGGGAUUACACACUGAGUUUUCAUAAACUCACCCCAUUUUUAACUGUACAUGUAAUCCCCAGCAUUAGGAGGAUCGAUGUUGCGAGGGACUCGGAGAUGGCCACACAGUUAAUUUUGUUAUCUACUACGUUUAUUUUCUUCUCAGUACUUUAAUUUCGGUUUGGCUUGUAAUAAGGCCUCUCUGGUUUUUAUUUUAAACUUUGGCAUUUUAUUUACCAUCUUUGAUAUUUGUUAGAAGUGGAUUGCGGUUUUCCAAAACAAUAACUAUUUUCAAAAAACUAUGUUUUAACAACUUAACUUUUAAACAUCAUGUUUACAUAAAUCGACUAUUUUAAAUUAAGCUUCCACAACAAACAUCGUUUUAAAUAGGAAUAACCUUCUAGUGAACCACCUUUUGCAAGAUAAACCAACGUAAACAGAGGUUUUCAUAAGUUUUAAAAUGGCCAGAGGUUUUAAAUGGUAAGAAGGGUUUUCGCAGGAAACAUGGUUUUCGAAAAACACUUCAAUGUGACAUGCCAGAUUCGGCCAUAACGUCUAGGCUAGGUUUGGGGUGUUACAUUCUAUGAUAAUUGCAUGACUUAUUAAUUCCAUGGAAGCAUCCAUAGGUAAACCUUUUCUUUUUCUCCCGACUGUUAAAGAUGUUUAGGAUGCUGUGAAAGACAACUAUUCAGAUUUAGAAAAUGCUUCAAAAAUCUUUGAGUUAAAAAUAAAACUUUGGAAGGCAAGAUAAGGGGAGAAAGAGAUUAUUUCUUAUUAUAACGAGAUGAAGUCUCUUUGGCAAGAACUAGAUCAAUAUUAUAAUGAUUAAUGAGAGUGUCCUAGAGAUAGUGUAAAAGAUAUGAAAAAGAAGAGAAUGAAUGAGCUUAUUUAUUUCUAGUUGGUUUAAAUAGAAAACUUGAUGAAGUAAGAUAUCAACUCCCAGGCAAAAAACUAUUUCCAACAGUCCAUGAUAUUUUUUCUGAGUUUAAAAUAGAGGAGACUAGAAGAAAAGUAAUGUAACACCCUAAUACCCGUGUCUAAUAUUAAUUUAAGUAAUUACAACAAUAAUAGCACGUUUCCAUGAGUAACUUCUAUAGUAUGCACAUACUAAAACAAGGGUAAAAAUUGUAAGGUGAUUUUUCUCCUCUUGACCGAAUAUACAUACAUAAUGUAUCUCAAAUGCUUAACAUGUUAGUUCAAGCAUAACAUAAUGUAAUAUCCUGAAUUAGGGCUUAAUCGGAAUAGUGGUUUCAUGACCACAAAUCCGAGAUAGAAAUAAUUAUUUUAUAAUUAUUUUGAUGAUUAUGAUAUGAUUGCAUGGUUGUGUGAAAAUUUCGUGAUGAAAUUCUAUAUCUAAACUGCUUAAAUUGAAAGUAGGGACUAAAUCGAAUAAGUUACAAAAUUUGCAUUCUAGAAGUUUUUAGUAUGAAAUUGCAUUGAAAUAUUAAUUAGGAGGUCUUAAAUAGCAAUUUGACCAAUUUUAAGUUCAUGGAAAAAAUUAGGACAUGGAAGGAAUUUUGAAAGUUUAGUAAGGAGGGGCAUUUUGGUCAUUUGGAUAUUAAAUGAAAUACAAUGGGAAAAAUAACACAAAAUUGGUCAUCAUCCUCCUUAGUUGCUGCCAAAUUCUCCCUCUCUCCAUAGCUAGGGUUUCUUCAACUUUCAAGCUCUAUAGUAAGUGAUUCCAAGCCCCGUUUUUAAUGUUCUUUACGUUUUUGGAAUCCCGGAAGCUCGAUUAAGCUUAUGCUAGCAAUAAUUCAACCUAGGGUUUAUAUUUGGAAAAAUACCCAUAGGUGAAAUUUGUGUAUUUUGAUGUUUUAUGAUAGAAUAUGGGGUUUUAAAUUAUGUUAGACAACUUGUGCUACUUGGUUUUGAGUGAAAACGAGUAAAAGGGCUUAAUUGGCAAAAAUACCUAAUAGUCACAAGUAUGUGUUAGAGUGAGAAUUUGAUGUUGCCAUAGAAGGGAAAAGUGAUCAGAAUGUUAUAAAACAUAAGAAUAAGGAAUAAAGUUUAAUUCCCGAGCCUAGGGGCAAAAGUGUAAUUAUGCAAAAGUUUAGGGGCAAAAGUGUAAUUUUUUAAAAGUUCGUAUUAAAUGCUGUUUUGAUGAAUGUAUGUAUUAAAUAAGAUUAAUUUGGUAUUAUAGAUCAAGAGAAACGAGAUUCAAGUCGCGAUCGAGGAAAAGAAAAGAUUGUGGACUAAAUUGCAAAAUCUUUAUAUUUUGGUACCAAGGUAAGUUCAUGUGUAAAUAAUGUAGCAUAAUUGUUAUUUUAAAGUUAUUGAUGUUAAUUAUAUGAUACGCUGAUUUUUAAUCGUGAAAUAUUAUGCUUUGUGGUUAAUGUUGAGUAAUAUGCAAAUUAUGUUUACUACUUGAUAAAUAUGAAAAAGCCCGUUUGAACCUUAGGAAUAGAUUAGGAUACAAGUGACAUGUCACUAGGAUAUUUGGGCAUCCGAACUCGUUGAGUUGAGUCUGAGUUCACUUAUGGAUGCGAAUGUCCGAACUCGUUGAGUUGAGUCCGAGUUCACUUAUGGAUGCGAACGUCCGAGCUCUUUGAGUUGAGUCCGAGUUCACUUAGGGGCGGGUUACAUGAUUUCUUGAUUACAUAUGAGGCACUUAUGUGCAAAUUAUCCGUGUAUCCGAGUUGUAUUCCGAUGUGUUCAACGGGUGAAAUUUCUAGUGAAAUGAAAGAACACUUAAGAUGCAAGCGACGUUUUGGUAAGUGUUGUGAAAUGGACACCUUGGACAGGUAUGUUCUUAACCCUCGGGUUGAUAAUAGAUAUAACAACGAUAAGGUAGUAAGAUGAUGAAUGAUGUUUAGAAAUAUGAUAUAUGUUUUGGUGAUACCAUGCUAAGGUUGUUUGGUAUAUUUGUAUUGUUAGGUUACUUGUUAUUUACAUAUGAACUUACUAAGCAUUUAUGCUUACUCCCUCCUCUUUAUUUACUGUAGUUUUGAACAAGCCAGCUCGGGAAUCGGGACGGGUUGAAGGUUCGAUCACACUAUCCAAAGGACUUUCAUCUUGGUAAAUGGCUUGUACAACUACUUAAGUAUGGCAUGUAUAGCAAUAUACCUAUUUUGUGUAAAUAAUUUUAUGAUAUGGCCAUGUUUGGUUGAGAAAACGUUUGAUAUUGAUAAGUCAUGGUGAUGGUUAAAUUGAGAUCAUGUUUGAUAUCAUGGAAGUUUAAUAGGUUAUCUAGUUCAUAAAAAUUCAUAGAAAGAUGAAACUUGCCUUAAAACAGAAUAUUGCUGCAGCAGUGACAUGAAUUUGAAAAAUCACUAAAAAUAGUAUAAAUGGAACUAAAUGAUGAGUAAGUUAUGAAAUUGAAGCUUAAUGAGUCUAUUUUCAUGUGGAUUGAACAAAAUAGGCAUAUAAAUUAUAUUUUAUGAGAUAUUUAAACUUUUUUGAAACAGGACCAGAGUGAUUUCUGGAUCCCCUUUUCUGAUUUUAAAAAUUCAUAAUAAAUUUUUAAAAAAUAAUUAGAAAUUUUUAUUUAUAUGUACAGAUUUUUUAUUGAGUCUAGUUUUAAUAGAACAAACCUCAUAGUCAUUGAAAUUCUGUAUAGAUAGAUAUCUGAUUCGUAAUACACAGAGGUCAGAGCAGUCAAACCCUGAAAUAGGGGAGACUUUAACUAAUAAACUGUACUAUUUUUCCCAACCAAAAAUUAUAGAAAAAAAAUUAGUAAAUAGAUAUAUCAGUCUAGAUUUAGGGAAAAUUUACGGAUCUUGAUUUUGAGUUUCGUAACUCGAGAUAUGAUUUUUCUUGUAACUGUGACGUGGGUAGCUAGAAAGCUGUGAAUGUAGAAACAAAAGAUUUGAAGUUCUUAAUUUGAUAAAUUAUGUUCGGUAACUCCUCAAGCUCGACUCCGGCGACGGUUUCGGGCGUGGGGGCAUUACACAUAAUCACACUCAUAUCACAAUAUGAACUCAUAUGUCAAGUUGAUUUCACUUGAAGAUGUAUAUUUAAACCAUUAUUACAUCCAUACAUAGAACUUUAGCCAUAUUCGCAUGGCCUUAUAUAUACAAUACUAUCAAAAUAUCAAACCUCCCAAAAUAUUAUUCUAUACAGGCCAUAAUGUCUAUUUGAGCUUUAAACAAAGGUACCAAAAAGGGGUUGUCAAAAGAUGCGAUGACUUCGUAACUGAUCCAAGCUUUCCUCGACAAGAUGAUCUAUACAAAACCAAUAAACACACCAAGUGAGUUAUUAACUCAAUAAGUCCUAAGAAAUUUCAAAAAGAAUGUAAUGAUCCAAUUAUCUUAACAAAAAUUAAAGUUUCAAUCUAAUAUUAGCUGAAUUCAAACAGGAUAUCACAAGGAAAUCUUAUGUCACAUGUGUACAUUAUGAAUUUGGUACAUACUUACCCGAAUUCACUAUGUACUCUUACACCAUUUAAUCGCAAACUGAAAAGACCAUGGUAAAUAUCAUAUGCAUAUCGUUGGCGUAUAUAUAUAUAAAUGACAAACAAGGUUCAAUUAAUCAAAUAAAGCACAAACCAAGCUGCUCCAUGUAUAAAUCAAAUCUCCAAUCCAUUUAGAUUCAUUUAUCACUAAUUUAUAUCUUUGUUAAAUUAUAUACUAAUUGAGCCGAUUACCUUUCUCUUCUUUCUCUCUUCCCAAGCAUUAUCUAUUAAUAUACAGAUUUAGAUCAAGUCCCAUGUCUAAUAUCCAUGCACAUUUCAUUAUUCCCAGUUUAAAGUUUUAAACUUUUUCAUUUGCACAAGCAAUUCUCUACGAUCGAUAUCGCACACUUAGUGCUCGAUUUAAAGGUCCGCACACAUAGUGCUCUUACUCAUUCGCACACAUAGUGCCACGUUUCCUCGCACACAUAGUGCUAUGUAAUCUCGCACACAUAGUGCCACGUAGUUUUUGCACACAUAGUGCCGCAUAACCUCUCACACAUAGUGCUGAAAUUUCUUAUCUAUAGCUACCACAAUGUCAUAGAUAGGUUGAUAAAUCUCACAUUCGAUUUUCACAAAUUCAUACAUACCAUGAUUUCUUAUCCAACCUAUUUUAUGUACAAUAUUGACCGAAACUUAAAUUACUUAGGAACUUACCUUUUUAGUCGGAUGAACAACUCCGAUCAGCUACUCAACUGCUUUCGCUUUUCCUUUGGCCGAACUUGGCUCCCUUUGAUCUUGAGCUCCAACUAAGCAAAUAAAAUAAUUCAAUCAUCGUAGCCUCAAUUUAUAAUCAUUCCUCAUAGACACCCACACAGAUUCGGUAUUCCAUCUAAUAUUAACCAAGCCAUAACAAUUUAAAGUUUAACCCUUAAACUUAAUGCACAUCCAAACAACUUCUCAUCUAUUCCAUUUAUUCGCUACAUAUACAAGAUAAUUUCGGCAAAUUAACAUUUCCAAAUUUUUCAAUACUAAAUAAUUUGUAAAUUAAUUAACUAAACUCAUUUUCGGUUAGUAUCUGUUUAAAUACUAUCAAGCUCGUAUACUUCUAAUUUUAUGAGUUCAACAUCUUAAUGUCAAUUGUAAUCACUCAAUAAAUUUCUAAUACAUAAAUUAAGCUACUCAAACAAUCUAAAUUUAAAUUCGGCAAACACCAUACCAAACUAUUUUAAUCAAAUUCUCCAUAGCACAUAAACUAAAAUAUGCACCUUAAAACUUACUCAAAUUUUUAUUAUGCCUUUCCCUCCUAAAACAUAAAAAUAUAAGUUUUACUCCGUCUUCCAUGUUUCGGUCAACUAAUCAACUUACCUCUUAACAUGAAUUUUUGCAUUUCAACUUAUCAAUCAAAACGCAUCCGACCUUAACAAUGAACCGUUUCUCAUACAAGGAAAAAACAAUUAAAAAGAACAUUCCAUUUAAACCCCAUAUGGCCGGAUGUAUAAAAUAUUAUCCAACUACUUAUUCAACAAGUUCAACCCCAUUCUAUCGUCUACUUAUUCAAUACAACAUGAAAACAACCUCUAAUUCUAACACUUUGAUACACUGCUUGGUGCCCAAACCACCAUAAAAGUUUAAAUUUUCUUGUCAUUGCCAAAAGUGCAUUCAAAAUUAACUUAACAUAUAAAAAGAUUUAACCAACACUUCAAAACUUACCUCCUACUAGCAAAAGAAGAUGCCGAAUUGCCUUAGUGUAAAUUUCCCUUUUUCUUUCCUUUUUGUUUCGGUUUUGGAAGAAGAAGAUGUAAUGCCCCGUACCCGAGACCGUCGCCGGAGUCAAACACGAGGUGUUAACAGACUUAAUUCAUUACUUAAAUAGCUCAAACAAUUUAUUUUUAAAAUUUUCAGUCAAGCUAGCAAUCUGCAUCAUAGUCACUUAAAAAUUGAUAUCUCGAGUUCCAAAACUCUAAAUCCAAUUCCGUAAAUUUUCCCCAAAACUAGACUCAUAUAUCUAUUUACUAAUUUUUUUCUAGAAUUUUUGGUAAAGAAAAUUAGUACAGUUUAUUAGUUAAAGUCUCCCCUGUUUCAGGGUUCGACUGCUCUGACCUCUGUGUAUUACGAAUCAGAUAUCUCCCUGUACAGAGUUUCAAUGACUAUGCUGUUUGUUUCUAACAAAACUAGAUUCAAUAAGGAAGCUGUACAUAUAAAUAAUGACUUCUAAUUAUCUUUUAACUAUUUAUGGUGAAUUUCCAAAGUCAGAACAGGGGAUCCAGAAAUCGCUCUGGCUUUGUUUCACAAAAAUUUAAACAUCUCAUAAAAUAUAGCUCAUAUUCCUGUUUCGCUUCUUCCAUAUGAAAAUAGACUCAUCAAGAUUCGAUUCAAUAACUUAUUCAUUAUUUAAUUCCAUUUCUACUAUUUUUAGUGAUUUUUCAAAUUCACGUCACUACUGCUGUCUAAAUCUAUUUUAUGGUAAAUUUUACCUAUUUCAUGGUUUCCAUGGAUUAGCUAGCAAUUUGACAUACAUAACACCAAAUAUGAUCAUGAUUAGCCAUUCCAAUGGCUAAUCAUUACCAAGAAUUUCCAUACCACUCAAUAACCAUAUCAUAAGACCAUAUAUACAAAAUGAUUAUAAUGCUAUACAUGCCAUACUCAAAAUAUACAAGCCAUUAUGCCAAGAUGGUAUACAGAUAGUGUGAGCGAACCUCCGACCGUUCCCAAUUUCCGAGCUGGCUUGUCAAAACUACAAUGAAUGAAAAGGAGGGAGUAAGCAUAAAUGCUUAGUAAGUUCACAUGCAAAUAGCAAGUAACAUAACCAUAUAAGCAAACAUAAAACAUCAUUUGCAUAAUCAUCACCAAGACAUUCAUAUCAUAUUUUCAUUUAUCAUCUUACCAUAUUGUUGUUAUAUCGAUUUUUCAACUCGAGGGUUAAGUACAUACCUGUUCAAAGUACCCAUUUCACAACACUUACCAAUACGCCCCUUUCAUCUUGAGUAUUCCUCCAUUUCAGUAGAACUUUACCCGUUGAACACAUCGGAAUAUAAUUCAGAUACAUGGAAAGUUUGCACAUAAAUGCCACAUAUGUAGCCAAGCUACCAUGUAACCCGCCCAUAAGUGAACUCAGACUCAACUCAACGAGCUCGGGCAUUCGCAUCCAUAAGUGAACUCGGACUCAACUCAACGAGCUCGGAUGCCUAGUUACAUCUCUCGAACUCGGACUCAACUCAACGAGUUCGGACAUUUGCAUCCAUAAGUGAACUCGGACUCAACUCAACGAGUUCGGAUGCUCAACCAUCCUAGUGACAUGUCACUUGUAUCCUAAUCUAUUCCUAAGGUUCAAACGGGCUUUUUUCCCUCGAUCUCACAUUUUCCGUCUUCCAUGGAAUAUCAGAACCGAUACUUCGGUGAUAGUUCAUACUCAUCAAGUAAUUCACAUAAUUACAUAUUAUUCAACAAUAACCACAAAGCAUAAUAUUUCAUGAUAAUAAUCAGCAUCAUAUCAUACAAACAACAUUAAAUUGCUUGAAAUGACAAUUGUGUUACUACAUUUACACAUGAACUUACCUCGUAUGCGAAAAUGGCUACUUUUACCAUUUUGUCCACAACUUGGUAUUUUCCCCAUUUUAGCCCGAAUUUCAGUUUUCCUUGCUCUAUCAUUUAAAAUAUAGUCUAAUUAGGACUCAAAUUAUUAAAAUUGACCCAAAAUCAUAUUUUGGAAAAAUUACAAUUUUGCCCCUAAACUUUUGCAUAUUUACACUUUUUCCCCAAAGCUCGUAAAUUAAACUUCAGCCUAUUUUCUUAUGUUUUAUGACAUGCUGAUCAUUUUUCCCUUCUAUGGCAACAUCAAAUUCUCACUCUAACAUGUACUUAUGACUAUUAGGUAUUUUUACCGAUUAAGCCCUUUUGCUCGUUUUCACUUAAAACCGAGUAGCACAAGUUGUCUAACAUAAUUUAAAACCUCAUAUUCUAUCAUAAAACACCAAAAUUCACAAAUUUAACCUAUGGGUAUUUUUCCAAAUAUAAACCCUAUGUUAAAUUAUUGCUAGCAUAAGCCAAAUCGAGCUACCGGGACUCCAAAAACGUAAAAAUUAUUAAAAACGAGGCUAGAACGGACUUACAAUCGAGCUUGGAAGCUUGAAAAACCCUAUCCAUGGUUUAUCCUUGCUAUAUUCGGCCAUGGGGUUGAAGAUGAGCAAAAUUGGCUUUUAAUUUUGUAUUUUAAUUCAUUUUACCCCUAAAUGACCAAAAUGCCCUUACUACUAAACUUUCCAAAAAUUCCAUUCAUGUCCAAUUUUUGUCCAUAGACUUAUAAAUUGGUAAAAUUUCUAUUUAAGACCUCCUAAUUAAUAUUUCAAAACAAUUUCAUACUAGAAACUUCUAGAAUACAAGUUUUGCAAAUUAUUCGAUUUAGUCCCUAAUUUCAAUUUAAGCACUUUAUGCAUAAAAUUUCUUCACGAAAUUUUCACACAAUCAUGCAAUCAUAUCAUAGACCUUAAAAUAAUCAUAAAAUAAUUAUUUCUAUCUCGGAUUUUGUGGUCACGAAACCACUAUUCCGACUAGGCCCAAAAUCAGGAUAUUACAGAAGAAGAUGAUGAACACUUUCUCUCUCCUUCCUUUUCUUCUUUUAUUCAUCUUUUUCUUAUUAAUUAAUUUUAUUUAGAAUAUUUUAAUCAUUUUCUAACAAAACAUUAUAAUUAAUUAAACUUAGUGGAGGGGCAUCAUUACUUGGCCGGCCACUUAUUGUAUUUUGGGCAUUUUGACAUGCAAACCCAAGCUUUCACACUUUGUAGUUGUUUGGUCCUUACAAUUUACCUAUCAUAUUUUCUAAGUUUCUCAACUAAGUCCUUUCAAGUAAAAUUCACAUUCAUAAGACUAAAUUAAAACAUCAAAUUUUCAUACAUGCACUAUCACACAUAGAAGAUAUGUAAAUAAAUUUUAAAUGAAUUUUAUGACUCGGUUUUGUGGUCCCAAAACCACAUUCCGACUAGGGUCAAAUUAGGGUUGUCACAAGUAAUGUUAAGGCCAAAAUUUGAAGCUAAAUAUGACAAUUCUACUUUUUUAUUGUUAAAAAUGAUGAUGACAGUGAAAAAAAGGAAGAAACAUUGGUGCAAUUACUACAAAAAACAUUGACACACUUGAGAAGCUUGUUGGAAGCUCCAUGAAAAACUGACAAAUGGGAGAAUGAAGAGUGGAAAUGGUCAUGGUUCACAAUUUGGGGAUAGCAAAGCUUUCUAAACAACUAAUUAAAAUCAUGAGCAACAAAAUUCUCUAAAAGGGUAUCCAAAAACAAGUUCUGGAGCGAAUCUACCAAUGAUGUCACGACAGGACCCUCAUGUGUCACGACAUACCCCUUGUGCUUGGUUGCAACAUCGUAUGCCUAUGUUGCACCCAAACCUUGCGCAGCCUUAAAAAAAUCAUGCACAUGAUAAUGAUGUUUUGGAGAGAAAUUAGGUGUAUUUGUCCUAGUUGAACUCCAAGGACUUCAAGGACAGUUUAGUCACUUUAAUGUUUUGAGUUUAGCCUAUAUAAAUGCCAUCGUAAUCAGUUUAAACACACAAUUUUAGAGAGAUAGAAAAUAUACUUAGGGUUUUUAUUUCAUUCUUAGAUUUUACUUAUAGUAUUUUAUGUUCUUGUAAUCGGAAGAUCCUAUUUCGAAGUGAGACUCUUACAAGUGGAGAUUGUUCUAGAACCACUCUUUCAUCGAUAAAUCCAUUUGUAUCUCAUUUCUUUUAUUCUAUUCUUUAUAUCUCUUUCUUUAACAUUGUUUAAUUGAAUUUUUGUGUAAAGAUUAGAAUCAAUUUAUACUUUAUACAUAUCUCGCAUGGUUUCAACUAUUCUAAUCGUAUUCAUUGAUUGAAGGAUAAAGUUUCUUAGCGGAUCAACUGUUUGGGAGAGGAAGAACCUAAACCCCAGACUUGACAACCCUAGGAAUUCAUUUAGGUGGGGAUUAACCCAAAAUUGGUAUCGCCUAUCCAUUAACACCUUAACCCUAAACCAGUCUAGACUGUGAGGUUAGAAGAUAAGUAGUUCUUGUUGACUCGCUAUUCUAGUGAAAAUAUCAGAAAAUCCUACUAGGGUAUCAACUAAUUCAUUGAAGAGAACACUACAUCAAUAAUUAAUUAGGUAAAACAAUUGGAUCUAGGCUAAAGGAACUCGCGUAGCUAAAACAUGGAUAGGAGAAACUGAUACAUAAACAUAGGAGUAUAUUUAGGCUUAAUUCAAUUUAUUUGGUUUAUUAAUAUUAUCGUCAUCUUUCUUCCAUAUUAACACUAGUACUUCGUAACUCAAGUAUAUUAGUAAUUAUUCCUAGUAAUUGGCUUGACAAUAGUUUUCCCCAAACUGCAAUCCCUUUGGGUAUGAUCCUCGGAGUACUUACCUACUUCGUUGUAACAAUAUUACAACCUGACCCGUAUACUUGCAGAAACUGCCUCAAAUCUAUAUCCUUAGUUGUGGUAUUCACACUUUGGACGUUGGUACAUCCGAAAUUGGUUAAGUUGUUGGCGCCGUUGUUGCAGAUUGUGAUGGUGUUAAUUGUUAUUGAAUCAAUUACUUACAAAAAAUAUUAGUCGAAAGAUGAACGAGUUAGAUAAUCUUCUAAUUGUAUUAAUUUAUUAUUUUAGCUUAUUUUUAUAAUUUUAUUAUUUCUGUUAUUGAUUAAGAAAAUCAUGAGUGCAAUUAAUGAUAAGUACAAUUGGUAUAGUAACAACCCGUUUUUGGUCAAAUUGAAACAAUGGUUUCAAAACCACAAGUCUGAAGUUGAAAUAUUUAUUUUAUUAAGAUCUUAAUGUUUACAGCAUGAUUGAAUGAUUGUGUGAAAGUUUCGUUAACAAAUUUUGUCGUUUGGUAGUCAAUUUGGUAAAAAGGACUAAAUCGCGUAAAGUGCAAAAGUGGAGUUCUAUUAGCUAAAAGUAUUUAAUAGCUAUCGAACCUUAAAGUAAAGGUCUUUAUGUUGUAAUUAGACCAUAAAUGACAUAAGUGGACAUAUAUGGACAUAUAUUAAGGUGUUUUAAAUGGUUUAUAAUAAGGGUAAUUAAGUAAUUUAAAAAUUUAAGUUAAAAUCAGUAAAAUAAAUCAAAGUAUCAUAUUUGUUUAUUCUUGUUUCAACCAAGACUAGGGCUAAGAAAACACCAUUUUUGUGUUCUUCAUUCGUCCAAGCUUAAAUAGCUAAUUAAGGUAUGGUUUUUUUCUCGUUUUUAAUGAUUUCUAUGUUUUUGAGAUCGUUGCAACUAGGUCUAGCUAGCCGAGGGACUAAUUUUCAAAAAUGUUAAAGAUUUUGAAUGUUUCCAUUGAUGAAUAAGCAUGUAUUUUUAAGUUUCUUGAUAUAUUAUGAAUGCUUGUUGAUAGAUAUAUAAGUUUUGUUAAGUGAUUUUUAGUGAAAAUGCAAAAUGGGGAUUAAAUUGUGAAAUGGGUAAAGUUUGUGGUUAAAAUGUGAAAUAAAUGAAAAAUAUGGGCUGCUAGGGGCAUUAUGGUAAUCCUGCUAGCAUGGCUUUAUUGUGAAUUUCAUUAAUUUGUGAUUUUGUGACAUAGGGACUAAAAUGUGAAAAAUGUGAAAUAUUAGGGGCAAAAGUAUAUAUAUUUUAAAGUGUGUUUUGGACUAAAUUGAAUAGAGAGAUGAUUAAAUAAGUUAAUUUUGAUUAUAUAUAGAUUAAUAAAAGAGGAAUUCACACUUAGAUCGGGGAAAAAGAAAAGUAAUUGAAUAGUCGGUCUGUUCCGUCAUUUUCGUAUACGAGGUAAGUUUGUAUAAUUGAACUUAAAUGUGUAUCUAUUAAAUUGAUGGAUGGUAUUGUGAUUGUAUUUAUCUUAUUGUUUAAAUUUAAAAGAUUGAAUUAAAUGUAUGAUUUAAGUUAGAAGAAUUGCUAAAUAAGACCAUAGCUGGGCUAUGGCAAAUCGGAUAAUAAGACCAUAAUCGAGUUAUGGCAUGUGAAAGUAAGACCACGACAGUGCCAUGGAAACUUAUGUGUAUGACCAUGUUGGAUUAUGGCAUCGAAAAAUCGAUGUGCUCGUAUCAUAAGCAAUUAUAAAACUGGAGUGAUUUGGUAAGUGAAUUGAUAAUAAAUAGUUACGUAUCGGUACAGGUAUGUACAGAAAAUGUUCAAGUAACGAAUUAAAAGAAGCUGAGAGCUUAUGCUUAACUAUGUGGUUAAAAUUUAUGUUAACUUAGUGAUUGAUGCUUAAAUGCAAUUUAUUUUAUCUAUUUAGAAAUGUUAAUGAAUGAAAAGAUUAUUUCAUAUUUACAUACGAACUUACUAAGCUUCAUAGCUUACUUUGUUUACCUUUCAAUGUUUUAUAGUAUUUUGAAGCUAGCUCAGAUUCGGGGAUUAUUAGGGACUUCAUCGCACUAUCGGACAACUAUUUUGGUACUUUUGAAGUUUGUAUAUAUGGUAUAUGGCAUGUAUAGGCUUGAGUCAUUUUGGUAUGUUUGAUGAAUAUGUAUUUUGGCUAUUUGAGUUGCCUUAUGAUGAUAAAUUUGAUGAUGUUUAUAAAUGUGCAAAUGGUUCUAUUUUAGUGUGGUAAUUAACCUAUAUUGUAACGCCCCAUACCCGAGACCGUCGCCGGAGUCGAACACGAGGUGUUAACGGACUUAAUUCAUUACUUAAACAGCUCAAACAAUUUAUUUUUAAAACUUCCAGAGAAGUUGGCAAUCUGCGUCACAGUCGCUUAAAAAUUCAUAUCUCGAGUUACAAAACUCGAAAUCAAAUUCCGUAAAUUUUUCCUAAAACUAUACUCAUAUAUAUAUCAACUAAUUGUUUUCUAGAAUUUUUGGUCUGGCCAACUGGUACAUUUUAUUAGUUAAAGUCUCCCUUGUUUUGGGGUUUGACUGCUCUGACCUCUGUGUAUUACGAAUCAAAUAUCUCCCUAUACAGAGUUCCAAUUACUAUGAAGUUUAUUUCUCAUAAAACUAUACUCAAUAAGGAAUCUGUACAUGUAAAUAAUGACUUCUAAUUAUUUUUUUUAAAAUUUUUGGUGAAUUUCCAAAGUCAGAACAGGGGAUCCAGAAAUCGCUCUGGCCCUGUUUCACAAAAAUUUAAAUCUCUCAUAAAUUAUAUCUCAUUUACCUAUUUUGUUUCUUCCAUUUGAAAAUAUACAUAAUAAUGUUUGAUUUCAUAACUUAUUCAUCAUUUAAUUCCAUUUCUACUAUUUUUAGUGAUUUUUCAAAUUCACGUCACUGCUACUGUCUGAUUCUGUUUUGUGCUAAUUUCACCUUUUUCAUGAUUUCCAUGGAAUAACUAGCAUUUAGGCAUACAUAACACCAAACAUGACUUUGAUUAGCCAUUCCAACAGCUAAUCAUUAUCAAGCAUUUACAUACCAAUCAUUAGCCAUAUCAUAAGAUCAUACACACAAAAUGGCUACGAUGCUAUACAUGCCAUACUCAAAAUGAAACGUCUAGCUAUACCAAAAUAAUCCUUGUGAUAGUGUGCCCGGACCUCUAACGUACUUUACGAUCCCUGAGUUAGCUUGACAAAACUAUAAAAAGAAGGAAAAUAAAGGGGGUAAGCAUUAAGCUUAGUAAGUUUACAUGCAAAUAAAUAACAACAUUCAUAAGAACUAUCUUACUACUUGGCAUGAUACUACAUAAUGCAACUUCAUUAAUUGUCAUAGACAUAUUUUAAACUUCUUCACUUACUCACUUAUUUAAAUACUUACUUACUUAAUCAAAUUUAUUAAUACAUUUUACUUACCUUUUUCCUUAUCAAGCAUACAUGAACAUUAUGUACUUACCUUUGCUCUUCUAGCAUGAACUUGUCUUACCUUUUUAGUAUAACUCGUCUUACCUUACCUUACUUUACCUUGAUAUUCUCUUUAAAUUUUCCCGUUGAACCACUUGGAAUACUAAGGAUACACGGGUACCUUACUAUUGCCAUGAUUUGUCAUGGUCUUACGUGGUAUCCUUUUGAAACUUACCAUUUCCAUGUCUUGACAUGGUCUUACAUGGUAUCCUUGCAUUAUGAACUCACCAAUGCCAAGCCUUGGCAUGGUCUUACAUGGGACCUUUGCCUUGUAGUAACUUAUCAAUGCCAUGUCUUGACAUGGUCUUACAUGAUUUCCUUGCCUUAGAAACCUUACCAAUUUCCAUACCUUAGCAUGGUCUUACAUGGUAUCCUUGAACCAUAAUGUCAUGACAUUUGUAUCCUACACAUUCCUAAGGUUCAACCGGGACUUUCUGAAAUUACUUCUCUUUCAAUUCAUGCUUAAGUCUUCUUUGAAUAAUUUCAUAAAAUAAAUUUACACAUGCUGGAAAUUAACAAAAUUAACAUAAAAUAAUAGAAUAUUGCAUUUAUUUACCGCAAACUUACCUCGAAACAAAAUACGAUCAACUAUAUCGAUUUAGUCCACUAUCUUUUUCUUUCCCCGGUCUAACUCUGGAUUUUGUUCUUCUUGAUCUAUAAUAAAAAAAUUUAGCUUAUUUAAUACUCACAUUUAUUAAAAUAGUCCUUGACCCAAACUUUGGCAAAAUUACAUUUUUGCCCCUAAAUUUUCACAUAUUUUCACUUUUGCCCCAAGGCUCGUAAAUUAAACUUCAUCCUAUUUUCUUAUGUUUCAUGACAUGCUGAUCAUUUUUCCCUUUUAUGACAAUAUCAAAUUCACACUCUAACAUGUACUUAUGACUAUUAGGUAUUUUUACCGAUUAAGCCCUUUUACUCGUUUUCACUUAAAACCGAGUAGCACAAGUUGUCUAAUAUAAUUUAAAACCUCAUAUUCUAUCAUAAAACACCAAAAUACACAAAUUUCAGCUAUCGAUAUUUUUCCAAAUAUGAACCUUAGGUUGAAUUAUUGCUAGAAUAAGCUUAAUCAAGUUAUCGGGACUCCAAAAACGUAAUGAUCAUUAAAAACGGGGCUUGGAAUCACUUACUAUGGAGUUUGAAAGCUUGAAACAAACCCUAGCUAUGGAGAACCCUUGAAAUUUCGUCCUAAUGAAGAAUAUGGACAAAACUUGGCCUUUAAUUUUGUUUUUAAUUCAUUUUAAUAACUAAAUGACCAAAAUGCCCUUACUACUAAACUUUCCAAAAAUUCCAUCCAUGUCCAAUUUUUGUCCAUAGACUUAGAAAUUGGUCAAAUUUCUAUUUAAGACCUCCUCAUUAAUAUUCCAAAGCAAUUUCAUACUAAAAACUUCUAGAAUGCAAGUUUUUCAAAUUAUUCGAUUUAGUCCCUAAUCUCAACUUAAGCAUCUUAUGCAUAGAAUUUCAUCACGAAAUUUUCACACAAUCAUGCAAUCAUAUCAUGUAUCUCAAAAUAAUAAUAAAAUAAAAUUUUGUACCUUGGAUUUGUGGUUACGCAACCACUGUUCUAUUUAGGCCCUAUUUCAGGAUGUUACAUAUAUUGUGUGAUUGAGGUUCAAAUUAUAAUGUUUAAUGAUAUUAGGUAAUUUGAUUGCUAAAAGGGUUGAUAAUGUGUAAGCUAUGUGCUUGUGAAUUUGUGAAUAAUAAUGAAAUUUGGAAUGAUUUUAGUGAAUUGAAUUGUAUAUAUGAAUUAGGUAUGUAAUUAGAUGGCAAGUUGUGGCUUAUUGUGAUUUGUAUUGAUGAUAAUGAAAUGGUAUGAAUUGAAUAUUGGUCGAUGAUAUUUGGUUGCUAUUUGUGUCUUGAAAUGGUACUAUAUGAGUUUGUAUAGGUAUGUACAAAUUGGGUGGCAAAAUGGCUUGGUAAAUAGCCUAUUUUUGUCCACACAGUCAGAUACACGGGUGUGUGCCUCAGCUGUGUGUGACACACGGUCAUGUUUCAUGGCCGUGUGUCCUCUGGUGUUGGAUUUGGAACCAAGUCAGUAUGCUCCACAGGGCCUCACACACGGACGUGUGACUUGGCCGUGUGGCAUAAGUAAGUAUACCCUACAGGAUUGACACGGCCUAGCACAUAGCUUGGCACACGAGUGUGUGUGUUGGCCAUGUGUCAAAAGUCAGAGAGUUACAUGGGGUCAGACAUGGGCUGGGACAUGGCCAUGUGCUUCCAUUUCGAAUGUCCACAUGGCCUGUGACACGGGCGUGUUUGGUGGCUGUGUGAGAUACACGGCCUGGCCACACGGGCCUAUGUUCCCUAUUUUGAGAAAAAAAUUUCAAAGUUUCGUAAAAGUUUCUUGGGUUAUCAGUUAAAUUCUAACCACUCCUUAUGCAUGUUUAGGGCCUCGUAGGCUUGUAUAAGGGAUAAAUUGUUUGAGAUUUUACGAGCGUAUUAAUUGAAACUAUUACAGCAAGGUCGCUCAUUCCCAAGCCAAGUACCUUUAGGAUUUAACCGGAUAUAGCUACUCGCUCAAAUGCCUUCGGGACUUAGCCCGGAUAUAGUAACUCACAUAAAUGCCUUCGGGACUUAGCCCGGAUAUAGUAACUCACACAAAUGCCUUCGGGACUUAGCCCGGAUAUAGUAACUCGCACAAACGCCUUCGGGACUUAGCCCGAAACUAGUCACUAGCGUAAAUGCCUUCGGGACUUAGCCCAGUUAUCAUCCAAACAUUCAUGCACAUAUCAACAAAUCAUGACACAUUUAUAUUCCAUUUUCAUAAUCAGAGUUCAAACACAAGUCACGUAUUAAGCAAUCCCAUUUUCGGCUCACUAGCCACAUACAAACAGCCUGGUUUAGUUUGCUUUAUGACACGAUCUCUAUGCACAUACGGCUGCCCGUCACACGUAUAGACAAAUUAACUCAACAUAAAAUUCAAGUAGAAUCAUCAUAUCACCGUAUAUUUGUUACGCUCAUAUGUCAUGACUUAAUCAAAUCGUAAACUAAGUCUCGUUACUCGAAAACUUACCUCGGGUGUUGUCGAACGGUUUCGAUGGCUAUUCGACCACUUUUUCCUUCCCUGUAUCGAAUUUAGAUCCCCUUUGCUCUUGAGCUUAAUUUAAACAAAUAAAUUCAUUUAAUAUUUUCACUUGGCCAAUUCCAUUCAAUACAUGUAUGUCAUACAAUUUAAGUACAAUGACCUUGCUCAAUACUAUUUAAACAUCAUGCAUUACCGAACUUCAUCAACACCAUCUAACUUCAUAUAGAAACACAUAUCGUCCUAGGUCGGUACACAAGUCAAAUGCAUCAUUUAAAUUGUCAAAGUCCACAAUUUAGUCAUAUUUCUCUAUCAUAGUUUCUUCACUUAAACCGAAUUAACAAGCCCAUAUAGUCCUUGGCCGAAUGCUAUUUAACCCAAGUCCUCAAGAAUUUCAUUAUUUAACACCUUAGAUAUCCAUACUAAAUAGGUUAUUUGUACAUACAUAUAUAUACAUAAGUGCAUAGAUACUAUGUUACUAACAAUUAUUUCCUUGCUUAGCAACCGAACCAAUAUACACAUUACUUCAUAUCUACCCGUCACGUUUUCUCUACUUAAACCGAAUAAACUUGCACAUAAGGUCCUUGGCCGAACCUCACUAAAACAAGUCAACCAAAAUCUUAGUAUUUAUCUUGUGUAUAACCUUAUUUACCUUCCAAAAAUCACAAAAACAUCAAACUCUUAAUGUUUAUGUACAAGGCCGAAUCUUAACAUGAUCCAACCUCCAACUCAUUCCUUUCAACAACCAAAACCGAAUGCUCAAGCCAUCACCGAGAUUUCGAAAUUUUGCCAUGGUUUGUGUAAGAAAUUAGCUAAUUAACUAGAAACAAGUUUAAAACUUAAGAAUUUAACACAAUAUACUAACCUCCCCUUAAGCUCAAGGUGACCGAAACCUCUCUUCUUCCUCCUUUCUAACCGGCCAAGAAGAACCAAAGGAUGAAGCCUUUCUUUUUUUUUUCUAGUUUCGGCAAAAUGGGGGAACAACCACACACUUUUUUUUUGUUUUCAUCCUAUUCCCUUUCAUUAUUUUAUUCCCACGCUCCUUAUUUUAUCAUACCUCCCAUGUAACACUAACUUAACAUGUUUAUGACAUGUUUUUGCCCAUCACACUUGGUCCACCAUACUUGUCAUGGCCGGCCACUACUAAUUAGGGGGGAAAUUGACAUGCAAGUCCCCCCCUUUUUAUUUCAUGCACUAAUAGAUCCUUAUGUUUUGACCUAUCACAUUUCAAAAUUUUCUCACAUAAGUCCUAUUUACUAAAAUUCACCUACAAUUAAACAAAAUUCAAAUAUGAAAUUUUCACACAUGCAUAUAUACAUAUAAUAAGCAUCAAAUAUGAUAGCUAAUUAUUUUUAUGACUCAGUUUUGUGGCCCCGAAACCACUUCCCGACUAGGGUCACAUUAGGGCUGUCACAACUCUCCCCCACUUAAGAAAUUUUUGUCCCCGAAAAUCUUACCUGUAAAUAGGUUUGGGUAUCGUUCUUUCAUGGCAUUCUCAGUUUCCCAAGUAGCUUCUUCGAUCUCGUGUUUGAGCCAUAACACUUUCACUAACGGAACCCUUUUGUUUCGCAACUCUUUCACUUCUCGAGCUAGGAUACGAAUCGGUUCUUCUUCAUAACUCAUAUCGGCUUGAAUUUCGACCUCGGAGGGGUUUAUUACGUGCGUAGGAUCGGAUCUGUAAUGUCGAAGCAUCGAAACAUGAAAAAUGUUGUGGAUCCUUUCGAGUUCAGGGGGUAAAAGCAACCUAUAUGCAAUUGGGCCAACUCGUUCGGAGAUCUCAUACGGCCCAAUGAAUCUCAGACUCAAUUUGCCCUUACAGCCAAAUCUGAAUAUCUUUUUCCAAGGUGAUACCUUAAGAAACACUUUGUCUCCCACCUGAUACUUAAUAUGUCUUCGUUUUAAAUCCGCGUACGACUUCUGACGAUCUGAUGCUGCCUUCAGACUCUCACGAACUAUUUGUACUUUCUGUUCAGCAUCUUUAAUCAAAUCCACUCCGAAAAUUUUACUUUCACCGAGCUCGGUCCAAAACAAUGGUGUGUGGCAUUUACGCCCGUAUAAAGCCUCGUAAGGUGCCAUCUUAAUACUUGAUUGAAAAUUAUUGUUGUAAGCGAAUUCAAUCAAAGGUAAGUACCGUUCCCAUGAACCACUAAACUCAAGGAUGCAGCAUCUCAGCAUAUCCUCGAGUAUCUGAAUUAUCUGCUCGGAUUGACCAUCGGUUUGGGGAUGAAAAGCGGUGCUAAAAUGCAACUUGGUGCCCAAAGCUUCUUGCAAUUUCUUCCAAAAUCGCGAGGUGAAUCUCGGAUCUCUAUCCGACACGAUAGAAAUAGGUACCCCGUGUAAUCUCACAAUCUGAGAAACAUACAAUUCAGCUAGUUUAUCCAAUGAAAAAUUCGUACGUACGGGGAUAAAAUGAGCCGACUUAGUCAGUCUAUCAACAACAACCCAAAUAGCAUCUUUCUUACUUGUCGACAAUGGCAACCCAGAUACAAAAUCCAUCGUGACUCGAUCCCAUUUCCAUUCAGGUACCAUGAUCGGCUGAAGUAAACCCGUAGGCACUUGAUGUUCCGCCUACACUUACUGACAUAUUAAAGACUUUUAAACAAAAUCAGAAAUGUCUCGUUUCAUACCAUGCCACCAAAACUGACGUCUCAGAUCGUUGUACAUUUUCGUACUCCCCGGGUGAAUUGACAUUCGGCUACAAUGAGCUUCGUUCAGAAUCAUCGAAAUGAGUUCUGAAUUUCUUGGAACACAAAACCGACUUCUGAACCUCAAACAAUCGUCAUCAUCAAUUUGAAACUCUGAUUCCAUAUUCGGAACACAUUCAGCCCGUUUUGUAACCAAUUCAUCAUCGACUUUCUGAGCUUCACGAAUUUGAUGAAUCAACAAUGGUUUGGCCUUUAAUUCCGCCACUAACACAUUUUCGGAUAGAACAGACAAGUGUACAUUCAUCGCUCGUAAAGCAAACAGUGAUUUACGACUUAAGGCAUCCGCAACCACAUUAGCCUUUCCCGGGUGAUAGUCAAUGACAAGCUCAUAAUCUUUUAACAACUCGAGCCAACAUCUUUGUCGCAGAUUUAAGUCUCUUUGAGUCAUCAAAUAUUGGAGACUUUUGUGGUCCGAAAAUACAUGGCACUUCUCACCAAAUAAGUAAUGUCGCCAUAUUUUCAAAGCAAAUACGAUGGCAGCUAAUUCGAGAUCAUGGGUCGGAUAAUUUUUCUCAUGUGGCUUUAAUUGUCUCGACGCAUAGGCCACAACUCGACCUUCUUGCAUCAAUACGCAACCCAACCCAAGUAGGGAGGCAUCACUAUAAAUGACAAAUUCUUUGCCUGAUUCGGGCUGUACUAGAAUUGGAGCUUCAGUCAAAUAAGUUUUCAGUUGAUCAAAACUUUUCUGACAUUUUUCCGUCCAUUCGAACUUAACAUCUUUUUGAAGUAGCUUCGUCAUUGGUGUGGCUAUCAUCGAGAAACCUUUUACAAACCGUCAGUAGUAACCGGCAAGUCCCAAAAAGCUCCGAACCUCAGUAAUAUUCCUCGGAGGCUUCCAGUUAAGUAUGGCUAAAAUUUUACUCGGGUCAACUCGAAUACCCGAUGCGGAUACCACAUGACCCAAGAAGCUAACCUCUCUUAACCAGAACUCACACUUACUGAACUUAGCAUAUAACUGCUUAUCCCGUAAAAUUUGCAACACUAAUCCCAGGUGCUCAGCAUGUUCGGUCUCAUCUCUUGAAUAGACCAAGAUGUCAUCAAUGAACACAACUACGAAUCGGUCCAAAUACUGUCUGAAGAUCCGAUUCAUCAAAUCCAUAAAUACCGCAGGGGCAUUAGUGAGCCCAAACGGCAUCACUAAGAACUCGUAGUGGCCGUAUCUUAUUCUGAAAGCAGUUUUGUGUAUAUCCGAAUCUCGAAUUCGCAACUGAUAAUAACCCGAUCUCAAAUCUAUCUUUGAAAACACUGAGCCUCCCUUUAGUUGAUCAAACAAAUCGUCAAUACGCGGUAAUGGAUAUUUAUUCUUUAUCGUCACUUUAUUCAACUGACGAUAGUCGAUGCACAACCUCAUGGUUCCGUCCUUCUUUUUCACAAACAAUACUGGUACACCCCAAGGUGAGAAACUUGGUCGAGCGAAACCCCUAUCCGUCAACUCUUGCAAUUGAGCUUUCAAUUCUUUUAACUCGGUUGGUGCCAUACGGUACGGAGCUAUCAAAAUCGGUGUAGUCCCAGGUACAAGCUCAAUACCAAACUCUACCUCCCGAACAGGUGGUAAACCCAGUAAUUCUUCGGGAAAAACAUCCGGGUAUUUGCAAACCACCGGCACAGAUUCAGGUUUCUUUUCUAACUCUUUGUCAUCAAGUACAUACGCAAGGUAUGCUUCGCACCCCUUUCUUACAUAUUUCUGAGCCAACAUUGAUGAUAUUACAGCUGGAAACCCCUUUAAGUCCGUAGACUCAACUCGGAUUAUCUCGUUAUUUGCGCACCUCAAAUCAAUAGUCUUGCUUUUGCAAUUCACAACCGCAUCAUGCACGGUCAACUAAUCCAAACCAAGAAUAACAUCAAAUUCAUCAAACGGCAAAAGCAUCAAGUCCGCCGGAAAACAGGAACCUCGAAUUACUAGGGUACAUUUCUUUCACACUUUGUCGACAAGCACGUAACGACCCAAGGGAUUUGACACCCGAAUUACGAACUCAGUAGACUCAAUAGGUAAAGUCUUACUGGAUGCUAAGGUUUCACAUAUAUAAGAAUGAGUAGAACCAGGGUCAAUCAAAGCAAUCACAUUAAUAUCAAAGAGAGUAAAAGUACCGGUAAUAACAUCUGGCGAGGAAGCAUCCUCGCGUGCGUGUAUAUCAUAAGCUCUAGCAGGAGCACGAGCCUCAGAUCUGGUCGUAGCAUCUCUAGAUCCUCUCUGACCACCACUAGCAUUGCCCGUAUUUCUAGAUGGUCUACCUCGAGCAGUGGUAGCACCCGGUUUCCCACUCUGAUUUACAUUCUGUUCAGACAACCUCGGGCAAUCUUUAAUGAAGUGGUCAACUGAUCCGCACUUGUAACAGGAUCGGUCAUGGAAUCUACAACUCCCCGAAUGCCAUUUACCACAAUAUUGACACUCCGUUCUGUCUCGACGAUCAUUUCCAACACUGGCGAUCGAAGUGACUCGUGCACUCACAGGGGGUCGAUCACGAUCUCGUCUAGAAAAGCCCGAAGUGUCUCUUGAUCAGCCUAGGUCAUCUCUAAAUUUCUUCGAUGACUGUUGAAAGGGCUUUCCCAAAGAUCUCUUACGAAACUCCUUUGCUCCCACAUCAGCUUUCCUUUUCUCCUUACUGAGCUCCUCGGCUUUGCAAGCUCGCUCGACAAGUACAACAAAUUCUCAGAUUUCUAAAAUGCCAACAUACAGCUUUAUAUCAUCAUUCAGCCCAUCCUCGAAACGUUUACACAUCACGGCUUCUGAAGAAAUGCAUUCUCGCGUGUACCGGCUAAGCCUUACAAAUUUUCGUUCAUAGUCGGUAACCGACAUGGAACCUUGUUUGAGUUUAAGAAAUUCCUUCCAUUUUUGGUCAAUGAAUCUCUGACUGAUAUACUUCUUUCGAAACUCAGUUUGGAAGAACUCCCAUAUUACUUGCUCUCUGGGCACAACAGAAGUCAACGUAUUCCACCAAUAGUAGGCAGAAUCACGUAGCAAGGAGAUAGUACACUUUAGGCACUCAUCGGGUGUGCAAGAUAGCUCAUCGAGUACUCGGAUAGUGUUGUCCAACCAAAAUUCAGCUUGCUCGGCAUCAUCGCUGUCCGUAGCUUUAAAUUCAGUAGCCCCGUGUUUUCGGAUUCUGUCAACUGGGGGCUUAUUUGACCUUAUUUGGUCAAUUACCGGAGGUAUUGUAGGUCCAGGGGUGGUAUUUGUCGGGAAUGGAGGUUGUGGAACAGCCGUAUUAGUUCGAAUGUAUUGGUUGAACCAAUCAUUCAUCACGCUAUAAAAAGCUUGUCUAGCUUCAUCAUUCGGAUUACUAGCAUUGGGUUGAGAGUCCGCCGGCGCUGUCCCUUGUGCGGGAGCAGGCGCUACACUCUCAAGAUCAUCAGCUACCGCUCGGUCGGGAUCGGGAUCCAUUACUAUAAAUAAACACAUUUGCAAAUGUCAGAAAUCACCACACUAUCAAAUAAUCACAUAAAAUGGCAUGUAUAGCUAGACCCAAACGCAUUACGGUAGUCCGAGAAUCGACUAAACCGUAGCUCUGAUACCAAUAAAAUUGUAACACCCCGUACCCGAGGCUGUUGCCGGAGUUGGACACGAGGUGUGAACAGACUAAAUUCACUUAUUUGCACAGUCCAUUUUAAAUUUCCAGACGAGCUGGCUAACUGCGUCACUGUCACCUUAAAAAUCAUAUCUCGAGUUCCAAAACUCGAAAACCAGUUCCAUAAAUUUUUCCUGAAACUAUACUCAUAUAUCCAUCUACAUUGUUUUUUCUAGAAUUUUUGGUCGAGCCAAUUAGUACAGUUUAUUAGUUAAAGUCUCCCCUGUUUCAGGGUUCGACUACACUGACCUUCAUGCAUUACGACUUGGAUAUAUCCCUUUACAGGGAUUCAAUACUGAUGCCGUUUGUUUCUAUAGACACUAGACUGAAAAAGGAAUCUAUACAUAUAUGGCAUGACUUCUAAAUGUCUCUGGUUAAUUUAUAAUGAAUUUCCAAAGUCGGAACAGGGAAUCCAGAAACCGUUCUGGCCCUAUUUCGCGAAAACCUAUAUAUCUCUUAACAUACAACUCAUGAUCGCUUCGUUUCUUCCAUGUGAAAGUAUAUUCAUCAAGGGUUGAUUACAUAAUUUAUUCACUAUUUAAUUCCAUUCCUACUAUUUUUAGUGAUUUUUCAAAUCUACAUCACUACUGCUGUCAGCAUUUACCUUUAAGGUAGACUUUACCUAUUUCAUAGUUUCCAUGAUUCAACUAGCCCUUUAGCAUAUAUAGCCCAAAAUAUAAUCAUGAUGAACCAUUCUAAUGGCUAAUCGUUGCCAAACAUUUCCAUGCCUCCUAAUGAACAUAUACAUUCAAGAUGAUUAUAACAUUAUGCUCAAAAUAUAUAUAUAUAAGCCAUUUUCGCAUGGCUAUCCAAAUAUAUACAACACCAAAGUACUUGACUAAUAACAAAAAAAGGGGUGUCCUAUACAUGCCAUUUCAAAGUUCAACCAAAAGUGUACCAAAAGGAGCUUUGAUAGUGUGGGCGACUUCGACUUCAAAAAUCUCGAGUCCGAUAGCUGAAGAACCAAAAUCUGUAAAACAGAGAUUUACAGAAACGGAGUAAGCAUUUAAUGCUUAGUAAGUUUUGAGCCAUAAAAUUUGACACAACUAAAAUGUAGCAUUCAUAUAGCUAAAUGGAUAAUUUGACAUGAACAAAUUCUCAAUAUCAUACUUACUUCACAUUACCCACCCUUAUAGUCAUACACAAAAGAUCAACAUAGCCAAAGGCCGGUAGCUCAUUUAUCGAUUGAGAGAAUACUUAUUUAUAAGGGAUCAACUAAUUCAAAGCACACACGAAACAUACCUCAUCGCUGGGAUUUUACGAGCAUAUUAAUUGAAGCUAUUACAGCAAGGUCGCUCAUUCCCAAGCCAAGUACCUUUGGGAUUUAACCGGAUAUAGCUACACGCUCAAAUGCCUUCGGGACUUAGCCCGGAUAUAGUAACUCGCACAAAUGCCUUCGGGACUUAGCCCGGAUAUAGUAACUCGCACAAAUGCCUUCGGGACUUAGCCCGGAUAUAGUAACUCAGACAAAUGCCUUCGGGACUUAGCCCGGAACUAGUCACUAGCGUAAAUGCCUUUGGGACUUAGCCCGGUUAUCAUCCAAACAUUCAUGCACAUAUCAACAAAUCAUGACACAUUUAUAUUCCAUUUUCAUAAUCAGAGUUCAAACACAAGUCACGUAUUAAGCAAUCCCAUUUUCGGCUCACUAGCCACAUACAAACAGCAUGGUUUAGUUUGCUUUAUGACACGAUCUCUAUGCACAUACGGCUGCCCGUCACACAUAUAGAAAAAUUAACUCAACAUAAAAUUCAAGUAGAAUCAUCAUAUCACCGUAUAUUUGUUACGCUCAUACGUCAUGACUUAAUCAAAUCGUAAACUAAGUCUCGUUACUCAAAAACUUACCUCGGGUGUUGUCGAACGGUUUCGAUGGCUAUUCGACCACUUUUUCCUUCCCUUUAUCGGAUUUAGAUCCCCUUUGCUCUUGAGCUUAAUUUAAACAAAUAAAUUCAUUUAAUAUUUUCACUUGGCCAAUUCCAUUCAAUACAUGUAUGUCAUACAAUUUAAGUACAAUGACCUUGCUCAAUACUAUUUAAACAUCAUGCAUUACCGAACUUCAUCAACACCAUCUAACUUCAUAUAGAAACACAUAUCGUCCUAGGUCGGUACACAAGUCAAAUGCAUCAUUUAAAUUGUCAAAGUCCACAAUUUAGUCAUAUUUCUCUAUCAUAGUUUCUUCACUUAAACCGAAUUAACAAGCCCAUAUAGUCCUUGGCCAAAUGCUAUUUAACCCAAGUCCUCAAGAAUUUCAUUAUUUAACACCUUAGAUAUCCAUACUAAAUAGGUUAUUUGUACAUACAUAUAUAUACAUAAGUGCAUAGAUACUAUGUUACUAACAAUUAUUUCCUUGCUUAGCAGCCGAACCAAUAUACACAUUACUUCAUAUCUACCCGUCACGUUUUCUCUACUUAAACCGAAUAAACUUGCACAUAAGGUCCUUGGCCGAACCUCACUAAAACAAGUCAACCAAAAUCUUAGUAUUUUUCUUGUGUAUAGCCUUAUUUACCUUCCAAAAAUUAAAAAAACAUCAAACUCUUAAUGUUUAUGUACAAGGCCGAAUCUUAACAUGAUCCAACCUCCAACUCAUUCCUUUCAACAACCCAACCAAACCGAAUGCUCAAGCCAUCACUGAGAUUUCGAAAUUUUGCCAUGGUUUGUGUAAGAAAUUAGCUAAUUAACUAGAAACAAGUUUAAAACUUAAGAAUUUAACACAAUAUACUAACCUCCCCUUAAGCUCAAGGUGACCGAAACCUCUCUUCUUCCUCCUUUCUAACCGGCCAAGAAGAACCAAAGGAUGAAGCCUUUCUUUUUUUUUCUAGUUUCGGCAAAAUGGGGGAACAACCACACACUUUUUUUUUUGUUUUCAUCCUAUUCCCUUUCAUUAUUUUAUUCCCAUGCUCCUUAUUUUAUCAUACCUCCCAUGAAACACUAACUUAACAUGUUUAUGACAUGUUUUUGCCCAUCACACUUGGUCCACCAUACUUGUCAUGGCCGGCCACUACUAAUUAGGGGGGGAAAUUGACAUGCAAGUCCCCCCUUUUUAUUUCAUGCACUAAUAGAUCCUUAUGUUUUGACCUAUCACAUUUCAAAAUUUUCUCACAUAAGUCCUAUUUACUAAAAUUCACCUACAAUUAAACAAAAUUCAAAUAUGAAAUUUUCACACAUGCAUAUAUACAUAUAAUAAGCAUCAAAUAUGACAGCUAAUUAUUUUUAUGACUCGGUUUUGUGGCCCCGAAACCACUUCCCGACUAGGGUCACAUUAGGGCUGUCACAAUGGCUGAAAACCAAGGCAACCAGCUACCUCCUGCAAUUGCGGUUAAUCAAAAUCCUACUCCACGUACUAUGGAUAUUAUGCUAAACCUUAUUUAACAGGAACUAAAUCGAGCAUAGUUAGACUUGUUGUAGCUGUAAAUACUUUUGAAUUAAGACCUAACACUAUUCAAAUGAUACAGCAAUUUGUUCAGUUUGAUGGUUUGCAGGAUGAGGAUCCCAACGCUCAUUUAGCCAACUUCUUAGAACUAUGUGAUACAUUUAAAAUUAAUGGUUUCUCUAAUGAUGCCAUUCAUCUUUAGUUAUUCCCUUUUUCAUUGAGGAACAAAGCUAAACAGUGGUUGAACUCGUUACCACGAAGGUCAAUUACUACUUGGGAACAAAUGACCGAAAAAUUUUUACUAAAAUAUUUUUUGCCGGCUAAAACGGCUAAAUUACGUAAUAAUAUCUCUCCUUUUGUGCAAAUGGAUUUAGAAACACUCUACGAUGCAUGGGAGAGAUACAAGGACCUUUUGAGAAGGUGCCCUCACGGUGGGUUACCACUUUGGCUACAGGUUCAAACAUUCCAUAAUGGCCUGAAUCCUUCGACUUGAAAAAUGGUUGACGCAGCUGCUGGUAGAACCAUCAAUAAUAAAACAUCUGAAGAUGCCUAUGAGUUUAUAGAAGAGAUGUCAUUGAAUAACUAUUAGUGGCAAGUCAUGAGGACAAAGCCAACAAAAACAACUGGCGUUUAUAACGUCGAUUCGAUCACCAUGCUCUCUAAUCAGGUAGAACUCUUAAAUAAAAAGAUUGAUGGUUUUCUUAGUUCUUCACAGGUUCAGUCAGUGAUGCAGUGCGAAGCAAGUGGUGGUGUAAUAGGCCAUUCAGAAUACCAACCUUACCGCCACAACAUGGAUAACGAGCAAUUAAAUUACAUGAGUAAUAAUCAUCGACCUCAAAACAAUCCAUAUAGUAACACUUACAAUGCAGGUUGGAGGAACCAUCUCGAUUUCUCGUGGGGGGGCCAAGGAAAUCAGAAACCACCUUCAGGCUACCAACAACCACCUUACCAAUAGGAAAAGAAGCCGAACCUUGAAGAGAUACUUUCAAAGUUUAUAUCGGUGUCAGAAACUCAUUUCUAGAACACCGAAACAGUACUUAAGAAUCAACAAGCAUCAAUCUAAGGGCUCGAAACUCAGAUAGGCCAGCUUUCCAAACUAAUCUCCGAAUGACCACAAGGUAGUUUGCCGAGUAAUACCGAACCUAACCCAAGGGAACAACUCAACGCAAUUAAUAGUCAAGAUGAUGAAGGAGUCGUUGAGCCUAUACCAGAACUGAGGCAAGAAACUAUGGUAAGCAAAGGUCAAGGUAAGGUAGAUCAACAUACAAACAAAUCGGUGAAUGUCAAAUAUAAACCUCGUGUGCCAUACCCCAACACGACAAGUAAAAACUGCUCAGAUGAACAAUUUGGUAAAUUCCUUAAACUCUUAAAAAAGUUACAUAUUAACUUAUCGUUUAUUGAAGCCCUAUCACAGAUGCCAAACGCAAUAAAAUUUUUAAAAGAGCUUUUAGCAAAUAAGCGGAAGUUGGACGAGGCAUCGCAUGUGGAGCUAAACUCAGUGUGCUCAGUUAUUCUAAAAAAUCAGCUAACAAACAAACUAAAAGAUCCAGGGAGUUUUACGAUUCCUUGCUUGAUUGGAAGUUUAGAUGUUAAUAAUGCAUUAGCUAAUUUUGGAGCUAGUAUCAAUGUCAUGCCUUAUAAAAUGUUUAAGCAAAUAGGUCUCGAGAAACCUAAACAGACUAGGAUGAGCAUUCAAUUAGCAAAUAAAACUAUAAGAUUUCCUAGGGGUAUUAUUGAAGAUGUGCUAGUAAAAAUCGAUAAAUUUAUAUUUCCCGUUGACUUCAUUAUUUUAGACAUAGAGGAGGAUAGCAACACUCCUUUAAUUCUAAGAAGGCCCUUUUUAACAACUGCUAAAACAAUUAUUGAUGUUAGCACAGGUGAGCUCACACUUUGCGUAGGAGACGAAACAAUCACCCUUCAAGUUCGCAAUUUUGACAACACAUCGAAAAUUGAAGGUGAUCGUCUAGACCGUUCUAUUAAAAUUGACCACAUGAUACAACCCACUUUACAGGAGAUAAGUCUGAAGGAAGUACAUGAGCCACUCUCAAACAAUAGUAGAGGAUCGAUUCAUGAGGAACGAAGGCUGCAAAUAGAGGAGCUAGAUGAAUGGCGAACACAUAAACUGAGAACACACGAUAAACCGAAACUACGCUAGAAUGAGCUCGAUACCUCUCCAAAUCGACUUAAGGUUGGAGAUAUAGUCUUAUUAGAUACCGUAGAUCCCCACAUCGUCACUACCGAACCGAAUGAAGAAAUCCCUCUUAUGGUACUCAGCCUUUUUCCAUUCGGUAUGGUGGAGGCAAGUCAUCCCAAGUUCGGCAUUUUUAAGGUAAACAACACCCGUUUAAAACCUUAUUUUAAGAUUGAUAGCAGGAAUAAGGCGUAUAAACUCCUCGAACCACCAUGAUCAUUCAACGGAGAGGUAAGUUGAGCUUAGACUAUAAAUAAGCGCUUCUCGAGAGGCAACCUGGGCACUAACUGUAUUCAACAUCUAACUUACUAACAGAGCUCUUGAAUAUAGGUUUUCCACAAUAGACACGGCCAAGCACACGGGUGUGCUUAUGGCCAUGUGAAAAUAGGGCAAGGAUUUCUCCAAACACGAGCUACGAUAAAAUGCCACGACCGUGUGACAUGGCCGUGGUCGAGCCUGGCAAAACAACACGGGCUGCGACACGCCCGUGUGGAAGACCCGUGGUUGAAACUGAGAAACUAGCACGGGUGUGCGACAAGCCCGUGUCUAACACCCGUGGUCAAACCUAUCAAAUUAACACGGGCGUGGGGCUUGCACACAUGAGCAUGGGAGAAGCGAACGAAGCUAGACACGGUCGUACGAAAUGGCCGUGUGAACCCACACACCUGAGGAACACGAGCGUGGGAAAAAUUUUAGAUGCGCCCAAAUAGGAAAAAUGCCAAACACACAGGCAAAAAUUAGGGAACACGGGCGUGUGCCAUGGCCGUGUGGCCCAAAAUCUAUAAAUACCCUGCACUGUUCACUUUCUUCCCCAUUCAAAAACCCUAACCCUAGCCGCUGCAAGUUCACACGGCAUCCUUGCCACGCCCGUGCGCUGCCUCCAACUUUAUUUUUGACGUUCAUUCUCCCUUUUCUAGCGUUUGUUUCCUCUCUCCCCUUUAAGUGCACUCAUUUACAAUGCUAUUUAUUUUAGAAAUCUAUAGUUUUCAUGUUAUUUUCAUCUUUCUAUCACACAAAUUUCAAUUAUGGGACAAGUUAUCAUCUGUAAACUCUCAUUCAUUUUAUGAUUGCUCUACUUUAGUUGAUUAGUUGGAAGUAAUUAUUCAUGCUUAGAACAAUAUAUAUACUCAUGCAUUUAGUGUUAACAUUUUUCAUCCAUCACACAUGUUGCAAUCCAUGAAAUUCGUUGCCAUUUUUAUGCCAUUUAAUUAACUACUUUGAUUAACCUGUUAGUUUUAGUAGUUGCUGAAAUUAUGAUUGUUAUUUAUAAAUUAUCUUCAUUCUACUUUUAUCAUCCCUCAAAAUGAACUAAUGUUUUUUUUACAGACUUUUAAAUGUCGUCUUCACGAGGAAAGAAGGCCGCUAUCCCUGCUUCGAAGAAGAGGAAGUGAGCGUCAUCUUCCAUGGGUCCAACCACAAAAAUUCGUCACCCUCUCAUUCAGUUCCUUCGAGGGCCCCAGGAAGAACUUUUCCAAAUACUUUGGGCCUGACCUUUAAUUGUGGGCUGCUGCAUCGACUGGGCCGCUGUAGAAUAAGUUCAAUUGGCUGAUGCGAUUUGGGCCCUCCUAACCACCGAUCCUUGGGAGCUGUUCUUUAGGAUCAUCGAACCAACAUACCUCGAGCUCGCGAUGGAACUAUGCUCAACGUUCUAUCUUCAGACCGUAAUAACGAACUACGAUGAUCCCGGCAAGGUCCAGUUUUGCCUAGGUUGGUUAGUCCGCCAGCUAAGAGUCCAAAAUUUGGUGCUGCACUGGGCUUAUAUACGGAGGAGUUCAAGGAGGAGAACGACUUAGAUACUCUCACUCGCCACAUACAUUUCUCUCCCUUGAAGUGCUGGCACACUUUGGCCCUUGGCGCAGCCUCCUACAAUCCUAGCCACUCCAAGGCAUCAGUUCUCCCACCAUCCCUGAGGUACUUACACUCUAUUUUAGCUCACAUGAUUACAGGGAGGUGCGAGAGCAUUGGCGUUGUCAACACCCACGACGCCUACUUCUUAUGGUGCAUGUCGCACGGGCACGUCAUCGACCUUACCUAUUUCAUCGCCCUGUGAUUCAGCACCAGGCGGAGUGGCAUAGGAAGGGGGUCAUCUCCAUCGGCCCCUACGUGACUCGGCUGGGCUGACACUUCGAGCUCCUUGACACCGCGGCCUAAGAAUCAUCCCUCACCCUCAUCGGCCAGAUGUCUCCACAAGGUAUCUCGAGCAUGCUUAGCAUGAGGAUGAUCGAGAGGCGUCGAGGAACCUACCCUCCCCAAUAUCGUCUCGCCCAAUCUACCAAGGAGGAGGCCUACGAGGACAUUCCUGAUGAUGUCCCUCCACAACAUGAGGACCCAUCGACUCAGUCACCACCACCCUCUCGUCCAGUUCAUGCAGCGGCUUCAUAUGCUGACAUCUCUGAGCGCCUCAUUCGAUUCGAGUAGUAGUGUUUUCAAUGAUUUGACAACAUUGAUGCUACUCUACAGUAGAUUUGUCAACACCUCUACAUCUCAUCGCCAGUCCCACCUCGUGAACCAUCCAGCGAUGAAGAUGUUUAAAAACAUUUAUUUAUUAUUUUAUGUUUUUCAUUUUUAUUACAACAACUUUUUAUUUUUAGUUGAUUUUAUAAUUUUAUUUUUAAUUAUCAAUUUUGGUUUUUUCUUUAUAAGUAAUUCUUCUUCCUAAUAUCCCUAAGAGGUACAUGAUUUUAUCACAAUUAUAUAGAGCUCUUGAGCUCAUCAUCACAUAGGAACUAAAAUCUCCACCGGGAAAGGUUCUCCACGACUGCCAUGUCUUGCUCAACCAUGGCCAUAGCUACCACUAGAUAUAAUAUUCUUUUGGCACAAGACUUAUGGACUAAUGAACCUCUACGACCGCCAGGGUAUCUUCCUCCACUCUCGAACCAAUUACUCUCCAAAACUCCAGUUCGAGGAAUUCAUCAUACACGAAGUUUCACUUUUCUCCCUAUCUUAUUUUUAUACUCUAAUAUCUAUAUUUGUACAUUGAGAGCAAUGUACAUCUUAAGUGUGGGGGGAUAUUUAUUUCAUUGUCAGAAUAAUCCCUGAAUUACUACCUUGUUCUCUUGAAAAGCUCUCAUAUCAUAAUUAGGAUGAAUUUUGAUUGAUUUAUGAUGUUUGUUGAUACAUCUUGAAUUAAAACAUAAGCAUUUAUGCAAUGAUUGUUUAAACUUCAAGACAUUAGAGAAUCAAGGAUGAUAGGUUGAUUUUUUUGUUAAGAAUUUAAAAUCUUAGGUUGUUUCCCCAAAGUUUAGGUACUACUUUAAGUUGGAAUUCACAAGUUUUAAACAUCAAAAAGCCAUAAUUAUUGUGAGAUUUUUGAGCCUUUUGAGCAUCUAUUAAUUCUUUCAUGUUCACUUUUAUUAUUGCUUUGAGUGUGUCAAUAUUGAACUGUUAUUCUAGAACUUGCUUGAUUAUGCAUGUCGAGACCACACCAUUUGAUUUGACAUGUCAGAAUGAUUAAGGCACUUAGAAUUAACCCAUUCAUGCCAUGAAAAGCCUACCUCCAUGAUUAACCCCUAGUAAACCCCCUUGAGCCUAACAAGCCAUUUCUUGUAUUACCCUUAAUAUUAACCCUUAACCCAUUAUUGUUGAAAUCUCCUGAAUUAAUCCCUAUUUUUGUCGAGAUUUGAGUUGAAUGGAUUGCUUAGCUAUGUUUUUUUCUUAAUAGUUAGUCUAUGUUAUUUAAUUUGUUCUUAAAAAAAAACAACAGCAACAAAAAAUUAUGUAUAUAUAUUAGUAAUUCCAUAUUCUGAGAAGAAGCUCUGUUGUACGCAAGUGAAGAUUAACUCUUUUUCUAGUUAGGCAAUUUUUCAAUUCAAUCUCGAUUCAAUCUUGAUUCUAACUCAAUAACCAAUAAUGCUCUAAUUUCAUGUUCUAUACUUAGGAGAGCAUAGGAGAGUGAAAUGAAUGAGAAACAGGCCAAAAAUGAAAAAAUGGGCCAAUGUACGAAAUCAACACGGUCUGGACCUCCUUACACGGGCAUACCACAUGACCAUGUAAUUUUGGCAGGCUCGAGCAUGGCCUGAAGUAAUCGUACACAGGCGUGUCCCUGCUAAGCCAAAGUUAAGUCCAAUUCAGAAAAGGCUAAUUUUAAGGGCUCUUAGGCAUUCCAAAGCCUAUAAAUACACCCUGAAAAAGGACACAGGAUAGGGCUAAGGAAUUACUCCAAGAAAGCCAAUUGAUUCAUCUCAGAAGCCGAAUUCAUCAUCAAGACUGAAGAUCUCUCCUCAAUUCCCCUUCAGGAGUUUUGGGUUUUCUUUAUGUUUUGUAUUCUUUAUUAUUCUGGGAUUUUUUCUUAUUUAGUUAUGAACUAGAUCCCCUAAAUACCUAAGGGGAAUGAAACCUAAGACGAAUCUUGUUAUUAUUUUCUGAAUUGUAUGAUAAAUAUUUGAAUUGUUCUUAAUUCUAUGUUAUUAAUUCUUGUUUUGAUAUCCUAGGAUAUUGAUUCAAGAUAAGCUCUUAUUCAGAGGAGGAAUAGACCCUAUCUAAGAGUACAUUUAUCAUAAUUAAGCGGAGUUGAUUACGCGCCUAGACAUAGGGUGACAAGAUUUUGCCAGAUUAGGGUGAAACCUAAUAAGGGGAUCCAUAGAUCGAGUUAAUGCAAUCCUAGAGUGUUAAUUAGAGAAAAGUCUCGGUUAUUCAAUCUAGGGAUUAGAUGUUAUUAGUCUUGAAUAGGGAUAAUAACAUAACUGAGGGAUCUCUACAGAACAAGUUAAAUUAAUAAAUCGUCCGAUUUGGAGCCAGAAUAACAAGUACAGUCUAGGUGGAUUUUUCUUUAGGUAUUGUCUUCAUUCAAUCGAUUUUUCCAAAAGAAAUUCCCCAAUCCCAUUCUCUGUGCAUUCUUAGUUUAGAUAAUUAGUUAGUUAAAACAAAAACCUCUUUAUUCUUAGUCUAGAUAAUAAAAAAACAGUCAUUACUAGUACUUUUAGUUCCUUUGGGUUCGACAGUCCGGUCUUGCUAAAACUAUACUACUGUUUGAUAGGUACACUUGCCUACAUCGCGAUAAUAGUUAGUUCAAGAAUGAGUAAUUAUAAAUAUUUAAAACCUAUCACGAAAUCACGCGAUCACUUGUUAUAUAUGUUAUAAACAUAAAUAACUUAUAAAUUAAAGACAUGUAAAUAUGUAUUAUAAUAUAAUAAUAAAGUAAAAUAAAUGAAGAGAAAGUGGGAAAGGAAGAGCGUAACAUGCAAAUUAAAUAGAAAAGAAAAAGAAAGGAAGAAAAGAGAAAGAAGCGCACGACCAUAAGGGUUUAAAGCCUUCCAAGUUCAAUUGGUUAGUUAAUUUAGUCACUUUUGUUGUAAUUUUUAUGUUUUUGGAAUUCUGGUACUUAGGGAUAGCCAAACUGUGUUGUAAUUUUUUGUAUUGUUUAGAAUUUUGGAUGUUAUUAUUAUUGAGUAGUUUAAAUGCUAGGGGCUAUAUUGAUAGAUUUUUUAGUUAGAAAUAGAAAAGGACUAAAUUAUAGGAGUUACUGUUAAUUUUGAGCAAACUCAAAAUUUAAAGGUAUAAUUAAAAAUCAGGAGUUAAAUUUAGUUUGAAGUGAAAUGAGUACGAAAAUAUAGAGUUAAUUGUGAAGAUUAAAAAUUAGUCUUGGUUUAGGGACUAAAUUGAUAUUUAGGAAAAUGUUGAGUAACAAUUGAAAUAUUCAAUGUGGAAUUGCAUUGUGUAGUAUUAAUGUAUUUUAAUUGUUUGAAUUUCAUAGCUAACAUCGUACCGGAAUCCUAGACUAAAAAGGGGAAGGAUAAAAUUGAUGUCGAAUAGCUCGGAAUCCACGAUUUGUAUUUCUAUAAUUCGAAACUAGUUGUUAAUUGUUGUAAUUUGAAUUAUUACAUAUGAUAAGUAGUUGAGGUGAGUACUUUGGUACUUUGAGAUUGAAUUGAAAUUAUAGUUGACUGAAAUAGAUUGAAUUGAUAUAGAUAUUAUGAAUGUAUUAAUUAUAUGAAAUUGAAAUGAAUAUAUGAUUAAAUGUGAUAAUGUGCAUAUAUGAGAAUUGGAUAUUGGAUUUAUUUGUAAAUGAAAUGGAACCCUAUUAAUUGUUUUGAGCUAAGUCAGAUAUAGAUGGCAUGCCAUAGGAUAGGAAGAGUUUAGGGAUUUCUUCGACUUUGAGUCGAUGAGGCACUGGGUGCCAAUUUGCUUCGGUUUAAUCGAUGAGACAUUGGGUGUUAAUUUAUAUAGUGUUGUAACACCCCUUACCCGUAUCCGUCGCCGGAACAGGGUAUGAGGUAUUACCGAAUCAUAAUACAUACCAUUAAAUAAAACCAAAACAAAAAAUAUGGCAUACAAUUAGAUCAUGAGUCAUUAUAACAUAUGCCUUUAAUAAUAUUAGCCAAUUUCAAAGGCUUCGUACAAAAUAAUCGGUCAAAUACUAUACUUAAUAUUUUAAGACCUAGAUAAUUAUGACACAUAACAAAAUAACUAAGUCUACUAUACAUGCCAUAAUUCAAAAUGUUUAGUUCAAAUACCCAAAAAUAUUGAUAGUGCAGGUAGAUCUUCAACGAUCCUUGACUCCUGUGCAAGUUGGACGACACUAUAAGACAAAAGAGAGAAAAGAGGGUAAGCUUAUAGCUUAGUAAACAAGUAUGUAAAUAAUGAAUAAGAAUCUAAUAUGUUUACACAAUAACUCAAGUGUAUCUACUUUUAAUUUCACCAUUUACUCCUCUUUGGUCAAGCUGUCUCUACUGCAUCCUACUCACUAAAUAAAUCAUAACUCGAGUUACAAAACUCGAAAUUCAGUUCCGUAAAAUUUUCCUAAAACUAGAUUCAUAUUAAUUUUUGCUAAUUUGUUUCUAGAAUUUUUGGUCCAGCCAAUUAGUACAGUUUAUUAGUUAAAGUUUCCCCUAUAGUACGAAUUGAAUUUCUCCCAUUACACAAUUCAAAUAGCCAUGAAAUCUGUUUCAUUUAAAACUAGACUCAAUAGGAAUCUAGAAAUAUAAACUAUAUUUCUUAAUUAGUUUUGUACAAUUUUUAAUGAUUUUUCAAAGUAAGAAUAGGGGAUCACAUAGUCAUUCUGAGCAAGUCACACACAAUUAUAAAUAUCUCAAAUUAUAGAGUUCCUUUACUUGCCCUGUUUCUUUUACAUGAAAAUAGACUCAUUAAGAUUUAAAUUCAUAUCUCAUUCAGCCUCUAAUUAAAUUCCUACUAUUUUUGGUGAUUUUUCAAAUUCACAUCAUUGCAACCAUCCAAAACAGUAUUAUUGCUAAUUCACUCUUUCACACUUUCUUUGUAUUUACCUCAUUUAGCCUACAUAUCACAAUUCACUUUCACCACAUUUCAUACAUCACAAGUGUAGGUUCAUGAUUACAAUGUCACUAUAAAAUCAUCCCGUUGAACAAUUCGGAUCAAUCCUCGAUACUUAGUGGUUUCAGCACACAGCUCCACCAUCAUAUUUCAUAUAAUUCGGUUCUCUUGUACACAUGGUGAACACUUAGUACCACCCAUGUGACCUAGCCAAUUUAUCUCGUAGCUCUCUUGUCUACAUGGUGUCCUUCACUUGGAAUCACACAUGCGACCUAGCUACAUUUAUCCUCUCCCGUAGCUCUCUUGUUUACAUGGGAUACAUCCCGUAUCACACAUGUGACCUAGCUACUACAUAGUGUCUCGUAGCUCUCUUGUACACAUGAUGUGCACUUAGCACCAUACAUGUGACCUAGCUACAUUUCAUCUAUAUUAUUCAAUCUUUCCGAAAGUUCAACCGAGAUUUCUCUCACUAUUACUUAUUUCCAUUCUUCCAAUAGUCGAUUUAUGAUUCAAAAUCAACUAAAACAUAUAAAAUAGGCUAAAAUACAAAAAUGUAAAUGAAUUUAAUGUAUUAUUUAUAUACAAACUUACCUCGGUGCAAAAUAUUGAAAUUUUGCAAUUUAGUCCAAAACCUUUUCCUUCCCUCGUUCGAGGUCAAUUCCACGCAUUUCUUGAUCUAUAACAACACAUUUAGCUCAUUUAACACUCAUACUAUUUAUUUCAAUCCAAAAAUCACAUUAUGUAAAAAUUACAUUUUUGCCCCCUACUUUUACAAAAUUAUGAUUUUGCCCCUAGGCUCAAAAAUUUAAUUUCAGCCCUUAUUCUUAUGUUUUAUGACAUGCUGAACAUUUUUUUCUUCUAUAACAGCAUCAAAUUCUCACUCUAACAUGUACUUAUGAGCAUUAGGUAUUUUUACCGAUUAUACCGUUUUGCUCGUUUUCGCUAAAAAUCGCUUAGAAAAGAUCGUUCUCCUAACCUCAAACAUUCAUAUUCUACAAUCAAACAUCAAAAUACAUGCAUAUCAUUCAUGGGUAAAUUUUUAAACAUAAACCCUAACUCGAAAUAAUGGUAGAAAUAGGUAAACCGAGCUACGAGGAUUUCAAAAAUGUAAAAAAAACAUUAAAAACGGGGCUUGAAUGCACUUACUAUUGAGCUUGAAAGCUUGAAACAAACCCUAGAUAUGGAGAACAUGCAAUUUUCGGCCAAGAUAAAUGAGGAUGAACACAUUUUUGUGUUAUUUUUCCCAUUUUAUUUCAUUUAUUAUGCAAAUGACCAAAAUACCCUUACUACUAAACUUUCUAAAAAUUCCAUCCAUGUCCAAAUUUUUGUCCAUAUAAAGUAUAAUGGUCUAAUUUCCAUUUAAGGACCUCUAAUUAAAACCCCCAUUUCAAUCAAGUACUUUAUGAACUAGAACACACACAUUUUUCACCUAUUUCAAUUUAGUCCUAAACGUCAAAUUAAACACCCAAUCGAUAAAAUUUCGCAACGAAAUUCUCACACGAUUAUGCAAUCAUAAUAUAAACACUAAAACUUAAUCAAAAUAAUAAAUUCUUGAAUUCGUGGUUUCGAAACCACUGUUCUAUUUUGGCCCUAAAUCGGGCUGUUACAAGUGUUGGAUGCAAUUAUUACUUUAGAUUUAUCUAAUGAGGCACUAGGUGCCAAACUGGUGUGUUGGUUGGAUCCGUGUAUCAAUCCGAGUCCGAGUCAUGGUAAUAGAGGUAAAUAAAUAAUAAAUUUCUAUAAUUGAUAUUGAUAUGGCAAGGUAUGUGAAAUGGAAAUGAGAUAGUGGAUUGAAAAAUGAAAUGUGAAAAAUGUUGUGAAUAAAUGAAAUAUAUGAGUUAUGUACUCAUGAAUUGUAUACGAAAUAGAUAAUGCCAUUGUAUAAAUGAAAUGUGGAUUGAUAUGUGAAAAGCUAUUUAUAUAACAAGUGAUGUGAAUUGAGAUAUUUGUUAAACGAACCAAAUAUGAUAACAUGUGAAAAUUGAGUAUAGUAUGAAAUGAUAUGGUAAUAUAUAUGAAAUUGAAAUAAUGAUAUCUUGUAAUUGUAAUCUUAGACAAUAGUAUGUUUGUAUAAUUCAAUUUAAGCAUUCUUGUGUUAUUAUGUUUUUAAUGUUUGGAUUAUAGAAAUAUCAUUGAGUUUUACUCAACAUGAGAUCUUGUUGUUCGUGCGAAGGUUAGGUACUUCUCUUUUGAUCGCUUACUCAGCAUCCAAUAAUGAUCUCGAUCUCAAGUGUGGUGAUGUUUACUUUUUGUAAUGGUAUGUACCUAGGAUGUGUUUGGUUGUUAGUGAUUUUUUGAAUAGGAUGUAAAUUGAGUUUUAAGUAUAAUGUUGGUUUGGUAUAUGAACAUAUGUUUGUGUUGAAGUAAUAAGUUUGGCAUGUUGUUUGAACCAAGGCUUGGUAUGUGUAUGUGAACUUAAGCUUGAUGUUUUAGGUAGAAAUAUGUUAGGCUAAAUUGGUUGUUUUGGUAUACUUAAAAUCUUGAUUUGAAUGUUGCAUUGAUAAUAUGUUUUGAUGAUAUAAAUUGUGGCACCAAUAAGGGUACAUUGGUUAGGCACCUAAGAUGAUUAUUUUGGCAUUUUUUUGAGUAUAUUUGUUCAUAUUUUGAAUAGAUUAAAUGAUUGGUUUUUGAGUUGCUUAAUGCUCAAGCAAGUAGGAAAUGGUAAACUUGUUGUUUAAGGUACAUUUUAGGUCCACACGGCUAGACACACGGGAGUGUGACUUGGCCAUGUGAGAUACACGACUUGGCGACAUGGCCGUGUGUUGCCUAUUGAGUGCUUAGGGUGCAAGUCAGAUAGCACACGGCCUGGUACAUAGGUGUGUUGGGCUAUUUCGAGUGUUACACGGCCUUACACACGGGCGUGUGACCCUACUCAGCGAGUUACACGAGCAGAGGAACGGGCUGGGACAUGGUCAUGUGUCACUAGUUCGAAUGUUACAUAGGCAAGGACACAGACUGAGACACAGCGGUGUGUCCCUAUUUCAAUUGUUACACGGCCUAAGACAUGGGCGUGUGUCUCACCCUGUGAGGUACACAGCCUGGCCACACGACCGUGUGACCUUUGACUUUAAAAUUUUGUGAAUUUUUCUUAGGGUUUUCAAAUGAUUUCAAAUUGGUCCCGAUUUGUUUCUAAAGUAUUUUUGGGGCCUCUAGGGCUCGAUUUAGGGACAAUAUGUGUAUGCAUGAAUGAUUUAAGUUAUGUUUAUGCUAUUUAAUGAAAUUAAAUGUAAAGGUUUUGAUUGUACGGUAAUGUUCGUAACCAUAAUCUGAGACGGAAAAGAGUUAAGGGUGUUUCAAAAUCGGUGGACUGAUAAUAAUGAAUACAAUAUGCCCAAACAUUUGGACGAGUUACCUUAUGAUGCGUAUGGGAGUUAUGACCACAAAUAUAAAAGCAAGUAUCUGGAGGAACUUGUACGUGAGCCGAAUAAACAUUCAUCAGAUUGUGAUCAAAUCUACCAUGUAACAACUCAUUUUCUAGUCGUUUUGGGGCCACAAAUUUGACGAGUAAGUUCAUAAAUAUUAUUAUUUAAUAUUUACGAGUCAAAUAUGGUUUUAGAAAGGUUUUUGAUACGGUAAUUUAUGUUAUAUAAAUGAUUAAUUAAGUUCAAGUGGUAAGACACUAAGGUCAAAUGGUUUUAGAAAAUGAGGUAUUGGGACCUUGUUUCUAUAAAACAAGCUGUAAAUAUUUUUUAAAAUAUUUAUAGAGUGUCAUUACGGUGGUAUUAAAGUUUCGUUGAAAAAUUUUAACGUUUCGAUGGUUAUUUAAUUAAAAGGACUAAAUUGUAAAAAAUAUAAAAUUUGAUCACUUUUUGAUUUGAGUGAUUAAAUGGCUUUCUGAAUAAAUGAAAAGGGACUUAAAUGAUAAUUAAACCAUUAUGAGAAUUGGGGGAUGUUAGUGGGCUUAUAAAUUGUUAAUGUUUGAUUAUUAUUGUAAGGGUAAAAGAGUAAAUUAUUAAAUAUGUGUAUUAUAACAAAAACAUGAUAAAAAUCCAUUAUCAUAUUCUUCAUUUGAAAGCCACCACCAAAACCCUAAAAAAGAAGAAAACAUAUCCGGCCAACUUUGGUUGGGUGAUUUAGUAAGCAAAUUUUGCCUGUUUCUAAAAUUUUUUAUGUUUUUGAGAUCGUUGCAACUAGGUCAAGCUAGCACGUACCUUUGUUUUGAACUUGUUAAAGAUUGUGAAUGUUUCCAUUGAUGAAUCUUGUGAUGUUAGAUGUUAAAAGAUGAAUUUGAUGUGUUAGUUGGUAUUUAAAGUAUUUUGUUAAGUGAUUUUUGAUGAAUUUACCGAUUAGGGACUAAAUUAUUGAAAUUGUAAAAAUACAAGGAUUUGAUGUGAAAUUGUUACAAAUGUGGGUUGUUUUGUGUGCCAUGAAUAUUCAAGAAGUGUUAAAUUUCAAUAAAAAUGGGAAAUUUGCAUGUUUUAGGCUCAUGGACUAAAUUGAAUAAAAGUAAAACUUUAUGGGUAAUUUUGUAAAAAAGUCAAAAUGACUAAAUUUCAUAAGAUACAUUUUUCACUAUCUAAAUUAAUAAAUUGAAUGAAAUUAUUAGUUUAGACCAAGAUCGGGUGGAAAAUGAAAGAGAAUGGAAAAUUAUCAAAAUGUCCCCUAUACUUUGACAUUUCUACAAUUUUGCUAGGUAAGUUCAUAUGAACUGUAUUUGGUAUAAUGUUGAUUAAAUUGAAUGUUCUCAUAUGAUUUUAUUGAAAGUGAAUCAAUAUAUAUAUGUUAUUACACAAAUUAUCAUGUUAUGAAACGACAUAAACCCAACGACGUACGACAAUUAUCGAGCCACAUUUGAACCUUAGGAAUUCGAAGGAUACAAAUGAGAUGACAUUAGGGUUUACAUGUUUCGGGUGCUAGUCUUGAAUAUCCUACCGGUAGCUAAGUUCCUGCAUAUGUUGCGGAUACUUCAUAGCUUGUGUGAGCAGUAUCGUAUAGCUACGUUUUGACCCACAGCUCGUGUGAGCAUACUUAUUCACAGGUCAUGUAAGCAUAUAUGUAAAGGAAUUGAUGGACUACAGUUAUAUGUUUAGCACAGUUCGUGUGAGUUAUCCUACAUAUCCAAUGAUAUUUUAUUUGGUUCAACGAGCAUGAAAUUUACAAUGACAUGUUAAGUGUUCUAUAUGAACCAAGACAUGUAUGUAUGAAAGACUUUGAAAUAGUGAGCUACGUGGAAAAUAUGUUAUGUUGAGAUGGAUGAUAAAUCCAAUUGAAUUAUGCUCAAGUAUAAUGGUUAUCCAUGUUAAAUUCAUACGAAUCAUGUUUAAAUGAACUAACAUGUGUUGUUGAUGUGCUUAAGCUUAUACGAAGCUUGUGGAUAUGAUUAAUGUUUAUGAUUAUGCUUGUACUAUGCAUAUGAAAUGGGUAAGAAAAGGGAAUGAAAUGGUAAGUACGUAAUUGGGAUGUAUUAUGAUGUUAUAAAAGGUUUAAUGCGAUAAACGAUGUAUUUAUACCUGAGCAAAUUGCUUAUGCUAAGAAUGAAUCUAUCUGUGUCAUGGAUAAAUACACUGAAUUGAGAAUUAAUAAUGUUGUUUAGGCUUAUAAUAAGACAGAAUGGGAAGUAAGUAAAUAGAAAAAUAUAUAAUCUUAUAAAAGAUUGAUGAUUAUAUAUUAUAUCUCAUGAAGUCCUAUCAUGUUAUGAAUGGUCAAUAUAUAUGCGACAUUAACGAACUUACUCAUUUAUGAGUUGAUGAUUAUGGUUUGAUAAAUCUUGAGACAUUGGUAUAGGUUUAUAUUUAACCUAUAGAUUUCAUUAUUGAAAUGUAACAUUAUUGAUAAAUCGUAAUUUCAUAUUUCUAUCCCAUGUUUAGCACAUUUUAUGGAUGAUUUUUCCUUAGAUUUGGUGAAUUCAAUGCUCCUAAUGCCUUAAUUUCAUAUUUUAUACUUAGGUGAGCAUAGGAGAGUGAAAGGAACGAGAAACGGGUCAAAAACGGAGAAAAUGGGCCAACGUACGAAAUCAACACGGCCUAGACCUCCUCACACGGGCAGACCACACGGCCGUUUCAAUUUUGCAGAAUUGAAGCACGACUCACACGGGUGGACCACACGCACGUGCCUAUUUAACAAGCUUGACCACGGCCUGAAGUAAUCGCACACGGGCAUGUCCCUGUCGAGCCCAAAUUAAGUCCAAUUCGGAAAAGGCCAAUUUUGAGGGUUCUUAGGCAUUCUAAAGCCUAUAAAUACACCCUAGAGGAGGAGGAAAAGGGGGGGCCAUAGAGGAGGAAGCUUGGAACUACUCAAGGAAAGCCGAUUGAUCCAUCUCAGAAGCUAGAUUCAUCAUCAAGACUGAAGAUCUCCCCUCAAUUUCCCUUCAGGAGUUUUGGGUUUUUCUUUAUGUUUUGUGUUUAUUAUUCUUCUGAGAUGUUUACCUUUUUAGUUAUGAACUAAAACCCCUAAAAACCUAAAGGGAAUGAAACCUAAGAUAGAUCUUGUUAUUAUUAUCUGAAUUGUAUGAUAAAUAUUUGACUUGUUCUUCAUUAUGUGUUCUUACUUAUUGUUUUGAUAUUCCAGGAUAUUGAUUCAUGUUAAGCUCUUAUUCAGAGGAGGAAUAGACCCUGUCUAAUAGUACAUUUGUCAUAAUUAAGUGGAGUUGAUUGUGCUCCUAGAGAUAGGGUGACAAGAUUUUGCUAGAUUAGGGUGAAACCUAAUAAGGGGAUCCAUAGAUCGAGUUAAUGCAACUUUAGGAAGUUAAUUAAAAAGAGAUUUCAAUUAUUCAACCUAGGGUUAGACGUUGUUAGUCUCGAGAGGGAUAAUAAUAUAACUUAGGGAUUUCUACGGAUCAAGUCAAAUAAAUAAAUCGUCCGAUUCAGAGUCAAAUAACAAGUGAAGUCUAGGUGGAUUUUUCCUUAGGUAUUGUCUUAAUUCAAUCAUUUUUCCAAGAGUAAUUCCCCAAUUCUAUUUUCAGUGAAUUCUUAGUUUAAUUAAUUAUUUGAUAAACAAAACCUUUUUAUUUUUUUAGGCUAGAUAAUAAAAAUAAAGUUAAUACUAGUACUUUUAGUUCAUUUGGGUUCGAUAAUCUGGUCUUGCUAAAGCUAUACUGCUGUUCGAUAGGUACACUUGCCUUUAUCGUGAUAAUAGUUAGUUUUAAGAAUGAUUCAUUAUAAAUAUUUAAAACCUGUCACGAAUAUCACAUACCAAGUUUUUGGCGCUGUUGCCGGGAAACUAAGAUAUUAGGAACACUUGAUUUUUAUUACUUUAGCCAUUUACUUUUACUGCAAUUUGAAUUUUAUUCUAAAUUUUAUUACUAAUUCUUCUUUUUCCCUUUUUUUGGCAGGUUUUUAUAGUUUAUGACUAGAAGAAACCCGUCAGGACCAUUACUUUUUGAUAGUGAGAUCGAUCGCAUAGUUCACAGAAACCAAAGAGAAAUAAGGCGAAGCUUAAGAUACACAGAGAACGAGCAAGAGGAUAUUCAAAUCACAACCAAGGAGAUGGCUAAAAAUCAGGAAAGCCUGAUGCCACCUACGAUUGCUGUUGAUCCAGUAAAUCAGAAUCUUGCUCCACGCACUAUGUAUGAUUAUGCUAAACCUAAUUUAACAGGAACUGAGUCAAGUAUAGUUAGACUUGCUAUUGCUGCAAAUAAUUUUGAACUAAAAUCUAACACAAUUCAAAUGAUACAAUAGUUUGUUCAGUUUGAUGGUUUGCAGGACGAGGAUCCCAACCCUUACUUGGCAAAUUUCCUAGAAUUUUGCGAUACCUUUAAAAUUAAUGGCAUUUCUGAUGACGCCAUUCGCCUUCGGUUGUUUCCCUUUUCAUUAAGGAAUAAGGCUAAACAAUGGUUGAACUCAUUACCACGAGGGUCAAUCACUACUUGGGAACAAAUGACUGAAAAUUUUUUAUUAAAAUAUUUUCCGCCAGCUAAAAUGGCUAAAUUACGUAAUGAUAUCUCUUCUUUUGUAAAGAUGGAUUUAGAAACACUCUACGAUGCAUGGGAGAGAUACAAGGACCUUUUGCGAUGAUGCCCUCACCAUGGGUUACCACUCUGGCUACAGGUCCAAACUUUUCCCAAUGGCCUGAACCCUUCGACUCGGCAGAUGAUUGAUGCAGCCACUGGUGGAACUAUCAAUAAUAAGACACCUGAGGCGGCUUACAAAUUUAUUGAGGAGAUUUCACUGAAUAACUAUCAGUGGCAAGUCAUAAGGACAAAGCCAACGAAAACAGACGGUGUUUAUAACAUUCGGUCACCAUGCUCUCUAAUUAGGUAGAACUCUUGAAUAAGAAAAUUGAUGGUUUUCUUAGUUCUUCACAGGUUCACCCAGUAAUACAGUGUGAAGCAAAUGGAGGUGGAUCGAGCAAUUUAGAAUACCCACCUUAUGGCCACAACAUGGAGAACGAACAGUUAAAUUACAUGGGUAAUAAUCCUCGAUCUCAAAACAAUCCUUGUAGCAAUACUUAUAAUGCAGGUUGGAGGAAUCACCUAAAUUUUUCAUGGGGAGGCCAAGGAAAUCAGAAACCACCACCCCCUCCAGGCUUUCAACAACCACCAUACCAGCAGGAGAAAAAGCCGAACCUUGAGGAGAUGCUAACAAAAUUCAUCUUGGUGUCAGAGACUCAUUUUUAGAAUACUGAGACGGGAUUCAAAAAUCAACAAGCAUCGAUCCAAGGGCUCGAAACUCAAAUUGGACAGCUCGCCAAGUUGAUUUCUGAAUGACCACAUGGUAGCCUGCCAAGCAACACUGAAUCUAACCCAAGGGAGCAACUCAACGCAAUUUCCAUUCAAGAUGAGGAAGGGUUAGUGGCAAAACCAAGGCCAGAACCGGUGGUAAGCGAAGGUAAGAAUGAGGUAGGCCAAAACGAACAAAAAUCGGUAACUACAGAAUAUAAACCUCGUAUGCCAUACCCCAAUGCGACAAGGAAAGACCGCUCAGAUGAACAAUUGGGUAAAUUCUUUAAACUUUUAAAGAAACUACAUAUUAACCUACUGUUUAUUGAAGCAUUUUCGCAGAUGCCGAACGCAGUCAAAUUUGUAAAGGAGCUUCUAGCAAAUAAACGAAAGUUAGAUGAAAGGUUGCAUGUGGAGCUGAACGCGGUUUGCUCAGCCAUUCUUCAGAAUAAGCUACCCAACAAACUAAAGGAUCCAGGGAGCUUUACGAUUCCUUGUUUCAUUGGUAGUUUAGAUGUUAAUAAUGCAUUGGUUGAUCUAGGGGCUAGUAUCAAUGUUAUGCCUUAUAAAUUGUUUAAGCAACUUGAUCCAGGGAAACCCAAACAAACUAGGAUGAGCAUUCAAUUAGCAGAUAAAACUGUCAGAUUUCCUAGGGUAUCAUUAAAGACAUACUCGUUAAAAUUGACAAAUUUAUAUUUCCCAUUGACUUCGUUGUUUUAGACAUAGAGGAGGAUAGCAACACUCCUUUGAUUUUAAGAAGGCUCUUUUUAGCAACUGCUAGAACAAUUAUUGAUGUUGGCACAGGUGAGCUCAUACUUCGUGUGGGAGACGAAACAAUCACCCUUCAAGCUCGCAAUUCUAGCAACACAUUGAAAAUUGAAGGUGAUUGUCUAAACCAUUUUACUAAAACUGACAAUGUAGUGCAACCUACUUUGUAGGAACUGAGUUUGAAGGAAGUACAUGAGCCUUUUUCAAGCAAUAGUAGAGAACCUAUUCAUGAAGAACGAAGGAUACAACUUGAGGAGCUAGAUGAAUGGCAAACACAUAAACUGAGAACACACGAUAAACCAAAACUACGCCAGAACAAGCUCAAUACCUUUCCAAAUCAACUUAAGGUUGAAGAUAAAGUUUUAUUAGAUCCCAUAGAUCCUCAUAUUAUCACUACUAAACAGAAUGAAGAAAUCCCUCUUACGGUACUUAGCAUUUUCCCAUUCGGUAUAGUCAGGGUAAGACAUCCCAAGUUCGGCACUUUUAAGGUAAACAAUACCGGCCUAAAACCUUAUUUUGAUGAGAGGUAAGUCGAGCUUAGACUAUAAUUAAGCACUUCUCAGGAGGCAACCCGAGCACUAACAAUAUUACUUUUUUUAAAUUUUAGUUUUUAAAAUCUAACAUACUAACCAAAUCAUUGAACACAAGCUUUUCAGAACCAUACGGCCAGGCACACGGGCGUGCCGUAGGCCAUGCACAUACCAUGAGAUGCAACACAGCCGUGCGAUAUGGCCGUCUAAAAACAGGGAAAAAAUUUCUUCCCCAACACAGGAUGCGAUAAGUAGCCACGGCCAUACGACAUGGCCGUGGGUGAAACUGCCAAAAUAACACAGGCGUUCCACACGCCCGUGUUUUGAAACCGUGGGUAAACCUUUCAAUUUAACAAGGGCGUGCGCCUUCAUACACGGGCGUGGGAGAAGUGAAUGGAGAUCGACACGGCCGUGCAACAUGGCCGUGUACACCAAUGCGCCUAAUUUUGAAAAUUAUUAAACGCACGGGCUGAGCUUAGAGCACACGGGUGUGCCCCACAGCCGUGUGCCCCAGUUUCUCUAUAAACACCUAUUAUUUAUUUUAUUUUAUUUUUAUCUCUAUAUUUUGAAAUUAUUUUUUUAUUUCCUUUUAAUACUAUUUUAUCUUGAGUUUUUACAAUUUUUAUUCUUCAGCUAUUUCAUUACGAGUAAUUAUGCUUCAGUAUACCUCUUAAAAGAGUUCCUAAUCUUAUCACAGUUAUAAAGAGAUCCAAAGCUCACUAUUACUCAAGAACUUGAAACUUCACUGGGAAAGGUUCUCCACGACUACCAUGUCCAUAGCCAACUUGAGAUAUAAUAUUCUUUUGGCGCAGCUGUAAUGCCCCGAUUUUUGGGCCUGGAAGUAUUGGGCCUUGAGUCUAGGUUUGGGUGGAAAACGGCCUGAAUAAUUUGGAUGUUAUUAUUAUUAUUUCCUAAGUUUGGUUUAGUAAUUAAAUAAAUUAUGAAGGGUUUAUGGUGUGGGAAAAAAGGCCCAAGAGUAAAUUUAAUUCGAGGCAAUUCUUGAAUUUUAAUUUUGGGAGAGAGGGUUCUGGCGAUAUGGGCUUUUAAAGUUAAGGUGGUAAAAUAGGACACAAAAAGAUCUAUGGUAAAGUGGCAUGUGGUGCCACCUAGGUGUUUGGGGAGUGACGUGUGGAUGUUUAGGGGGAACUAGAGUUAAAGUCACAAGGUAAGCGUAUUGUUACUUGUAUUUAUUUUUUUUUUGUGCAUGUGCCAGGCAUGUGAUAGAGCUUAAGUGGAAAUUUGGCUAGGGCUUUAGGAAGGUUGGGCAAUGGGUCUGAAUGGCCAUUAGGGCAACCUUUAUUUUCUUUUUGUUUUUCCAAAUUAGGGUUAGCCACCCAGAGCCUUCCCUUUCAUUCUAUUCUCUUCUCAGUAUCUCAAAAAGCCGAAAAACGCAAACUUAGAUCUCCUGAGUUCUGAAUUCUUCCUUCUCUUCUCCUCUCUUCUUCUAUUUUCUUUUUCUCCUUCUUUUCUUUUUUAGCCAAAACAUUCCUACCAUUCUACUCACCUCCUCUGUCAAUCCCAUCCUUCACAAAACCUCCAUAGCCGAUUGCCAUAAAAGCUGAAAUCCCGAAAACUCACUUCUUGUGCCGAUUUCUCCAAGACAAAAUACUUUAGUUAUUUUUGUUCUUUUUAAUCAACUUUUAUCUUCUCUAAACCCUUAGUAUCUUUCGGCAACAUUACUUCAAAGUUAUAGCCUCAAAUCGUCAUCUUCUUCAUCACUUAAAAAGCUAAAAUACCAUAGAUUUAGGGACUUAUAGUCGAAACUUCAGAUCUCCUGGAUUCGAGUUCUACUAUUGUUUAGAGGAUAGAUCUACAUCGGAUCUGCGUAGAAAUCAAAGAGGAAUAAGUGGUAAGUGCUCAUCACCUCAGAUCUAGUCUUAUUUUACAAUUUAGAAAAGCCGAAGUCCCUAAAAUCUAGGGAGGCUGUCGAUUUGGGCAUAAGGCUUUAAGGGUCUUUAACCGAUGAUUUCUUUUGGUGAUUAGUGUCUUCUAGAGGUUUGAUCGAAGGCUUGGAUCUUUGGAACAACUAGACUUAGAUCUAGUCAUCGGUUUUCGGCAAAAAGGUAAGAUUCUAAAGGCUUUAGGGGCAUGGUUCAAAUAUGGGUUGCUGAAUACUGGGAUUUGUUGCUGUGGGUUGCAAUAUAAGGAUUAUGGUAAUCAAUUGUAGGACAUCAUAAGGGAUCUCAGUAGCAUUCGUCACGAAACAGCUGUGUAUCGAACACCCUCUCAUAGUUCAAUUCGGCAAAAGUCGAAAUGCCAAAAUUCCGGCAUUUCGUGGGCUUGUGAGUGUGCGAGUGCUCACAAGAUGUUUAGAAAUCAUUAGAUCUGAAAUCGCAAAUUGGUAAGUUAGUCGUGUGUGAAAUUUCGUGCACUGCGGUAAUUGGGCCUCGAUAGGCUAAAAUUGGGCCUAAUGGGCUUACGGGCCCAUACGGGUAAAGAAAUAAAAAAGGCAAUAAGUAUGUUCUGUUAGACUAUAGAAUCGAAACUGCUUAAACCAGUAAACUGGUCAUAAAACUUGAAUUAAAUGGGCUUAAAUUGCUAGUGGACACUAUAGGGCCCAUUAGGGGUUUUGGGCCCAACGGCUGAAAUUGUGAAAUUGAGAUAAAUAAAUUAUUGCGAUGACUAAUGGGCUAGUAAGGACCGUAACAUUCAUGAGAACCCUUAAAACUGAUAAAAUUACUAAAAUACCUUUAUAGGUGGAAAAUUUACAGAUUUACCCCUAGGAGUAAAAUUACUGAUAUACCCUUAGGGUUAAGGUUGACCUGAAUGCAUGUUUGACCAUUACUAUUUACUGCAUGCCAUGUUAUUAUCAUCUGAUGCAUGGGACUGGGUUAUUGAUGGAGGAAGUACUGAAAGUGGCUUGUCCACGUACUGGAGGCUUUGCCUCAACUUAUUAAUAUCUGAGCAGCAAUGCUGCAACUGUGGAGUGUAGGGUUGGGUGGGUUGAGCUAUUCCCGACAUGGAGUGUAGGGCUGGUACGGGUGGAGUGUAGCGGUUGGUUAUAGGCUGGGUUGGGCUUGCAUACACGAAUAUGUCUGCUCUGUUCUGGAAUGGGCCUAUGGGCCAUACUGUUAACUGAAAAGGGGCUAAGGCCCAGUUUACUGUAUUCUGAAAAGGGUUUCAGCCCAGUACCCACUGUUAUCUGAAUAGGGCUUAGGCCCAAUGGGCUUGAGCUAACUUGGGCUUUGGAUGGGUUUUCCAUAUACACUGAGUUUUCCAAACUCACCCCCUUUCUCUUCCAUCCUUGCAGGUGAGCCCUAGUUGGUGGACUUGUAGCUGGGCAGGAUUCAGAGUGGCCACGAAGAUUAAAUUUCUGGUUUUUUUUAAUAAGUUUCAAUUAGCUUCCUUUUCGUAUUUAUUUUUGAUUAUUUCUAUUUUGGUUAAAGUUGUAAUAAGGCCGCUCUAUUAUUUUUAUUUUAGGAUUUUAAAUUACUUAAAUCAUUUUCAACUUGAGAUUCACAUCACUUAAAUUGAUUCCUUGAAAUUGGUUAACUCUAGGGCGCAUUAUAAAAAGAUUACCUGAUUUCAAAACAUCACGAAACAAGGCAAAGCUUCCGUAACGAAAACGUUUUCAAAAUUAAUAAGUGAUUUCAAAUGAUUUAAAACGAUAUGGUUUUCACUGAACAAUCGCUCAGCUAAAGUGUGGCAAUGGUUGUGUGCAUGUCUAGGAGUGGAUCCAUGGAGAGCUUGGUACUUAAGCAGUCUAAUAGACUCACCUCCUCUUUUCUGGCAUCCUACUCGGUGCACAGCUUCCAUUCACUUUAAUUUAAAACGAAAAUAUUCUUUAAACACUAAGAAAAAUUUAGAUAAAACAUGAGUUUUCAGUUACGCUUCAAAGUGACACGCUGGAUUCGGCCGUAACGUCUGGGCCGGGUUUAGGGUGUUACAUUAGCAUUUGUGGAACCCAACCUCUACCACCACUGGAGUAUCCUCCUCCACUCUCACACCGAUUAUUCUUUGAAAUACCAAUUCAAUGAGUUCAUUCAUCAUUCAAGAAGUUUCACUUCUCUUCCUAUCUUAUGAUUCUAAAUUUAUCUUUUUCAAUAUAUCUACCUUUGUACAUUGAGGGCAAUGUACAUCUUAAGUGUGGGGGGGUCUUUUAUAUCAUCAUUAGAAAUCCCUGAAUUUUGUCUUAUUCUCAUGUGAUCUUCUCAUGCCAUGAUUAGAAUGGAUUUUGAUUAAUUUAUGAUUUUAUUGAUAUGUCUUGAAUUAAAACAUAGGCAUUUAUACAUUGAUUGUUUAAACAUUAAGACAUUAGGGAAUCAAGCAUGAUAAGUUGAUUUUUGAAGAAUUAAAAACUUUUAGGUUGUUUCCCCAAGUUUAGGUAUUAUCUUGAGUUGGAAUUCACAAGUUUAAACAUCAAAAAGCCAUAAUUUUUGUGAGAUCUUGAGCCUUUAGAGCAUCUAUUAUUUCUUUCGUGCUCACUUUCAUUAUGAGUGCGUCAGUAUUCAAUUGUUAUUCUAGAACUUUCUUGAUUAUGCAUGUCAAGACCACACCAUUUGAUUUGAUAUGUCAAAAUGAUAAAGGCACUUAGGUUUAACCCACUCACUCCAUAAAAGCCUACCUUCACAAUUAACCCUUAGUGAACCCCCUUGAACCUAACAACCUAUUCAUUAAUUUACCCUCAAUAUUAACCCAUAACUCAUUAUUGUUGAAAUCCCCUAAAUUAAUUCGAUCCUUAUUUUUUUCGAGAUUUGAGUUGGAAUAGUUGCUUAGCUAUGUUUUAUUCUAUUUUGUAAUUUGACUAGUACUUUUUUAAAAAAUACAUGUAUACAAAUUAGUAGUAGUGAUCUUCUGAGCUAAAGAAGUUCAAUUCUAUAUUCUGAGAAAAAGCUCUGUUGUACGCAAUUGAUGACUAGUCAUUUUUCUAGUUAGGCAAUUUGUAACACCCCGUACCCGAGACCGUUGCCGGAGUCAGACACGAGGGGUUCGCAGACUUAACUCACUUAUUUGUACAGUCCAUUUUAAAUUUCCAGACGAGCUGGCUAACUGCGUCACUGUCACCUUAAAAAUCAUAUCUCGAGUUCCAAAACUCGAAAACCAGUUUCAUAAAUUUUUCCUGAAACUAGACUCAUAUAUCCAUCUACAAAUUGUUUUCUAGAAUUUUUGGUCAAGCCAAUUAGUACAGUUUAUUAGUUAAAGUCUCCCCUGUUUCAGGGUUCGACUACACUGACCUUCAUGCAUUACGACUUGGAUAUCUCCCUGUACAGAGCUUCAAUACUGAUGCCGUUUGUUUCUAUAGAAACUAGACUCAAAAAGGAAUCUAUAAAUAUAUGGAAUGACUUCUAAAUGUCUCUGGUUAAUUUAUAAUGAAUUUCCAAAGUCGGAAAAGGGAAUCCAGAAACCGUUCUGGCCCUAUUUCGCGAAAACCUAAAUAUCUCUUAACAUACUACUCAUAUGAUCGUUUCGUUUCUUCCAUGUGAAAGUAGAUUCAUCAAGGUUUUAUUAAAUAAUUUAUUCACUAUUUAAUUCCAUUCCUACUAUUUUUAGUGAUUUUUCAAAUCUACAUCACUGCUGCUAUCAGCAUCUGCCUUUAAGGUAGACUUUACCUAUUUCAUAGUUUCCAUGAUUCAACUAGCCCUUUAGCAUAUAUAGCCCAAAAUAUAAUCAUGAUGAACCAUUCUAAUGGCUAAUCGUUGCCAAACAUUUCCAUGCCUCUUAAUGAACAUAUACAUUCAAGAUGAUUAUAACAUUAUGCUCAAAAUAUAUAUAAGCCAUUUUCGCAUGGCUAUCCAAAUAUAUACAACACCAUAGUACUUGACUAAUAACAAAAAGGGGUGUCCUAUACAUGCCAUUUCAAAGUUCAACCAAAAGUGUACCAAAAGGGGCUUUGAUAGUGUGGGCGACUUCGACUUCAAAAAUCCCGAGUCCGAUAGCUGAAGAACCAAAAUCUAUAAAACAGAGAUUUACAGAAGCGGAGUAAGCAUUUAAUGCUUAGUAAGUUUUGAGCCAUAAAAUUUGACACAACUAAAAUGUAGCAUUCAUAUGGCUAAAUGGAUAAUUUGACAUGCACAAAUUCUCAAUAUCAUACUUACUUCACAUUACCAAGCCUUAUAUUCAUACACAAAAGAUCAACGUAGCCAAAGGUUGGUAGCUCAUUUAUCAACUGAGCGAAUACUUAUUUGUAAGGGAUCAACUAAUUCAAAGCACAUACGAAACAUACCUCAUCGCUGGGAUUUUACGAGCGUAUUAAUUGAAAUUAUUACAGAAGAUCGCUCAUUUUCAAAUCACGUACCUUCGGAAUUUAACCGGAUAUAACUACUCGCUCAAAUGCCUUCGGGACAUAGCCCGGUUAGAGUAACUCGCACAAUUGCCUUCGGGACUUAGCCCGGAUUUAGUAACUCGCACAAAUGCCUUCGGGACUUAGCCCAGAUUAGUCACUAGUGCAGAUGCCUUCGGGACUUAGCCCGGUUAUCAUCCAAAUAUUCAUACACAUAUCAAUAAAUCAUGACACAUCUAUAUUUCAUUUUCAUAAUUGGAGUUCAAACACACGUCACGUAUUAAGCAAUCCCAUUUUCGGCUCACUAGCCACAUACAAACAGCAUGGUUUAGUUUGCUUUAUGACACGAUCUCUAUGCACAUGCGGCUACCCGUCACAUGUAUAGACAAAUUAACUCAACAUUAAAUUCAAGUAGAAUCAUCAUAUCACCGUAUAUUUGUUACGCUCAUACGUCAUGACUUAAUCAAAUCGUAAACUAAGUCUCGUUACUCGAAAACUUACCUCGGAUGUUGUCGAACAAUUUCGAUGGCUAUUCGACCACUUUUUCCUUCCUUUUUAUCGGAUUUAGAUCCCCUUUGCUCUUGAGCUUAAUUUAAACAAAUAAAUUCAUUUAAUUAUUUUUCACUUGGGCAAUUCCAUUCAAUACAUGUAUGUCAUACAAUUUAAGUACAAUGACCUUGCUCAAUACUAUUCAAACAUCAUGCAUUACCGAAUUUCAUCAACACCAUCUAACUUCAUAUAGAAACACAUAUCAUCCUAGGUCGGUACACAAGUCAAAUGCAUUAUUUAAAUUGUCAAAGUCCACAAUUUAGUCAUAUUUCUCUAUCAUAGUUUCUUCACUUAAACCGAAUUAGCAAGCCCAUAUAGUCCUUGGCCGAAUGCUAUUUAACCCAAGUCAUCAAGAAUUUCAUUAUUUAACACCUUAGAUAUCCAUAGCUAAAUAGGUGAUUUGUACAUACAUAUAUAUACAUAAGUGCAUAGAUACUAUGUUACUAACAAUUAUUUCCUUGCUUAGCGGCCGAACCAAUAUACACAUUACUUCAUAUCUACCCGUCACGUUUUCUCUACUUAAACCGAAUAAACUUGCACAUAAGGUCCUUGGCCGAACCUCACUAAAAACAAGUCAACCAAAAUCUUAGUAUUUAUCUUGUGUAUAACCUUAUUUACCUUCCAAAAAUCACAAAAACAUCAAACUCUUAAUGUUUAUGUACAAGGCCGAAUCUUAACAUGAUCCAACCUCCAACUCAUUCCUUUCAAUAACCAAAACCGAAUGCUCAAGCCAUCACCGAGAUUUCGAAAUUUUGCCAUGGUUUGUGUAAGAAAUUAGCUAAUUAACUAGAAACAAGUUUAAAAUUUAAGAAUUUAACACAACAUACUAACCUCCCCUUAAGCUCAAGGUGACCGAAACCUCUCUUCUUCCUCCUUUCAAACCGGCCAAGAAGAACCAAAGGAUGAAGCCUUUCUUUUUUUUUCUAGUUUCGGCAAAAUGGGGGAACAACCACACACUUUUUUUUUGUUUCUCCUCCUACUAACACUAAUAUUUUAUUGCCCAUGUUUUUUAAUUUAUUAUUCCUAACAUAAUGCAUUAACCCAACAUGUUUAUGACAUGUUUUAGCCAUAACAUUUUGCCCACCCAUGCUCAUGGCCGGCCACUACUAAUUAGGGGGGAAAAUUUGACAUGCAAGUCCCCCUUUUUGAUUACAUGCACUAAUAGCUCUUUAUAGAUUACCCUAUCACAAUUCAAAAGUAUCACGCAUAAUUCCUAUUAACUAAAUUCACAUGCAAUUAACGAAAUCGAAGCUUAAAACUUUCACACAUUCAUAUUCACAUAUUUUAGACAAUAAAUAUCAUAUUUAAACAAUUUGGUGACUCGGUUUAGCGGUCCCGAAACCGCUUUCCGACUAGGGUCACUUUAGGGCUGUCACACAAUUUUUCAAUUCAAUCUCAAUUCUAACCCUUUCUUUCAGCUUGUGACCAUACCCUCUAACCAAAGCCACGUUACAACCCUCUAAAGACCUUUUGAUUGAUGUUUCAUCCCAAUUUAUAUUGGUGGAGAUUUGAUUUUCAUGCAUACCUAUGGUAAUGACUUUUCAUUAUUGACUAUUGAGUGCUUCAUUUAUUGUCCUUAAACACCUCAAGUGAUUUGAGUGAAUCUUUAGUAAGGAUGUGAAACUCUGUGAUAGUUUGAAUCAAAGGUAAUUACUUAGAUGAGGGGAGACACCCAUGUUUUCAUGAUAAAAUGCUCAACUUGGAAUGUUUGAAACUUUGAUGUUCUUUCAGUUGAAUUUUCAAUGUAUGAUUACCUAUGGAUUAUUUUGAGAUAUUAUCGAUAGAAAUUAUAAGUUGAGAAGAAUUUAUUUUGAUUAUGAGUUGAGGAUUUUGCUUAAGGACAAGCAAAUGCUUAAGUGUGGGCGUAUUUGAUAAACCGUAAUUUAUACAAAUUUCUAUCCCAUGCUUAGCACAUUUUAUGAUGGUGAAUUCGAUGCUCCUAAUGCCUUAAUUUCAUAUUUUAUACUUAGGUGAGCAUAGGAGAGUGAAAGGAACGAAAAACAGGCCAAAAACAGAGCAAAUGGGCCAACGUACGAAAUCAACACGGCCUGUACCUCCACACAUGGGUAGACCACACGACCGUGUCAAUUUGGCAGAAUCGAAGUACAACUCACACGGGUCGACCACACGCCCGUGCCUAUUUAACAGGCUUGACCACGGCUUGAAGUAAUCGCACAUGACCGUGUCACACGGGCGUGUCCCUGUCGAGCCCAAAUUGAGUCCAAUCCAGAAAAGGCCAAUUUUAAGGGUUCUUAGGCAUUCUAAAGCCUAUAAAUACACCCUAGAGGAGGAGGAAAAGGGGGGCCACGGAGGAGGAAGCAGGGAACUACUCAAGGAAAUCCGAUUGAUCCAUCUCAAAAGCCAGAUUCAUCAUCAAGACUGAAGAUCUCCCCUCAAUUUCCCUUAAGGAGUUUUGGGUUUUUCUUUAUGUUUUGUGUUCAUUAUUCUUCUAAGAUGUUUACAUUUUUAGUUAUGAACUAAAACCCCUAAAUACCUAAAGGGAAUGAAACCUAAGACAAAUCUUGUUAUUAUUAUCUGAAUUGUAUGAUAGAUAUUUGACUUAUUCUUAAUUAUGUGUUCUUAAUUCUUGUUUUGAUAUUUCAGGAUAUUGAUUCAAGUUAAGCUCUUAUUUAGAGGAGGAAUAGACCCUGUCUAAGAGUACAUUUUUCAUAAUUAAGUGGAGUUGAUUGCGCGCCUAGAGAUAGGGUGGCAAGAUUUUGCUGGAUUAGGGUGAAACCUAAUAAGGGGAUCCAUAGAUCGAGUUAAUGCAACCCCAGGGAGUUAAUUAGAAAGAGAUUUCAAUUAUUCAACCUAGGGCUAGAUGUUGUUAGUCUCGAGAGGGAUAAUAAUAUAACUUAGGGAUUUCUACGCAUCAAGUCAAAUGAAUAAAUCGUCCUAUUCAGAGUCAAAUAACAAGUGAAGUCUAGGUGGAUUUUUCCUUAGGUAUUGUCUUAAUUCAAUCAUUUUUCCAAAAGUAAUUUCCCAAUUCUAUUUUCUGUGAAUUCUAAGUUUAAUUAAUUAGUUAGAUAAAUAAAAUCCUUUUAUUGUUUUAGGCUAGAUAAUAAAAAGAAAGUUAAUACUAGUACUUUUAGUUCCUUUGGGUUCAAUAAUCCGGUCUUGCUAAAGCUAUACUGUUCGAUAGGUACACUUGCCUUCAUCGUGAUAAUAGUUAGUUUCAAGAACAAUUCAUUAUAAAUAUUUAAAACCUGUCACGAAUAUCACGUACCAAUUAUGCUUAUGGUUUAUACAAGAUUACUAAGCAUUCAUUGCUUAUGUGAUUAUCAUUCUCUUACUUUACAGAUUAUUGGAAGCUCAAUCGGGUUAGAAGCUAGUCGGAGAUCCAUCACACUAUCCAUUGAUUUUAUUAGUAGAUUUUGAUGCUUGGAUUAUGGUUAUAAUGACAUGUAUAGGUGGACUUAUGUCUAAUGAUUAGUUAAUGAUAUUGGCAUGAAAUAUUACUUUGAAUUUGUGAAACUUAUGUUAUUUUGAUGUCUUGAUGGUUGGAGUGCUUUUGGCAUUUUGAUGCUUAAUGGUUAGUAUUUAUAAGAUUAAAUGGAUGUAUGGUUUGUGGAUCAAGUGGUAAGGGCUGGCAUGGUUGCAAAAUGAUCAUUUAUUGAAUGUUAUGAUAUAGAAUUUAAUAAAAUAUGUUUGGUUGAAUAAUAACCGUUUGGACAUUAAUUUGAUAUGUAUAUAUGUUGGUUGUUGGAACCAUUUAGAAAUGGCUACAUUGGUAACCUCUAAAUGGUUUUGAUGCAUGUGAGAAGUGGGCCAAAUGGUAAGGUCAUUUUGAUAUGUUUUUGAUAUGGAAACAAGUUAAUUGAAAAUGGUUAAAUAUGCACAUGUAUAAGUGUUUUGGUACUUGAUGAAAUAUCCAUUAUGUUCGGCUUAUAAAAAUGGUAUUUUGGUUGAUGAACUAAUUGUCAUGUUGGCAUGUAUAUAUCUAUUUUUUAUGAUUGAUGACAUUUUGACAUUUUGGUGCCUGUUGGCUAAUGUUGAAAUGAUUUAGUGCUGAUAUGUUUUGAAUGGCCAAAUUGGUAUAUUUUUGUGUGAAUUUUGGUAUGUAAUCAUUGUGGUAAGUUUGAUAAGGGAAUUAGAUUAGAAGAAUAUGGAUGGUUAAUGGCUAAACUAUGCAAAAUAUUAAACAUGUUUGGUUGUUGUGAUUGAGGUGCCUUUCGGGCAUAUUGGUUGUAUGAACAAAUACCAUAAUGAUCUAGCAUGAUUAUGCAUGUUUUAGGUACAUUUUGAAUGCUUGAAUGUAAGUUCAAAUGGCUUAUAUACGUGAUCAUGUUUUGGGUGAAAUGAAUGACUUGAAAUUGGCCUACUUCUUGUCCACAUGGCCUAAGACACUGGCAUGUGUCUAAGCUGUGUGUGACACACAGUUACGCGACAUGGCCGUAUGUUCCCUGUAGGUUUUUAAUGGUCGCAUUUUAAGAGUUACACAGCCUGGCACACGGACAUGUGUCUUGGUUGUGUAAACCAAGUCAAAGACUUGCAUGGAUAAAGACACGAGCUGGAACAUGACCAUGUGUCCCUACUUCGAAUGCCCACACAGCCUGAGACACGGGUGUGUGUCUUAGUCGUGCAAGUCACACGGCCUGGCCACACGAUCGUAUCACCCCUGUAGUAUGAAUUUUUAUAUUUUUUGCCAUGAAGUUUUAAAUGUUUUUUAUUUAGUCCUGAAUCGUUUCUAAAGUGUUUCUAAGGACUCGAGGGUUCGAAAAAGGGACGUUAUGCAUGUGUUUGAAUGGAAUAUGAUAUGUUUUUUUAAAUGAUUAUAAUAGAAUGUUUUAAGUUAAAAGUUUCUGACAAUGCUCCAUAACCCUAUUCUGACGACAGAUACGGGUUAGGGGUGUUACAUUGUAACACCCCAAACUUGGCCCAGACGCUAUGGUCGAAUCGGACGUGUUACAUUGAAGUGUUUUAGCGAAAACCCUUCUUAAACAAAAGAAACCUUAAUUAACUUAAAAAAAAUAAACACACCUUUCAGUUAUGGAAACGUAGAAAACUUACUAUAAUUUAGGAAUCCCAAGUUCAACUUCUCGUAAUUACAAUGAAAAUAAUAAUAAUUCAACUAAUAAUAGCAUAAUGAAAACCUUAUUACAAUCUGGUCUGAAACAAACUUAAUAAAAUAAAACUUACAAGCUUAAGAAAAAGAAGUCCAAAUUUGUCUUGCUAGCUGGCCACCCAUAGUCCCUCCAAACAUCGAACCGUCUAAUAAGCAUCAGCUGAAAAUAAAAUAAAAGAGGGGGUGAGUUUUUGCAAACUCAGUGUGUACAACCCUCGAUGUAAAUCAAGCAAUCAAAGACAAAUCGUCAACCAUGCAAUGCAAUCCCAUCCAAAUUGUCUAUCCGUUACACACUAGCUCCAUCCCCCAUCACACCGUAUGGGGAUAUAAAUAUCGACCGACCCAGCCCAUACACCAAUGGUAGCCCGGUUGCGAAACUACCUUCAUUUACAUAUUGGGCUUUAAAAGCAAUCGGUGGAUCCGUGAUUGUCAAGCAACCAUGCGAAUCCUCAUAUACUUCCUCCGUUCCAUAAUUCCCACCCUGUAUGAAACCUAAGUAGAAUGUCAUAUGUAUGCAUGUCACAUCCAUAAAACUUACAUUCAACACCUAGGGGUAUUCUAUCAUUCUCGCCCUUAGGGGCAUUUCGGUAAUUUUCCCUUAGUUACGGUUUUCACUUACCUUGCCCUAUGAACAAGUCCCGCAAGCUAAGAUGAACGAAUACUAUGCACCAGGAUUCUAGAGUAGAGGAGGUGGGUCAUUAAGACCGCUUAAGUACCAAGCUCUCCCUAGAUCGAAUCCUAGCCCUGCAUAUACCCGUUGCCACACCUUAACCCUAUGACUUGUCCACGGUCUCAAUUAAUUAAUUAAGUUUUAUAUAGUCAUCAUAUACUAGGUCCAAUACCCCUACAUACAUGCAUAUGGCCCACUAGGCCCAAUCUUAUUCAAAUGGCCCUUCUGGCCCAGUUCAUAUUCUUAUGGCCCACUAGGCCCAAUUCACAUUCAUAUGGUCCAUUAUGCCCAAAUCAUAAUUCCUAACACAUAGCAUCACUUAUCAAUCCUUGCCUAUUAUAGGCCCAAUAGCCCAUCAAGCCUAUUUAGCCCAUUCCGACCCAUUUGGCCAAUUCUUAACCCAAGUCCACAGAAUAGCCCAUGGGCCUCAGGCAACCUAUCGGUUUCCUUUCCACAAGUGUUCGCGCACUCGUGUGACUACCAUAGCAAAACUUUUAGCUUUUUGGCAUUUCAGCAUUUCGGCUUUUCGACUUUUGUCGAUUAUUGUGUGUGAGUAGUGUAUGUACACACCUGGUAGGUAAGCGUGCUGUGAUUUCCUUAGUCCAAACCUAUAUUCGAUAUCACUCAAAGAUUAAUCUCACAUACUUGUCGAAUACUUUACCAAAAGCCGAAAUCUCACCUUAACCUUACCUUGCGCGAUAAGUGUAACAGCCCCUUCACUAACCACGAUCAACUCCUAGAUCUGCACCAAUUGUAACUAUUAAAACUAGAAUAAUAGGUGACUCGUAUCCAACACAAGUCCCCUUACCUCAUUAUGGCUAUUCGGCCAACCUUAGCCAAUGGAUGAGGAAUAUUUACCAAAACUGCAACACCUAAGGGGCAAUUCGGCAAUGAGCUAAGAUCCGAGAUCUGAUACUAAUUCCUUACCACAGUUGAUUAGAAAGAGUGAAGGACAAUAUUUGAUACUUAGCAAAGAAACCAAUUGGGAGAACAAAACUUACACUAGAUUUGAUCGAAGUAGAAGGAGUAGUGAUUGCACCAAUGGUAUUCGGUCAAAGAGGUUCAGCCCUUUACAAUUUUGUUUGGAAAAAGAGGGUUAUUCAGCUCCAAGGAAAAAGAAAGAAAAGUCAGCAAUGAGGUAGAGGAAGAAUAGAAUUUGGCACAAGGAAGAAGAAAAAGAAAAGAAAGGCAGAGGGUUUUCGGCUUUUAGAGAAAAGAGUUUCUGGUAACAGGGUGAAGGAAAUUCGGUCAUUAGGUUCAUACCCUAGCAUUCGGCACCUAUUUAUAAGCCUUAUAGCUGAAUUUUCCCAUGCCCAAUUUCCCUAUUCGGCUUCAUCACUUCUCCCUUUUCAUCUCCUCAUUUUCCCCCUGAUAACCCCUUGAUCCUUUCCUUAAUUUUCUCUCUUGAACACUUCCCUUGGAGUCCACUUUCACGCCACUUCCAUCCUUCUAGAAAGUCAACAUUAAACUUCUAAAAACACUAAGCUAGGAUUCGAACCUUGGACCUCCUUGCUGGCUAUUAACGCCACCUCCCUACACUCUAAGUGGCGUCACUUAGCCACUCCUCUACUAGGCUCUUUGCUGCUAUUUUCCCCUAUCUUUAUUUAAAAGCCCAACUACUUGCCAUCCCUGAUUCUUUUAAUAAUUAACUUAUAAUUUCUUCUACCCCUUAAUUUGAACUUAAACCUUGACCAAGACCUACCUUUGCAUAAUUAGCACUUAACUGGAAUUAUUAAGCACAAAAAGAAAAAUUCAAGAUUUUUAGAUUUUUGGAUUUCGGGAUUUUUGGGGCGUUACAACUCUACCCCCUAAAAGAAAGUUCAUCCUUGAAAUUUCCAAGUACUAACACAGACUACCACACCACAGUUUUGCUGCGUACUCUAAUUCCAACUUAGGUAAAUAGCACACUAUGGGUAAGUACGUACCAUUAUUCGCCUCUAGAGCGUCUCCAUCCUCUUGACGACGUGCUGCAUAGACCAAAGCUGGCUGCCUCGCCUCAGUAUGAUCAGCACCUCUACCUGGUGCUCCACGACCUAAACUAUUUCCACCCCUGGCCUGAUCAAGGCCUCUCAGCGGUAGCUGACCACCCCUCACUGGUUGUACACCACCUCGGUCGACAACUGGCACCUGGGCUGACAUUCUAGGGUAAUUCCUGAUCCUAUGCUCCAUAGAUCCACAAGCUAGACAAGCUCCCGUCCUCUUCCAACACUCACCUACAUCCCUUUCCCACAAUUAGCACAAAGUGGCACCCUGAAUUAACAGCAGGGGGCCCUACUCUAUCUGGCCCAUUAACUCUGGCCCUAGCCCUAGGCAUUUGUCCUACACCAGGAGUCUCAGCCUCCCCCUUAUUCCUACCCCUUUCUUUCUCCCGAUUUAAGUGCUCUGUGCGCUUUACCUCCUCCGCUAUCUUUUCCUUCUACACCAACUCUGAGAAAACUCACUCCCUUUGUGGAGCUAUCAGUACCAUGAGGCUAUCUCUAAGUCCAUCCUCAAACCUCACGCAACGCUCAUACUCUGUUGCCAUUAUUACUCUUGCAUAUCUACUAAGGUGUAAAAACUCCACCUCAUACUCCGCCACUGAUUUGUUCCCUUGGAUCAAAUUCAGGAACUCCUCCCUUCUAGCAUCCAAAUAGCUUGCACCCACAUACUUCCCUUGGAAUACAGCUUCGAAAAACUCCCAAGUGACUUGCUCCGAUUGGGUGCCCUCUUUCACUGUCAUCUACCACUAGUAAGCUUUUUCCCUAAGCAGUGACACUACUUCUUUCAACUUUUGCUCAGGUGAGUAGUCCAGGUCCUCCAUUAUCAUUUCAGUGGCCUCAAACCAAUAUUCCACCACAUUAGGAGCCACGCCAGCCACGCCCUUAAAGAUCUUUGCCCCGUUUGAACAAAGUCACUCCAGAAUGGACCUCUAAUUUACGUUGCAAUUAUUGGGCCCAACGACCCUUUCCAAAAUUCUCAGCAUUGCCUGAGACAAUGCAUCUUCUCCCCCUGCCCGAUCAUACAGUCCAUUCCUAGCCACAGGAAGGUCGGAGCCUCUUCUACUCCAACAUUGGGCACAUGGCCCGAUGUUGAUGAUUCAGCCCUAAAACUUCCGUGACCUCAGCUAUGACCCCUUGCACCUCUUCUAGCACUCAUCUUCAAUUCGCGUAUUAUCUAGAUUACAAAUUUUAUGAAGUCUUAGUUAGUUUCAAUAAUUAUCCCGAUGUUUUAUGGAAGUAAUUAAAGUGAAGAUUGUUUUCGAAAAUCCUCUAUAGUUUCAAGUUCCUGUGGGCUUUGGUUCCAUUCUAACAAAAUCAUCUAGAGUAGCCCUCUAACUGUUUACUGCGUAAUAAUUUAAAAAAGAUUAAGAGUAAAAGUACUUACUUGGUUCGACGUCACAGACUCAGUGUGCCACUCAGCAAGACUUCCCUUUUUCCAAAACAUUGUGAUCCAAUCAAAAAUAUUUUUUUAAAAAUACAAAAAGAAACCAAGUAAUAAAGCCCAAUUCACUGCCCGAGUUUUGCAACCUGGCUCUGUUACAAGUAUAUGUAACACCCCAAAGCCGCGCCAGACGCUAUGGCCGAAUCUGACGUGUUACAUUGAAGUGUUUUAGCGAAAACCUUUCUUAAACAAAAGAAACCUUAAUUAACUUGAAAAAAUAAACAUACCUUUCAGUUGCGGAAACGUAGAAAACAUACUAUAAUUUGUGAAUCCCAAGUUCAACUUCUCGUAAUUACAAUGAAAAUAAUAAUAAUUCAACUAAUAAUAGCAUAAUGAAAACCUUAUUACAAUCUGGUUUGAAACAUACUUAAUAAAAUAAAACUUAUAAGCUUAAGAAAAAGAACUCCAAAUUUGUCUUGCUAGCUGGCCACCCAGAGUCCCUCCAAACAUCGAACUGUCUAAUGAGCAUCACCUGAAAAUAAAAUAAAAUAGGGGGUGAGUUUUCGCAAACUCAUUGUGUACAACCCUCGAUAAAAAACAAGCAUUCAAGGACAAAUCAUCAACCAUGCAAUACAAUCUCAUUAAAAUUAUCCAUUCGCUACACACUAGCUCUGUCCCUCAUCACACCAUGUGGGGAUAUAAAUAUCGAACCACCCAGCCCACACACCAAUGGUAGCCCAAUUGUGAAACUACCUUCAUUUACAUAUUGGGCUUUAAAAGCCAUUGGUGGAUCCAUGAUUGUCAAGCAACCAUUCGAAUCUUCAUAUCAUUCCCCCAUUCCAUAAUUCCCACCCCAUAUGCAACCUAAGUAGAAUGUCAUAUGUAUGCAUGUCACAUCCAUAAAACUUACAUUCAACACCUAGGGGAAUUCUGGUCAUUCUCACCCUUAGGGGCAUUUCGGUAAUUUCCCCUUAAAUACUGUUUUCACUUGCCUUGGCCCAUGAACAAGUCUCGCGAGCUAAGAUGAACGAAUACUAUGCACCAGGUAGGAUUCUAGAGAAGAGGAGGUGGGUCAUUAAGACCGCUUAAGUUUCAAGCUCUCCCUAGAUCUAAUCCUAACCAUGCAUAUACCCGUUGCCACACCUUAACCCUAUGAAUUGUCCGCGGUCUGAAUUAAUUAAUUAAGUUUUAUGUAGUCAUCAUAUACUAGACCCAAUACCCCUACAUACAUGCAUAUGGCCCACUAGGCCCUAUCUUUUUCAAAUGGCCCAUCUGGCCCAAUUCAUAUUCUUAUGGCCCUCUAGGCCCAAUUCUUAUUCAUAUGGCCCAUUAGGCCCAAAUCAUAUUAUAUUCAUGCUCACAUACAAAUUUCCUAACACAUAGCAUCACUUAUCAAUCCUUGCCUAUUAUGGGCCCAAUAGCCCAUUUAGCCCAUUCCGGCCCAUUUGGCCAAUUCUCAACCCAAGUCCAUGGAAUCGCCCGUGGGCCUCAGGCAACCUAUCGAUUUCCUCUCCAUGAGUGUUCGCGCACUCGUGUGACUACCGUAGCCCAACUUUCGGCUUUUCAGCAUUUCGGCUUUUCGACUUUUUGGCAUUUUGGCUUUUGCCGAUUCAUUGUGUGUGUGUAGUGUAUGUACACACCUGGUAGGCAAGUUUGUUGCGAUUUCCUUAGCCUAAACCUACAAUCGAUAUCACUCAAAGAUUAAUCUCACAUACUUAUUGAAUACUUUACCAAAAGCUGGAAUCUCACCUUAACCUUACCUUGCGCGAUAAGUAUAACAGCCCCUUCACUAACCAUGAUCAACUCCUAGAUCUGCACCAAUCGUAACUAUUAAAACCAGAAUAAUAGGUGACUCGUAUCCAACACAAGUCCCCUUACCUCACUAUGGCUAUUCGGCCAACCUUAGCCAAUGGAUAAGGAAUACUUACCAAAGCCGCAACACCUAAGGGGCAAUUCGACAAUGAGCUAAGAUCUAAGAUCCGAUACUAAUUCCCUACCACAUUUGAUUAGAAAGAGUGAGGGACAAUAUUCGAUACUCAGCAGGGAAACCGAUUGGGAGAACAACACUUAUACAAGAUUUGACCGAAGUAGAAGGAGUAGUGAUUACACCAAGGGUAUUCGGCCAAAGAGGUUCGACCCUUUACGAUUUUGUAUAGCAAAAGAGGGUUAUUUGGCUCCUAGGAAAAAGAAAGAAAAGUCAACAAUGAGGUAGAGGAAGAAUAGAAUUCAGCACAAGGAAGGAGAAAAAGAAAAGUAAGGCAGAGGGUUUUCAACUUUUAGAGAAAAGAGUUUCUAGUAACAGGGUGAAGGAAAUUCGGUCAUUAGCUUCAUACCCUAGCAUUCGGCACCUAUUUAUAAGCCUUAUAGCUGAAUUUUCCCAUGCCCAAUUCCCCAUUCAGCUCCAUCACUUCUCCCUUCUCAUCUCCUCGUUCUUCUUCCUGAUAACCCUUUGAUCAUUUCCUUAAAUUUUUCUCCUGAACACUUCCCUUGGAGUCCACUUUCACGCCAUGUCCAUCCUUCUAAAAGGUCAAAAUUAAACUUCUAAAAACACUAAGCUAGGAUUCAAACCUUGGACUUCCUUGCUAGCUAUUAAUGCCAACUCCCUACACUCUAAGUGGCGUCACUUAGCCACUCAUCUACUAGGCUCUUUGCUACUAUUUUCCCCUAUCUUUAUUUAAAAGCCCAACUACUUGCCAACCCUGAUUCUUUUAAAAAUUAACUUAUAAUUUCUUCUAUCCCUUAAUUCUAACUCAAACCUUGACCAAGACCUACCUUUGUGUAAUUAGCACUUAACUGGAAUUAUUAAGUACAAAAAGAAAAAUUCAAGAUUUCGGGAUUUUUGGAUUUCGGGAUUUUUGGGGCGUUACAUACAUACCAAGCUAACAACGAAACAUCCAACAUUUUAUCAAGAAUGUCAGAUAAGAUAACACAAAUGAUGUAAAUGGUCCGAGAGAUAUCAAAGGUAUUACUUCCACGAGAAGAGGUUACACAAUGUUCUCAACUUUGACCAUGAUGACCAUUGUAUCACCAACAAUAGUCCAGAUUUAAAUGAUGGAAAUCAACAAGAGUUUAAAAUUAGGGACUGUGUUGAUGAACUAAACAUACUUGAAGGAAUCCCCAGUCCAAUUAACAAAAAAACAACUAUAAUAGUAGAUGUAGCCAUUGACAUAAAAGUAGGAGUAGCCACUACUAACAUGGAGCGUAAACUGAUUCUGAAUGAAAGUGUAAAGGAGCCAAUACACUUUCUGAUCAUAGCAGAAAGGUGCCAACAGAAGAGAUCGAUGAGUUUGGCUCAUUCUCAUCUGAUAAGGGCAACAAAGCUAGAGUGACCAAAACUUCACGCAACAUUGAGGGGAGGAAGCUUGAGGCAACAAUACCCAAAAAAUGGGGUUGGCUCGAAUUUGGUACCUAAUUGCGAGGUUUCAUGACAAGUUUUAAAUAUUUAUAAUUACUCAUUCUUGAACUAACUAUUAUCAUGAUUUAGGCAAGUGCACCUAUCGAACAGUAGUAUAGUUUUAGCAAGACUGAAUUGUCGAACCCAAAGGAACUAAAAGUACUAGAAAUGACUAACUUUUUAUUAUCUAGCCUAAGAAUAAAGAGGUUUUGCAUUAAAUAACUAAUUAUCUAAACUAAGAACUCAUAUAGAAAAGAAUUGGGGAAUUGCUUUUGGGAAAAAUCGAUUGACUUAAGACAAUACCUAAGGACAAAUCCACCUAGACUUGUUAUUAUGGCUCCGAAUCGGACGAUUUAUUCAUUCAACUUGUUCUGUAGUGAUCCUGAAGUUAUGUUAUUAUCCCUAGUCAAGACUAAUAAUGUCUAAUCCCUAGAUUGAAUAACCGAGACUUUUCUCUAAUUAACAUUCUAGGGUUGUAUUAACUCGAUCUAUGGAUCCCCUUAUUAAGUUUCACCCUAAUUCGACAAAAUCUGGUCACCUUAUUUCUAGGCGUGCAAUCAACUCCGCUUAAUUAUGACAAAAGCACUCUUAGACAGGGUCUAUUCCUCUUCUAAAUAAGAGCAUGUCUUGAAUCAGUAUCCUGGGAUAUCAAAACAAGAAUUAAGAACACAUAAUUAAGAACAAGUUAAAUAUUUAUUAUACGAUUCAGAAAAUAACAACAAGAUUCGUCUUAGGUUUCAUUCCCCUUAGGUAUUUAGGGGAUAUAGUUCAUAACUAAAUAAGAAAACAUCUUAGAAGAAUAAAGAAUACAAAACAUAAAGAAAACCCAAAACUCCUGAAGGGAAAUUGAGGAGAGAUCUUCAGUCUUGAUGAUGAAUCCAACUUUUGAGAUGGAUCAAUCAGCUUCCUUGAAGUAAUUCCUUACCCUUAUUCUCCGUUUCCUUUUCUCCUCUUCUAGGGUGUAUUUACAGGUUUUGGAAUGCCUAUGAGCCAUCAAAAGUGGUCUUUUUCGAAUUGUACUAAACUUGGGCUCGGCAAGGACACGGCCGUGUGCAAUUACUUCAGGCCAUGUUUGAGCCUGCCAAAUUGACAUGACUGUGUGGUCUGCCCAUGUGAGGAGGUCCAGGCUGUGUUGAUUUCGUACCUUGGCCCAUUUUCUCAGUUUUUGGCCCAUUUCUUGUUCCUUUCACUCUCCUAUGCUCUCUUAAGUAUAAAACAUGAAAUUAAAGCAUUAGGAGCAUCGAAUUCACCAAUUCUAAUGAGAAAUCAUCCAUAGAAUACAUUAAACAUGGGGUAAAAAUAUUUAUAAUUUACGGUUUAUCAAAUACCUCCACACUUAAGCAUUUGCUUGUCCUCAAGCAAAAUUCUCAACUCAUAAUCAAAAUAAAUUAUCCUCAACUUAUAAUUUCUAUUGAUAAUAUCUCAAACUAAUCCAUAGGUAAUCAUACAUUGAGAAUUCAACUAAAUGAACAUAAAAGUUUCAAACAUUCCAAGUUGAGUAUUUAGUCAUGCAAACUUAGGUGCUUCCCUCUGUCUAAGUAAUUACCUUUGAUUUAGAAUAUCACAGAGUUUUACAUCCUCACUAAAGGUUCACUCAAUUCACUCGAGGUGUUUAAGGACAAUGAAUGAAGCACUCAAUAGUCAUUAAUGGAAAUUCAUUACCAUAGGCUUGCAUGAAAAUCAAAUCUCGACCACUAUAAUUUAAGAUGAUACAUCAAUCAAAAGGUCUUUAGAGGGUUGUAGUGAGGCUUGGUUAGGGGGUGUGGUCACAAGCAAAAAGAAAGGGUUAGAAUUGAAAUUGAAUUGAAAAAUUUCCUAACUAGAAAAAGAGUAAUCUUCACUUGCGUACAACAAAGCUUCUCUCAGAAUAUGAAAUUACAGAUAUGCAUACAUAGUUUUUUUUUAAGAACAAGUUACAUAACAUAGACUAACUAUUAAGAACAAGACAUAGCUAAACAAUUUAUUCAAUUCAAAUCUCGACAAAAAUAGGGAUUAAUUUAGGGGAUUUCAACAAUAAUGGGUUAAGGGUUAAUAUUAAAGUUAAUACAAGAAAUGGCUUGUUAGGCUCAAGGGGGUUUACUAGGGGUUAAUUGUGGAGGUAGGCUUUUCAUGGCAUGCGUGGGUUAAUCCUAACUACCUUAAUCAUUUUGAUAUAUCAAAUCAAAUGGUCUGGUCUCGACAUGUAUAAUCAAACAAGUUCUAGAAUAACAGUUCAAUACUGACGCACUCAAAGCAAUAAUAAAAGUGAGCAUGAAAGAAUUACAAGAUGCUCAAAAGGCUCAAAAAUCUCACAAAAAUUAUGGCUUUUUGAUGUUAAAAACUUGUGAAUUCCAAUUCAAAGUAAUACCUAAACUUUGGGGAAACCGCCUAAGAUUUUAAAUUCUUAAAAAUCAACUUAUCAUGCUUGAUUCUCUAAUGUCUUAAAGUUUAAACAAUCAAUGCAUAAGUCCCUAUAUUUUAAUUCAAGAUAUAUCAAUCAAAAUCAUAAACCAAUUAAAAUUUAUCCUAAAUAUGAUAUGAGAGCUUUUUAAGAGAACAAGGCAGUCAUUCAAGGAUUUUUCUAAUAAUGAAAUGAAUGCCUCCCCCUACACUUAAGAUGUACAUCACUCUCAAUGUACAAAGAUAGGUAUUAUAAAAUAAAAAUAAGAUAGGGAGAGAAGUGAAACUUUCUGUAUGAUGAAUUCCUCGAACUAGAGUUUUGGAGAGUAAUUGGUUCAAGAGUGGAAGAGGAUACUCUAGCGGUCGUAGAGGUUCAUUAGUCCAUAAGUCUUGCGCCAAAAGAAUAUUAUAUCUAGUGGGAGCUAUGGUCGUGGUCGAGCAGGACAUGGCAUCAUAGAGAACCUUUCCCGGUGGAGUUUUAGUUCCUAUGUGAUGAUGAGCUUAAGACCUCUAUAUAACUAUGAUAAAAUCAGGAACUUUUUAGGGGAUAUUAGGAAGAAUAAGUACUUGAAAAGAAAUAACCGAACUUAAUAAUUAAAAAUAAAAUUCUAAAAUCUAACAAAAAUAAAAAGUAGUUUCAAUAAAAAUUAAAAACAUAAAAUAAUAAAUAAAUAUUUUUAAACAUCUUCAUCGCUGGAUGGUUCGCGAGGUGGGACUGGAGAUGAGAUGUGGAGGUGCUAACAAAUCUGCUGUAGAGUAGCAUCAAUGUUGUCAAAUCAUUGAAAACACUUCUGCUCAAAUCAGGUGAGGCACUCAGAGAUGUCAGCAUAUGAAGCCGCCGCAUGAACUGGACGAGAGGGUGGUAGUGGCUGAGUCGGUGGGUCUUCGUGUUAUAGGGGGACAUCAUCAGGAAUGUCCUUGUAGGCCUCCUCCUCGGUAGAUUGGACGAGACGAUACUUGGGAGGGUAGGUUCCUCGGCGCCUCUUGAUCAUCCUCAUGCUAAGCAUGCUCGAGAUACCUUGUGGAGACAUCUGGCCGAUGAGGGUGAGGGAUGAUUCUUAGGCCGUGGUGUUGAGGAGCCCGAAGUGUCACGCCAGCCUAGUCAUGUAGGAGCCGUGGUGUUGUGGGUGUUGAAGAUGCUAGUGCUCUCUCGCCUCCCUGUAAUCGUUUGAACUAAAAUAACAUGUAAGUACCUCAGGGAUGGUGGGAGAACUGAUGCCUUGGAGUGGCUAGGAUUGUACGAGGCCGUACUAAGGGCCAAAGUGUGCCAGCACUUUAAAGGAGAGAAAUGUAUGUGGCGACUGAGAGCAUGUAGUUCAUUCUCCUCCCUGAACUUCUCCGUAUAUAGGCUUAGUGCAGCACCAAACUCUGGGAAGCUUAGCUGGCAGAUUAGUCUGCCUAGGCGAAACUGGACCGUGCCGGGAUCAUCGUACCUUAUCGUUAUGGUCUGGAGAUAGAACGUUGAGCAGAGUUCUAUCGUGAGCUCAAGGUAUGUCGGCUCGAUAAUCCUAAAGAAUAGCUCCCACGGAUCGGUGGUUAAGAGAGCCAGAAUUGCAUCAGCCAUCUGGGCUCAUUCUACGGUAGCCCAGUCAAUGCAGUGGCCCUCUGCUAACGGUCAGGCCGAAAGUAUUUGGAAGAGCUCUUCUUGGGGCCCUCGUGGAAACUGUAGGAUAGGGUGACAAAUUUUUACGGUUGGACCCGUGGAAGAUGACGCUCCCUUGCUCUUCUUCGAGGCUGGCACAACGGUUUUCUUUCCUCUUGAAGAUGACAUUAAAGGCCUGUAAUAUAAAGGAUAAUAAUAAUAGGUAAACAUAUUCGAAGGGGAAGUAAACUAUUUCAGCCAAGACUACUAAUAUGAAGCAAACUCAACCACAAUAAUAAUGAGAAUGAGAAUAGAAAUGUAAUGGGUAUAAGGUUUUCCUAGUCUUAAUUUAACAUAAAUUGUAUGGUAACUAACCUAGGAAUGCAAUUUAAAUGAUAGACAUUGGCAUGAUAAUAGCAUGAAAAUAAGCAUAGUAAUGUCAUGGAUAUGAGGUGUGUCUAACAACUUGAUUUAAUUCGAUAUGUAUAAUAAAGAACCUAAAAAUGCAAACUAAAUGAUAAAGUAAUGAACAAAAAUGAAAACUAGUUCAAAAGUAAUGGAGAUUAUUGUAAUAAUAAGCAUUAAUAAUGAGUAAAAUAGAAGUGAAAGGAGUAAACAAACGCUAAGGGAGAGAGAUUGAGCUUUAAAAACGAAGUUGGAAGUGGCGCACAAGAGUGGCAGGGGGCCGUGUGGAGUUGCAGCAGCUAGGGUUAGGGUUUUUGAAUGGAGAAGAAAGUAAAUAGUGCAGGGUAUUUAUAAAUUUUGGGGCACACGCCUGUGUUCCCCAAUUUCAGCCCGUGUGAUUCGCGAAUUUCAAAUUUGGGCGCGUCUGACAUUUAGUACAUGCCCGUGUUCCUCGGGCGUGUGGGUUAACACGGCCGUGUCGUACGACCGUGUCUAGCUUCGUUCGGUUUUCCCACACCCGUGUGUUCAAUCCCCACUCCCGUUUUAUUUUAACAGGUUCAACCACGGGUGUUAGACACGGGCAUGUCGCACGCCCGUGCUAGUUUCUCAAUUUCAACCACGAGUUUUCCACACGGGCGUGUUGUACGCCCUUGUUGUUUUGGCAAGCUCGACCAUGGCUAUGUCGCACUGCUGUGGCAUUUUAUCAUGGAUCGUGUUGGGGAAAUCUUUUGCCCUAUUUUCAUACGUCCUUAAGCACGCCCGUGUGCUUGGCUGUGUUUUUGUGGAAACACUUGUAUUCAAGAUCUCUAUUAGUAGGUUAGGAGUUAAAUAGCAAAAUUUAAAGAAAUUAAUAAUGUUAGUGCUCGGGUUGUCUCCCGAGAAGCGCUUAUUCAUAGUCUAAGCUCGACUUACCUCUUCAGUGAAUAGUAGUGGUUUGAGGAGUUUAUACUUCUCAUUCCUGCUAUCAAUCUUAUCAAAAUAAAGUUUUAAUCGGGUGUUGUUUACCUUAAAAGUGCCGAACUUGGGAUGACUCACCUCCACCGUACUGAAUGGAAAAAUACUGAGUACCGUAAGAGGGAUUUGCUCAUUCGGUGUGGUAGUGACAAUGUGGGGAUAUGCGGCAUCUAAUAAGACCUUAUCACCAACCUUAACUAAAUUUGGGGAGGUAUCAAACUCAUUCUGGCAUAAUUUUGAUUUAUUGUGUAUUCUCGGUUUAUGUGCUCGCCAUUCGUCUAGCUCCUCUAUCCGUAGCCUUCGUUCUUCAUGAAUGUGUCCUUUAUCAUUUCUAGAACAUGGCUCGUGAACUUCUUUGAAGCUCAAUUUUUGCAAAGUCAUAUUUUAAGUUUUAGUAGAUUGGUGUGGACCAUUACCUUCAAUGUUUGAUGUGAUGCCAGAAUUACGAGCUUGAAGGGUGAUCGUUUCGUCUCCCAUAUGAAGUGUAAGCUCACCUGUGCCAACAUCAAUAGUUUUACAGUUGCUAAAAAGGGCCUCCCUAAAAUCAAAGGGGUGUUAUUAUUCUCCUUUAUGUCUAGAACAACGAAAUCAACGGGAAAUAUGAACUGAUCUACUUUCACUAGUACAUCUUCAAUAAUACCCCUAUGAAAUCUUAUAGUUUUAUCUGCAAAUUGAAUGCUCAUCAUAGUUUGUUUAGGUUUCCCAAUACCUAGUUGCUUAAACAUUUUGUAAGGCAUGACGUUAAUACUACCCCCUAAAUCAGCUAAUGCAUGACUUAUAUCUAAACUACCAAUUAAGCAAGGAAUUAUAAAACUCCCUGGAUCUUUCAAUUUGUGGGGUAGCUUAUUCUGUAGUAUAGUUGAGCAGACUGCGUUUAGCUCCACAUGCGAUGCUUCGUCCAACUUUCGCUUAUUUACUAAAAGCUCUUUUAAAAAUUUCAUUGCAUUUGGCAUCUGCGAUAGAGCUUCAAUAAACGGUAAGUUAAUAUGUAAUUUUUUCAAAAGUUUGAGGAAUUUACCGAAUUGUUCGUCUGAGCAGUCUUUCCUUGUCACGUUAGGGUAUGGGACACGAGGUCUAUAUUCUUCAUUCACCAUUUUGUUAUGUCUUACCUCACUUUUACCUUUGCUCACCACAGUUUCUUGCAUCAAUUCUAGCUCAGGCGCAAUGAAUCCUUCCUUAUCUUGAGUACUAAUUGCAUUGAGUUGUUCCCUUGGAUUAGGUUCAAUAUUGCUUGGUACGCUACCUUGUGGUCAUUCGGAGAUUAGUUUGGAUAGAUGGCCUAUCUGAGUUUCGAGCCCUUGGAUCGAAGCUUGUUGAUUCUUAAGUGUUGUCUCGGUAUUUUGGAAAUAGGUUUCUAAUACUGAGAUGAAUUCAGAGAGCAUCUCUUCAAGGUUCGGUUUCUUCUCUUAUUGAUAAGGUGGCUGUUGAAAACCCUGAGGAUUUUGUGGCUUUUGAUUCCCUUGACCACUCCAGGAGAAAUUUGGGUGGUCCCUCCAACCUGCAUUAUAAGUAUUACUGUAUAGAUUAUUUUGAGAUCUAAAGUUAUUGUUACCCAUAUAGUUAACUUGUUCCUAUUCGGUUGUAGGAUUGAAGGAUUGAUAUUCUGUAUGCACACCUCCUCCACUUGAGUCACACCUCAUUACUGGAUGUACCUGCAUAGAACCAAGUAAACCAUCAAUCUUUUUAUUGAGAAGUUCUACCUGAUUUGAAAGCAUAGUAACUGAGUCGACGUUAUAAAUACCGGCUGUUUUUGUUGGCUUAGUCCUCAUGACUUGCCACUGAUAGUUAUUCAGUGACAUUUCUUCAAUGAAUUCAUAAGCCUCUUCAGGUGUUUUUUUAUUGAUGGCUUCUCUAGCAGCUGCGUCAAUCAUCUGUCUUGUCGAGGGAUUUACACCAUUGUAAAACGUUUGAACUUGCAGCCAUAGAGGUAACCCAUGGUGAGGGCACCUUCGCAAUAGAUCCUUGUAUCUCUCCCAUGCAUCGUAAAGUGUUUCAAAGUCCAUUUGCACAAAAGAGGAGAUAUCAUUACAUAACUUAGCCGUUUUAGCCGGCGGAAAAUAUUUUAGUAGAAAUUUUUGGUCAUUUGUUCCCAAGUAGUGAUGGACCCUCGUGGUAAUGAGUUCAACCACUGUUUAGCUUUGUUUCUCAGUGAAAAACGGAAUAACAGAAGGUGAAUGGCAUCAUAAAAAAUACCAUUAAUUUUGAAAGUGUCGCAAAACUCCAGAAAAUUCACCAAGUGAAAGUUAGGUCCUCAUCCCGCAAACCAUCAAACUGAACAAACUGUUGUAUCAUCUGAAUUGUGUUAGGUUUCAGUUUGAAAUUAUUCGCAGCAAUAGCAGGUCUAACUAUACUUGACUGAGUUCCUGUUAAAGAAGGUUUAGCAUAGUCAUACAUAGUACAUGGAGCAGGAUUUUGAUUAGCCGCAAUUGCAGGAGGUAGCUGAUUGCCUUGGUUUUUAGCCAUCUCUUCGGUUGGGGGUUGAGUAUCAUCUUCUUGCUCGUUCUCUGUGUAUCUUAAGCUUCACCUUAUUUCUCUUUGGUUUCUACAAACUGUGCGAUCGAUUUCUUUGUCAAAAAGUAAUGGUCCUGACGGCUUUCUUCUAGUUAUAAACUAUAAAAACCUGUCAAGAGAAAUAAAAAGUAAAUUAAUUAGUAAUAAGAAUAAUAAAAUUAAAUUAAAGUAAAUUGCAAGAAAAAUAAAUGGCUAAAGUAAUAAAAACUGAGUGUUCCUAAUAUUUUAGUUCCCCGGCAACGGCGCCAAAAACUUGAUCGUGAGGUUUCGUGAUAGGUUUUAAAUAUUUAUAAUUACUCAUUCUUGAACUAACUAUUAUCGCAAUGUAAGCAAGUGUACCUAUUGAACAGUAGUAUAGUUUUAGUAAGACUGGAUUAUCGAAACCAAAGGAACUAAAAGUACUAGUAAUGACUGUCUUUUUAUUAUCUAGCCUAAGAAUAAAGAGGUUUUGUUUUAAUUAACUAAUUAUCUAAACUAAAAACUCACAGAGAAAAGAAUUGGGGAAUUGCUUUUGGGAAAAAUCGAUUGACUUAAGACAAUACCUAAGGACAAAUCCACCUAGACUUUACUUGUUAUUCUGGCUCCGAAUUGGACGAUUUAUUCAUUCAACUUGUUCCGUAGAGAACCCGAAGUUAUGUUAUUAUCCCUAUCCAAGACUAAUAACGUCUAAUCCCUAGAUUGAAUAACCAAUACUUUUCUCUAAUUAACAUUCUAGAGUUGCAUUAACUCGAUCUAUGGAUCCCCUUAUUAGGUUUCACCCUAAUCUAGCAAAAUCUUGUCACCCUAUUUCUAGACACGCAAUCAACUCCGCUUAAUUAUGACAAAAGUACUCUUAGACAAGGUCUAUUCCUCCUCUAAAUAAGAGCAUGUCUUGAAUCAGUAUCCUGGGAUAUUAAAAUAAGAAUUAAGAACACAUAAUUAAGAACAAGUUAAAUAUUUAUCAUACGAUUCAAAAAAUAAUAAUAAUAUUCAUCUUAGGUUUCAUUCUCCUUAGGUAUUUAGGGGUUUUAGUUCAUAACUAAAUAAGAAAACAUCUCAGAAGAAUAAAGAAUAAAAAACAUAAAGAAAACCCAAAACUCCUGAAGGGAAAUUGAGGAGAGAUCUUCAGUCUUGAUGAUGAAUCCGGCUUCUGAGAUGAAUCAAUCGGCUUCCUUAGAGUAAUUCCUUACCCCCUAUUCUCUAUCUCCAUUUUCUCCUCUUCUAGGGUGUAUUUAUAGGCUUUGGAAUGCCUAUGAGCCCUCAAAAGUGGCCUUUUCUGAAUUGGAUUCAACUUGGGCUCGACAGGGACACGCCCGUGUGACACGUCCAUGUGCGAUUACUUCAGGCCAUGUUCGAGCCUGCCAAUUUGACACAACCGUGUGGUCUGCUCGUGUGAGGAGGUCCAGGCUGUGUUGAUUUCGUACCUUGGCUCAUUUUCUCCGUUUUUGGCCUGUUCCUCGUUCCUUUCACUCUCUUAUGAUCUCCUAAGUAUAAAACAUGAAAUUAAAGCAUUAGGAGCAUCGAAUUCACCAAUUCUAAUAAGAAAUAAUCCAUAAAAUGCAUUAAACAUGGGGUAAAAAUAUGUAUAAUUUACUGUUUAUCAGUACCAAAUGGCUUAUAAUAUGGAUGUCACCGGUCGAAGAUAAGGAAACAUCAUUGGAAUUGACCAAAAGGGUUGGUUCAUACACAGCAACAGAGCAACAAAUGUCAAAUUAAAGUGUCGAGAACCAGCUGGAAGUACUUCUAUGGUGGCGAUACGGAUCGUCCUAGUUUUUAAAGAACUUAUAUUUCCUGCUUUAAAUUUUUUUAGUUUUUAUUUUAUUAUUCGUUUAUUUUAAUAUUAAUAAUUUUAGUUGUGUUUAAUUUUUUUCAUAGUAAGUGUAGAUAUCAUGGAGUGACAGAACCAAAAAAAAAUCAAAGAAAUCAGAAACUAGGCUCGAUGUCGCGACAUCCUAGACAAAAUGCACCUUGUAACAUUGAAGGCCGAAGUUCAACCGAAUAUUUAUAGACGUUCUGUCAUCCAUUAUUGACACUUCGUCUUUUUCUUCUUAUUUUUAUUUUCUUUAUAUUACAUUUCAUAUUUCCUUUCGUAGAUUCUUUUUUGUUACUCUCUGUCUGUUUGAAACACACAAACCCCGAGAUUAUCAUAACAAUAAGGAUUCGACCUACUCAGGGAAGUUUUCUUGUUUGUACUUUAAUUACUUUACACUAAGGGGAAUGUAUAUUCUAAAGUAUGGGGGGAAGCACAUAGGAUUAAUUUUUUAUGUGUUUUCGUUUGUGUGUUUACUUUGAUUUAAUUGAUUUUUUAUUUACCAAAAAAAAAUAUUAUUGUUUUUGUUACAUGGUGCUUGGGUUAUAUUAAUACUGUGAAUAGCAGUUGAAGAUAAUAAAGCAUUAAUGGUUCUUGUCAAGCAUGAAUUUUUUUAUUGAUAUAAGAUAAACUGAUUAUUUUUAAGGGAAAUUGAUUGGGUUACCAAGUUAAAUUGCAUAAUAGAUUUGAAGUACCUAAGUAAGAAUGUUUGAUGAUGCCAUAUGAGAUAUAAGUCUUAUAAAUAGUCACAGAGACAUGAAUGCUUGAAUUGAUUAUUAUUCAUUUGGUUUAAUUUGAAGCAUGAAAGAAAUUGUGUAUGGUGGGAUGCCUAGGGAUAACCUAAGGCAUUGUUUGAAUAGCCAGUUCUCAAAUUACUAUACCUUAAUUCUAUGAACCCCUAGUCUCUUAUUUGAGCCUGAUGACUCCUUUUUGAUGAAUCUACAAAAAUUAGACGACACAUAAAUUGAAAACUUGAACUCUUUCCUAUCUUUGUUCCUUUAAUACAUUACGAAAUAGACGCUAAGCCAUAGAUAUUGAGCGUUUAGGUAGAUACAUUAGGUUAGUUUUAAAAAAAAGGAGCGAAAAAGGAAGAAACAAUGUGAUACAUGGAUUAUAGGUUGGGCAAAAAUAUGCCAAAAAAGAAAAAAAAUCUAGAAAAAGUGAAAAGUAAGAACGAGAAGAAAAAGUACAGAACAAAGAAAAAAGCAUUGUGACUAAGAAAAAGAAGUAAAAUGUUAGGUGAAAAAACAAAAAGUCACAAAGUAAGAGAUAAAUCAAUCAUCAGUGCACCAAAACUCAUUAAGUUGACCAUAGUUGGUAGUAGUAGAUUGUAUCCUCCUACAUGGAGCAAUAAGUUAGGUGAGAGAGGAAGACAAAAGGUUGUGAGCUUGAAUGGGACAUUAAGGGGGAAGAGAGGGAACAAUGUCUUGUGCCUAACUAUUCCUAGUGUUUAAACUGUUUUGAGCCAUAGCUUUCUUUGAACUCAUAACAUCCUAGGCUUUUUGAUUUAUGUUAAGGGUGGUAUUGUUAAAUAUUUGGUCAUGGGAAUUACUUCUAAUUUGUUAGUAAUGUAACUUUGUAAACUAAUCCUAAUUUACUUAAAAAGUUUUAAGACAUCGAACUAUCAAGAUUAAGUUACAUGUGCGAUGUGAAUUGUUAUCCCUUUAAGCUUUGACAACAAUGUUCAUAGUAGUAAAAAAAUCCAAGGGACAUCUUCUUAUUACAUGCUAUGUGUCUAGACUUGGUUUGCUUGAGGACAAGCAAAAAAGUUCAGUAUAGGGGAAUUUAGGUGAGAGGUUCUUAUUUGCAUCCAUCUUUACUAACUUUAGCUUGUUUAAAGAAAAGAAAUUAAGUCAAUUUUGUAUUAUUUUUAUUUCUCUUUUUCCAAUAUAUGUAAUUUGGUUGCUUAAGAAAAAGCAACAAGUUAAGUGUGGGAGAGUGAUUUGCCAUUAAUUACACUGUUAUUUACAUCCUUUUUACACAUAACUUUAGCUUGUUUAAUAGUUAAAUCAAAGCACCUUAGUAUAUAUUUAGGUUUUCAUACUUAAAGUAGUAAUUUAUGUUUUCUAGUAGUUUUUAUCACAUUUUAUAUAUCUAAAUAAGGUUACAUGGUCUUGUAGGUCAAGUGGGGAGCUAAAAAUGAAUAUUCAGGCCAAGAUUGAUGCCUAUGUCGUGACACCAAGACACUGAUAUCUCAACAUCGAAGACAGAACCCAAAAACAAGUUCUUGACUGAAACUGUACAAAGAUGUACAUUGUCCUAAAUGUACAAAGAUAGAUAACAAUAGACGGAUAAUAUCAUAAGAGAGAGAGAGAAGCGAAACUGCCCUGAAUUUUUGGAGGGAAUCCUUGGAAUAAUGAAGUGAAAAUUUUAGAUAUGGCCAAUGAUGUGCAUGAAUCGGAGCUACCAUUAAGAAAAUAAACACAACUAUGAAGAGAAUUAAAGGGUUACUUGAUAAUAGCCAUAAUGAUAAAUAUAGUUUAAAAGUAUAAAUGAAAAGUCUUUAAAACUAAAAUAAAAAUAAAAAUAAAGUGAAAAAUAAAAGAUAAAAUAAAUGGACUCAAAAGUCCUCAUUGGUAGAUGGAUCUUGAGGUGGUGUUGGUGGAGGUAAGAUGUUGAAAUGCUGGCAAAUCUACUGCAGAGUCGCCUUGAUGUUGUCGAACCUCACAAAACACUUUUGCUCGAAUCUAGUGAGUCGCUCGAAUAUAUAGGUCAAAGUGGCUGCAGGAGGUCAGCAACUCGGUGGUGGCAGUGGGUGUGGGUCCUCGUGAGGGGGAGGGACAUCAUCAAUAAUGUCCUUUGGCUCAUCCUGGUCAUCAGUGUGAAUGAGUCUGUACUGAGGAGGGUCGAAUCCACUGCGUCGCUCUAUCAUCCUCAUGUGGCCUACUAGUGUGAGUAUCGAAGACAUCUCUAGAGUGUCAAAAAGGUCGAAAUGUCGAGCUAGGUGAGUCACGUAGGGAACAAGGCAGAUGGGAUCCCUUCUAUGGCGGUUUGUUUGGUGGAGAAAAGCAAGGGCAAUAAAGUAUACCAAAUUGAAUAUAUGACCAAUAGCCAUGCUCCAUAAAAAGUAAGCAUUGGUGGUGCUAACAACUCUGGUGCUCUCUCUCCUUACAGUCAAGGUGUGAGCCAAGAUGGCAUGGAUGUAGCAUAGUGCUGGAGGAAGAGAAGUCGCCUUUGAGCGACUUGCGUCAUAGGGAAUAGUACUCGCCAUAAGGUCAGUCCAACAGUAGGAAGGCGAGUGGUAUAUGUGUCAGUGAAGAUGUAGAAAAGCCUCGGAAGCCAUAAAAUCCUCCGUGUAGAAGCCCAAAAUAGCUCCAAACUCUGGUACACUCAUGUGUCUUACGAGUCCACCAAGUCUGAAAAUGAUAGUGCCGGCCUCGUCGUGGGUAUUCAUCACAUGCCGAAGAUGAAAAGUAGUGCAAAAUUCCAAGGUAAGCUCCAAAUAGGUGGGCUCGAUAAUUGCAAAAAAAAUCGAUCCCACGGGGCAGUGGUGAGAUGGAAUCAAACAAGGUGGGUAAGUUGGACCUACUCCAAGGUGACCCAAUCUAUGCAGCGGCCCACUCCUAAUGGUCGUACUCGAAGAAGCUGAAACAAGUCGUCCUGUGGUCUUGACGAGAAUCGAAGCAGAGGGUGACGAGCUUCAGUUGAGGCGCUCGAGGAGGUUGCGCCAGGACUCUUCUACUUUUUCAAAGUGGGGACGACAGUUUUCUUGCCUCGUGUGUUUGUCAUAGUAUUCCUGAAAAUGACAGAAGUCAAAAAAAGUACCAAAUAUUCAACCACAAGUUAAAGGAAAAAAUAAGAAUCUAACUAGUAAAAAUAAAACUAUAGUCCUAAAAAGAAUAUGCCCUAACAGUAAUCAUAGCAAAGACCAGAAUAAUAGAAAAAUACAUAGGAACAUAACAGUAGCACUAAGGAAUAAAAAUUAAGAAAAAGAUCAUGGAGAAAACAAUAUAAAGUAAAAUAUAGGAAAAUAUAAAUACUAAAAAUAAUAAAAUAGGAGAAAACAAAGAUAAAAAAUGAAAGAAUCAGAAAACUAAAAUAAAACAAAAAAGUAAUAAAAAUAAUAAUCAUAAUAAAUAACAAAUAUAAUGAAGAAUAACAGUAAUAAUAAUGAAUACUAAUAAAUAAAUAAAUAAAAUUACUAAAAUUAAAAUGGAAUAACAAUUAAGAAAUAAAGAAAGAAAUAAGUACAACUGGAAUAAAAUAAAUGUGAGGGUAAAAGAGGAAACCACGGGCAAUGAUCGGAGAUGUAACGGUGGCGGCUGGUUGGGGUGGUAUGGGUCGAACGGAGGAUGGCGUUUUUUGCAGGAGGGGAGGGGGUUGACGGGGUGGUGGGCGGUCAGUUGAAGAGGAAAAAGGGGGAAAAGGGAAAGGAAAGGGGAAGAAAGAAAGAAAAGGGAGAGAAAAGGUGGGGGUAGGGAGGAAAGGAAGAAAAAGAAAAGGGAAAGGGAGUGUGGUGGCAGGCGGUUGGUCGGAGAUGGAGGGGGAGGGAGUUACGGCGACGGCUGGUUGGGAAAAUUUGGAGAAGAAGACAAAAAAUAAAAUUUUAGGGUUUUGGGGGAUUAAAUAGGACACGGUUGUGUGAGGCCCGUGUUGGGCCACACGGCCGUGUCACAUGCCCGUGUGGCUCGAGUAUUGCCCGUGUACGUCGAGAGCAUUUAUUGACCAUUCGUCACACGGCCACGAACAUGCCUGUGUGUCCAAGCCGUGUGGUUCACAGGGUUGUAUCGCACGGCCGUGUGCUACGUUAUUCGCUUCUCCCACGCCCAUGUGAUCUCCCGCACGCCCGUGUGUUCGAACACACGAUCGUGUGGUUCACCCGUGUAGCUCUUUGACCUGUUUAAAAUUUGAAAAUUUAGCUCCAGUUUCUUCACGGCCUAAAACACGCCCAUGUGUCCAGGCCGUGUGGUCCACACGGUCUUGUCUCAUGGCCGUAUGGCUCGAGUUUAUGGUCAUGUGUAUGUGAAUACUUGGGAACUUUUAGCCCUGUUUCCACACGGCCAAGGACAGGCUUGUGUGCCUAGGUUGUGUGGGUCACUGUACCUGUAUAAAAACAUGAAAAAUAGAUAAAAUAAAUGGGUUAGUGGUGUUAGUGCUCGGGUUGCCUCUCGAAAAGCGCUUUGUAACACCCUGAAUUUGGACCUAGAAGUUUUGGGCCUUAAGCAUGGAAGCGGUUGAAGGUAGCUUAUAAUAUUUUGUUGUGCAUGUAAAUUUCGUUAAUGAAGGCUUGUUUUAGCGGUUAAGUGUGCUGAGAAGUGUUGGAGAAGUCUUGGGUUCAAACAUGGACUCUAGCAAAAAUUUUGGUUUAAGGUGAAUCAAACCCUGGGUGUAGUAGGUAGGCCUUAAGAAUAUUGUUGGAGAAAUUGUGCCACAAAAAGCCUUGUGGUCUAGUGGCAAAGUAGCGCUACAUAAGAGGCAGGAAGGUGGCGUCAUAGAGUUGGCAAGGAGGUCCAGGGUUCGAAACUCAUGGCAAUCAAAGAACAUUUAUUUUGCUAACAUGGGGCGGUAAGAGUUGGUGUUGAAUUUAAACUCUGAUGAUGGAGGGAUCCUACAUCGGGAAGCUAACAUAAGAGUGGAUGCGAAGCUGGCUUUAAAUAGAGAGAACCAUGAGGAGAGUAAAGGUACCUUUCUUGGCUGAUCCCUUUCGCUUCAUGGCGUGCUCGUUUGGGUUGGGCGUCGGCUAAGAGUGCUCGAAGCGCGGAUUAACUCCAGUCUCCUAUCAGGUGUGUAUUUCUCACUACUCUAGCUAUAGGAUGGCUACUUCGGGCUGCGAUGGGCCGCGAUGGGCCGAAAAGGGCCAUGUGGGCCCAAUGGGCCUACGGGCCCAAUUAGAUAAGUUGUUUGAUUGUGUAGUAAAUAUUGGACUAGGCUAGGUGAAUCUCAUAUCUAUGGCUAGAUUUGGGCUAAAAGGGCCACACGAGCGUGUGGGCCCAUUUGGGCUGAGAAAGGGCUUUAGGCCCAUUCUUAUUGUUAUCCCUGUUUAGAAUACUUUAGUUUACCAAAUUACCAAAAAACCCCUGGUUUGUAAAAUUACCAAAAUACCCUUAGUUUACAAAAUUACCAAAUACCCCUGGUUUGUAAAAUUACUAAAAUACCCUUAGUUUAUAAAAUCACCAAAAUACCCCUGGUUUGUAAAAUUACCAAAAUACCCUUGGUUUAUAAAAUUACCAAAAUACCCAUGGUUUGUAAAAUUACCAAAAUACCCCUAGUUUGUAAAAUUACCAAAAUACCUCUGAUUUGUGAAAUUACUGAAAUACCCUCGACCUUUAAAAUUACUGAAAUACCUCGACUUGUAAAAUUACCAAAGUACCCUCGAUUUAUAGAAUUACCGUUUUACCCUUGAUUUACAAAAUUACCGUUUUACCCUCAAUUUACAGAAUUAUUGUUUUACCCUCAAUUUAAAAAAUUAUCAUUUUACUCUCGAUUUACAGAAUUACUGUUUUACCCUCGAUUUACAAAAUUACUAUUUUACCCUCGAUUUACAAAAUUACUAUUUUACCCUCGAUUUACAAAAUUACUAUUUUAUCCUCGAUUUACAGAAUUACCAUUUUACCCUCAAUUUAAAGAAUUACUAUUUUACCCUCGAUUUAUAGAAUUACCGUUUUACCCUCGAUUUAUAAAAUUAUCAUUUUACCCCUAGGGUGUUAAAUGAUUGUUUUGCCCUUUUGGGCAAGUGACUGACUUGGACUGUGUGGUUGACGGAUUUGAUUGUGAAUAUAUGUUGGUGAUAUGAAUGACUUGACUGUGACUGUUUGAUUCAAGUAUGGGCUUGAUAUUCUGAUUCUGUAUGCUGUAUGCCAUGACAUGUAUAUCUGUUGCAUGGGACACGGGUUUAUAUUGAUGGAGGAAGCGUUCUGGCAGCCUCGCUGCAAUCUGGUGGCCUCGCCACAUAUAUCUAUUCUGGUGACUUCGUCACAAUAUCUGGCAGCCUCGCUGUAAUUUCUAUGUUGUGUAGCAGUUGGGUGGGUCGAGUAGUCUCCCCAUAUGGUGUAAGGUUGGUACGAGGGUGUAUACAGCUGGAUUGGGUUGGGAUUGCAUUCACAUUAUGAUUUUGAUUCUGUUACCUGAUACUGAUUCUGAUUCUAAUUCUGUCACCUGAUUCUGAUUCUGAUUUUGAUUCUGAUUCUAGUUCUGAUAAUGUUUCUUAUUCUGUAAUGGGUUAAAGCCCAUCUGGUACUGUCUGUUAUAGUGGGCUAAGGCCCAAUUGAUACUGAAACUGUAAGUAGGGUUGAGGCCAAACUUUUAAUUCUUUUAUAUGACUGACUGUUCCUUUUAUAUAGUAGGGGAUUUCACACUGAGUUUUUGUAAACUCACCCCGUUUAUUAACCUUUCAGGUAAUUUCUAGCCUUAGACAGAUCGGAGCUGCGAGGGGCUCGGAGGAAGUCACACACAGUGUUUAUUUUAUAGUUUUGAUUAUUACUUUUAAAUGUUUUAUGUGGGUUGUAGUAAAGCCGUUGUAAUUUUCUAGAUUUCAAAUUUGAAAUUUAACUUAUUGUUCUUAUAAUUGCUAGUAUUAGAACACGGUUUUCCAAAGCAACUACUGUUGUUCAAAAAGCACGUAUCCGCAAUUGUUUUUAAAUCAAGCUUCCGCAACUGCCAAGAUUUUUACAAAGUUGUUACGAAUGUUAUUCAGCUGAGGUUUCUAACAAGGUUUAAAAAGGGUAUAAGUUUUUAAUUAUUAAGAAGGGUUUUUAAUGGAAACAUGGUUUUCGAAAAAGACUUCAAUGUGACAUGCCAGAUUCGAGCCAAACUUCUAGGCCGGGUUUAGGGUGUUACAUGCUUAUUUAGAGUCUAACCUUGACUUACCUCGUAUUUGCACGGUCAUGGUGGCUCAAAGAGUUGAAACUCCUCAUUCCUUCUAUAAUCUUAUCAAAAUAAGGUUUUAGACGAGUACUAUUUACCUUAAAAGUGCCGAAUUUGGAAUGAGUUACCUCGACUGUACCAUAUGGGAAAACAUUAAGUACUGAAAAAGGGAUUGCUCCAUUAGGAUUAGCAGUGGCAACAUGAAGGUCUGCUUCAUCUAACAGUACUUUGUCUCCAACCUUAAGUUGAUUCGAUUCACCUUUGAGUUCAUCAUGACACUGCUUUGGUUCAUCGUGUAUCCUCGAUUUCUCCUUAACUAUUGUUCGUCAUUCAUCUAGUUCCUAGAUUUGUAAUGUUCGUUCGUCAUGGAUGAUCCCAUUGUUGGUAAUAGAUUGUGGCACGUUAAUGCUUUUCCGAAGUGUUUCCCGUAAAGAAGGUCGAACCACAUGAUUAGUCUCAUUAACAUGUUUUAUAGAAUCAUCAUCAUAACUUGCUGCCUUGACCGAAUCACAAGCUUGGAGCAUGAUCGUAACUUCUCCUACGCGGAGUGUGAGUUCACCUGUGUAACACCCCUCACCCGUAUCUGACGCCGAGAUAGGGCUCGAGGUGUUAACGGGAUUCCACAUUAAUAAACAUAUUAAAGCAAGUCACUAAGUUGCACUCUAAUUUAAAACUUUUCAAAUAUGUAUAUCCUUUCCCUUAAACAGUCCUUCGAGACCUAAAACAUGUCUAGAGAUGGCGUGGGACAAAACCAAGAACGUUUGAUAAACUUGGGCACCUUGGAAAUUUUCUUUUAACUUGAAGUGUCACAUGCCCAUGUGACUUGGGACACGCCCGUGCAAUCACCCCAUGUCCAAGACUUGAGCAUUCUGUUAAAUUCACACGGCCAAGACACACGCCCGUGUGUUUAGCCCGUGUUCAUUUAACAGACUUACCAUUUUAGAUGCAGAGGACACACGACCAUGCCACACGCCCUUGGAAACUUAUCGCAUCCCGUGUUGGGGAAAAAAUCUUGCCCUGUUUUCACACGGCCUAAUGCACGCCCGUGUGCCUGGACGUGUGGUCUUUUGAAAGUCUGCGUUCCAUGAUUCAGUUAGUAUGUUAGAUGUUAAACACUAAAAUUUUAAAGAAAUUAAUACUAUUAGUUCUCGGGUUGCCUCCCGAGAAGCGCUUAUUUAUAGUCUAAGCUCGACUUUCCUCUCUUCUGCAUGGUCAAGAUGGUGCGAGGAGUUUACACUCCUCAUUCCUACUAUCAACUUUAUCAACAUAAGGUUUAAGACAAGUAUUGUUUACCUUAAAUGUGCCGAAUUUGGGAUGAAUUACCUCGACUGUACCAUAUGGGAAAAUACUAAGUACCGUAAGAGGAAUUUCUUCAUUAGGUUCAGAAGUGGCAAUGUGAGGAUCUACUGCAUCUAGUAGUACUUUGUCUCCAACCUUAAGUGGAUUUGGUAAGGAAUUGAGCUUGUCCUAGCUCGGUUUCGAUUUAUCGGGUGUUCUCAGUUUCUGUGUCUACCAUUCAUCUAGCUCCUUGAUUUGUAACCUUCAUUCUUCAUAGAUAGGUCCGUUGUUGUUGUUUGAACACGGCUGAUAUGUAUUCUUCGAAAUUGUUUCCUGCAUAGAGGGUGUCACCACAUGAUCAAUACUAGUAGAAUGAUUUAUACAACCACCUUCAAUUUUUGAUGUGUUACUCGAACUACGAGCUUGAAGGGUGAUUGUUUCGUCUCCCACACGAAGUGUGAGUUCACCUAUACCAACAUCAAUAAUGGUUCUAACAGUCGCUAAAAAGGGUCGUCCUAAAAUUAAUGGUGUGUUACUAUCCUCUUCCAUGUCUAGAACAACAAAAUCUACUGGGUAUAUAAAUUUAUUGAUCUUAACAAGAACAUUUUCAAUGAUACCCCUACGAAAUCUAAUGGUUUUAUCAGCCAAUUGAAUGCUCAUCCUAGUUUGUUUGGGUUUCCCAAGACUUAGCUGUUUAAACAUUUUAUAAGGCAUAACAUUAAUGCUUGCCCCUAAGUCAGCCAAUGCAUGAUGAACAUCUAAACUACCAAUUAAACAAGGAAUCGUAAAACUCCUAGGAUCCUUCAAUUUGUUGGGUAGCUUAUUUUGUAAUAUGGCUGAGCAAACUGCAUUCAACUCCACAUGCUACGCCUCAUCCAACUUUCGUUUGUUUGUUAAAAGCUCCUUUAAAAACUUGACUGCGUUUGGCAUCUGCGAAAGGGGUUCAAUAAACGGUAAGUUAAUUUGUAGUUUCUUUAAAAGUUUAAGAAAUUUACCAAAUUGUUUGUCUGAUCGGUCUUUCCUUGUUGCAUUGGGGUAUGGCACACGAGGUUUAUAUUCUGUACUCACCGAUUUUGGGUCAUUUAGGCUUACCUCAUUCUUACCUUUACUUACCACCGUUUCUGGCUUUGGUUUUACAACUAACCCUUCCUCAUCUUGAAUGGAAAUCGCAUUGAGUUGCUCCCUUGGGUUAGAUUCAGCGUUGUUUGGCAGGCUUCCUGGUGGUCUUUCAGAUAUCAAUUUAGCGAGCUAACUUAUCUGAGUUUCGAGCCCUUGGAUCGACGCUUGUUGAUUUUUAAGUGCUGUCUCGAUAUUCUAAAAACGAGUUUCUGACACUAAGAUAAAUUUUGUUAGCAUCUCUUCAAGGUUUGGCUUUUUCUCUUGUUGGUAGGGUGGUUGUUGGAAGCCUGGAGGUGGUGAUCUCUGAUUCUCUUGGCCUCCCCAUGAAAAAUUUGGGUGGUUCCUCUAACCUGCAUUGUAAGUAUUGCUAUAAGGAUUGUUUUGAGAACGAGGAUUGUUACCCAUGUAAUUUAACCUCUAGUUCUCCAUGUUGUGGCCAUAAGGUGGAUAUUCUAAACUGCUUGAUCCACCUCCACUUGCUUCGUACUGCAUUACUGGGUGAACCUGUAAAGAACUAAGAAAACCAUCAAUUUUCUUAUUCAAGAGUUCUACCAUUAUGAAACGUUUGAGCCUGUAGCCAGAGUGGUAACCCAUGGUGAAGGCAUCUUCUCAAGAGGUCCUUGUAUCUCUCCCAUGCAUCGUAGGGUGUUUCUAAAUCAUCUACACAAAAGAAGAGAUAUCAUUAUGUAAUUUGGAUGUUUUAGCCGACAGAAAAUAUUUUAAUAAAAACUUUUUGGUCAUUUGUUCCCAAGUAGUGAUUGAUCCUCGUGGUAACGAAUUCAACCACUGUUUAGCUUUGUUUCUCAAUGAAAAUGGGAAUAACUGAAUACGAAUGGCGUCAUCAGAACUCCAUUAAUUUUAAAUGUAUCACAUAGUUCCAAAAAGUUUUCCAAGUGAGCAUUGGGAUCUUUGUCCUGCAAACCAUCAAACUGAACAAAUUGAUGUAUCAUUUGAAUUGUGUUAGGUUUCAGUUCAAAAGUAUCUGCAGCUACAGCAGGUCUACUAUGCUCGAUUCAGUUCCUAUUAAAGAAGGUUUAGCAUAAUCAUACAUAGUACGCAGAGUAGGAUUCUGAUUAACAACAAUCGCAGGAGGUAGCAAAUUUUCUUGGUUUUCAGCCAUCUCCUCAGUUGUGGUUGAAGUAUCUUCCUCUUGCUCUUCCUCUGUGUAUCGUAAUCUUCGCCUUAUUUCUCUUCGGUUUCUGCGAACGGUACGAUUGAGCUCACUAUAAAUAGUAAUGAUCUUGACAGGUUUCUUCUGGUCAUAAACUAGAAAAACCUGUCAGAAGAAAGUAAAUGAAGAAUUAGAAAAGAAAAGAAAAGAAAAUUUUAAAUUGCAAUAAAAGUAAAAUGGCUAUAGUAAUAAAAAUCGUGUUCCUAAUAUCCUAGUUCCCCGGCAACGGCGCCAAAAACUUGAUACGUGAUAUUCAUGACAGGUUUUAAAGAUUUAUGAAAGAAUCGUUCUUGAGACUAACUUAUUAUCACGAUUAAGGCAAGUGUACCUAUCGAACAGUAGUAUAGUUCAGCAAGACCAGAUUGUCGAACCCAAAGGAACUACAAGUACUAGUAUUUACUUCCUUUUUAUUAUCUAGCCUAAAAAUUAAGAGGUUUCGUUAUCUAAAUUAAUUAUUAACUAAAUAUGCACAGAAAGAAAAUUUGGGAAAAUACUUUUGGGAAAAUUCGAUUGAUUAAGACAAUACCUAAGGAAAAUCCACCUAGACUUCACUUGUUAUUUGACUCUGAAUCAGACGAUUUCUUCAUUUGACUUGAUCAGUAAAAAUCCCUAAGUUAUAUUAUUAUCUCUCUUGAUACUAAUAACAUCUAACCCUAGGUUGAAUAAUUGAAAUCUCUUUCUAAUUAACACCCUAGAAUUGCAUUAACUCGAUCUAUGGAUUCCCUUAUUAGGUUUCACCCUAAUCCGGUAAAACCUUAUCACCCUAUCUCUAGGCGUGCAAUCAACUUCGCUUAAUUAUGAAAAAUUUACUCUUAGAUAGGGUCUAUUCCUCCUCUGAGUAAGAGCUUAACUUGAAUCAAUAUCUUGGAAUAUCAAAACAAGAAUUAAGAACACAUAAUUAAGAACAAGUCAAAUAUUUAUCAUACAAUUCAGAUAAUAAUAACAAGAUCCAUCUUAGGUUUCAUUCCCCUUAGUUAUUUAAGGGGUUUAGUUCAUACUUAUGAAAGAAAACAUCUCAAAAUAAUAAAGAUAACAAAACAUAAGAAAGCCCAAAACUCCUGAAGGAACUUGAAGGGAGAUCUUCAGUUUUAAUGAUGAAUCUGGCUUCUGAGAUGGAUCAAUCGGCUUUCCUUAAGUAAUUCCUUGUCUCCUACUCUGCGUCCCCUUUCUAAGUGCCUCCUCAAUGUUUAAAUAGGCUUUAGAAUGCCUAAGAGCCCCCAAUAUUGGCCUUUUUCGAAUAGGGUUAUACUUGGGCCCGGUAGGGACACGCCCGUGUGACACGCCCGUGUGCGAUUGCUUUAGCCGGUGGUCAAGGCUGUUGAACAGGCACGGGUGUGUAGUAUACCCGUGUAAGUCGUGCUUCAAUCCUGCCAAAGGGACACACCUGUGUGAGAAAGUCCAGGCCGUGUUGAUUUCCCACAUGGGUCCAUUUUCUCCUUUUUCAGCCUGUUUCUCGCUCUUUUUACUCUCAUAUGCUCUACUUAGUAUAAAACAUGAAAUUAAAGGAUUUGGAGCAUCAAAUUCAUCAAAUAUAAGGAGAAACCAUUCAUAAAUAGGCUAAGCAUGGGAUACUAAUAUGUAUAAAUUACGGUUUAUCACUUUUAAUUUGGGAUUUUUACUUGCUUUGAUAUAAACUGCUAGUUGUAGGAAAAAGACGUGUUUUCAAAAGAUAACUGUUUUUCAAAAACACCACGUCUUCUUAAUAUAAUUUUUAAAGCUUCUGCAACAAACAUAGUUUUGAAGUGUAAUAACAAUCUAAUAUGAUUUACAAAUUUCCGUUAAUGAUAUAAUAAGGUUAUAAGAGAUAACGGGCUUUCUAAUGAAAUUAUGGUUUAGAAAAACACUUCAAUGUGACACAGCCAGAUUCGGCCAUAACGUCUAGGCCGGCUUUGGGGUGUUACAUACAUUUAAGCAUUCAUAAUUGAAAUCCAAUCAAAUCAUUCACAUCAUCCCUUAUAAGGUUCCACGAGACCUUAAAACGUACUUAAAAGUGGCUCGGGAGUAAACCAAUAACAUAUGCAAACUUUCAGAAACCUAGAAAAUGUUCAAACAUUUAAGGGUUACACGCCCGUGUGAACAGGUUGUGUGCCUUACACGGCCAUCAGACACGCACGUGUCACAGGCCGCGUGAAAAUAGGGCAUACAUAUUGACUUGCACCACAAGGACGAGGACACACUCGUGUGCUAGCCUGUGUGAAAUCUAAGGGGGUUAAUAACUUGGGUCACAUGGCCGACCACACGCCAAUGUGCUAGCUCGUAUGCCACACACAGCCAAUAGACACGCCCGUGUGUCUAGACCGUGUCAAAAUUGUAGGGUAUACUGCCUUAAUUCGAAAGGAUACCCCAGGGGACACACGGCCUUGGAACAUAGCCGUGUAUCUCACACGGAUGAGACACACGCCCGUGUCUCUGCUCGUGUGGACAAAAUAGGCCAUUUACAAAGCCAAUUUGCCAAAAUUUUCUCAUGCUCACCUAGCCAUCAAAAAUGGAAUCAUUUCAUCACAAAUGUGGGCAGCCAAAACAUGCCAAUUUGCACAUAUAUCAUGCAAUCUAUUCUCAACCAUUUCAAUUACUCAAUUCCAUAAUUAAAACAUACCAUUUAGCUAUAACUACAACUAAUCAAACAUAUCCAAAACAAACCAAUAUCUAAGGCAUUAUAAACAUCCCAUAAAUCACCUUUCAAACACAUCACUUAGGCCAAUUUAAAUAACCAAAUACAUGCCAACAUUUUCAACCAAAAGUAAGGCAAAUCUCAUGGCUUAAAUCAAAAUUCAAAACAUAACAUCAACUCACUAGCCUAUACAUGCCAUAAACUAUAUUUACAAGCAUCCAAAAAUACCAACAAGCAGUCGAUAGUGUGAUGAUGGUUCCCGAUGAUCCCCAGUGUCUGAGCUAGCUUUGAUACUCUAUCAAAUAAAGAAAAAUAACACACAGGAAGCUUCAUAGCUUAGUAAGUUUGUACCAAAUAUACUCAAUAGUUCAUAAUAUGCAAAUUAUCAAUUAAUAGACACUUAGUAGUUCUCAUGUCAUCAUUCAAUUCUAAUCCAUGACCAUUUAUCAUGUAUAUACAAAUUCAUCAAGCUUCAUACACAUAGUAUUAACUACCACAUAGGUAUCGUACGUACCUGUACAUUCCUAUAGUUAUUUAUUUCAUUCUCACCUCUUUGUUCAGUACGUUAAAUCGUUCGAAAAUCUUUCAAUGCUCUAAGAACUCACACACUUAGUGCAUAAAUAUUUAGCUGAAGCUAUAACGAUAUUGCACACUUAGUGCCAUCACAUUAAACCGAAGUUAUCUCGGUAUUGCACACUUAGUGCCACAAAAAGCUGAAGCUAUUCCAAUUCACACACUAAGUGCUGCAUAUAACCGAAACUAUCUCGUAUUGCACACUUAGUGCCACAUAGUCGAUUUGUCAUCGUACACAAUUGUAGUCGUAUAAAUACAAUUAAUACAAUAUUAAAGCAUUAAAAACAUAAUUGUAACAAUGUUUAUCACAUACAAACUUACCUUAUACUCGGAAUUGACGAAUCAAAUUGAGUACUUGAUAAGCUUCAAUUUUCCCUGAUUUAAAUCUGAUUCUUUUCUUCCUCGAUCUAUAUAAAUUCAAAAUUAACUCAUUUAAUUUCCUAUUCAUUCAAUUUCAUUCAAAAAUAUACAUUUGGGCAUUUUUGCACUUUAGCCACUUAAGCUUUCACAUUUUAACAAUUUAAUUCCUUUUUCACAAACACGCAAAAUUACACCACUUCAUUACAAACCCAUGAGUGCUGAAUUACUAUAGUGCCCCUAGCAGCCCAUAUUUUACAUUUAUUUCAAAAUUUAUCCCCUCAAUUUACACUUUUCUCGAUUUAAUCCCUAAUAUGUAUUUUUACUAAAAAUCACUUCACAUAUCAAGCACCAAGCUUUUAUAAUUCAUCAUCAAACAUCAUAAAACACAUGAAUUCAUCAAUGAAAACUUUCAAAAUCAUCAACACUUUCAAAAAUUGAAACAUGGGCUAGCUAGAACACGAAGCAACAAUCACAAAAACGUAAAAAAAUCAAAAACCAAGCAAAGUACACUUACUAAUCAAGCCUACAAGUGUCGAACCCUAAAGCAAUAUUUUUGGGUUCUUUUUCCAUCAACAUUCGGCUAUCCAAGUGAAAGAUGAACAAAAUUUCUUUUUUUUUAUUAUAUUAUCAUUUAUAAUCAUUUUACAAAUUUAACCUUAAUUAAAACCAUUAUAAAACACAUAAUUCAAGGCCAUUUAUGUCCAUCACCACUAUCAAUGGUCUAAUUACAACAGAAGGACCUGCCAUUUAAUAAUCCAUAGCAAAUAGACAUCUUUAACAAAUAGAAUACAACUUUUGCAUUUUACGCGAUUUAGUCAUUUAGUCAAAUUAACCACUUAAACGAUAAAAUUAUGACACGAAACUUUCACACAUAUAUAAUCACAUAUUUUAAACACAAAAAAUAAUAUUAAAAUAAUUUUACGACCUCAGAUUUGUGGUCUCAAAGCCACUGUUUCGAUUUAGCUAAAAACUAGGCUGUUACAGCUUUAUUCUCCAACUCAAGCUGCAAAUGACAUGCCUUUCCAUAGACUAACUAAUAAGGGGUCAUUCUUAACAAUGUCUUAAAAGCAAUUUGAUAGGCCCACAAAGCAUUAUCAAGCCUUCGAGACCAAACUUUUCUAUUAGGCCGCAUCACCUUCUCAAGUAUACCUUUUAUCCCACAAUUUACCUGUUCAACUUGCCCAUUUGGCUGUGGAUUUUGUGUUUCACAUCAUACUUGUCAAGCAACUGCUUAAGCAAUUUGUUUAUGAAGUGAUAUCCUUCAUCGCUAAUUAUAACUCUCAGAGUCCCAAAUCAUGUAAACACAUGCUUAUGUAGGAAUCACAUGACUAACUUAGCAUCAUUUGUUAGGUAUGCCUUGGCUUCAACCCACUUAGAUACAUAGUCGAUGGCCACGAGGAUAUACUUAUUGGUAUAAGAAGAAUGAAACGGGCCUAGAAAAUUGAUACUCCACAUGUCAAAUAAUUCUACCUCUAAAAUAUUUGUCAAGGGCAUUUCGUUCCUCCUUGAUAUGUUUUCGGUCCUCUGGCAUCUAUCAUAAUUUUUCACAUAUGCAUACGCAUCCUUAAACACUGUAGGCCAAAAGAAUCCUACUUAUAGGAUCUUUUCUGUAGUGCGAGAAUCACCAAAGUUCCCCCACUUGGAGAUGAAUGACAGUGGUACAAGAUCCCAUCAAUUUCACAUCCAGCUACGCACUUCUUAAUUAUGUUAUCUGCACAUUGUUUAAAUAAAAACAGAUGCUCUCAAAAAUAAUACUUACUAUCGUGAAGGAAUUUCUUCCUUUGUUGGUAUGUCAUUUCUAGAGAAAUUAUUCCACAUGCUAAAUAAUUUGCAUAAUUAGCAAAGGUAUUUUGUGAACUCGAUUUACCUCAAAGAUAUGCUCAUCUAGGAAAUUCUUAUUGAUAGGAACAAGUGAGUGAGUUACCUCAUUUUGUUCCAACCUCAACAGAUGAUCGACUAUUUGAUUUUAAACACAUUUUCUGUCUUGGAUCUAAAGGUCAAAUUCUUGGAGUAAGAGUAUCCAUUAAAUUAGCUUCAGUUAAGCAUAUUUCUUUGUGAGUAAGUAUUUAAUGGCCGCAUGAUCCAUAAAAACUGUAACUUUGGUACCUUUAAGAUAUGAAUGAAACAUGUCAUAAACAAAAAACUAUAGCAAAGAUUUCUUUUUCAAUUACCGUGUAAUUGAACUGGGCUACUGUCAAAAUUUUUAUUGCAUAGUAGAUAGAGUGAAUGUAACAACCCAUUUUUUAGCGAUGUCGAAAAUAGUGAUUUCAGGCCACUAAUCCAAAGAUUGAGUUCGUAAAUAUUAUUUAUUUAAUUUUUACGUGUCAAAAAUAGUAUUAUAAUAAAUUUUUAUUUGAUAAUUUAUGUUGUUUGAACUAAAGUUUAAUUACAAGUGGUUUAUUCAUUGGUUUUAGAAAACGGGGUAUCGAGACUUCGUUUCUAUAAAUCGAGCCCAUAAAUAUUUUAUUAAAUAUUUACAAAGUUCUAUUAAGGUUAUAUAAAAAUUUGGUUAAGAAAUUUUAAUGUUUAGAUAGUUAAUUAAUUAAAAAGGACUAAAUUGUAAAAGCUACAAAAAAAUUUAAUCCUAUCAGUUAAAUGCAUCAAACAGCUAUGAAAAGGUGAAUUGGUGGACUUAAAUGGUAUAUAUACCAUACUAUAGUUAGUGAAUGACUGCUGGCAAUUUUUUGUUAAUUUAUAUGAUAUAUUAUAUUAUGAAUACAAAAAAUAUUAGGUAAUAAGUAAUAAAAUAAAAGCAAAACAUGAUUUUUCUUUAUGUUAUUCUUCCUUAAUCGUGAGAAAACCAUUGUUGACACCAAAAGUGUAACAUCCCAAAAUAGGGCCUAAAUGGAACAGUGGUUGCGAAACCACGAAUCUGAAAUAGAAAAGUUUAUUCCGAUUAAUUUUUAUAAUUUAUCGAGUGAUUAGAUGCAUGUGUUAGAGUAUCGAUGGAAAAUUUUAUAGAUAGCAUGUUUAAUUUAACUACUAGGGCUUAAUUGCAAAAGUUGAUAAAUAUGAGUUUUAGAUGCUAAAGGAUUAAAUUGAAGAGUAUAAUUGAAGUAGAGGUCCUUAAAUGGUAAUUAGACCAUUAGGUUUUCAUGGACAAAAAUGGACAUACAUAGACAAAAAUAACUAAAGUUUUAAUGAAGGGUAUUUUAGUCAUUUGGUAAUUAAAAGAUUAAAAAAGGGAAAAAGAUGGAAAAAUGUGCACAUCUUCUUCAUUAGGCCGAAAUUUCAAGGGUUCUUCAUAGCUAGGGUUUUGUCAAGCUUCCAAGCUUCAUAGUAAGUGAUUCUAAGCCCCGUUUUUAAUGUUUUUUACAUUUUUGAAGUCCCGGUAACUUAAUUUAGCUUAUUCUAUCAAUAAUUUAACCUAGGUUCAUAUUUGGAAAAAUACCCAUAGGUGAAAUGUGUUUAUUUUGAUGUUUUAUGGUACGAUAUGAAGCUUGAAAUUAUGUUAAAUGACUUGAGCUAAGCGAUUUUAAGCGAAAACGAGUAAAAGACAUACCGGUAAAAAUACCUAAUGGUCAUAAGUACAGGUUAGAGUGGGAAUUUGAUGUUGCCAUAGGUAAAUAAAUGAUUAGCAUGUCAUAAAACAUAAGAAUUAGGGAUAAAGUUUCAUUUAUGAGCCUUGGGGAAAAAGUGUAAAUAUGCAAAAGUUUAAGGGCAAAAUUGUAAUUUUUUCAAAGUUAGAGUUAAGGUGUGACAGCCCUAAAAUGACCCUAGUCGGAAAGCGGUUUCGGGACCGCUAAACCGAGUCACCAAAUUAUUUGAAUAUGAUAUUUAUUGUCUAAAAUAUGUGAAUAUGAAUGUGUGAAAGUUUUGAGCUUCGAUUUAGUCGAUUGCAUGUGAAUUUAGUACUAGGACUUAUGUGUGACACUUUUGAAAUGUGAUAGGUUAAUCCAUAAGGAUCUAUUAGUGCAUGUAAUCAAAAGGGUGGACUUGCAUGUCAAUUUCCCCCAUUUAAUUACUAGUGGCCAGCCAUGACAAAGGGUGAUGGGCAAAACAUGUCAUAAAACAUGCUGUGCUAAUGGUUUAUGGGAGAAAGGAUAAAAUAAUAAUGGGAAGGUAAAUGAUGACAAAAAAAAAAUGUGUGUGGUUGCCCCCCUUCCAUUGCCGUGAAUUGAAGGAAGAAAAGAAAAGAAAAAAAAAUGUUCAUCUUCUUCUCCUACCUCUCUCAAGCCGAAACUAACCAAGAAAUGGAAGAAAGCACACCUAAGGCAUUCGGCCAUCUUGUGUGGGGGGAAUUAAGGUAUGAUAUCAUGUGAUUCUUUUGGAAUUUUUGUGAAGUUGAGUUUGUUUUGGUGCUCAUAACAUGACCCAUGUGUUAAUUUUUGAGUUUGUGUUGCAAGAAACAUUUGGUUAUGUCCUUAUAUGUCAAAUUAAUAAUAAAUUUUUGAUAUUUGGUGAAUGAAUAUGGGUUUCGGUCAUGGUAGAUAACAAAGAAUGUGGUUGUUGUUCUUGUUAAUUUGGAUGAAUUUUUGGUGGAUAGGUGCUUGAAUCAAACAAAUGAUCAUGUGUGUACACUAGGUGCUAGUUGAGAAGAAUCGGUCACUAUAUUGGAGGCCAUUGCCGAAUAUGAGUUUAGUUAUUGAGUUGAUGGAAUAAAAGAAUGCUUAAAGAUGUGUCACAACAAAUUAUAUGUUAAGCUAAGGUUGUUAAAUUAUCAAUCUUUCUUCCUAGCCGAAUAUGUGUUUAUAAAGUUGAGUUGUUAAAUAGAUUUUGAAGUUAGCCCAUGCAUUUAUUUUUGAAUUUAAGAAGAAUGAUACAUUCGACUAUGCUUUGAUGUGCUUGGAUUGUUGUUCAUUGAGUAAAUGAUUGAGGAAUGGUUAGAAGAAUUUGAAUUCUAAACUAGUUGAUUUGUUUGAUGAUAUAUAUAUGUAUUCGGCAAUGGGAUAAAAUGUGUAUUAAGGUAAGUUUCAUGGUGAUUAUGCUUGUGAUGUUGGGUUAAUAUUCGGCAUUGAGUAAUGUGGGGUAAGGUGAUUAAUUGGCUAUGAAAUUAGCUAAAUUGAAUAGGUAUGUUUAAUAAUAUGCUUAGUAUAAUGUAUGAUCUUAUAACUCGGUUUGGUAUUGAGAUAAAGGUUAGAUGUAUGAUUGGAUUUUGUCAUGUGUUAAAUUGGUCAAUCAAAGAUUAAAUGAUAUGUGAUUGCCAAAUGUGAUUGUUAAGUGAAUAAUAUUAGUUAAGUACUUAAGCAAAUCUAUUGUUUUACUUAAGCUUAAGAGCAAAGAGGAUCAAAGUCGGAUAGGGGAAAAGAGAAAGUAAACGAAUAGCCGUGGACAUCUAAUCGUCGACCACUUCCGAGGUAAGUUUUAAGUGAUUAAACGUUGAGUAAAUUCAAUCAUAAUAGGACAUAAUGAGUUGAUUUAAUAAGAUAUGAUGUGGCCAUGAUAUGUCUUAAACUCAAAUGGUAAGUUCAUAUGUGUUUGGACUUGGAAAGUUAAGAGCAAAUUGUAAUAAUUUGCUUUGGACAGCAGCAGUAACGUGAUUUUAGAAAAUCACUAUAAAUUGUUGGUGUGGAAUUAUAGGCCGAAUAAAAUAUGUAAUCAAGGAUUAAUUAGUCUAGUUUCUUAUAAAAGAGACCUUGUGAGCAAACAAAUUUCCUAUAAAGAGAUAUUUAAAGUUGUGUGAGACGGUGUCAGAAUGACUCCGAAAUCCCCUGUUCUAUUUUUAGAAAAUCAUUAUAAAUUGAGCAAAAAUGGUUAUAAGAUAAAAUUUAUAUGCUUAGACUCCUUAAUGAGUCUAGUUUCAAAUGAAAUCAAAUACAACACAUUUUGAAUUCUGUAAAAUGAGAAAUUUGAUUCGUAGUGAAGAGUGGUCAGAUUAGUCAAACAGUGAAACAGGGGAAACUUUAAGAAAAAUAUGGUAUUGAUUGGCCAAGCCUAAAAUUCUGAAAAUUUUUUUGAUGGAAGAUAUACGAGUAUAUAUUCAGGUAAAAUUAACGGAAAGUGAUUUGGAGUUUUGUAGCUCCAUUUAUAAAUAAUUUAGUGACUACUGCUCAGGAAAACAGCUUGUAGUGAAUAUGUGAUUUUGUUGUAAACAUGGAUAAAACUUGUUUUAGUUACUCAUAAGCUAUUGAUUAAACCCAUACGUGAAUUCUAAAUCGUGAUAUUGUAAAACGAUACAUGAGUGUUAGAUGGAUCUUUGAUAUUAAAAUUUGUGAAAUUGUAAGUUUAUGAGUAUUCGAAUAUGAAAUGAUAGUAUGGCGUGAAAUUGAAUUAUUCAUUGGGAAAUGAUUAAUGUAGAUUCAGCCAAGACAAUGUGUAUACAUGAUAGUAUAUGUGAUAUGUGAAGUAUAUUUGGAUAAUUGUGAUGUGAAUGUAUAUAUAUGUGAUAAGGCCGAAUGGCCAAUGUGAUGAAUGUGAAAGUGUAUAUAUAUGUGAUAAGGCCUAAUGGCCGAUGUGAUGAAUGUGAAAGUGUAUAUAUAUGUGAUAAGGCCUAAUGGCCGAUGUGAUGAAUGUGAAAGUGUAUAUAUAUGUGAUAAGGCCUAAUGGCCGAUGUGAUGAAUGUGAAAGUGUAUAUAUAUGUGAUAAGGCCUAAUGGCCAAUGUGAUGAAUGUGAAAGUGUAUAUAUGUGAUAAGGCCUAAUAGCCGAUGUGAUGAAUGUGAAAGUGUAUAUAUGUGAUGAGGCCUAAUGGCCGAUGUGAAGAAUGUGAAAGUGUAUAUAUGUGACAGAGCCGAGUGGCCAACGUGAUGGAUGUGAAAGUGUAUAAAUGUGAUAAGUCCCGAAGGGCAAUUGUGUGAGUACUAUAUCUGGGUUAAAACCCCGCAGGCUUUAUGCGAGAGUAUUAUCCUGAUUAAUGUCCGUGGGCUUCGUGCUCGUACUAUAACCGAGCUUUAAAGACCCGACGGCUAAAUGCUAGGAUUCAAGUAAGACUUUGAUAUUGAGUAUCUGCAUUAAGUUACCAUCAAAUAAGUAUUAUGUAUUCAAGAUGUUCAGGUACGUAUUACUUACUCAUCGGUGGAGUGAUUUCGAGGUGAAUUAUCAGUAUCAAAGAGGUAGGUAAAUGUGAUUAAUAUUAUAACUCCAAAUGUGAGAAUGUGCUUUGGAAAUAUUUGACCAUCUAGGUCAUUAUUAUUCGAAAGUAUAUAUGUGGCAGCCAAGUGUUGUGUUUAAUGAUAUUAUAGAUCGAGAUGAAGCUCUAGAUUAACUUCAUCGAACAGUUGAAAUGAAUGACCAAUAAUAGUGAUUGAGAACACUUUGUCUUGCUUAAAACUUACUAAGCAUUAAAUGCUUACUCCGUUCUUUGAAUCUCUAUUUUAUAGAUUUUGGUUCGUCAGCUAUCGGACUCGGGAUUAUUGAAGUCGAAGUCGCCCACACUAUCAAAGCCCUUUUGGUACACUUUUGGUUGAACUCUGAAAAUGGCAUGUAUAGGACUACCCUUUUGUAGUGGGUCAUGGACCCUUUGGAUUUGUAUAAUUUUGGAUAGCCAUGCGAAAAUGGCUUAUAUAUGUUUGAGCAUAAUGUUAUAAUCAUUUGGUAUGGAUAUGGUUAUUGAGAGGUGUGGAUAUGCUUAACAAGGAUUGGCCAUGGGAAUGGUUAAUCACUAUCAUAAUUUGUGCUAUUCAUGCUAAAAGGGCUAGUUGAAUCAUGGAAACUAUGAAAUAGGUAAAGUCUACCUUAAAGGCAGAUGCUGACAGCAGCAGUGAUGUAGAUUUGGAAAAUCACUAAAAAUAGUAGGAAUAGAAUUAAAUAGUGAAUAAAUUAUUUAAAUGAACCUUGAUGAAUCCACUUUCAUAUGGAAGAAACGAAACGGUCAUAUGAGUGGUAUGUUAAGAGAUAAUUAGGUUUUCGUGAGACAGGGCCAGAACGGUUUCUGGAUUCCCUGUUCCGAAUUUGGAAAUUCAUUAUAAAUUAACCAGAGAUAAUUAGGAGUCAUUCCAUAUAUGUAUAGAUUCCUCUUUGAGUCUAGUUUCUAUAGAAACAAACGGCAUCAGCAUUGAAGCCAUGUACAGGGAGAUAUCCAAAUCGUAAUGCAUGAAGGUCAGUGUAGUCGCACCCUAUAACAGGGGAGACUUUAACUAAUAAACUGUACUAAUUGGCCCGAAGAAAAAUUCUAGAAAAAAUAUGUGGAUGGAAAUAUGAGUCUAGUUUCAGGGAAAAAUUACGAAAAUGAUUUUCGAGUUUUAGAACUCAAGAUAUGAUUUUUAAGGUGACAGUGACACAGUUAGCCAACUGCCUGGAAAUUUUUAAAUUGGACUGCAAAGAAGUGAUUUAAGUCUGCAAACCCCUCUUGUCCGACUCCGGUGACGGACUCGGGUACGGGGUGUUACAAUUUUAUUGGUAUCAGAGCUACGGUUUAGUCGAUUCUAGGACUACCGUAAUACGUUUGGGUCUAGGUAUACAUGCCAUUAUGUGAAUAUUUGAUAGUGUGGUGAUUUCUGACAAUUGAAAAUGUGUUUAUUUAUUGUAAUGAAUUCCGAUCUCGAUCGAGCUGUAGCAGAUGGUAUUGAGAGGACUGAGACAUGCUUAUGAUGUGUCAAUAUUGAGAAUGGUAUAACAUAAGUAAGUUUUGAGUAAUUGAAUUUGGUAUUUAACUUAAAAUGCCAUGAUAUACAUGUAUGAUAGAUGAAUGAUGUCCCAUUGUCCUUAUCAUAAUAAGGUUAUUAGAGAAAUGAAAAAAGGAAGAGAUUGGGGAUAUAUGCUUUUGUGUGAUUGCUUAUUAAGCUGAAAGUUUAGUAAAAGAAGCAUACAUGUAUUAGAUUUGAAUGAUAUUUACGACUUAAAGUCAAGAAUCAUGUUAUAUGUUUACAUGUGAAUGAAUUGAUUAAAUUAUAAAUGUGAUUUGUGCCAUGUGAAACAUGAUAACAUGUGAAUAAAUAUGUAUGAGACUCAGUGAUGUGAAUCCGAGUUUAAAGACCCGCUGACUAUAUGAAGAGAUUAUGUCCGGGUAAAGACCCGAUGGCUAUGUACAGAGAUUAUGUCCGGAUUAAAAUUCAUUGGCUUUGUGUGGAGAUUUCAUCCGAGCUAAAGGUCUCGACGAUGAUCCGGGCUAAGUCACGAAGAGCAUUCGUGCUAGUGAUGUAUCCGGGCUAAGUCCCGAAGAGCAUUCGUGCUAGUGAUGUAUCCGGGCUAAGUCCUGAAGAGCAUUCGUGCUAGUGUUGUAUCCGGACUAAGUUCCGACCGGACUAAGUUCCGAAGAGCAUUCGUGCUAGUGAUAUAUCCGGGCUAAAUCCCAAAGAGCAUUCAUGCUAGUGAUGUAUCCGGACUAAGUUCCGAAGAGCAUUCGUGCUAGUGAUAUAUCCGUGCUAAGUUCCGAAGAGCAUUCGUGCUGGUGUUAUAUCCGGGCUAGGUCCCGAAGAGCAAUCAUGCUGGUGACGUGUAUUCGGGCCUUCAUGCCUAGUAAACUUCGUGCCGGUAAUUUGAGCAAAGUUUAAGUAUUCAUUACUAUACGAAUUCAAAUUUAAAUGAGAUGAUAUGUUUAAAAGUGUACAUACAUGAUGUUUAUAGACUUGGUUAAGUCAUUUCAAUGUGUAAUAACGAAUGAAUAAGAGCACUAUGUGUGUGAAUGAUUAGAGGCACUGUGUGUGUGCGAAUUCCUUUAACCGAGCACUAUGAGUGCGAGAUCGGUCAGUGGGCACUAAGUGUGUGAAGUGGAAUUCAUGUAAGACCUCGUCUGGGACGAAGGCAUUGAUUUGAGAAAGUGUGUACGACCAUGUCUGGGACAUGGCAUCGGCUCGAUAUGUGAGCAUAUGUAAGACCAUAUCUAGGAUAUGGCAUUGUAAGAGCUAUAUGUGCUUAAUGAGUAUCCAUAAUGAUUUCGAAUGAUUCAACGGGUAUCGUUAACAGUGAUUAAAUGUGCUAAAUGAAUUCAAUGUUCAGGUAUGUGGAAGUUGAUUUUCUGUUGGAAAUAGGUUAAGUUGAAUAGUGAGAUAUGAUGGAAUUAUAAAGGAUAUUUAUUGGGAUGUUUGAGUAUAUGUGUACUUUCGGUCAGGUUACAGCUUAUACAUGAAUGAAAAUGUGGGUUACAAAUAUGUGGGUUGAUGAUGUGAAUUAUACAUGUUAAUAUGUACUUAAUAUGUGUUUGAAAUGCAAUUGUGAAUUAAAUUAAGUGAUUAUUGCUUAUGAAAUCAAGAAAAUGAGAUAUAUGCGCAUACUUGUAGAAAUGUUUACGUAUUUGUUUUAAGAUAAGAAAAUGAUUUUAUAGAUCGAUGCGAAAUCAAUAAUGAAUUACAAUUGCUAUCGAUGAGCUAAUGUCUUUGUGGAUAUAAUUCAAUAAGAGGACGUUAUCCUAAACUAUGCAUCGGUAGAAAUUUUCGGCGACGAAAAUUUCUUAAGUGGGGGAGAGUUGUGACAGCCCUAAAAUGACCCUAGUCAGAAAGUGGUUUCGGGACCGCUAAACCGAGUCACCAAAUUAUUUGAAUAUGAUAUUUAUAGUCUAAAAUUUGUGAAUAUGAAUGUGUGAAAGUUUUGAGCUUCGAUUUAGUCGAUUGCAUGUGAAUUUAGUAAUAGGACUUAUGUGUGACACUUUUGAAAUGUGAUAGGUUAAUCCAUAAGGAUCUAUUAGUGCAUGUAAUCAAAAGGGUGGACUUGCAUGUCAAUUUCCCCCAUUUAAUUACUAGUGGCCAGCCAUGACAAAGGGUGAUGGGCAAAACAUGUCAUAAAACAUGUUGUGCUAAUGGUUUAUGGGAGAAAGGAUAAAAUAAUAAUGGGAAGGUAAAUGAUGACAAAAAAAAUGUGUGUGGUUGCCCCCCCCUUCCAUUGCCGUGAAUUGAAGGAAGAAAACAAAAGAAAAAAAAAUGUUCAUCUUCUUCUCCUACCUCUCUCAAGCCGAAACUAACCAAGAAAUGGAAGAAAGCACACCUAAGGCAUUCGGCCAUCUUGUGUGGGGGGAAUUAAGGUAUGAUAUCAUGUGAUUCUUUUGGAAUUUUUGUGAAGUUGAGUUUGUUUUGGUGCUCAUAACAUGACCCAUGUGUUAAUUUUUGAGUUUGUGUUGCAAGAAACAUUUGGUUAUGUCCUUAUAUGUCAAAUUGAUGAUAAAUUUUUGAUAUUUGGUGAAUGAAUAUGGGUUUCGGUCAUGGUAGAUAACAAAGAAUGUGGUUGUUGUUCUUGUUAAUUUGGAUGAAUUUUUGGUGGAUAGGUGCUUGAAUCAAACAAAUGAUCAUGUGUGUACACUAGGUGCUAGUUGAGAAGAAUCGGUCACUAUAUUGGAGGCCAUUGCCGAAUAUGAGUUUAGUUAUUGAGUUGAUGGAAUAAAAGAAUGCUUAAAGAUGUGUCACAACAAAUUAUAUGUUAAGCUAAGGUUGUUAAAUUAUCAAUCUUUCUUCCUAGCCGAAUAUGUGUUUAUAAAGUUGAGUUGUUAAAUAGAUUUUGAAGUUAGCCCAUGCAUUUAUUUUUGAAUUUAAGAAGAAUGAUACAUUCGACUAUGCUUUGAUGUGCUUGGAUUGUUGUUCAUUGAGUAAAUGAUUGAGGAAUGGUUAGAAGAAUUUGAAUUCUAAACUAGUUGAUUUGUUUGAUGAUAUAUAUAUGUAUUCAGCAAUGGGAUAAAAUGUGUAUUAAGGUAAGUUUCAUGGUGAUUAUGCUUGUGAUGUUGGGUUAAUAUUCGGCAUUGAGUAAUGUGGGGUAAGGUGAUUAAUUGGCUAUGAAAUUAGCUAAAUUGAAUAGGUAUGUUUAAUAAUAUGCUUAGUAUAAUGUAUGAUCUUAUAACUCGGUUUGGUAUUGAGAUAAAGGUUAGAUGUAUGAUUGGAUUUUGUCAUGUGUUAAAUUGGUCAAUCAAAGAUUAAAUGAUAUGUGAUUGCCAAAUGUGAUUGUUAAGUGAAUAAUAUUAGUUAAGUACUUAAGCAAAUCUAUUGUUUUACUUAAGCUUAAGAGCAAAGAGGAUCAAAGUCGGAUAGGGGAAAAGAGAAAGUAAACGAAUAGCCGUGGACAUCUAAUCGUCGACCACUUCCGAGGUAAGUUUUAAGUGAUUAAACGUUGAGUAAAUUCAAUCAUAAUAGGACAUAAUGAGUUGAUUUAAUAAGAUAUGAUGUGGCCAUGAUAUGUCUUAAACUCAAAUGGUAAGUUAAUAUGUGUUUGGACUUGGAAAGUUAAGAGCAAAUUGUAAUAAUUUGCUUUGGACAGCAGCAGUAACGUGAUUUUAGAAAAUCACUAUAAAUUGUUGGUGUGGAAUUAUAGGCCGAAUAAAAUAUGUAAUCAAGGCUUAAUUAGUCUAGUUUCUUGUAAAAGAGACCUUGUGAGCAAACAAAUUUCCUAUAAAGAGAUAUUUAAAGUUGUGUGAGACGGUGUCAGAAUGACUCCGAAAUCCCCUGUUCUAUUUUUAGAAAAUCAUUAUAAAUUGUACAAAAAUUGUUAUAAGAUAAAAUUUAUAUGCUUAGACUCCUUAAUGAGUCUAGUUUCAAAUGAAAUCAAAUACAACACAUUUUGAAUUCUGUAAAAUGAGAAAUUUGAUUCGUAGUGAAGAGUGGUCAGAUUAGUUAAACAAUGAAACAGGGGAAAUUUUAAGAAAAAUCUGGUAUUGAUUGGCCAAACCUAAAAUUCUGAAAAUUUUAUGGAUGGAAGAUAUACGAGUCUAUAUUCAGGGAAAAUUAACAGCAAGUGAUUUGGAGUUUUGUAGCUCCAGUUAUAAAUAAUUUAGUGACUACUGCUCAGGAAAACAGCUCGUAGUGAAUAUGUGAUUUUGUUGUAAACAUGGAUAAAACUUGUUUUAGUUACUCAUAAGCUAUUGAUUAAACCCAUACGUGAAUUCUAAAUCGUGAUAUUGUAAAACGAUACAUGAGUGUUAGAUGGAUCUUUGAUAUUAAAAUUUGUGAAAUUGUAAGUUUAUGAGUAUUCGAAUAUGAAAUGAUAGUAUGGCGUGAAAUUGAAUUAUUCAUUGGGAAAUGAUUAAUGUAGAUUCGGCCAAGACAAUGUGUAUACAUGAUAGUAUAUGUGAUAUGUGAAGUAUAUUUGGAUAAUUGUGAUGUGAAUGUAUAUAUAUGUGAUAAGGCCUAAUGGCCGAUGUGAUGAAUGUGAAAGUGUAUAUAUGUGAUUAGGCCGAAUGGCCGAUGUGAUGAAUGUGAAAGUGUAUAUAUAUGUGAUAAGGCCUAAUGGCCGAUGUGAUGAAUGUGAAAGUGUAUAUAUAUGUGAUAAGGCCUAAUGGCCGAUGUGAUGAAUGUGAAAGUGUAUAUAUAUGUGAUAAGGCCUAAUGGCCGAUGUGAUGAAUGUGAAAGUGUAUAUAUGUGAUAUGGCCUAAUAACCGAUGUGAUGAAUGUGAAAGUGUAUAUAUGUGAUGAGGCCUAAUGGCCGAUGUGAUGAAUGUGAAAGUGUAUAUAUGUGACAGAGCCGAGUGGCCAACGUGAUGGAUGUGAAAGUGUAUAAAUGUGAUAAGUCCCGAAGGGCAAUUUUGUCAGUACUAUAUCUGGGUUAAAACCCUGCAGGCUUUAUGCGAGAGUAUUAUCCUGAUUAAUGUCCGUAGGCUUCGUGCUCGUACUAUAUCCGAGCUUUAAAGACCCGACGGCUAAAUGCUAGGAUUCAAGUAAGACUUUGAUAUUGAGUAUCUGCAUUAAGUUACCAUCAAAUAAGUAUUAUGUAUUCAAGAUGUUCAGGUACGUAUUACUUACUCAUCGGUGGAGUGAUUUCGAGGUGAAUUAUCAGUAUCAAAGAGGUAGGUAAAUGUGAUUAAUAUUAUAACUCCAAAUGUGAGAAUGUGCUUUGGAAAUAUUUGACCAUCUAGGUCAUUAUUAUUCGAAAGUAUAUAUGUGGCAGCCAAGUGUUGCGUUUAAUGAUAUUAUAGAUCGAGAUGAAGCUCUAGAUUAACUUCAUCGAACAGUUGAAAUGAAUGACCAAUAAUAGUGAUUGAGAACACUUUGUCUUGCUUAAAACUUACUAAGCAUUAAAUGCUUACUCCGUUCUUUGAAUCUCUGUUUUAUAGAUUUUGGUUCGUCAGCUAUCGGACUCGGGAUUAUUGAAGUCUAAGUCGCCCACACUAUCAAAGCCCUUUUGGUACACUUUUGGUUGAACUCUGAAAAUGGCAUGUAUAGGACUACCCUUUUGUAGUGGGUCAUGGACCCUUUGGAUUUGUAUAAUUUUGGAUAGCCAUGCGAAAAUGGCUUAUAUAUGUUUGAGCAUAAUGUUAUAAUCAUUUGGUAUGGAUAUGGUUAUUGAGAGGUGUGGAUAUGCUUAACAAGGAUUGGCCAUGGGAAUGGUUAAUCACUAUCAUAAUUUGUGCUAUUCAUGCUAAAAGGGCUAGUUGAAUCAUGGAAACUAUGAAAUAGGUAAAGUCUACCUUAAAGGCAGAUGCUGACAGCAGCAGUGAUGUAGAUUUGGAAAAUCACUAAAAAUAGUAGGAAUAGAAUUAAAUAGUGAAUAAAUUAUUUAAAUUAACCUUGAUGAAUCCACUUUCAUAUGGAAGAAACGAUACGGUCAUAUGAGUGGUAUGUUAAGAGAUAAUUAUGUUUUCGUGAGACAGGGCCAGAACGGUUUCUGGAUUCCCUGUUCCGAAUUUGGAAAUUCAUUAUAAAUUAACCAGAGAUAAUUAGGAGUCAUGCCAUAUAUGUAUAGAUUCCUCUUUGAGUCUAGUUUCUACAGAAACAAACGGCAUCAGCAUUGAAGCCAUGUACAGGGAGAUAUCCAAAUCGUAAUGCAUGAAGGUCAGUGUAGUCACACCCUGUAACAGGGGAGAAUUUAACUAAUAAACUGUACUAAUUGGCCCAACUAAAAAUUCUAGAAAAAAAUAUGUAAAUGUACAUAUGAGUCUAGUUUCAGGGAAAAAUUACAAAAAUGAUUUUCGAGUUUUAUAACUCAAGAUAUGAUUUUUAAGGUGACAGUGACACAGUUAGCCAACUGCCUGGAAAUUUUUAAAUUGGACUGCAAAGAAGUGAUUUAAGUCUGCAAACCCCUCGUGUCCGACUCCGGCGGCGGACUCGGGUACGGGGUGUUACAUAAGGACUAUUUUGAUAAAUGUGAAUAUUAAAUAAGUUAAAUUUUCUAUUAUAGAUCAAGAAGAAUGAAAUUCGAGGUUAGACUGAGGAAAGAAAAAGGUUGAGGACUAAAUCAAAAUAUUUGAUCGUAUUCUGUAUCAAGGUAAGUUUGCGGUAAAUAAAUGCAAUGUUUUAUUAUUUAUAAUUAAUGAUGUUAUUUUUCAGCAUCUAUAUAUUUAUUUUGUAAAUUUAUUCCUUGAUGAUUCAAACAAGAAUUGAUAGAGAAAUGAUACUUAAAAGUCCCGGUUGAACCUUAGGAAUGUGUAGGAUACAAAUGUCAUGACAUUAGGGUUUAAGGAUACCAAGUUAGACCAUGCCAAGGCAUGGCACUGGUAAGUUCUAUAAGGCAAGGAAAUCAUGUAAUACCAUGUCAAGACAUGGCAUUGAUAAACUACUAUAAGACAAAGAUCCCAUGUAAAACCAUGCCAAGCCAUGGCAAUGGUGAUUUCAUAAGGCAAGGAUACCACGUAAGACCAUGUCAAGACAUGGCAAUGGUAAGUUUAAAAAGGAAAGGUACCUGUGUAUCCUUAGUAUUCCAAGUGGUUCAACGGAAAAUUCAAAGAGUGUACCAAAGGGAAGGUAAGAUAAGUCCAUGUUCGAAAGGUUCAAGUUUUCUUGAUAAUUCAUUUAGAAUGUUGUUAUUUAUUUACAUGCAAACUUACUAAGCUUUACGCUUACUCCCUUUAUUUUCUCUUUUUUUUAUAGUAUCGCAAAGCCAACUCAAAAAUCGUAAGGACGUCGGAGAUCGCCUCACAAUAUCAGCGAGUUAUCUCGGUAUUUUGUGACUAGAAAUACUUUAAGUUAUGGCAUGUAUAGGGACUUGGCUAUUUUGUGUGUAUGUCCUUAUGAUAUGAUUAAGGAAUGGCAUGUGAAUACUUGGUAAUGAUUAGCUUAUGAUAUAGCUAAAUAGGAACAUGUUUUGGUAUUAUGAAUGCCUAAACGAGGUUUGAUGCAAAGAAAUUAUGAAGGAGUAAGAUUUGACCAUGGAACAGUUAGGAAACAGGAACAGUUAGGAAACAGCAACAGUGAUGUGAUUUUGAAAAAUCACUAAAAAUUGUAUAAAUGGAAUUAAAUGAUGAAUGAGAUAUAGAAUUAAAUCUUAUUAAGUCUGUUUUCAUAGGAAAGAAACAAAGAAACAAAAGAAAGUCUAUAUUCUGAUAUAUUUAUAUUUUUAUAAGACUGGUUUAGAGUGACUUUGUGAUCCCCUGUUCCAAUUUUGGAAAAUCACUAGAAAUUUUAAAAAAUGAAUUAUAAGUUGAAGUUUAUAUUUCUAGAUUCUCCAUUUUCAUUAUAAACAAACAAAAACAUUAUCAUAUUUAUUUAUAAUGAGAUAAUUGAUUUUUAGUGAAGAGAGCUUAGGUCCGCUAAACUGCAAAACAAGAGAACCUUUAAUGAAUAAACUGUAAAAAUUGGACAAACCAAAAAUUCUAGAAAAAUUAUGGUAAAAAGAUAUAUGAGUCUAGUUUCUGGGAAAAUUUAUGGAUUUAAAUUUCAAGUUUUGUAACUUAAGUUAUAAUUAAUUUAGUGACUAUUACGUAGAUGGACAGUUUUAUUAUGAAUAGUGAAAUAAAUUGUUUUGAUUUGUGUAAGUAAUCAGAAAAUUUUUAAUGUUCCCGAUUUGGUCCCGAACCAUUCCAAUUGCACGUUUUAGGGCCUUAAGGGCCCUUUUUUAUGGAUUUAUUGGAUGAAUGUGAGCUAAUUAAUAUUUUUAAAAAAAGUACAUUUUUAUGCCCCGAACAGGUAAGAUAAGUCUGGUAACGCCUUGUGCUCGACUCCGGGGAUGGUCUCGGUCGGGUAAGGGGUGUUACAAAAAGGUUUGACCAAGCUCUCUCCCAUAAUGUGUGAGAUUUUUAUGUUUUUAAGCUCGUAUAAGCUUAAUCUAGCUAGCUCGGGGGUGAAUUUGUAAAAUGGUUAAAUGUCUAGGGAUUUGCCAUGAAUGAUUUUGAGGUUUUUUUUUAAUGGCUGAAUUAUUAAAGCUGAUGGCUAGAUAUAAGUAUUUUCUUAAGUGGAGUAAAAUUCAAGUGAAAUAAUGUGAAUUUGUGGAAAGAUGUGGGCUGUUUUGGACCCCUAAGAAAAUUUGCUAACAUGGGUUCUUUUUUAAAAAUGGUAAAAUUUCAUGUUAUGGGUUUAAGGACUAAAUUGAAUAAAAGGAAAAAUGUUGGGGCAAUUUUGUAAAUUCACAUUAAAAUGCGUUAUAGGCUUGAAUUAAUUAUUUUAAGCUAUUUGAAUUAUUUAACUAAAUGAAUUUAUAUUAUUUAGAUCAAGAAACGCUACAAUUGGAUUUAAAUCAAGGAUAAAGCUAAGGUUCCAAACUAGUUGUUGACUCUGUUUUAGCAGUUGCUCUAAUUAAGGUAAGUUCGUAUAAGGAUUAAAUUUGUUAUUAUUUGUUAUUAUUGUUUUAGAUGGAAUAUUAAUUAAUAUGUGUGAUAUGCAUAAUUAUAUUGAUAGUUUUGUAUUAAUUUUGGUAUAAUGGAUUAAGUUGUGAAGAUAAUUAAAAUUAAAGUCUAUAUAUGAAAAAUAUGAACUUCAUUUAAUGUGCAACGGAAUGAUACAAUGGAAUGAAAGGAAAAAGUUUGAUGUGUAUAUUGAAAAUGUGUAUCUCAUGAAGCAUGUGCGAAAUGAUAUAAUAUAAUGAAAUUUAAAUAAUAUGAUAUGUAUAAAGGUCUCAUUUGAACCUUAUGAAUACUUAGGAUACAAAUGACAUGUCAUUAGAGAUUAUACGGUUUCGGGUACUAGUCUUGGAUGUCCUACUGAUGACUGAGGUCCUGCCUUUGAUACGGAUUCUCCAUAGCUCAUGUGAGCACUAUUGUAAAGGUUAUGGUUAUAUGAAAAGGCACACUAUGUGCGAGCAUUCCCAAGUAUCCGAUGUAAUUCUAUAUAGUUUAAUGAGCAAGUAAAGGUUAUUGGAAAAACAUGUAUUAAACUUAAUGUUACUAAUGUUCAUCUAAAAUGAAAAGAUAGAUAUGCAUAUAUGAAAUAAAAAGGAUAAGAGUUUAUCAUGUGAUCGAUGAAAUACGCAUGGUAUUCAUUUCUUAGUAUAUGCUAUGUUUCAUAGAUUUUAUGUUUACUUAUUAUCUACUAACUAUGUGGAUUCAAAUGAGAAGAAUGUGUAAUGGAUGAUAUAUAAAGUCUAAAUACUUAUUAUGUAUAUGCCAUAAUUUACUUGGAACUUACAUGUAAUGUUAUACUUACUAACCUUAUGAGGUGAUGUGUAUAGGAAAGGAAGUUUGGCAUAUGACAUGAUGGAAGUGUGAUUAGUUGUUUAGUUUAAUAUGUUUGGUAAGUUUAAGUUUCCUUUAUACGAAUUCCUUUAUAUGAACUUACUAAGCACUAAUUAUUUACGUAGUUGUUUUCUCUGCUUUGUAGAUCAUCGGAAAAGCUUGACCGAUUGGAAUCUUGUGGGAGCAUGGUCACACUAUCCAUUCAUUAUAUUGGUAAUUAUGGUUGUUUUGGUUAACGGUUAUAAAUGACAUAUAAUAGGGUUAAAAAGAUUAUUUCAGUGAUUUGGCUUGUUCAGGUUGUGUUAAGAUUGUUGUGGUUAAUGAUAUUAAAUGAUGGCAUGUGAAUAAUAGGUACAAGUAUGUGUGGAUGAACUUUAUGCAUGCUUUAUAGAUAUUAGGUAUUAUAAGGUAUAAUGGCAUGUUCUGGAAUGGCUAUUUGGCAUGGUUGACAUAGGUUCAAACUAGAACUUUGAAAUGCGGAACGAGUCUAAAUUUGGUGUGUGAAAUGUGGUGCCUUUGAUUGGCAUAUUGGUAGGUAUAUGUUGAAUGAUUCUUGACUUGAUUUGUCUUUAUUUAAAUUUUAAAUGGAUGAAUAAUAGGUAUAUGGUGUAGAUUUUAAGGUUAGUCCAUGUCAGUUAGAUGAAUUUACUUGGAUGUAUAUUUUGUGGUACCAAUAAGGGUACAUUGGUUGAAUGAUGGAAAUGUGUUGCAUAUAUGAUGAUUUUAGCAUGAUUUGGUCUCAUUUAAGUGUGCUUUAAUUAGGUUGAAAAGGUUAGCAAAUGGUAUGCUUGUAGCUUAAGAAAGUAUUUUUGGUAAACUUGUUUUUCAAGGCACAUUUUGGUACACACGACCUGAGACACGAGCUAUCACACAGCCGUGUGUCACACACAGGUUGUUCGAAGGGUCGUGUGUCCUUAUUGUCUUUAAAUAUAGGUUUCACAUGGUCUGUGACACUGUUGUGUCUCCUAAAAACAGGUAGUUACACGGUCUGGCACACUGCUUGCUACAUGGCUGUGUGACCCAACUUCGAAUAUGCACACAAUUUGGCACAUGGCCUAUGACAUGGUCGUGUAGCCCUAUUUUGAAUGUCCAUACAGUCUCGGCUAUGUCAAACUGCCUGGAAACAUGGUCGUGUGACCCCUGUUUCACAAAUUUUUCAUGUUUUGCAUGAAAUUUCUGAUUUACUUUGAAUAAGUCUCUAAUUGUUUCCAAACUAUUUUUAGCGCCAAUCAAGCUCGAUUUGAGGCCCGUAAAAGUAUUUUUAUCAUAUUUAAAUUACGUUAUUGAAAAUUAAUAUCUGAAUUGCAUGUUGAUCCAUGCUUGAUUAUUAAGGUUCUAUUUUGCACUGUAAUGCUCUAUAACCCUUAUCUGAGGACAGAGACGAUUGUUUCUUCUUUGUCCCAUCAUAGCUCCAACAGUAAAAUCGCUCACGUUACACAUCAAUUCAAAAGGUGAGCUCUAAUCAGGUGUAACAAUUAUUGUGGCUGAGAUUAACUAACUUUUCAACUCUUUAAAAGCUUCCAAGCAUGCUUUAUCAAACUCAAAAAUAGUAUCUUUCUCUAACAGCACACACAAAGACUUAUAAAUUUUUAAAAAGUCUUUUAUAUACCUUCGGUAAAAUCUGGCAUGGCUUAAGAAACUCUGAACUCCUUUCAAACUAACUGGAGGUGGUAAUUUUUCAAUCACAUCCCCUUUACUUUAUGUACUUCACUUCCUGUUUUGGAAAUUUUAUGCCUUAAGACAAUUCCUUCCUUAACCAUAAAAUAACAUUUCUCCUAGUUAAGGACAAGAUUUGUCUCAUCCCAUCUCUUAAGUACCUUAGCCAAGUUACUCAAACAAACAUCGUAAGUAUUACUAAAAAUAGAAAAAUCAUCCAUGAAAACCUCAACAAAAUUUUCUACCAUAUCUGUAAGUAUUACCAUUAUGCAUCGCUAAAAAGUGGUGGGUGCAUUGUAUUAAGCAAAAGGUAUUCACCUAAAAAGAAAACAUAUUGUACGAGCAAGUAAAAGUCAUUUUGUGUUGGUCUUCCAUGGCUACAACUAUUUGGUUGCAUCCCGAAUAUCCAUCUAAGAAAUAGUAAUAUUUGUUACCUGUCAGUCGAUUUAACAUCUGAUCCAUAAAAGGCAACAAGAAAUGAUCCUUCCAAGUGGCUUUGUUCAAUUUUCUGUAAUCAAUGUAGAUUCUCCAACCCAUGGCAAUUCUCGUCAGGAUUAAUUCUUUACAUUCAUUCUCGAUAAUUGUAAUUCCACCUUUCUUUGGUACACAUUGUACUGGACUUACCCAUAAAUCAUCUGAGAUUAGGUAGAUAAUUCUCGCAUCUAACCAUUUGGUCGCUUCCUUUCGAACUACCUCUUUCAUGAUUGGGUUGAGUUUUAUUUGCCCAUCAAUUCUAGCUCUUUCGCCCACCUCUAAAAUAAUUUUAUGCAUAUAGAAAGAAGGGCUUAUAACUCGAAUAUCAGCUACAGUCCAACCAAUUGCUUUUUUAAAUUUCUUUAAAAUAGUAAUUAGUUGCUCCUCUUGUUGUUCUACUAAUUUUGCUGAAACAAUCAUAGGCAAAGUAGAACAGUUACCUAAAUAAAUGUAUUUUAAAUGGGAAGGAAGUGCCUUAAGUUCAAGUUUGGGUAGUUCUUCGAUUGACAACUUUAAUUGUGUAAAUUCUCAAACUUUCAAUUCUAGUGGUGCAAACCGUGCUGGUUGUACAUAGUCCCUCAGAUUGGCUUCCAUCAAAGCCAUGUUUUCAUUACCUUUUUCAUCUUCCAAUGGCUCAAACCCUAAAGUGUUGUCCAAUGGGUCUUCAAAAUUGUUCUCCCAUUCCAUAGAAACUAAGGUUUCUAGCUUUUCCAUCACUGAACAUUCCUCUACUAGAUUGGGAAAUUUCAUUGCUUUAAGAACAUUAAAUGUUACAUUAUCUUCUUUAACUCUCGUCGUGAGUUCUCCGUUUUGAACGUCUAUCAACAUUUUUCCUGUGGUUAGGAAAGUUCUCCCUAGGAUGAUCGACACUUCUUUAUCUACUUCAAAAUAUAAUACAAUGAAAUGAUCAAGAAGAAUGAAUUUAUCGACUCUUACCAAAACAUCCUCAAUAUUUCAUUUGGGGUAUGCUAAAGAUCGAUCCGCCAAUUGAAGUGUCAUAGUAGUGGGUUUUACUUCACUUAUUCCCAACAAUUUGAAAAUAGGUUUGGGCAUCAAGUUGAUGUUUGCUCCUAACUCACACAAAGCUUUAACACGUAAGAUUCUCUAAUAUGAUAAGGUAUGAUAUAACUUUCGGAGUCCUUCAAUUUCGAAGGAAGCUUGUUCUGUAACAAUGCACUGCACUUCUUCGUUAAAGAGAUAGUCUCAUAUUCACUAAAUAUUUUCUUCUUGGACAGGAUGUCCUUCAUGAAUGUCACAUAAUUGGGAAUUUGCUCUAGAGCCUCCACCCAUGGGAUAUUGAUGUGAAGUUUCUUUAGAACAUCCGAAAACUUCUUGAAUUGCAGCUUAUGUUUAUAUUUAUUUGGUUGGAACUUUUGAGGGUAUGGUGGUGAUGGAACUUUGGGUUGAAUUGGAUAACUUUUCUAAAGAGAUAAAUCUGCAUCUAGGGAAGAUGUUAGCUUAUUAAAAUUUAGCUGAGAGUAAUGUAAGUGCAUUCACUUCAUGCACUCCACCAACUCAUCUUCCUAAAGUUGCUCGAUUUGUUGGCCAUUGAUAGUUGUUACUAGCGACCCUCUCAAGGAUCUCGUAAGCCUCAUUAAAAGACUUCGACAAGAAAGCACCAUUCACAGAAGUAUCUACCAUCAACCUUGUAUAUGUGUUGACAUGUAGACAUUGAACUUAGAGUUUCUUCUAGGUGGAAAAUACUUAACCAAAAGCCUUUCUACUAAUUCUUGCCAUGUAGACAUUGAACUUUGUGGCAACAAAUUAAGCCAUGCUCGUGCUCGAUCUCACAAUGAGUAUGGAAAUAAAUUCAACCUAAAUACACCUUCAGUAACACCAACUAUUUUAAACGAAUCACUCCCUUCAUGAAUAAUCGAAGGUGAAGGUGUGGAUCUUUCAUGGGAAUUCCACUAAACUGGCUCACCGUUUGGUUUCAGUUCAGAUUGUGGUGCCUUAAUCUCUAGUCUCCUAAUUAUUGGAUUUAAUUCAUUGAACAGGGACACAAUAUACUAUCUUAUGGCACGAUCCUUAUCAUUAGCAAUAAGGAUAGGAUUGCGCAUAUGAUCGACUCUAUCUCCUUGCCCAUUAUUUUGAUUUCCAAGGUCCAUCUCAGCUGGUCUUUGAGCUAAUCUUUCACUUCUUCUCUGUCUAAAUGUCCUCUCAAUCUCAGGGUCUACAAGUAAUAAAUUGAUAAUUUGACCUAUGCUCAUAAACAUCUGAAUAAUAAAUCAGAAAAAAUAAAGAAUAAAGAAUAAAUUAGUAAAGUUAGGAGUUAGAUGAAAAUGAAAUAAAAACCAAAUUGAAAAGAAUAAUUUCACAAAAAUGAUUAAGGCAAUAGUCCCCAUCAACGGCGCCAAAAACUUGUAACACUCAGUUUGUGCAAGUGUACACAGUCAUUAUCAAGUAAUAAGUAUGUAAAAGAGUUAUCGUCUCCACGGGGACUGUGUAUGUUAAAAAUUUAAUUGUAAAAUUAAAGUUAACAAUCUGGUAAUAAAAACACAAUAUUUUGAGUGAUGAUGAUUAAGAUAAAUUAUCUAAAUGCAAGAUGAUCCCUAAUGCAAUUUAAUCUAAAUGCCAAGUAUGGAAUGAGAUGUAUGAAAUGAAUUUAGCCGCAAAGACAAAAAAUUCAACAAUCAAUAACAUUAAUAGGCUAGGAUAAUUACAUUUUUCAACUUAGUUCAUUUUCCUCAUGUUUAACAGUGUUCAAAAAAUAGUCUAUGGCAACUCGAUCUUUCAUGAGUUUGAAACCAAAUUAAGUCCUCUCCAAAUCUUUUACUUAGUAAAACAUGCAUUUUACUGAUCAUAUUAAACUAAGGGUUUCUUAGAAUUCAUAUGAAGUAACAGGGACGGGUAAAGUUUGAAACAAUUUAAUCACAUAAAUCUAAAAACUAUGUAAGAUAAUAGAGCUCAUUAAAGUUAUUAUGAACAUUCAAUUUAGUUAGGUUAGGAUCUAUAUUAAGCAUGGACAUUUCACUUAUUAUGUCCAUUAGACGUCAUCUGGUCAGGAUCGCUCAGCUAAUUCUAAUGCAUCCAAUCACGUAUGAAUGAAAUACAUACUUGAGUUUAAUUGAAAACAUGAUCGACUAAGUCACAAACACUAUAAACAUGAUUUAAACAAACUUCAUUAAAUAAAUGCAAUUAUCCUAGCUAAACAAAACUAAGCCACCAUUGUUAAUGACAAGAUAAUAAAGCAUAUUGCAAGCAUGAUUAAAAUCAAAAUAACAAAGUAAAAGAAGAAUAAACUCUAUUGAAUCAACAGUCUCGUGAACUCUGAUUGAAGAUGUUCUCUUCCGAUCAUUGUGUUUCUCUUUUCCUAAUGGCUCCUCACGGUGGCCGGCCAAGAGAUGAUCUUCUCAAGGUUUUGUUGCCUAAGGGAUAUGAGAUGCUAUGCAUAGGAAUGAAGAGAGGAAAUGAGAGAAUAGUUGAAUGAAGGAUGUAGGGAUAAUUAAGGAAUGAAUGGAUGAGGGAUAUUUAUACCUGAAGUAGAUGGUAGAGUUUACUAAAAAAUAGGGAUUGGAAUCUGAUAAACCGUAAUUUAUACAUAUUUCUAUCCCAUGCUUAGCACAUUUUAUGGAUGAUUUUUUCCUUAAAAUUGGUGAAUUCGAUGCUCCUAAUGCCUUAAUUUCAUGUUUUAUACUUAGGUGAGCAUAUGAGAGUGAAAGGAAAGAGAAACGGGCCAAAAAUGGAGAAAAUGGGCCAACGUACGAAAUCAGCACGGCCUGGACUUCCUCACAUAGUCAGACCACACGGCAGUGUCAAUUUGGCAAGAUCGAAGCACGACUCACACGGGUGGACCACACGCCCGUGCCUAUUUAACAGGCUUGACCACGACCUGAAGUAAUCGCACACGGGCGUGUCACAUAGGCGUGUCCCUACCGAGCCCAAGUUUAGUCCAAUUUGGAAAAGGCCAAUUUUGAAGGUUCUUAGGCAUUCCAAAGCCUAUAAAUACACCCUAGAGGAGGAGGAAAGAUGACACAAAGAGGGAAGCAGGGAACUGCUCAAAGAAAGCCGAUUGAUCCAUCUUAGAAGCCAGAUCCAUCUUAAUUUCCCUUCAGGAGUUUUGGGUUUUUCUUUAUGUUUUGUAUUCAUUAUUCUUCUGAGAUGUUUACCUCUUUAGUUAUGAACUAAAACCCCUAAAUACCUAAAGGGAAUGAAACCUAAGACAAAUCUUGUUAUUAUUAUCUGAAUUGUUGAUAAAUAUUUGACUUGUUCUUAAUUAUGUGUUCUUAAUUCUUGUUUUGAUAUUCCAGGAUAUUGAUUCAAGUUAAGCUCUUAUUCAGUGGAGGAAUAGACCCUGUCUAUGAGUACAUUUGUCAUAAUUAAGUGGAGUUGGUUGCACACCUAAAGAUAGGGUGAAAGAUCUUGCUGGAUUAGGGUGAAACCAAAUAAGGGGAUCCAUAGAUCGAGUUAAUGCAACCCUAGGGAGUUAAUUAGAAAAAGAUUUCAAUUAUUCAACCUAGGGUUAGACAUUGUUAGUCUCGAGAGAGAUAAUAAUAUAACUUAUGGAUUUCUACGAAUCAAGUCAAAUGAAUACGUAUGAUUCAGAGUCAAAUAACAAGUGAAGUCUAGGUGGAUUUUUCCUUAGGUAUUGUCUCAAUCAAUCGAGUUUUCCAAAAGUAAUUCCCCAAUUCUAUUGUCUGUGAAUACUUAGUUUAGUUAAUUAGUUAGUUGAAACAAACCCCAUUAUUCUUAGGCUAGAUAGUAAAAAGAUAGUCAUUACUAGUACUUUUAGUUCCUUUGGGUUUAACAAUCCGGUCUUGCUAAAGCUAUACUACUGUACGAUAGGUACACUUGCCCUCAUCGUGAUAAUAGUUAGUUUCAAGAACGAUUGAUUAUAAAUAUUUAAAACCUAUCACGAAUAUCACGCAUCAAGUUUUUGGCACCGUUUCCGGGGAACUAAGAUAUUAGGAACAUUCGAUUUUUAUUACUUUAGCCAUUUGCUUUUACUACAAUUUAAAUUUUAUUCUAAUUUUUAUUACUAAUUAUUUCUUUUCCCUUUUUCUAGCAGGUUCUUAUAGUUUAUGACUAGAAGAAACCCGUCAGAACCAUUACUUUUUGACAGUGAGAUCAAUCGCUCAGUUCGCAGAACCCAAAGAGAAAUAAGGUGAAGCUUAAGAUACACAGAGAACGAGCAAGAGGACGAUAUUCAAACAACAACCAAAGAAAUGGUUGAAAUCCAAGAAAAUCUACUACCUCCUCCAAUUGCUGUUAAUCAGAAUCCUACUCCGCGCACAAUGUAUGAUUAUGCUAAACCUAAUUUAACAGGAACUGAGUCAAGUAUAGUUAAACCUGCUAUUGCUACAAAUAAUUUUGAAUUGAAACCUAACACAAUUCAAAUGAUACAACAAUUUGUUUAGUUUGAUGGUUUGCAGGAUGAGGAUCCCAAUGCUCACUUGGCAAAUUUCCUAGAAUUUUGCGAUACAUUUAAAAUCAAUGGCAUUUCCGGUGAUGCCAUAGGUCUUCGGUUGUUUUCCUUUUCGUUAAGGAAUAAAGCUAAACAGUGGUUGAACUCGUUACCACGUGAGUCAAUUACUACUUGGGAACAGAUGACCGAAAAGUUUCUAUUAAAAUACUUUCCACUGGGUAAAAUGGCUAAAUUACGUAAUGAUAUCUCUUCUUUUGUACAAAUGGAUUUAGAGACACUCUACGAUGCAUAGGAGAGAUACAAGGACCUUUUGAGAAGGUGCCCUCACCAUGGGUUACCGCUUUAGCUGCAGGUUCAAAUGUUCCAUAAUGGCCUGAAUCCUUUGACUUGGCAGAUGAUUGAUGCAGCUACUGGAGGAACUAUCAAUAAUAAGACACUUGAGGUGGCAUAUGAAUUUAUUAAGGAGAUGUCACUGAAUAACAAUCAGUGGCAAGUUAUGAGAACAAAGCCGACGAAAGCAGCCGGUGUCUUCAACCUCGACGCGGUUACUAUGCUAUCUAACCAAGUAGAACUCUUAAAUAAAAAGAUUGACGAUUUGUGUAGUUCUAAUCAGGUACAUCCAGUGAUGAGGUGCGAUUCGAAUAGAGGAGGAGCAUUCAUAGAAUAUCAACCCUUCAACCCUAGCAUCAAGGAGGAACAAGUCCAAUAUAUGGGUAACAAUAACUCUAGACCCCAAAAUAACCCAUAUAGUAACACUUAUAAUGUAGGUUAGAGGAACCAUCCCAAUUUCUCGUGGGCCGGUCAAGGAAAUCAAAGGCCACAACAUCCUUCGGGUUUUCAACAACCACUCUACCAACAGGAAAAGAAGUCGAACCUUGAAAAGAUACUCUCAAAGUUUAUAUUGGUGUCAGAAACUCAUUUUUAGAAUAUCGAUACAGCACUUAAGAAUCAACAAGCAUCGAUCUAAAGGCUCGAAACUCAAAUUGGACAGCUUGCCAAGUUGAUUUCUGAACGACCACAAGGUAGCUUGCCAAGCAACACAGAAUCUAACCCAAGAGAACAACUCAACGCAAUUACUAGUCAAGAUAAGGAAGGGUUAGUCAUACUUUAACCAGAACCAAAGCAAGAAACUGAGAUAAGCAAAGGUAAAGGUGAGGUAGACCACAAUGAGCAGAAACCGAUAAGUACAAAAUACAAACCUCGUGUGCCAUACCAUAAUGUGAUAAGGAAACACCACUUAGAUGAACAAUUUGGUAAAUUUCUUAAACACUUGAAAAAAUUACAUAUUAAACUACUAUUUAUUGAAGCACUUUCGCAGAUACCGAACGCAGUCAAAUUUUUAAAGGAGCUUCUAGCAAAUAAACGAAAUUUAGAUGACAGGUCGCAUGUGGAGCUGAACGCGGUUUGCUCAGCCAUUCUUCAGAAUAAGCUACCAAACAAACUAAAAGAUCCAAGGAGUUUUACGAUUCCUUGCUUAAUUGGUAGUUUAGAUGUUAAUAAUGCAUUAGCUAAUUUAGGGGCUAGUAUUAACGUCAUGCCUUACAAGAUGUUUAAACAACUAGGUCUUGGGAAACCCAAACAGACUAGGAUGAGCAUUCAAUUAGCAAAUAAAACUAUAAGGUUUCCUAGGGGUAUUAUUGAAGUUGUGCUAGUUAAAAUUGAUAAAUUUAUAUUUCUCGUUGACUUCGUUGUUCUAGACAUAAAGGAGGAUAGUAACACUCCUUUGAUUUUAGGAAGGCCCUUUUUAGCAAUUGCUGAAAUGAUUAUUGAUGUUGGCACAGGUGAGCUCAUACUUCGUGUGGGAGACGAAACAAUCACCCUUCAAGCUCGCAAUUCCAGCAACACAUCGAAAAUUGAAGGUGGUUGUCUAAACCAUUCUACUAAAACUGACAAUAUGGUGCAACCCACUGUGCAGGAAAUGAGUUUGAAGAAAGUACAUGAGCCAUUUUCAAGCAAAAGUAGAGGACCUAUUCAUGAAGAACGAAGGCUACAAAUCGAGGAGCUAGAUGAAUGGCGGACACAUAAACCGAGAACACAUGAUAAACCAAAACUACGCCAGGAUGAGCUCAAUACCUUUCCAAAUCAAUUUAAGGUUAGGGAUAAAGUUUUAUUAGAUGCCGCAGAUCCUCACAUUGUCACUACCAAACCGAAUGAAGAGAUCCCUCUUAUGGUACUUAGAUUUUCCCCAUUCGGUAUAGUCGAGGUAAAUCAUCCCAAGUUCGGCACUUUUAAGGUAAAAAAUACCCACCUAAAACCUUUUUUUGAUGAGAUUCACAGUAGGAAUGAGGAGUAUAAACUCCUCAAACCACCAUGACCAUUCAAUGGAGAGGUAAGUCAAGCUUAGACUAUAAAUAAGUGCUUCUCGGGAGGAAACCCAACCACUAACUGUAUUAACUUCUUUAAAUUUUAGUGUUUAACACCUAACUUACUAACGAAGCUCUUGAAUACAGGUUUACCACACAAACACGGCCAAGCAAAUGGGCGUGCUUAGUACCGAGUGGAAAUAGGGCCAAGAUUCUCCUAGCACGGGCUACGAUAAAUCACCAUGGUCGUGGGGGGACCUGGCAAAACAACACGGGCGUGAGACACACCCGUGCCUUGAAACCAUGGCCAAACCUGUCAAAUUAGCACGAGCGUGCGACAUGCUCGUGCCAAGCAACCGUGGGCAAACUUGCCAAAACAACAUGGGUGUGGCCCUUAAUACACGGGCGUGGGAGAAGCGAACAAAGACAAACACGGCUGUGUGACACAGCUGUGCGCACUAACACGCCCAAGGUACACGGGCGUGGGGAAAUUGUCAGACGCGCCCAAAUUCAAAAUUCACGAAUCACACGGGCAAAAAUUGGGGAACACGGGCGUGUUCCCCGGACGUGUGUCCCAAAAUCUAUAAAUACCCUACACUAUUCGUUGUCUUCUUCACUCAAAAUCCCUAACCCUAGCCGCUACAAGUCCACAUGACCUCCCCACCACUCCCGUGCGCUGCUUCCCACUCCAUUUUUGACGCCCAAUUUCUCUCCCUUAGCGUUUGUUUACUCUUUUCACUUCUAUUUUACUUAUUUCUAAUGCUUAUUAUCAAAAUAAUCUUCAUUUUUCUCAUACUAUUUUCAUUUUGCUCAUUAUCCUAUCAUUCAAUUUGCAUUCUUAGGUUAUUUAUCAUACAUUUCAUGUUGAAUCGAGUAGUUAGGAAAGCCUCAUUCUAUUGUCAUACCCAUGCCAUUACUAUGCUCAUUCUCAUGCUAUUACUAUGCUAAUGUCACGAAAUUAUGCUAUCAAAUUGAUUAUUUUGGUUGAGUUUGGUUAGUAUUAGUAGUUUUGGCUGAAAUUGUUAGUUCAAAUUCAUGGCUUUUUCCUUUUCAAAUUCGUUUACCUACUAUUAUUCUUUUUCAUAUUGCAGGUAUACAAUGUCGUCUUCACGUGGUAAAAAGGCCGUCGUCCCUGCUUCAAAGAAAAAGAAGGGAGCAUCAUCUUCCUCGAGUCUUACCAGAGAAAUUCGUCACCCUUUCCUGCAAUUCCCCAUUGGGCCCCAAGAAGAACUUUUCCAAAUGCUCCAGGCUCGACCUUUAAUUGCAGGCUAUUGCAUCGAUUGGGCUGCAGUAGAAAAAGUUCAGUUGGCUGAUACGAUUCGGGCUCUCCUAACCACCGACCCUUGGGAGCUUUUCUUUGGGAUCAUCGAGCCAACAUAUCUCGAGCUCACGAUGGAACUAUGCUCAACGUUUCAUCUUCAGACCGUAAUGAAAAACUAUGAUGAUCCUGGCACGGUCCAAUUUCGCCUAGGCAGAUUAGUCUGCCAGCUAAGGGUCCCAGAAUUCGGUACUGCAUUGGGCUCAUAUACGGAGGAGUUCAAGGAGGAGAAUGAAUUACAUGCUCUCAACCGCCACAUCCAUCGUUCUUCUUCACGGUGUUGGAACGCACUAGUGUCACGUUCGGCCACCUACGACCCCAGUCGCUCUAAGGCAUCAGCUCUCCCUCCAUCAUUGAGGCAUUUAUAUUCUAUUUUAUCUCACACCUUGACAAGGCAGAGAGAGAGCACCGGCAUUGUCACCACUCACAACGUCUACUACUUAUGGUGUAUGUCGCUCGAGCAUGUCUUCGACCUCGCCUACUUUAUCGCCCUUUCCAUUCACCACCAGACGGAGCGACAUCAGAAGGGGGUCAUCUCCAUUGGCCCUUAUGUGACUCGACUGGUGCGACACUUCGGGCUCCUCGAUAUCGCGGCACAAGAAUCAUCCUUGACCCUCAUUGGCCAGAUGUCUCCACAAGGCAUCCAAAACAUGCUAAGCAUUAGAAUGAUCGAAAAGCACCGAGGAACCUACCCUCCUCAAUAUCGUCUCACCCAAUCUACCGAGGAGGAGGAGGCCCCCGAGGACAUUACUAAUGAUGUCCCUCCACAGCACGAGGACCCAGCGUCUCAGCCACCACGUUCCCAUCGUCCAGUUCAUGUGGCGGCUUCAUAUGCUGACAUAUCUGAGCGACUCACUUGAUUCGAGCAACAGUGUUUUCAACGAUUUGAUAACAUUGAUGCUACUCUAUAGUAGAUUUGACAGCACUUCUCAUCGCCACCACCACCUCGCGAACCAUCCGGCGAUGAUGAUGUUUAAUUUUAUUUUAUCUUUAUUUUUAUUUUUAUUUUUAUUUUUAUUUUUAUUUUUAUUUUUAUUUUAUGUUUUUAAUUUCACCUUUAACUUUUAAAUGUUAUUUCCUUUUUAUUACUAUUUUAGGUUUUAUAAACAAAUCUCAAUUAAUUCUUUAUGAGUAAUUAUUCUUCCUAAUAUCCCCUAAAAAGUUCCUGAUUUUAUCACAGUUAUAAAGAGCUACAAAUCUCACCACUACUUAGGAACUUGAAACUCCACUGGGAAAGGUUCUCCAUGACUGCCGUGUUCUGCUCGACCACAAUGAUAGCUACCACCAGAUAUAAUAUUCUUUUGGCAUAGGACUUAUGGACUAAUGACCCUCUACCACCACCGGAGUAUCCUCCUCCACCCUCAAGCCGAUUAUUCUCUAAACCUCCAGUUCAAGGAAAUUCAUUCAUCACUCAGGAAGUUUCACUUCUCUCCCUAUCUUAUAUUUAUAUUCUUUUCUAUAUAUUUGUCUUUGUACAUUGAGGGCAAUGUACAUCUUAACUGUGGGGGGGUAUUCAUUUCACUAUCAGAAAAAUCCCUGAAUGAUUGCCUUGUUCUCUUGAAAAGCUCUCAUAUCACGUUUAUGAUAAAUUGUGUUUGAUUCAUGACUUUUAUUGAUAUAUCUUGAAUUAAAACAUAGGCAUUUAUGCAUUGAUUGUUUAAACUUUAAGACAUUAGGGAAUCAAGCAUGAUAAGUUGAUUUUUGAAGAAUUAAAAACUUUUAGGUUGUUUCCCUAAGUUUAGGUAUUAUCUUGAGUUGGAAUUCACAAGUUUAAACAUCAAAAAGCCAUAAUUUUUGUGUGAUCUUGAGCCUUUAGAGCAUCUAUUAUUUCUUUCAUACUCACUUUCAUUAUGAGUGCGUCAGUAUUGAAUUGUUAUUCUAGAACUUGCUUGAUUAUGCAUGUUAAGACCACACCAUUUGAUUUGAUAUGUCAAAAUGAUAAAAUCACUUAGGUUUAACCCACUCACUCCAUAAAAGCCUACCUUCACAAUUAACCCUUAAGUGAAGCCCCUUGAGCCUAACAACCCAUUCAUUGAUGUACCCUCAAUAUUAACCUAUAACUCAUUAUUAUUGAAAUCCCCUAAAUUAAUUUGAUCCCUAUUUUUGUCGGGAUUUGAGUUGGAAUAGUUGCUUAGCUAUGCUUUAUUCUAUUUUUUAAUUUGACUUGUUCCUAAAUAUAUAUAUACAUGUAUACAUUUUAGUAGUAGUGAUCUUCUGAGCUAAAGAGUUAAAUUCCAUAUUCUGAGAAAAAGCUCUGUUGUACGCAAUUGAUGACUAGCCAUUUUUCUAGCUACGCAAUUUUUCAAUUCAAUCUCGAUUCUAACCAUUUCUUUCAGCUUGUGAUCACACCCUCUAACCAAAGCCAUGUUACAACCCUCUAAAGACCUUUUGAUUGAUGUUUAAUCUCAAUUUAUAGUGGUGGAGAUUUGAUUUUCAGGCAAGCCUAUGGUAAUGACUUUUCAUUAUUGACUAUUGAGUGCUUCAUUUAUUGUCCUUAAACACCUUGAGUGAUUUGAGUGAAUCUUUAGUGAGGAUGUGAAACUCUGUGACAUUUUGAAUCAAAGGUAAUUACUUAGACGAGGGGAGACACCUAUGUUUUCAUGAUAAAAUACUCAACUUAGAAUGUUAGAAACUUUGAUGUUCUUUCAGUUGAAUUUUCAAUGUAUGAUUACCUAUGGAUUAUUUUGAGAUAUUAUCGACAGAAAUUAAGAGUUGAGAAUAAUUUAUUUUGAUUAUGAGUUGAGGAUUUUUCUUGAGGACAAGCAAAUGCUUAAGUGUGGGGGUAAUUGAUAAACUGUAAUUUAUACAUAUUUCUAUCCCAUGCUUAGCACAUUUUAUGGAUGAUUUUUCCUUAAAAUUGGUGAAUUCGAUGCUCCUGAUGCCUUAAUUUCAUGUUUUAUACUUAGGUGAGCAUAUGAGAGUGAAAGGAAUGAGAAACAUGCCAAAAACGCAGAAAAUGGGCCAACGUACGAAAUCAACACGGCCUGGACUUCCUCACACGGGCAGACCACACGACCGUGUCAAUUUGGCAGGACUGAAGCACGACUCACACGGGUGGACCACACGCCCGUGCCUAUUUAACAGGCUUGACCACGGCCUGAAGUAAUCGCACACGGGCGUGUCACACAAGCUUGUCCCUACCGACCGCAAGUUUAGUCCAAUUCAGAAAAGGCCAAUUUUGUGGGUUCUUAGGCAUUCCAAAACCUAUAAAUACACCCUAGAGGAGGAGGAAAGAUGACACAGAGAGGGACGCAAGAAACUGCUCAAGGAAAGCCGAUUGAUCCAUCUUAGAAGCCGGAUUCAUUAUCAGGACUGAAGAUCAUCCCUUAAUUUCCAAGAGUUUUGGGUUUUUCUUUAUGUUUUGUAUUCAUUAUUCUUCUGAGAUGUUUACCUCUUUAGUUAUGAACUAAAGCCCCUAAAUACCUAAGGGGAAUGAAACCUAAGACAAAUCUUGUUAUUAUUAUCUGAAUUGUUGAUAAAUAUUUGACUUGUUCUUAAUUAUGUGUUCUUAAUUCUUGUUUUGAUAUUCCAGGAUAUUGAUUCAAGUUAAGCUCUUAUUCAGAGGAGGAAUAGACCCUGUCUAAGAGUACAUUUGUCAUAAUUAAGUGGAGUUGGUUGCACACCUAAAGAUAGGGUGAAAGAUCUUGCUGGAUUAGGGUGAAACCAAAUAAGGGGAUCCAUAGAUCGAGUUAAUGCAACCCUAGGGAGUUAAUUAGAAAAAGAUUUCAAUUAUUCAACCUAGGGUUAGACAUUGUUAGUCUCGAGAGAGAUAAUAAUAUAACUUAGGGAUUUCUACGGAUCAAGUCAAAUGAAUAAAUCGUCCGAUUCAGAUUCAAAUAAUAAGUAAAGUCGAGGUGGAUUUUUCCUUAGGUAUUGUCUCAAUCAAUCGAGUUUUCCAAAAGUAAUUCCCCAAUUCUAUUUUCUAUGAAUACUUAGUUUAGUUAAUUAGUUAGUUGAAACAAACCCCAUUAUUCUUAGGCUAGAUAAUAAAAAGAUAGUCAUUACUAGUAUUUUUAGUUCCUUUGGGUUUGAAAAUCCGAUCUUGCUAGAGCUAUACUACUGUACGAUAGGUACACUUGCCUUUAUCGUGAUAAUAGUUAGUUUCAAGAAUGAUUCAUUAUAAAUAUUUAAAGCCUGUCACAAAUAUCACGGAUCAGAAUCAAUCCAUUUUCUCCAUUGUUUGGCCAACCACAUAUAGUGGAAGUAAGUGGAUGGUGGUUGCUUGAUUUGAGCAUAGGGUCAUGCUAAAUUUAGGCAUGGCUUGGAUAGUUUCAAGGGAUACCUUUGUAUGCUGAUUUUCAAUAAUUCUCCAAAUGUAGGGACCUCCAAAUAAUUGUCUUAGAAGAGAUUUUUGGACAGCCAACAUGCUUGUGUCGAAUUUGGGCUUGACUCCCACUUGUUUAACUGUUUCAUGACCUACUAAGCUUGUCAAACUUGUCCAUCAUGUAUCAUCUUUUUUAUACUGGGUGAAAGUAACACAUUGAUAACCCAUUUAGCAUGGUUUUGUUGUUCAACAUAGGAAAUAAAUAGCUUAUGUUCAUGCAACUUUAUAAUAAGCUUCAUAUUUUAUCAUCUCUAUGGUUCCCUGCAUAAUAAAAUAUGACGCAUUAAAAAUUAACAUGAAAUAAUUUAAAUUAUGCACAAAAUUAAUAAAAUAUAGCUUAUAUUUGCAUUUUUUACAAAUUCAUGCCCAUCAUCGAAACAUAAACAAAAUCCACUUAAUUAAUUAACAAAUACUCAGGAUUAGUAUUACUAUUAAGUAAAAAAUGUGGUAAAAAUGACUAGAAAAACCCUAUAUAAUUUAGAGUUGAUACAACAUCUCAGGCCUGUGAUGCAACCAAGCCCUACGUAGCCCAAAAAAAUAUUACACGUGAUAAUGAUGUUUUGGUGGGAAAUUAGGUGUAUUUGUCCUAGUUCAACUCUAGGGUCUUCAAGGAUAAUUUAGGCACUUUAAUAUUUCAAGUUUAGCCUAUAUAAAGGCCAUUGUAAUAAGUUUAAACACAUAAUUUUAGGGAGACAGAAAAUAUACUUAGGGUUUUUAUUGCAUUCUUAGUUUUUACUUAGGGUAUUUUAUGUUCUUAUAAUUGUAAGAUCCUAUUCCAAAGUGAGACUCUUGUGAUUGGAGAUUGUUUUGGAGCCAUGCUUUCAUCAAUAAAUACAUUAGUAUCUCUUUUCCUUUAUUCUAUUCUUUAUAUCUCUUUCUUUAACAUUGUUUAAUUGAAUAUUUGUGUAAAGAUUUGAAUCAAUUUCUGCUUUAUAUAUAUCUUGCAUGGUUUUAACUGUUCUAACCAUAUUAAUUGAUUGAAGGAUAGUGUUUCUUAGCAGUUCAACUGUUUAGGAGAGGAAGAACUAAAACCUUAGGCUUGACAACCCUAGGAAGCCAUUUAGGUGGGAAUUAACCCAAAAUUGGUAUGGUCUAUCGGUGAAAACCUUAACCCCAAACCAAUUUGGACUGGGAGUUCAGAAGAUAAGAAGUUCUUGCUGACUUGCUAUUCUAGUGGACGCAUUGAAAGAUCCUACUAGGGUAUCGACUUGUUGAUUGAUUAGAACUCUACAUCAAUAAUUAAUUAGGUAAAACAAUUGGAUCUAGGAUAAAGGAACUCGCGUGGUCGAAACAAGGAUAGGAGAAACUAAUACAUGAACUUAGGAGUAGAUUUAGGUUUAAUUCAAUUGAUUUAGUUUAUUAAUAUUAUCAACAUUUUGCUUCCAUAUUAACACUAGUAAUUCAUAACUCAAGUAGAUUAGUAAUUAUUCCCAGUAAUUGGCUUGAUAAUAAUUUUUUCCAAACUACAAUCCCUUGGGUACGAUCCUCAGAGUACUUACCUACUUCAUUUUAACUAUAUUAUAACCUGACCUUUAUGUAACACCCCAAACCCGGCCUAGAAGUUAGGCUUAAAUCUGGCAUGUCACAUUGAAGUGUUUUUCAAAAACCAUGUUCUCAUUGAAAACCCUUCUUACUAUUUAAAACCUCUGGCCAUUUUAAAACUUGUGAAACAUUAAUUCCCUUAAAACCUUACUUGCUACGGAAGCUUAAUUUUAAACAGUUGCAGAAAUGUGAUAUUUUGAAAACCAAUUGUUUUUUUGGAAAACCGCAUCCUACUUCUAACAAAUAUUAAGCAUACUAAAUAAAUUUCCCAAAUAAAAAGUUAAGAAAAUAAAAAGGCCUUAAUACAACCCAAAUCAAAAACCAAAGUGCGUAACUAAAUAAAUGAAAUAGAAAAACAUGUGCAGUUGUGUGGUCGUCUCUGAGUCCCUCUUUGACACCGAUCCACCUAAGACUAGGGAUUACCUGCACAGUUAAUAAAUGGAAUGAGUUUGCGAAAACUCAGUGUGUAAUCCCCUCACUAGAGUAACAAACAGUAUACCAAAACAGAAACAGAAACAGUCUAGCUAGAGCCCACUAACAGAAAUAGUACAGUCCAGUUCAGAGCAUACGUGGGCCAAAGCCUAUUACAAUAACAUUUGGGUCACAGCCCAUAACAGAAUCAGUUGGGCCUAGCCCAAACUAAUAACAAAACAUAAUGUGUGAAUGUAUGGAUGCAUGUUAUCCCAUCCAACCUGCACUUGCCUCCGUCCAACCCUGCACUACCUGUGGGGAAUAACUCACCCACGCCAUCCCUAUACUUACAAUGUUAGCACCGGUUGCAGUACUAACCGGAAUCACAGCAAAACUGCUAGCAAUAUGCAUGGCUUAAAGCCAUUAUUACGAUAAUAUGAUCGGCACAAAGCCAUCGAUAAUAGAUCGGCACAUAGCCAUCAAUAUCAUAUCAGCACAAAGCCAUCGAUAACAGAUCGGCACAUAGCCAUCAAUAUCGUAUCGGCACAAAGUCAUCGAUAACAGAUCGGAACAUAGCCGUCAUUAUCAUAUCGGCACAAAGCCAUCGAUAACAGAUCGGCAAAAAGCCAUGAAUAUCAUAUCGGUACAAAGCCAUCAAUAACAUACAAGCAUGAAGCCUUCAAUAGCAUAUUGGCACAAAGCCUUCAAUAGCAUAUCAGCACAAAGCCAUAAUCAGAAUAAUUGGGUUUAAGCCAUCGGUAGCUGUAUCAUGUUAGGCACACAGCUAUCAGCGACGGUAAUAUAGUCAGCACACAGCCUCGGGUAAAUAUGAUCGAACAGAGUCGUCAAUAAUUAUAUAUUGGGCUUAAAAGCCACCGGUGGAUCCACGAUCGUCAAGCAACCAUGCGAUCCUUAAUCGAUGGAUCCAUAGUCGUUAAGCGACCAUGCGAUCCUCAAUCGGUGGAUCCACGGUUGUCAAGCAACCAUAUGAUUCUCAAUUUCUUCCUCCAUUUCAUAAUCCCUACCCAUGUGUAACAUAAUAUUAUAUGAAUGCAGCAAAUAUACACACGACAUACAAAAUCAUACAAAUCUCAAUCACAACAGUCCAAUCACAGUCAUACAUUCUUAGUCAAAACAUAGUCAAAUCAAUCAAAUUGUAUUAUCAGUGAGUCAUACGCUAGAGGGGCAGAACGGUAUUUUUAUCUAUUAGGGGUAUUUUAGUUAUUUCAACCUACAAGGGUGUUUUGGUAAAUCUACAAACCAAGGGUAUUUCGAUAAUUUUGCAAGCCAAUGGUAUUUCUGUAAUUUUUUAAAGUUAAGGGUAUUUUGUAAUUUUGUAAAUCAAGGGUAUUUUUGUAAUUUUCCAAAUCAAGGGUAUUUUGAUAAUUUUCCAAAUUAGGGGUAUUUUGAUAAUUUUACAAAUCGAGGGUAUUUCGGUAAUUUUGUAAACCAAGGGUAUUCAGUAAUUUUGUAAACCAAGGGUAUUUCAAUAAUUCUACCCUAUAAGGAAUUUCAGUAAUUCUACCCUACAAGGGUAUUUCAGUAAUACUAGCCUACAAUAUGAGAUUCACAUAGUCCAAUCCAAUAUUUACUACACAAUAAUACAAUUCAUCCACUUGGGCCUAUGGGCCCAUUAGGCCCACAUGGCCCAUCUCGACCCAUCGUGGCCCAAAGCAACCUAAGCCCACGAGAGCACUCAUGAUGGCCUCAACCAUCACGUUAAAGCUCCUACACAUACGCUCGCACUCUCGUAUGGCUGCCAUCGUCAUGUGACCGGCAUUUGCCGUUCUACAGCUAGAGUAGUGCAAAAUACACACCUGUUCAUGAGAAUCGCCAAAGUCCACGAUCACUAACCUUGGCACAUCCUGCAGUGAGUCUUAAUCACUUUUCCCCCUCCAACUCAUCUGGUUCGCUCUAUUUAAAGCCAGCUUCUUGCAAAUUCUCAUGUUAGCUUCCCGAUGUGGGAUUACUUUCAACCAUUAGGAAAAUUCCUUAUUUUUUAUGACAACUUCAAAAAAACCACAGAGUUCCAGUCCAACUCCACCUCCUACAUAGCUCAAAUAGCAAAAUAAAUACCCAAUUAUGCAUCUCAAGACUUGAACCUUAGACCUCACAGUUACACAACACGCCACCUUGCCACUCCACCACAAGCUCUUUCUGUGUCAUAUUUUAUCCUCAAUUAAUUAUAAGGCAUAUGUGCUAACGUCCAGAUUCCUUUAAAAGAAAAACCAAAAUAAAUUGCAAGAGCCAAGACUUGAACCCAGGCUCCCUUGCAACCUUAAUGACGCCACAACCACUAGACCACAUGCUUUCUUGUGUCAUUAUUUACCACAAUAAUUUAAAAGGUCUUCAUCCAAGCACCCAGGGUUUUAUUCACUUAAAACCAAAAUUUUUGCUAAAGCCCAGGUUUGAACCCAAGAUUUCUCCAACACUUCUCAGGGCCAUAAACCACCAAACCAGACAUUUAAUUGUGUCAUUUCCUUGCACAAUUAAAUUCUUAUAUGCAACCUCCUUACACACCCACACUCAAGGCCCAAUACUCCUAGGCCCAAAUUCAGGGCAUUACAUUGUAUCCUUGUGGACACUACCUCAAAUCUAUAUCUUUAGUUGCAAUAUUCACACUCUAGACGUUGGUACGUCUAGAGUCUGUCAAGCAUCUACACAAGCUUUUCAAUAACCACGGUUUUAGAUGAAUUCUUCUAUUUCUAACACACCCAUAAUCCAUCUCGCUCCUUUAUCCAAUCAAGUAUUGAUUCUUUAGUUUUUUUUUUCAGUGUCAAGCUGUAACAACCCGUUUUUCAGUGGUGUCAGAAACAAUAGUUUUGGAACCCCAUUUUUGAUAAGUGAGUUUGUAAAUAUUAUUUAAUAUUUACGAGGUUAGUAUAAAUUUUAAUUGAAGUUUGGUCCAUUAAUUUUGUCAAUUGAAUAGUUAAUUAAAGUAUAAGGACUAAAUUGUAAAAGUUUAAAAGUUAAUCGCUAUGGAUUUUUAAUUAUUAGAAGGACCAAUUGAGUAAUUGGACCACUAAAUACUGACCAAAUGGUAGUGGAUAUGUGGUUUAGUCCAAUAAAUCUUGUUAAUUACAAUUAAGGUUAACUAAUUAUAGUUAAUUAGGUUAAAUAUAAUUAAUUAUAAAUUAAACUAAGUAUAUAAGUUAAAAUUAAAACAAAAAAUAAACAUUUUCCAUUCAUCUUAUUCUUUAUCACCAAAACUACAAAAAUAAAUAGGGCUGAUGCAUUUUCAACUUUGGUCCCUUAAUUUGUAAGCAAUUUCAAGUAUGUUUCUUGUAAUUUUUAUGUUUUUGAGGUCUUAGAAGCUUGAUUUAGCUAAGCUGUGUACCAAUUUGCAAAAUGGAUAUAGUUUCUAAAAGUAUCAAUUUUUUUGAAUCUUAAAGCUUUUGGUAUUAAAUUGUUAGAUUUUAAGCUUUGAAAUGAAAAAUGAUUAGUUUGUAAAGUUUAAUUGUUAAUUUUUGAACAUAUGGACUAAAGUGUAAAUAUUUUGAAAUUGAUAUUAAAUUUCUAUAAAUAUUUAUAUUAGAGGACUAUAGAAGGAUGAAAUUGAGAUCAGUUUAGAAAUUAAAAGUCAAAUUUGAAAGUUAUAGCUAUUUCGGUUUUAGGGUCUAAAUUGAAUAAAAUAUAAAACUUUAGAGAACAUUCAAAAAUGAAAUUGAAUUCUCAUAUGCAUAAAAUAGGCCAAUCAUGGCUAGUACCAACAAUUCAACACUUUCAUCUAGAAUGUUUUCCCUACGAGGUCACACAGGCAACAUCGAAGUCUUGUCACCUUUUGAAGGGUUUGUAUCUCCAUUAAGACGGCUCGAAUUCGCAUUGAAUCUUCUAGGAUGCAUUUUGCUUACUCUAAACAUACAUAAGACACAAGAUUUAAGAACAUACAGUUAUAGAUUCUAAGUUUAUCAAGCAUAUUUGCAAAAUUUGUUCUCCUAAACACAUAUGCAAACACAGUUCGCCAAAACAUAUUUGCGAACAUAGUUCAUCAAAACACAUCCACUAGGAAGGUGAGUAGCAGAAAGUGAUCUGAAGCAUAAUCCUACAAAAGAAAAUGACUAAACCAAAGCAAUGUAUUUUUCCCAAUUCUACUCCAACAAAAAAAAAACAAUCAUGCUUAUCACUCCCUAUAACUUACAUUCUUGGUGAACAUAACAAGUUAUUCAGCCAAUCCCAACGAACUUAUUAACAUGGCAAACAUGCUAUAUUAACAAACCUAGCGAGCUCUAAUACCAACAAAUGUAACACCCUAUACCUAGUCCAAUUGUCAAACCCGAGCUAUGGAAUGCCACAUUAGCUACCUAAGUGAGGCUUCAUUAACACCCAACCUAACCUCCAACACACCACAAGUCAAAACAUAUAUAAUAUGUAAAUAUAAGGAAGCACAAGUUUGUGAACUCACUUUGUAACAGCCCGAUUCUGGGCUUAGUCGGAAUAGUGGUUUCGGGACCACAAAUCCGACGAGGGAAAAUAUGGUUAUUAUUAUAUUUUUAUGAUCUACAAUUUCACGGAAAAUUUUCGUAAAAAUUUCGUUCGAAAAUUUCGACGUUUGGGCACUCAAUUUAGUCAAAAGGACUAAAUUGUAAAUAGUGCAAAAGUUGAGUUCUACAUCUUAGAGGUGUCUAAUUGUUAUGAAAUUUUAAAUUGGAGGUCUUUAUGUGGUAAUUAGACCAUUAGUUAGUUGAUGGACAAAAAUAGACAUAAGAAAUGGGUGAAAUAGAUUUUUUUUAAUGGGGGCAUUUUAGUCAUUUGGUUAUUAAAUAGAAUUAAAUGGGAAAAAGAUGGCAAAAUAUGCUCAUCUUCUUCAUGGUGAACGAAAUCAGCAAGGGAGAAGCCAUAUUUAGGGUUUUUAAGCUUUCAAGCUCCAUAGUAAGUGAUUCUAAGCCCCGUUUUUAAUGUUCUUCGUAUUUUUGGAGUCCCGGUAACUUGGUUUAGCUUAUUCUACCAUUAAUUCAUGUUAGGGUUCAUAUUUGGAAAAAUAUCCAUAGGUGAAAUGUGUUUAUUUUGCUGUUUUAUGGUGGAAUAUGAAGCUAGAGAUUAUGUUAAACAACUUUUGCUAAGCAAUUUUAAGCGAAAACGGGUAAAUAGACAUAAUCGGUAAAAAUAAUUAAUAUUCAAAAGUAUGUGUUGGAGUGGGAAUUUGAUGUUUCCAUAGAAGGGAAAAAUGUUCAGCAUGUUAUAAAACUUAAGAAUAAGUGAUGAAGUUUAAUUUCCGAGCUUGGGGACAAAAGUGUAAUUAUGCAAAAGUUUGGGGGCAAAAUUGUAAUUUUCAAAAAGUUGGGUGGUGGAUUAUUUUAAUAAAUGUGAAUAUUAAACGAGUUAAAUUUGCUAUUAUAGAUCAAGAAAGACGUGAAGAGUAUAUCAAACGGGGAAAAGAAAAGAUAGGGGAGUAAAGUGCAAAAUUACGAUAUUUUGCACCAAGGUAAGUAAACACGUGACUUAAUGUAUUAUUUUGAUAUUAUUUGAUAUAUGUUGAGAUUUAUUUGGAAUUAAAAUAAAUGUUUGGCCAUAUCCUAAAAAUGUUGUUAAAUCGGGAAAGGUGGUAAAGGGUUGCAAUAUAUGGUUUAUGGGUUGAACACUCGGAAUAAGCCGGAGUAUGUUGUAUAUAAAGGGGUUGCUGUGUGCUGAUUCCCCGAUUCAUUGGUGGUGCUAUGUGCGUGAUCCACCAUAUCUUUGAAAUGUGAAAAGGGGGUUGCUAUGUGCUGAUUCCCCCGAGGGGUUGCUAAGUGCUGAUUCCCCGGUUCAUUGGUGGUGCUAAGUGCGAUAUCCACCAUAUCUUUGAAAUGUGAAAGGGGGUUGCUAUGUGCUGAUUGCCCCGAGGGGUUGCUAAGUGCUGAUUCCCCGAUUCAGCGGUGGUGCUAAGUGCGAGAUCCACCAAUAAUGGUUAACAUUCCAAGUGUUCAACGAAAAAGUGUGGAAGAUGAAUAUUUCCAUAUGGUGGAAAAUUUUAUGGGGUAAAUAUUGAGUUGAAUACUAAAUCGACCCAUGUAUGAGAUGGGAGAAAAUAUCAAAAACGCAAAAGGAACGAUUUAAUUAUAAACUGUGUUGAACAACAGCAGUUGGGUAACUUUGAAAAAUCACCAUAAAUGGUGGAAAAUGAAUGGGAAGCUGAAUAAUAUAUGAAAUUGAAGCUGAAUGUGUCUAUUUUCAUAUGAAAGAAAUAUAAUAAGCAAAAGAGUUGUAUUUUUGGAGAUAUCUGAAUUUUACUGAAACAGGGCUGGAUUGAUUUCGAGAUCCCCUGUUCUAACUUUGGAAAAUUACCAAAAAUUGAAAAAAAAUAAUUAUGGCAUGAAAUUUAUAUCCCUGGAAUCCUUAUUGAGUCUAUUUUUAUUAGAAACAAUAAAACCCAUUUUUAAAAUUUUUUACAGAGAGUUAAGUAAAUUUUAGUGAGGAAGGGUCAGAACCGUUGGGCAGUGAAACAGGGGAAGGUUUAAUGAAUAAACUGUACUAAUUGGCUGGGUUAAAAAUUCUGAAAUAUUUAUGGUGAAAUGAUAUAUGAGUCUAGUUUCAGGGAAAAUUUACGGAACUCAAUUUGGAGCUCUUUAGCUCCAGAUAAAAAUAAAUUAGCGACUAUGACGCAGAAAAACAGCUUUCUGGAAAUUGCCUAAACAAUAAAGUUAUUCAUGAAUAAGUUUAUAUUUUGGUGUAGUUAUGGGAGUAAUUACUUAUUUAUCAUGUGUUUACUUACUAAGCUAUAUGCUUACUCGAUUUUAUUUUUCUCUUGGUUAUAGUGACUUCCAACAACUCGGAAAUUGGAACGAAGUCAGACAAUCAUCUACACUAUCCUUCACAUUUGGGGUAUUUUACUACUAGUGUUCCGAAAUUUUAUGGCAUGUAUAGACACUUUAUGUAAUGUGGGAUCAUCAUGUAAAUAUAUGUUAUGGUUCCCUUUUAAAUGUAGUGUUUAUUAAUAGUUAAACUAUAUGUGUGUUUAUACAAAUGAAAUUGGUUGGUAUAUUGGAAUGUGUUCUAAUUUUGCAGGAGGUUUAAGCAAAAAUAAGUAGGAAUGCUGUCGAAAAUUUUUAAAAAUUUAGUAAUACCUCAUACUCUAUUCCGGUAAGGAAUACGGGUAAGGGGUGUUACAUUUUAGUGGUAUCAGAGCUACGGUUUAGUCGGUUCUCGGACCAAUAAAAUACGUGUGGAAGUCAGUCUAUACAUGCCAUAAAAUUAUUGUGAUAGUGUGAUGAUUUCUGACAAUUUAAAAUUUUGUUUUAUAUAGUAAAUGGAUCCUGAUCGAAGUGUGGCAGAUGAUGUUGAAAGUAACGCGCCGGCUCUCGCGCAAGGGACCGCGCAGGAAGAGAGUAGACAUGAGACACAUGGACAGGAUGAGGCUCGGGAAGCCUUCCUCCGAAUGAUGAGUGAUUGGUAUAUAGAAUAUGUCCGUGUAAAUCCGAAUGUUCCUCCUCCUCCACCCCCUCCUAUUCCUCAAUCGGUCCCCGUAGCUCCACGGAGUGCCGAAUUGGUGAGAUCAAGUAAGCCACCUGUUGAUAGAAUUCGAAAGCAUGGGGCUGAAGAUUUUAGGGCCAAUGUUGAUGAUGAUCCGAAAAAAGCCGAGUUUUGGCUUGAAAAUACUAUUCGGGUAUUUGAUGAAUUAUCUUGCACCCCUGAAGAAUGUUUGAAAUGUGCUGUGUCUUUAUUGAAGGAUUCGGCAUAUCGUUGGUGGAAAACAUUGAUAUCGGUGGUUCCAAAAGAAAGAGUUACUUGGGACUUCUUUCAGGAAGAAUUUAGAAAGAAAUAUGUAAGCCAACGAUUUAUUGAUCAAAAACGCAAAGAGUUUCUCGGGUUGAAACAGGGCCGAAUGUCCGUAGCAGAAUAUGAACGGGAGUUUGUUCGGCUUAGUAAAUAUGCCCAGGAAUGUGUGCCUACGGAGGCUAUUAUGUGUAAAAGAUUUGAAGAGGGGCUAAAUGAAGACAUCAGAUUGCAUGUUGGGAUUUUAGAGUUAAAAGAAUUUGUGGUGUUAGUUGAUCGGGCCUGUAAAGCUGAAGAACUGAGUAGAGAAAAGAGAAGGGCAGAGAUGGAAUCUCGAGAUGUAAGGAAGAGGACAAUGGGCAGAACAUUUCAAUCUCAUUCGAAGAAGUUUAAAGGGAUGGAUCCACGACCAACUGGUUCAGUUGGGUAUUCACGCAGAGACCGAGGGAGGUCGUAUUCUGGAGCUACAACUCGAGCUACCUCUGUAGCAAGUGUGGGCAAUGUAGGAAACACCCGGCCUGAAUGUCAACAGUGUGGCAGGCGACAUAUUGGUGAGUGUUUGGGAUUUAAACGAGCUUGUUUCAGGUGUGGUUCCCAAGAGCAUUAUGUAAGAGAUUGCCCUGAGAGAAGAGAGGAAGAAAAUUUGCCAAGAGCUAGAUCGGGUGAUAUUGUUAGUAGAGGGAGACCGCCGAGAAAUGUGGGAAGCAAAGUCAGUGGUAAAAGUGUGAUGAAAGAUGCAGCUAGAGGAUCAGAAAUUAGAGCGCCUGCCAGGACUUAUGCCAUACGUGCUCGAGAGGAUGCCUCAUCUCCCGAUGUGAUUACUGGUACAUUUUCUCUUCAUGAUAUAGAUGUUAUUGCUUUGAUUGAUCCCGGCUCUACUCAUUCAUAUGUAUGCAUGAAAUUGGUAUCUAGUAAGAAAUUGCCUGUUGAAAACACUGAAUAUGUAGUUAAAGUAUCAAAUCCAUUAGGCAAGUAUGUCUUAGUUGAUAAGAUUUGCAAGAAUUGCCCCCUGAUGAUUCAAGGUCACUGUUUCCUGGCUAAUUUGAUGUUGUUACCAUUUGAUGAGUUCGAUGUUAUUUUAGGGAUGGAUUGGUUGAUAUUGCAUGAUGCCAAUGUGAAUUGUAGACAGAAAAUUCUUGAAUUAAAGUGUGAAAAUGGUGAAAUUCUCCGGAUUGAAACAGAGGAGCCGAAUAAGUUGCCUAUGGUGAUUUCGCACAUGUCUGCUCAGAAAUACUUGAGAAAGGGAUGUGAAGUUUAUCUUGCUUAUGUGUUGAAUACUGAUAUAACUGGGUCGAAGCUUGAAUCAGUGCCGGUAGUCCGUGAAUUUCCAGAUGUAUUUCCAGAGGAAUUGCCUGGGUUACCUCCGACUAGAGAAGUUGAGUUUUCUAUUGAUCUGUUACCUGGUACUGCACCGAUUUCUAUUGCACCGUAUCGAAUGGCUCCGACUGAGUUGAAGGAAUUAAAAGCUCAGUUACAAGAGUUGACAGAUAAAGGAUUUGUGAGACCGAGUUUUUCUCCUUGGGGUGCUCCUGUGUUAUUUGUGAAAAAAGAAGGACGGCUCUAUGAGACUUUGUAUUGACUAUCGUCAGCUCAAUAAGGUGACCAUAAAGAACAAGUAUCCUUUGCCGAGAAUUGAUGAUUUGUUUGAUCAAUUAAAAGGGGCAACAGUGUUCUCCAAGAUCGAUCUGAGGUCUGGUUACUAUCAGUUGAGAGUUAAAGAGUCUGAUGUGCCGAAAACCGCCUUUAGAACGAGAACAUUUGAGAACUGUGUUGCAGAUUCUGAGAGAAAAGAAAUUGUAUGCUAAAUUCAGCAAAAGUGAGUUUUGGCUUCGUGAGGUUGGAUUCUUGGGACAUAUAGUUUCAAGUGAAGGUAUUCGGGUUGAUCCAAGCAAAAUUUCAGCAAUUGUUGAUUGGGAGCCACCAAAGAAUGUGACUGAAGUUAGAAGCUUCCUGGGCUUAGCUGGGUAUUACAGACGGUUUGUCAAGGGAUUCUCGAUGAUUGCUUCUCCUAUGACUAAGUUACUGCAGAAGAAUGUCAAGUUUGAAUGGACCGAUAAAUGUCAACAGAGUUUUGAAAAGUUGAAGGCAUUAUUGACUGAGGCGCCAGUGUUGGUGCAACCUGAGUCCGGGAAGGAAUUUGUAAUUUACAGUGAUGCAUCGUUGAAUGGCCUUGGGUGUGUGUUAAUGCAAGAGGGCAAAGUAAUAGCUUAUGCUUCGAGACAGUUGAAACCGCAUGAGAAGAAUUAUCCGACGCAUGAUUUAGAAUUGGCUGCCAUUGUUUUUGCUUUAAAAAUUUGGCGUCAUUAUUUGUAUGGUGAAAAGUGCCGAAUCUUCACUGAUCAUAAGAGUUUGAAAUAUUUGAUGAGUCAAAAAGACUUGAAUUUGCGGCAACGAAGAUGGCUCGAGCUAAUCAAAGACUAUGAGCUAGUGAUUGAUUAUCACCCCGGGAAAGCUAAUGUGGUUGCUGAUGCCUUGAGCAGAAAAUCUUUAUUUGCUUUGAGAGCUAUGGGUACGAUGUUAACUUUAUCUGAUGAUGGCUCAAUGUUGAUUGAAUUGAGAGCUAGACCGUUAUUUCUUCAGCAAAUUCGGGAAUCUCAAAAGAAUGACAGUAAAUUGCAAGCCAAGAGAGCUCAGUGUGAAGCAGGUGUUGACUCAGAUUUUCAAAUUGGUUCAGAUGAUUGCCUGAUGUUCAGGGACAGAAUAUGUGUACCGAGAAAUAAUGAGCUAAUUCGGACUAUUUUAGGUGAGGCACACAGUGGUGAUUUAUCAGUCCAUCCGGGUAGUGUGAAAAUGUACAAUGAUUUGAGGAAGUUGUAUUGGUGGCCGGGCAUGAAAAAGGAUAUCUCGAAAUUUGUAACAAAAUGUUUAAUCUGUCAACAAGUAAAGGCUGAGCAUCAAGUGCCAUCGGGUUUACUUCAACCGAUAACGAUUCCAGAAUGGAAGUGGGACAGUAUCACGAUGGAUUUCGUGACAGGAUUGCCUUUAACUCCAAAGAAGAAAGAUGCUAUUUGGGUAAUUGUGGAUAGAUUGACAAAGUCAGCCCAUUUUAUUCCGAUACGCAUUGAUUAUUCACUUGACAGGUUGGCUGAAUUAUAUGUUGCUGAAAUAGUGAGACUACAUGGGGUGCCUAAAUCUAUUAUAUCGGAUAGAGAUCCGAGAUUUACUUCGAGGUUUUGGAUAAAGUUACAGGAAGCUUUGGGUACGAAAUUGAAUUUCAGUACUGCAUUUCAUCCGCAAACUGACGGGCAAUCAGAAAGGGUGAUUCAAGUUCUUGAAGACAUGCUCCGGUGUUGUAUUUUAGAAAUGAAGGACAGUUGGGAGAAAUAUCUACCACUGGUUGAAUUUGCUUAUAAUAAUAGUUAUCAGUCAAGUAUACAAAUGGCACCGUAUGAAGCAUUAUAUGGGCGUAAAUGUAGAACCCCUUUAUAUUGGACUGAACUCGGUGAGAAUCGGAUUCAUGGAGUCGACCUGGUGAAAGAAACUGAAGAAAAUGUGAAAAUAAUCCGUGAUUGCCUAAAAGCUGCCUCAGAUCGGCAAAAGUCGUAUGCGGAUUUAAAGAGAAAAGAAAUUGAGUUUCAAGUGGGUGAUAAAGUGUUCUUGAAAGUAUCCCCAUGGAAGAAGAUUCUGAGAUUUGGUCGUAAAGGCAAACUAAGUCCACGUUUUAUUGGACCAUAUGAAGUUACCGAGAGAGUUGGCCCUGUAGCAUAUCGGUUAGCUUUACCGCCAGAGUUGGAAAAGAUACAUAAUGUAUUUCAUGUGUCGAUGUUGCGACGUUAUCGUUCGGAUCCUUCACAUAUAGUUUCUCCUACAGAGAUUGAGGUUCGACCAGAUAUGACUUAUGAAGAAGAACCCAUAAAGAUUUUGGCUCGGGAGGUCAAACAGUUAAGAAAUAAAAGUGUAGCCUUAGUGAAAGUGUUGUGGCAAAAACAUGGAAUGGAAGAGGCUACGUGGGAACCGGAGGAAAUUAUGAGGAAACAGUACCCAAACCUCUUUUCCGGUAAGAUUUUCGGGGACGAAAAUCCCUAAGGGGGGGAGAGUUGUAACAGCCCGAUUCUGGGCCUAGUCGGAAUAGUGGUUUCGGGACCACAAAUCCGACGAGGGAAAAUAUGGUUAUUAUUAUAUUUUUAUGAUCUACAAUUUCACGGAAAAUUUUCGUAAAAAUUUCGUUCGAAAAAUUUCGACGUUUGGGCACUCAAUUUAGUCAAAAGGACUAAAUUGUAAAUAGUGCAAAAGUUGAGUUCUACAUCUUAGAGGUGUCUAAUUGUUAUGAAAUUUUAAAUUGGAGGUCUUUAUGUGGUAAUUAGACCAUUAGUUAGUUGAUGGACAAAAAUAGACAUAAGAAAUGGGUGAAAUAGAUUUUUUUUAAUGGGGGCAUUUUAGUCAUUUGGUUAUUAAAUAGAAUUAAAUGGGAAAAAGAUGGCAAAAUAUGCUCAUCUUCUUCAUGGUGAACGAAAUCAGCAAGGGAGAAGCCAUAUUUAGGGUUUUUAAGCUUUCAAGCUCCAUAGUAAGUGAUUCUAAGCCCCGUUUUUAAUGUUCUUCGUAUUUUUGGAGUCCCGGUAACUUGGUUUAGCUUAUUCUACCAUUAAUUCAUGUUAGGGUUCAUAUUUGGAAAAAUAUCCAUAGGUGAAAUGUGUUUAUUUUGCUGUUUUAUGGUGGAAUAUGAAGCUAGAGAUUAUGUUAAACAACUUUUGCUAAGCAAUUUUAAGCGAAAACGGGUAAAUAGACAUAAUUGGUAAAAAUAAUUAAUAUUCAAAAGUAUGUGUUGGAGUGGGAAUUUGAUGUUUCCAUAGAAGGGAAAAAUGUUCAGCAUGUUAUAAAACUUAAGAAUAAGUGAUGAAGUUUAAUUUCCGAGCUUGGGGACAAAAGUGUAAUUAUGCAAAAGUUUGGGGGCAAAAUUGUAAUUUUCAAAAAGUUGGGUGGUGGAUUAUUUUAAUAAAUGUGAAUAUUAAACGAGUUAAAUUUGCUAUUAUAGAUCAAGAAAGACGUGAAGAGUAUAUCAAACGGGGAAAAGAAAAGAUAGGGGAGUAAAGUGCAAAAUUACGAUAUUUUGCACCGAGGUAAGUAAACACGUGACUUAAUGUAUUAUUUUGAUAUUAUUUGAUAUAUGUUGAGAUUUAUUUGGAAUUAAAAUAAAUGUUUGGCCAUAUCCUAAAAAUGUUGUUAAAUCGGGAAAGGUGGUAAAGGGUUGCAAUAUAUGGUUUAUGGGUUGAACACUCGGAAUAAGCCGGAGUAUGUUGUAUAUAAAGGGGUUGCUGUGUGCUGAUUCCCCGAUUCAUUGGUGGUGCUAUGUGCGUGAUCCACCAUAUCUUUGAAAUGUGAAAAGGGGGUUGCUAUGUGCUGAUUCCCCCGAGGGGUUGCUAAGUGCUGAUUCCCCGGUUCAUUGGUGGUGCUAAGUGCGAUAUCCACCAUAUCUUUGAAAUGUGAAAGGGGGUUGCUAUGUGCUGAUUCCCCCGAGGGGUUGCUAAGUGCUGAUUCCCCGAUUCAGCGGUGGUGCUAAGUGCGAGAUCCACCAAUAAUGGUUAACAUUCCAAGUGUUCAACGAAAAAGUGUGGAAGAUGAAUAUUUCCAUAUGGUGGAAAAUUUUAUGGGGUAAAUAUUGAGUUGAAUACUAAAUCGACCCAUGUAUGAGAUGGGAGAAAAUAUCAAAAACGCAAAAGGAACGAUUUAAUUAUAAACUGUGUUGAACAACAGCAGUUGGGUAACUUUGAAAAAUCACCAUAAAUGGUGGAAAAUGAAUGGGAAGCUGAAUAAUAUAUGAAAUUGAAGCUAAAUGUGUCUAUUUUCAUAUGAAAGAAAUAGAAUAAGCAAAAGAGUUGUAUUUUUGGAGAUAUCUGAAUUUUACUGAAACAGGGCUGGAUUGAUUUCGAGAUCCCCUGUUCUAACUUUGGAAAAUUACCAAAAAUUGAAAAAAAAUAAUUAUGGCAUGAAAUUUAUAUCCCUGGAAUCCUUUAUGAGUCUAUUUUUAUUAGAAACAAUAAAACCCAUUUUUAAAAUUUUGUACAGAGAGUUAAGUAAAUUUUAGUGAGGAAGGGUCAGAACCGUUGGGCAGUGAAACAGGGGAAGGUUUAAUGAAUAAACUGUACUAAUUGGCUGGGUUAAAAAUUCUGAAAUAUUUAUGGUGAAAUGGUAUAUGAGUCUAGUUUCAGGGAAAAUUUACGGAACUCAAUUUGGAGCUCUGUCGCUCCAGAUAAAAAUAAAUUAGCGACUAUGACGCAGAAAAACAGCUUGCUGGAAAUUGCCUAAACAAUAAAGUUUUUCAUGAAUAAGUUUAUAUUUUGGUGUAGUUAUGGGAGUAAUUACUUAUUUAUCAUGUGUUUACUUACUAAGCUAUAUGCUUACUCGAUUUUAUUUUUCUCUUGGUUAUAGUGACUUCCAACAACUCGGAAAUUGGAACGAAGUCAGACAAUCAUCUACACUAUCCUUCACAUUUGGGGUAUUUUACUACUAGUGUUCUGAAAUUUUAUGGCAUGUAUAGACACUUUAUGUAAUGUGGGAUCAUCAUGUAAAUAUAUGUUAUGGUUCCCUUUUAAAUGUAGUGUUUAUUAAUAGUUAAACUAUAUGUGUGUUUAUACAAAUGAAAUUGGUUGGUAUAUUGGAAUGUGUUCUAAAUUUGCAGGAGGUUUAAGCAAAAAUAAGUAGGAAUGCUGUCGAAAAUUUUUAAAAAUUUAGUAAUACCUCAUACUCUGUUCCGGUAAGGAAUACGGGUAAGGGGUGUUACACACUUUGCUUGCUUCAUGAUAUACAGCGAAAUUAUUUUGCUGAACCUACUUUGUAUGCAAGAACUAAGCUGACUCUUUACUUGAAGUAAUAAAUAUUUGAAUAAAGGAAUUAAGAACAUGAGAACCUAAAUUUUUCAAAUCAAAGUACCUCGCAGACAACAGUUUUGACAUAGGGGUUCGCACCCCUGGUAGCUCGCUCAAUCUAAAACCUUUAUGAGGUAAGUUUUUAUAAUAGAGUAGGUCUCAUAAACUACUCCCUAGUGUUUAAAUACUGCGAACAUAGUUCAUAGAGUUCUUUGUAUAUCCAAAAGUUAUUAAGGGUUCGUAGAUAACAGUUUGCCAAAUGAUAGGGUUCACACUUUGUAUAGUUCAUAACCCGAUUACUUCGCAGUAUUUUUGGCGAACUUUGCAUAGUUUGUCAGUAUAUUGUGCCUUUACUCACUAGCAAAACCCAUUGCUGGUGGAUCACUGUGAAGUAGGGAACUGUUGUAAAUCGAUUGACUUGGAACUUCUUCCUAGAAACAUUUAAGAAGAAAUUCAUAGGUGAAUAGUAUAUCAAAGCUCGCAAGUGAGAAUCCAUUAAUUUGGUGCAAGGCGAUAUGAUUGUGGCUGAGUAUGAGGCAGAAUUUUUUUCCCAUUGAGUAGUAUGAAACUGAGAUGAAUUCGUAGGAAAGGGAUCAUUGGAAAAGGUUUCGUUUUAGGUUGCAUCAAGAUGUAAAACUUUAUUUGAUAGCCCAUGACACGACGAGCUUCAAUGAGUUGGUCGAUAAGGCAAAGGCUAUCGAGGAGAUAAGGGCAAAGGCUCCGUGAGCUAAAACAGGGCCAGAGAAACAAGUGGCUGGACAAUCUGGAUGAACAUUUAAGAGGGAUUGCAACUCACGUAACUCUAACAGGAAUAUCAAAUGUAGUUUUUGAUCAGACCAUUCAGGAAACAAAGUAACACCCGGGCUAAAAAAGGAGGUUCACACAAAAUGCCAAGUUGGCCACUCUGCAAACACUAUGAUCGAAGGCAUCCUGGUGAAUGUUGCAAGAUGGCAGUAGGAUGUUUUAAGUGUGGAUCCAAUGAACACAUGAUAAGGGACAACCCAAAACACAAAGAAGGUUGCAAGCUUAGAACUUGAACCCCACACUAGGGCGAGCAAGGGUUCACAGACAAGGUCGAGGCAAAGGAAAUGACACAAGGAAAGCUGGGCAGUGAACCUGUAAUAUCCUCCCCCCACUCGAUUCACCAAGUCUGGGUUUUGGGUAUUAAUUCAUAGAAAACUUAACAAAAAUUUUGAAAUAGGAGACAAAAACUCAUUAUUAAAAACAUUUCUCAUUAAUUUGGUUAAAAACUCUAUACUUAGAGAAAAAUAGAAGUAUUUGCAAAAAAACUUAUCGUAUCAGUCUUGCUAAAAUUUUAUUAUAACACCUAAGUUACACAAGACAGAUUCAAAUGGUGUAGUCCUACUAAAUGCCAGUUCUUCCUAUAUGCCCAUUGUAUGCAUAGUAUCCCCCUUAUGCUACUUCUCUUGCACAAGCCUGGCUUCCUCUCCUUAAGAACUUACACUGACAUGACAAUACCUGAAACAUAAACAUAACACUAGUAAGUUCAAAGGAACUUAGAGAGUUAUGAACACAAUUUACCUUUUUAACUUUUUCAUGAAAUUAUUCAUAUUGAAUAAUUAGGCUUUCCUAUAUCUAUCUUUGGCGAAUACCUUCACAUUUUUAGUUGUAUAAUUUUGUACGUAUACACCUCCCAUUAUUCAUACCAUAUCCUUAUUCAUUCAACUAUUUGGCUAGCUCUAGGUCUUGACAUUUAAACACCACACUUUUCAUUUCCCUUCAAACAACUUUCAACAGUUAUUCUCGAACAGUUAACCCCAAGCACUAUUCUUGGCAGAUAUCACUUACUGAUCAUACUUUUGGCGGAUAUACUAAACUUGAUAAAUUGAAUCAUAGCCCAACACAUAACCAUACAGUGAGAGUUGCUCCAGAUUGUUCAGAAGAAUUAUACAUAUCUUUGUACUGAACACUAGAUAGCUAAUAUAUCAAACAUCAUAGAUUCUAACAGAGUUCAAAACAAGACAUGAUUCUAAAAAGAUGUCAGAUAGCUCAAAAUUAUACCAUAGUAGCUCUAACUCGAAUUGAUGGACUCUUGUCCCAAAUACGCCCAUAUAAUAGGUUGGUAGAUAACCACAAUAGAUACUCCCAUUGAACAUGCUAAAUCAAAAUUCAUUUAAGACUUAUUUGUAGUUAUCACAAACUUCACAUAUUAAAGCUUCAGACAGAACAUAUUCUUCUUAUAGAUUUACAUAGUAUGCCACUAUGGUAAAGCAGAAUACACGACAAAAGCGACAUACAAAUUACGCCACAAAGGCAAUUUAUAGAGCAUGACACAAAGGCUAGCAGAAUGCCACAAAGGCCUUAUUAGAAUAUCACAAAGGCUAACAAAAUACCACAAAGGCCAUAUCAGAAUACCACAGAGGCUAACAGAAUGUCACAAAGAUCAAAAUACUCCAUAAAGGCCAAAUCAUAGUAUGCCAUAAAGGUUAGCAAAAAGCCACCUAGGCACCCCAUAAUUGUCGUGUUUGCGAUAUGGAUUUGCCUAAAAUAACAUCGCCUUUAGGUUUGCCCAUCAUUGCCCUAGGACACGAAGAGAACCCUAGUCAAUAAUUGCGGCUCAUUCACCCUUUCUAGAAUGUGCCAUGGCCAUGGACUUUCUUCAGAAUUUACAUAUCAGAAUUUGUGUUUAAUGUCUCGACGGACUUCAUCGUGUACCACCGUGGUGACCAAACUCACAACUCAACCUCUCCACUCUCAGAGACACUCCUAUUUCCCCCAAAUAAUUUCCAAUCAUAUAUUACAUAUUCAAUAUAUACACAUCCAAGUAGACUAGUUCAUCUUCUUAAUCUAAGCAUACUUCAUUACAUGCUUCACACACAUCAACACAGUACACAUUCCAAACACAUACACUGAGUUACUCAGCAUAAUUGCAUAUACCCAUACACACAAUUCAUUAUACUCUAGACUCACAAAGACCUAUUUCAAGCAUACAUACUUAUUUUUAUCAACCAUUCAUGUACUCAUUCACUAUUUUUGGAACAUCAUCCACAAGAGAUUAUUCUAGAUGGACUUAUAAGAGUCAAUAUUAGGGAUUAACCUGAGACUCACUUACUAUAGCUACCAGCUUCAAACUCAAACAUCCAAUUCGAAUCAGCAACAACACUACUUGAAAAACACAAUUUCACUAUUAAUAACUAUUUACAAAUAGAUUGCUGAGAACUCAACUACAGAAAAUCCCCAUGCAAGGAUUCUUAUUCGUAACUUACUACUCGAUUACCUCAUAGCAUCCUUAUUACUAAGAUGCAAAGUUAUCAGACUUACCAGGAGAUGGAACACCUCUACAUUAUCCAAGAAUCCUUAGCUUUCAAAUCACAUAAGAAAAGCAACCAGCAAUAGUACUAAAUACAUAAGGAAAAGGAAAGAUGUAAAUAAUUACUUUGAAGGAAGAGGAAACCUCUCACGAACUUUUCUCACACAUAUAUAAUCCACUUCUAUUUAGUGGAACCUCUCUCUAAAAUUUUAGAAUAUGCCCUUCACAAUGGCCUACGAAAUCAAAAGGAAACAUAAAUGAAAGUCUUUUCCAAAUGUCAUUUUUCCAAUCAGUUUAGUUGGUUUAUAACCAGAUCUAGUUAAUGAGACUUGCCCGUCACAUUACUUGAACAAACUAGGCAUAAUAUACCUUUGGCAAUAACUUAAACAAAACUUACUCUUUCCCUUUUUCAUCACAUUCUUUCUUUUAUUGAAGAACAUGCUGAAGAUUAAAUCCUGAUAUACUUCUAUGGGUGGAUACGCAAUUUGCCUAAACAAUAGUUCACCAGAAGCUAUAAUAUUGUAGACUAACUUUUUGAAUGUGGUAGAAUAGACAUAUUCUUGUCUUUGUACCUUGAAUUCUAGUUAUCCAGAUUUGGUGUGUGACACACAUAAAUAAAAAAAUAAAACAAAAUAGUGCUUGAACAUGCCACAUACAAAGAAAGCUAUAUAAACAGAAUAAUGUGAAUAAAUACAUAACUCUAACACGAUAUACAAUUGACUCUUGACCUUGAAUAUCAUACACAAUAGUUCAUAAAAUUACAAAGUAAAAAAAUUCAAGAAUAAGUACAUUGAUCCAUUGAAAAAAGUACAAAAAAUUUACAUUUAUGCUUGAAGAAUACAAGCAAUUAGAAAUGUCAAAAUUUUGUUAAUUUUCAUCCACGACUAGUAUCACUUAGGUCACAUAGGUCUUUUCGGCUUGUAACGUUCUGCGGCUUAGUUUGGUUCAGAAUUAAAGAACAAACACAACAAAAUGAUUUAAGCAUGAAAAUAGUUUGGCACGUUAUAUUGACCCUAAUACUUCCUCGAUUAGAAGCUUUUAGCUCACCGCCUUGUAUCCCCUUCUCUCACCUAUCUUUUCUCUCUGAUUCCUAAGGUAUAUUACAUUAUUACUGCAUAUAAUUGUCUUAGCAAGACAUUUGUGCAAAAAUGAGGGAAAUUUUGUUUUCUUUCUUUUUUACUCACUUUACUUUUCUAUUUUCUCAAGAACUUCUUCCUUGGCUAUUUUAGCCUUUUCAAACCUUUUCUUUUGAUAAUUUUUUUUAAUUUUCCACUUAAGCACAAGUUUUCAAGAAUCUUAUAUCACCAUAUUAUACUUGUAACACCCCUAACCUGUAUCCAUCAUCAAAACAGGGUUAUAAAGCAUUACCAAACUUAUUUAUUAAAUAAUCAUACAUUUCAUAUACAUUUUUGAAGUCCAAACAGAAGUCAUUCAAAUACAAUCAUAUAGUCCCUAACACGAGCCCUCAAGGCCUAAAACAAGCAAUAGAAGUGGUUUAGGACUAAAGCUAAUACUUAAUAAAUUUUUAGAAAAACAUAGAAAAUUUUCAAAGUGCAAUGGACACACGCCCGUGUGGCCAGGCUGUGUGUUUCACAUGACCAAGAGACAUGCUCGUGUUACAGGCCAUAUGGACAUUCGAAAUGGGAUCACAAGGCUAUGUCCCAGCCAUUGUCUAACCCCGUGUAACCUCUGAGUUAGGUCACACGGCCAACCACACGCCCCUGUGACUAGCUCGUGUACCAUUCGAAAUGGUCUUACACGCCCGUGUGCCAGGCCAUGUGUUAGGCCGCUUAAAAACUGGAGGGUAUACUGACUUGUGCCAUACGGCCAAGUCACACACCCUUGUGCUAGGUCGUGUAAAGCUACUAACUUGGUUUCUAAAGAAAUAUCAAGGGACACACGGCCGUGUCACCUAGCUGUGAGUCACAGACGACUGAGACACACGCCCGUGUGGACAAAAGUAGGUCAUUUUCCAAGCCAUUUUUCGCACCCAAAUUUGCAACAAUCUAAAUCCAUCAAAUAGCAUAUGACCAUAUCAUCAAUAAGCAUUCAAACCAAUCUCAACCAAGUCCAAAUCAUGCAAUAUCAAUACCAACAAUCACAAAGCUCAUAAGCAUCACAAUUAACCAUUCAAAAUCAUACCAAUAUGCCUCGAAAGUAUACCUAAAUGAUCAAACUCACUUAUUAGACUUUGUGUCUAAUUCAACAUGCAUAUCACAUUCUCAAAUUCAAUCAUUUUGUAAUCAAAAUACUAAUACAAAAUUAUGGCAUUUCCAUGGCAAUCCAAAUACAUACCAAAAUGAGAAUAACCACAUAUAUACAUGCAUAAUCAACAUAUGCCAAUUGAAGUCAUAUUAAAUGACUAAUUACAUAACCAAAACAUAUAGGCUUCCAUUAGCCAAAUGACCUAUACAUGCCAUAUAACCAAAAUGUACAAAGUUCAAAAGUACUGAAACAACAUUUGGAUAAUGUGAUGAGAUCUCUGACAAAUUCAAAUCGAGCAAGCUUUGAAAUCACUAUAAAAUACGGAAAAAUAAACAAAGUAAGAUAUUAAGCUUAGUAAGCUCAUAUGUCUAAUAAGUACAACUUACCAUUCAUUCUCAAUUUAAAGAAGCAUAAUUAAACAUAUAUAAGUUUCAAUCAAAUUCAAAGGUUAGCACAUAAUCAUAACCAUGUUAGUCAUGUAUGAAUACAUCAACUAUAAAUUACUUGUCAUACUUCUCACAAAUACCUGAAUUGGUUCGUAUCAUCUCUUAUAUCCUUGUACCAUCAUCUUUACCCAUUGAACCAUUUGGAAUACUAUCGGAUACUCAAGAAUCUCAGACACUAAGUGUCAAAACAUGGUUGAAACCAUCUCAAUCUUAUACCUUAUAUAAAUGCUCACUCACGAGCUAUCACUAGGUCUACUCACAAAAGCUAACGAGUAACCGCAACAAAUGCCAGAAAACUCAACCACCGGUAGAACGUAUGAACCAGCACCCAAAACACAGUAACCCCUAAUGACAUGUCACUUGUAUCCUAUCUAUUCCUAAGGUUCAACCGGUAUUUAUACAUUACUGAUAACUCAUCAAGAAUUUUAGUGGUAUUGUAUCAUCACAGUUAUAUCAAUCAAGCAUUCAAACACAUAUAAAUUAAUACUUAUUAAACAUACAAACUUACCUCGAUCACAAAAACAAUGAAAUGGGAUCAACUAGUCCAAUACUUUAUCUUUCCCUCGAUCUAGAUUCGUAUGAGGCUUAAAUUGAUCUAAAUAAUCAAAUUCAAUCCAUUUAGUAUUCAUCCUAUUCAAUUCAGCCCAAAAUACAUAUUUUUGCAAUUUUACACUUUUACCCCUAAUAUUUUAACUUCUUUACAAUUUAGUCCCUAGCUCAUAAAAAAGUAAAUUCAUGCAAUUUAAUCCACAUCCAUGCUAGCCAAAUUUCAUACAAGCUUUUAGUAGCCCACACAUUUCAUUAAUUCACACAUUUCACCACAUAAUUUUCACAUUUUAUCAAUUAAUCCCUAUUUAACAUUUUUAACAUCACUUUACAAAACUUGUUUAUCUAACAACAACCAUUUAUUUUCUAUCAUCAAACAUCCAAAUACAUACACAUUCAUCAAUGGUAAAACCCUAGACUUUUAACAUUUUUGCAAAUUAGUCCUUAGGCUAGCUAGAUUAAGCUAGAAGGACUCCAAAAAAGUAGAAAUCAUUAAAAAUCGAGCAAGAAUACACUUACAUGCAUAGAUGGAGUAUGGCCGAACUUUGAAAGGUCUUUAAUGGCUUCCCUAGGUGCUAAUUUCAAUUCAUGAAGAAGAAAAGAAAGAUGAUAUCUUUCUUUUACCUUUUCUUUAAAUUAUUUUAUUAAAUUACAUUUUUAACCUUAUCAUUAAACCAUUAAAAUCACUUAAUUAAUGUCCAUAUUUUUCCACUCAUAUUAAAAAUGGUAUAAUUACCUCAUAAGGACCUCUAUUUAAAGUUCCAUAGCUAUUAGACACUUUUAACUAAUAGAACACAAGCUUUAUACUUUAUGCGAUUUAGUCUUUUUUAUCGAAUUGAGCAUACAAGCAAUAAAAUUUCUUAACGAAAUUUUUAUACAAUCAUACUAUCAUGCUGUAGACCUCAAAAUAAUAAUAAAAUAAUUAUUUCAACUUUGUAUUAGUGGUCCUGAAACCAUUGUUCCGAUUUUACUGAAAACGGGCUGUUACAAUACUAUCCCCUAUGUUCACUAUUAUUUUACUUUUAUGUUCGAAACCACCGUAUCAUAUCUACCUAACCCUCAAUAUUAACACCUUGAUGUUUAAUUUCAUGCAAGGACCAAGAGAAUCGGAUCAAGAGAUUAUAUUUUAAGGCUUUGGGCUUCCAUUGCAGUUCAUUAAGAAAUAGAGAUUUAUGCUAAAAAAUUAGGGUACUAGGGAUUUUAAAUUAAGAUUGGCUUUUUGGCUCAAAUUGUCUACCAAAAAAUGCCUUUGGUCAUUUCUAAGUGUCUCAAUUCAUGGAUUACGAGUAACUAAAUAUUAACACUCUAACAAUUAUUAUUCAAACAAACACAUAUGCUUUUUAAAUACCUAUUUUUCAUGUGGUAUACCUAACACACUAUCAACUAUUUACAAUGUAACAUAAUGAACUAAUUAAUGCAAUAUUAAACAACCUAAACUCAAUUGCUAUCGAUUUAAAUUUACAAUUUAAACAUAGAAUCCUAUUUACAUGCUCUUAACCAAUCACUUGUAUUGCUACAAGCUCAUGCACAAACAAACACAUAAAAAUAAAAAAUAAUGAAAAUAACAUAAAAACUUGAAAAACUUGAAAAUUUUAAAAAAUUUCUAUGUUAUCCCCUACACUUUAUUUGACACAUUGUCCUUAAUGUGCACCUAAAAGAUAAGAGAAGAGACUACUCGGUUUAAGCAUUGAAGUUCUUUGAAUAUGGUCGAGUGGUCCUCCUUAUGCCAGUUUUGCUCCGAAUUGUAGUGCCUCAUAUCGCUGGUGUUCCUACAUAAAAAUUAACUAACACAAAGACUAAUACAAAAAAUAACUAAAGUUUAAAAGCUAAAAUAAAAUAAUCCAAAAUUAAAAUUACAAGUCCCAACUUUAAAAUAAAAAUUAAGUUCAAGUUUUAAUUAGAAUCAUUAUUUGGCCAGUUCUCCUCAAUUAUAGGCUUCUUCUCUCAACCCGUGACUAGAGUGGUAGCCCUCACACCCGUAGAACUAGUAGGGCUAGUAUGACUUGGAUUUCGAAUCUUAUCUCCUUCAAUAAAUGGUUGUUUUGGUCGGAAUACAUCAUUGAAGUCCUCAUUGUGGGUUGACUCUUCUUCAUGGUCCUUGUCAUCACCUUCUUGUUCCUUCUUCAAUUCCUCAUCAGCUUGCUCGAAAAAUUACAUUGGUAGGUAUCAGUUUGGUGGCGGGUCUGGUACCAAGAUACCGAACCUUUUGGCGUAGUCAAUUGCAAAUAGUUUCAUCAAUUGCAUCCACCAGAUAACCCACUCCAUGUUAGUAAUCUCGCUCGACCCUUGGCUUGUUUGGCUCUUUCUCUUGCUUUUUCACUUUAGUGAUGGUGGAACAUCCAUCUUUUGUUUACGUCGGACAUUCCAAUCAUGGAUAUGCUUUCAAUGGAGCUUGACAUACUAGGUAUAGAUGAAGUUCCUGAGCAAGCUUUUGGUUGACUUGACAAACUGUUUCGUCAUCGACACUGGCACCUUUUCUUUCUUGCACAGGUUAGUUAUAAGGUGUGGGAAAAAUAUCUCGACCUUCUUGCCACUAAUUUAAUUAAGCAUCAACUUAUAAAUCCAUGUGUCGCUACAAACCUAUCAAUGUUGCAAAAGACAAUAAAGCAUCAUAGCUUGAAAAUCGAUAAGAAUAGAAACGUUAAGGGCCGGUGAGAUACACGUGUAGAUAAACUGCAAGCACAUUUUUGCAGCCGAAAACAUUAUGGUUUGAUAAAAAUUCAAUGAGAUAUUCGUGCAGGGUCGGCAUUUCCACACGCCUCGCCACUCAGUUAAAUAUUCUACAAUGUUAUCCAUAUCGAUCUCACAAAAAUAAUGAAUAUCUAGCUCUUCUAGUACAUCCUUGUGAUAAUAUGGUGCAUUGUAAAAUUGAAAGAUAUCCUUAAGUGUAACCAUGAAUUCUUUUCUUUGUAUCGUAAAAUGUACAUUUGGCACCUUAUCAUUUUCCUGAUACUUUAGGGAUGCAUAAAAUUCAUAUACCACCAAGUCGAUCACCAACACUUUUGGUGUGAGGUAGAAUUCCAUGCAUUAGUUGCAUGAAUAAUAUGUAAUAGCCCGUUUUUGGGUCGAAUCAGAACAGUGGUUUCGGGACCAAAAAUUCGAAGUCAAAAUAUUUAUUUUAUUAUUUUAAUAAGGUUUACAGCAUGAUAGAUUAAUUAUGUGAAAGUUUCAUAGAGAAAUUUUACUGUUUAAAUGUUCAAUUCGGUAAAAAGGACUAAACUGCGUAAUGCAUAAAGUUGAGUUCUACUGUUUAAAAGUAUUAAAUAGCUAUGGUUUAUUAAUAUGGAAGUCCUUAUUAUGUAAUUAGUCCAUUUAUAAUGUAAGUGGACAUUCUUGGACAUUGUUUAAAUGAUUUUUAAGUUAUAUUCACAAGGUUAUAAUGGUAAUUUAUGUAUUAAAUUAAUAAUAAUAAUAAAACAAAAUCAAAAUCAUAUUAUUUCCUUCAUCUUCAUUGCCAAAUUUGAGAAACAAAAUAAGGAUUUCGAAGCUUCCAUUGUUUCGGCACAUUCUUGGCUAGAUUAAGGUAUGAUUUUAGCUUGAUUUUUAAUGAUUUCUAAGUUUUUGAGCUCGUUGCAGCUUAAUCUAGCUAGUUCAUACCUUCAUUUUUGAAACUGUUAUAGAUCUUGAAUGAUGCCAUUGUUGAAUGCUUAAAUAUUUAGAUGUGUAAUGAUAGAUUAUGAAGGUUGGAUGAUAGUUUUACAAGUUUAAUAAAGUGAUUUCUGAUGAAAAUGUCAAGUAGGGAUUAAAUUGUGAAAAUGUAAAAUAUGGUGGUUAAAAGUGUGAAAUAAUGAAAUAUUUGGGCUUCUAGUAGUAUAUAGGAGAUUUGGAUAUCAUGGGUUAUGGCCUAAUUGUGUAAUUUUUCAUUUUUAUGUAUUAAGGACUAAAUUACAAAGAGGUUAAAGGUUUAGGGGUAAAUUUGUAAUUUAGCCAAAAUAAAUGUUUUAAGCUAAAUUGAAUUGAAUGAAAGUUUAAAUGAGUUAAUUUGAUAUUAUAUAGAUUAAGAUAAACAAAUACCGGAACUAGAUCGGGGAAAAAGAAAGGUUGGUGAAUAGACGAUAGUUUUCAUCCGGGCAACUCAAGGUAAGUUCAUAUAAUUAGAAUCAAACUUUUAGAUACUUGUAAUUAUUUAAAUGAAUGUGUAUAAUGGAAAUAUUUGAAGUAUAAUUUCCUUAUUGAUAUAAUGUAUUUGUUACUGAUCCCCGUUUGAACUGUAUAGAUUCAUUGGAUACGAGUGACAUGUUACUAGGAUUACCGUUUUGGUUGAGCUCCUGUAUUUUUUACGGACUCACCACAGCUCGUAAGAGCUUACUGAUAUAUCAGCUCAUAAGAGCUUACUAUUUUUAGCUCAUUGGAGCUUAUCAUUUCAGCUCAUAUGAGCUUACUGUUCAGCUCAAUAGAGCUUAUCGUUUCAGCUCAAUAGAGCUUAUUGUCCAUCAGCUCAAGAGGAGCUUACCGAUCAUGGCUUGAAAGAGCAUAUAUGAUGAUGAAUUGAUGGAUUAUUGACAUUGUUCACUUGAUCACCCUUUGAGGUUCUAAUAGGUUCAUUGGGCCUAAAUAAUGUUAUACGGACGAGUUACGGUUUAUAAAUGUUAAUAAUGUUAUAUAUGAUAUAUGAAUUUGGAAUGAUGCUAAGCAUUGUAUUAAUUGAUGGUUUUAUGUAUUUUUACAAUGACUAACAUGUGAUGGAUACUUGUGAUUAGGUGUUGGUUAAUUGAAUUGUUGGUAUUUUAAUGUUGCUUUGAUUAUAUUUAGAUGGUAAGUUUUAUUCUGAAUUAUACAGGCUUACUAAGUUAUAAAUCUUAUGCUGUUUCUUUUUCCAUGUUUUAUAGAGGCUCGAUAGCUCGAUCGUUCCGGACAAGUCGGAGUUGCACAUCACACUAUCCAAUUUACGAUUGGUACUUUUGAACUUGUGGAUUUGUAAAUAUGGCAUGUAUAAGCUAGUUUAAAAGAUGUUAGUUAUGUUACUUGAUAUCAUGGUUUUGGUAUAUUUUGUAUAUAGUUAAGCCAUGUGAUUUGGCUUAUUUUGGUACCAUGUUUUGGUUGAAUUAAGUGUUCAAUUAUGGUAUGUUUUGAUAAGGUAAUGUUUGAAUGAAAAUAUGCAAAUAUGGUAUUGAUAUGUAUUUGUUAGAUGAAUGGAUUAUGAUUGGUAUUAAAUAGGUAAUUGAAUAACAAGUUGAAUUGGUAAUAAUGUGUAUUGAAAUGGUUAUCUUGGCUACCUAUUGAGUUGUAAAAAUGUGGUCUAUUAUACUUGUGAAUGUUUCUAUUUUUAGGGUGGCAAAAUGGCUUUACAAGUGGCCUAUUUUUGUCCACACAGGCAGGGACACAGGCGUGUGUCUCAGCCGUGUGCGACACACAGUCAUGUUGCACGGCUGUGUGUCCCUUGAGAUACCCUUUCGAAUUGAGGCAGUAUACCCUAUAGUUUUGACAUGGCCUAGACACAUGGGUGUGUCUAUUGGUCGUGUAUGGUACACGGGCUGGCACAUGGGCAUGUGGCUAGCCGUGUGACCCAAGUCAGUAACCUCAUUAAUUUUCUUGUAGACUGGCACACGGGCGUGUACUCGACUGUGUAUUGCAAGUCAGUAUGUAUGCCCUAUUUUCAUACAGCCUAUGACAUAGGCAUGUCUGGUAACCGUGUGAGGCCUAUUCACACGGGCGUGUGACCCUGAAAUCAAAGAAAAUUUUCUAAGUUUCCCAAAAUUUACCAAUGUUAUCAGUUUAGUCCCGAACCACUUUUAAGCAUGUUCUAAGGUCUCGUAGAGCCUUAUAAGGGACAAUGUGAAUGUUUGAGAAUGGUUUAUGUUAAUGAAUGCAUAAAUGUAUGAGAAUGAUGCGUAUUGAUCGGUAAUGCCUCGUAACUUUAUUCCAGCAAGGGAUAUGGGUUAGGGGUGUUACAUAAUAUCCCAAAUAUCGUAACAAAGUUCAAAGAGGGGUUGAGCCCCUGUUCUUGAAUAAAGGUCUUGCCUUAAAGGUCUAAAAACUAUUCUUCAACUUCUUAGUAAUGGAAUCAUGAGCCUUUUUAACACAACUUAAACAAUGGAACAAAAGAAAAGAUUAGAAUGCAUAAUCAUAUUGUUGUGUGACAAGGUGGUUGUCAAUGGUGGUGGGCAACAAAGAGACGACAACAAUGGUACAACGAGAGCAGAGGGUAUUGGUGUUAGGAUAGAUUAGGGGAGUAUUUAGAGUGUAUUUAAGGUGGGAAUUAAGGUUAAAACAGGUUAGAUUAUAUAUAGGAACCGAUUAGGUUGCACAACAAAACAGGUCAAAACUUGCAAACCCAUUGUCAAUGUUGCGACACUGGAUUUUGGUGUUGCAACACCGUACUUUGAAUGCUCUAGGUUUUAGGUUCAAAAUUUCAUGUCGCAACACAGGAACAUUGUGUCGCAAUAUGAGCCCAAAUUUUUAGAUUAUUUUUUGUUCGAAAUGUUAUGUCACAGCAUUGAGGUGUAGUGUCACAACACGAAUAGAAUUGAAAAGAUUUUAGUUUAAAAGUCCAAAGUCACAGCAUGGGAAUGUGAUGUCGUGACACCCCCUAAUUUUAAAAAUCCUAGAAGAUUCAAAGCUUAGUGUCACAACAUUGAUAUUUGGUAUCGCGACACUGCCCUUAUUUUCUCCAUUUUUAAGCUUUAGAGUGUGUCGUUCCCUUUAUUUUUACUCCUAAUUUCUCAAAAAGUCCCUAAUAGGAUCCCUCUAUUUACCUAAGAGCUUAAUCCUAUUCUAAUUAAAACUUUCUAACCUAAUUAAAAUCCACAAUAAAAAUCCAAAAAAUAAAAUGUACAAAAUUUUACAAUAAUUAUUAAAAUUGUAUUCAUCGAGAUUAAGUGUGGUUGUAAUAUCCUGAGAUAGGGUCUGGAAGUUUUGACCUCUCAAGUGAGGGUUCGUCAAUUUUUCAGUGAACUGGGGAUUCGCCAAAAGAUUUUUAGCAAGGAUUUCACCCAAAAUUUAGUGAAAUAGUAUAUGCCAAAAUAUGUGGUAAGAGGUUCACUAGAUUCAUUGAAAGUGUGUUCGCCAAUCUGUUUGGCAAAUUGAUGUUCGCCAAACUAUUUGGUGAAUUAGGGAUCACUAGUCUAUUUGGCAAGCUGGGGGUUCACCAGUCAAAGUUGAUUUAGACUCAAAUUAGGAAAUAAAGAUAUUAUGUAUCUAAUAUAAAUAAAGAUAUUAUGUAUCUAAUAUACUUUUUUUGCACGUAACCAUCUUUUAAGCAGACUAGGGUUCCUAAUUCAAGUAAGGUAUCCUAAGAUUACUAAGUCACUUAGUGCCUUAAAUACAACCCUUAGUCCAUGAAAAUUCUCUCAUCGAUAUUAUGUUGUCAUUUCUCUAUUCUGAACCAAAUUUGAAACCACCAAGGUAAGCCUCUAUCCUGUUAUGGUUGAUUUUCUAGAAAGCUAGGUUCACUUACAUGUGUGAGUUAUGCAAGUUUUAUCUGUUUAAGUAAUUUGUGUGUGCUUAUGUAUGUUGCAAACUAGUCAGACCAUCUACCAGCAAGGAUAAAGGCAAAGGAAAACUCGUUUAAAUUCUUAGCUUUAUCGGUGACCGGUUAAAAAUUGCCUUAAAUGUGCUAACUAUCAUGUUUUUUAGUAUGAAUGCUCAGGGUUCGUAACUUGUGUGUGAAUUGUUAUGUUUUCUAAGAACCUUGUUUUUAAACUAAGUUCCAAGAGUAAGUUUGUCCUAUAAAACUCUAUUUUUUUUUAAGUUUUGAUACUCUGUUUUCAAGAUAUGUUUUUAAGUUAUGUUUUAAAUAUGUUUUACACGUGCUCCUAUGCGAGCCUAUAUUUUAAAAGCAUGUUUUAAAAGUACAAUUUUAUAAGCUAUGUUUUUAUGAGUUCUUUAUGUCAGCUCUAUGUGAUAAGUUUUUGUGCGAGCUUAUAUGUUGGAUAUAUUGGUAUACCAAAGGAUUAGGGGUACUCACCUAUAAGUUCUAUGGUUGGGCAUUGAGGCCUUAGGACAUGUGGAGAGAUAAGGGAAUGUCGAGCUAUGCUCCAUUCAAUGGGACAUGUUAGUGUACAAGAGAGUGUUUAGCUUUACGCUACACUUAUGAGACAUGCUAAGGACUCUUUGAGUUAUUCUGAGGCUUUUUAAGGAGAUCCACAUAUUCAACAAACCAAAACAAGACAAGAUAAAAUAUGAUAAGUAAGUUAAGACAAGUGCGAGAACAUAUUUUAUGUUCUUCAGCCAUUCCAAUAAGACAAGUAUGUGAGCAUGUUUCAUGUCAUAUAAGAUCCGUUUUUAAACUUGAACAAGCUAAGUUUUAAGUAUGAGUUUGAGUAAGUAAUGCGAAACUGUUUUCAAACUUAUAUGACUUUAUGACAAGUAAGUUCUACGAACUAGGUCUCGUAUCUUCACCUUAAACCUAGCACGAGAUAUAAUUUUUUAGACUAAGUAUUAUUCCUAUUUUAAACUCUGUAUUUUAAGCAUACUCUGAUGAUUCAUGAUUAUUCAAUGAGUUCAUAAUGAACUCACCCACUCCUCUCUUGCUUCGUAGGAAGGUAGGUUGACUUGCAAGGCUCAUCCCUGAACAGAUAUUGAUGAACCUGGAAAAGAGGCAAUGGGGUUUUAUUUAUGUGAGUUUAGAUUUACUCUAAUUUGAUUCUGUUAUUGAAACAAAUUUUUUAAAUUUUAAGUUUAUUUUUAUUUUGUAAACCUUAAAGUUAAACCUUUAUUGCUAAUUUCUUCUCAGCAUGAAUAAAAUUUGAUGUUUCAUUAAUUCUCCUUGUAUGCGUGCCAUGUUGCAUUCUUUCAAUAUUUCCAAAGUAUGUACUAAUAUCAUAUGUGUAUCAAUUUUAUUACGAAGUAUUAUUUUCUACGACCCUUGCAUAUUUCCAACCCCUAUAAGCAUGCGAACCCUUAGGUGCGAUAACCUUACUAUUUAGCGAUCUCUACCUAAGCCUGAAAACCAUUCCAUGAACGUCCCUUUUUUUGUGAAGCCCAUUUUUAUGUGAACCUUGCUUAGUGUGCAAACUUAGAAUGUAUAAGAACCAUAGAUAUUUUGCAAACCCGUGUUAUUGUGAGAACUCAUGCUUUAUACUGUACUACGAACUCAUAUGUUAUUUUGUUAUGCAAACCUAUGUUGUAUGAUGUAUGCAAACAUAAGUUGUGGUGUGAACCUUAAUAAUAACUUCUAUGUGCUGAUAAUUAUUUUUUAAAAUAUGUAUAUUAAAUACCCUGUUUAUAUCUUGCAUGCGAAUCUUACGUUUUUUGUCAGUUGACAUGCGAACCCUUCCUAUAUUUAUUUGAUAAGCUCGCAUGUUUUACACUCUAUGAAUGAUAUUAUUCUGUUUCGAUGCUAAACCUAUCAUAAUAUAUGUUGUAAGUAAGUGGUGUGAUGGAGGUUAGGUUGGGAGUCAAUGGAGAGUCAUUUUGAUGGCUAAUGUAGCUUUCCAAAUUCAUGUUUAACCUACUCAGCUGUGUUUGGGGUGUUACAGUGGAUACCAAACUCAUCUGGUAGCUCUUGCAUUCCAUGCAUCAUCAUUUUUCUCCAUUGUCAACCGUCUUGGUCCAUCCAACAAUCAACUUUCUUUCCAGGGUCUUUCCAUUUUUCGCGCUACUACGACCCUUUGUUACCUACACACAUCUAACUCAAAUUGUACCUUUUACCAAGGUUGUUAUGGGUGUUAAAAGAAAUUACGUAACAAUCCUCUAUUAAUUUUUUUCAUAUGCCGCAGUAUGCCGCAUUUUGGGAAUCAUGGCCACAUUUGAAUACUUCUAUAUCACCAUCGAUCUUUAUUAUUAACAGGUUCUUUUCAAGAUCAAUGGUUAAUCUAGAUGUAGCCAAAAAUUGUUGACCCAACACUAUAGGAAUGUCUUGAUUCUCCUCGAAGUCCAAGACAACAAAAUUGAUGGGGAUUUUAAAACCCCUACACUUAACCAAUAGUCUUCGAGUACACCUUUGCGGUAUACAAAAGACUUAUCGGCUAACUGUAGUGUAAUUUUAGUAUUUUUAAGCUCCCCCAAUCUAAGUUUUAAAUAUUCGGAUAAGGGCACCAAACCUAUGCUAGCCCCUAAGUUACAAAAGGCCUUGCUAAAAUGUUUGUUCCCUAUUUUCGUGGGAAUUGUAAAAUUUCCUGGAUCUUUUAGUUUUGGGGGUAUUUUUCAGGAAAUUAUGGUAAUAUAAGAUGCAUCGACUUUUAUUUGCUCACCUUUCUUUCCUUUUUAUGUCUAGACAUAAUUUCCUUCAAGUAGUUAACGUACUUAGGAAUCUUAUCAAUGAGCUCUAGUAGUGGAAAAUUAACAUUAAGGGAUUUAAAAAGAUUUAGAAAACUUACGAAUUCAACCUCAUCCCUUCAUUUUUUCCUCGAACCUCAAUGGAAAUAGUAUGUUCUUUGGCACUACUUUCGAGCACGGAGUAUUUUCUGGAUCAGUUACUAGUUCGAAUCUUUUCUCUCUGUGGACUUCUAUUUUUGACUCAUCAAGGUUUUGGUCUUCUGUCUCGACCUCCUCAUCAUCCAUAUUAAUGGGUCUUUCCAAGUUUACUAAAGUUUUUCUCGAACAAAGUGAGAUUGCAUUUACAUGCUUUUUUCUGUCCCUCUGGGGAUUAUUUUCAGUAUUACUCGGAAUACACGUGCCCAUUUUCCUCUGCAUCUCAUUCAACAUGCUCACGAUAUUGUGCAUCUCUUCCUUUAAUCUGAAAACAUUGGUAUGAUUUUAUAUGCAUUUGGUCUUUACAUGUUGAAUGUUGGGUCUUAUGAGUUGCAUCUCAUUUUCAAACCGAUCCAAGUGUUGACCACAACCAACAUGGUCAUUACUCAUGGAUCUCUCUUACGAUCUUUGCAAAUGCGGUGGUUGAUGUGGAGGGUUUAUUCAAUUUGGAGCUAGGUUUCCACUACCUUGAUUACCUUCCCACUUUAGAUUCAGAUGGUCCUUUUGUAACACCUGAAUUUGGGCUUAGAAGUUUUGGGCCUUGAGCAUGGGAGCGAUUGAAGGCAGCUUAUAAUAUUUUGUUGUGCAUGUAAAUUUCAUUAAUAAAGGCUUGUUUUAGUGGUUAAGUGUGCUGAGAAGUGUUGGAGAAGUCCUGGGUUCAAACCUGAACUCUAGCAAAAAUUUUGGUUUAAGGUGAAUUAAACCCUAGGUGUAGUAGGUAGGCCUUAAGAAUAUUGUUGGAGAAAUUGUGACACAAAAAGCCUUGUGGUCUAGUGGCAAAGUAGCGCCACAUAAGAGGCAGGAAGGUGGCGUCAUAGAGUUUGCAAAGAGGUCCAAGGUUCGAAACUCACGGCAAUCAAAGAGCAUUUAUUUUGCUAACAAGGGGCGGCAAGAGUUGGUGUUGAAAUUAAACACUGAUGAUGGAGGGAUCCUACAUCGGGAAGCUAACAUAAGAGUGGAUGUGAAGCUGGCUUUAAAUAGAGAGAACCAUGAGGAGAGUCAGGGUACCUUUCUUGGCUGAUCCCUUUCACUUUAUAGCGUGCUCGUUUGGUUUGGGCGUCGACAAAGAGUGCUUGGAGCGCGGAUUAACUCUAGUCUCCUAUCAGGUGUGUAUUUCUCACUACUCUAGCUGUAGGAUGGCUACUUUGGGCAUCGAUGGGCCGAAAGAGGCCAUGUGGGCCCAAUGGGCCUACGAGCCCAAUUGGAUAAGUUGUUUGAUUGUGUAGUAAAUAUUGGACUAGGCUAGGAGAAUCCCAUAUCUGUGGCUAGAUUUGGGCUAAAAGGGCCACACGAACGUGUGGGCCCAUUUGUAUUGUUAUCCCUGUUUAGAAUACUUUAGUUUACCAAAUUACCAAAAUACCUCUGAUUUGUGAAUUACUGAAAUACCCUUGACUUGUAAAAUUACCAAAAUACCCUUAGUUUACAAAAUUACCAAAAUACCCCUAGUUUGUAAAAUUACCAAAAUACCCCUGUAAGGUAGAGUUACUGAAAUACCCCUGUAGGGUAAAGUUACUGAAAUACCCCUAUAGGGUAGAGUUACUGAAAUACCCCUAUAGGGUAGAAUUACUAAAAUACCCCUAUAGGGUAGAAUUACCGAAAUACCCUUGUAGGGUAGAAAUACCGAAAUACCCCUGUAGGGUAGAAUUACCAAGAUAACCCUGCAGGGUAAAAUUACCAUUUUGCCCCUAUGGUGUUAAAUGACUAUUUUGCCCUUGUGGGCAAGUGACUGAUUUGGCUGUGUGGUUGACGGAUUUGAUUAUGAAUAUGAUGCAUGAGAUAUUGUUAUACAUGAUAUGCACAUGAUAUGUUAUGAUAUGCACAUGAUAUGCUAUGAUAUACUCAUUAUAUGCAUGGGUUGGGUUUUAUAGAAAUGGAGGAAGUGCAAAAAGGGCUUUGCCCUAGUUAUUAAAAGAGGCUAGGCCUCCAGUUAUAUGAUAAAGCAGCUAUGCUGCCAGUGGAGAGUUUGGUUGGGUGGGUUGAGCUAUUCCCCACAUAGAGAGCUUGGUUGGUACGGGUGGAGAGUAGCGGAUGGUGGGUUGAGUAGUCUCCCCAAAUGGGCUUGCAUACAUCCAUUGGUAUUACAUGUGAUAUUAAAAUGGGCCUAUGGGCCAUACCGUUUAUAGUAAAGGCUUUGGCCCAGUGAUAUGAUUUAUGAAAAGGCUUCGGCCCAGUAACCGUUAAACGAAAGGCUUCGGCCUAGUAUAUGUCGAGACUGGAUAGAGCUUUAGUCUAGAUUGUACUGAUACCGUGUUAUUCACUAUUUGUUUGUUAUUGGGAUUGGACACUGAGUUUUCAUAAACUCACCCCGUUUAUUAACCUUUCAAGCAAUUUCCAGCCUUAGACGGAUCGGAGCUGCGAGGGGCUCGAAGAUGGCCACACUACUGUUUCUGUUUCUUUUAAUUGCAAUUAGGUUCUGUUUUGGGUUUUUUAUGUAAUAAGGCCGUUGGUGGGUUUUAAUUUUUAAUUUGGAUUGUGAUUUCUUAUACUAAACUGCUAGUCUAGGAAAACUCGAGAUUUCAAAAUGGCAUGAUUUUUCUAAGGAAUACGAGGUUCCAACAACGAAGUUUUCAAAAUGCUUCCGCGAUUUUAAAUGAGGUAAUAUACCAAAGGCAAGCAAAUUGGUAAACAUUUUGAUGGGAACUGUAGUUUAAUAAUAAAUUUAGAUUCAGUAAUGGAUUUUCACCGGAAAUAUCAAAUUUGAAAAAUGGUUUGAUGUGACGCACCAGAUUCAGCCAUAAUGUCUAGGCCGAGUUUGGGUGUUACAAUUAGUGGUAUCAGAGCCAGGUUGCAACAACUAGGCUGUGGGUUUUUAACAGGUCAAAAAUCAAGAAUUUCAAAACAAAGGUAUUUUAAAUCAAUUUUUAAGAAUUUCUAUUUUCUGUGACCAAAUACAUGUUUUUUUUGUUUUUUUUUGUUUUGUUUGUUUUAAAUGGUUUGGAGAAAGAAGUGGCACACUGAAUCCCCGGCACCAAGUCUGUAGGUAUACUUUCUUUUACGUCAUGUGAUAUUGAUAUGAUGCUAUGGAUAGAACUGAGACCCUACUAUGAUACUUUAGAUAGGGUUGAGCUGUAAAACGAUAGGAUUAAGACUGUAGCUAGGCUACGACAUUGCGAAACUAAUCCUUGAACUGCUAUAUUUCCAUAAGACAUCUCGUAAUAAACAAUUGAAAUAUUAAACUAAUGUCAUAAAAUUCGUAAUCAGAUAAUUCGAUAUGAGUACAAGAGGAACUCGUGGACGAGGCCGUUGACGUGGUCGCAGAAGGGUGGAAGCUGAAUCUUCAUCCUCAAGGCAUAGGCCAGCUGAGGAGGCAUUCGUGCCACAGGCAACUGAGACUGGGUCAUAUGAUCGGGCUGCGGGGGACAAUGCUUUGUCCCAAGCAAUGUUAAGGAUUUUGGAAAGGGUUGCUGAAGCUAGUACCGGGACAACAAAUAGGGGAUCCAUCUCUGAGCGACUCUGGGCUAACGAACGGAGGUUUUUAGGGGCGUAUCUUGAGUAGCCCCAAAUAUGGCUGAAUAUUGGCUAGAGGCAACAGAGCGGAUUAUGGACGACCUAGAUUGGUCUGUGGAGCAAAAGCUGAAAGGGGCCGUGUCGUUGCUAUGAGAUGAGGCAUACCGGUGGUGGAUCACUAUAAGAGAGAGUACCCCGAUCGAAUGAGUAACCUGGGAACUGUUCUAGACUGCUUUUAAGGGGAGGUAUGUUGGAGCUAGUUAUGUGGAUGCCCGUUGAAAGGAAUUUUUGAAUCUAGCUCAGGGAAAUAAGACUAUUGCGGAGUAUGAGGCGGAAUUCUUAAGGCUGAGUCGAUAUGCUAGCGGGAUAGUUGCGAUCGAAUAUGAGCGCAAUGUUCGGUUCGAGGAUGGCCUCCGCGAUGAACUUAGGGUGCUGAUAGCUCCACAGAGGGAGCGUGAUUUUGUUGCGUUGGUAGAGAAGGCUAAGAUAGCCAAGGAAGUAAAACAAACUGAACGGCAGAAUCAUGAGAGGGAUCGACCCAGAUUUAGGAGGGACCCUCAGGUGUUGCAAAUAGUAAUGCUAAAAGAGCUAAAAUGGAGGAACUGGUUCGAGCAGUUCCGGUGAAUACCUUUAGACUGCAAGUUUGCAGGGACUGUGGCAGAGUACAUAUGAGGCAGUGCUGGAAACGAACUGAGGCAUGUUUCUGAUGUGGGUCAAAGGAACAUAAGUUCAGAGAGUGUCCUCGGAGAGUAGCUCAGGAUCAAGAUGCAGAGCAAAGAGGUGUCCAACAGCUGCGAGGAGGACCACCACCACAGAGAGGCCGUGGGCAAAGUACGAAAACUCAGUUCUCAUCAAAACAUUUACCAAUUUGUUUGCCUUCGGUAUAUUACCUCAUUUAAAAUCGCGGAAGCAUUUUGAAAACUUUGUUGUUGGAAGCUCAUGUUCCUUAGAAGAAUCAUGCCAUUUUGAAAUCUCGAGUUUUCCUAGAUUAGCAGUUUAGUAUAAGAAAUCACAAUCCAAAUUAAAACUUAAAACCCACCAACGGCCUCAUUACAUGAAUUAAAAACCCAAAACGAAAUCUAAUUGCAAUUAAAAGAAAUAAAAAUAGUAGUGUGGCCAUCUUCGAGUCCCUCGCAGCUCUAAACCAUCUAAGCUUAGGGAUUACCUGCACAGUUAGAAAUGGGGUGAGUUUACGAAAACUCAAUGUGUAAUCCCAAUAACAAAAAAAUAGUGAAUAACACGGUAUUAGUACAAUCUGGGCCAAAGCCCUAUUCAUUCUCGACUUAUACUGCGCCGAAGCCUUUCGUUUAACGGUUACUAGGCCGAAGCCUUUUCAUAAAUCAUAUCACUGGGCCGAAGCCUUUACUAUAAACGGUAUGGCCCUUAGGCCCAUUUUAAUAUCACAUGAAAUACCAAUGAAUGUAUGCAAGCCCAUUUAGGGAGACUACUCAACCCACCAUCUGCUACUCUCACCCGUACCAAUCAAGCUCUCCAUGUGGGGAAUAACUCAACCCAUGCAACAUGUCAUGUAUGCAGAAUGUCAUGCCCAUAUUUGAAUCAAACAAUCAUAGUCAAGUCAUUCAUAUCACCAACAUAUAUUCACAAUCAAAUCCGUCAACCACACAGUCCAAGUCAGUCACUUGCCCACAAGGGCAAAAUAGUCAUUUAACACCCUAGGGGCAAAAUGGUAAUUUUACCCCACAAGGGUAUCUCGGUAAUUCUACCCUACAGGGGUAUUUUGGUAAUUCUACCCUACAGGGGUAUUUCGGUAAUUCUACCCUACAAGGGUAUUUUAGUAAUUCUACCCUACAGGGGUAUUUCAAUAAUUCUAUCCUACAAGGGUAUUUCAAUAUUUCUACCCUACAAGGGUAUUUCGAUAAUUCUACCCUACAGGGGUAUUUCAAUAAUUCUACCCUAUAGGGGUAUUUCGGUAUUUCUACCCUACAAGGGUAUUUCAGUAUUUCUACCCUACAAGGGUAUUUCGAUAAUUUUAUAAAUCGAGGGAAAAAUGGUAAUUCUGUAAAUUAAGGGUACUUUAGUAAUUUUACAAGUCAAGGGUAUUUCAGUAAUUUUACAGGUCGAGGGUAUUUCAGUAAUUUCCCAAAUCAGGGGGUAUUUUGGUAAUUUUACAAACUAGAGGUAUUUUGGUAAUUUUAUAAACUAGGGGUAUUUUGGUAAUUUUACAAACCAGGGGUAUUUUGGUAAUUUUAUAAACCAAGGGUAUUUUAGUAAUUUGGUAAACUAAAGUAUUCUAAACAGGGAUAACAAUAAGAAUGGGCCUAAAGCCUAUUCUAAGCCCAAAUGGGCCCACACGCUCGUGUGGCCCUUUUAGCCCAAAUCUAGCCACAAAUAUGAGAUUCACCUAGCCUAGUCCAAUAUUUACUACACAAUCAAACAACUUAUCCAAUUGGGCCUGUAGGCCCAUUGGGCCUACAUGACCCCUACGCCGCUCAAAUAGCAAAAUAAAUACUUCAUUGCGCAUCCUAAGACUUGAACCUUAGACCUCACAAUUGCGCAACACGCCACCUUGCCACUCCACCACAGCUCUUUCUGUGUUAAAAACGUCCAUAAUUAACUUUAAGACAUAUGUACCAGCAUCCAGAUUCACUUAAGAGAAAAACCAAAAUGAAUUGUAAGAGCCAAGACUUGAACUCAAUCUCCGUUGCAACCUUAAUGACGCCACAACAACUAGACUACAAGCUUCCUUGUGUCAUUUAUUUAACACAAUAAUUUAAAAGGCCAUCAUCCAACCAGGGUUUUAUUCACUUAUUACCAAAAUUUUUGCUAAAGCCUAGGUUUGAACCCAAGAUUUCUCCAACACUUUUCAGAGCCAUUAACCACCAAAGCAGACAUUUAAUUGUGUCAUUUCACUGCACAAUUAAAUACCUACAUAUAACCUCCUUAUGGACCCACACUCAAGGCUCAAUACUUCUAGGCCCAAAUUCAGGGUGUUACAAUUAAAUGUAACACCCCAAACCCAGCCUAGACGUUAUGGCCGAAUCUGGCGUGUCACAUCAAACCAUUUUUCAAAUUUGACCGUUCUGGUGAAAAUCCAUUACUAAAUCUAAAUUCCUUUAUUAUUAUUAAACUAAAGUUCUCAUCAAAAUGUUUACCAAUUUGUUUGCCUUUGGUAUAUUACCUCAUUUAAAAUUACGGAAGCAUUUUGAAAACUUUGUUGUUGGAAGCUCAUGUUCCUUAGAAGAAUCAUGCCAUUUUGAAAUCUCGAGUUUUCCUAGACUAGAAGUUUAGUAUAAGAAAUCACAAUUCAAAUUAAAACUUAAAACCCACCAACGGCCUUAUUACAUAAAUUAAAAACCCAAAGCGAAAUCUAAUUGCAAUUAAAAGAAACAGAAACAGUAAUGUGGCCAUCUCCGAGUCCCUCGCAGCUCGAAACCAUCUAAGCUUAGGGAUUACCUACACAGUUAGAAACGGGGUGAGUUUACGAAAACUCAGUGUGUAAUCCCAAUAACAAACAAACAGUGGAUAACACGGUAUCAGUACAAUCUGCGCCAAAGCCCUAUUCAUUCCCGACCUAUACUGGGCCGAAGCCUUUCGUGUAACGGUUACUGGGCCGAAGCCUUCUCAUAAAUCAUAUCACUAGGCCAAAGCCUUUACUGUAAAUGGUAUGGCCCAUAGGCCCAUUUCAAUAUCACAUGACAUACCAAUGAAUGUAUGCAAGCCCAUUUGGGGAGACUACUCAACCCACCAUCCGCUACUCUCCACCCGUACCAACCAAGCUCUCCAUGUGGGGAAUAACUCAACCCGCCCAACCAAACUCUCCACUGGCAGCAUAGCUGCUUUAUCAUAUAACUGGAGGCCUAGCCUCUUUUAAUAACUGGGGCAAAGCCCUUUUUGAUAAACUGGGGCAAAGCCCUUUUCGGUAAACUGGGGCAAAGCCCUUUUAGCACUUCCUCCAUUUUUAUAAAACCCAACCCAUACAACAUGUCAUGUAUGCAGAAUGUCAUGCCCAUAUUUGAAUCAAACAAUCACAGUCAAGUCAUUCAUAUCACCAACAUAUAUUCACAAUCAAAUCCGUCAACCACACAGUCCAAGUCAGUCACUUGCCCACAAGGGCAAAACAGUCAUUUAACACCCUAGGGGCAAAAUGGUAAUUUUACCCCACAAGGGUAUCUCGGUAAUUCUACCCUACAGGGGUAUUUCGGUAUUUCUACCCUACAAAGGUAUUUCAGUAAUUCUACCCUACAGGGGUAUUUUAGUAAUUCUACCCUAUAGGGGUAUUUCGGUAAUUUUACCCUAUAAGGGUAUUUCGGUAAUUCUACCCUACAGGGAUAUUUCAGUAAUUCUACCCUAUAGGGGUAUUUUAAUAUUUUACAAAUCAAGAGUAUUUCGAUAAUUUCACAAAUCGAGAGUAUUUUCGUAAUUUUACAAGCCAGGGGUAUUUUGGUAAUUUUACAAACCAGGGGUAUUUUAGUAAUUUUACAAACUAGGGGUAUUUUGGUAAUUUUACUAAUCGAGGGUAUUUUGGUAAUUUUGUAAACUAAGGGUAUUUCAGUAAUUUUAUAAAUCGAGGGUAAAACGGUAAUUCUAUAAAUCGAGGGUAAAACAGUAAUUCUAUAAAUCAAGGGUAAAAUGGUAAUUCUAUAAAUCAAGGGUAAAACGGUAAUUCUGUAAAUCGAGGGUAAAACGGUAAUUCUGUAAAUCGAGGGUAAAAUGGUAAUUCUGUAAAUCGAGGGUAAAAUGGUAAUUCUAUAAAUCGAGGGUAAAACGGUAAUUCUGGAAACGAACUAGGGCAUGUUUUCGAUGUGGGUCAAAGGAACUUAACUUCAGAGAGUGUCCUCGGAGAGCAGCUCAGGAUCAAGAUGCAGAGCAAAGAGGUGUCCAACAGCCGCGAGGGGGACCACCACCAUAGAGAGGCGUGGGCAAAGUAAGGGGGUGGUAAUGGUAAUGGACGUGGAUGUGGGGCACCUGGCAGGGGUGUUGGACAUGUUGAAGCUCGACAGCCGGUGUUGGUUUAUGCUGUACGGCGUCGUGAGGAGGGUGAUCCUCCUGAUGUUAUAACUGGUACGUUUUUCAUUCAUAGCACGCCUUACACUGCAUUGAUUGAUGUGGGUUCCACUCAUUUGUAUGUUGCCAGUAAUGUAUCUGGGGCAUUGGGUGAGCUUCCUAAGGAGACUGUGAGUGGGGUAUCGGUGAUAAGUCCUUUAGGACACUCGGUUAAGGUAGAUAAACUCUUUAGGGAGGUGCCCUUAGAGACACAAAAUAGGAUAUUUGUAGGAGAUUUGAUGGAGCUGCCAUUUGGGGAUUUUGAUCUUAUUUUGGGAACGGACUGGCUAACUAAGCAUAGGGCGACGUUGGAUUGUGCUGUUAAGAGAAUGGUGUUAAGAACUGCCAAGGAUGAGGAGAUAAUGGUCAUAGGGGAAUGAAGGAACUAUUUGUCCAAUGUUGUCUCGGCUUUAAGGGCUGAGAAGUUGAUUCAGAAAGGUUGUGAGGCAUUUUUAGCAUUUGUGAGUCAAGCUGAACCUGAGGGGACGACUGUGGAGUCAGUUAGGACCAUCAAAGAAUUUCAAGAUGUAUUUUCGGAGGAACUUCCUGGACUACCUUGGAACAGAGAAGUCGAGUUCGGAAUCGACUUGUUACCUGGAAUCGACUCCAAUGUCCACUGCACCUUAUCGGAUGGCACCAAAGGAGUUGGUGGAACUGAAAGCUCAGAUCUAGGAACUAUUGGAUAGAGGGUUUAUAAGACCAAGUGUUUCUCCGUGGGGCGCAACGGUGUUGUUCGUAAAGAAGAAAGAUAGGACCAUGUGGAUGUGUAUUAACUAUCGGCAGUUGAACAAACUGACGAUCAAGAACAAGUAUCCUUUGCCAAGAAUUGACGAUCUGUUCGACCAACUAAGAGGAGCCUCGGUAUUUUCUAAGAUUGACCUUCGUUCAGUAUAUCAUCAGUUGAGAGUCAAAGAAGAGGAUAUUCAUAAGACGGCAUUCAGAACUCGAUAUGGUCAUUACAAGUUUCUGGUUAUGCCCUUUGGUCUGACUAAUGCACCGGCAGCAUUCAUGGAUUUGAUGAAUCGGGUAUUUCAACCAUACUUGGAUCAGUUCGUAGUCAUUUUUAUCGAUGAUAUCUUAGUGUACUUGGAAACGGAAGAGAAGCAUGAUGAGCAUCUUCGUAUUGUGGUGCAAGUGCUGAGGGAAAAGCAACUCUAUGCAAAGUUCAGUAAGUGCGAAUUUUGGUUGAAUGAAGUAACUUUCUUGAGGCAUGUUAUGUCUGCUGAGGGGAUUAAGGUAGACCCUCGGAAGAUUGAGGCAAUUUUGGAGUGGAAGCCACCGAGGUCAGUAAUAGAAAUCCAGAGUUUUCUGGGGUUGGCAGGUUACUAUCGAAGAUUUGUGGAAGGAUUUUCUGUGUUGGCAGCGCUGUUAACGAAACUUAUAAGGAAGAGAGCACUGUUUGUUUGGACAAGUAAGCAGUAAGAGGCCUUUAAGAAGUUAAAGAAGGUUCUGACUGAGGCAUCAGUAUUGAUUCAGCCAGAGUCUGGUAAGGAUUUCACUGUGUACAGUGACGCGUCAUAUGUAGGUUUGGGCUGCGUGUUGAUGAAAGAGGGUAAAGUGGUCACUUAUGCUUCACGACAGCUUAAGUCUCAUGGGGUAAACUAUCCUACUCAUGACUUGGAGUUGGCAACGGUGAUCUUUGCGCUUAAGAUAUGAAGGCACUACUUGUAUGGAGAAAGAUGCAUUAUCUAUAUGGAUCAUAAGGGUCUUAAGUACUUGCUGACUCAAAAGGAGCUGAAUCUUAGGCAACAAAGGUGGAUAGAGUUGUUAAAGGACUAUGACUGUUCGAUUGAGUACCAUCCGGGUAAGGCAAAUGUCGUGGCUGAUGCGUUAAGUCGAAGGACUGUGGCGGAAUUGAGGACAAUGUUUUCUCGUUUAAGCUUGUUUGACGAUGGAAGUUUAUUGGCAGAAUUACAAGUGAGACCGACUUGGGUGGAGCAGAUUAAGAAGCAGCAAUUAGUGGAUGAGUCGUUGGUUUCUCGGUUGCAGCAAGCUGAGAAAGGGGAGAAUCUAGACUUUGGAUUAAAUAGUGAUGGGGUUCUUUGUUUUCGAGGAAGAAUUUGUAUGCCAAAGGACUCUGAUUUGAGGUUGAUGAUCCUGAGAGAGGCUCAUGGUGGACCUUGUGCUAUGCAUCCAGGAGGGAGUAAGAUGUACCAAGGCUUGUGAGAGCUAUAUUGGUGGCCUGGGCUUAAGCGAGAAGUGACUGAAUUUGUGGGAAAAUGUUUGACGUGUCAACAAGUAAAGGCCGAGCCUCAACUGCCUUCAGGAUUGUUACAACUAGUGAAGAUACCAUUUCAGAAAUGGGAAAGGGUAACCAUGGAUUUUGUGAGUGGUCUGCCAUUGACACCUUCAAAGAAGGACUCAGUUUGGGUGAUUGUGGAUAGAUUGACGAAUCUGCCCAUUUCAUACCUGUCCGAGUCGAUUAUUCACUUCAAGAGGUUGGCCAAGUUGUAUGUGGUGGAGAUAGUGCGGUUGCAUGGGGUGCCAGUAUCGAUAAUUUCUGACCGAGACCCUAGGUUUACAUCUUGGUUUUGACAGAAGUUGCAUGAGGCGUUGGGAACACGAUUGGAUUUUAGUACGGCUUUCCACCCUCAGUCGGAUGGGCAGUCAGAGAGGGUCAUUCAGAUCCUAGGAGACAUGUUGAGAGGUUGUGUUAUUGAUUUUAGGGGCAGUUGGGAGGAUUACUUGCCAUUGGCGGAGUUCGCGUAUAACAACAGUUACCAAGCAAGUAUUCAGAUGGCUCCUUACGAGGCACUGUGUGGGCGAAGGUGUCGUUCGCCUACUUGUUGGACAGAGUUGGGGGAAAGGCAAGUACUUGGACUAGAGUUGGUAGCAGAUACUGAAGACAAAGUUAAGGUGAUCAGGAAUCGGCUAAAGGAGGUAGCGGAUCGACAAAAGUCUUUUGCUGACCUAAAGCGUAAGGAUAUUGAGUAUGCUGUAGGGGACAUGGUCUUUUUGAAGGUUUUGCCGUGGAAGAAGAUUUUGAGGUUUGAUAAGAAGGGCAAGUUAAGUCCAUGGUUCAUCGGGCCUUAUCGGAUCCUUAAGCGGACAGGGUCGGUGGCUUAUCAGCUAGAGUUAACUCCAGAGCUGGAUCAUAUUCACGACGUCUUUCAUGUGUCCAUGCUAAGGCGAUAUCGUUCUGACCCUACUCAUAUCGUGCCAGUUGCAGAAAUUGAGGUAUAGUCAGAUUUGACCUUCGAAGAAGAACCUGUGCAGAUACUUGAUCGCGACGUCAAGGUGCUGAGAAAAAAGUCAGUCCCAUUGGUGAAGGUACUUUGGAGAAACCAUGGCAAAGAAGAAGCUACUUGGGAGACAGAGGAGACGAUGCGUUAAUAGUACCCUCAACUGUUUGGAUUAGGUAAAAUUUCGAGGCCAAAAUUUCUUUAAGGAGGGUAGAGUUGUAACACCCUGAUUUUUGGGAUUUUUGUAAUUCUCGAGAUUUUGGUAAAUUUUUUAAAGUUUGGUAUUUGGUUGUGAAAUCUAAAUUGGAGUAUGUAAAUGGGCUUAUGGAAGGCCCAUGUGUUGGCCAAAACCCGGUAGAAUUUUUGAAUUUUGGACUUAAGGAGUUAGGGGCAUUGGAUAGGUGGCCUUAUUAAAAGAAGUGGGUAAAAUGUAACACAAGAGAGCCCCUAGCAAAGUGGCUAAGUGACGCCACUAGGGAGCUAUAAAGGUGGUGUGUAAGUGGUUGGGGGAAGGCCAAGGUUCGAUUCACUAAGCUGGCAAUUGUGUUGUUAUUUUUAUGCCUUGAGCAUGCAGAAGUUUGAAGCCAAAUGGAACUCUGUGGAGAGAGUUUGAAUCAGUUGAAUGCUUGAAUUAAGGAGUGAUAAGGGGAGAGAUUUUAGGGAUUUAAAGGGAGGCAUAGAGUUGGCAGAAUAGUGGGGAUUAGGGAGGAGAAAUCGGCUUGGGGAUUUUGAGGGUAGUAUUUCGGCAUUAGGGGCUGUAGUUGUGCCGAUUUUCUUCUGUUAAACACCAUAGAGUCAUUCUUUUCUUCCAUUUUCCUCUCUAGUCAAAAACACCACUCUCUUCAUCCAGUUUCUUUCUCUUUUAUUGCCAAAACCAAACCAAUACUCCCUUUCUUUUCAUCUACUACUUCCUUUCUUUUCAUCCCCCUUGCCGAAUCGUCACAAGAACCGAAACCUUUGAAGGUUGGUUGUGCCGUAUGCUUUUAGACCAGCAUCUUUUCUGUUCUCCUUAUUUUUGGUGACCGACCCUUUCAUCUGGUAAGUACUUGUUUUCCAAACCGUUUUAGUGGUAAAUAUUGAGAAAAGCCGAAACCCCCUAUGGUUUAGGGAGGUUAUCGAUUUGAAGUAUAGGCCUUAUGGGGGCCUUUCCUUUUGACCUGUAUGGUUUGUGUAGUAAAAUAGAUAACUUUGGAGGAGCAGUAAGGCUUGGAGUAUUAGUUUUGGAUAAGCUUGAAUAGAAUCGUCGGACCCUGUGAAGGUAAGGGAUCUAUGGCUACUAGGGAUUCCUUAGCCGAAUAUGGUAAGGUGGACUUUGGGUUUGAUUGCUUGAACUGUAAACUAAGUAUGGUGAUGUUUAAUUGUAGGUUGUUGUGGGAGACCUUGUUAGUGAACGUCACAAAGCAGGUGUGUCAUAACCCCCGUAAGAUCUUAGAUUAAUAUUCGCUGAAAAGCCGAAAUGCUUAAAUCCGGCAUUUUAGAGACUUGAGAUUUUGCAUGUGGUUUGAGAUGCGAUAGAUACGACAUGGUCGGUGUUGGGAUCAAUGGAACAGGUAAGAGCGCAAAUUUUGUGCACGUUGGUAAGUUGGGCUUCAAGGGGCUGGAAUUGGGCCCAAUGGGCUUUCGGGCCAUUUGGGUAAAAUUGAUAGAUAAUGGAAAUUGGAAAAAGUUGCACAUUAACACGGUGAGUACUGUUGUAAAAUUUGGGUUAAGAGGGCUUAGUAGGCUAAAUUGGCAUUCGUAGGGCCCAUUAGGGGUUUUGGGCCCAAAAGCCCGAUUUUGUUAAAACGCAUUAAAAUCAUAGUUUAAACACUUGGAAUUUGAUAAUUGUUAAUGAACAUGGAAAACCUGUAAUAUUUGGAAAAUUUACAGAAUUACCCUUAAAAUAUGAAAAAUGACUGUUUUGCCCUAGGUAAAAAUGACCAUUAUACCCCUAGAUUUAAUUAUGAAUAUGAUGCAUGAGAUUUUGAUAUACAUGAUAUGACAUGACAUGCACAUGAUAUGUUAUGAGAUGAACAUGAUAUACUUAUUAUAUGCAUGGGUUGGGUUUGAUAUGAAUGGAGGAAGUGCAAAAUGGGCUUUGCCCUAGUUUACCGAAAAGGGCUUUGCCCCAGUUUAUCAAAAAGGGCUUUGCCCCAGUUAUUAAAAAGGGCUAGGCCUCCAGUUAUGAUAAAGCAGCUAUGCUGCCAGUAGAGAGUUUGGUUGGGUGGGUUGAGUUAUUCCCCACAUGGAGAGCUUGGUUGGUACGGGUGGAGAGUAGCGGAUGGUGGGUUGAGUAGUCUCCCCAAAUGGGCUUGCAUACAUUCAUUAAUAUUACAUGUGAUAUUGAAAUAAGCCUAUGGGCCAUACCACUUACAAUAAAGGCUUCGGCCCAGUGAUAUGAAUUUUGAAAAGGCUUCGGCCCAGUGUUAUGAAUUAUGAAAGGCUUCAGCCCAGUAUAUGUUGAGACUGAAUUUGGGCUUAGGCCAGUAUGCUGAGAUUAGUUUGGGCUCUGAAAGAGGCUUGUUGCACACUGAGUUUCCAAACUCACCCCCUUCCUUAACCUUGCAAGUGAGCCUUGAUGUGGAGACUUGAAGCCGGAGGGGAUUCAGAGUGGCCGUGCUGAUCGUUUUCAAACUUUGCAAUAAGUAAUUGAUUUUUUCAAGUUUUAUCGUAGUUAUUAUUAUUAUUUGGUUUUGGGUUGUAAUAAGGCCUUUUUAUUUAUUUUUUUUGGAUUAGUUUAUUUUAUACUCUAUGUUUUAUUGUUAUUAAUCUAAAAUGGCUAGACUUAGGGUGCAUUUUCAAAAUGAUACUUGUUUCCAAAAUAAUGCAACAAUACAAUCAAUCGGUUAAUCAAAACAACUAUUUAAAUGAAUUACAACUCAAUUUUCAUACAAAACCUAAUCUCGCGCCAAAGUGUGGCAAUGGUUGUGAGCAUGUCUAGGAUUGGAUCCAAUCGAGAGCCUGGUACUUAAGCAGCCUCUAUGGCUCACCUCCUCUACUUCGGAUACCUACCUGGUGCUCAGCUUCCAUUCACUUUAGCAAAGAUGAUCUUUUAAAACACUAAGAAGGGCAUUGGAAGAGGCUUGGGUUUUCUUAAAGACUUCAAAGUGACAUGUCGGAUUCGGCCAUAACGUCUAGGCCGGGUUUGGGGUGUUACACCUUCCAACCGGGGUUGUAAGUGUUUGAAUACAGAUUUCCACCCCUAUUACCCAAAUAAUUCACUUCCUCCAAUUGGGUUUUCGAGUAUGAUGUGUAGCUUUGAGCAACAUAGUUCAUCGAUGGCCUAACAGUUGUCUCCAGAUGAUGUAAUUUCUCGAAAAUUUGUUGAUACUUUUCAUCUUCCUUGACCACCUUAGUUGUUAACAUCUUCUAGCUAUAUGAAAAGCGUUCGUUAGGCCAUAUGUAUGAGUUUAUCGCGAUGUCCUUGAUCAAUUGAUAGGCUCACUCGUAGGUGUUAUUCAUGAAGUCUUUAGCCUAUGCAACAUCUAAGUUGGAUUUCAAGCUCCUAUCCAAUCCAUCAUAAAUAAUUUCCAAUUUUAGCCAACCUUGCAUACCCUAUUGUGGGCAUUUCUUAAGCAGUGACUUGAAGAAUUCCCACGCUUCAUAUAGCAACUCACUUUCAAAUUGCUUAAAGUUAGCAAUAUCUCACCUUAAUUGGAUGGUUCGACUAAUGGGAGAAAUUUAUGUAAGAAUUUCCCCGCUAAGUCUUCCCAUGUUGCUAUGGAACCCACUCUUGGGAAUUGAGCCAUUCAUAUGCAUUGUCACAAAGCAAGAACAGAAACAACCAGAGGUAGAUCACGUUAUCAGUCACUCUGUUAUAAUUGAAAUUGUCAUACAUCUGUAGGAAUAUUUUUAAGUGUUGGUUCGAGUCUUCCAUCAUAUUAAACCAAAAUUGCAAAUUAUUUUGUAUCAUUUGAAUGGUGGUCAUCUUAAUUUAGAAAUUGUUUACAUUAAUUUCUUGACUCUCGAUACUACCUCGGACAACGUUUAAACUAGGUAGCUCAUAUUUACUCAAUGUCCUGUCUUAUCGAGCCAUCAGGGGCUCUCUUUAGAAAUAUUCUAGUGGUUUAAUGUGUUCUUCGAACAGUCGAUUUCCUCGUGGCAAGUCAACUAUUCUGGGUAGCUCAUAUUUACGCAAUGUCCUGUCUUAUCAAGUUGACGGGCUCACCUUAAUAUUCUCUCUGGUUUAAGAUCUGGCUCGAUUGGAAUGGUUCUACUUCGAGUCAUACACUAAAUUCAAAGAGAAUUUGAAAUAAAUUUAAUACAUGAAAAAUAAAAUAAAAAUAAAAUAACUGAAAACAAAAUUCGUAUCUAUAGUCCUAAAUUUUCCUAUUUAUCCUAUCAAAUAUCUCAACUUCCUUGGUAAUGAUGCAAACAACUUGACUGCCGCCAGACAUGCGAGCGUCUGGACUGGAAAUAUUGCAGCGAAUAAAUAUAUAAUUAAAUAGUGGUGUCUGCAAGUAUAUGAGUCAAAUUGUAAUAUAGUCAAGAAUGCUACAGCGAAACACUCUAGGAAGCAUUCAGAGGAUCACAACCAAGGGAGAUUGAAUUAAACCUAAAUUAGUUCUCUACACUAACAGGGUUGAAUAGUAAUGAUUUAAAAUUAUAUUACAAAAAACCAAAUUAAAAUUAAUUAAUCAAAUUGACAUAAAAUUAUCUAAACUAAAAAUCAACCAAUUAAUAAUUGAAACUAAAUCCAAUAAAACAGGUAGGAGAUCCACUCAAUUCAAUGCUCCUAAUUAACUUCAAAACUUGGGUUUUAUCAAGUUAGCUAUUAAUUGACCAGUUAUUACCUCUCGGCCUCUACCUAAUUAACUAAUCAACCAAUACACACUUACCUCUUAACCUCACUUUCUUGACUGAGACAAAUUAAUUCUCAGUAAACUUAUCUCUCGAUCUCGUUUAUCCUAAAUUACUUCCUAGGGUUUAAUCUCACAUAAUUUAAACCAACUAACUCAGAUUUAAACCCUAAUUCAUCCUUUAAUUAGUCACACAUCCCUUCGUUAAUCUCCUUAAGGAAAUUAGGUACUUAUGGAUCUAAAUACAAUAAUCCCUAAACUCAUAUUUAACAUACAAAGUAGUAAAUUAAACAAGAGAAGGAAUAAUAAAAUAAGUUUGUUACGAUGUCGAUUUGUGCUCGAAAGAUAAAUUUCCUUUAAUAGUCACAACGAUCACUUUGAUUGCAAUUGAAAUCCAAAAAGAAAUAAUGAAAAACUAUUAAAUUAAAAUCUUGGAUCGAAAUUUAAUCCAAGUAAACAAGAAUAAAAAGUAUUUAAAGAACUAAAUUGAAAAAAAUAAAAACUAAGGUAAAACCCUAAAAAUAUCUAAGUGGCUCACGUAGCCAAGACCCUUAAAAUGAGACUUAACAUGUUUAUUUAUAGAGUUUAUGAUUUGACCUAAUUAGGGUUUCUAAAUAGCUUAAAAAUUAGAUUAUAUUUGAUUGUGUGGAUGUAAUACCCCUAACCCUAUCCAUCGUUGGAACAGGGUUUCAGAGUAUUACCAGAACAUUCAGAAUAUUUUUCCAUUAAUUUAUGUAAAUUACUAUUCAUUUAUCGAGAUCCUACAUAUCAUCCCUUAUAUGGACCCUCGAGGCCCAAAAUUAAUGUUGGAAUCAAAUCGAGACUAAAUCGGGAACUCAGGGAAUUUUUCGCGAAAUUCUAAAAAAUUUCCUAGGUGCAGGGCUCACAUGCCCGUGUGGUCAGGCCGUGUACUACACACGCCCGUGUCCCUAACCCAUGUAACUCUAUAACUUUUAAAGUAUGAAGAAUUGAAUCCACACAACCAAGUCACACGCCCAUGUACUAGGCUGUGUGGUGAAUUUUUAUUUUCGAAAUUUAGGCUCAAUUUUCACACAGUCGUGCAACACACCCGUGUCCCAGGCCCUGUGAACCACAUGGCUGAGACACACGUCCGUGUCUCUUUCCGUGUGCCCAAUUCUGAGCAUUCUAUUUCUCAUUUUUAAGAUACAGGGGACACACGGCCAGACCACAUGCCCAUGGGACAAGCCUUGUGUCACACACGGCCAAGACACACUCCCGUGUAUCUGCCCGUGUGGACAAAAUAAGUCCAUUUACUAGCCUCAUUUGUCACCCAAAAGUUAUCAUUUUCCUGCACUAAAACUCACAAACAUAUAUCCACCAAUCCAACAUUAUAUUCGCAAGAAAUUUGACAUCAAUCAUAUAGUAUUAUCUCAUGCAUCAAUAGAUAUAAAUUUACUCAUGUCAUAAACUCAUUUGCUAACACAAUUUCAUCAAACCAACACAUAAUAAGCACUUAUGUGAUUAUCAAAACACCACUUUAAAAUAGCCAAACUUAGACCAUCAUUAGCUACUCCAAUGGCUAGGUCACAAAACAACCAUUACAAGCCAUCAUUGGCCAACUAAUCUUAUACAUGCCACUAUACCAAAAUGAGAUUUCUAUUUAUACCAAAAUGAGAUAGUGGAUAAUGUGAUGACUGCUCUGACCGACUUCCAACCUUCGCGAGCUUUGAGCACUAGAAAACAAGGAAAAUAAACGGAGUAAGCAUUUUAUGCUUAGUAAGUCUGUAUAAUGGGAAAUAAACUUAACGGUCUUAUUUAUUAACACAAGCACACAUAAAUACAUAUUCCAUCAAUUUUGGGUAAGUUACCUAAACACAUACACUUAUUCAAACAAGUUAGUCGCAUAAUCUCAUAUGAAUAUCAAGUAAACAAAGAUGAGCUAUCACAUUACAAGCUUCCAUUAAUUUUACCUUUACACUCUUAAAGAGUCUUUUCCAUUGAACUAUUGAAAUCUCGAUGGAUGUUCGGGUAAUAUACACAUGUGCAAAAGUACCCAUUGGGUACAUAAUGAAAAGGCACACCCGUGAGUCGUACAUUUUACCGUAGGAUUACCAGUCCAGGCUAAAUCCUAUCCGUAGCAUAUGCUCUAAAGAGCUUAAUAUGGAUUACCAUUUGGGCUAAAUCCAAUUUAUAACCUAAAUUAAGAGGGCUUACAUUAGAAUUACCUAUCCGAGCUAAAUUCUAUUUGCAACAUAUGCACUAUUAUUUUCAACCCAUCAAAAUUCAACAUUCGACCGGAACACGAUAAUUUGUCCAUAUAACACAACUUAAAACUAUUUCAUUAUGUAUAUAUCAUCUAACACAUAACAACACAAUCAUACAAUUCAAUUCAAGCAUAUUAACAUACAUUUUUAAGUUACACGAACUUACCUUGAAAAUGGUUCGUUUUUUAAUUUCAAUUAAUUCGAAACAUUUUGCUUUCCUCGAUCAAGUUUUGUAGUUGGUCUUUCUAGAUCUAUAUGGAUAAAUUUAAUUAUUAAUAUAUCACAUUUCAUAUACAUUCGCAUUCUAUUGCAUCCUAGGCAAAAUUACCAUUUUGCCCCUAUCUUUUUCAAAAAUUUCGAUUUCGUCCUUAGGCUUGGAAAAUGAAAUUCAUGAAAUUUAACCCUCUUUCCAAGCCUAGCCAAAAUUUAUAAACAACAUUUACAGCACACAUUUUUCACAAAUUUCACAAUUUUCCAUGGGUUUUUACCAUUUUUCGUUUUAGUCCCUAAAUCAAGUUUUCAUCAAAAAUUGCUUUGUAAAAGUUAUUUAUCUAUGAAUAACUUUUAAUUUUCUACCAUAAAUUUCUUUUUACAGCAUAUUCAUCCAUGACCUAAAUUUCAUACUUUGAUAACUUUGCAAAUUAAUCCCCUAAAUAGAGAUAUUAGACUAUCUUGGUUUCAAAAAUAUAAAAAUCAUUAAAAAUGGGACUUGAUUUCAUACCUUUUCAAGCUUGGUAAGUUGUAUUCCUCUCUCCUAGGGUUUCCAUAGAAAUUUUGAGGAAGAUGAUAUGAAAUUAGAUGAAUAUUUAUUUUUAUUUAAUUUCCAUCUUUUAAUUUUAGUGAUUUCCAAUUUAGUCCCUUACCUUUUCUAAUUUUUCCAUGGAUGAGUCAUUAAAAUAUCUAUUAACUACUCUUCAAUGGUCUAAUUACCAUAUAAGGACCUUAAUUUUCAGAUUCUAUAGCUAUUUGGUUCCUAUAGCUAUUAGAAUCCAACUUUUUCAUUUCAUGCAAUUUAGUCCUUUACCUAAUUAACCACACAAUCGAUAAAAUUUUUAUAUCAAAAUUUUCAUGUGACCUUCCCAUCAUGAUGCAAACCAUAAAAUUUUUUUUAACUCAAAUUUAUGGUCCUGAAAUCACUAUUCUGACCUCACUAAAAUUAGGUUGUUACAACUCUCCCCACUUAAAAAUUUUCGUCCUCAAAAAUUCUUACCAGAAAAAAAAUUAGGGUAUUGCUUCCUCAUAGUAUCCUCCGGCUCCCAGGUAGCUUCCUCUAUCCAUGCUGUUGCCAGAGAACCUUCACCAAUGCCACCUUUUUAUUUCUUAGCUUUUUCGUCUCAUAUGCCAGUAUUUUAAUCGGUUCCUCAUUGUAAGUCAUAUCAGGCUGAAUCUCAACUACUUUUGGAUUAAUAACAUGUGAAUGAUCCAAUUGAUAUCGUCGUAACAUGGACACAUGAAAUACAUUAUGAAUUUUAUCAAGCUUCGGUGUUAAUGCUAACCAAUAUGCAAUAGGCCCGAUUCUUUCAAUAAUCUCAUAUGGCCCGAUGAACCAUGGACUCAGUUUUCCUUUAUGUCCAAACCGGGGAGCCUUCUUCCAAGGUGAGACUUUCAAGAAUACUUUAUCACCAACCUGAAAUUCUAUCUUUUUUUUUUAAAAAUUGGCUUAAGACUUUUGAUGGUUCGAGGCCGCUUUCAAACUGUCCUUAAUUAUCUUCGCCUUUUCUUCAGUCUCUCGGAUGAAGUCAACUUAAGGUAUCUUUUUCUCACUUAAAUUUGUUCAAUACGAUGGAGUUCUACAUUUGAGACCAUAUAGAGCUUCAUAUGAUGCCAUUUUAAUACUGGAUUGAAAACCAUUAUUGUAAGCAAAUUUAAUCAAAGGCAAGUAUUUUUCCCAGUUACCUCAAAAUUCAAGUACACAACACUGAAGCAUGUCUUCUAAAAUUUGUAUCACACGUUCAAAUUAUCCAUCUGUUUAAGGAUGGAAUGCAGUACUAAAGUGUAAAUGAGUGCCCAGAGCUUCAUGCAACUUACCCCAAAAUCGAGAUGUAAAUCGAGGGUCUCUAUUUGAGAUAAUGGAGAUUGGCACUCCGUGUAGCCUUACAAUCUCAGAGACAUAUAAUUCAGCCAACCUGUCCAAUGAAAAAUCCAUACGUCUCGAGAUAAAGUGUGAUGACUUCAUUAAAUGAUCGACAAUUACCUAGACAACAUCUUUCUUUUUCGGGGAUAAAGGUAAUCCCAUUACAAAGUCCAUGGUAACUCUUUCCCAUUUCCACUCCAGUAUUGUAAUUGGCUAUAGUAAUCUGAAGGUACUUGAUGUUUGGCCUUUACUUGUUGACAUAUCAAGCAUGUCGAUACAAAUUCAAAAAUAUCCCAUUUCAUUCCCGGCCACCGAUACAUUCUUUUCAAGUUACUAUACAUCUUAUUACUACCAGGAUGUAUAGACAUGUUGCCAUUAUGAGCUUCAUUCAAAAUCUUCUGUAUCAGUUCUAAACUUUUUAGUACACUUACUCUGUCUCUAAAUAAUAAACAACCAUGGGUCCUGAUCUAAAAUUCUGAGUCAAGAGUCGAUUCACUUUGUAUACGUUUCGCUUGCAGCUUAUAAUCAUUUUUCUGAGCUUCAAAGAUUUGUUGCAUAAACGUCUAUCUAAAUUUUAACUUAGCUAUGAGUGAACCAUCAUCAGAUAAAGACAACUGAGUGUUCAAUGCCCGUAAGGUAAACAAGGAUUUUCGGCUCAAAGUAUCUUCCAUUACAUUAGCUUUCCCCAGAUGGUAAUCAAUCACGAGAUCAUAAUCUUUCAAUAAUUCCAACCAUCUAUGUUGUCUCAAAUUCAGUUCUUUCUGUGUCAUUAAAUACUUCAAACUUUUGUGAUCUGUAAAGAUGUGACAUUUUUCACAAAAAAGAUAAUGCCGCCAUAUUUUUAAUGCAAAAAAAAAUAGGUGCUAAUUCAAGAUUGUGUACUGAGUAAUUUCUUUCAUGUGGUUUUAGCUGCCUAGAUGCAUAAGCCACUACUUUACCAUCUUGUAUCAAUACACAUCCUAUUACAUUCAACAAGGCAUCGCUAUAAACUAUAAAUUCCUUACUCGAUUUAGGUUGAACUAAUAUGGACGCUUCUGUCAAUAAAGCUUUCAAUCUAUCAAAACUCUGCUGGCAUUUAUCAGUCCACUUGAAUUUCACUUCUUUUUGCAACAAUCGAGUCAACGGAGAAGCUAUCAUUGAAAACCCUUUAACAAAUCUCUGAUAGUAUCUUACUAGUCCCAGAAAACUUCUAACUUCUGAAACAUUCUUCGAUGGCAUCCAACUUACAAUAGCUAAAAUUUUGUUCGGGUCCACCCGAAUGCCCUCUGUCGAUGCAACAUGUCCAAGGAAACUAACUUCUCAUGGCCAGAAUUCACAUUUCCUAAAUUUAGCAUACAAUUAUUUCUCACACAGAGUUUGCAAAACAAUUCUUAGAUGUUCAGCAUGCUUAUUCACAUUUCGAAAGUAAACCAAAAUAUCAUUAAUAAAAAAACCACGAACCUAUCAAGGUAUGGUCUGAAAAUUCUUUUCAUUAAGUCCAUAAAUAUCUCCAGGGCAUUUGUUAAUCCGAAUGGCAUCACUAAAUACUCAUAAUGCCCAUAUCUGGUUAUCAAAGCUAUCUUCAGCACAUCUGAAUCUUUUACUCAUUGCUGAUAGUAACUAGAUCAUAAAUAAAUUUUCGAAAAUAUAGUGGCACCUCUUAAUUGAUCAAACAAGUCAUAUAUAUGAGGCAACAAGUAUUUAUUCUUGACUGUGACUUUAUUAAGCUAUCUGUAAUCAAUGCAUAAUCUCAAUUAUCCAUCUUUCUUCUUUACAAACAAUACCAAUGCACCCCAUGGUGAAAAGCUGGGUCAGGCAAAUCCUCAAUCAAUCAACUCUUGUAAAUGUACUUUCAACUAUUUCAAUUCAGCAGGAGCCAUUCAAUAAGGUGAUAUUGAUAUUGGCGUCGUCUCUGGCACAAGGUCUAUGGAAAAUUCCACCUCUCUAGCUGGAGGUAAACCAGGUAGUUCUUCUAGAAAUAUCUCAGGUCUAACGCCCCAGAAUUUGGGCUUAGAAGUACUGGGCCUUAAGCAAGGGAAUGGUUAGGAAAUUGCAUAUAAAAGUCCAAGAAGAUGGCAUAAAAUAAUUGUCUGCUCUGAUGGUUAAGUGAUUUGGGAGUGUCUGGGAGUAUUGGAGAAGUCCUGGGUGCAAACCUGGGCUUUAGCAGAAUUAUAAUUUUAAGUGAGUAAAACCCUGGAUGCUUGGAAAUAGGCCUUUUAAAUUAUUGUGUUAAGUAAAUGACACAAGGAAACAUGUGGUCUAGUGGUUGUGGUGUCAUUAAGGUUGCUAGGGAGCCUGGGUUCAAGUCUUGUCUCUUGCAAUUUAUUUUGGUUUUUCUUUUAAAAGAACCUGAACUUUGGCCUAUAGACAUUAUAAGACAUUAUAAAUAAUUGAGGAUAAAGUGUGACACAAAAGAGCCUAUGGCAAGGAGGCAAAUGGCAUGUUAAGCUAUUGAGAGGGGCUUGGGUUCAAAUCCCAUUGCAAGCAAAAAGGAUAUUUAUUUUGCUAUCAUGAGGUACCAGGAGUUUGAGGUGGUUUUGAACUCUAUUGGAUGAGAGUUUGAAUGGGUCUUGGAGGUUGUUAUGGAGGAUAUCAAUGAGGGAUAAGUGGAAAGAUUUGAGGAGAUUUUCAAGGGAUUUGGAGGAAAGGAGUGUUGUAGCUGAAUUGUGCAACUUCUAUGUGCAAAUUCGGCUAAGGGAACCCAUUUGGUGCACUUCGACAAUGUGAGAGUGAGUAGGUGCUGACUUCUUCUAGUAUUUUCGGGUUUUGUUUUCUUAUUUUGGCAUUUUUUUUCACCAUUCGGGUCCUCCUUUCUUUCAACAUUAUUGCUCGUUUGGCUUUUGGUCACUCUACCGGAAAUACAAGACAUCAAGUGCCUAAUUCUAAUUAUUUCUUUUUGAAGUCUUUUUCUCCCAUUCUUCUUUGGUCGAACUUAACAUCUCUCUGCUUCUAUUCUCUCUCGACCCAAUUCAACCCCUCUCCAAUCAUAUGUUGUUGUUUUUCUUCUCAGUUUCUCUAGGGUCGAAUAGUUCUUCUUCUUACUAUUUCUUUUGGUUUUUCUUCACAACUGAACUUCUCUCUCACAAUACCAUAUUCUUUUGAUACUAAGCUGAAUCUCUAUUUCUCUUCCUGUUUCCCUUCGGCUCAUAGCCUUGAACUAAAUAGCAAUCUCGUUCUUCUUUUGCUGUGGUCGGUCGCGGUUUGGAGGUCACCUAGACUUUUGGUAAGCUCUUUUUCUUUCUUGUGUUGUUGGAUGCUAAGCAUUUUCUCUUUCUUUAAUAAAUGUUUCCUUUGGUUAUUCACGCGUGGUCGAAUCCCUUUUUCCUCCCCGAUGAUGAUGGUGGUACUUUCUAUUUUUAGAUCAUUGUAAUGGGUGAAGGGGUUUGUCAAAGAUCGCAGUGGUAGUCAAUCCUUUUCUUAUCUCGCAAUCUAAGGUAAUCAUUAGGGCUAAUAUUGUAGGAUCUUAGCUAAUUAUUUUGGUGCCGGGUUCCUAAAUCUUUUGAUUUUUUCAAUCUUUUAAUAGAAUCUGUGGUCAGGCAGAUACACAAUUAAUCGGGUGAUCGAUUCUAUUAGUAGUCUAAGAAGGCUAGGGGCAUCCGAUCAAGCAAGGCUCAAGUAGGUAAUCAUUCGAUCAAGUCUUGAUUAAGAUUCUGUCAAUUCAUGUGUUAAGGUUUUAAUCGAAGUUACUGUUAUAAUAGGUUUGACAUUUGGGGGUUUCUGCGCUAUUUCGAAAAGGGUGUGUGACUGUACAUCGAAAUCCUUUACUAUCAAAGGGUCGGGAAGGUGUGUAUUUACGCCUUUCUUUGUUGGAAAUUGGAAAAAUCCGAAAAGCUAAAAUACUGGAACCUCAGUAUUCGGGGCUUCACGAGCCUGUGAAUGCACAUAGGACGAACCACGCCCCAAAUCAUGGGUAGAAGACUGCAGAGGCCACUAUGUGCGUUUUCGUGGAGUGGGGCCGUUAUGGGCCUCGAUGGAUCGAAAUGGGCCGCGUGGGCCCAAUGGGAUUAUGGGCCCACACAAGUAAAAUCUCUGUAAGUGAUCAUUGAUAAGUUGGUUUAUGAUGCUCGCAAUGUCGUAUGUGAAUCUAGACUAAAUGGGCCAUACGAGCAAGUAGGCCCACUUGGGCCCAAUAGGGGUUUUCAGCCUAUAUACACUUUCCUGGCCAUGUAGGUUAUCUGAGUCGCUCGAAGCAACGAUCGACCUUCUAGGAGGUCAUAAUAAGUAUUGAGACCCCAAUAUUGGUAAAAUGACCAAAAUACCCCUUGAGGUAAAAUCACGGUUUUACCCCUACCUAACGAGAUGUCUGUUACACCCCUAGUGGUAGGUUGACUAAUGUAUGUAUGAUAGUUAUAUGAUUGAUAUCGAGCAUGAAAUCCUAUAUUCACAUAUGUUACUAUGACAUGUCAUCCUACAUGGGGUUGGGUUAAUAUUGACGAAGGAAGUGUACGGCUCGUAGUUGUUCUGUACAAGGCUUUUGGUCUUUCUGCGAGACUUAUGGCUUAUAGCCGAUCUAUUAACUGGUAGCAUUGCUACGAUAUUUAUGGCCUGUAGCCGUUCUAUCUACGGCGUUGAGCCGUUCUGUUAACUUAGUCCCGCAAUCGGUGCUAAGCUUGAUGUGUUGGCUGGGUGGGUCGAUUUUAUCCCCACAUGGUGUGUUGGUUGGUACGGGUGGUGUAUUGGUUGGACUGGGUUGGAUAUCUGUCUGCAUAUCUGCAUCUGGUACUGAUUCUGUACUGGGCUUAGGCCCACCUGAUUCUGUUAAUGGGCUAAGCCACCUGAUACUGUUUCUGUGAUGGGCUCAGGCCAGUCUGUUUCUGCAUAUUGUAUGUCUGACUGUUUGUAUUAUAAGGGAUUACACACUGAGUUUUCGUAAACUCACCCUUCUGUCUAACUGUACAAGUAAUCCCCAACCUUAGGCGAUUUGGAGCCGCAAGAGACUCGGAGGUGGCCACACAACCGUUGAUGCUCUAUUGUAGACUUUUAUAAUUUCAAAAACAUUUAAAACAGACGUAUUUAUAUUUCAAACUUUAGUAGCUUUCGCGAUUUGAAAUAACUUAAAGUAUCAAUGUCAGGUAUUAAGUAAACAUUUUUGAUGAGAUGAUUUGCUAACCUUGAGCAAAAGGUUUUAAUCAUAGAAAUGAGCUUUUAACGACAACUCAAUUUUAGAAUGACGCUUUGAUUAACACACCAGAUUCGGCCAUAACAUCUAGGCCGAGUUUGGGGUGUUACACUAGGAAACUCACAAACAACCGGUACUGACUGGAUUUUAAACUUUGAUUGUAACUACCCGAUUUAGACCCUAGUCAAAAUAGUGGCUUUGGGACACCAAAUCCGAGUCAAAAAAUAUUUUAAUAUUAUUUUUCGUGCUUAUUAUAUGUGAAUUGAUAUCUGUCAAAAUUUCGAAUGAAAAUUUGAUCGUUUGUGUGUGCUUAUUUGAUAAAAGGACCUAAUCGCGUAAAAUGUAAAAAUGGCUUGCCAAUUGUUGAAGUGAUUAAUUGCUAUGUCUCUUUAAAUGAGAUAUCCUUAUGUGGUUAAUAGACCAUUGAACUUAUGAGUGGACUAUUAUGGACAUGAAUUAAAUAGAUUUCAUGUUUUAUAAACAAGGUUAUAUAAGUAAAUUAGUAUUUAAGUUAAUAAAAAUAAAACAAACAUAAAAUUUUGCCAUUAUCAUCCUUUGUUACCGAAAAUUAAAGAAAAAAGAUAAAAGAAUAUGCUUGCUAGGGCUCGACACUAAUCUUAGCUAAUUGAGGUAUGAUUUUUUAUCGUUUUUUGAUAAGUUCUACGUUUUUGUGAUCGUUGCUUAGAAAUCUCUUAAGCCCAUGUCUCAAUUUUUUAUUUUGAGUUAUGCCAUUGAAGAAAUUAUAAGCUUUGUGAAGUUAGUUGAUGGAAAAUGAAAGAUAUGUGUUGGGUUAAUAUGUUUUGUCUUUAAAUUUUUUAUGAAUGAGUAAUUUGGGCUAAAUUGUAAAACUGAGAUUUUGAGGGACUAAAAUGUGAAAUAAAUGAAAUAUGUGGGCUUAUAUGAACACUAUGAAUAUUCAACCAAGUAUGUGCAAAAGGAAAUUUUGUGUAUUUUGUGAUUUUGUGAAUUAGGGACUAAAGUGUUAAAAUGUGAAAAUGUGAAGGUUAAUUUGUAAAAUACCCUAAUGUGUUUAUGGAUUGAUUUGAAUGAAUGUGAGAUUAAAUAAGUCAAAUUUGAAUGUGUUUAGACCAAGAACCAAAUAAAAUGGAAUUAGACCGGGAAAGUCGGAAGUCGUUAAGUAGUCGAUUCCAUUCAUUUGAAUCUGUACGAGGUAAGUGAAUAUACAAAUAAAUGUGUUUGAGUUGAUUUGUUUAUGUUUAUAUGACAUUGAACUAUGAUGAAUGGCUAUAUAAAAGCUAAAUAUGUGAUAUCCGAGAAAGUUCUAAUAAUGUGAUGACGUCCGAAAAGCCUUGUACGAACCAUAGGAAUAGUUACGAUACAUAUGUCAUGACACAGGAUUUUGAUAUGUGAUUUCGUGUAAGACAACAUCUGGAACGAUGGUAUAAAUAUGAGAUUUACAUGUAAGACCAUGUUUGGAACAUCGGCAUCAUAUUUGAUUUUGUAUAAGACCCUAUCUGGGACAGUGGAAUCGAUAUUCGAUUACAUGUAAGACCACAUAUGGGACGUUGGCAUUGUACGAGCUUUUUGAGUUAUCUGAGUAUCCUUCUUGAUUUUGAGCUGUUGAAAGGGUAGGGACACAUUGCCGUGUUGCUCGAAGGCCAUUUCGAAAUGAGUCUAGGUAGACCACACGGUCGCACACACGGGAGUAUGCCAGGCCGUGUGGCUAAGUUAGUUUCAAGCACAGGCUAGGCACAUGGGCAUGUGACUGGCCAUGUGACCCAAGUUAGUAGCCUCCUUAAUUUUCACAUGGCCUGGCACACGAGCGUGUCUUGUGGCCAUGUGGACAAGUUAGUAUGUAUGCUUUGUUUUGCCAUGGCCUAGACACACAGGCAUGUCUAAUGCCGUGUGAGGCACACGGCCUGUUCACACGGGCGUGUGACCUUUAUAACUUUGAAAAAUGUUUAAGUUUUGAAAAAUUUUGUAUGUGCCCAGUUUAGUUGCGACCCUUUUCUAAAGCAUGUUUAAUGUCUCGUUGAACUAUAUAAAAGACUCUGUAAUGCUGUGUGACUAUAAUUCUAUGAUUAUUCUGAAAUGAAUGCGAAAUAUUCUAAUAUGUCCAGUAAUUCCUCUUAACCCUAGUCCGGCGAUGCAUACGGUUUAGGGGUGUUACAUUUGGUUGGUAUCAGAGCUUCGGUUUAGUUGAUUCUAGGACUAACAUAGCGUAUGUAAGUCUAGCUAUAUGUGCCAUAUUUAUGAACUGGGAUUGUGUGAUGAAUCCUGACAAUGAAUUUUAUAUAGUAAAUGGAUCCCGAACGAGCCGUAGCUGACGAUGUCGAGAGUAACUCACCUGCUCCCGCUCAAGGGACAGUACCAUUCGAUUCUUGACCUGUUACGAGUAGCCACGAGAGAGAAGCUAAGCAAGCUUUUUACCAAAUGAUGAACGAUUGGUUCACGCAAUAUAUGAGAACUAAUAUAGCUAUGUCACAACCUUCACCCCUGCUCAAUCCUCCGCAAGUCCCUGUCAUGCUACAAGCUAAUCCGAUUCAGUUGAAUAGGCCUCCGGUUGACAAAAUUAGAAAAUAUGGGGCCGAAUAGUUUCGUGCUACUAAUAAUAAUGAUGCUAAGAGAGUUGAAUUCUGGCUUGAGAAAAUGAUAAGAGUGUUCGAUGAAUUGUCAUUGACUCCAGACGAAUGCCUUAAGUGUUCCGUUUUGCUUUUGAGAGAUACGACAUAUCAUUGGUAAAAGGCACUACUAAUCGUGGUUUUGAGAGAACGAGUCACCUGGGAUUUCUUUCAAGCUAAAUUUCAAAAGAAAUACAUCAGUCAGAGAUUUAUCGAUCAGAAAUGCAAAGAGUUUGUUGAAUUGAAACAGGGUCGUAUGUUUGUUACAGAACACGAGUGAGAAUUUGUGAGACUGAGCUAGUAUGUAUGAUAAUAUGUCUCGACUGAAGCAAUUAUGUGCAAGAGAUUCGAGGAUGGCUUGAAUGAAGAUAUUUGUUUGUUAGUCAGAAUUCUGGAGAUAAAAGACUUUGUUGUGCUUGUUGAACGAGCAUGUAAAGCUAAAGAACUUAGGAGAGAGAAAAGAAAAACCAACUCGAAAGCUUGAGAGGUACGAAAAAGAUCAUUGAGCUAGUUAUUUCAGUCCGUGUUAAAGAAAUUCCGAGAUUAUUAUAGCCAUUCAAAGGCUAAUGUGGGGCAUUCGAGUAAAGAUCGUGCUAGAUCGCAUUCGAGCUUUAGAGCUCCAACUACUUCUACUGUAAGUGUUGGAAAUGUCUGAUCCAAUCGACCCGAGUAUAAACACUGUGGUAAAAGACAUCCUGGGAAUUGUAGAUUGUAUGAUUGACCUUGUUUCAAAUGUGGAUCUUUAUAUCAUUUUAUUCGAGAUUGUCUCGAGUCUAUUGAGCAAGAGAUUGUGCAAAAUUCGAGGCCAAGCGGUAAUGUAGCUAGUGGUAGACCUCCUAGAAAUACGGAAAAUGUGAGUGGUAGUCAAAGAGGGAUUAUAGAUACUGUUGUAGAAUUUGAGGCUAGAGCACCAACCAAAGCAUAUGCCAUUCGAGCUCGUGAGAAAGCUUCGUCUCCCAAUGUUAUAACAGUACUUUCAAUAUUUAUGAUACCUCUGUGAUUGCAUUGAUUGAUAUAGCAUCAACGUAUUCGUAUAUAUGCAUGAAUUUAGUAUCCAGUAAGACUUUGCCUAUAGAGUCUACUGAAUUUGUAAUUAGAGUAUCGAACCCCUUAAGCCGGUGUGUUUUGGUUGACAAAGUGUGUAAGAAUUAUCCGUUGAUGAUUCGAGAUUUUUUCUUUCUGGUUGAUCUGAUGUUAUUACCUUUUGAUAAGUUUGAUAUAAUUUUGGGUAUGGAUUGGUUAACUUUGAAUGAUGUAAUUGUGAAUUGCAAACGUAAAACUAUUGAUUUGAGAUGCAAGAAUGAUGAAAUUGUCUGAAUUGAAUCUAGUGAUUUGAAUAGGUUACCAACUGUGAUUUCAUCGAUGAAAGCUCAGAAUUAUGUGAAAAAGGGUUGUGAAGCCUACUUAGCCUAUGUGAUCGAUUCGAAAGUGAAAGAAAAUAAAAUUGAAUCAAUGCCUGUUGUCUGUGAAUUCCCUGAUGUGUUUCCUGAAGAACUUUCGGGAUUACCUCCGAUCUAAGAAGUUAAAUUUGGUAUAGAGUUAGUACCGAGAACUACUCUGAUUUUGAGAGCUCCAUAUAGAAUGUCUCUUUAGUACCGAGAACUACUCUGAUUUUGAAAGCUCCGUAUAGAAUGUCUCUGACCGAGUUAAAAGAAUUAAAGUCUCAGUUACAAGAAUUGACCAAUAGAGGGUUUACACGAUCGAGUUUCUCACCUUGGGGUGCUCUUGUUCUAUUUGUGAAAAAGAAAUAUAGUACGAUGAGAAUGUUUAUUGAUUAUCGUCAGUUGAAUAAAGUGACUAUCAAGAACAAAUAUUCUCUACUCCGAAUUAACAAUUUUUUUGAUCAAUUGAAAGGAGCUACUGUGUUUUCAAAGAUAGAUCUCAGAUCAGGUUAUUAUCAAUUGAGAGUAAAAAAUUCAGACAUUUUGAAAGUUACAUUCAGAACGAGGUACAGACACUAUGAGUUUUUAGUUAUGCCCUUCGGAUUAACGAAUGCACCUACUGUUUUUACGGAUUUGAUUAACAGAAUUUUGAGACCGUAUUUAGAUCGAUUUGUUGUCGUAUUCAUUGAUGACAUUUUAAUUUAUUCGCAUGGUGAAACUGAACAUGCUGAACACUUGAGAAUAGUGCUACAAACUUUGCGAGAUAAGUAAUUAUAUGCGAAGUUUAGCAAAUGUGAAUUCUAGUUACGAGAAGUCGAUUUUCUGGGCCAUAUCGUGUCAGCAUCAGGUAUCCGAGUUGAUCCAAGCAAAAUUUUAGCUAUCUUAGAUUGGAAGCCUCCGAAAAAUGUUUCUAAAGUUCGUAGUUUUCUAGGACUUGCCGAUUAUUAUAGACGAUUUUUGAAAGGCUUUUUGAUGAUUGUGACUCCAUUGACCAAAUUGCUUCAGAAAGAUGAAAAUUUUGAAUGGUCUGAAAAGUGUCAAAAAAGCUUUGAUCAGUUGAAAGCCCUAUUGACUGAAGCUUCAGUGUUAGUACAACUAGAAUCGGGUAAAGAAUUUGUUAUUUACAGUGAUGCAUCGUUGAAUGGUCUGGGUAGUGUUUUGAUACAGGAAGGCAAAGUCAUAGCUUAUGCCUUGAGACAGUUAAAGUCGCAUGAAAAGAAUUAUCCGACACACGACCUUGAAUUAGUAGCUAUUGUAUUCGCUUUGAAGAUUUGGCGCCACUAUUUGUUUGGUGUGAAAUGUCAUGUAUAUUCUGAUCAUAAAAGUUUGAAAUAUCUGAUGACUCAGAAAGAUUUGAACCUGCAAUAGAGAAAAUGGCUACAAUUGCUAAAAGAUUACGAGCUUCUUAUUGAUUAUCAUCCGGGAAGAGCAAAUGUUGUUGCUGAUGCUUUAAGUCAGAAAUCAUUGUUUGCUUUGUAUGCAAUGAAUACUAAUUUAGUUUUGUCCGAUAAUGGUUCGAUUUUAGCAUAAUUGAAAGUGAUACCGUUGUUUUUACAACAGAUUAUUGAUGCUCAGAAAGUUGAUAAUGAGAUAAUAGCAAAACGAGCUCAGUGUAAAUUGAAUUCUGAUUCUGAAUAUAGAAUUGAUAAUGAUAAUUGUCUAAGAUUCUGAGGUCGGAUUUGUAUUUCAAAAAAUCUAGAAUUGAUUCAGAUGAUUUUGAAUGAAGCUCACAGUAAUUGUUUAUCUGUACAUCCGGGUAGUAAGAAAAUUUAUAAUGAUUUGAAAUAGUGUUAUUGGUGGUCCGAAAUGAAAAUAGAUAUCUCUGACUUUGUUUCAAAAUGUUUGAUCCAUCAGCAAGUUAAAGCUGAGCAUCAGGUCCCAUCUGGUCUGUUACAACCGAUUAUGAUUCUCGAAUGGAAAUAGGAUAGAGUGACGAUGGAUUUUGUUUUGGGUUUACCCUUAUCUCCGAAAAAGAAAGAUGCGAUCUGGGUUAUGGUUGAUGAAUUGACGAAAUCAGCUCAUUUUAUUCUGUUACGAUCUGACUACUCGCUUGAUAAAUUAGCUGAGUUAUAUAUUUUUGAUAUUGUAAGAUUGCACGGGGUGCCAUUGCCUAUUGUGUUAGAUAGAGAUUCGAGAUUCACUUCGAGGUUUUGGAAGAAAUUGCAAGAUGCUUUAGGUACAAAAUUGCACUUCAGUACUGCUUUUCACUUGCAAACGGAUGGUCAAUCUCAGUGGAUUAUUCAGAUUCUCAAGGAUAUGUUGAGAUGUUGCAUUCUUGAGUUCAAAAGUACAUGGGAAUAGUAUUUUCCAUUGAUUGAAUUUGCAUACAAUAAUAGUUUUCAAUCGAGCAUCAAAAUGGUACCGUACGAAGCCUUAUAUGGUAGAAAAUGUUGUACACCAUUGUAUUGGUCAUAACUCAAUGAAAAUAAGAUACAUGGGGUCGAUUUGGCAAAAGAGACUGAACAGAAAGUAAAAACAAUUUGAAAGAGUCUGAAAGAAGUUUUCGAUCGUCAGAAAUCAUAUACAGAUUUGAAAUGAAAAGAUAUUGAAUUUGAGAUUGGUGAAAAAGUGUUUUUGUAAGUAUCUCUGUGGAAGAAAGUACUUCAGUUCGGCCGUAAAGGCAAAUUGAGUUCGAGGUUCACUGGGCCGUAUGAGAUUAUAGAGUGUGUCAGACCGGUUGCAAAUAGAUUGUUAUUGCCAUCCGAGUUAGAAAAGAUUCAUAAUGUGUUUCACAUAUCGAUGCUUAGACGAUACAGAUCUAAUCCCUCGCAUGUGAUUUCUUCGUCUGAGAUAGAAAUUCAUUCUGGUAUGACCUAUUAAGAAGAAUCGAUCCGUACCUUGGCACGUGAGGUUAAAGAAUUGCGAAAUAAGAAACUUUAGUUAAUUAAAGUGUUGUGCACCGACACAGUGUUGAAGAGGCUACGUCAGAGCCCGAAGAUGCUAUGAGACACCAAUAUCCGAAUCUAAUCAAUGAUAAGAUUUUUGGGGACAAAAAUCCCUAAGAGGGAAGAGUUGUAACAGCUCGAUUUAGACCCUAAUCAGAAUAGUGGUUUUGAGACCACAAAUUUGAGUCUAAAAAAUAUUUUAAUAUUAUUUUUCAUGCUUAUUAUAUGUGAAUUGAUAUCUGCGAAAAUUUUGUACGAAAAUUUGAUUGUUUGUGUGCUUAUUGAUAAAAGGAUCUAAUCGCGUAAAAUGUAAAUAUGGUUUGCUAAUUGUUAAAGUGCUUAAUUGCUAUGUCUCUUUAAAUGAGAGGUAUUUAUAUGGUUAAUAGACCAUUUAACUUAUGAGUGGACUAUUAUGGACAUGAAUUAAAUGGAUUCAUGUUUUAUAAUCAAGGUUAUAUAAGUAAAUUAGUAUUUAAGUUAAUAAAAAUAAGACAAACAUAAAAUUUAGCCAUUAUCAUACUUUGUUGCUAAAAAUUGAAAGAAAAAGAUGAAAGAAUAAGCUUGCUAGGGUUCGGCACUAAUCUUAGCUUAUUGAGGUAUGAUUUUUGAUCAGUUUUUGAUAAUAUCUACAUUUUUGAGUUAUGCCCAUGAAAUCUAUUAAGCCCAUGUCUCAAUUUUUUAUUUUGUUGAUGAUUUGAGUUAUGCCAUUGAAGAAAUUGUAAGCUUUGUGAAGUUAGUUUAUGGAAAAUGAAAGAUAUCUGUUGGGUUAAUAUAUUGUCUUUUAAUUUUUUAUGAAUUUGAGUAAUUUGGGCUAAAUUGUAAAAAUGAGAUUUUGAGGAACUAAAAUGUGAAAUAAAUGAAAUAUGUAGGCUAAUAUGAACACUAUGAAUAUUCGGCCAUGUAUGUGAAAAAAGAAAUUGUGUAUUUUGUGAUUCUAUGAAUUAGGGACUAAAGUAUUAAAAUGUGAAAAUGUGAAGGUUAAUUUGUAAAAUGCCCUAAAUAUGUGUUUAUGAAUUGAUUUGAAUGAAUGUGAGAUUGAAUAAGUAAAAUUUGAAUGUGUUUAGAUCAAGAACCAAAGAAAAUGGAAUUAGACCGGGGAAAGUCGAAUGUCAUUGAGUAGUCGAUUCCGUUCGUUCGAAUCUGUAUGAGGUAAGUCAAUAUACAAAUAUACGUGUUUAAGUUGAUUUAUUUAUGUUUAUAUGACAUUAAACUGUGAUGAAUGGCUAUAUAAGAGUUGAAUAUGUGAUAUCCGAGAAAGUUUUGAUAAUGUGACGACGUCCGAAAAGCCCUGUAUAAACCAAAGGAAUAGUUAGGAUACAUACGUCAUGACAUAGGAUUCCGAUAGGUGAUUUUGUGUAAGACCACAUCUGGGACGUUGGCAUCGAUAUGAGAUUUACGUGUAAGACCAUGUCUGAAACAUCAGCAUCGUAUUUGAUUUCGUAUAAGACCCUGUUUGGGAUAGUGGAAUCAAUAUUUGAUUACAUGUAAGACCACAUCUGGGCCAUUGGCAUUGUACGAGCUUUCCGAGCUAUCCCAGUAUCCUUAUUGAUUCCGAACAAUUUAACGGGCACUCCGAGAAUGAAUAAAUAUAUGAAUGUAUAUCCGCUUCAGGUACGUAUGAACUGUAUAUGGAAUUUGGCAGUGAAAGGUGAGUAUGAAUAUGAUUCUUUGAUAUGUGAACUACAUGGAAAUGUGAAGUACUGACUAGCAAAUAGAUAUGAACAUUUGAGCUAAUGAGAAAUAUGAGCUUGUUAUUGAAUUAUGUCAUGAUUCAUAUGAAUGAGUUGUUUAUAUUUGUGACAUGUGAUAAGUUUGUUUGUAUAUGGCUUACUAAGCUUUUGAAAGCUUACGUUCUGUGUCUUUCAAUUGUUUUAUAGAUAUCGAAGCUACCGAGAGCUCGGGGAUCGUCGAGGGUCAUCACCACACUAUCAAACUCUAUUUUGGUACCUUUUGAAAGUGUAUAUAUUGAAGUAUGGCAUGUAUAGGCUAGAAGUAUUUGAAUAUGUUUUGUGAAGUGUAUAUUUAGCCAUGUGAUAUGGCUUGAUUAUAGUUGAACUUAUGGUUUGAUUUUGGUAUAUGAUGUGUGAUGCAAAAAUGGAAAAUUUUGGUGUAUAUGUAUAGCCUAAUGAAUUGGUCAAUUUGGUAAGUUUUGGUAUUAUUUAAUUGAGAAAUUAGUAAGAUUAUGAAUCAUAUGUUUUGGUAUGUUUUGGCUUAUGAUUUGGCAUGAUUUAGUAUGGAUUAUAAGCAUGAAAUUUGUUGAUAAUGAUAUAGCAUGAAUGGUGUAUGUUUUGGUUGUGAAUUGGUUGAAAAUUUGGUACAAAAUGUUUUGAUUUUGAUGCUUGUAGGGAGGACCUUUAUAGGGAGGCCUUUUGGCCUUGUAAAUGGCCUCUUUUUGCCCAUACGAGUAGGGACACACUGCCGUGUUGCUUAAAGGUGAUAAACCAUAAUAUAUACAUAUUUUUACCCCAUGCUUGGCAUAUUUAUGGAUUAUUUUUCCUUGGUUUCAUUGAAUUCGAUGCUUCUAAUCCUUUAAAUUCAUGUUUUAUACUUAGGCGAGCAUUGAAAGGCAAAAAGAGCAAGAAACGGGACAAAAAUGAACAAAUUGGGCCAAAUCAGUGUUUCACACAACCUAGGCACUUCUACACGGGUGAUCCACACACCCGUGUGUGACACACGGGUAGACCACAUGCCCCUGUGUCAUGGCCGUGUCGACUAAAAACCAACUCAAAAUUGCACACGGCUUGUGCACCUUUACACGGGCGUGGCACACGGUCGUGUCCCUAUUAAACCCAAGUCUAAUUCUACUCGAAAAAGGCUAAUUUUGGGCUAUUUUGAGCAUUCCAAAGUCUAUAUAAACACCCUAGAAGAGGAUUAAGAGGGACGCAGAGAAUAGAAGGCAGAAAAUACUCAAGAACAGCCAUCAGGAUCAGCUCAGAAUGAGGAUCUACAUUAAGACUGAAGAUUUCCAUCCAAUUUCUUAGAAGUUCUUUGGGUUUUUUUAUGUUUUGUUGUUUUCCAAUUUUUGAGUCCAUUAUUAUGAACUAAACUCCCUAAAUACCUAAGGGAGAUGAAACCUAAGACGAAUCUUAUUAGUCUUUGAAUUAUAUGAUGAAUACUUGUUCUUAUUCUUAAUUAUGAGUUUAAUCCUUACUUUAAUAUUCCAGGAUAUUAAUUCAAGUUUUUGUUGUGCUUAAUCAGUGGAGAAAAAGUCCUUAUUUAAGAGUAGAUCAUUCAUAAUUAAGCGGGGUUGCAUGCAAUCCUAGAGAUAGGACGACAUAAAUCUACCAGAUUAGAGUCAAAUCUAAUAAGGGAAUCCAUAGAUCGAUUUAAUGCGACAAUAGGGGUUUUAAUUAGAAAGAGAUUUCGAUUAAUCAACCUAGAGUCAGUUGUUUUUAGUCUCGAGAGAGAUAUUAACAUAAAUCAGGGAUUUCUACGGAUUAAUUCAAGUGAAUAAAUCGUCUAAUUUAGAAGUAAUAAGUAAAGUCUAGGUGGAUUCUUCCUUGGGUAUUGUCUUCUCCAUCAGUUUUCUAGAAAGUGUUUCCCAAUUUUAAUCUCCGUCGUAAUCUUAGUUAAUUAGAUAAUUAGUUUUAGUUUAAUAACGUCCUUUAAUUCUUAGGUUAGAUAAUAAAAAGAUAGUAAUUACUAGUACUUUUAGUCCUCGUGGAUACGAUAUUCUCGGUCUCACCAUAGCUAUACUACUAUUCGAUAGGUACGCUUGCCUUAGUCAAAUUUUUAGUUAGUUUUACGACCAUCAAGUUUUUGGCACCAUUGCCGGGGACUAAGAUAUAAGGAACACUUAAUUUUUAUUACUUUAGCCUUUUUUAUUUUUAUUGCAAUUUAAUUUUGUUUUUAUUUACUAAAUUUUAUUUUCUUUACUUCUGGUAGGUUUUUAUAGUUUAUGACUAGAAGAAACCCGUCAGGACCUUUGCUUUUUGACAGUGAGAUCGAGAGCAUAGAUCACAGAAACUAAAGAGAAAUAUGGCGAAGCCUACAAUACAUGGAGGAAGAGCGAGAGGCUGAUAUCCAUACCACAACCAAGGAGAUGGCUUUUAAUCAGAAUAAUACGUUACCUCAUGUGGUUGCUACAAAUCCAGUAGAUCAGAACCUUGCUCCUCGUACUAUGUAUGAUUAUGCUAAAACUAAUUUAACAGGAGCUGAAUCGAAUAUAGUUAGACCUCUUGUUGCUGCAAAUAAUUUUAAACUGAAACCUAAUACGAUUCAAAUGAUACAACAGUGUGUUCAGCUUGAUGGUUUGCAGGACGAGGAUCCAAACACUCAUUUAGCAAAUUUUCUGGAAUUUUCUGACACCUUUAAGACUAAUGGUGUUUCUGACGAUGCCAUUAUUUCUUUUUUCAUUAAGGAAUAAAGCUAAACAGUUGUUGAACUCGUUACCAUGAGGGUCAAUCACCACUUGGGAACAAAUGACUCAAAAAUUCUUACUUAAAUAUUUUCCUCUGGCUAAAACGGCUAAACUAAGGAAUGAUAUCUCUUCUUUUGUGCAGAUGGAUUUAAAAACCUUUUAUGAUGCAUGGGAGAGGUACAAAGAUCUAUUGAAAAGGUACCCUCACCAUGGGUUACCUCUAUGGCUGCAGGUUCUGUAACACCUCAAACCCGGCCUGGAAGUUUGGCUCGAAUCUGGCGUGUCACAUUGAAGUGUUUUUUGAAAACCAUGUUUCCAUUAAAAACCCUUCUUAAUAAUUAAAAACUUAUACCCUUUUUAAACCUUGCUAGAAAACCUCAGCUGAAUAACAUUUUUAACAACUUUGUAAAAAUCUUGGUAGUUGCGGAAGCUUAAUUUAAAAACAAUUGCAGAUACGUGAUGUUUUGAACAACAGUAGUUGUUUUGGAAAAUCGUGUUCUAAUACUAGCAAUUAUAAGAACAAUAAAUAAAAUUCUAAAUUUGAAAUCCAAAAAAUUACAACGGCUUUACUACAACCCACAUAAAUACAUUUAAAAGUAAUAAUCAAAACUGUAACAUAAACAGUGCGUGUGGCUUCUUCCAAGCCCCUCGCAGCUCCGAUCUGUCUAAGGCUGGAAAUUACCUGAAAGGUUAAUAAACGGGGUGAGUUUACGAAAACUCAGUGUGAAAUCCCCUACUAUAUAAAAGGUACAGUCAGUCAUAUAAAAGAAUUAAAAGUCUGGCCCCAGCCCUACUUACAGUUUCAGUAUCAACUGGGCCUUAGCCCAUUAUAAUAGACAGUACCAGAUAGGCUUUAGCCCAUUACAGAAUAAGAAACAUUAUCAGAACUAGAAUCAAACCACAGAAUCAAAUUCAGAAUGAAGCCCAUAGGCCCAUAACAGAUACAGAACAGAUAUUUCAUUUAUACUGAAAACCCAACCCAUGUCCAGCCGUGUACACCCCAGUACCAACCUUAUACCAUGUGGGGAGACAACUCGACCCACCCAUCCGCUCCAUGCCACAGAAUUUGCAGUAUGGCUGCCAGAACUGAUAUUUUGACAGAGUCACCAGAUACUGAUAUUGUGGCAGAGCCACCAGAAUCAAAUAAUGUGGCAAAGCCACUUAACAGAAUACGUGGCACAAAGCCAUUGAUAACGGGUCUAUAAUCGGGACGAAGCCCAUAAUAUUGAUACGAAGCCCACAAUAACGGCACACAGCCUUCGUAACAUGAUCGGCACUCAGCCAUUGAUAAUGGGUCUAUAAUUAGCAUGAAGCCUACAAUAACGGCACACAGCCUUCGAUAACAUGAUCGGCACUCAGCCAUCGAUCGGUCAAUAGAUAUUGUGACAAAGUCACCAAAUACAAAUAUUGUGGCAGAGCCACCAGAACAGAUAUUUGUGGCAUAGCCACCAGAACGCUUCCUCCAUCAAUAUAACCCAUAUCCCAUGCAACAGAUAUACAUGUCAUGGCAAACAACAUACAGAAUCAGAAUAUUAUGCCCAUAUUUGAAUCAAACAAUCACAGUCAAGCCAUUCAUAUCACCAACAAAUAUUCACAAUCAAAUCCAUCAACCACACAGUCCAAGUUAGCCACUUGCCCACAAGGGCAAAAUAGUCAUUUAACACCCUAGGGGUAAAAUGGUAAUUUUACCCUACGAGGGUAUCUAGGUAAUUCUACCCUACAGGGGUAUUUCAAUAAUUCUACCCUACAGGGGUAUUUCGGUAAUUCUACCCUAUAGGGGUAUUUCAGUAAUUCUACUCUACAGGGGUAUUUCGGUAAUUCUACCCUAUAAGGGUAUUUCUGUAAUUCUACCCUAUAGGGGUAUUUCGGUAAUUCUACCCUACAGGGGUAUUUCAGUAAUUCUACCCUACAGGGGUAUUUCGAUAAUUCUACCCUACAGGGGUAUUUCAGUAAUUUUACCCUAUAGGGGUAUUUCAGUAAUUCUACCCUAUAGGGGUAUUUCGAUAACUCUACCCUACAGGGGUAUUUCAGUAAUUCUACCCUAUAGGGGUAUUUCGGUAAUUUUAUCCUACAAGGGUAUUUUAGUAAUUCUACCCUACAAGGAUAUUUCGGUAAUUCUAUCCUACAAGGGUAUUUCAGUAAUUCUACCCUACAGGGGUAUUUCGGUAUUUCUACCCUACAGGGGUAUUUCGGUAUUUCUACCCUAUAGGGGUAUUUUAGUAAUUCUACCCUAUAGGGGUAUUUUGGUAAUUCUACCCUACAAGGGUAUUCAGUAAUUCUACCGUAUAAGGGUAUUUCGGUAUUUCUACCCUACAAGGGUAUUUCGAUAAUUCUACCCUACAGGGGUAUUUCAGUAAUUCUACCCUAUAGGGGUAUUUUAGUAAUUUUACAAAUCGAUGGUAUUUCAGUAAUUUUACAAUCGACAGUGCUUCGGUAAUUUUAUAAACCAGGGGUACUUUGGUAAUUUUACAAGUCGAGGGUAUUUUAGUAAUUUUGUAAACUAAAGUAUUCUAAAUAGGGAUAACAAUACGAAUGGGCCUAAAGCCCAUUCCCAGCCCAAAUGGGCCCACACGCUCGUGUGGCCCUUUUAGCCCAAAUCUAGCCACAGAUAUGAGAUUCACCUAGUCUAGUCCAAUAUUUACUACACAAUCAAACAACUUAUCCAAUUGGGCCCAUAUGACCCCUUUCAGCCCAUCGCGGCCCAAAGUAGCCGUCCUACAGCUAGAGUAGUGAGAAAUACACACCUGAUAGGAGACUGGAGUUAAUCCUCACUCCGAGCACUCUUAGCCGACGCCCAACCCAAACGAGCACGCCAUAAAGCGAAAGGGAUCAGCCAAGAAAGGUACCCUUACCCUCCUCAUGGUUCUCUCUAUUUAAAGCCAGCUUCGUAUCCACUCUUAUGUUAGCUUCCUGAUGUGGGAUCCCUCCAUCAUCAGAGUUUAAAUUCAACACCAACUCUUGCCUCCUCCUGUUAGCAAAAUAAAUGCUCUUUGAUUGCCAUGAGUUUCGAACCCUGGACCUUGUUGCCAACUCUAUGACGCCAUCUUCCUGCCUCUUAUGUGGCGCUACUUUGCCACUAGACCACAAGGCUUUUUUUUGUGGCACAAUUUCUCCAACAAUAUUCUUAAGAACUACCUACUACACCCAGGGUUUGAUUUACCUUAAACCAAAAUUUUUGCUAGAGUCCAAGUUUGAACCCAGGACUUCUCCAACACUUCUCAGCACACUUAACCACUAAAACAAGCCUUCAUUAACAAAAUUUACAUGUACAACAAAAUAUUAUAAGUUGCCUUCAACCGCUCCCAUGCUCAAGGCCCAAAACUUCUAGGCCCAAAUUUAGGGUGUUACAGGUUCAGACUUUUUACAACAGUGUGAAUCCCUCAACAAGGCAACUUAUCGACGCAGUUACCAGUGGUACUUUAAACAACAAAAAACCUGAAGAAGCUUAUGAAUUUAUUGAAGAGAUGUCACUGAAUAACUAUCAGUGGCAAGUCAUAAGAACGAAGCUGACAAAAGCAGCUGGUGUUUUCAACCUCGACGCGGUCACUAUGCUAUCCAACCAGGUAGAACUUUUAAAUAAAAAGAUUGAUGGUUUGUAUGGUUCUACUCAGGUACAUCCAGUGAUAAGGUGUGAUUCAAAUGGAAGAAGAGUACACAACACAGAUUAUCCAUCCUUUAACCCUAGCACCGAGGAGGAACAAAUCCACUAUAUGGGUAACAAUUCUAGACCUCAAAACCCGUAUAGUAACAUUUAUAAUGCAGGUUGGAGGAAUCAUCCCAAUUUCUCGUGGGGUGGUCAGGGAAAUCAAAGGCCACAACAUCCUCUAGGUUUUCGACAACCACCAUACCAACAAGAUAAGAAACCGAACCUUGAAGAUAAGCUUACAAAAUUCAUCUCGCUGUCAGAAACUCAUUUUCAGAAUACCGAAAUAGCAGUUAAAAAUCAACAAGCGUCGGUGCAAGGGCUCGAAACUCAAAUAAGACAGCUUGCUAAGUUGAUCUCUAAACGACCACAAGGUGACCUACCAAGUAACACUGAAACUAACCCAAGGGAGCAACUUCAUGCCAUUACUGUGCACAAUGAUAAAGGGUUAGUUGAAGCUGAACCGAAAUUGAGGCAAGACAAUGUGAAAGAUAAAGGUAAGAUUGAUAUAAGCAAUGAUAAAUAGAAACUGGUAAUCAAUGACUAUAAACCUCGUGUGCCAUACCCCAAUGAGACAAGGAACGACCACACAGACGAAAAGUUCGGUAAAUUGCUUAAAUUGUUAAAAAAAUUACAUAUUAACUUACCAUUUAUUGAAAAUCUUUCACAGAUGCCAAACACAGUGAAAUUUUUAAAGGAGCUUUUGGCUAAUAAACGAAAGUUAGAUGAUGCGUCGCAUGUGGAAUUAAACACAGUUUGCUCAGCCAUUCUACAGAAUAAGAUACCGAACAAGUUAAAAGAUCCAAGGAAUUUUACGAUUCCUUGCUUAAUUGGAAGUUUAAAUAUUAAUAAUAAGUUGGCUGAUCUAGGGGCGAGCAUUAAUGUCAUGCCCUAUAAAAUGUUUAAACUACUAGGUCUUGGGAAACCAAAACAAACUAGGAUGAGCAUUCAACUGGCAGAUAAAACAAUUAGAUUUCCUAGGGGUAUCAUUGAAAAUGUGCUAGUUAAAAAUUGAUAAAUUUAUAUUCCCAAUUGAUUUUGUUGUUCUAGACAUGAAAGAGGAUAAUGACGUACCUUUGAUUUUAGGACGGCCUUUUUUAGCAACUGCUAGGACUAUCAUUGAUGUUGGCACAGGAGAACUAAUACUUCGUGUAGGAGAUGACACGAUUACUCUCCAAGCUCGUGAUUCGACUAAGUUAUCUAGUAAGCAAGAUGGCUAUACAAGUUCUGUUGAUAUGAAUAACAUUUUGGCUCAAACUUCUUUUUAGGAAACCCCUAGGAAGAACGUGAUGGAGCCACAUUCUAGUACAUGUGACAAAAACAGAACGAUUCAUGAAAAACGAAGACUACAAAUUAAUGAACUAGAUGAAUGGCGGACACAUGUUAAGGAGAAACCAAAAGUACGAAAGGAGUCAAAGCAACGCCAUGAUGAGUAUAGGGUGAAACAAAGAAAUUUAAGGUCGGGGAUAAGGUAUUGUUAGAUGAAAAGGACCCUCAAAUUGCAACUUCAGAGCAUAAUACAAACGAAGCGAUUUCCUUCACGGUAUUGAAUACUUUACCACAUGGUACAGUCGAGGUAACACAUACUGAAUUCGGAACUUUCAAUGUAAAUAAUACUCAACUCAGAACCUAUUUUAAUAAAAUUGAUAGCAGAGGUGAGGAGUUUCAACUCCUCAGUCCACUGUGACCACACGAAAUUGAAGUCGACCUUAGACUCUAAAUAAGCACUUCUCGGGAGGCAACCCGAGCACUAACACUACUAACUAGUUUUUUUAGCCAUUUUUUGUGUUUUUUUAUGCAGGAAUAGUGACCCACACUACCUGGACACACGGGCGUGUCCUUGGCCAUGUGGAAACAGGGCUAACAAUCUCCAAGUAUCGAGUCACAUGGUCAUAAAUUCGAUCCACACGGUCGUGUGAAGCACAUGGCAUGGACACACGAGCGUAUCCUAGGCUAUGUGAAAACUGGAGAAAAUUUUUUAAAUUAGUCAGAGAGGUACACAAGCAAGGCACAUGGCCGUGUGUUCAGACACACGGGAAUGUGGGAUACCACACGGGCGUGGAAGAAGCGAACAACGAAGAACACAGCCGUACGACACGACCGUUUGAACCACACGGCCUAGACACAUGGGCGUGUCCCUAGGCCAUGUGACGAUUGGGCAUUCAACUUUUGCGACAAACAUAGGCUAAACUCGAGCCACACGGCCGUGUGGCCCAAAACGGGCCUCACACGACCGUGUCCCCUUUUUAACCCCCAAACCCUAACAUUUCCUUCACUUUUUUUCUUCUUCCUCAAAGCCUCCCCUUAGCCACCGCAGCCCUCAAACAACCCCACCCUGGCGCCCCCAAACGUCGACCCACCAGCAGCCGCCUCCCCCGCCGGCCGACCCCCUUCCCUUUCCUUUCUCUUUCUUUCUUCCCCAUCCUUUCUUCUUUUCCCUUCCCUUUCUUUUCCCCUUUCAUCUUCUUCCUCUACCCCUAAACUUCCACCUCCAUCACACGCACACCAUCUCUGUCCACUGUCGUCCGUACCUCUGACCAUUGACUGUGGUUUCCUGUUUUACCUUUACCUCUAUUUUAUCUCAUUUUACUUAUUUACUCCUCUAUUUCUUUAUUUUUUUGUUAUUUCUUAAUUGUUAUUUCAUUUUGAGUUUAGUAUAUUUUUCGUUAAUUAUUUAGUUUUUGAUAGUCUUCAUUAUUAUUACUAUUACUAUUUAGGAUUAUUAUGAUUUUCACUUUUAUUAUUACUACUUUGUUUUAGUUUUCUGGCUUUUUCAAGUUUUGCUUUAGCCUAUUUUAUUAUUAUUAGUACUUAUAUUCUCCUAUAUUUGCAUCCAUCUGUUUAGUUAGGUGUUGUCUUAUUCCUUACUGUUAUUGCUAUGUCCCUAUUAUUCUAGUUUUUACUUUCAUUAGUGUUAGGGUAUACACAUUUAAUAACUACAGUUUUAUUUUUACUUAGAUUCUAUUUUUUCCUUUGUCUUGUUUACUUUCAUUAGUGUUAGGAUAUACACAUUUUAGAACUAUAGUUUUAUUUUUACUUAGAUUCUAUUUUUUCCUUUGUCUUGUGGUUAAAUACUUGGUGCUAUUUGACUUAUGUUAUUUUCAAGAACACCAUGAUAAACACACGAGGCAAGAAGAUUGCCAUCCUCGCUUCGAAAAACUGAAAGGGUCCUGGCGCAACCUCCUCGAGCGCCUCGACUUAAGCUUGUCAAUCGCUGCUUCAAUUCUCCUCCAGCCCACAGAACAACUUGUUUCAGCUUUUGCGCAUGUGACCACUAGGUGUGGGCUGUUGUAUUGAUUAGGUCGCUUUGGAGCAGGUUCACCUUGCUCACCUUGUUCGAUUCCAUCUCGAUACUGCCUUGUGGGAUCGGUUCUUUUCAAUUAUCGAGCCCAUCUAUUCGGAGCUAACCUUGGAGUUUUGCACUACGUUCCAUCUACAGCAUGUGAUGAAUAGACAUGACGAGGCUGGUACUAUCAUUUUAAACUUGGUGGACUUGUAAGGCACAUGAGUGUACCAGAGUUUGGAGCUACUUUAGGCCUUUACGAGGAGGAGUUCAUGACUUCCGAGAAUUUUUUACAACUUCACCGUCACAUACACUACUCGCCCUCUUACUGUUGGACCAACCUUACAGAAAGUACUAUUCCCUAUAAUGCAAGUCGCUCAAAGGUGACUUCUCUUCCUCUAGCACUACGCUACAUCCAUGCUAUUUUGGCUCAUACCUUGACUGGGAGGAGAAAGAUCAUCGGCAUCGUUAGCACCACCGAUGCUUACUUCUUAUGGAGCAUGGCGACUAGUCUUGUAUUUGACUUGGCAUAUUUUAUCGCCCUCGCUUUUCGCCACCAGACAGAUCACCAUAAGAGGGGCCCUAUUUGCCUUGGUCCCUAAGUGACUCACCUCGCUCGCCACUUCGGCCUCUUCGACACUCCAGAGAUGCCAUCGACACUCACACUAGUAGGCCAGAUAUCUCCUCAAGGAAUAUCUAGCAUGAUUCACAUGAGGAUGAUAGAGCGAAGCCGUGGAUUCGACCCUCCUCAGUACAGACUCAGUCAGUCUGAUGAUCAGGAAGAGCCAGAGAACAUUACUAAUAAUGUCCCUCCCCUUCAUGAGGACCCACCUCCACCAUCAUCACAGAGUCACCACCCCACUGCUGCCACUUUGAUAGAUAUAUCCGAACGACUCACUCGAUUUGAGCAGCAGUGUUUAGAGCAGUUCGACAGCAUCGAUGCCACUCUUCGACAGAUUUGCCACCACCUCCACAUCUCUCCUUCAGCACCAUCGACCCACGAUGCAUCUAAUGAUGAGGACCUUUGAGUCUCUUUAUUUAUUUAUUAUUAUUAUUUUCAUUUAAAUUUUAUUUUGACUUUUAUCUAUUUUUUAAAACUUAUGUUUUAUAUUUUGAACUAUAUUUAUCUUUAUGGUUUUUCUUGAGUAACCCCUUGAUCCUCUUCCACAGUUGUGUUUAUUUUCUUACUAUUAACUCAGACUCAUGCCUUUCAUUAGCCUUCUCUACAACUCUCGCUUUCGCUAUUCCAAGAAUUUCAUCCAAAAUUCAGGACAGUUUCGCUUCUCUCCCUCUCUUUUGAUAUUAUGCUUAUAUUGUUAUUAUCUAUCUUUGUACAUUGAGGGCAAUGACAUUUUAUGUGUGGGGAGGUUAUUUAUGUGAUUAUUAGAAAAUUCCUGAAUUUUUAUCUUGUUCUCAAAUAAUCUUCUCAUAUCACUAUUAGAAUGAAUUUUGAUUGAUUUAUGAUUUAUAUUGAUGUGUUUUGAAUUAAAUCAUAGGUAAUUGUGCAUUGAUUGUUUAAACUUUAAGACAUUAGAGGAUCAAGCAUGAUAAGUUGACUUUUGAGAAUUAAAAUUGCUAGGUUAUUUCCCUGAAUUGAGGUAUUAUCUUGAAGUUUUGAAUUUACAAGAUUGAUAUCAAAUACCCAUAAUUUUUGUGAGACUUUGAGCCUUUUAGAGCAUAUAUUCUUCUUGCUCACUUAUUUUAUUGGUUAUGAGUGUGUCAACAUUGAUUUGCUAUUAUAGAACUUGCAUCGAUUAUGCAUGUCAAGACCACAUCUUUGACUUGAUAUACUAAGAUGAUAGAGGCACUUAUGUUUUAACCCACUUACUCCAUCAAAAGCCUACCCACAUAAUUGAUCCCUAGUGAACCCCUUUGAGCCUUAACCAUUAUUUCUUGAUGUUCCCUUAAUAUUAACCCACAAUUUAACCCUUUUUGAUUCCUUAAGAUUUCUCCCUUUUCAUUGACUCCUUUUUAUCGAGAUUUGAUUUGACUAGUUACCUAACUAUGUUCGUUCAUUCUAGUUGUUGAAUUAUUUCUUAUUAUGUAUUACCCAUUAUUUCACUUGUUCUUUUUCUUAAAAAAAAGUAUAUUUAUAUUCAUUCAAAUACAUAUUGUUCUAAAGAGAUUGGAUAAGUUAAAGUCAUUAUAUUGAGAGAAAAGCUCAUUUCAUUAGUUUUGGUUAGUGUUAAUUCUGGCACUUGUUUGUAAUUCAGUAAUUAGCUUUGUUUUUCUAAGUUUGGUAAUUUAUUAAAUUAAUCUUGAUCUAACCUUCUUUUUCAGCCUUCAUCCACACCUUUAACCCAAGCCCCAUUGCAAACUUAUUAAAGACCUUUUGAUUUGUGUAUCAUCUCAUUUAUAGUGGUGGAGAUUUGAUUUUCAUGCAAGUCUAUGGUAAUAACUUUUCAUGUUUGACUAUUGAGUGCUUAAUUAUUGAACCUUAAACACUUUGAGUGAUUUGAGUGAAUCAUUAGUGAAGAUGUCAAUCUUGUCAAUUUGGAAUUAAAGGUGAUUACUUAGAUAAAGAGGGAUAACUAUGAUUUUAUGAUUGAAAUGCUCAAUUUGGAUUGUUUGAAACUUUAAUGUUAUUUUAGUUAAGCUCUUAACGUAUGAUUACUUGUGGAUUAUUUCGAACACUAUUGAUGAGAAUUGUAAGUGGAGAAGAAAUUAUUUUAAUUGUGAGUUAAGGAGUUUGAUUGAGUACAAGCAAAUGCUUAAGUGUGGGGAUAUUUGAUAAACCAUAAUAUAUACAUAUUUUUACCCCAUGCUUGGCAUAUUUAUGGAUGAUUUUUCCUUGGUUUCAUUGAAUUUGAUGCUUCUAUUCCUUUAAAUUCAUGUUUUAUACUUAGGCGAGCAUUGGAAGGCGAAAAGAUCAAGAAAUGGGACAAAAAAAGACAAAUUGGGCCUAAUUCAGUGUUUUACAUGGCCUAGGCACUUCCACAUGGAUGAUCUACACGCCCGUGUGUGACACACGGAUAGACCACACGCCCAUGUGUCAUGGCUGUGUCGACUAAAAACCAACUCAGAAUUGCACAUGGCUUGUGCACCUUCACACGGGCGUGGCACACGAUCGUGUCCAUAUUAAACCCAAGUCUAAUUCUAUUCGGAAAAGGCAAAUUUUGGGCUAUUUUGGGCAUUCCAAAGUCUAUAUAAACACCCUAGAAGAGGAUUAAGAGGGACACAGAGAAUAGAAGGCAGAAAAUACUUAAGAACAGCCAUUGGGAUCAGCUCAGAAUAAGGAUCUACAUCAAGGCUGAAGUUUUUCAUCCAAUUUUUUAGAAGUUCUUUGGGUUUUUUAUGUUUUAUUGUUUUCCAAUUUUUGAGAUGUUUUCCAUUAUUAUGAACUAAACUCCCUAAAUACCUAGGGGAGAUGAAACCUAAGACGAAUCUUAUUACUAUUUGAAUUAUAUGAUGAAUACUUGUUCUUAUUCUUAAUUAUGAUUUAAUCCUUACUUUAAUAAUCCAGGAUAUUAAUUCAGGUUUUUGAUGUGCUUAUUCAGUGGAGGAAAAGUCCCUGUUUAAGAGUAGAUCAUUCAUAAUUAAGCAGAGUUGCAUACAAUUCUCUUAUAUGAACUAUGUUUCAAUAUUUAAGCAUUUCAAUUCCUUUUGCCUAUACAAAAAUUUUGAACCAAGCUAUCAAAUAUCAAAACCAAUUUGAACAUAUUUCAUAAUUACAAAAUUCAAACCAUAUGGCCAUCAUUUCCAUAACAUUCGAUUACCCAAGUCAUAAUCAAACAUAUUUCAUUUCAUAUGCCGAGCAUAUAUCAAAACAUCCAUUUGUAUACAUCUAUUUCAUAACAAGUUAACGAUCAUACCAUUUUAUAAACCUAAGUACAAACGCAUACUAAGCCGUUUCAACCCAUAUCAUUAGCUAAAUAGCAAACAUAACAUUUAAUAAACAUUAUACAUGCGCUUGUUAAAUCAAUUUGGCCAUAUCUCACAGCUUAAUAUUCAUUUGCACAUAAAACAUUAGGUAACUUUAUAACAUAACCAACUAUACUUUUAACAUUAUCAUAUCAUGCACAUAACACCCAAAAGCCAAAAGCCAAUUCUAAAUACAAUUACAAAUCAUAGCAUUUUAAACAUUAUCACCUUAUAUGUAUUAUACCAAAUCAAAUUUAACCCUUUUUGGACACAAAUGUUAAGUCAUACCAUACCUAAUUCGCAAGCUAAAUAACAUAUUUUACCAUGUUAUAUUCAUAUCAUAGUCAAACAUCAACAUUAAGUCCCUUUCUUAGGUCAAUGAGACCAUAAACAUGCAUUAGGAAGAGGUCGGGACUAAAUCGAACACUUACAAAAUUUUUUUGAAAAUUAACAAUUUCUCUUUAAGUUACAAAGGUCACGCGCCCGUGUAAACAGGCCAUGUCCCUUACACAGCAUUUGACAUGCCCGUGUGUCUAGGCCGUGGCAAAACAGGGCAUACAUACUACUUAUCCACACGGCCACAAGACACUUCCGUGUGUCUAGCCCGUGGUCGAAACUGACUUGGCCACACUGCCUGGCACACAUCCAUGUGUGUGCGACCAUGUGGUCUGCCCAGGCUCAUUUCGAAAUGGCCCUCAAGCAACACGGCAGAGACACACACCCGUUUCUCUGCCUGUAUGGGAAAAAAUAGGCCAUUUACAAGACCAAUAUGCCACCCAUUUGGGUCAUCCCUACAAUUCCAAAAUCAAGCAUCAUAUACCACUUUUUCAACCAAUUUCAAUCUCAAAACAUACACCAUUCAAGUCAUGUAAUCAUCAAUCUGUUUCAUGCUUAAUAUCUAUACUAAAACAUACCAAAAUCAUACGCCAAAUUCAUUCAAUCAUACAUUACCAACAACCCAAUUUCUUAUCCAUCUUCUUGCCAAACUUAUACCAAAUUUAACAAUUAAGCACAUACCAAAUUGACCAUUUCAUUUAAUCAUUCAUAUGCAUCAAAUCAUACCAUUUUCUCAUCACAUAAACCAUAACAAAACCAAACCAUAUUCACAUCCAUUAUCAAGCCAUAUCACUUGGCAAAACAUAUAUUUACAUCUUAAAACGUACUCACAUACUUAUAGCCUAUACAUGCCACAUAAUGAAAUUUGAAAGCAUUUAUUUACCAAAGUGAAAACUGGAUAGUGUGAUGAGAUAUCCUACGACUUCCAACCUCAGCAAGUCUUCGAAACUCUAUAAACAUAGGAAAAACACACAUAGUAAGCAUUAUAAGCUUAGUAAGCCAUAGGAAAAUAAAUCAACUCAAUGAUAUAUAUAAUUCAAUUUAACUAGGCUAAAUUUAACAAAAAUUAACCACAUAUACCUUCAUCAUACUCAUAAAUUCAUAUGAUUACAUUAAGUAACCUCACUUACCUCAUUUCUCAGUGAACAUAUAAAUCUCAUACAUACUUGAUUCAUCUAGCUCAUUUUUUCAUACUCACUUGCACAAAAGCACAUCCCAAUCUCAUAAAUUACAUCUAUUUUACUUACUCAUAAUUCAUUUUCAUACAGUCAUUAUUCAUUGUCAUGUAUUUCACAUAUAGUCAAUUAAAACAUACUCACUUUUCAAUUCUGAAUUACAUAAACAGAUCACACGUACUUGAAUUGGAUACAUUUUUUACAUAAUCAUUCAUUUCUCGACAUUGCCUUUCAAACCAUUUGGAAUCAAUAAGGAUACUCGGAUAACUCGGAAAGCUCGUACAAUGCCAACGUCCCAGAUGUGGUCUUACAUGUAAUCAAAUAUGGAUGCCACUAUCCCUACAGGGUCUUACACGAACUCAUAUACAAUGCCAAUGUCCUAGACAUAAUCUUACACGUAAAUCAAAAAUCGAUGCCAACGUCCUAGACAUGGUCUUACAUGAAAUCACAUAUCAGAAUCCUAUGUCAUGACAUAUGUAUCCUAACUAUUCCUAAGGUUCGUAUGGGACUUUCGGACAUCGUAACUUGAUCGAUUCAAGCUCGUAACUAUUACUCCCAUGCUUAAUUCAAUUCGGCAUAUGCAUAUACACAAGUAAUAAUUCAAUUUGGCACUAUUAAAAUAUAUACAAUUGAAUUUACCGACACUUAUUUACUUAUGAACUUACCUUGUACAGACACGAACAGACCGGAACGAUUAUUCGAUAAUUUUCUACUUUUCCCGAUCCAAAUCCAAUUUCCUCAUUUUUUAAUCUUAAUUUGAUCUCCAAGGUGCCAAACCUUAAACAAAGAAAAUAGCUUCUUAUUCUUUCUUACAUUCGGCCAACAAGAUGAUAAACAUGCAUAUUUACUUUAUGUUUUAUUUAAUUACAUAUUAAUGCAUCAUUUACCUUUUUAACCUUUAUAAAUUAAUAUGAAAAUUUCAUAAUGGUUGUCCUUUACAGUCCAUAUCAUUAUUCAAUGGCCAAAUUUAACUUUAAGUACUUCAAAAUUAAGAAACCAUAGCAAAUAAGCACCUUAACUUAUAGCAUGCUAAUUUUGCAUUUAACGCGAUUAAGUCCUUUUAUCAAAUCGGACACUCAAACGAUAAAAUUUUCAUAUGAGAAUUUCACACAUAUCAAUUCACAUACUUUAAGCAUGGAAUAUAAUAUCAAAAUAUUUUUCUGACUCGGAUUCAUUGCCCCAAAACCACUGUUCUGACUAGGGUCUAAACCGAGCUGUCCCUGAAAAUCUUACCAAAAAGUAGAUUAAGGAAUUGCUUCCAUACAAUACAUUUCAAAUUCACACAUAACUUCGGAUUCCAAUCUCUUUAAUCUCACAAUUGAAAUUUUGAUCUGUCUUCCACUAUACUGUAUCGAAUUACUUUCAUUUUCUGCUUAAUUUCUCUGAUGAUAUUAAUCUCGUGAAUCAUUUUCUCAUAAAGUUCGGUCCAGAAACAACGAAGUUCGAAAACUACAACCAUACAAUACCUCAUACAAUGUCGUUUUUAUAAUCACAUGAUAGCUUAUCAAAUAGCAAUAAUCUUUCUUAGUUGCUUUCAAACUCUAAAACAUAGGGACAAAUAAAUAUUUUGAGAAUUUUCAAAACAACCUCUUACUCACAGCUUACUGUAGUUUCUCCCAGAAUUACCAUAUAAAUUUUUAGAUUUUAAUCUGAAACAAUGAUGACUGGCACUAUGUGCAAACUGACAGUCUCUGAAACAAUAACUCAGCUGAUUUAACAAAAGAGAAAUCUAUGCGUACAGAAAGACUUAUUCAGAUAGUUAACAAUAAUUUAGAUAACAUCUAUCCUUUUUCAAUGAUAAGAGAUAAUCUCGAUGCAAAAUUCAUCAAAUUUCUAUUUCCUUAUUACUCAGAUAUAAAAACAUGCUGAAAUAGUCCUGAAGACGCUUAAUAAUUAACUUUAACUUGUUUAUAUCUCAGACAUUUAACACGAGGAAAGAAGUAUUACGUUUUAUACCCAUUUAUUGAUACCACUUUCUCAAAUUAUCAUGCAUCUUGUUACUCCUAUAUGAACAGCCUAACUGACACUGUGAGCCUCUUACAAUAAUGGUUAUACAAUCUUAGAUUUUCUUGGUUUACACACUCUAUUUCAAAGCAACAAGCAAUCAUCAAUUUCACAUCUAAAAUUCUGAAUCAGAAAUCAAUUUAUGCUGAACCCCUUUUUAACUUAUAAUUUGAUAACACAUUUCUAAGUUUCACGAAUUCACUUAAUAAGCAUCAAUUUAACUUCUAAUCCAGCUAACAUAUAAUCAUCCACUGAUAAGAUCAAUCACGUAUUCAUCGCUCGUAAAGCACACAAAAGUUUCUUAUUCAGAUCAUUCGAAACUAUAAUAAUUUCUCCCAGAUAAUAAUAUUUACUUACAGACUCAAAAUUUUUUCGACGAUUCGAACUAGCUCAGUUGUGCCAAGUUCGAAUCUAGCUCUGCAACGUCAAACAUUUUAAACUUUUGUAUCAUCAAAUAUGUUACAUAACUCUUUUCAUGUAGCUUUAACCAUAUGGAAUUACAUGAUAUCUCUAUACACUCUAUUAUUAAAACAAACUUCAAAUCGUUCAUUGACACAUGAUUAAAGAUCAUAAUUUUUUUCAUCAAAUUAGACUGAACCAGUAUUGAUGUUUCGGUUGACAAUAUCUCCGUGCAAAAGGAAAACUUCAACAAUCGAACUAACUUUAAUUUACCACAACAUUUUCUAGAUAGAAUUGUUCCGAUAGAUAUAAUUCUGUAUCAAGUCUUCAAGAAUACGAAUUCUUCCUCCAGACUAUCCCUCAAUUCACACAUGUUCAUUCAAAGUUUAUUUUCAAUCCAGUGGAUAGAUUCAAACGCACCUAAUUAACUAUUCAAUCAAAUAAUUUAGAUUAGACUAAACUACUGAGUCGGUCUUUUCGAAGAAAUAUUUUCCUCUCGUUAAAAGGAUAACCUAGACAUAUCAUUAUACAAAUGCCACAAUCAUCCAAUAAAGAUCAUAAUGUCAUAAUAAGACGACGUCUUACACAUAACAAUAGAUAAUAACCCAGCUGUUAAUAAAGUAUUUGAACCCAAAAGAAAAUCAAAUAUGAUUUGAACAGCAACCAAUGUAGAAUCACAACUUUUAUAACUCUGAUAACGGUACUGCAGUACUUCCCAAAUUUUAGAAUAGAAAUUAUGAUUAUAGCAGAUAUAGCCAUUUCUGUCAAAUAAAUAUCUCUUAUAGAUAAUCAUAUAGAAUCAUAAGAAAACCAGAAUAGUGAAAUUUUCAACACCUGUAGCUACACAGAAUAUCAGAAAAUUACAACCCAUAUAGAAUGAUAUCAACUCCAAUGAUAUCCCAGAAAAUGUCCAGAAAGAAUAAUAUCACUCAUAAAUACUGGAAUCCACAGUAACAGAAACGAUAUAAUCUUCACAUAUUUUUGAUAGAACAAUAGCCAGCAGAAACAGAGUAUUAGCAUCAUACAGAUUUCACUGUCGACUUUCAUGUCGACACAAUGGAAUAAAUACUAGAGAAAGACAUAGCAAUGUUGAACAUAACUCAAACAGACCAACGGUACUUUCAUCUAUUAGCAUGUUUAGCUAAUGUUGUCAUACGAUAAGAAUUCCUUCUGAAACUAAACAGUCACAUAUACUUCUGCGGAUAAAUGUACACAUAGAUUGUCCAGAAGAAGUCAUAGUAACUGGCCGACUAUAACCACUACACUCAACCAUCAAUAUAAUUCAAACAUUAUUCAACUAUCUAAUUCUGUCAUGAUUAAGUUCAUAUUAUCCCAUCAAUAACAAAAAUCAAUCUAGAGAAGCUUCCAGUUAAUACAUUCCUUAGAUAACUUACCUGAAUAGGUCAUUUAAUUGAAGUUAACUUCUUCUGUAGCAGUGACUUUACAUAAUCUGAAUAGUCUCCAGAGCUAUCCAAUAUCUCUUUUAAUACUGUCUUCAUUUGCUGAUUCAUUCACUUUUUUGACCACAUUAUUAAUCUUCCGAACACGGACUUCUGUAACUCCACACUCAUAAACUUAUUCAACAAAUCUUACAGAUUUCAUUUUAACAUUUCACUAAUAGGGGGUGAGGGUAGUAAAGCCUCAAAUUUAACUUACACAUAAAUGCACAUAACACAUACUAUCAUAAAUAGCCAGUUCAUUUCUAAUUUCACAUUCUCAAAGCAUUUAAUAAGCUUUUACUCACUUUUUUACUUAUCACAUAGUUCAUAUGCCAACUCAAAUUACUAAUUCACAAUCAAAGUAUUUCAGAUAGCACUCAUAACUCAAAAAUCAUAUAUCAUAUGCUCAUAUAAUUAUAACAUUUAUCAAUAACAAAAUGUCAUACUCUUAACAUUUAUCAAUAACAAAAUGUCAUACUCUUUGAUCCAUACCUUUAUGAUUUUCAACUCAUAAUCAACAUAUUUUAAUUCAAACAUUUGAGGAUACAUUAUGUACUAUCAGAAUUAGCUCGGAUGGAAAACUUUUCUGUCUCAUCAAAAUAAUUUUUUCAGAGUCGAGAGAUAUCACACUAUCGCAAGUUAAAUGUGGCAUGUAUAGUUAGACUCACAUACGCUAUGUUAGUCCUAAAACCAACUAAACCAUAGCUCUGAUACCAACCAAAUGUAACACUCCUAACCCGUAUCUGUCACCCAACUAGGGUUAAGAGGCAUUACCAGACAAUCGAAACAUAGUUCAGAACUGACAUUCUUUACAAUUCAUGCACCCAGUAAUGCAUUCUCCUUUAUAAUUUUUUUCUAAAAUAAAUUAAUAAAGCAACCUCUUCUUCAUAAAAUCAAAUUCGUAUAUUUGAAUCACAUAGCCAGCCACACAAAUCAUGCUUUAUCGAACAUUCUCUUAUAUGAACUAUGUUUCAAUAUUUAACCAUUUCAAUUCCUUUUUCCUAUACAAAAAUUUCAAACCAAGCUAUCAAAUAUCAAAACCAAUUUGAACAUAUUUCAUAAUUACAAAAUUCAAACCAUAUGGCCAUCAUUUCCAUAACAUUCGAUUACCCAAGUCAUAAUCAAACAUAUUUAAUUUCAUAUACCAAGCAUAUAUCAAAACAUCCAUUUGUAUACUUCUAUUUCAUAACUAAUUAACGAUCAUACCAUUUUAUAAACCUAAGUACAAAUGCAUACUAAGUCGUUUCAACCCAUAUUGUAACACCCCUAACCCGUGUAACACCCUAAACCCGACCUGGACGUUUUGCUUGAAUCUGGUGAUGUCAUAUUGAAGUGUUUUUUGCAAAGUACGAUAUUGUAAAAACCCAUUCUCAAGUUAUCCUCUUUUUGUGUUCUUAUAGAGGCUUGUUUAGUUUAAAACUCAAGUCGUUUAGCAAAAUGCUAAUCAUAUUAAAAUUGUUAUUACUUUUUAAAACAUUGUUUGUUGCGGAAGCUUUUAAAAUAUGUCGCGUAAACGAGGUGUUUUAGGAAAAACAUUUAUCUUUUUGAAAACACGCGUCUUAUCCUAUUGCUAGUAGUUAUAAACCCAAGAAAAUAAAAACCCAAAUUUAAGAUAAAAUCCAUAGAGGCCUUAUUACAUAAACAAAUACCUAAAUUAAAUUACUUAUAAAUUAAAAAUCAAUAAGAAAGCAAGUGCAGUUGUGUGGCCACCAUUGAGUCCCUCGCAGCACUGAUCCGCCUAAGGCUGGGGAUCACCUAUACAGUUAAACAAAUGGGUGAGUUUACGAAAACUCAGUGUGUAAUCCCAUAUAAGCAAACAGUCAGAAAACAAGCACAUUUGGGCCUAAGCCUUUUUUAGUAACAAUGACAAUAUCAGUUUGGGCUUUAGCCCAUCUCAAUACAGAAAAAGUCAUAUGUUCGGGCCUUGGCCCAUUGCAGUAACAGUAAACAAUGCAGUAAUAGUAACAGUGUAGUAACAGUAAACAGUAUGCAAGUUCUACCCAUCCAGCCUCUAUAGUCCAUCUCCGUCCAACCCUACACUCCAUGUGGGGACAAAAUUAACCCACUCAUCCUUACACUCCAUGUAGCACCGGUUGCGGCACUAAAGAGUAUUUGCAGUAGAGCUGCUAGUAUAAUUCGCUUAGAGCCAUCAGUGAUUUGCAGCAGAGCUGCCAGUACAGUACACUUCCUCCAAUCAUAUAAAAACCCAUCCCCAUGCAAUACAUCAUGCAACAUGUCAUAAUAUUAUACAUGUAUUCAAUACAGUUACAAUAACAUGCUAAAAUAUAAACAUACAUUACAUAGGGGUAAAACAGUCAUCUUACUAUAAAAGGGCAAAACAGCCAUUUUACCCUAUAAGGGCAAAACAGUCAUUUUACCUCAGAAGCGUAAAACAGUCAUUUUACCAAUUAGGGGUCCAGGCACACUUACCGACCCAACAGUAGGUCUACAGUCAUCUCGGGUGACCCAUGCAACCUUAACAGUUAAACUGUGAAAAUGGGCCCACGACCCAUAUUGUGUGAUCAUGUGGGCCCACACGCCCGUGUGGCCCACAAAGCCCAGAUGUGGCCUUGGCCAUGUGGAUAACACAGCGUGGCCCAAUAAUCUCUACACAUCCAUGUGGUUUACCCAUGUGGGGUCCAUAGGCUCGUGGGGCUCAUGGCUCAUGUCAGCCAAACAUGGCCCAAAACGGCCUAAGCCCGCGAAGUCAUUCAUGGCGGCCUUUACGAUCAAACCCCCACGUUUAUGCAUUCAAUUUACCAUACGAGCGAUCGUACACCCGUGUAGUGAUAAUAGUCACAUUUGUCAGCUUUUGUUGAGUAACGAAUAAGGGUAGUGUUUUACACAUAUUAUUUGUAAAGAUCGCAACCAUGAAUACCCUAACAGCUAUAAUACACAAUAAUGAUUCCCUUACUGCUUUAGCACCGCUCAAAUCACUACAGUCGAUUAUCAAUUACCUAAAAAAAACUAGGCCUCCAAAAUGCAAAAAGAAGAGACCAUAAGCCAAAAUCCCGAAACGUUACCUUCACUACAUCAACAGGUUUCGCACAACACACACGAUGAUUAGAGAUCACCAGUCCUCUGAAGAGAACCUAUCACCAACAAAAGAACUAACAGUCAUUUCUACAACUGAGUGAUUACAAUCGAACUUAAAUAGCCGAAGAAGUUAACACGAAACAACAUCAACCUACAAUGGUACUUACGAACCCGUGAUAUCAUAUUAAUAAAAAUAAUCCAUAAUGAAUUCGUAUCAAGGUUAACCCAAAAGCGACUAACCUCCCACCUUUAAAAUAUGGACUGAAUCUUGCACCCAAAUAAAUCUCUGAUUAAUUCCCACGAGUGUUUGAAAACUUCUCCCUAAUGUCAUGUAAGAGACAUAUCAAAGGGAAGUCAUCAAAAGAAAUGAACUACUUACAAAGACUUACCAAAACUUAAAGAUUGAAAUUGGGAAGACUUGCUUUUGGAAAAACCUUAAGCAAUGGAAUGAUGAGGAGAAAAGAACAAAUACAGAAAAAGAGAACACGAAGAAAGAACUUAGUGCAACUUCGGCAAAAGAAAGUAACAAAAUGAUGAAUAGUAGAGUGGAAGGCAGAAGAACUAUCGUCAAUUUCUUUCCUGGAAGUAAGAGGAGCCGAAUUUCUUUGAAGCGAGAUAACUAAAAGGAAAAUAAAAAAAUAAAAUCCCUCUAAAUCUUCCUAAAAAUUAGCAACUUCAUCCCCCACACUUCUCAACCACUCCAACCGCCUACUAGUAUUAGAAUUUCACUAACACACAACCACUUACAUGGCCACAAGUACAAAUAAAUCCUUCGCUCGCGCAAAGACUCAUACUCUUGACCCUUUGCAACAACAACACUCCACUUAACCACUAGACCAACAGGCCCAUUCUGACAUAUCUUUAUCCAUAUUUAUUUAUAAGCCUACUAGCUAAAGACAAGGGUUUACUCCUUAAAAACAAAACUUUUUGCACAUGCCUAGGCUUGAACCCAGGACUUCUCAGACACUUCCCAGAACACUUAACCACUGAAGCAAAUACACAGUUGUGUCACUUUCUUGCACAACUAAACAUUUAUGUACAGUCUCCUAACUAUUCCCAUGCUUAAAAUAGAAUACUACUAGGCCCAAAUUUGGGCAUUACAAUUCACCCCUCCUUAAAGAAAUUUUAUCCCCGAAAUUUCCAACUAUCAAAUCAGUCGUAUAACACAGACUACACCAUAACGCUCCCGCUGCACACUCUAACUCUAAAACACUACCACAUUUAACCUGAAUGAUUCCAGUACAGUCUAUAGAUAGACUGGAACAAUGCGCUCAGCCGCACGAUCAUGAGAACCAGCUCGAGCACCUCUCUGGCCUCCUCCGCAGCCUCUUGUACCCCUUUUGCAAGUACCUCCGUUGUUUAUUAUCAAAUUGCAUUUCUAUCUUAUUAACAGUUUUAUCCAUCAGUUUAUAGUUCCAAUGUUUAUUAACAGAUAUUUUAUGAAAAAUAUUAUCAGUAAUUUAGAGUUUUGUUUUCGCCAAUCCCAGCUUCCUACAGUUUUUAGUAUACACUACUAAAGAGUUUGCAGUACAAUAUACAACCUAAAGUAGUCUCAGUAAUCCUACCUACGGCAGUUUCAGUCAAAAAUCAAAAAACAAUUUUUAGAGAGAACUUACAGGAUCAGCGCAAAGACUCGGUGUACCACACAUUCAGUAUAACAUUUCCAAAUAUUUCAAAUCAUUUGAAAUAGUUCGUUUUCGAAAUUUCAAGUUUUAAAGAAACCCAAAUCCACAGCCGAGUUUUGCAACUUGAAUCUAUACCACAAAGUGUAACACCCCAAACCCGGCCUGGACGUUAUGGUCGAAUCUGGCGAUGUCACACUGAAGUGUUUUUCGUAAAGUAGGAUAUUGUGAAAACCCAUUUUCAACUUAUCCUCUUUGUGUGUUCUUAUAGAGGUUCGUUUAGUUUAAAACUCAAGUCGUUUAGCAAAAUGCUAAUCAUAUUAAAAUUGUUAUUACUUUUUAAAACAUUGUUUGUUGCGGAAGCUUUUAAAAUAUGUCGCGUAAACAUGGUGUUUUAGGAAAAACAUUUAUCUUUUUGAAAACACGAGUCUUAUCCUAUUGCUAGCAGUUAUAAUCCCAAGAAAAUAAAAACCCAAAUUUAAGAUAAAAUCCAUAAAGGCCUUAUUACAUAAACAAAUACCCAAAUUAAAUUACAUAUAAAUUAAAAAUCAAUAAGAAAGCAAAUGCAGUUGUGUGGCCACCAUUGAGUCCCUCGUAGCACCGAUCCGCCUAAGGCUAGGGAUUACCUGUACAGUUAAACAGAUGGAUGAGUUUACGAAAAUUUAGUGUGUAAUCCCAUAUAAGCAAACAGUCAGAAAACAAGCACAGCCUGGGCCGAAGCCCUUUUUAGUAACAGUGACAAUAUCAGUUUGGGCUUUAUCCCAUCUCAAUACAGAAACAGUCAUGUGUUCGGGCCUUGGUCCAUUGCAGUAACAGUAAACAGUGCAAUAACAGUAACAGUACAAUAAUAGUAAACAGUGUAGUAACAGAAAAUAGUAUGCAAGUCCUACCCAUCCAGCCUCAACACUCCACUUUGUCCAACCCUACACUCCAUAUGGGGAUAAAAUCAACCCACCCAUCCCUACACUCCAUGUAGCAUCGGUUACGGCAUUAAACAGUAUUUGCAGUACAUCUGCCAAUAUAAUAGGCUUAGAGCCAUCAGUUAUUUACAGCAGAGUUACCAGUACAGUACACUUCCUCCAAUCAUAUAAAAACCCAUCCCCAUGUAAUGCAUCAUACAACAUGUCAUAAUAUUAUACAUGUAUUCAAUAUAGUUACAAUAACAUGCUAAAAUAUAAACAUGCAUCACAUAAGGGUAAAAUAGUAUACUAUAAAAGGGCAAAAGAGUCAUUUUACCCCAUAAGUGCAAAACUGUCAUUUUACCUCAUAAGGGCAAAAUAGUCAUUUUACCAAUUAGGGGUCCAGGCACACUUACCGACCCAACAGUAGGUCCAAAGUUGUCUCGGGCGACCUGUGCAACCUUAACAGUCAAGCAGUGAAAAUGGGCCCACGGCCCAUAUUGCGUGAUCAUGUGGGCCUACACACCCAUGUGGCCCACAAAGCCCAGAUGUGGCCUUGGCCAUGUGGAUAAUACAGUCGGGCCCAAUAAUCUCCACACAUCCAUGUGGUUUAUCUGUAUGGGGCCCACAAGCCCGUUGGGGCCCACACGUCCCAUGUCAACCCAACAUGGCCCAAAACGGCCUAAGCCCACGAAGUUGCUCAUGGUGGCCUCUACGAUCAAAUACCCAUGUUUAUGUGUUCAAAUUACCACACAAGCGAGCGUACGCCAGAGUAACGAUAAUAGUCACAUUUGCCGACUUUUGUCGAGUUACGAAUAAGGGUCUAAAUCGGGCUGUUACACAUAUCAUUAGCUAAAUAGCAAACAUAACAUUUAAUAAACAUUAUAGAUGCGAUUGUUAAAUCAAUUUGGCCAUAUCUCGCGGCUUAAUAUUCAUUUGCACAUAAAACAUUAGGUAACUUUAUAACAUAACCAACUAUACUUUUAACAUUAUCAUAUCAUGCGCAUAACACCCAAAAGCCAAAAUCCAUUUCUAAAUACAAUUACAAAUCAUAGCAUUUCAAACAUUAUUACCUUAUGUGCAUUAUACCAAAUCAAAUUUAACCAUUUUUGGACACAGAUGUUAAGUCAUACCAUAUCUAAUUUUCAAGCUAAAUAACAUAUUUAACCAUGUUAUAUUCAUAUCAUAGUCAAACAUCAACAUUAAGUCCCUUUUUUAGGUCAAUGAGACCAUAAACAUACAUUUGGAAGAGGUCAGGAUAAACCAAACACUUACAAAAUUUUUCCAAAACUUAACAAUUUUUUCUUAAGUUACAAAGGUCACACGCCAAUGUAAACAGGCCGUGUGCGUUACACGGCUUUUGACACGCCCGUGUGUCUAUCCCAUGGCAAAAUAAGGCAUACAUACUGAAUUAUCCACACAGCCACAAGACAGUUCUGUGUGUCUAGCCCGUGGUCAAAACUGACUUGGCCACACGGCCUGGCACAUGUUCGUAUGUGCACGAUCAUGUGGUCUGCCCAGGCUUAUUUCGAAAUGGCCCUCGAGCAACACGGCAGAGACACUCGCCUGUGUCCCUGCCUGUGUGGGAAAAAAUAGGCCAUUUGCAAGACCAAUAUGCCACCCAUUUGGGUCAUCCCUACCACAUUUUCAACCAAUUUCAAUCUCAAAACAUACACCAUUCAAGUCAUGUAAUCAUCAAUCUAUUUCAUGCUCAAUAUCUAUAACAAAACAAACCAAAAUCAUACGCCAAAUUCAUUCAAUCAUACAUUACCAACAUCUCAAUUUCUUAGCCAUCUUUAUGCCAAACUUAUACCAAAUUUAACAAUUAAGCACAUACCAAAUUGACUAUUUCAUUUAAUCAUUCCUAUGCAUUAAAUCAUACCAUUUUCUCAUCACAUAAACCAUAACAAAACCAAACCAUAUUCACAUCCAUUAUCAAGCCAUAUCACUUGGCAAAACAUAUAUUUACAUCUCAAAACAUAUUCACAUACUUAUAGCCUAUACAUUCCACAAAACCGAAUCUCAAAGCAUUUAUUUACCGAAGUGAAAAUUAGAUAGUGUGAUGAGGUCUCCUACGACUUCCAACCCGAGCAAGUCACUGAAACUCUAUAAACAUAGAAAAAACACACAGUAAGCUUUAUAAGCUAUGAAAGCCAUAAGAAAAUAAAUCAACUCAAUGAUAUAUAUAAUUCAAUUUAACUAGGCUAAAUUUAACAAAUCUUAACCACAUAUACCUUCAUCAUACUCAUAAAUUCAUAUGAUUACAUUAAGUAACCUCAUUUACCUCAUUUCUCAAUGAAAAUAUAAAUCUCAUACAUACUUGAUUCAUCUAGCUCGUUUUUUCAUACUCACUUGCACAAAAGCACAUCCAAAUCUCAUACAUUAAAUCUAUUUUACUUACUCAUAAUUCAUUUGCAUACAUUCAUCAUUCAUUGUCAUGUAUUUCACAUAUAGUCAAUUACAACAUACUCACAUUUCAAUUCCGAAUUACAUAAACAAAUCACACGUACCUGAAUCGGAUACAUUUUUUACAUAAUCAUUCAUUUCUCGAUAUUGCCGAUCAAAGUGUUCGAAAUCAAUAAGGAUACUCGGAUAAAUCGAAAAGCUUGUACGAUGCCAACAUCCCAGACGUGGUCUUACAUGUAAUCAAAUAUUGAUGCCACUGUCUCAGACAGGGUCUUACACAAACUCAUAUACUAUGCCAAUGUCCCAGAAAUAGUCUUACUCGUAAAUCACAAAUCGAUGCCAAUAUCCCAGACGUGGUCUUACACGAAAUCACAUAUCAUAAUCCUAUAUCAUGACAUAUGUAUCCUAACUAUUUCCAUGGUUCAUACGUGACUUUCGGAUAUCGUAACUCGAUUGAUUCAAGCUCGUAAAUAUUGCUCCCAUGCUUAAUUAAAUUCGGCAUAUACAUAUACACAAGUAAUAAUUCAAUUUGGAACUAUUAAAAUAUAUACAAUCAAAUUUAACGACAUUUAUUUACGUAUGAACUUACCUCUUACAGACACGAACGAACCGGAAUGACUCUUCGAUAAUUUUUGACCUUCCCCGAUCCAAAUCCAAUUUCCUCAUUUCUUGAUCUUAAUUUGAUCUCCAAGGUGCCAAACCUUAAACAAAGAAAAUAGCUUCUUAUUUUUUCUUACAUUCGGCCAGCAAGAUGAUAAACAUGCAUAUUUACUUUAUGUUUUAUUUAAUUACAUAUUAAUGCAUCAUUUACCUUUUUAACCUUUAUAAAUUAAUAUGAAAAUUUCAUAAUGGUUGUCCUUUACCAUCCAUAUCAUUAUUCAAUGGCCAAAUUUCACUUUAAGUACUUCAAAAUUAAGAAACCAUAGUAGAUAAGCACAUUAACUUAUAGCAUGCUAACUUUGCAUUUAACGCGAUUAAGUCUUUUUACCAAAUUAGACACUCAAACGAUAAAAUUUUCAUACGAGAAUUUCACACAUAUCUAUUCACAUACUUUAAGAAUGGAAUAUAAUAUUAAAAUAUUUUUUGACCCAAAUUAGUAGUCCUGAAACCACUGUUCCGUCUAGGGUCUAAACUAGGCUGUUACAGCUGCUUUUGCCCCCUCACUUCGGACUUCAGAUGCGAGCUUUUUACUACCACUAGAUGUAGCUCGCUGCACGGAAGCUUGAGCAACGCUUUCAACUUUCUCAGUCUCAGCUCUAGCUUGGUUGGGAGACAUUACUAUAUAAAAAUACAUUUAAAAGUGGUCAGGAGAUAUCACACUAUCAGAAUUUAUAUAAUGGCAUGUAUAGUCGGAGUCGUACUCGCUACGUUAGUCCGAGAAUCAGCUAAAUCAUAGCUCUGAUACCACUACAUGUAACACCCCUAACCCGUAUCCAUCAUCGAAAUAGGGUUUCAGAGUAUUACUGAAACAUUCAGAAUAUUUUUCAAUUAAUUUACGUAAAUUACUGUUCAUUUACUGAUAUCAUACAUAUUGUCCCUUAUACGGACCCUCGAGGCCCAAAAAGAGUGUUGGAAUCAAACCGAGAACUCAGGGAAUUUUUUUCAAAAUUCUAAAAAUUUUCCUAGGUACAAGGAUCACACGCCCGUGUGGUCUAAGGACACGCCUAUGUGGUAAAGCCGUGUACUAUACACACCCGUGUCCCUAACCGGUGUAACUCUCUGACUUUUAAAGCAUGAAGAAAUUGAAGUCACAUAGCCAAGUCACAUGCCCCUGAGCUAGGCCGUGUGGUGAAUUUUUAUUUUAUAAAUUUAGGUGAAGAUUUCACACGGACAUGUAACAGGGGGCACACGACCAAAUUCGGCCUUUUCUAAUUUUUCCAUGGAUGAGUCAUUAACAUGAGUCAUUAAAAUAUCUACUAACUACUCUUCAAUGGUCUAAUUACCAUAUAAGGACCUUAUGUUUUGGAUUCUAUAACUAUUUGAUACCUAUAGCUACUAGAAUCCAACUUUUGCAUUUUAUGCAAUUUAGUCCUUUACCUAAUUAACCACACAAUCGAUAAAAUUUUCGUAUCAAAAUUUUCAUGUAACCUUCCUAUCAUGAUGCCAACCAUAAAAUAAAAUAAAUUUAUUUUAUUUUUAACUCAGAUUUGUGGUCCCGAAACCAUUUUUCCAACCUCAUCGAAAUUGUGCUGUUACAGUGGAGAAAAAUAUCCAUGCUUAAUUUUUCUAAUCAUAGCCCGAUGUUGUGACACUGCCUUCAUAUUUUGGAUACUUAGGCUUUGAAGUCCAGUGUUGUGACAUACUUCUCAGAGUCACGACACUACAGUCAUCAUUCACCUUCUUAGCCCAAAAAUAAUGUCCUACACACUUGAUAAAGCCAUUAGAUCCUAGGCCCAUAGUGGCCCAUUAGGUCAUAACAUAACACAAAAUUGUGUAAAAACACUUAUUUUGCAUAAAUUAAACAUAAAGUAAUAAAAAUGAAGACUGAAAUAAAAAACAUAUAAAAAUACUAGAAAACAAGCUUCUUAAGUACCGAAAAGACCUUAAUUUACCACAAUGAAUUCUGGGAUAUCAUGAAAUUACUAAGCAUUCAAAAUGCUUACCUAGCUGUUAUUCCUUUUCUGUAGAUUAUUAGUUUGCAGAACACAUUGUUUGGAUCUGUAACGCCCCGAAUUUGGAUCUGUAACACAUUGAUUGUAGAAUUUGGUUUUGAGUAGGGGUGCAGUUAGGAGACUGCACAUAAAUAUCUAAUUGUGUAGGAAAGUGACACAAUUGAGUGUUUGGCUUAGUGGUUGUGUGCUCUGGAAGUGUCUGGGAAGUCAUGGGUUCAAGUCUUGGCUUCUAAAAAAUUUUGGUUUUUAAGGAUAAAACCCCUAUCUUUGGUCAGUAGGGUUGUAAAUAAAAUUUGGCAAGGUAUGACACAAGAAAGCAUAUGGUCUAGUGGAAAUGGCGUUAUAAGUGUGGCAAGGAGGUCUAAGGUUCAAAUCCCUGCUUGCGCAAAUGGGGAUUAUUUUUGCUGGUGGCUUUGGGAGGAAGUUGUGUUUGACCGAAACACCAAGAAUUUGAACUGGUUUGAAUAGUAUUGUUGUUGGCCGAAUUUAGGGAGUAAAAAGGGGGAUUUUUCAAAUGUUUGAAUUGGUGGACGGGAGAAAACUUAGGAGAAAUUCGUGGAAGGGAUCCAGUAGUAAGGGAGAGUGAGUUGGUUGCCAAAAAUAGGUCUCUUCUUAUGCAAAAUUUGGUCACUUGUGCUCUUAGUGCCAUAAGAGUGUUGUAGUUUUAGGGGUUCUCUGAACGAUUAUCUUUUACUCUUUCUUUUUCGGGUAUUGUUCUUUUUGUGGCUGAAUAUCAGUUGUGACCACUCGGGAAUUUUGGAUUUCUCUUCUUUAUCGUGUUUUCUUAGGCGGCUUCUCCUCUUUUUCCCCUUCCUUCUCCUCUUGAAUAUUGACGUUGUUCUUUUCUUUGUUCACAUUGGUUUUAUGUGCCGAAUACUUUUCCUUCUAUAGCCAAACUUUGUUUCGUUCUAUCAAUCUUCUUUCUAGUCUCUAUUGUCGAUUCUCUUUUUACUUCUCUCUCUCUCUCUCCCUUUCAUACAAUCACUUUUGCGUUGGAAAGGCAUCAGUUGAUAAGUCUCUAUUGACUUUGUUUUUCGACUAGUUUUCCUUUUCUCCCUAAAUGUCAUUUUUAUCACUUCUUCCUUUGAUCACGGUACUUGCUGUUUUGGGUUGUAGUAUCGCUAACGGAGUGAGGGAGUUCGUUUGGAUUCUAAGAACAAUCGUAAUCUUCCUCUCGUCUCUCGUUCUAAGGUAACACUGUUCGUUGGUGUUUUAUUAAUUGAGGCACUUUGGUUUGGGGUUCUUGAACUUGGCCGAAUAUCCAUGUCUCUUAGGGUGGUUGUGCGAUGUUUAAUCCUUAUGUAAGCAGUAUGUUCAAGAGUUUGCUGUCUGCAGAUAAUCAUCAAGUGACUAAUAUCGAUUUUUUUCGGUGUUCUAAGCAGGCUAUAACCACUUUUGUUCAAGCAAGGCAUUAGUAAGUAGUCUCUUGGAACAAGUUUCAGUUAGGGUUCUUUUAAACGCGUAUAUUAGAUUUUAACCAAGGUUUCUGUUGUGUUAGGUGGAGUGUAUGGGCUAAGUCAUUCGUUUCCGGAACCAGGUGUGUACAUACACCACAUUAACUCCAGAUCAGCAAAUCCUGAAAUGUCGAAAUGUCGAAAUGCCAAAAAAUUGAAAGAACGGCAAGGGGUACCACACGAUCGCGUGAACGUACGUGUGGAAAAUCUGAUACAAUAGUAGAAGCCACCAUGAGCGAACUCAUGGACUAUGGUCGUUAUGGGCCGAGUUGAGUCGUUCGGGCCCAAUGGGCCUGUAGGCCCUAGAUGUGUAAAACUUACCAAUAGGUGGGAAAACGUUGGACCAACCGUGUCACUCACAUGGCUUGGAUCAAAAUCGAGCUUGGUGGCCAAAUGGGUCGUGUGGGCCUAUGGGUCUGCUUAAAUGGGAUUUGGGCCCAAUCGCACUAUUUGAUUGCUAAAGGUUGCACGGAUUUUGCAAGACGACUGUGAACCUACUGAUGGGACAGUAAGUGUAUUUAGAUCCUGAUUUACGAAAUGACUGUUAUGCCCCGAAAGGUAAAAUGACUAAAAUGCCCCUACAUGUUGUAUAAAUGUUAUUAUAUGGCAUUUAUGAUAUGUUUGCUUUCAUGUGAUAUUAUGCUACAUGAGGGAACAGAAUCAUUGAUUUGGAGGAAGUAUAUGAUUUGUUAGGGUCGCAUGGUUGCUUGACAACUAUGGGUCCACCGACAGCUUAAAGCCAUUAUGUGAUUGGCAACUCGGCUGCGAAAUUGGUUAGCGCUGCAACCAAUGAUACAACAGGAGUGUAGGGAUAGGUGGGUCGAUUAAAUCCCCAUAGGAGUGUAGGGUUGGACAGGAUAUAGAGUGCAGGGUUGGUUGGGUAUUUGUGCAUUGCAUAACCUGAUUCUGAUUGUGACAUGGGCUCAGGCCCAACUGAGGCUACUAUGGGUUAAGGCCCAAGUGCCACCUUUAUUAUAAUGGGCUUAGGUCCAAAUUGAUGUGAUGCAUGCUUUUUGAUCGAUGAGGAUUGUACACAUUGAGUUUUCGUAAACUGACCCCUCUCUUUUAAAUUUUUUUCAGGUAAUCUUCAGUAGACGGUUGGACACAUGGGAGGACUCGGAUGUGGCCACACUACGAACAGCUUUAAAUAUUCGUAUUUUCUUUUACAUUACUUAAAUUACUUUCUCUUUGGGUUUUGAUGUAAUAAGGCAUUUUCUCUAAUUUUCUAGCUUUUAAUUUUGGGGUUUUUAACUAUUAUGAUUAAUUUAUGUUAAAAGUAGAGCGCGGUUUUCCAAAAUGAUAUUUGUUUUCAUAACAUCAUGUUUUCGCAACAUUGUUGAAAUGCUUUCGCAACAAACAUGUUUUUUUUACGAGUAAGACUGGUUUAAAAUGGUUAACAAAUAAUUAAGUUGACUUUAGAAUUAAACAAAUGGGCUUUUAUCUUUCAAGCGAGAUUUAUUAAUCAGGCUAAGUUUUUUUAAAAAGCAUUUAAUGUGACACACCAAAUUCAGCCAUAACAUCUAGGCUAGGUUUAGGAUGUUACAUUUAGUGGUAUCAGAGCCAAGUUGUAAAACUCGGGCUAUGAAAUGGGCUUUUAACUUUUGGGAUUUUAAAGUUGCCUAUAAAUGAUUUUGAAGUAAGGAUUUUAUUGUGUGGUUCACCGAGUCUCCAGCGUCGAACCAAGUAAGUUCUCCUGAUACUGAAAUCUAUUUUAAACUGUUAUACUAUAGAUAGUUACUGGGCUUCCUUUAGAUGAUAACUAUACUGAGACUCUUUAGAUAGAUUAAACUGAAAAACUAUACGAAACUAAAAAUGUAGCGAGCCUACGAUUGUGAAAACAACUCUUAACUACUACUGUCAUAAAACAUCUACUUCAUUACUGAAACUAUGAGUUAAAUUAUACGCGAAGUAAUAAUGAGCACUAAAAGAGGUGCAAGAGGCCGCAGCAGAGGCCGUGGAAGUACUAGCGUUGGAUCUUCGGCAUCAGGUCACAUGCCCAACGUUGAGGCAAGAGAAGCAUCGGCUUCACCGGUACCCAAAAAAUGGUCAUAUGAUCGAGCAGCUGGGAACGACGCAUUGUCCCAAGCAAUGUUAAGGAUUCUAAAAAGGGUCGCUGGGCCCAACACUGGUAAUAGGAGCUGAGGGUCAAUUUCUGAGAGACUCCGGUUGAAUAGAGCCGUGAUCUUUAAGGGUAUCACGGGAGUAGCAUCGAAUGUGGCCGAAUAUUGGUUGGAGGCCACUGAAAGGAUAAUUGACGACUUAGAUUGCACUUCGGAGCAAAAACUAAAAGGAUCAGUGUUGCUGCUGCGAGAGGAAGCUUACCAGUGGUGGCUUACCAGUGGUGGCUUACCGUGAAAGAAGGCACUCAGCUUGACCGGAUAACAUGAAAGUUCUUCAAAUCGGCAUUUCAAGGGAAAUACGUUGACUGAAGCUACGUCGAUGCUGAAAGAAAGGAAUUCUUGAACUUGAAUAAGGGAGAUCGAUCUGUGGCGGAGUACGAGGUAGAGUUCUUAUGAUUGAGUCAGUAUGCUGAAGAAAUAGUGGCAAUAGAUUAUGAACAUGUGUUCGGUUCGAAGACGGCCUCUAAGACAGUCUUCGGGUACUGAUUGCUCCCUAGAGGGAGUGGGAAUUCGCAGCAUUGGUAGAGAAAGCAAAAAUCAUUGAAGAUGUAAAGCGCACUGAGUGCCUAAACUGGGAAAGAGAAAGGGGAAGAAAUAAAAGGGAUUCUAAGCCCUCCAAUUACGAUCAGAGGCCUAAGAGAAGGGCCAGAGUGGAUGGGUCAGUCAGAGCGGGGCCCCCCUAUUGCUACUACUGGGUUACAAUCUUGUGUUAUUUGUGAAAAAGUCAUGCAGGAGAGUGCUGGAGGAGAAAGGAACCUGUCUGAGUUGUGGUUCCAUGAAGCAUCAUCUCAAAGAGUGUCCCAGAAGACCAGAUCAAAGGCAAGUCUUUGGUAAAGAUAAUAUAUAGCCACCAAAGGGUGGGCAGCAGUCGCAUAGAGGCCGUGGUCAGGCCAAGGGUGGAAAUAGUUUGGGUCGUGGAGCACCAAAAAGAGGUGAUGAUCGUGCUGAGGCGAGGCAGAUAACUUUGGUCUAUGUAGCAUGCCACCGAGAGGACGAAGAUACUCCAAAUGCAAAUACUGGUAUGUAGUUUAUCCAUAGUAUGCUAUUUAUCUAUUUUGAAAUUAGAAUUAGAGUGUGCAGUAGAAGUAUAGUGGUGUAACCUGGGUUGUGCUACUAUUGGAUAUUUAGAAAUUUUGAGGACGAAAUUUCUUUAAGAGGGUAGAGUUGUAACGCCUUGAAUUUGGGCCUAAAAGUAUGAGUUUUGAGUAGGGGUGCAGUUAGGAGACUGCACAUAAAUAUCUAAUUGUGCAAGAAAGUGACACAAUUAAGUGUUUGGCUUAGUGGUUAUGUGCACUGGAAGUGUCUGGGAAGUCAUGGGUUCAAGUCCUGUCUUCCACAAAAUUUUGGUUUUUAAGGAUAAAACCCCUAAAUUUGGUCAGUAGGGUUAUAAAUAAAAUUUGGCAAGUAUCUUAGUUAAUUCGUUUACUUCUAAACUCUAUAUAGCCAGGUAACUGGCUUUGUCAUUAGUCUCUAUUGUUCAUGUCUCAGAAAGCUUAUCAAAGAGUCAGUGCAUGCAAGGCUAUAAACAGAUAAAUAGACCCAGAAAAUCUGAUAUAUUUAUGGUUUGAGUACUCCUUCCUUGGUGCACAAACUUUGUAUCCAGAUUAGUGUAAGGAGAUAUCAGAGGUAUAUUAUGUAUAAUGACAAAGAAUACAAAAAAUACAAUGUUUUGCCUCUGGUACAGAACUUCGAUGCAAAAUGUGAUUGGUGUAAACCCGGUUUUGCGAGAGAACACCUAUGUGUUCAAACAAUGAGGGGAGUUAGGAGGAUAUAGAGAUGAUGCUUUUUAUAUAGCUCUGAUGAGCGGAUAUGAAGAUAUAAGAAAAAUUGAUUCUUCGGGAACUAAAAUCAAAAGCUAGCACAAGGAAAGGAGUACGUGAAAAAAAAUGUGCAUGUGGUAGUAAACAUAAAUAGUAAGCCUGUUAGUAAUAAAUGUUAAUCCACAUAAGUAGUGUAUUCAAGGAGUAGAUAUGCCCAUGAUUGUCACAUACGAGUUUAGAAACUAGUGUGAUUCGUCAAUAGGCUAAGUUUGAUGCGGUAGUGUCUGCUAGCUAGUCUACAGACCAGAGUAAUGUAUCCGCAGAAUAUGGUAAACUAAUCUAAUGGCAAACUAAUCGCUAGUCUAAAGAAGUUUAAGGAAAAGUUCAUCAACAGGCUCUUUGCUGAACAGAUGGACUUUUUGGAAUUCAAACAAGGAAAAAUGGAACUGUUUGAGUAUGAGAAGGAGUUUAUUAGGUUCAACAAGUACGCUAAGGAUUUGGUGCCAAACGAGGAAGGUUUGUGCAUCAGGUUUUAAGGAGGCUUGAAUGAGGAGUUGAGGGUACUACUGUCAACCCUUGAGAUUAGAGACUUUGUAGCCUUGUCAGCUAAGGCCCAAAGAAUGGACGUAGUCAUUCAAGAAAGAAAUAAGGUCAGGGGUAGGGAAAGGAGCAAGCAUACAGCUUCCGGUGCAAUGUCUAAUGUUGGGUUCAAAUGACUUAGAGAUGUCAAAGGGUAUCCUACUACCCCAACAAAUAAGUCACAAACUGUGGGCUUCUAAUGAGAAAGAAGUGUAUGCCAAGUGACAUCACGGAAGGGUCCUAGAUAAUGAAACUUCCCAUUUGUAACAGUUGUGAGAAGAACCAUUGAUCUGUCGUAAUUCAGUGUAGCAGAUUAAACUAGUUUUCGCACUUUAGGAGCUUGAAUACAAGCACUUUUGUUAAAUUUUAGUUAAAGUUUUUGUAAUAUUAUCUAAAUUCAAUAAAAUGUGCAAUUUGAGUGUUUUAUUGACCUUAAGUGUCAAAUAACGCCUAAGGGUGAACUAAUAUACUUUGUAAGUGUGCAGAAGACCAUUAGAAGGUGUGCUAACUCAAUAUUGGUCACUAUGUUGCAACACAGAGAGCUGGAUGUCAUAACAUAGGGAACAGAAUAGAAUAAUUCCAAGACUACCUUCGAUGUCGUGACAUAGUCUGAGGAUGUCGUGACACACCCUUGAAGACACCCUUAAGAUAAAACAUACUGGCCUCGAUGUCAUGACACGAGACCUGGUGUGUCGCACUAUCACCUCUGUACGUGAAAUAAUUACAAGCAAUGGGAAUUUUGUUUCGCAGAAUCAAACAUGAAGCAAGAAGACGGCAACUGACCUAGGGUUAAAGACGACAACCAUUCCAAAGUCUAUAAUUAGGCUCAAUUAACACAUGUUAUGGACAGCUUUCAGAUUGUAUAAUUUUCUUCUUAGAUUUAGUCUUUCGUCUUUUUCUCUUCUUAGGCGUUAGGUUUUAUUUCAGUUUUUGUUAUUUGCUUUUGUAGAAGAAAUCAGAUUUGUGCAUUUCAUCAAACUCUGUGAGGAUUCUACAUUACAAAUCAGGCUUCUUCUAAAGUUUAUACUCUUGAAUUAUUAUUCAUGUCAAUUCUUUCUAUCAGGUUUAUAUUGUUUAUAAGAUCCAUGAGGAACUAAUCCUCAUGUAGGGGAUUAGCAAGUGGAGGUAUGAUUAAUUAACUGUUCUGUAGGGUUCUCUUAGCGGAUUAGCUAUUUACAAAAGGAAGAACCUAAACCAUAAGCCUGACAACCCUAAAAAGUCAUUAAGGUGGGAAUUAACCCAAAAUUGGUAUGGUCUAUCUGUGAACACCCCAACCCUGAACUGGUCUGAACUGUGAGGUUGAGAGAUAAGUAGUUCUUACUGACUCAUUAUUUAGUGAAAGAUCGGAAGAUCUUGUUAAGAUAUUGACUAGUUGAUUGAAUAGAAAACCUGAAGCAACAGUUGGUUAUGAUUACUGAAGCAAGUUAAUCACUCAUAUUCAAAUUUGAUACAUUCUAUUAUUUGAUUUCUCAUGAUUUAUUUAUUUCUUUUCUUUCUCUUAUUAUUAUUAGUAAAUAUCACAAAAACCUUUCUUUUAUGGUACACGCUUGUGUGUCAUCUUAACAUGAUCAUGCUGAAGGAUCGUGUAGCUCACACGACGUGGGCAUAUCUGGACACGCCGGUGUCCCUAACCCAUGUGAAUUUAUUUUUGAUUUGAACCUACAGGGGUUUUCAUACGGCCUGAAACAUACUCGUGUCCAUGGCCUGUGUCCCUCACACGGCCAUGACACGCCCGUGUUUCAGCCCGUGUACAAAAACCUCGACAUUCUGUUUCUAACGUCAUCAACCAAUUAAGGGUACACGGCCAAGGCACACGCCCGUAUGUUAGGCCGUGUCCUCCACACGGCUGUGUCUCUGCCCGUGUCUUUACUACCAUUCAUACUGACUUAUAAAAUUGAGGUGCAGGGGACACACGGCUGGACUACACACCCGUGGGGCAGAUCGUGUAUCACACACGGCCUAGACACCCGUCCGUGUGGAUAAAAGUAAGGCUAUUUACCAAUCCUUUUUGCCACCCUUACUUACACCAACCUACACAAUAUCAACCAAAACCAAACACAUAUAACCAAAUCAACCACAACCAUGAGAAAUUUGCAUCAAAUGCAUUUAAUAUUAAUCAAUAUUAUCCAACAUUAAUGGCCUAUACAAAAUGAAUAUCACAUCCAUCAUAUGAGCCAACUCUUGUGGCUAAACUAACAAGACACUAAAAAAAAGAUUCAAGUCCCUAUACAUGCCAAAAUCAAAAUAUUAAACUAGCUAUACCAAAGCUUCAGGUGAUAGUGUGAUCGAUGCCUCUAACAUCCCUUGAUCCCCGAUACUAGCUUGGUGGCACUAUAAGAAAAUGGAAAGGAGAGGUAGCAAGCAUAACGCUUUGUAAGUUGCAUAUACAUAAGUAACAACAUCAACCAUGCAUAUUAUAAAUCAACACAACAUUCUUGAGUGAACAUGGGUAAAUAUCACUACAUGCUUAUGUAUAUCACAAGUAUAAACCAAAUAUUUCAAUAUCGUCUCAAGAUCAUUUUCAUAUCUAGAACUUACUCAUGUCAUUCUUACCAUCAAGGCAGUAUAACUAGACUCAUAUAUCAUGAGUUCUGAAUAAGAACCUGUACAACUCAUAACGUGAUUAUAUCAUUCCAUAUCAUGGCUAUAAGCUUUUAAAAUAACCCGUGAAACCUUUUGGAAUACUAAAGGAUAUCUGACAAGCUUUACACAAGAAGGUGAAUUGUCGAUGCCAUGUUCCAAACAUGGUCUUACACUGGCUCACAUGUCGAGGCUGAUGCCAUGUCCCAAACAUGGUCUUACACUAGCUCUCGUCUCAAUGCCGAUGCCAUGUCCUAGACAUGGUCUUACACUGGCUCUCACAACAUCACUGAUGCCAUGUUCCAAACAUGGUUUUACACUGGCUCACAUGUCGUGGCCGAUACCAUGUCCCAGACAUGGUCUUACACUUGCACACAUAUCACCCAAAUACCAUGGCAUGGAUAUCCAAUCUAUUCCUAAGUUCAACCGAGAAUUUACCGCAUUAAUUUCAUCAUGCAUUAUUCAUAAUCAUAUUCAACCAUAUUAUGCAAAACAAAUCAUUCCACACAUCAUAAUGAUAAAGUUACCUUACUUACAUAUACCUUACUUAGGUAUACAAAAAGUGGACGACUAAUUGGCUUUAGUUUACUAGCUUGGCCUUUCCCAGGUCUAGGUUCGAAUUUCAUAUUUCUUAAUCUAAAAUGAUAAAAAAUCACUAAUUUAAUCAUCAUAUUAACUAAUGCAUUUCAUAAAUCAUAUUUUGGAAAAAUGACCAUUUUACCCCUAGACUUUCACAAAAUUACAAUUUUACCCUUAGGCUCGUAAAUCGAUUUUUAUCAAAUUUUCUAACUAACCAAGCCUAUCCGAAUUCUUUUUAUACUAGAAGUAUCCCACAAUUCCCAUCAUUUCACACAUUUACCCCAUAAUUUAUAACUUAUGCAAAAUGGUCCUUAGUUAGGGUUUUCAUGAAAACUACUUCACAAAAGUUGUUUGUUUAACAACCAUGAUUCAUUUUCUUUCAUAAAAAUUCAGAAAAAACAUGAAAAAGCCUCAUGGAAAAACCCUAUACUUUCAAACAUUUUGCAAAAUAGUCCCCUCAUUAGCUAGAUUAUGCUACAAGGGUCCCAAAAGUACAAAAAUUAUCAAGAAAGGCCAUCAAAAUCACUUACUUGUAAGGGUAAAGAGUGGCAGAAAUUUUAAAGCUCUAAAACCCCUGAAAUGGCUAAAAUUUUUUAUGGUGAAAGAAGGGAUGAAAAAGAUGAAGUCUUUUGUUUUAUUUAAUCUCAUUUUCUAGUCAAAAUAGGCUACCUACUUCACCAAAUUUGAUUUUUUUUAUUCAUCUUUGUCCCUAUGGCUGACCACCCCUAUUGAAAUGGGUCUAUUUACCCUUUAAAGACCCUUAAUUAUGAAUCUCUAGCUAUUUAACACCAUUUGCUAGAAAAACAAAACUUUUGCUCUUUAUGUGAUUUAGUCCUUUUUCGCAAUUAAGCAUGCAAUCGCUAGAAUUAUUUCACCAAAAUUUUCAUGUACUAAUAUAAACAUGCUAUAACACAUAAAAUUAUAUUAAAAAUAAUUUCUCUAACCUCGGGUUAGUGGUUCCGAAACUACUAUUCUUACUAGGCCAAAAAUUAGGCUGUUACAAGUAUUAUGGUAAACAAAAUGGUAAAGGACUAUUCAUUGAGUUUCGACAGACAUGUAUUUUUGGUUGAUUUGAUGCUUUUGAGUUUUCAUGAGUUCAACUCCAUAUUGACACUGGAUUGGCUGAGGAGACAUAAUGUUGUAGUUAGCGUAAAUCUCAAGGGGUAUGGUUAGUAUCUUCCAAUGAAAAUAGCGUGUUUGUCUCGGGAAUAAAGUGAGAUAGUAGGAACAAUUUAAUUUUAGCGAUUUUAGGCCAAAACUGAUAGUUAAGAGUGGAGAUACCUAUUUAGCAUAUAUCACUGACUCUAGGUUAAUGAGGGAAUACUUUGGACAGGUGCCAAUUAUAAACAAAUUUCUCGAUGUCUUUCCAGAAGAAUUAUCGAGGAUUCCACCAAACAGAGAUGUAGAAUUCUUUAUUAAUGUGAUGUCAGGAAUUGCUCCUAUCUCAAGUACCCCUUAUAAAGUUGCCCCGGUAGAGUUGAAGCAAUUGAAAACUCAACUGCAAGAACUAUUGGAUAAGGCGUUCAUCAGACCAAGUAUUUCACUUUGGGGUACGCCAAUACUGUUCGUUAAGAAGAAUGAUGGGAUUUUUUGGUUAUGUAUUGAUUAAAAGAAGCUAAAUAAUGUAACCAUAAAGAGCGCCAGGAACUAAUCUUAUAUCAAGUGCGUCUUAUAGAAUGGCCCUAGUAGAGUUGAAGGAGUUUAAAACUCAACUACAAGAACUGUUGGAUAAGGGGUUCGUUAGAAUAAAUGUUUCGCCUUGGGGUGCACCAAUACUGUUCGUUAAGAAGAAGGAUAGGACCUUUCGAUUUUGUACUGAUUACAAGCAAAUAAAUAAGGUAACCAUAAAGAACAAGUAUUUGUUGCUUAGAAUUGAAGACUUGUUCAAUCAACUCAAUGAAGCCAAGGUGCUUUCAAAGAUUGAUCUGAGGUCUGGAUAUUAUCAUAAAUAUUAAAGGGGGUGAUAUCCCAAAAAUCGCAUUUAAUACGCGCUAUGGCCACUAUAAAUUUUUAGUGAUGCCCUUUGGUUUGACCAAUACGCCAACAGUAUUCAUGGACCUGAUGAAUAGAGUAUUUCAGCCUUACUUCAACCUUAUGUCAUUUUCUUCAUUGACGACAUUCUAGUUUACUCAAAGAGUGAGGCAAAACAUGAGGAACACUUAUGAAUAGUUUUAAGUGUUCUUCAGGAGAAUAAAUUGUACGCCAAAUUUAAAAACUAAGAAUUCUAGCUGAAAGAAGUCCAUUUCUUAGGCCAUAUUAUAUUCGUAGAAGGAAUCAAGGUAGAUCUUGAGAAGAUAUGAGUUGUACUUGAAUAGAUCCAUCAAAAAGCGUUACUAAAGUGUGUAGUUUCCUUAGACUGGCGGGUUAUUACAGAAGGUUCGUGAGAAGGUUCUCUAUAAUGGCAACAUCAUUAACACGGUUUCUAAGGAAAGAUGAGAAGUGUCACUGGUCUAAAGAAUGUCAAUGCAGUUUUGAUGAGUAAAAAAAAAGCAUUGACAGAAGCCCUAAUAUUGAGUCAGUCAGAAUCGAGAGUAGAAUAUGUUGUCUUUACAGACGCAUCCUUGAAUGGGUUCGGGUAUGUACUUAUGUAGAAAGGAAAGGUGAUUACUUACGCGUCAAGAAAAAUCAAGCCUCAUGAUAGGAACUACUGAACUCAUGAUUUAGAACUAGCAACUGUAGUGUUAGCCCUAAAGAUUAGAUGUAUUAUCUUUACGAGGAGAAAUGUUGUAUAUUCUCUACCCAAAAGAGCCUAAACAAUCUUCUCUCUUAGAAAGAAUUGAAUCUACGUCAAUGAUGAUGGAUCAAGCUAUUAAAAGAUUAUGACUUAACCAUCGAAUACCAUUCAAGUAAAUCUAAUAUGGUUGUUGAUGCUUUGAACAGGAAAACUGUACCAACUCAGGCUUCUUUGAGAGCAAGAGUAUGCCUGGAGAAUGAUAGGCUGAUUCUCACUGAAUUAAGGGCAUAACCCAUAUUCCUAUCUCAAAUUUUGGAGUUUCAAUUGAAGGGCACACGAUGUAAGGAAAUAAAGGAGUACAUUAAGUCUGAGAAUGCUAAUAAUUUUAGCCUGAGUAAAGAAAGAGAAUUACGCUUCAUGGGAAGGCUGUGUGUUCCGAAUAAUGGUAACCUAAGGUAAGAAAUUAUGAAAGAAGAUCACCAAGGACCUUAUUCCCUUCAUCUUAGAAGUUUAAAGAUGUAUCGAGAUUUAAGGAAUUUAUUUUGGUGGCCAAGAAUGAAAAAGGAGAUAUCAAAAUUUAUAAUGUAGUGCUUAACUUGCCAGAGGGUCAAGGUAGAACAUCAGGUUCCUUUUGGUAAAUUGUACUCACUAAAAAUUCCAGAAUGGAAGUGGGACAUGAUCACGAUGGAUUUUUUCUCAAGGUUUCCUAUUAGUUUAUACAAGAAGAAUAUUGUUUGGGUAAUCAUGGAUCGAUUAAUAAAGUAAAUCAUUUCAUGGUGAUACGAACGAACUACUCAUUGGAGAAGCUAAUAGAGCUAUACAUUUCAUGAAUAGUUCUCCAGCAUGGUAUACCUUUUUCAGUUGUGUCUAAUUGAGAUUCUAAAUUUACGUCGAGGUUCUAAAAAUAGUUAUAAACAUCUCUUGGAACCAAGCUUCGGUUCAUUACCACUUUUUAUCCAUAGACUGAUAGACAAUUAGAGAAAGUGAUCUAAAUCUGAAAAAUAUGCUCAGAAGUUGUGUGAUCGAUUUUGGGAUUAAUUAGAAAAAAUAUCUACCUUUGGGGGAGUUCGCCUAUAACAACAGUUAUCACCUCAGCUUGGGCAUGUCACCUUUUGGCAUGCUAUAUGGGAGAAAAUGUCGAUCAUCGAUAUGUUGGAUGGAGCUUAGUAAGCAAAAGCAAGUUGGCCCAGACCUAGUCCAUGAAACAGAAGAAAAAUUAAUGACCAUUGAGAAUCACUUGAAGAUCAGGAUCACUAAAAGGCAUACGCAGACAGAAGGAGGAAAGAUAUAUCUUAUGAAGUUUGCGACAAAGUGUUCCUUAAAGUUUUACCAUAGAAAAAGAUUAUUCAUUUUAGAUUAAAGGGGAAACUUAGCCUAAGGUUUAUCGAACCUUUUGAGAUUCUGGAGCGUAUAGGGCCAGUAGCAUAUCAUUUAGCUCUUCCACCAGAACUAUCCAAAAUCCACGAUGUAUUCCGUGUGUCAAUGUUGCAGAGAUAUCACUCUAAUCCAGAUCAUGUAGUUCAAUUGGAAAUUUUGGAGGUAGAACCAAAUUUGUCCUACGAGGAAGAGCCUGUAUAUAUCUUAGACAGGGAAAUUACGAUGCUCAAGCAUAAAAAGAUUCAUUUAGUUAAGGUGUUAUGGCAGAACCACAAGGUAGAAGAAGCUACAUGGGAGAGAGAAAGCACAUGAGAUAUAAAUAUCCGUAUCUCUUCAUAGGUACGAAAUUUUGAAGAUGAAAUGUAUUUUUAGGGUAAAAAGUUUUCACACCCUAGUUUAGCACAACCAGAUCGAUUCAAGAGACUACGAUGACAAAGACCGCCUAAGUUGCAAAAUUUAAACUGAAUAAGAUUGGUAACUUUGUGGCAGAGCACUACAAAUAACUUUACCAAUACUGCGGAACACCAUUCUAAGUGAUAAUGAGAUUAUAUUUAGAGCGAGGACCUUAUUAGGCAAACUUUCCCACUAACAAGAUCGUUAUUCGUAUUUCUAGUAUCGUUAAUUAGGUAAGUACGAUGGAUUUUAAGAUACAUUUAAGUCAAUGUGUCAAUAAUUGGGACACUUGGAAGGCCUCGUAGGAUGUGAUUAAUUAGUGGAAGUGUGCGGGAAUAGUAAUGAUUAGAGAUAAUCCUGAUUGGGAUAGCGUGAUAGUCGAGAGAAGAUUUUUGAUUCAUCUUCUCCACUAGACUUUGUUAUCCUCGAAGAUCUUUUUUGCUAACAAGCGUGUUAACUAUAAAAGCUUAGGAGAACUUUUGUGCUAGUUGUCUACUGGUAAAUUCUUGAACCUUCCUUUAAGCUUUACCAAAUAUAUAAAAGCUAAGGUAAGAAAGGAUUGGUAGGAUUUCUUUGAAUACUAGGUAGGAAGGAAACUUCUAUCCAUAAAUUAUUUGCAUGCUCAUAGAUUCUUGUUAUAUCAUAAUUUUUUGGUCAUUUUUUAUGAUUAAAGAAGUUGUUUUAUUGUUUUAGCUAAAGAAACGAGAGAAGGUCCCAAUAUUAAAGGGCAAGAACCAAUAGAGUAGAUAAAGCUCUAAGUAAAGUAUUUUGGUAAGUUCUUUUAUGCCUUAUGUUUGGUAUAUGAGUUAAUUCACUUGCUUCUAUAAUUUGCACAACCAAGUGACUUUGUCAUUUGUCUUUAGGUUCAUGUCUGAGGAAGCCUGUCAAAGAGUUAAUCCAUGCAUGGCUAUAUAUGGUUACACAGACCCAAAAAAUUUGGUAUAUAUAAGGUUUGAGUAAUCCUUCCUUAAUUCUCAAGGUCUGUAUCCAGACAGAUGUAAGGAGGUAUUGGAAGGAUAUUGUGUAUAGUGAUAAAGAAGACACAUGAUAAAAUGCUUUUCCUCCGAUAUGGCACUUCGAUGCAAAUUGUGAUUGGUGAAAACUCGACCUUAUUGGGGAACACUUAUGUGUUCAAACAAGAAGGGGAGUUUGAAGGAUACAGAGGUGAUGUUUGUGAUAUAGCUCUGAUGAGCGGAUAUGAAGAUGCAGGAAAAAUUGGUUUUUUAGGAACCAGGAUUAGAAACUAGCACAAGGAAGAGAGUAUGUGAAAAAAAUAUACAUAUGAUAGUGCAAGUUGCAUGAGAAUGUAAACAGUAAGCUUGUUAGUUAUAUAUGGUAGUCCACACAAGUGGCAUAUUGAUAGCCAGUGUGAUCCAUGAAUAGGCUGAGUUUGGUUGUGGUAGCGUCCUCCAACUGGUCUACAGACCAGAGUAAUGUAUUCACCGGAUGUGGCAAACUAAUCUGAUAGCUCGAGUCCUUUCUCUUAGCAUCUAAUUGUAAUCAAUGGUGGGAUUGUUCUCCCAAGUAACUCACUAAUUUCUUACGAACUUACCCAAUUUCAUCUUCCUUUCAAGUUCCUAGGUUAAGUGUGGUGAUCAAAAGGAUACAACAAGAUUUGCGACCAUUUGUGAGCCUUUUUAUUUGUUGGGGUUAACAUGUAUUUGUUGGGGGUACUCGAACAAUUGUCAAGUACUGCCAUUUUGAAAUUUUUAAUCUAUACUCAAAUGUUAUUUUGAACACUUUGAACGUUGAUUGGAAGCCUUGUUGGCAUAUUGUUAUUUGUGUUGUAUUGAUGUUAUUUAAGCAACCGCAAAAGGUUAAUUCGCGCUUCUUUAAAUUUUUAAAUGCGGUGAGCUAUUAUUUUAAUAUUUUGCUUCCAAAUAAAUGUAGUCUUAAACCAAUGGACUACCGCUUUGGUAAAAAGGGGUAUUUUCCAAAAUGGUCAAUGGUUUAAAAAGAAGAAUAGUGUGUUUUCUAUCGCAUCAACUUGUAACGCUCCAUACCCAGAUCUGACGAUCGGGUCAGGUGUGGGGUGUUACUGACAUUCGAGUCGUUAUAGAAUAAAUGAGGUUAAUCAGCCAAAGUUUCCACAUGAAUUAAUCAGUAUUAGAAAGCUAAACAAGAUACAGAUAUUUUGAAGGUACUUUUUCAAAGCUAUGGGUUACUUCAAACUGAUGUUUUCAAAGCUAUGACUUGUUUUGAGGUUAAUCAACUGAAGAAAGGUUCUCUCGCAAUAUGCUACUAAUGCAUGAUGACUAUUCAUUAUUGUUGACUUGGUAAUUUUAGAUAAGGUGAUCAAAGCUGAAUGUAGGAGGUUACUUUUGCAAAAGGCAUUGUUCCAUCGAUGUUCUCAGGGAGUUUAAGUACAUAUGCAACUUAAUAAAAGUAAUCUUGUGUAUUUUAAACUUUUGAUGUCUAGUUGUAAAAGUAUGAGAAUUAAUCUUCUAAUUUGUUGACAUAUUUGAAGGGAAGGUAAACUCUAAGGCUAUUUUUGUGGCUGAAACAAUAACUACAACUUGAGGAACUGUUUUAUUGCCUUACUUGCCUAUUUUCGGAGUUGACAAAUGUUUGGACAAAAAUAUUGUACUAUCUUUUUUUAAAGAUAUUAAAUGAUUUAAAGACUAUUUGAGUUAAAAUUGAAGACUUGAAAGAUUGGUUCUUGCAGUUCAAGUUUGGUUACUUACGAAACAAGUUAAAUAAUUUUCUAUAGUUGAAGACUUUGAAUUACAUCGAGACUUUUAUGGAAUUAUUAUCCUAUGCUAAUUAGGUUUAUUUUAUAAAAAAGUUAUUAGACUAUGACCUUAUGUAAGCAAAACUUAGUAUAUAAACUUAAAGUAUUGUUUAGGUUAAGUGGUAACUGAGAGGUAGAGAGAGUACAAAUUUGUUCAAGUUAGGAACAUUUUAUAUGUGCAUUGUUCUUAUAAGCAAUCAAGAGUCUUUUAUUACAAAACUAAGCUUUCUAGAGUGAAAAUUAGUGGGAUAGUGAUCUAAUCUUUGUACAAUGGUAAGGUCGCUAAAUCAAUAAGAGCUAGUCGAUGUUGGGACUUAAAUCAUUGGUUGUACUGUGAGAAAGAUAGUGAAUCAUUGCUCUAAGUAAGGCCCCACAGAUCAUUACCCUAGGCAAGGCCCCGCAGAUCAUUACUUUGAGCAAUGCGCCUCAGAUGUAGACUGAGGUCAAAUUGCAUAAACAAUCUAGGUGUUUAUCUUUACAUUUUCACUCUUUGGAUUUCAUGGUUGAAGUUGUGGCCAUAGUUCCAAGCACUAUUUUAGCCACAACCUUUGUUUACAAAGCAAGUACUCCUAGUUUCUACAUAAUCUUUUGUUGCUUGGUGUAUCUUUAAAAUUCCUUAACAUUUUGGUUUAUUUUGGUUCUUUCGCAUCCGUAUGUAUAAUUCUUUAGAUCCCUUUUUCACCCUAUUGUACCAUUUAAUAUCAUGUUUAAUACAGUGUGUGGAUUUGCAAAGUUGGCUAUUUGAGAUCUCGAUGUAUGUUCGAUUAUAAUAAGUUGAUUUUGUAGGCUUUACCAUAUUUUGUAAUGCAAACUCAAUUCUGAGCUCAAUUGGAGAAUGUUUAAAAAUUAGUGCAUGCUGUGGCACCUUGAAUAUGAGGUUCUUGCGUUCCCCCCUUCUUUUGGUGUUUUUUAAGAAGUCCUAGAACCUUUGACCCUCACCAUUCACCAACAAACUAAUCAUGGAGGAAGGCUAAUCAAACACCAUAAGUAGUGAUGAUCACAUCAGCCAACUUUCUGAUGGUAUUCUAGCCACCAUCUUGUCAUCUCUCCCAAUAAAUGACACAGUAAGAACUAGUCUUGUCCCAUCUAGGUGCAGGUAUUUGAUAAAUAAUAAAAGUAACAUAUUUUAAUCCUAUUCUUAAUACGUUUAUGGAUGAUUAUUUAUGCAAAUUGGUGAAUUUUAUGCUCCUAAUACUUCGAAUUCAUGUUUCUAUACUUAAGAGAGCAUUUAAGAGCUAACGAAGCAAAAAGCGAGUGAAAAUCGGAUAAAUAGAGCUGAUUUCGGGAGCCACGCUGCCUGGGCUUCCCACACGGGCUGGACGCAUGCCAUAUGUUAGAUUGUGUCGAUUUCACGACUUGCAUCCCAAAUGCAUGGAAAAACGCAAUUUUUAGGCUUUCUGAGCAUUAUAAAUCUAUAAAUACCAAAUAGAAGAAGAAAGAAGGGAGCCAUCAGAGAAUAUCGAAGAAAACAACUCGAAAAACACCAUUGGAGCCAACUUUGAAGCGGAUUUCCAUCAAGAUUGAUGAGCUCCUUUUAAUUUCUCUUGAAGUAUUUAUGAGUUUCUUUAUUUCUUGUGGUUAUUCUGACAUUGAGAUGUUUUUAUUCACAAUUAUGAACUAAUUCCCUAGAUAUUUAAGGAAGAUGAACCCUAUGAUGAAUUCUAUUAUUUGAUUUAUGUUUUAAACAAUAAAUACUUAAUUAUUGUUAUCAGUUAUAUACGCUUAUCUCUUGUUUUAAUAUUUUCGGGAUAUUAAUGUAACAUCCCAAAUUAGGGCCUAGUUGGAACAAUGGUUUUGAAACCACAAAUCUGACACAAUAAAAUUUGUUUUUAUUAUAUUUUUAUGUACUACAAUUUCACGGGAUGAUUUCGUGAAAAUUUCGUGAAAAUUUCGUUCGAAAAUUUUGAAGUUUGGGCACCCAAUUUGGUCAAAAGGACUAAAUUGUAAAAAGUGCAAAAGUUGAGUUCUACAUGUUAGAGGUGUCUAAUUGUUAUGAAAUUUUAAAUUGGAGGCCUUUAAAUGGUAAUUAGACCAUUGGAUAAUUUUUUGGACAAAAAUGGACAUGAAUUGGGUGAAAUAGAAUAUUUUUAAGUUAGGGGCAUUUUGGUAAUCUAGUAAUUAAAAUGAUUUAAAAAUGAAAUUAAAAGCCAAUUUUUGUCCAUAUUCUACCCCAUGGCUAAAACUUGCAUUGAGAAGACAUAGCAAGGGUUUUCAAGCUUCCAAUCGAUUGUAAGUCAGUUCUAGCCCCGUUUUUAAUGAUUUUUACGUUUUUGAAAUCUUCAUAACAAGAUCUACUCAUUUCUACCCUUAUUUUGAGCUAGGGUUUGUCUUUACAAUUUUACCCAUGGAUGACAUGCAUGUAUUUUGAUGUCUAAUGGUAGAAUAUGAAUUCUUGGUGUGUAAUAAAUGACUUUUACUAAGUGAUUUUCGGUGAAAUUGUCAAAAAGGAUCGUUUUGUAAAAGUUACAAAAUUUGUCAUAAAAGUGUGAUUUAGUGGAAAUUUGGGGCUUCUACAGUUAUAAAAAUGAUUCAGCUAGGCCUAAAAUGCAAGGAAAUUGAAUAAAAAAUCAUUUUACGAGCCUAGGGACCAAAGUACAAAUAUGUGAAAGUUUAAGGGUUAAAAUGCAAAUUUGUAAAAGUAUACUUUUUGGACCGGUAUGAAUAAUGUGACUAAUUAGUAAGCUAAAUGUGGUAUUAUAGAUCAAGGAAAAUGAGAUUCGGGCAUAGAUUGGAAAUGAAUGAGAUUAUGGACUAAAUGAGAAUAUAUAGUCGUACUCGAACCCGAGGUAAGUUCAUGUGAUUUUAAUAAUGCAAUAUUGUAUUUGAAUGCUAAUUCUUCGAUAUUACACGAGUUGUAAGUAUAUAUAUAUGUGAAUAAUUUGAUAUUAUGUGAUUAUUUUAAUGAUAUAACAUGUUCUUGAUGUUUUGCUAUUAUGAUGAAAAUGUUGCAAUACCAUGUGACUAUGAGAUAUUGCUAUGUGAAUGAAGCCACAAUUCGAGUACGUCCGGUAAAGGCUUGGAAGUUUGAUGGAAUAUGAUGUUUCUUUGAAACGAGUAAGUUUGUAUGUAAAUAAUAUUUUGAUUCUUUUUAUGUUAUUAUCUUUUGUUAUUAUAUGAGAUGUGGCUGCCUAUAGAAUGAUCAAUUAAUGUAAACUACGAAUCGAAAUUGACUAAGAACGAGUUAUUAAAAUGUUGAAAAGUGAAGAAUUUCUUGAUUGAACCUUCGAAAUAGAAGAGAUACAAAUGAUCCGUUGUGAAUCACGUGUAUAGUACUAAGUGCAGGCUACUACGUGUACUAAAUUGAUAGGUCGCAUGUGUAAUACUAAGUGAAGGCUACUACACGUACCCGUUAACUUCGAUCACGUGUGUAGUACUAUGUGCAGGCUACUACAUGUAUCAGAAGGUUAAGUCACAUGUGUAGUACUAAGUGCAGGCUACUAAGUGUACCAAAUUGAUAGGUCGCAUGUGUAGUACUAAGUGUAGGCUACUAUGCGUACCCGUUAACUUUGAUCACGUGUGUAGUACUAAGUGCAGGCUACUACGUGUGUCAGAUGGGUAAGUCACGUGUGCAGUACUAAGUGCAGGCUACUACGUGUACCAGAUUGAUAGGUUGUAUGUAUAGUACUAAGUGCAGGCUACUAUACGUACCAGACAGCUUCGGUUACAAGGGUGGUAUAUGCACAGGCCACCGGGUAUCUAUUAUUAUUUCGAUGAGUUCAACGGGAAAUUUACUUAGUGAAAAUACAUAUGUACAUGACUAUGUUAUGAAUAAGUUCAAGUAUAUCUAUGUGAAAAGUUGUGAGCAAUGUGCUCGAUAGCUGAGCGAAUCUUUUGGUAAGAUAGAAUGCAGUAAGUGAAAUUAGGUAAAAGUAAAAUUUUGUAAUAAAAUAAUUUUGGACAGCAGCAGUUGUGUGAAUUUGAAAAAUCAAAAAAAAUAGUAGAUAUUUAAUUAGAGGUUUAAUAAGAUAUGAAAUUAAAUCUUGAUGAGUCUAUUUUCUCAUAAAAGAAACAGUUAAGGUAAAAGAAUUUCCUAUUCUGUGAUACUUAGAUUUUUCUGAGACAGGGUCAGAAUGAUUUUGGAAUCCCCUGUUCUGAUUUGGGAAAAUAAUUAAAAAUUUUAAAAACAUAAUUACAGGUCAUAAUUUGCAUGCUUAAAAUCCUUAUGAGUCUAGUUUCUAGUAAAAUUAGCAUUUCUCAAUUUGGAGUCCCGUACCAUGAGAUAAAUAAUUUUUAGUGAAGAGAGUUCAGAACUAUCAUAUAGUGAAAUAGGGGUAUAUUUAAUGAAUAAACUGUACUUAUUAGAUAAACUAAAAAUUCUAAAAAUUUAUGGUGAUAAGAUAUAUGUGUCUAGUUUCAUAUAAAAUUAAUGGAUUUUAAUUUGGAGUUUCGUAGCUCUGGAUAUAAAUAAAUUAGUAACUAUGACUCAAGAAAAUAGCAUGACCAAAAAUCAACAAAAGUGUAAUUAUGAUUACAUUUUCAUGGAAUCAUGUUGAUAAUUUGCUUAUUUUUUUCAUAGAGGCUUACUAAGCUUUAAGCUUACUCCCUCCUAUCCAUUUCCUUAGUGUUCUCAGGUCAACUCAGGGUUGGAGACUGUCGGAGGCAGCGUCACGCUAUCAAGCCAACAACUCCGUAGUAUUGUCAUAUGUGUAUUAAAUACUUUCAAGUGAGUAGCAUGUAUAAGGAGUAGUUUUUAUGUUAGAUGUUGUUAUGGUUAGCCAAAUGUAUCGGCUUAUUUUGAUUUAUUGUACAUGGCCAUGAGAUGUGGCUUAAAUGGUUAUGGCUUGUAAGCCUAAUUAUUCUUGCUAUGUGUUAAUGUUUGUGAUGUGUUUAUCAUUGGUUGUUAUGAGUGAUUAGUAUAACACAUGUACAUGAUGAAUGUUUCGAGGUGGUCGUGGCCAUGGAAUGAAUGUGUGGCAUGGUAGUAAGUUGAUAAUGAUUGAAUAUGGAAAAUUGUAGAAUGUGAAUUGGAAUGUCUAACUUGGUGUAACAUGAGUAUAGGUAAUAAACACAUGUAUGACAACAUGUACAUGCUUUAACGGAAUUUUACUAAAGGAUUAUUAACCAUUAAAUUGAUGUUAUAAUGUGUAUAAGUAUGGAAGAGAAUUAAGGACAACAUAAGGCUUGGAAAAUAGCCUAAGUGUUGGCUACAAGGCAGAGACACGGCCAUGUGUCUCAGUAGUGUGGAGGACACGGCCUAGAACAUGGGUGUGUGGUUUGGCCGUAUGGAUCAAUUUUUUUUGCUGAUGUCAUAAACAGAGAGUUACACGGCCUGAGCACACAGGCGUGUUGAAGACACUUGAGCGUGUCCUUGUGUCCACACGGGCGUGUGACCCUAUUUCAUGAAAAUUUUUCUAAGUUUUUUCAAAGCUUUCUAAAGUCCUCGGUUUAGUCCUGAACCACCCCGAUGUAUGUUUUAGGCCUCGAAGGCUUGUAUAAGGGACGAUCUACAUGUGUUUGAAAAUUUUUAAUUUGGAUGAAAUUUUAUGGCUCGGUUUUGCAUGUUUGUGAAUGUUUAAGUCCGGUAACACCUCGAACGUUGUCCCGACUUUGGAUACAGGUAAGAGGUGUUAUAUUUAGUGGUAUCAGAGCUAUGGUUUAGUCAGUUCUCAGACUAACCUAGCAUGAAUGAGAGUCUAGCUAUCCAUGCCACCAAUCCGUGAUAGUGUGAUGUCUCCCGAAACGAAUGAGAACCAUCUUGUUUAGACAGAGGUACUCUCCAAUCGAGCUACACCGACCAUAUUAAAUGUGAAGCUAAGGUAUUCGGGUAAAGUACAGUUAUGAUGAGCUAAACUCAGAAAAGUAUGAACAAAAGUUCAUGAUAUGUAUGUGAUAACAUGUGAGAUAAGAGUUUAUGUUACGAGGAAUACUCAUGCUUGUUUGAUAUUCAUAUGAUAUUGUGCACUUGACAUGUUUGAUUAAGUGAAUGUGAUAAAAAGAAAUUCAUAAAGGUAUGAAUAAAGGUUUAUAAUAUCAUGUUACGGAUAAAAAUGUCUUUUUCCCGAUUGGACGUUGAAUGUUGAUGAAUUUUAACGAUAUCUUUAAAUGAGACAAAGGAUUAUAAUGUAAUGAACUUAUUUACGUUAAAUUGAUGGAUUGAUUCAUAUGAAUAUAAUGAUAUGUAUAUGAUAAAGUGCCAGAUAAAAGUUUUGAUUGUGACAUACUUAUCCAUGUUUGUUUGGCCCUCAUAAGAUGUUAUGUGCAUCACUUGUUUGAUUGAAUGAAUGGGAUAAGUGAAGUUAUUCAGAAUCCAUAGAAUGUAAGCAUAAAUGCACUAGUUUAAAUAAGAUAACUAAAAAGUUCGUGUCAUACGAACAUGAAUAAUAGUUUUCCUGAAGUGGAUGAUAUGCUUGUGAAAAUGUUACUAUGAUAAUGAAAUAGUGUUAUAUGUAUAUAUGUAUGAGAGACGAGUUAGGGACUUACGACCCCACCCCCUUACCAGAGUGGUGUUUUGUAAAGGAUUUUAUAAGAUCAGUGUUGAAUAAGCUCACAAGUAUGAGACCAAAGAGUUCAGCUGUAGAAUGAUUAUAACUAUGAUCAGAGAUUAAUUAGAUUGAUAAGUAAAGACAGAGCUAGUAAAGUGUGAUGUCAAAAAGCAUAUUAACUGGAAUUUCUUCAGAACUAAUCUUCUUCAAUGAAAAUCAUAAUGUGGGAUUUGUAAUAACAGAAAUAGUUGGAGGAAUAAAUCUUAACAUGUAAGAUACCAGAAUGUGGUAAUUAGAGUAAGUAGAUUAUGACUGUCUCUCUUGAGGUACUCUAUGAGUUCAUUUACUCUCGAAAGUAUUACUGGGGCUAUCUAUUUUCAGAUAAAUUGUUAUCAUGCGAAAAUGUUUUCUAAUCUUGGAAUAAGAUGAAAGUAUUGAUAGUCUGACUGGUAUAUAAUAUGUAUUGCUCUAUUUUCCCUCUAGCAUUCUAUUAUGUUUCAUCUAUUAUGAUUUUGUGAGAUAAUGUACCUGAUGUUCUGAUUUUGUUCCUUCUAAUGGAUGCUCUGUUUGAUAUAUAUAUAUAUGGGAAGGUACAUUAUCCUUGUUCCAUUUAGUUCUAGUGGGCUUGAAUGAUGUAUUCUUCUGGACUUCUUUCUUCUGGGAAAUUAUAGAAAUCUUCCAUAUUUUCUUAUGAGCUUUGUUCUGGGUCUUUCAUUAUGAUAUUAUAUCUUGGAUUUCCUUAUCUUGGAUUUCUCUAUCUUGGACUUCUUAAUCCUAGUUUUCUUGUUAUCUAUAUCCGAAAUUUAUCAAUCAUGGCUCAUAUCUACAGUGUGUUCUUCAGUUGUGAUAAUCAUGUCAAGUGUGACUAUGCUUCUACUUUAAUCAAAGUAAUGUGGUAAAUCUAGUAUCUGGAUUUCUCUAAAUCUUCGUAAAGGAUUUGACAUGGUAAAGGCAUAAGUGGUGAAAUUGCUAGUAUCAGCUUGUAUGAUGGAUUUCUUUUCUCAAGAAAGUUAAUCAAGUUAAUGCCUUCAAUUGGGAACAUUUAUACUACCUUGAGCUAAUGCAAUUGAAAUGAACUUUGAUUAGUAUAAUGAGUGAAUUUUGCAUGAUUACAUGUUAAAUCGUUUUGACAACUGAAAGGAAGGAUUUCUUGUAACUUUAUCAAGUAAUAAUUAAGACCGACUUGGUUGUUCAGUUUGUAUGGGUUAUUGUUUGAAAGAUUUAAUGGGAUAUUUAUCUCUGAAUUUUUUUGUCCAAGUCUGAGAAUAAGAUUUUAUCUCUCCGAGUAAAAGAUAGAUAGUCUGAAUGAAAGUGUAUAUAUCUUAGAAGACUUUGAUAUGAUUUAAAGUUGCUUUGGAUGAUAAAGUUUUUGUCCUGUGAAAGUUGAAUGGUCUACUACAUGUUGGUAACGAUUUGAAUAUACGAGAAUAUUGUUAACCGAAGCCUUAAAACUAGUUUAGUCUGCAUUGAGCAAAGAUUUCUCAAUUUUCAGUGAUGUGUUUUAAGACAAGAAGGACAGUGUGAUAGCUUAAAGUAUCUUCUAUCAUAGAAAGACUUAAGUUGAGAUAGUGUAGCUGACUUGAAUUGUUAAAGGAUGAUAAGAUAUUUAUGGUAUGAUCUCUAAGAAUUAGAUUACUAUAGAUUCCAUAUUAGAAUUAUUCCUAUCUUUGAAAGAGAAAGUUGUCAUAUGACUUGUUGUUAAGUAAUUGAUGAAUCUGCAAAUCAUGUCGGUAAGUACUAAAUUUCCGCUCAUCAUACUUAUGGGAUUCAGUAUCUUUGAGAUUGUUGAAUUUCUUAAAAUGCUAGUUUUUGUUAAUCGGAUUGAGAUUUGGUAUUUAUAUCGUGAAUUAUUGAAAAAGCUAAUUGAGGCUCUGAAUUUUAAUGAUGACCAGAGGUCGAACUAGUGAACUGUCAGGCUGUAUAAAAUGAUAGAGAACUUAAGGCCAUGAUGAUCGGGCUGGCUACGCCAUUUGAAUCUGAGAGGAUUCAAGUAUGAUGUGUAUAUACAUAUUCUAUGACGAUAUGGGUACGACCCUUGUAUACAUAAGUUCUCUGAUAGAAGUCAAGAUUCGGUUGAUGCAUCGUAUAACACAGAAUUGUUCAUGACUUUACUAUAAGAAAUUAAAGAGCUAAGUAUUAAACAUAGCUUGAGUAAAGGUUCUUCAACAAUUAUUAUGAGAUAGUGGAGCUUAUGUGAAAACCGAACCACUCUUCUGGUAAGAUUUUUGGGGACGAAAAUCCCUAAAGGGGGAGAGUUGUAACAUCCUGAAUUAGGGCCUAGUCGGAACAGUGGUUUCGGGACCACAAAUCCGACACAAUGAAAUUUGCUUUUAUUAUAUUUUUAUGGUCUACGUUUCAAGAGAUGAUUUCGUGAAAAUUUUGUUCGAAAAUUUUGACAUUUGGGCACUCAAUUUGGUCAAAAGGACUAAAUUCUAAAAAGUGCAAAAGUUGAGUUCUACAUGUUAGAGGUGUCUAAUUGUUAUGAAAUUUUAAAUUGGAGGCCCUUAAAUGGUAAUUAGACCAUUGGAUAAUUUUUUGGACAAAAAUGGAAAUGAAAUGGGUGAAAUAGAAUAUUUUUAAGUUAGGGGAAUUUUGGUAAUCUAGUAAUUAAAAUGAUUUAAAAACAAAAUUAAAAGUCAAUUUCUGUCCAUCUUCUACCUCAUGGCCGAAACUUGGAUGGAGAAGACCUAGCUAGGGAUUUUCAAGCUUCCAAGGUCGAUUGUAAGUUAAUUCUAGCCCCGUUUUUAAUGAUUUUUACGUUUUUGAAAUCUUCAUAACAAGAUCUACUCAUUUCUACCCAUAUUUUGAGCUAGGGUUUGUCUUUACAAUUUUACCCAUGGAUGACAUGCAUGUAUUUUGAUGUCUAAUGGUAGAAUAUGAAUUCUUGGUGUGUAAUAAACGACUUUUACUAAGUGAUUUUCGGUGAAAUUGUCAAAAAGGAUCGUUUCGUAAAAGUUACAAAAUUUGUCAUAAAAGUGUGAUUUAGUGGAAAUUUGGGGCUUCUACAGUUAUAAAAAUGAUUCAGCUAGGCCUAAAAUGCAAGGAAAUUGAAUAAAAAAUCAUUUUACGAGCCUAGGGACCAAAGUACAAAUAUGUGAAAGUUUAAGGGUUAAAAUGCAAAUUUGUAAAAGUAUACUUUUUGGACCGGUAUGAAUAAUGUGACUAAUUAGUAAGCUAAAUGUGGUAUUAUAGAUCAAGGAAAAUGAGAUUCGGGCAUAGAUUGGAAAUGAAUGAGAUUAUGGACUAAAUGAGAAUAUAUAGUCGUACUCGAACCCGAGGUAAGUUCAUGUGAUUUUAAUAAUACAAUAUUGUAUUUGAAUGCUAAUUCUUCGAUAUUACACGAGUUGUAAGUAUAUAUAUGUGAAUAAUUUGAUAUUAUGUGAUUAUUUUAAUGAUAUAACAUGUGAUUAUUUUAAAAAUAGGACAACAUAAGGCUUGGAAAAUAGCCUAAGUGUUGGCUACACGGGGAGAGACACGGCCAUGUGUCUCAGUCAUGUGGAGGAUACGGCCUAGCACACGGGUGUGUGGCUUGGCCGUGUGGAUCAAUUUGUUUUGAUGACAUCAUAAAUAAAGAGUCACACAGCUUGAGGACACGGGCGUGUUAAAGACACACGAGCGUGUCCCUAUGUCCACACGGGCGUGUGACCCUCUUUCAUGAAAAUUUCUCUAAGUUUUCCUAGAGCUUUCUAAAGUCAUCGGUUUAGUCUUGAACCACCCCGAUGUAUGUUUUAGGCCUCAAAGGCCUGUAUAAGGGAUGAUCUACAUGUGUUUGAAAUUUUUUAAUUUGGAUGAAAUUUUAUGGCCCAGUUUUGCAUGUUUGUUAAUGUUUAAGUUUGAUAACGCCUUGAACCCUAUCCCAACUUCAAAUACAGGUAAGGGGUGUUACAAUUAAUUCAUGUUCAAUGUGCUUAAUUAGAGGAGCAAAAGUCUCUAUUUAAGAGUAGAUUUAGUAUAAUUGAGUGAAGUUGCAUGCAAUCCUAAAAAUAGAAUGACAUAAAUCUACCAGAUUAGAGUCAAAUCUAAUAGGGGAAUCCAUAAAUCGAGUUAAUGCAAUAAUAGGGGUUUUAAUUAGAAAGAAAUUUAAAUUAAUCAACCUAGAGUCAGUUGCUCUUACUCUUGAAAGCGAUAUUAGCAUAAUUUAGGGAUUUCUACUAUAGCGCCCCAAAUUUGGGCUAGAAGAAUUACGCCUUGUGUAUGGGUCCAUAAGGAGGUUGUAUAUAAGCAUUUAAUUGUACAAGGAAAUGACACAAUUAAAUGUCUGCUUUGGUGGUAAAUGGCCCUGAGAAGUGUUGGUGAAAUCUUGGGUUCAAACCUGGGCUUUAGCAAAAAUUUUGGCUUUAAGUGAAUAAAACCCUGGGUGCUUGGAUGAAGGCCUUUUAAAUUAUUAUGGUAAAUGAUGACACAAGAAAGCAUGUGGUUUAGUGGUUGUGGCGUCAUUAAGGUUGCAAGGGAGCCUGGGUUCAAGUCUCGGCUCUUGCAAUUUAUUUUGGUUUUUCUUUUAAAGGAAUCUAGACGUUAGCACAUAUGCCUUAUAAUUAAUUGAGGAUAAAAUAUGACAUAGAAAGAGCCUGUGGUGGAGUGGCAAGGUGGUGUGUUGUAUAACUGUGAGGUCUAAGGUUCAAGUCUUGGGAUGUGCAAUGGGGUAUUUAUUUUGCUAUUUGAGCUGUGUAGGAGGUGGAGUUGGACUGGAACUCUGUGGUUGAAGUGGUUAUAAAAAAAUAAGGAAUUUUCCUAAUGGUUGAAAGUAAUCCCACAUCGGGAACUCUAGCUGUAGAACGGCAAAUGCCGAAAUGCUGGUCACACGGCGAUGGCAGUGACACGAUCGUGCGAGCGCACGUGUGGGAGCUUUGACGUGAUGGUUGAGACCAUCAUAAGUGCUCUCGUGGGCUUAGGUUGCUUUGGGCCAGGAUGGGCAUGUUGGCCCAUGGGCCUAAGUGGAUAAUUUAUAUGAUUGUGUAGUAAAUAUUGGAUUGGACUAUGUGAAUCUCAUAUCUGUAGGCUAGUAUUACUAAAAUACCAAUAGUUUACAAAAUUACUAAAUACCCUCGAUUAGCAAAAUUACUAAAUACCCUUUGUUUGUAAAAUUACCAAAAUACCUCUAAUUUGUGAAAUUACCGAAAUACCCCCAAUUUUUAAAAUUACCAAAAUACCCAUAAUUUGAAAAUUUACCAAAAUAACCCUAAUUUGAAAAAUUACCAAAAUACCCUUGAUUUGGAAAUUACAAAAAUACCCCUAAUUUACAAAUUUACAAAAAUACCCUUAACUUUCAAAAUUUAUAGAAAUACUAUUGGUUUGCAAAAUUACCGAAAUACCCUUGGUUUGUAGAUUUGCCAAAACACCCUUAUAGGGUGAAAUGACUAAAAUACCCAUAAUAGGUAAAAAGACCAUUCUGCCCCUCUAGGGUAUAUGACUCACUGAUAAUACAAUUUGAUUGAUUUGACUAUGUUUUGACUGAGAAUGUAUGACUGUGAUUGGAUUGUUGUGGCUGUGAUUUGUAUGAUUUUGUAUGUUGUAUGUAUAUUUGCUGCAUUCAUAUAAUAUUAUGUUGCAUAUGGGUGGGAUCAUGAAACGGAGGAAGAAAUUGAGGAUCGCAUGGUUGCUUGACGACCGUGGAUCCACCAAUUGAGAAUCGCAUGAUUGCUUGACAACCGUGGAUCCACCGAUUAAAGAUCGCAUGGUUGCUUGAUGACUGUGGACCCACUAGUGGCUUUUAAGCCCAAUAUAUGAUUAUUGACGACUCUGUGUCGAUCAUAUUUACCCGAGGCUAUGUGCCGACUAUAUUACCAUCGCUGAUGCCUAUGUGCCUAACAUGAUACAGCUACCGAUGGCUUAAAGCUAAUUAUUCUGUUAUCGAUGGCUUUGUGCCGAUAUGAUAUUGAUGGCUAUGUGUCGAUCUGUUAUCGAUGGCUUUGUGCCGAUCGUAUUAUCGUAAUAAUGGCUUUAAGCCAAGCAUAUUGCUAGCAGUUUUGCUGUGAUUUCAGUUAGUGCUGCAACUGGUGCUAACAUUGUAAGUGUAGGGAUGGCGUAGGUGAGUUAUUCCCCACAUGUAGUGCAGGGUUGGAUGGGAUAACAUGCAUCCAUACAUUCACACAUUAUGUUUUGUUAUUAGUUUGGGCUAGGCCCAACUGAUUCUAUUAUGGGCUGUGACCCAAAUGUUAUUGUAAUAGGCUUUGGCCCACGUAUGCUCUGAACUGGACUGUACUACUUCUGUUAACGGGCUCUAGACAGACUGUUUCUAUUUCUGUUUUGGUAUACUAACUGUUACUCUAGUAAGGGGAUUACACACUGAGUUUUCGUAAACUCACCUCGUUUAUUAACUGUGCAGGUAAUCCCCAGCGUUAGGUGGAUCUGUGACACAAAGGGACUCGAAGACGACCACACAACUGUACAUGUUCUUCUAUUUUGUUUAUUUAGUUAAGCACUUUGGUUUUUUAUUUGGGUUGUAUUAAGGCCUCUUUAUUUUCUUAACUUUUUAUUUGGGAAAUUUAUUUAGUAUGCUUAAUAUUUGUUAGAAGUAGGACGUGGUUUUCCAAAACAACAAUUGGUUUUCAAAAUAUCACGUUUCUGCAACGGUUUACAAUUAAGCUUCCGCAGCAAGUAAGGUUUUAAGGGAAUUAACGUUUCACAAGUUUUAAAAUGGCCAGAGGUUUUAAAUAGUAAGAAGGGUUUUCAAUGAGAACAUGGUUUUUGAAACACACUUCAAUGUGACAUGCCAGAUUUGGGCCUAACUUCUAGGCUGGGUUUGGAGUUUAUAUCUACGGUUCAAGAUACCAAGUGAAUAAAUUGUUGAAUUCAGAUUCAUUAUAAUAGAUGAACUCUAGGUGGAUUCUUUCCUGGGUAUUGUUUCUCUCAUUAGUUAUUACUCGAUUAUUUUCCUGAUUCAUUCUCUGUUGAGUUCUUUAGUUAGAUUAAUUUAGUAAAUCUUAGUUUAAAACAAUCACUCUAAUUUGUUAGCUAAAUAAUAGGAAAACGGUAAUUACUAAUACUUUUAGUCCUCACGGAUACGAUAUCUUUACUCACCAUAACUAUACUAUUUAUCGAUAAGUACACUUACCUUUGUCGUAUUUUUAGUUAGUCAUGUGAACAUACAUCAGUAUUCAUGGGCUAAUUAAUCACUCAAACCUCAACUUUGAUGUAAACAUGUCGGGUGAAACCUGCUUUCCGGGUCAUGAGUACAACUAUUGGUGCUUAAAACAAAAAAAGCCAAUCCACCUUGAACUGUGUCAACCAAUUUUUUCUCUAUCUCAGCUUUAACCAACAGAUAAAAAAAGCUCAAAGGGUGCUUCAAACUAUGUCAUUGGCAUGGUGAUCAUCUUGAUCAAUGGGUCAACUUUGUUAUUUGAAAAGGGACUCAGAAGAUUGACCUUUUUUUAUCAAGAAAAAGGUGUACCGAUGUGUACUACAAUGAUGACAUGUAUGAAACCACUUUUUCUUAUUUCAGUGAUUGAUCAGAGUAAGUUCUAUGAAUUUUCCUAUUAUCUUCUUCUUGGUUAUGGGAGUGCUAGGAAAACAAACAUCAUUUUAAUUUUCUUGGUUUCAAGACCCUCACAAGCCUAGACCUAAAUGGGUGAAUUUGAAAUCGAAUGAUCAUUUUCAUAACAAGUUGUCAAAUUAUUAUCCUUUAUGUCGUCAACUGAAGUACUUAAAGAUUUGUGGUAGUAUAUAGGAUUAUUUGAGAGAGUUGCAGAUAAAUGGUAGUGAUAUUGAGACAUUGGAAUUCAGGGGUUACUGUUUCAUUCACUCAAGUAAAAAAUUCUAAAUACUGCAAUUAUUCGUUUCACUGAAGCAAAGACAAGUGUUGAAAAUUGGCCAACCAUGCUGCUUUGAUAUUUUUAGAUGAAAUGCAUGCAGCUUGUAAACAUGCUGCAGCACGUAUGCUUGCUGUAACAGCAAUGUUUUCUCUUUAGUUUCAUUGUAACCAAACUAGUUGAAAAUGAACAAGCUGGUAACAGCUUGAUAUGUUUAGGUGUUGAAUGACUAGUUUAGGUGACUUGUUUAUGUGUACAAGCAAUGUUUAUCAAGUUACUAGGAUACCUAGUGGUAGUAGGUAGUCUUUGGUGAUAUAUUUAACUAUAAAUGUAUUGAUUUUCUAGUUGAAUGAAUGAGCAAAAAUGAACCUAAAAGCCAUAAGCUCCGUUGAUGCACAUUUGUGAGCUAGUAAAUUUUUUUUCUUUUAUCUUGCUGCUUUGUCUUGUGUCCUGUAUUUCUUCCUCUGCUCCUGCCAAAACCCCAACAACAAGAGACAAUGCACUUUUGGCCUUUCUACAAGUUUCCCUGUGAUAUUCCACAGCUUGAGACAUUGUGGUUAAGCUACAUUUUCUACGGGAAGGUCAAUGAGUACAUGAUGAUGUAUUUAAUUUAGUGAGUUCUAAUUAGUAUUAUUUAUUUUUUGUUGUUUUAGACUGAGACAGUCCCUGAGAGCAUGCCAACACAUUACAGUCUCAAGCAUAUAUAGCAAUUUUAAAAGUUUUCGUGCCUCACAUUGGCCUUCCGUGGAUAAGAAAUGUUCUCCAGGCACGUUCAUUGAUUUAAAAGUUGAGAAUGCAUAAAAGUUAUUGUUUUUUGCAGCCUUUUUUCUCGUUAAUUUUGAGUUUUUGACAUCCCACAAUGUGGAAAUUUACAACUCAAAUUUCCAUUAUCGUGGACGAUAUUAUACUAAUUAUUUACUAAGAAGAAAAAGAUUUUUCACAUUAACUUUCGAAUCCAGAUAAAUUACCAUGAAAAGAAGAGCAGAUAUUCUUCUGCGUAGGUAUUUGGUUGUUGUGAUUAAAAGAAUAGUAAGACAAACUGAAAAUCAGUUGGGAAAGAACUAAUGAUAGCUCACAUCAGCAUGAAUGGUCUAGUAAAAAACAUAGCUUGAACCAAAGGCAGCAUUUGUUGGUGAUGAAUAGGAUUGUCUUAUCCUUGACUGCUUUAGCUUUGUUGAGUUUCCCUGAAGCUGGACGACUGUUAUCGAUUAAGAAGCAGGAAUAACCUGUCCUCCGAGCUGCCCUCAUUUAUCAUCUAAGGCAAGUUUUUAUUGCUGGCACACAUUGAUUCAUGAGAUUGAGGUUGAAAUCUAUCUACUAAACAAUGCAAUGGUACUUGAGAAGAUGGUAAUUGAUCCAUACACUAGAUCUUACAAAGUGUAAUAAAGAUGGGAAGUUAAAGAAACUUGUGACAGUUGAACUACUAUGUGAAGGCUGAGGCUCUUCGCACAUCAUAGAGCCGAAGUUCGUCCACCUUUGGAACUGCGUAUUAGUUGAACAGCAAAAUACUUAAUGCAAUAAAUCCUGAUGCAUGGUAUGUAAAAUGAACAUGAUAAUAUGUGUAAGCUGAAGAAAGAAAAUAUAUACACAAACCUUGCCAUUAUAGUUAUGACUUCGUAUGCUCAUCUUUCUAAACAGUGUCAGGUGGCAGCCAAAGUUCCCCCAAACACUUCAGUAGGUCAGGGACCUCCCUUAAUAAGGGUCCAAGAAGAGCAGACAACAUAACCCCAGUGAAGUGAACAGGGGAACUCUAGAGGACAUCUGACUCUCUAUGUCUUCUUUGUGGUUAGUUGAUUAGGCAAUAGGAAGUCAGCCUACCUAUUUAUAAGUAAAAGCUCUAUACGUGCAUGUGGCCAAGUAAUUGUGACCCUUCAGCUGAUCUGACCAGCGUCACAUGGCAAGUUAUUGAAACUUAAGGAUAGAGAAUAAUCUUGAGCUCUCCCUCAUCUUUUCCAUACUUGUAUUACUGUCAUAGUUCAAAAAGUUCUGUAUGCAUUGCCCUUAAUAACUUUGACGUGUCUGUUAUUAACUGACCAUGCUAUCUUUAAUUAGGAGUUAUCUGUAUGUAUAUUUUUUGACACGACAUUAAAUAAAAAGGUUCAUUAUGAAAGCUAUAUUUCAAUUAUUAGCUGCUUAGAUUCUAUGCGGAUGGGGUGAAGAAAAUGAUGGAUAGAGAAUAAAAGUAUAUAUAGCCAGAAUUUUAUGCAAUUUUUUACCUCAAAAUCCUUCAAAAGGAUUUAUCUCGCCUGUUAUUGCGUCUAGAUUAAUUUUUCACAAGGGAAUUUAUCCCAUCAUCUUUAGACUCACAUAAAUCAAAACAAACAACCAGCAACAUCGAAGAUAAUCGCAAGUGUCAUACCGAAUAAUUGAGGUAAAUCAGCCCAAGUUUCCACAUGAAGCAACCAGCAGAAGGAAGUUAAACAAAAACAAGAUAUUUUGAAGCUACUCUCUCAAAACUGAAGUUUUCUUGUUUUUGCAGAGAGUCCUGACAUAAUCAGAGAGCUACACAAAAUAUACUGCUUUCUAUAGUUAGUUUAUAAUGGUGAUUCUGUUGGUGCUGUAACUGAAACUAACAGAUUCAGUGCAAACUUGUCAAGCAAGUCUCGAGACUUGCUGAGCAAACAAGAGAAUUCGAGCAAGAGAAAGAAAUAAAAACUAAGAAAAAUGAAGAGAAAAUUGAUGAACAAACUGAACUUCAUUCAUAAAUUGCAUAAUGGCACAAUGCCAAUACAUAAACCAAGCACUAAGCUUGUCAAAAACAGCAAAUAAUUACCUAAACAUCACCUACCUCCACUAAUGACAUGGAAACUUGAAAUUUUGGCUUGUAAACUUAUACAAAGUUGUGUUUACAGCUCAUACAUAAGCUAAUUACAUCAGUCAACAACCUAACUUAGUUAGAAAUGAACUAAGAUUACAUUUCAUUGACUAGGAAUUACAAAAUAAACAAAAUAAGCUUGCAUCAUCAGCUCCUGCAUGACUUGGUCUUCUUGGCCUGCAUGCUGUCGAGUUUGCUGCAUGCUGAACCAACUUCAUCACUCCUCCUUGGUUUGCAUGGAGCAAACACCUAGCUUCUUUCUUAGACAUUCGAACCUUGUGACACUAAGGGCUUUGGUUAAAAUGUCUGCAAGUUGAUCCUCUGAAUUAUAGUGGAUCAGCUUUACUUCCUGAGCUUGCUCGAUUUCUCGAACAACAUGCAACUUGAUGCUGAAAUGUUUUGUUUUUCCAUGGAACACUGGAUUUUUAGCAAUUGCUACUGUAGAUUGGUUGUCACAGAAGAUCUCAGUAGCUUCCUCUUGAUGCACAUUCAAGUCAGCCAAUAUUUUCCUUAGCCAUAUGGCUUGGUUGACAGCACUUGCUGUUGCCACAUACUCUGCUUCAGCAGUAGAUUGAGCUACUAGACUUUGCUUCUUUGAGCUCCAACAAAACAUGGAUGAACCAAGGUUAAAAGCAUACCCUGAGGUGCUUUUCAUGUCAUCUAUCGAGCCAGCCCAGUCACUAUCAGUGUAGCCAACCAGCUUCAGAUUUCCUUCUUUGCUGUACUUCAAACCAUAGUUUAAAGUGCCUUUGACAUAUCUCAGCACUCUCUUUGCAGCUUGGAAAUGCUUCUCAUUGCAGCAAUGCAAGAACCUUGAGAGCAAUCCUACAGCAUACAUGAUGUCUGGUCUAGUGGCAGUCAAGUAUAGCAAGCAACCAACUAGACUCCUGUAGGUUGUUUCACAAACUUUCUUAAAAUCACCUUGGCUCGAUAGUUUUUCUCCAACAGCAACAGGUGUUUUAGUUGCCUUGCUGUUUUGCAUGGAGAACCUGGUCAGAAUCUUUGUGGCAAAGCUUCUCUGGCUUAAAAAUAUCUCAUUCUGUACUUGAGACACCUCCAUUCCAAGAAAAUAUGACAUCUCCCCAAGAUCAGACAUUUCAAACACUUCCUGCAUCUUGGUCUUGAAGUCAGCCAGCACUACUCGAUCUCCUCCUGUCACUAGAAGAUCAUCAACAUACAGGGACACAAUAAGUUGUAUUUGUGUCCCUUGUUUCUUGACAUACAGUGUUGGCUCACUCUUGCUUCGAUCGAAUCCCAGAUCAGUCAAGUAGCCAUCGAUUCUGCUAUACCAAGCCCUUGGAGCCUGUUUUAAUCCAUAUAGGGCCUUCUUUAGUUUGUAGACCAUAUACUAUCUGCCAGCUAUUUCAAACCCUUGUGGUUGUUCAACAUAGAUGUCUUCAUCUAAGAAACCAUUUAGAAAGGCUGAUUUCACAUCAAGUUGAUGGAUCUUCCAUUCGAGCUGUGCUGCUAAGGCAAUUAGCAAUCUGAUGGUGUCGAGCCUGGCCACUGGUGCAAAGGUCUCCAGGUAGUCCAAGCCAUACCUCUGACUGAACCCCUUGACAACUAGCCUUGCUUUCAGCUUAUUCAAGGUACCAUCAGCAUUCUGCUUGGCUUUGUACACCCAUUUCACCCCAAUCACCUUCCUUUUGACUGGCCUUUCAACCAAUUCCCAGGUCUGGUUCUUCUCAAUCAUGCUGAUUUCCUCAGCCAUUGCCUGCUUCCACCCUUGCUGAGCCUCAGCCUCUUCAAAGUUGCUUGGUUCAGCUAUGGCUACAUGAGCCCUUUCAUAAAUCUCAGCCAAUGACCUUGUUCCUCUGACUGGUUCAUCAUCAAUAUCCAUUUCAGGGACAUUUUGGUCUGGCUCAGCUUGGUCUGCUGCAAGUUCUUCAGAAACUUCUUCAGGUUCAUGUCUUUCCCAGUUCCAACAUGACCUCUCAUCAAAUACCACAUCCCUGCUUACUGACAUUUUGUUUGUUGAAGGAUCUAAAAUCCUAUAGCCCUUCUUAACAGUGCUAUACCCCACCAAAACACCAAGUCGAGCCCUUUCAGACAAUUUGUCCCUUUUAACAGCAGGUACAUGUGCAUAACAGAUGCAUCCAAAGACCUUCAGAUGAGCCAGUGAUGGCUUGAAGCUAAACCAGGCCUCGAAUGGGGUCAUUUGAUCCAAAGCCUUGGUUGGAAGUCUAUUUUGAAUGUAUGUUGCAGUGUUAACUGCUUCUGCCCAUAGUGCUUUAGGCAGGUUCUUCUGAAUCAUCAAGCACCUGGCCAUAUCCAUCAAACUCCUACUCUUCCUUUCACUUACCCCAUUCUGCUGAGGUGUAUAUGUGUUAGUAAGUUGAUGUUUGAUGCCUGCCUUAUCACAGAAGGCUUGGAACUGAGCUGAGGUGUACUCAGUCCCAUUAUCAGACCUUAUGGUCUUCAGCUUGCAGCCUGUUUCAGUCUCAAAAGCAGUCUUGAACUUCCAAAACACAGUGGCCACCUCUGAUUUCUGUUUUAAGAAGUAAAUCCAGCAAUAUCUCGAGAAAUCAUCAAUGAACAGUAUGAAAUACCUGUUUCCACUUAAUGACUCAGUCUUCAUAGGGCCACACACAUCAGUAUGCACCAGUUGGAGUUUUUCAGAGGCUCUCCAGGCUUGAUUCGAGGGAAAUGGGAGUCUGGCCUGCUUUCCUAGCGGACAUACUUCACAUACAUCAUCAUGGUCCACUGAGUUGAUGAAAUUUUCAGCCAGGUCCUCUCUGACCAUUCGAGCCAUCGAUCUGAAGUUGGCAUGUCCCAGUCUUUGAUGCCACAGCUUAGAUUCAUCUGAAGUGGCUGUGUAGGCAAUGUCUGACUUUUUUGUCCAGUCAACCACAAAGCUCUUAUUAGCCAUAGGGACUGCCAUCAGUUUGGAUCCACUUGGAUCACUGAUUUGGCACUGGUGGUCUUUAAACACAACUGAAUAACCUUUUUCCAGCAACUAAGCUAUGCUGAGCAGGUUUCUGUCAAUUUCAGGCACCAACAGCACAUUUGAAAUCACUUUGGUACCUGUAAGGGUGCAUAUCAGCACAUCACCCUUGCCUUCAGCUUGAAUAAAAUGACCAUUUCCUAUCUUGACUUUAGUUCUGCAGCUUCUGUCUAAAGACUUGAAGAUUGCAGCAUCAGGUGUCAUGUGGUUGGUGCAUCCACUGUCUAGGAGCCAACCAGAUGAGGACCUUUCCUGAGCAGCUGAGCAUGACACAGCAAAGACUUGCUCCUCUUGAUCACUGUCCUCCUUAGCUACUCGAGCCUCAGCUUUCACCUGUUGAAACUGAUUCUGCCUCGAUUUGGUCUUACUCUUACAGACUCUCUCAACAUGACCCUUCUUCUUACAAUGCUGACACACAGCAUCUGGAUUGAACCAGCAUUUUUCUUCUGAAUGACCAGCCUUUCUGCAGUGCUUGCAAGUCUGACCUUCUCUCCUUGCAGCAUCAUUCUUUGGCUUGUCUCUCCAGGCCUUCUUGCCUUUGUAGGCAGUAUUUGUUCUUGCCUGAAAGGCACCUUCUUGGUGCUCCUCCAGUCUGCUUGCUCUCCUCUGCUCUUGAGCAUAUAGAGCAUUGAUCAACUCUGUCAGGGAGAUGGUGGACAGAUCUCUUGAGUCCUCGAGAGAUGAGAUUUUUGCCUCAUACCUCUCAGGCAGAGUUGCUAUAACCUUCUCCACUAUCCUAGCUUCAUUGAACUGCUCUCCAAGGAGCCUGAUGCUGUUAACCACAGCCAUAAUCCUGUCAGAAUAUUACUUGACAGUUUUUUCUUCCUUCAUCUUCAAAUUCUCAAAAUCUCUCCUCAAGUUUAACAACUGUUGCUGCCUUGUCCUCUCUGUCCCUUGAAACUCUUCCUGCAACUUGUCCCAGGCCUGUUUUGGUGAUUCACAGGCCAUAAUCCUUGUGAAAAUCACAUCAGACACUGAGUUUUGGAUGCAAGACAUAGCCUUGUGCCUCUUGGUCCUUUCAUCAGCAUGCUGCCUAAUCUGAGCCACUGUUGGAUUAGCUCUAAGUGGCUCUGGUUCAACAUCAGAGUUGACCACCACCCACAGAUCGAAAGCCUGCAGGUAGGUCUUCAUUUUGACCACCCAUAUGUGAUAGCCUUCUCCAUUGAAGACUUGAGGUGCAGCUGGUGAAAAGCUUGAUGAAGCCAUGGAUUUGUGUAACAGAUCCCUUAAGAAAUAGGCUCUAGAUACCAAUUGUUGGUGCUGUAACUGAAACUAACAGAUUCAGUGCAAACUUGUCAAGCAAGUCUCGAGACUUGCUGAGCAAACAAGAGAAUUCUAGCAAGAGAAAGAAAGAAAAACUAAGAAAAAUGAAUAGAAAAUUGAUGAACAAACUGAACUUCAUUCAUAAAUUGCAUAAUGGCACAAUGCCAAUACAUAAACCAAGCACUAAGCUUGUCAAAAACAGCAAAUAAUUACCUAAACAUCACCUACCUCCACUAAUGACAUGGAAACUUGAAAUUUUGGCUUGUAAACUUAUACAAAGUUGUGUUUACAGCUCAUACAUAAGCUAAUUACAUCAGUCAACAACCUAACUUAGUUAGAAAUGAACUAAGAUUACAUUUCAUUGACUUGGAAUUACAAAAUAAACAAAAUAAGCUUGCAUCAGCAGCUCCUGCAUGACUUGGUCUUCUUGGCCUGCAUGCUGUCGAGUUUGCUGCAUGCUGAACCAACUUCAUCAGAUUCAAAUGGCUUAUUGCUACUGGAUUUGAUAUGCAAGAGCAACAAUUCUAGCUAGCAUGGUGUUGCUAAUAAAGAUAAAAAUAACCAGAUGAAGUUGAUUGAUUACUUACUAAAACUGGUUUUCUUUUUUCUUUGCAUAAUAACUAAUAAUCUUUCUUGAUUAAAUCUUUAGGGAAAUAUGGUUUUUUAUCAGUUGUAUCAUUACGCAAUGCUUCGUGGCUAAUUUAGAAAUCGUUGAUGGCUUUUCUAGCAAGGUUAGGCUAUUGUCAUAAAACCGUUUCAACUUGCUCCAAGGAAAAUGAAUGGACAUUUCUUUUAUUCAGUUUAAUUGCACCAUGAUAAGAUCCAAGGCUAAACAAGCUUGAUUCAUAUAACUCCUUUAACUGGAAUAGAUGAAGUUUUUUUUUUGUUGCACCAAUCUGAUUGACAAUGUUAAAGAUAGAAACUUAUGGUCUGAUUGAAAUGCUAAACAUUGAUAAUUAGCCAUCAAUUUCAUAAUUCAUCAAUAAAAUGUUUUUUUAAUGCAUUGCAGAUGCUACAAGAGAUUUGACUAAACAAAAUUUCUCAUUUACUCCUAAUGUUUCAAAUUUUUAUUAAAUGAUUUAAUUUUCAAAGCCAAGGAAAUAAUCCUAGUUAAUGUUGUCAAGCAUGAGGCAUAGUGUUUUAUACUUGAAAAAGGGUUCCUUUUUUCUUCUUCUGAAAAGUGAAAAGAAGAGGUCCGAAUGGACAGAUAUUUAACAUGUAAAGAGUUGGGGAAAUCCAAAAAGCUUUUUGUCCACUUGUUACCAUUCUUCUCUUCUCUUCCAUUGCUAUACCCUUUCUUUCCCCUCAAAUAUUGGCUAGGUUCAAUUCCAACAAUAUGAAAGCUAUGAAUUUCACUCACUCUCAAUCAUUUAUGGAUCGUCAUUUCAAAAUGUGUCAGUCUCUAAGCUUAGUGAAGCUUCCCUAUUGAUACAGUGAACCCUCAUUGCAUAAAUAUACUAAGAAAGAGUAGCAUGAGAAAGGGAAAGUGAGCUAUUCCCUGGAGUUGCCCUGAUCACUUCACUGAGGCUAUUUUAAGACCCUUAACAGAGGGAAUUUGGUCCUAUUGAAGUGUUUGGGGUAACUCUGGGAGAUAGUUGGCACUGGUCAGCAGCAAACGUUGUUGGAGGCUUAUUUGAUGUCUAGGCAAGCUUUCCCAGUACCAUGUAAACUUCCUCAUCCAUUCUCCAUUGUAGACAUGCUAUCUGGUUUCCUUUUGCAUCAUUUGGUUUUGUUCUUAUUAUUAUGUUUUUAAUAUUUGCAUUACUAUCAUCUACUGCUCCAACAAUGUGUUAAAAAUGGCCAACCAUGCUGCUGUUAUACAGCUUGUAAACAUGCUGCAGCACGUAUGCUUGCUGUAACAGCAAGGUUGUUUAGUUACUUUUUUAAGUUACUUAGUUGAAAAUGAACUAAGUUGGUAUUAUUUUGAUGUUUUUAGUUUCCGAUUGAUAUAUCAGCUUGUGUGCAAGUUAAGUUUUACUUGUUUCAAAGUAUGAUUAGUGGUAGUAGGUAGUAUUUGGUGAUGUAUUUGGCUAUAAAUGUAUUGUUUUUUCUAAUUAAAUGAAUGAGCAAAAUGAGCUAUCAGCCAUAAGUUCCCUUGCCGCACAUUUGUGUGCAAGUAAAAAUAUUUCAUGCAUCUUGCUUCCUUGUUCUAUGUCCUGAUAACCCCAACACAAUGCCAACAUUCAUAAUGAAAUUUACUAUCAGUUUCUGUUGGUAAAAUAAUCAAACUCUUUUAAAUCCAUUCACAAAAAUUAACCGAUAACUAAAAUAGUUUCAAUAAGAAACAAAUGAAGUUAACCGAUAACUAAAAUAGUUUCAAUAAGAAACAAACGAAAGAAUGUUAAAUACAAAAAGUUCAUAUCUAAGCCUAAUUGGCUGGCAUCUCAAACCGGCAAAUAGGGCAAUAAUGGCUCUGCCUCAGCCACUUCUCGAUGCAAUCACCAUGAAAAGUAUGAGAACAAGGCAUCCGAGAAGCAUCAAACCCAACCUCGAGCUCCUCCAAACAUAUCAUGCAGUCUUCUUCAUCUCCAGCUUCUAUUCUGACCGUCUUUAGCAUCUCCUUAAACAAGGACUCUUUAGCCGGAAUCAUGCCAUAGUUACUGUUUUGAAACUCUGGUUCUGAUUCAGCCAAUGCUCUUCCCAUCAAAAUCCCAUCAUUGUAAUGUUCCACAAUGGAUGCCUGUAUCACUGAUCGUAAAGGCAACACUUUACAAUUAAUUCCUCUGCUAAGAACCCAAUGUGACAGUCUUCGUCCACGUCGGAGAAUUUCAUGAAUGAAGCUGUGAUAACCAAGAGAGGCUGUGUUGAUUCGGAGUCUUGUAAACGUGGGAAAUAGAAUUUAGUGAAGCAGGUGCUCGUUUUCAACAAUGUUGAGCUUGAAACGGAAGGUUUGUCGGAAGGACAAAGGGUCGUCGGUGGUGGUGUAGAUGUCUGCUAGGCAAUCAUGGUGGACUGAUACCAAAACGAAGUCAAUGCUUAAUUGAAAAUUCAUAAAACGGGGAGCAAUAUUACGAGUUUGUGGGAUGAUCUUAUUUUGAAAAGUACUGCGGUGAAAGAUACCACACUCGUUUGGAGUUGAAUCCAUUAGGAACUUAAGAAGCUAGAAACGUUUAUACUAGGAACCCACAAUCAGUUUUUCUUUUUGAAGUUUCCUAUUCUCCUAAUAGUAUUUAUAAGAAAAGACAACGGCGGUGUAGAGUAUGGAGUAGAAAUACGUAAAUAUUAUUUGUUUAAUCACUAAAUUAUAAGUAUUCCCAUUCCUCUAAUGACUCCUAAAACGAUUAGCAGUUAGAAACCUAUAAAUGAGAGGGGUAAAUACCAAAUAAUCCCUCGGGCUAUUAGCGUAAAUCUGAUGGUUUCAAGAAUAAUUUUCAUUCUAAUAUUUAUUUUCUUUUGGCCAAUUAUUUUCUUGCUUGUUCUAAUACAUUUUUUAAAGAGUUUGUUUCCAGAUAAUUCUUUUUGCUAAAUAAUUACAAUAAUAGUAUUACCAAAAAUAAUUGUUAUAAAUUCUUUUAGGAGUUUAAAUUAAAUUUUAAUUUUUAUAGUAGUAAAAAUAUAAUUUCAUCAUUUGAGUAAUUUAUAUAUUUAUCAUUUUAAAAAGAUUAAGUUAAUUUUUUAUUAUUUUCAAGGGCAAAGUGUAAUUUUAUAUUUACUAAUUUAAAAUUUUAAAAAAUUAAAAGAUCUAAAUGAAUUUUUUUUCUUUUUAGGAAGGUCGAGGCCCCGCCCCUUAAAAUUUUUUUUCCUCUACCUCUAUAAAAAAUUUAUUUUAGCCUUUCAUUAAAUUUUUCGUCUCUUUUAACUCUUAAACUUGUAUUGUUUAUAAAAUCAUUUCAAAAUGGGUGGAAAAAUUAAGAUCUGUUAACUUUGCUGUCGCGGUAAUUUACGUGUAUGCCACGUUAGCAAAUAAAUAAUUUUUAAAAAUAUAUAAAAUAUAUUUUUUAAAUUUUUUAUAUUGUUAAUCAUUUUAAUUUUAAAUUUUUAAAUUUUAAAAAAUAAUUAAUUGUUGACGUGACAAUUCACUUUAUAUCACACCAAUAAAGUUAACAAAUGUUAAUUUUUUUUAUCUAUUUUAGGAUAAUUUGAUAAAUAAUUCAAAUUUCAAGCGAAAAAUUAGAAGAAGAACUAAUGUGAUUUGACAACUAAUUCAAAUUUCAUGCGAAAAAUUAGUAAAAGAGCUAAAAUAAUUUUUCUUUUUUAGCUAGAGGGCAAAGUAAGUUAUAAUGCCUUUUAUUUUUGUAUUAUAUUGAUAUAUUUAAGUUUAGGCCAAAUUUUACUAGUCCUUGUACUAUACAUGAGAUGUGGAUUUAGUUUCAUAUUUUAAUAUAAUCCUUUUUAAUCUUUUGUAUCAAUCUAAAAUAUUUUCUGUAUUAAUAUAUAUUUAAGGGUUGAAUUUUUUUUUUACAUAAAAGGAAUAAUUAAAAAUUUUUAAUUCAUGUCAAAUUUGACAUGAAUUAUCUAUAUAGAUAAAGAAUAAAAUAUGACAAUUAAAUUGUUAAAAUAUUAAUCGUAUAAAAAAUUAUGUAAAACCACCCAAAUUUUACUAUAGUACGUAAGUAGUGUUUUUUUAAUAAAGAGAAGGCCUGAGAAGGCCUGAAAAGGCCAGAGCUAAAACUUGUGUGAGACAUUCGGCCAGCUCCAAAUCUUCCAUCGGCAACUUCCAGCUCCCAGCUAGUGGGCCUUCCAGCAUCUGCAGUUCAUACGGUCUCUGCUUGAAAUGCUUUGCUACAAAAUCAACAACUUGGUUUGCCUCCCGUGGCACAUGCUUGAUCUCCACACUCCACUGCCAGCUCAGCAAUUCCUAUAUCAGUCUCCAAAGUGGCUUCAAAUAAUUCUCCACAGGUGCAUCAUUCUGUAUCAACUAGAUGGGCCCGAAGUUAUCACACUUAAGCUCCACAUGCCUAUAACCCUGUUGCCAAACUAUUUGGAGACCAUCGGCCAUAGCCUGCAACGCCGCUUGUAGUAUUGAACCCACUCCUAUGUUCCUUCCAAAACCAGUUCACCAUUUUCCCAAUUCAGCUCGAGAUACCCCACCUACGGCUUACACACCCCAUAGAGGAGUCCAUUGCUCCAUCUACGUUAAGUUUUAUCCAACCCGACUUCGGUAAAGGCAAUAUACUGCUUCCCAUAUUCGACUUGGGCACCUUGUCCCUCCCUCUCUUUGCAUGCUCCAUACUUCGUGCCCAACUUAAGUUGUGAUUGAGCACUAGGUCAAAACAGUAAUGAACAUGUAGGAACAAGUUCUUAUUUUUCCAGAUUUGCCAAAUAAGCAUUCAAAAAGCGAAGCCCAUUGCACUCCCGCAUAUUUGAUACCACCAAGUUUGUUAUCAAUAUUAUCAGUAAUCCAAGAGCUUAAUGGAGCAUUGAAAAAAAUCAUCAUUAACCUGUUCGAGAAUCACUUUCUUUCAAGUUGCCAUAGCCCCUUGUACGAUCACCCACUGCAUGGAGAGUGUCAUCAUAGCAUAUUUGGGAAAAAAAUAUUUUAAGAAAUACUUUUGAAAAUAUUAUUAAUAUCAUAUUUAUAAAAAUGUUUUGAUAAUAAUUUGAGAUAAUAUUUUAUAAAGUUUUGCAAUAAUAUUUUAUAAGGUUUUGAAAUAAUAUUUUGAAACAUUAUAUAUUAAUGAUAUUUAUGAUGUUUUAAAAUAUUUUCUAUUAGAAAUAAAUUUAAUUUCUAAAAAUAAAAGUAUUAUUUUAAUAUAUUAUUAAAUAUAUUAUUUAAUACCAUCAUAAAGUUUAUUAUAAAAAUAUAACAUCAUAUACAAUUUAUUAAAUUUAAAUUUUAUAAUUUGAAAUUCAUUAUUUAAUUUAAGGGUAAAAUUGAAAUUCUAUUCAAUUCAAUUCCUUACAUAAUCUUUUUCAAUUCUUCUAUCCAACCAAAAAAUGUAAUAUUAAAAAUCCUAUCAAAUGCAUAUGUGUGUGGAAACCACGAAUUUAAAACAUUGAUAUAUAACUGAUGGAUGUAAUAUAAUAUGUAUAAUAAAAAUUAAAAGAUGAAAAUUAUAUUAAAAUAAUACUUUAGUUUAGUAGCAAUAUUAAUGAUUUAUGAAUGUAAAUAAUAUGGGUUCAAAUCUCACUCAUGUAAGUUUUUAUUGAUUUUUUAAAUAAAAAAAUUAAAAUACAGCUUUUUUUACCUACAUAAUACAAAAAUAAAAAAUAAAUACUUAAAUGGUAUGCUAAUACCAUUAUUUACUAAAAUAGUAUGCUUGCAACAGUACUAAGAGGUGGAGGGCAUAAAGGAGGUAACACCCAAUUUUUUUCGGACACAUUCAUUCAAACAUCAUUACAAAAUUAUACGUUUUUUUUAAUAUAUAUAUAUUAAGGGUGGAGGGUGUGAGAGAAGCGGUACCAAUAUUUAUUUUUAUAUUUAUUUAUUUUACAAAUGAUUGUAUUGAUGCAAUUGGGUUUUUGAUUUUAUAGAAAUGGUGUGUUUGAAAGAAAGACAGAUAUGUUUUUGUGUUUUUUUAAUAUUUGUUUCUGGUUUUUUAAUUUAAAUGCAGAUAACAGAAAAGGUAUUAGUUUAAUUUUUGUUGAUAGUUUAUUCUGUAAAGAGGGUGUUUUGAAGAAAGGGAGUAGGUAUGUUUCUGUUAUUUUUUGUUUAACAUUAAUUUUUGUUGUUUAUGUACUUAAUACAUGGUCCUAUUGUGUUGAAAUUUUUGAGAGUUUUUUUUUGUUAUUUACUUAACUAGUAUAAAGACAAUUAUUAUGUCCAUUAAUGUGAUCUUUUCAAUUUUUAUUUGUAUUUAUUAUGUAUUUAUUUGUUGGCUUUGUUAUCCAAAAAAUACAAAAAAAAAAAACAACUCAAAUGGUUUAAUAAACAAAUACAAUAUAAAUAGUGAUACCGCCUCCUACAUGCCCUCCACCUCUUGGUACUGUUGCAAAUAUACCAUUUUGGUAAAUAAUGGUAUUGGCAUAUCAUUUAGGUAUUUAUUUUUUAUUUUUGUAUUAUGUAGGUAAAAAAAAUCCUAAAAUACUCUCGAAUAAUAUAACUUAUUUUAAUUAUAGAAUGACAUUUUCGUAAUUUCUUUAAUUGAAUUGGUGACCGGUUGACUCGUGAUACCAAUGACAUUUUCAUAAUUUCUCUAAUUGAAUUGGUGACCGGUUGACUCGUGAUACCAACUCAGUCUGGAGCUUAAAUAAUAGUAAGUACAUAUAUAAUUGAUAGAUGUAAUAAAUUAUGCAAAAAAAAGUUUAAAAGGUGAAUAUUAUAUUAAAGUUUUAGUUUAGUGGCAAUGUUGAUGUUUUAUUGAUAUAAAUAGCAUGCGUUCAAAACUCAUCCCAUUUAAGUUUUUCUUAUUCGUCUUUUUAAAUAAAAAAUUAAAAUAUCAUUGAAUGAUGUAACUUAUUUUAAUUAUGAAAGGAUAUUUUCAUAAUUCCUCUAACCGAGUUGGUGCAAGUUGACUCAUUACAUCAAUUCAGUCAAAUGAUUAAAUAAUAAUAUAGAUUAUUACUUGUGUAUUCUAUUACAUCCAACUAAAUCACUAGUAUUUUAUUUCCACAAAAUAGUUAUUUAUAGUGAGCCAAAUGUGGCAUUAGGGAUUUUGCCUCUUUUUUUUUUUGGUUUGUUAUAUUUUGAUAGCAAUGAUCGAGUUUGAAUGAAAUGAAUCAAUGUAGUCCUUAUAAAACGAAAGUAAGACAAUUAGUAUUGCAUCGAUGAACGCACUAUUUUUUAUUAGAAUGAUACGUAUCGAUAUUAAUCUAUUUUAGUGUACCAUUUCAAAUUUAUCUAUUUUUUAAAAAAUAUUUAAUAUAUAUAUAAAUAUAUUUACAAAUAUAAAAUGAGUAAUACUAAUUAAUAAACUCAACAACUAAAAAUCUAUGGUUCAGAUAAAUCUUUAAAUAUUCAUCAUUUAAUAUGAAUUUUUAAGGAUUUAAAUCUUUCACUUUUUCAAUAAAUAAAUAAAAAAACUAAAAGGGAGCGGAGAUUUUUUCUUUGAUAAUCAAAUGAGUAAAUUAUUUUUAUUAUAUUUAGUUUUUUAUAUUUUAAAUAUAAAAGUAUAUUCUAAAAAACUUUUUAAAAUAAAUAAUUAAAAAAAUUUAUAUUCUUUUAAUAUUAUUCAUGCACCAAAUCGGCACGAAUCAAAAUUUUCACUAACGAAAAAUGAUAAUUGUUCUAAUUUAACAAUGAAACGGUGCGUAUUGGUUAGCACAAUCGAAACCGGUGCAAAACUAACCAAAUUACAUUAGAAUAUAUGAAAAAGUAAAAAUUAAUAAAGAUAUCUCUCCCCGCUCCGGUGAUGCCCCUUAUUAUACUUACACACCUACUUCUCUUGUCAUCUGUUUUACACAUUUAUUUGUGCGGGCCGUUUUCAUCUCUUUCUUAGUUUUUAUUUAGUUUUAAAUUCACUAAAAAAAAGCCUGCACGAGAUUCUCUUGUUCGAGGAAUCCUUCACGGUACAAAAUUCAAUGCUACAAUUCUUUUUUGUCCUUACAAUUACAGUUUUAAUUUCUCUUAUAUAUAAAUAAAUAAAUAAUAUUAAGCUUGCAAAACAAAAGUUCUAAAAUAUAAACACGAAAUUCGUUCUUCAGAUCUCUGAAUGCUCACAGUUCCGGUAAUGACAGCUUAGUAGCGAACAAGGACUUCAUAUUUGAUGCUCUUUUCAGGCGAAAGCUUUUGAUCCUCUCUUCUUUUUCACCUUUUUCCAGUUCUGCCGACACGCUUGCUUUUACUUUUUUUUUUCUUGAUUUAAUUGUAUUACUUUUCAUUUACUUGAGUAGAUGUGGAUUUUGGCUAUGUAUCUUUUACUCUCUUUUUUACCGUUGAGAUUGUGAAGAAAAUCUGAAAACGGAAAGGAAAAUUUCAAACUUUCUUUGUUUUAGUUUGCUUGUCUGGGUUCUCCAUUUUCAGUCGCUAUCCAGUUCGAUAUCAUUUUUUUGUUUUUUAUGAUUGAAUUAAGUUUGUCUUUUAUUUAUAGUAACUUAUAACUAACAAGCUAAUGAUUAUGUAGUGUAGUGCCGUUUUGACUGCCAUUACUUGCAAACUGUAUUAGGAUAUUGAGUGCGUUUGGUUGUUUUUAAAAUGCUACUUUAAAAAAAAUAGAGUUUAAUGCUAACUAGCUAAAUAUUGAGGCUUUGGUUGGGUAUGACCUUCGCAGAUUUCCAGAUUUAGAAACUUUUAAUUAUUUUUGGGUUUAACGGAGAUGGGGAAAUCUCCAGCGAAAUGGAUCAAGACCUUGCUUCUUGGGAAGAAAUCUUCAAAGUCCAGUUUCUCAAAAGGAAAAGAGAAGCUGGUAAGGAAGUAUUAAUUAUCUUCAAAUGUGAAAUAGCACUUGAAGAUUGAAAAUGUUGCAUAUUCUAAUUUUUGUUGAUUAUCAUGGGCAGAAUUCUGCAACUAAAGGUGAGGUUUUGGUUUCUUCCAAGGUGUCUGACCUAUCAGCGGAUCCUCCAUCGAUUUCAGCACCUAUUCUAGUGAGCCGUGUUAGGAAUGUGGUGGACUCUGAGAAGGGUAUACCAGGGAUUUAAAUUGCGGUCGCGGUCGCGUUUUCGGUCGCGUCGCGUUUGUCGCGGUCGCGGACAUAACGGACGCUAUUGCGGUCACUGCGGGUAUCGCGGUCGUGAAUUUUACAUUACUUAUUGUGUAUUGCGGGUAUAGCGGGUUUCGGCAGUAACGGUUUCGGACGGUGCCAUUACCGCUAUAUAACGGCCGCUAUUUCGGUAACGGACCGCUAUUUAAAUCCCUGGGGUAUACCUGACCAAUUGCCGAUUGAUGGGGCAAAUAUUCCAUCUCUAAAAGUGGAUGGAAAUAAUGCCACAACCGGUAAUUUUGGUAACCCAGAAAAUCCUGAUAGGAUUAGGCUUGACCCAGCUGCUGUGACAGUACAGGCUGCUUUCAG
rnacentral:lncRNA from 1 species